rnacentral:lncRNA from 1 species
AGCCAUCUGCAGAACCCAGACCCCCUCUGGCCUGAGUUCUCCUGGAGGCACCUCGUCUGGGCGAUACUGCAGUACCAGAGAGCCUACCCGUACAUUGAGCAGAACAAAGAUCUGGCUAAGAAGCAGCUGUGAGUGAGGGAUCUCAUCUCCUUCGGAAGGAGAUAUAUGCAGAUGUUAAUCAAGAAGAUACAAUAAUAACAGAACAGGCCUGGCAUUGAAGCGUCAGUCUGUGAAUAAGGGAUCUGAUCUCCUUUGGGAGGGGAUAAGCAGAUGCCAUGAAAAAGAUAGUACAGCAACCUGUUGAAAGUUGGCCUAAUAUUUUUCGUGUAUGAGAAGAGUGUAAUUAUGGAAACCAUGUGUAUUAUGAUGUACUAGUACAAUUCUUCGUUUUUGCUGUUGUGUUAAACGUCAGCAAUAUCUUGCCACCUAGGCUGAACACGGGAGCCAAGUCGAGAAAAUUGUAAAGCUUUUAAUGGUACCUGCCAUGGUGCCAAGCUUAUGAUUGUUGCUCCGGUUUGAAUGGCACUGAUGUUGGGGAAGAGGUUGUUNNNNNNNNNNNNNNNNNNNNNNNNNNNNNNNNNNNNNNNNNNNNNNNNNNNNNNNNNNNNNNNNNNNNNNNNNNNNNNNNNNNNNNNNNNNNNNNNNNNNNNNNNNNNNNNNNNNNNNNNNNNNNNNNNNNNNNNNNNNNNNNNNNNNNNNNNNNNNNNNNNNNNNNNNNNNNNNNNNNNNNNNNNNNNNNNNNNNNNNNNNNNNNNNNNNNNNNNNNNNNNNNNNNNNNNNNNNNNNNNNNNNNNNNNNNNNNNNNNNNNNNNNNNNNNNNNNNNNNNNNNNNNNNNNNNNNNNNNNNNNNNNNNNNNNNNNNNNNNNNNNNNNNNNNNNNNNNNNNNNNNNNNNNNNNNNNNNNNNNNNAUUUGCUGCUAAAUUGUUGAUGAACAAUGUAGAAUGAGUGAUCAUUUGCUGCUUAAAACCUAUUGUCCUAUUGUUUGGCCCUCCCCAAGCUAUUUUGACACCACUUGGCCCCCUCGUCCAAGUUUCCUGGCUCCGCCACUGCCCUUCAGUGCUCCUCCCCAACACGAAUAAAACCACUGAUCCAGCACCGGCGGACGUGUGAGCAGACGACGAGAAGCAAGCCGGGCUGGACGACGAACGUGCGAGCGGAUGACGAACAAGCAGCGUUCAGUUUUGGGUUCGGUACUAGUACCAGCCGCUUCGAUUUAGGUUCGGUUUUGGAUGCUCCAUUUUAAUUUAGUUUAGCCACUCUAAUUUUGUUCAAUUUUUUACGUUUCAACAGUAAAUUCAGUUUCGAUAGUUAAGUUCAUAGACAAGAAUAGGUUCAGCUUUGGAGCCUUGACGUAUUUUUACGUUUUUGGUGAUGUAAAAAAGUUUUUUUUUAAUAAUGUAUAUUUUACUCCAACAAUAGUUUGGUAAUAUAAAAUACAUCAAAUAUUGGAGAUGGUCUUAGCUUUUUUUUAGAGGUCGAGCCUUGUUUAGCUUUUUUUUUAGUCUGAACACACUUUAUUUAAUUAUCAUAGUCCAAAUACAUUGGAAUACAAUUAAAGUCCAAAGGUUCGAGGAGCCACAAAUGACGUCCUAAAAAAAGUCCUAAAACGUGCUUAGCGAGGCUAUGUGCCUUAAUAUUAGUCUCAGGUCCCUCGAAAAUGAAAGUAGGAGACAUGAAUUGGGCUCAAGUUGAUUUGAUCUCCUUAAACAUGCUGCCAUACACAAUUGAUCUUGAUCUUUUUAAAACGUUGGUUAGUUUUACUUGGGCCACGGCAACCAAAGAGAAGAAAGCUGGGGAGGCCUGAGCACCACAUAAGAGCAACUCUAGCAGACCUCGCAUCCGCCCCCGACCCGCAAAAUAACCGUCAAAAUGCGGAUACGGGCCGGAAAGCCUGCCCGACCAGACCCUGCAUCCCGCUCCGGCCCGCAAAAAAAUUUGAGGGGCGCGGCAAAUUCCCGACCCCAACCCGGGAAAACGCGGGUUUCCCCCUCGCGGCUGCGGUGCCCUGCAUCAGAGAGAAGCAGUUGGCGGGAGGGACAUUUCGGCCCCGCGCUCUUUUCCCCCUCCUUCCGCCGCCGCCCGCCCUUGCUUCCGCCCGCCGCCGGCGAUUCCAGCCAUAUAUGCGGGCGGAAUCGCGCCGCGGGGCCGCCCCACACCCUCCCGCACCGAGCCGCUGCAUCGUGUUGGAAAUAUGCCCUAGAGGCAAUAAUAAAUGGUUAUUAUUAUAUUUCUUUGUUCAUGGUAAUUGUCUAUUAUUCAUGCUAUAAUUGUAUUGUCCGAAAAUCGUAAUACAUGUGUGAAUACAUAGACCACAACGUGUCCCUAGUAAGCCUCUAGUUGACUAGCUCGUUGAUCAACAGAUGGUCAUGGUUUCCUAACUAUGGACAUUGGAUGUCAUUUAUAACGGGAUCACAUCAUUAGGAGAAUGAUGUGAUGGACAGGACCCAAUCCUAAGCAUAGCAUAAAAGAUCGUGUAGUUUCGUUUGCUAGAGCUUUUCCAAUGUCAAGUAUCUUUUCCUUAGACCAUGAGAUCGUGCAACUCCCGGAUACCGUAGGAGUGCUUUGGGUGUGCCAAACGUCACAACGUAACUGGGUGACUAUAAAGGUGCACUACGGGUAUCUCCGAAAGUGUCUGUUGGGUUGGCACGGAUCGAGACUGGGAUUUGUCACUCCGUGUGACGGAGAGGUAUCUCUGGGCCCACUCGGUAAUGCAUCAUCAUAAUGAGCUCAAUGUGACUAAGGCGUUAGUCACGGGAUCAUGCAUUGCGGUACGAGUAAAGAGACUUGCCGGUAACGAGAUUGAACAAGGUAUUGGGAUACCGAUGAUCGAAUCUCGGGCAAGUAACAUACCGUUUGACAAAGGGAAUUGCAUACGGAUUGAUUGAAUCCUCGACACCGUGGUUCAUCCGAUGAGAUCAUCGUGGAACAUGUGGGAGCCAACAUGGGUAUCCAGAUCCCGCUGUUGGUUAUUGACCGGAGAGGCGUCUCGGUCAUGUCUGCAUGUCUCCCGAACCCGUAGGGUCUACACACUUAAGGUCCGGUGACGCUAGGGUUGUAGAGAUAUAUGUAUGCGGAAACCCGAAAGUUGUUCGGAGUCCCGGAUGAGAUCCCGGACGUCACGAGAGGUUCCGGAAUGGUCCGGAGGUGAAGAAUUAUAUAUAGGAAGUCAAGUUUCGGCCACCGGGAAAGUUUCGGGGGUUACCGGUAUUGUACCGGGACCACCGGAAGGGUCCCGGGGGUCCACCGGGUGGGGCCACCUAUCCCGGAGGGCUCCAUGGGCUGAAAGUGGAAUGGAACCAGCCCUUAGUGGGCUGGGGCGCCCCCCUUGGGCCUCCGCCCAUGCGCCUAGGGUUGGGAACCCUAGGGGGAGUUCCCCCUUGCCUUGGGGGGCAAGGCACCCCUUCCCCCCCUUGUGGCCGCCGCCCCCCUUGAGAUCCCAUCUCUUGGGGCCGGCGCCCCCCCAGGGGGCCUAUAUAAAGGGGGGAGGGAGGGAAGCAGGACACAGCCUUGGGCGCCUCCCUCCUCCCCUGCAACACCUCUCUCUCUCUCGCAGAAGCUCGGCGAAGCCCUGCCGGAGACCCGCUACAUCCACCACCACGCCGUCGUGCUGUUUGAUCUCCAUCAACCUCUCCUUCCCCCUUGCUGGAUCAAGAAGGAGGAGACGUCGCUGCACCGUACGUGUGUUGAACGCGGAGGUGCCGUCCGUUCGGCACUCGGUCAUCGGUGAUUUGGAUCACGGCGAGUACGACUCCGUCAUCCACGUUCAUUGGAACGCUUCCGCUCGCGAUCUACAAGGGUAUGUAGAUGCACUCCUUUCCCCUCGUUGCUAGUAGACUCCAUAGAUGCAUCUUGGUGAGCGUAGGAAAAUUUUAAAAUUAUGCUACGAUUCCCAACAGUGGCAUCAUGAGCCAGGUCUAUGCGUAGUUACUAUGCACGAGUAGAACACAAAGUAGUUGUGGGCGUUGAGUUUGCCAAUUCUUCUUGCCGCUACUAGUCUUUUCUUGUUUCGGCGGCAUUGUAGGAUGAAGCGGCCCGGACCGACCUUACACGUACACUUACGUGAGACAGGUUCCACCGACUGACAUGCACUAGAUGCAUAAGGUGGCUAGCGGGUGUCUGUCUCUCCUACUUUAGUCGGAACAGAUUCGAUGAAAAGGGUCCUUAUGAAGGGUAAAUAGAAAUUGGCAAAUCACGUUGUGGUCAUACGUAGGUAAGAAACGUUCUUGCUAGAAACCUACAAACCACGUAAAAACUUGCAACAACAAUUAGAGGACGUCUAACUUGUUUUUGCAGCAAGUGCUAUGUGAUGUGAUAUGGCCAGAAGAUGUGAUGAAUGAUAUAUGUGAUGUAUGAGAUUGAUCAUAUUCUUGUAAUAGGAAUCACGACUUGCAUGUCGAUGAGUACGACAACCGGCAGGAGCCAUAGGAGUUGUCUUUAUUAUUUUGUAUGACCUGCGUGUCAUUGAAUAACGCCAUGUAAAUUACUUUACUUUGUUGCUAAACAAGUUAGCCAUAGAAGUAGAAGUAAUCGUUGGCGUGACGACUUCAUGAAGACACAAUGAUGGAGAUCAUGAUGAUGGAGAUCAUGGUGUCAUGCCGGUGACGAAGAUGAUCAUGGUGCCCCGAAGAUGGAGAUCAAAGGAGCAUGAUGAUAUUGGCCAUAUCAUGUCACUAUUUGAUUGCAUGUGAUGUUUAUCAUGUUUUUGCAUCUUAUUUGCUUAGAACGACGGUAGUAAGUAAGAUGAUCCCUUAUAAUAAUUUCAAGAAAGUGUUCACCCUAACUGUGCACCGUUGCGAAGGUUCGUUGUUUCGAAGCACCACGUGAUGAUCGGGUGUGAUAGAUUCUAACGUUCGAAUACAACGGGUGUUGACGAGCCUAGCAUGUACAGACAUGGCCUCGGAACACACGCAAUACACUUAGGUUGACUUGACGAGCCUAGAAUGUACAGACAUGGCCUCGGAACACGGAGGACCGAAAGGUCGAGCAUGAGUCGUAUAGAAGAUACGAUCUGUUGGAAAUAUGCCCUAGAGGCAAUAAUAAAUGGUUAUUAUUAUAUUUCUGUGUUCAUGAUAAUAGUCUUUUAUUCAUGCUAUAAUUGUAUUGUCCGGAAAUCGUAAUACAUGUGUGAAUACAUAGACCACAACCUGUCCCUAGUAAGCCUCUAGUUGACUAGCUCGUUGAUCAACAGAUAGUCAUGGUUUCCUGACUAUGGACAUAGGAUGUCAUUGAUAACGGGAUCACAUCAUUAGGAGAAUGAUGUGAUGGACAAGACCCAACUUAAGCAUAGCAUAAAAGAUCGUGUAGUUUCGUUUGCUAGAGCUUUUCCAAUGUCAAGUAUCUUUUCCUUAGACCAUGAGAUCGUGCAACUCCCGGAUACCGUAGGAGUGCUUUGGGUGUGCCAAACGUCACAACGUAACUGGGUGACUAUAAAGGUGCAUUACGGGUAUCUCCAAAAGUGUCUGUUGGGUUGGCACGGAUCGAGACUGGGAUUUGUCGCUCCGUGUAACGGAGAGGUAUCUCUGGGCCCACUCGGUAAUGCAUCAUCAUAAUGAGCUCAAUGUGACUAAGGCGUUAGUCACGGGAUCAUGCAUUGCGGUACGAGUAAAGAGACUUGCCGGUAACGAGAUUGAACAAGGUAUUGGGAUACCGACGAUCGAAUCUCGGGCAAGUAACAUACCGAUUGACAAAGGGAAUUGUAUACGGGAUUGAUUGAAUCCUCGACACCGUGGUUCAUCCGAUGAGAUCAUCGUGGAACAUGUGGGAGCCAACAUGGGUAUCCAGAUCCCGCUGUUGGUUAUUGACUGGAGAGGCGUCUCGGUCAUGUCUGCAUGUCUCCCGAACCCGUAGGGUCUACACACUUAAGGUUCGGUGACGCUAGGGUUGUAGAGAUAUGUGUAUGCGGAAACCCGAAAGUUGUUCGGAGUCCCGGAUGAGAUCCCGGACGUCACGAGAGGUUCCGGAAUGGUCCGAAGGUGAAGAAUUAUAUAUAGGAAGUCAAGUUUCGGCCACUGGGAAAGUUUCGGGGGUUACCGGUAUUGUACCGGGACCACCGGAAGGGUCCCGGGGGUCCACCGGGUGGGGCCACCUGUCCCAGAGGGCCCCGUGGGCUGAAAGUGGAAGGGAACCAGCCCUUAGUGGGCUGGGGCGCCCCCCUUGGGCCUCCCCCCAUGCGCCUAGGGUUGGGAACCCUAGGGUGGGGGGGUUCCCCCCUUGCCUUGGGGGGCAAGGCAACCCCUUCCCCCCUUUGNNNNNNNNNNNNNNNNNNNNNNNNNNNNNNNNNNNNNNNNNNNNNNNNNNNNNNNNNNNNNNNNNNNNNNNNNNNNNNNNNNNNNNNNNNNNNNNNNNNNNNNNNNNNNNNNNNNNNNNNNNNNNNNNNNNNNNNNNNNNNNNNNNNNNNNNNNNNNNNNNNNNNNNNNNNNNNNNNNNNNNNNNNNNNNNNNNNNNNNNNNNNNNNNNNNNNNNNNNNNNNNNNNNNNNNNNNNNNNNNNNNNNNNNNNNNNNNNNNNNNNNNNNNNNNNNNNNNNNNNNNNNNNNNNNNNNNNNNNNNNNNNNNNNNNNNNNNNNNNNNNNNNNNNNNNNNNNNNNNNNNNNNNNNNNNNNNNNNNNNNNNNNNNNNNNNNNNNNNNNNNNNNNNNNNNNNNNNNNNNNNNNNNNNNNNNNNNNNNNNNNNNNNNNNNNNNNNNNNNNNNNNNNNNNNNNNNNNNNNNNNNNNNNNNNNNNNNNNNNNNNNNNNNNNNNNNNNNNNNNNNNNNNNNNNNNNNNNNNNNNNNNNNNNNNNNNNNNNNNNNNNNNNNNNNNNNNNNNNNNNNNNNNNNNNNNNNNNNNNNNNNNNNNNNNNNNNNNNNNNNNNNNNNNNNNNNNNNNNNNNNNNNNNNNNNNNNNNNNNNNNNNNNNNNNNNNNNNNNNNNCUCUCCUUUCCCCUUGCUGGAUCAAGAAGGAGGAGACGUCGCUGCACCGUACGUGUGUUGAACGUGGAGGUGCCGUCCGUUCGGCACUCGGUCAUCGGUGAUUUGGAUCACGGCGAGUACGACUCCGUCAUCCACGUUCAUUGGAACGCUUCCGCUCGCGAUCUACAAGGGUAUGUAGAUGCACUCCUUUCCCCUCGUUGCUAGUAGACUCCAUAGAUGCAUCUUGGUGAGCGUAGGAAAAUUUUAAAAUUAUGCUACGAUUCCCAACAGUGGCAUCAUGAGCCAGGCCUAUGCGUAGUUACUGUGCACGGGUAGAACACAAAGCAGUUGUGGGCGUUGAGUUUGCCAAUUUCUUCUUGCCGCUACUAGUCUUGUCUUGUUUCGGCGGCAUUGUAGGAUGAAGCGGCCCGGACCGACCUUACACGUACGCUUACGUGAGACAGGUUCCACCGACUAACAUGCACUAGUUGCAUAAGGUGGCUAGCGGGUGUCUGUCUCUCCUACUUUAGUCGGAACGGAUUCGAUGAAAAGGGUCCUUAUGAAGGGUAAAUAGAAAUUGGCAAAUCACGUUGUGGUCAUACGUAGGUAAGAAAACGUUCUUGCUAGAAACCUACAAACCACGUAAAAAAAAACUUGCAACAACAAUUAGAGGACGUCUAACUUGUCUUUGCAGCAAGUGCUAUGUGAUGUGAUAUGGCCAGAAGAUGUGAUGAAUGAUAUAUGUGAUGUAUGAGAUUGAUCAUAUUCUUGUAAUAGGAAUCACGACUUGCAUGUCGAUGAGUAUGACAACCGGCAGGAGCCAUAGGAGUUGUCUUUAUUAUUUUGUAUGACCUGCGUGUCAUUGAAUAACGCCAUGUAAAUUACUUUACUUUGUUGCUAAACGCGUUAGCCAUAGAAGUAGAAGUAAUCGUUGGCGUGACGACUUCAUGAAGACACAAUGAUGGAGAUCAUGAUGAUGGAGAUCAUGGUGUCAUGCCGGUGACGAAGAUGAUCAUGGUGCCCCGAAGAUGGAGAUCAAAGGAGCAUAAUGAUAUUGGCCAUAUCAUGUCACUAUUUGAUUGGAUGUGAUGUUUAUCAUGUUUUUGCAUCUUAUUUGCUUAGAACGACGGUAGUAAGUAAGAUGAUCCCUUAUAAUAAUUUCAAGAAAGUGUUCACCCUAACUGUGCACCAUUGCGAAGGUUCGUUGUUUCGAAGCACCACGUGAUGAUCGGGUGUGAUAGGUUCUAACGUUCGAAUACAACGGGUGUUGACGAGCCUAGCAUGUACAGACAUGGCCUCGGAACACACGCAAUACACUUAGGUUGACUUGACGAGCCUAGCAUGUACAGACAUGGCCUCGGAACACGGAGGACCGAAAGGUCGAGCAUGAGUCGUAUAGAAGAUACGAUCAACAUGGAGAUGUUCACCGAUCUUGACUAGUCCGUCUCACGUGAUGAUCGGACACGGCCUAGUUAACUCGGAUCAUGUUUCACUUAGAUGACUAGAGGGAUGUCUAUCUGAGUGGGAGUUCAUUAAAUAAUUUGAUUAGAUGAACUUAAUUAUCAUGAACUUAGUCUAAAAUCUUUACACUAUGUCUUGUAGAUCAAAUGGCCAACGUUGUCCUCAAUUUCAACGCGUUCCUAGAGAAAACCAAGCUGAAAGAUGAUGGCAGCAACUAUACGGACUGGGUCCGGAACCUGAGGAUCAUCCUCAUAGUAGCCAAGAAAGAUUAUGUCUUAGAAGCACCGCUAGGUGAUGCACCAAUCCCAGAGAACCAAGACGUUAUGAACGCUUGGCAGCAGCGUGCUGAUGAUUACUCCCUCGUUCAGUGCGGCAUGCUUUACAGCUUAGAACCGGGUCUCCAAAAGCGUUUUGAGAAACAUGGAGCAUAUGAGAUGUUCGAGGAGCUGAAAUUGGUUUUCCAAGCUCAUGCCCGGGUCGAGAGAUAUGAUGUCUCCGACAAGUUCUUCAGCUGUAAAAUGGAGGAGAAUAGUUCUGUCAGUGAGCACAUACUCAGAAUGUCUGGGUUACACAACCGCUUAUCCCAGCUGGGAGUUAAUCUCCCAGAUGACGCGGUCAUUGACAGAAUCCUCCAGUCGCUUCCACCAAGCUACAAGAGCUUUGUGAUGAACUACAAUAUGCAGGGGAUGGAAAAGACCAUUCCUGAGGUAUAUUCAAUGCUGAAAUCAGUAGAAGGGGAGAUCAGAAAAGAACAUCAAGUGUUGAUGGUGAAUAAAACCACUAAGUUCAAGAAGGGCAAGGGUAAGAAGAACUUCAAGAAGGACGGCAAGGGAGUUGCCGCGCCCGGUAAACCAGUUACUGGGAAGAAGUCAAAGAAUGGACCCAAGCCCGAGACUGAGUGCUUUUAUUGCAAGGGAAGUGGUCACUGGAAGCGGAACUGCCCCAAAUACUUAGCGGACAAGAAGAAGGCCGGCAACGCCAAAGUUAUAUGUGAUAUACAUGUAAUCGAUGUGUACCUUACCAGUACUCGUAGUAGCUCCUGGGUAUUUGAUACCGGUGCGGUUGCUCAUAUUUGUAACUCAAAACAGGAACUACGGAAUAAACGGAGACUGGCAAAGGACGAGGUGACGAUGCGCGUCGGGAGUGGUUCCAAGGUCGAUGUGAUCGCCGUCGGCACGCUACCUCUGCAUCUACCCACGGGAUUAGUUUUAAACCUCAAUAAUUGUUAUUUAGUGCCAGCUUUGAGCAUGAACAUUGUAUCUGGAUCUCGUUUAAUUCGAGAUGGCUACUCAUUUAAAUCCGAGAAUAAUGGUUGUUCUAUUUAUUUGAGAGAUAUGUUUUAUGGUCAUGCCCCGCUGGUCAAUGGUUUAUUUUUUAUGAAUCUCGAACGUGAUGUUACACAUGUUCAUAGUGUGAAUACCAAAAGAUGUAAAGUUGAUAACGAUAGUCCCACAUACUUGUGGCACUGCCGCCUUGGUCACAUUGGUGUCAAGCGCAUGAAGAAGCUCCAUGCAGAUGGACUUUUGGAGUCUCUUGAUUACGAAUCAUUUGACACGUGCGAACCAUGCCUCAUGGGUAAGAUGACCAAGACUCCGUUCUCCGGAACAAUGGAGCGAGCAACCAACUUAUUGGAAAUCAUACAUACCGAUGUGUGUGGUCCAAUGAGUGUUGAGGCUCGCGGAGGAUAUCGUUAUGUUCUCACUCUCACUGAUGACUUAAGUAGAUAUGGGUAUGUCUACCUAAUGAAACACAAGUCUGAAACCUUUGAAAAGUUCAAGGAAUUUUAGAGUGAGGUUGAGAAUCAACGUGACAGGAGAAUAAAAUUCUUACGAUCAGAUCGUGGUGGAGAAUAUUUAAGUCACGAGUUUGGUGCACACUUAAGGAAAUAUGGAAUAGUUUCACAACUCACGCCGCCUGGAACACCUCAGAGAAAUGGUGUGUCCGAACGUCGUAAUCGCACUCUAUUGGAUAUGGUGCGAUCUAUGAUGUCUCUUACCGAUUUACCGCUCUCAUUUUGGGGCUAUGCUUUAGAGACUGCCGCAUUCACUUUAAAUAGGGCUCCGUCUAAAUCCGUUGAGACGACACCGUAUGAAUUAUGGUUUGGGAAGAAACCUAAGCUGUCGUUUCUAAAAGUUUGGGGAUGCGAUGCUUAUGUCAAGAAACUUCAACCUGAAAAGCUCGAACCCAAGUCGGAAAAAUGCGUCUUCAUAGGAUACCCUAAGGAAACUAUUGGGUAUACCUUCUACCUCAGAUCUGAAGGCAAGAUCUUCGUUGCCAAGAACGGGUCCUUUCUGGAGAAGGAGUUUCUCUCGAAAGAAUUGAGUGGGAGGAAAGUGGAACUUGAUGAGGUGAUAGUCACCCCUUCCGAACCGGAAAGUAGCGCAGCGCGGGAAAAUGUUCCUGUGGUGCCUACACCGACUGGGGAGGAAGUUAAUGAUGAUGAUCAUGAAGCUUCAGAUCAAGUUACUGAACUUCGUAGGUCCACAAGGACACGUUCCGCGCCAGAGUGGUACGGCAACCCUGUCCUGGAAAUCAUGUUGUUAGACAACGGUGAACCUUCGAACUAUGAAGAAGCGAUGGCGGGCCCGGAUUCCGACAAAUGGCUAGAAGCCAUGAAAUCCGAGAUAGGAUCCAUGUAUGAAAACGAAGUAUGGACUUUGACUGACUUGCCCGAUGAGCGGCGAGCCAUAGAAAACAAAUGGAUCUUUAAGAAGAAGACGGACGCAGAUGGUAAUGUGACCAUCUACAAAGCUCGACUUGUCGCUAAGGGUUAUCGACAAGUUCAAGGGGUUGACUACGAUGAGACUUUCUCACCCGUAGCGAAGCUGAAGUCCGUCCGAAUCAUGUUAGCAAUUGCCGCAUACUAUGAUUAUGAGAUAUGGCAGAUGGACGUCAAAACGGCAUUCCUUAACGGUUUCCUUAAGGAGGAGUUGUAUAUGAUGCAGCCGGAAGGUUUUGUCGAUCCUAAGAAUGCUAACAAAGUAUGCAAGCUCCAGCGCUCAAUCUAUGGGCUGGUGCAAGCAUCUCGGAGUUGGAAUAUUCGCUUUGAGGAGAUGAUCAAAGCGUUUGGGUUUACACAGACUUAUGGAGAAGCCUGUGUUUACAAGAAAGUGAGUGGGAGCUCUGUAGCAUUUCUCAUAUUAUAUGUGGAUGACAUAUUAUUGAUGGGAAAUGAUAUAGAAUUCUUGGAAAGUAUAAAGGCCUAUUUGAAUAAGUGUUUUUCAAUGAAGGACCUUGGAGAAGCUGCUUAUAUAUUAGGCAUCAAGAUCUAUAGAGAUAGAUCAAGACGCCUCAUUGGUCUUUCACAGAGUACAUACCUUGACAAGAUAUUGAAGAAGUUCAAUAUGGAUCAGUCCAAGAAGGGGUUCUUGCCUGUAUUGCAAGGUGUGCAAUUGAGCACGGCUCAAUGCCCGACCACGACAGAAGAUAUAGAAAAGAUGAGUGUCAUCCCCUAUGCCUCGGCCAUAGGGUCUAUUAUGUAUGCCAUGCUGUGUACCAGACCUGAUGUAAACCUUGCCUUAAGUUUGGUAGGAAGGUACCAAAGUAAUCCCGGCAUGGAACACUGGACAGCGGUCAAGAAUAUCCUGAAGUACCUGAAGAGGACUAAGGAUAUGUUUCUCGUUUAUGGAGGUGACGAAGAGCUCGUCGUAAAGGGUUACGUCGACGCUAGCUUCGACACAGAUCUGGAUGACUCGAAGUCACAAACCGGAUACGUGUAUAUUUUGAAUGGAGGAGCAGUAAGCUGGUGCAGUUGCAAGCAAAGCGUCGUGGCGGGAUCUACAUGUGAAGCGGAGUACAUGGCAGCCUCAGAGGCAGCACAGGAAGCAGUCUGGAUGAAGGAGUUCAUUACCGACCUAGGGGUGAUUCCCAAUGCGUCGAGCCCGAUGACUCUCUUCUGUGACAACACUGGAGCUAUUGCCCUUGCGAAGGAGCCCAGGUUUCACAGGAAGACCAGGCAUAUCAAGCAUCGCUUCAACUCCAUUCAUGAAAGUGUUCAAAAUGGAGACAUAGAUAUUUGUAAAGUACAUACGGACCUGAAUGUAGCAGAUCCGUUGACUAAACCUCUCCCUAGAGCAAAACAUGAUCAACACCAGGACGCAAUGGGUGUUCGAUUCAUCACAAUGUAACUAGAUUAUUGACUCUAGUGCAAGUGGGAGACUGUUGGAAAUAUGCCCUAGAGGCAAUAAUAAAUGGUUAUUAUUAUAUUUCUUUGUUCAUGGUAAUUGUCUAUUAUUCAUGCUAUAAUUGUAUUGUCCGGAAAUCGUAAUACAUGUGUGAAUACAUAGACCACAACAUGUCCCUAGUAAGCCUCUAGUUGACUAGCUCGUUGAUCAACAGAUGGUCAUGGUUUCCUGACUAUGGACAUUGGAUGUCAUUUAUAACGGGAUCACAUCAUUAGGAGAAUGAUGUGAUGGACAGGACCCAAUCCUAAGCAUAGCAUAAAAGAUCGUGUAGUUUCGUUUGCUAGAGCUUUUCCAAUGUCAAGUAUCUUUUCCUUAGACCAUGAGAUCGUGCAACUCCCGGAUACCGUAGGAGUGCUUUGGGUGUGCCAAACGUCACAACGUAACUGGGUGACUAUAAAGGUGCACUACGGGUAUCUCCGAAAGUGUCUGUUGGGUUGGCACGGAUCGAGACUGGGAUUUGUCACUCCGUGUGACGGAGAGGUAUCUCUGGGCCCACUCGGUAAUGCAUCAUCAUAAUGAGCUCAAUGUGACUAAGGCGUUAGUCACGGGAUCAUGCAUUGCGGUACGAGUAAAGAGACUUGCCGAUAACGAGAUUGAACAAGGUAUUGGGAUACCGACGAUCGAAUCUCGGGCAAGUAACAUACCGAUUGACAAAGGGAAUUGUAUACGGGAUUGAUUGAAUCCUCGACANNNNNNNNNNNNNNNNNNNNNNNNNNNNNNNNNNNNNNNNNNNNNNNNNNNNNNNNNNNNNNNNNNNNNNNNNNNNNNNNNNNNNNNNNNNNNNNNNNNNNNNNNNNNNNNNNNNNNNNNNNNNNNNNNNNNNNNNNNNNNNNNNNNNNNNNNNNNNNNNNNNNNNNNNNNNNNNNNNNNNNNNNNNNNNNNNNNNNNNNNNNNNNNNNNNNNNNNNNNNNNNNNNNNNNNNNNNNNNNNNNNNNNNNNNNNNNNNNNNNNNNNNNNNNNNNNNNNNNNNNNNNNNNNNNNNNNNNNNNNNNNNNNNNNNNNNNNNNNNNNNNNNNNNNNNNNNNNNNNNNNNNNNNNNNNNNNNNNNNNNNNNNNNNNNNNNNNNNNNNNNNNNNNNNNNNNNNNNNNNNNNNNNNNNNNNNNNNNNNNNNNNNNNNNNNNNNNNNNNNNNNNNNNNNNNNNNNNNNNNNNNNNNNNNNNNNNNNNNNNNNNNNNNNNNNNNNNNNNNNNNNNNNNNNNNNNNNNNNNNNNNNNNNNNNNNNNNNNNNNNNNNNNNNNNNNNNNNNNNNNNNNNNNNNNNNNNNNNNNNNNNNNNNNNNNNNNNNNNNNNNNNNNNNNNNNNNNNNNNNNNNNNNNNNNNNNNNNNNNNNNNNNNNNNNNNNNNNNNNNNNNNNNNNNNNNNNNNNNNNNNNNNNNNNNNNNNNNNNNNNNNNNNNNNNNNNNNNNNNNNNNNNNNNNNNNNNNNNNNNNNNNNNNNNNNNNNNNNNNNNNNNNNNNNNNNNNNNNNNNNNNNNNNNNNNNNNNNNNNNNNNNNNNNNNNNNNNNNNNNNNNNNNNNNNNNNNNNNNNNNNNNNNNNNNNNNNNNNNNNNNNNNNNNNNNNNNNNNNNNUCUCGCAGAAGCUCGGCGAAGCCCUGCCGAGACCCGCUACAUCCACCACCACGCCGUCGUGCUGCUGGAUCUCCAUCAACCUCUCCUUCCCCUUGCUGGAUCAAGAAGGAGGAGACGUCGCUGCACCGUACGUGUGUUGAACGCGGAGGUGCCGUCCGUUCGGCACUCGGUCAUCGGUGAUUUGGAUCACGGCGAGUACGACUCCGUCAUCCACGUUCAUUGGAACGCUUCCGCUCGCGAUCUACAAGGGUAUGUAGAUGCACUCCUUUCCCCUCGUUGCUAGUAGACUCCAUAGAUGCAUCUUGGUGAGCGUAGGAAAAUUUUAAAAUUAUGCUACGAUUCCCAACACAUCGCCCCUCCGGAUCCGGCGAGAAGAGCCGCCCCCCGUCGUCGCCGUCGCCGGGGAUCGACCACCGUCGAGCGCACCCCCUCGUCGCCGCCCGGGAUCACCCGCUAUCGGUUAGUCCUUUUUUGUGAUUUUUGCGAGCUGUGUAGUUGAUUGACGAGCCGGUGUGCGUGUAGAUGGAGUUGAGCCCGUGCGAGAAGUUCUUGCUCUCCGAUUCGUCCGAUUCGGGCGACUCGGAUGUUGAGACCAUGCUUGUGACAUUUCGGCAGCAAACAUUAGUCAUGGCGCUUGCCGUGAAGGAGCAUGAAGACGAGCACCGGAAGAUGAGGCGAGGAUCGACUGUCGGGCGUCUGUGCAUUCCUCAGAAUCGCCAUCUUGGGAACGAGAUGUUGAUGCAAGACUAUUUCACGGAGAAUCCUACAUAUCCUCCGCACCUCUUCCGGAGAAGGUACCGAAUGCGCCGAUCCCUCUUUGUGAAACUUGUUCAAGCUUGCGAGGCAAAUUGCCAGUAUUUUACUCAAAGAAGGAAUGUCGCGGGCUUAAAGGGAUUUAGUGCAUAUCAAAAAAUCUCCGCAGCUAUGCGGGUGAUUGCAUAUGGCGUUCCGGCUGACUAUGCCGAUGAGUAUCUUCGCAUUGGUGAAGAUAGCACAAUUGAGUCUGUGCGUAGAUUUGCGAAAGUGAUCGUCCGUGUCUUUGGUCCUGAGUAUCUUCAGGCACCCAAUGAAGAUGACACAAAGAAAUUGAUGGCAUGUAAUGAGAGGAGAGGUUGGCCUGGCAUGCUAGGUAGCAUUGAUGUAUGCAUUGGAACUGGAAAAAUUGCCCCAAGCCUUGGCAAGGAAUGUAUUGUGGCAAGUCUCGUGAUGCAACAAUUGUGCUAGAGGCCGUAGCAUCCGAGGAUUUAUGGAUUUGACAUUGCUUUUUUGGUAUGCCGGGCACUCUCAAUGAUAUCAAUGUGUUGCAACGGUCUCAUUUGUUUGCUAGGCUUGCUAGUGGUGAUGCUCCUGCUUGCAACUACACUAUCAAUGGGCAUGAAUACACAAAGGGGUACUAUCUCGCAGAUGUAUAUACCCUCCUUGGUGCACAUUUGUCAAGAGCAUCAAAGAACCAAAAACAAAAAACAAUGUGAAUUUGCAAGGGUGCAAGAGGCAGCUCGAAAAGACAUUGAAAGAGCAUUCGGUGUUUUGCAAUCUAGGUUUGCCAUUGUCCGUGGUCCUGCUCAUUUUUGGGAUAAGAAAACUUUGAAGAACAUCAUGACAUGUUGUGUUAUUCUGCACAAUAUGAUUUUUGAAGAUGAGAGAGGAAUGAACUUAGAAUUCUUUUACGACAAUGUGGGUAGCCGCGUCAAACCAGCUAGACUGAAACCACAUUAGAGCUUUUCUUCAGACAUACAAGGAGAUUGAAAAUGCAGGCACACACUUUCAACUUCAGAAAGAUCUCAUUGAGCACCAUUGGCAAAGGGCUGGACAAUGACUAAUUUUUGUAUUCAUUUGUAUUUGUAUUCAUGACAAGUUUUGUAUUGCAUUUGCUACGGUGAUUUGAAUAAUUAUUUGUAAUGCGAAUGAUUAUUGUAUUAUGUUUGAUUUGAAUAAUUCAGUUUGUUUUCGAUUGUUGAAUUAUGUUGGAUUUGAUAUUUGCGGGCUGAUGAUAUGCGGGAUGCAGCAACACAAAAGGCAGACCCCGCAAAGCCGACCCGUAAAAAGAUAUAUUCCGUGAAUAUACUUUUUUACAAAUCCGUUUGGGGGGUCUGCAUCUGUGCCAGUCCGAGCCAGCCCGCAAAAACGGUUUUGCACGAACUGUAAAUGCGUUUUGCGGGCCAGCGGGAUGCGGGGUCUGCUGGAGUUGCUCUAAAGGAGGCCUGAACCAAAGAGAGGCGACCGUGCGACGAGGUGGGCUGGACGGGCUCCGUUUGCCUGGUCAAGAGAUGUCAGGCCGCGCGUUCGUCUUGCUCGUGCAUUCCUGCCUUUGCCCUAGCUGGCCCGCCGCUCCAAGUUCCAUCCAUGCAUCCAGCACGCCGUCACUUGUAUUAGAUCCCACGCGCACAACUCCUAGAAAUCAUCGGUCACGCCAUGGCCAUCGCGGAGACCUCGCCCCUCCACCGGGUAAUCGACGCCCGCCGGUGGGACGCGGAGCGCCUCCUCGGCCGCCUCAUAGUCGUCGUCCACGCCGCCUUCCUCGACGCCGGCUUCGCGCCCCACGCCCACGGCGUCCCGAAGCACCGGCGGGUCCCGAGGCGGGUGGGCGCCACGGCCUCGACCCUGCCUCUCGUCUACGCCGCGCCGCGCCUGCCAGACGCCGCCGUCGCGCUGAGGAUGCGGACGCACGGGAUGCGGAUCGUGUUCUACGUGUGCGUGCCCAGGCUCGCACUGCCAGACCCAGGACCAGGAGUGCACUGGGCGUGCGUGGACGCGCUCGCCGCGGCGCCGCUAAUGUCCGGCGGCCUGGACGGCACGGCGCGCGCCCUGGCGGGCGUCGGCGCCUGCGGGCUGCCCGCGCUCUGGAGGGAGCUCGCGGAGAAGCUGUGCCGGGGCGCCCUCGUCGACCUUUGCCGUGAGAACGACGUGGUGCUGUGCCGUGAGAACGCGUUCGUGUCGCUCCCCGGCGACGUCACGCUGGCAGUCCUGGCGAGGCUCGCCGACGUCUUGGACCUCUUGGGGGUGGCGAGCACUUGCACGGAGCUGAGGUGCCUCGUGGCCGACCACGACAGCGAGCUCUGGAAGCACAGGUACAAGGCCUUGUGCUCGCUGACAUGCUGCGACGACUCGCCUGAGACGAGCUGGAUGAAGGGGUGGUGCGAAGAGAAGCAGAUUUUUCUAAACGAAGAUGGUGUCACCUCCUUCGUAAUAGACUUCUGGUAAAAGCGUGAUUCGUUCUAUUAAUAACUGAAUUUGAAAUGAUAUACUUAAGGCAUUCUUAAGUUUUUUAUUUUUAUAUUCCAAUGAAAACUUUAGUUCUUAUAAAGGAUUAAAUCCUUUUCCUCUCAAUAGCAUAUUGAGGAAGAAUAUACAUUCUGGUGAUUUGUAUCCAAAGACUAAUUUAAAUUGCAUCUAAAAUAAAAAUAGGAUUAUGAGUACAGAGUAAAGUUUGACGCAGCUAGAAAGCGUGAAGCGGCGGCAUAUGGCUAUUGCGACAAACCUCGCUCUGGCCUUGUGCUUAAGUAUUCAUUACAAUAAUACAUUAUUAUGCUAAUUGCUACUACAAUUUUAUUUUCUUGACCGUUUUCAAGAGGACUUACAAAACUGACAAUCGUCAGCUUAACCAUCUCUCAAGCUUUGGGUCUCCAUAUUAUGUAUGCCUGGUAUUUUUUGUAAACUGUUGUUCUGCGGCAUGCGAUUUCUAGAUCUCAUUUCAAGGGGCGAGUGGAUAUUGUGGUGUUUAAAGUCUGAUUGGUUAUUUUGCUUUACAGUUGGUUUAGUGCUGAGCUGCUGAGCAUUGGAAACAAGCCACAGUGCUUACUCCGGGAAAUUGUACUCAAGCACAUAACGGGUUGAAGAUUAGGACCCCUUUGAAUUUGAACAAGACCAUGCUCAUUCUUUUUCAGAAAAUGGGUGGUUUGGUUGUUGAUACAUUAAUCAGAUAAAUUAGGUCGUAAGAUCGAAUCAAUAAUUUCAUUAUAUCCAUUUCUUGUACAUUCUAUUUUAUAUGGUAUUUCAUACCUUCUAUUUUAUAUGAUAUUUCAUAAAGAAUAAACCAUAGGGNNNNNNNNNNNNNNNNNNNNNNNNNNNNNNNNNNNNNNNNNNNNNNNNNNNNNNNNNNNNNNNNNNNNNNNNNNNNNNNNNNNNNNNNNNNNNNNNNNNNNNNNNNNNNNNNNNNNNNNNNNNNNNNNNNNNNNNNNNNNNNNNNNNNNNNNNNNNNNNNNNNNNNNNNNNNNNNNNNNNNNNNNNNNNNNNNNNNNNNNNNNNNNNNNNNNNNNNNNNNNNNNNNNNNNNNNNNNNNNNNNNNNNNNNNNNNNNNNNNNNNNNNNNNNNNNNNNNNNNNNNNNNNNNNNNNNNNNNNNNNNNNNNNNNNNNNNNNNNNNNNNNNNNNNNNNNNNNNNNNNNNNNNNNNNNNNNNNNNNNNNNNNNNNNNNNNNNNNNNNNNNNNNNNNNNNNNNNNNNNNNNNNNNNNNNNNNNNNNNNNNNNNNNNNNNNNNNNNNNNNNNNNNNNNNNNNNNNNNNNNNNNNNNNNNNNNNNNNNNNNNNNNNNNNNNNNNNNNNNNNNNNNNNNNNNNNNNNNNNNNNNNNNNNNNNNNNNNNNNNNNNNNNNNNNNNNNNNNNNNNNNNNNNNNNNNNNNNNNNNNNNNNNNNNNNNNNNNNNNNNNNNNNNNNNNNNNNNNNNNNNNNNNNNNNNNNNNNNNNNNNNNNNNNNNNNNNNNNNNNNNNNNNNNNNNNNNNNNNNNNNNNNNNNNNNNNNNNNNNNNNNNNNNNNNNNNNNNNNNNNNNNNNNNNNNNNNNNNNNNNNNNNNNNNNNNNNNNNNNNNNNNNNNNNNNNNNNNNNNNNNNNNNNNNNNNNNNNNNNNNNNNNNNNNNNNNNNNNNNNNNNNNNNNNNNNNNNNNNNNNNNNNNNNNNNNNNNNNNNNNNNNNNNNNNNNNNNNNNNNNNNNNNNNNNNNNNNNNNNNNNNNNNNNNNNNNNNNNNNNNNNNNNNNNNNNNNNNNNNNNNNNNNNNNNNNNNNNNNNNNNNNNNNNNNNNNNNNNNNNNNNNNNNNNNNNNNNNNNNNNNNNNNNNNNNNNNNNNNNNNNNNNNNNNNNNNNNNNNNNNNNNNNNNNNNNNNNNNNNNNNNNNNNNNNNNNNNNNNNNNNNNNNNNNNNNNNNNNNNNNNNNNNNNNNNNNNNNNNNNNNNNNNNNNNNNNNNNNNNNNNNNNNNNNNNNNNNNNNNNNNNNNNNNNNNNNNNNNNNNNNNNNNNNNNNNNNNNNNNNNNNNNNNNNNNNNNNNNNNNNNNNNNNNNNNNNNNNNNNNNNNNNNNNNNNNNNNNNNNNNNNNNNNNNNNNNNNNNNNNNNNNNNNNNNNNNNNNNNNNNNNNNNNNNNNNNNNNNNNNNNNNNNNNNNNNNNNNNNNNNNNNNNNNNNNNNNNNNNNNNNNNNNNNNNNNNNNNNNNNNNNNNNNNNNNNNNNNNNNNNNNNNNNNNNNNNNNNNNNNNNNNNNNNNNNNNNNNNNNNNNNNNNNNNNNNNNNNNNNNNNNNNNNNNNNNNNNNNNNNNNNNNNNNNNNNNNNNNNNNNNNNNNNNNNNNNNNNNNNNNNNNNNNCAACACCUCCAGAACGGGGCUAUGCGGCACUUGGAGCUCGGCCGCUCUGCACACAGGAGCUGGCACGCCCUCGAGCUCGCCAGACCAAUGCCAGCCGGCUCCAGCGACGAGCUCGUCGGCAGGGACCUGAUUGCUUUUUCUAAAAAACUAAAAAUGGCCUGAUUGCUUUUUUAUAAAACUUGCAAGGAUUUGAUUGUUUUUUUUAAAGUUAUAGGGACCUGUUUGUUUUUAUUUUUUUGAAGGGACCGACAUGUGGGCCCCACCUGUCAUAACGGUCAGCUUAACGGUAAAAAAACGGAGUUGACUUUGCUGCCACGUCAGCCCUGACAGGUGGGUCUCGCAUGUCAUAAAUGUGUUUAAAUCGUCCAAACUAGCCAUUUUUCAAAGUGAUAGUCUUUAGUCACAAAAUUAGAAAUUUUUGGUAGUUAUCAAUCACUUUUUUAAAUGUGGUAGUUCUGUGAGACGGCAACCCUUAAUGUGGUAGUUUUUUGUCAAAUACUCAGGUCAAAACUCAAAACAGACACGCGUGGUCUGGGCAGGUCCGCAGAAGUUUGAGAGGCCAGGUCACCUUAAUCCUAGAAUCAGAACAACUACUCAAAAGGCCACUACAGCAAAAACUACAAGAACCACAAGACAAACUAUAUCGACAGAAACCUGAAUAUGCUACACAUUUGCUACGUAUCUACUGGCAUUCGAUAGUUCGCUGGAAGGGAUUCGCAUCAAUGGCUGCAGCGCCCAAGGCGAUGACAAUGUCGGUGAGAUCCGUGACAGCAACCCAACAAAGGAACGCGCUGACAAGACAAAUCACAAACCACGAACUAGGAACAUCGAAACAUAUGCACACAUGAAUCAAAUGUGCAUGCCAACAAGGAGAUGAACAACACAUAGAGUUCGCAAAAAGGUCUAGUGUGCAGCAUUGGAAGCCAUGGCAGUGGUCAGUGGAGACGACAUAGUCGUCCACUGAAGAUAAAGUAGUCAUAGCAGUUAGUCAGAAGCUCGGGCAUUCAACCCUUGUAUGUCCAGCUCUCAACUAGUUCAAAAUCAAAAUCAAUUCACACACACCACCAUGCGUGUGUCAUGAGCGAGUGUGCACGUUCUACUCUCUUUCCUCGUGCUGUAAAGGAGAGUAAAGUAGCUCUCCCUUCACUGGCAAUGUGGGAUUAAACUAUGUACACAUCAUGGAUAACUUCUAGAUUUCUUAUAACAAUUACCACGGGACAUGCGGUCGAAAGCCAUAAUGCAUUCCUAGCAAUUCUACAGGUUUAUGUCAUAUUAGCAUUUCUAUAAAAAACAGUAGACUAGUAUAAAAAAUGUAGAGCUCUACUCCCCAACUGAAUUAUGAUGCCAUGCUGGUCUAAUUAACAUGAAACACAAGCACAAAACCAAAAUUAAAUUAAACCAUCUUAGUUGAAGUUUCAUUUAACUAACAUCAAACAGGUCUCAUGACCGGAAAGGGACUAAAUUCAGAUUACAUUGAAGCUAUUUCCACAAAAUAGACCAUAUAUGGCUUGCAAAAUAGCUACACGCUUCCAUUCCCAUGUCAAUCGGAAAAGAUGUACUCCGUACCAAACAACUGCUGCAAUUCCCUUUCAAAAGGAUGAGUGGAUGACACCUCACGCUCCAAAUUAAGUUACUUCUACCAACUUGACCUGAAAUUCAAAGCUCUUGAUUUAUUACCUUCAGAGCACAUAUNNNNNNNNNNNNNNNNNNNNNNNNNNNNNNNNNNNNNNNNNNNNNNNNNNNNNNNNNNNNNNNNNNNNNNNNNNNNNNNNNNNNNNNNNNNNNNNNNNNNNNNNNNNNNNNNNNNNNNNNNNNNNNNNNNNNNNNNNNNNNNNNNNNNNNNNNNNNNNNNNNNNNNNNNNNNNNNNNNNNNNNNNNNNNNNNNNNNNNNNNNNNNNNNNNNNNNNNNNNNNNNNNNNNNNNNNNNNNNNNNNNNNNNNNNNNNNNNNNNNNNNNNNNNNNNNNNNNNNNNNNNNNNNNNNNNNNNNNNNNNNNNNNNNNNNNNNNNNNNNNNNNNNNNNNNNNNNNNNNNNNNNNNNNNNNNNNNNNNNNNNNNNNNNNNNNNNNNNNNNNNNNNNNNNNNNNNNNNNNNNNNNNNNNNNNNNNNNNNNNNNNNNNNNNNNNNNNNNNNNNNNNNNNNNNNNNNNNNNNNNNNNNNNNNNNNNNNNNNNNNNNNNNNNNNNNNNNNNNNNNNNNNNNNNNNNNNNNNNNNNNNNNNNNNNNNNNNNNNNNNNNNNNNNNNNNNNNNNNNNNNNNNNNNNNNNNNNNNNNNNNNNNNNNNNNNNNNNNNNNNNNNNNNNNNNNNNNNNNNNNNNNNNNNNNNNNNNNNNNNNNNNNNNNNNNNNNNNNNNNNNNNNNNNNNNNNNNNNNNNNNNNNNNNNNNNNNNNNNNNNNNNNNNNNNNNNNNNNNNNNNNNNNNNNNNNNNNNNNNNNNNNNNNNNNNNNNNNNNNNNNNNNNNNNNNNNNNNNNNNNNNNNNNNNNNNNNNNNNNNNNNNNNNNNNNNNNNNNNNNNNNNNNNNNNNNNNNNNNNNNNNNNNNNNNNNNNNNNNNNNNNNNNNNNNNNNNNNNNNNNNNNNNNNNNNNNNNNNNNNNNNNNNNNNNNNNNNNNNNNNNNNNNNNNNNNNNNNNNNNNNNNNNNNNNNNNNNNNNNNNNNNNNNNNNNNNNNNNNNNNNNNNNNNNNNNNNNNNNNNNNNNNNNNNNNNNNNNNNNNNNNNNNNNNNNNNNNNNNNNNNNNNNNNNNNNNNNNNNNNNNNNNNNNNNNNNNNNNNNNNNNNNNNNNNNNNNNNNNNNNNNNNNNNNNNNNNNNNNNNNNNNNNNNNNNNNNNNNNNNNNNNNNNNNNNNNNNNNNNNNNNNNNNNNNNNNNNNNNNNNNNNNNNNNNNNNNNNNNNNNNNNNNNNNNNNNNNNNNNNNNNNNNNNNNNNNNNNNNNNNNNNNNNNNNNNNNNNNNNNNNNNNNNNNNNNNNNNNNNNNNNNNNNNNNNNNNNNNNNNNNNNNNNNNNNNNNNNNNNNNNNNNNNNNNNNNNNNNNNNNNNNNNNNNNNNNNNNNNNNNNNNNNNNNNNNNNNNNNNNNNNNNNNNNNNNNNNNNNNNNNNNNNNNNNNNNNNNNNNNNNNNNNNNNNNNNNNNNNNNNNNNNNNNNNNNNNNNNNNNNNNNNNNNNNNNNNNNNNNNNNNNNNNNNNNNNNNNNNNNNNNNNNNNNNNNNNNNNNNNNNNNNNNNNNNNNNNNNNNNNNNNNNNNNNNNNNNNNNNNNNNNNNNNNNNNNNNNNNNNNNNNNNNNNNNNNNNNNNNNNNNNNNNNNNNNNNNNNNNNNNNNNNNNNNNNNNNNNNNNNNNNNNNNNNNNNNNNNNNNNNNNNNNNNNNNNNNNNNNNNNNNNNNNNNNNNNNNNNNNNNNNNNNNNNNNNNNNNNNNNNNNNNNNNNNNNNNNNNNNNNNNNNNNNNNNNNNNNNNNNNNNNNNNNNNNNNNNNNNNNNNNNNNNNNNNNNNNNNNNNNNNNNNNNNNNNNNNNNNNNNNNNNNNNNNNNNNNNNNNNNNNNNNNNNNNNNNNNNNNNNNNNNNNNNNNNNNNNNNNNNNNNNNNNNNNNNNNNNNNNNNNNNNNNNNNNNNNNNNNNNNNNNNNNNNNNNNNNNNNNNNNNNNNNNNNNNNNNNNNNNNNNNNNNNNNNNNNNNNNNNNNNNNNNNNNNNNNNNNNNNNNNNNNNNNNNNNNNNNNNNNNNNNNNNNNNNNNNNNNNNNNNNNNNNNNNNNNNNNNNNNNNNNNNNNNNNNNNNNNNNNNNNNNNNNNNNNNNNNNNNNNNNNNNNNNNNNNNNNNNNNNNNNNNNNNNNNNNNNNNNNNNNNNNNNNNNNNNNNNNNNNNNNNNNNNNNNNNNNNNNNNNNNNNNNNNNNNNNNNNNNNNNNNNNNNNNNNNNNNNNNNNNNNNNNNNNNNNNNNNNNNNNNNNNNNNNNNNNNNNNNNNNNNNNNNNNNNNNNNNNNNNNNNNNNNNNNNNNNNNNNNNNNNNNNNNNNNNNNNNNNNNNNNNNNNNNNNNNNNNNNNNNNNNNNNNNNNNNNNNNNNNNNNNNNNNNNNNNNNNNNNNNNNNNNNNNNNNNNNNNNNNNNNNNNNNNNNNNCGAUGACCUGGAACGAGGCGUCGGCCUCGUCGGCGACGAUGGCGUAGCGGAACGGGCGGAAGUCGUGGGGCGGCUUGAAGAAGACGGCGGUCCGGUCGAGAGGGUCGUACACGGCGAGGUCCGUGCUGUAGCGGCCGAGGGAGAAGAGGAGGAAGCCGCCGUCGCAGCCACGGAGGCGCCACUCGUCGUCGUCGUCGACGUCGGGGUGGUGCAUGAAGUAGAAGUCGCCGUUCGCCGCGGCGGAGGCCAGCUCGGGGUUGUUGCGAGAGGGCGCCUUGAUGAAGCAGGUAUCAUGGUAGUAAAGGGGAAACUUCUCGCGGCCACGGUCGGUGACGAGGACGCCGACGAGCGGGGGCCUGCGGAGGGAGCCGAAGCGGCGGAAGACGGCGGGGUCGGAGGCCACGCGGCCCCAGCGCUUGCAGACGCAGGCGGCGCUGGCGAGCGACGCCAUGUCGGGGAGGCGGCGUAGUACCUUCCCCAGGAGUUCGGCGCCGAGUGCGGCCACAGGCGGGACCGUCGGCCUCUUGACGCUCCCUCCCUCGCUCUACUCCCAUGGCUCCAUUUCUUCCUCGAGAGAUUGGAAUUUGGAACUCCGCAACCGCUCUCUCUUGUGAGGAAGGGAUUUCCUUUUCAUUCGCCUUUUAGCGCCAAGAUGUUUCGGAUGAAUCGCGCCAAGAUCGUUUCGCCUUACCGCCAAAAAGUUAGCCGCGCGCGCCGUUUUUUCGCGCGAAAAUCAUUUCGCAUUAGCGCGAAAACGGAGGGCACCCCGGCUAAUCUUUUACACCUGUUAAUGUUUUGAGAAAAUAAUAUAUGUUCAGUUAAGCAAUUGAUUUGUAGGCGAUGUAAGCAUUAUUUGAUAAUUAACAAAGCUAGCCAUGAAGGCCUUUCCGUAAAAAAAAGCAAUUGAUUUGCAGGGAUUGGCAUACAAACACAGAGCAAACUUAGGUUGAGUAGACUAACAGGCAUUAUAUAUGAAGCGGCGAUCGAUUCCAGCGAAGAUUCAAAAGAAUAAAUUGCAUGGUUUCAACUCACUUAAACUGAGCAGGGAUUUUCUUUUUCGGAGAACCGGCAAGAGCACUGCCUUUCAUAUUAGACGAAGAAAAUAAUGUUUAUGUACACAGAUAACAUGUCUUUCUGGUGGGAAACCUAACAAAAACCCCUAACCAUCCCGCAAGUUAGCUCGAAUCAACCAAUACUGGCUGCCACCUGUGCCCGACCAAAAGGCAGGGUCCUCUGCUUGGUGUCAUCAAAGGCGAGAGCAAUGACCUCGAGGUGAGUGAGGCGAGUUUCAUUGAAGAUACGUCGGUUGCGCACCUUCCAGAUGUUCCAGAUGGUGUAGAGGAAGCGGUCGCUAAGCCUUCUUCUGUUGUCUUUGGACAAAGUGGCGGUGAGCAAGUCCCACCAGUCAUCCCCAUGGGAGGGGGCAGCGUGGGUGUGGCCCCAGGGGCCUCCCCAAUCCAGGCCUGGACGUGGAACCAAACAAAAAUGGUAAACGGGCAGUCCUGGCACAAGUGAAUUGUCGUCUCCAAGGCUCGAGGGUCAUGCGGCUCGCCGCGAACGGCCAGCAUGUCCGCCGUGAGGAUCUUUCCAUGGAGCAUGAGCCAGUUGAAGAACUUGCACUUGGAUUCCACGUGUGACUGGAGAGAACCUGGGGAAGGUUCCAUAGAAUUCGGCCGAGUAGGCCGAAGCAGUGAAGUAGGUACCAUUGGGGGUCCACCGCCAAGAGAUGGAAUCAUCCUGGUCCAGGGUCAGCGCAACCUGGGAGAUACCCUAUGUGAGAGCAAUGAACUCCUGUAGUUGGGGUGGGGACGUCAGGCGGGGGACCGAAUGGAUCCACUUCUCCUUCUGGGGCUCCUUCAUCUCCAUUCUCUACUUUCUGGUGGCGAUCUUGUAGAGUCCAGGGGUGACCAAUCUUAGGGGGCCUCUUCGGAUUAUAUGCGCAAAGCGAACUUAUAUAUGAGAGGCGAUUGAAAAAGAGGAUGAUGUCACGUAUAUCAUGCUCGCCAGUCGGCAAUCCACCUCCGCCCGCACCUCCUUGGAUGACACCAACACAUAUGAGGGAGACAUGCACAUGUGUGCCUCCCCCACGUUUGUGUAAUUGGGCUCCUUGAUGCACGAUCGACUGUGGUGCACGAUGGGACACUGGCGGAUGGGCGACACGUGGGUGGCGCGGAUAUCCGCCGUGAGCCACCCGCUACAGAACCUCGAUAUCGCCCCUUCGCUCCCAUUCUCGAUGGCGAGUCCAACCUCUCCCACUUCUGGGCGGCAAACAAAGCGCCUAGAUCUAGGGUUCCUCUCAUUUUCUGGUGGGAAGGAAAUGUUGGGGAACGUAGCAUGCAAUUUCAAAAAAAAUCUACGCUCACGCAAGAUCUAUCUAGGAGAUGUAUAGCAACGAGAGGGGGAGAGUGUGUCCACGUACCCUCGUAGACCGAAAGCGGAAGCGUUAGGUUAACGUGGUUGAUGUAGUCGAACGCCUUCACGAUCCAACCGAUCUAGUACCGAACGUACGACACCUCCGAGUUCAGCACACGUUCAGCUCGAUGACGUCCCUCAAACUCUUGAUCCAGCAGAGGGUCGAGGGAGAGUUCCGUCAGCACGAUGGUGUGGUGACGGUGAUGGUGAUGUGAUCCGCGCAGGGCUUCGCCUACGCACUACGACGCUAUGACCUAAGGAGUAAACUGUGGAGGGGGCACCGCACAUGGCUAAGAGAACAAUUGAUGUGCCUUUGGGGUGCCCCCCGCCCCCGUAUAUAAAGAAGGGGAGGAGGAGGUGGCCGGCCCUAGGGGGCGCGCCAAGUGGGGGGAGUCCCACUAGGACUCCUAGUCCUAGUCGGGUCCCCCUUCCUUCCAACGGAGAGGGGGAAAGGGGAAAGAGGGGGAGAGGGAGAAGGAAAGGGGGGCCGCGCCCCCCACCCCUUGUCCAAUUCGGACUUGCCAUGGGGGGCACCUCUUGUGGCCUGCCUUCCUCUCUCCACUAUGGCCCAUGAGGCCCAUUAAACUUUCCCGGGGGGUUCUGGUAACCUCCCGGUACUCCGAAAAAUCCCCGAACCUCUUCGGAACCAUUUCGUUGUCGGUACAUAACCUUACAAUAUAUCAAUCUUUACCUCUCGACCAUUUCGAGACUCCUCGUCAUGUCCGUGAUAUCAUCCGAGACUCCAAACAAACUUCGGUCACCAAAACACAAAACUCAUAAUACAAAUCGUCAUCGAACGUUAAGCGUGCGGACCCUACGGGUUCGAGAACUAUGUAGACAUGACCGAGACACAUCUCCGGUCAAUAACCAAUAUCGGAACCUGGAUGCUCAUAUUGGUUCCUACAUAUUCUACGAAGAUCUUUAUCGGUCAAACCGCAUGAUAACAAACGUCAUUCCCUUUGUCAUCGGUAUGUUACUUGCCCGAGAUUCGAUCGUCGGUAUCCUCAUACCUAGUUCAAUCUCGUUACCGGAAAGUCUCUUUACUCGUUCCGUAAUGCAUCAUCCCGCAACUAACUCAUUAGUCACAUUGCUUGCAAGGCUUAUAGUGAUGUGCAUCACCAAGAGGGCCCAGAGUACCUCUCCGAUACUCGGAGUGACAAAUCCUAAUCUCGAUCUUUGCCAACCCAACAAACACCUUUGGAGACACCUGUAGAGCAUCUUUAUAAUCACCCAGUUACAUUGUGACAUUUGAUAGCACACAAGGUGUUCCUCCGGUAUACGGGAGUUGCAUAAUCUCAUAGUCAGAGGAAUAUGUAUAAGUCAUGAAGAAAGCAAUAGCAAUAAAACUUAACGAUCAUUAUGCUAAGCUAAAGGAUGGGUCUUGUCCAUCACAUNNNNNNNNNNNNNNNNNNNNNNNNNNNNNNNNNNNNNNNNNNNNNNNNNNNNNNNNNNNNNNNNNNNNNNNNNNNNNNNNNNNNNNNNNNNNNNNNNNNNNNNNNNNNNNNNNNNNNNNNNNNNNNNNNNNNNNNNNNNNNNNNNNNNNNNNNNNNNNNNNNNNNNNNNNNNNNNNNNNNNNNNNNNNNNNNNNNNNNNNNNNNNNNNNNNNNNNNNNNNNNNNNNNNNNNNNNNNNNNNNNNNNNNNNNNNNNNNNNNNNNNNNNNNNNNNNNNNNNNNNNNNNNNNNNNNNNNNNNNNNNNNNNNNNNNNNNNNNNNNNNNNNNNNNNNNNNNNNNNNNNNNNNNNNNNNNNNNNNNNNNNNNNNNNNNNNNNNNNNNNNNNNNNNNNNNNNNNNNNNNNNNNNNNNNNNNNNNNNNNNNNNNNNNNNNNNNNNNNNNNNNNNNNNNNNNNNNNNNNNNNNNNNNNNNNNNNNNNNNNNNNNNNNNNNNNNNNNNNNNNNNNNNNNNNNNNNNNNNNNNNNNNNNNNNNNNNNNNNNNNNNNNNNNNNNNNNNNNNNNNNNNNNNNNNNNNNNNNNNNNNNNNNNNNNNNNNNNNNNNNNNNNNNNNNNNNNNNNNNNNNNNNNNNNNNNNNNNNNNNNNNNNNUGGAUUCCUUCGCCAAGGCAAUUGUUCCAGUAUUGUCACAAAAGAUUUUCAUUGGACCCGAUGCACUAGGUAUUACACCUAGAUCGGAUAUGAACUCCUUCAUCCAGACUCCUUCAUUUGCUGCUUCCGAAGCGGCUAUGUAUUCCGCUUCACACGUAGAUCCCGCCAUGACGCUCUGCUUGGAACUGCACCAACUGACAGCUCCACCAUUAAAUAUAAAUACGUACCCGGUUUGCGACUUAGAGUCAUCCGGAUCAGUGCCAAAGCUUGUAUCGACGUAACCAUUUAUGACAAGCUCUUUAUCACCUCCAUAAACGAGAAACAUAUCCUUAGUCCUUUCAGGUAUUUCAGGAUGUUCUUGACCGCUGUCCAGUGAUCCACUCCUGGAUUACUUUGGUUUCCCUUCUAAACUUAUAGCAAGGCACACAUCAGUUCUGGUACACAACAUUGCAUACAUGAUAGAACCUAUGGUUGAUGCAUAGGGAAUGACUUUCAUUUUCUCUCUAUCUUCUGAAGUGGUCGGGCAUUGAGUCUGACUCAACUUCACACCUUGUAAUACAGGCAAGAACCCUUUAUUUGACUGAUCCGUUUUGAACUUCUUCAAAACUUUAUCAAUGUAUGUGCUUUGUGAAAGUCCAAUUAAGCGUCUUGAUCUAUCUCUAUAGAUCUUGAUGCCCAAUAUAUAGGCAGCUUCACCGAGGUCUUUCAUUGAAAAAUUCUUAUUCAAGUAUCCUUUUAUGCUAUCCAGAAAUUAUGUAUCAUUUCUAAUGAGCAAUCUAUCAUCCACAUAUAAUAUUAGAAAUGCUACAGAGCUCCCACUCACUUUCUUGUAAAUACAGGCUUCUCCAAAAGUCUGUAUAAAACCAUAUGCUUUGAUCACACUAUCAAAGCGUAUAUUCCAACUCCGAGAUGCUUGCACCAGUCCAAAAAUGGAUCGCUGGAGCUUACACACUUUAUUAGCACCUUUAGGAUCGACAAAACCUUCUGGUUGCAUCAUAUACAACUCUUCUUUCAGAAAUCCAUUAAGGAAUGCAGUUUUUGACAUCCAUUUGCCAAAUUUCAUAAUCAUAAAAUGCGGCAAUUGCUACGGGUGAGAAGGUCUCAUCGUAGUCAACUCCUUGAACUUGUCGAAAACCUUUCACAACAAGUCGAGCUUUGUAGACAGUAACAUUACCGUCAGCGUCAUUCUUCUUCUUGAAGAUCCAUUUAUUCUCUAUGGCUUGCCGAUCAUCGAGCAAGUCAACNNNNNNNNNNNNNNNNNNNNNNNNNNNNNNNNNNNNNNNNNNNNNNNNNNNNNNNNNNNNNNNNNNNNNNNNNNNNNNNNNNNNNNNNNNNNNNNNNNNNNNNNNNNNNNNNNNNNNNNNNNNNNNNNNNNNNNNNNNNNNNNNNNNNNNNNNNNNNNNNNNNNNNNNNNNNNNNNNNNNNNNNNNNNNNNNNNNNNNNNNNNNNNNNNNNNNNNNNNNNNNNNNNNNNNNNNNNNNNNNNNNNNNNNNNNNNNNNNNNNNNNNNNNNNNNNNNNNNNNNNNNNNNNNNNNNNNNNNNNNNNNNNNNNNNNNNNNNNNNNNNNNNNNNNNNNNNNNNNNNNNNNNNNNNNNNNNNNNNNNNNNNNNNNNNNNNNNNNNNNNNNNNNNNNNNNNNNNNNNNNNNNNNNNNNNNNNNNNNNNNNNNNNNNNNNNNNNCCAUCUCAGAUUUCAUGGCCUCAAGCCAUUUUAUGGAAUCUGGGCUCAUCAUCGCUUCCUCAUAGUUUGUAGGUUCGUCAUGGUCUAGUAACAUGACCUCCAGAACAGGACUACCGUACCACUCUGGUUGACCUACGAGGUUCGGUAGUAACUUGAUCUGAAGUUUUAUGAUCAUCAUCAUUAACUUCCUCACUAAUUGAUGUAGGCAUCACUGGAACUGAUUUCUGUGAUGAACUACUUUCCAAUUCGGGAGAAGGUACAAUUACCUCAUCAAGUUAUACUUUCCUCCCACCCACUUCUUCCGAGAGAAACUCCUUCUCUAGAAAGCAUCCAUUCUUAGUAACAAAUGUCUUGCCUUUGGAUCUGUGAUAGAAGGUGUACCCAAUAGUUUUCUUUGGGUAUCCUAUGAAGACACAUUUCUUCGAUUUGGGUUCGAGCUUAUCAGGUUGAAGCUUUUUCACAUAAGCAUCGCAGCCCCAAACUUUAAGAAACGACAGCUUAGGUUUCUUGCCAAACCAUAGUUCAUAUGGUGUCGUCUCAACGGAUUUAGAUGGUGCCCUAUUUAACAUGAAUGCAGCCGUCUCUAAAGCAUAACCCCAAAACGGUAGCGGUAAAUCGGUAAGAGGCAUCAUAAAUCGCAUCAGAUCUAAUAAAGUACGAUUACGACGUUUGGACACACCAUUACGUUGUGGUGUUCCAGGUGGCGUGAGUUGCGAAACUAUUCCACAUUGUUUCAAAUGAAGACCAAACUCAUAACUCAAAUAUUCACCUCCACGAUCAGAUCGUAGAAACUUUAUUUUCUUGUUAAGAUGAUUUUCCACUUCACUCUGAAAUUCUUUGAACUUUUCAAAUAUUUAAGACUUGUGUUUCACUAAGUAGAUAUACCCAUAUCUGCUCAAAUCAUCUGUGAAGGUCAAAAAAUAACUAUACCCGCCGCGAGCCUCAACACUCAUUGGAUCGCAUACAUCAGUAUGCAUUAUUUCCAAUAAGCCAGUUGCUCUCUCCAUUGUUCCGGAGAACGGAGUCUUAGUCAUCUUGCCCAUGAGGCAUGGUUCGCAAGGAUCAAGUGAUUCAUAAUCAAGUGAUUCCAAAAGACCAUCAGCAUCGAGUUUCUUCAUGCGCUUUAUACCAAUAUGACCUAAACGACAGUGCCACAAAUAAGUUGCACUAUCGUUAUUAACUUUGCAUCUUUUGGCUUCAAUAUUAUGAAUAUGUGUAUCACUACGAUCGAGAUUCAACAAAAAUAGACCAUUCAUCAAGGGUGCAUGACUAUAAAAGAUAUUACUCAUAUAAAUAGAACAACCAUUAUUCUCUGAUUUAAAUGAAUAACCGUCUCACAUCAAACAAGAUCCAGAUACAAUGUUCAUGCUCAACGCUGGCACCAAAUAACAAUUAUUUAGGUCUAAAACUAAUCCCGAAGGUAGAUGUAGAGGUAGCGUGCCGACGGCGAUCACAGCGACCUUGGAACCAUUUCCGACGCGCAUCGUCACCUCAUCCUUAGCCAAUCUUCGUUUAAUCCGUAGCUCCUAUUUUGAGUUGCAAAUAUGAGCAACAGAACCAGUAUCAAAUACCCAAGCGCUACUACGAGCAUUAGUAAGGUACACAUCAAUAACAUGUAUAUCAAAUAUACCUUUCACUUUGCCAUCCUUCUUAUCUGCCAAAUACUUGGGACAGUUCCGCUUCCAGUGACCAGUCCCUUUAAAGUAGAAGCACUUCGUUUCAGACUUAGGUCCAAACUUGGGCUUCUUCCCGGGAGUAGCAACUUGCUUGCUAUUCUUCUUGAAGUUCCCCUUCUUCCCUUUGCCCUUUUUCUUGAAACUAGUGGUCUUGUUAACCAUCAACACUUGAUGCUCCUUCUUGAUUUCUGCCUCCGCAGCCUUUAGCAUCGCGAAGAGCUCGGGAAUUGUCUUUUCUAUCCCUUGCAUAUUAUAGUUCAUCACGAAGCCUUUAUAGCUUGGUGGCAGUGAUUGAAGAACUCUGUCAAUGACACUACAUCAGGAAGAUUAACUCCUAGCUGAGUCAAGUGGUUAUGAUACCCCAGACAUUCUGAGUAUGUGUUCACUGACAGAACUGUUCUCCUCCAUCUUGCAGCUAUAGAACUUGUUGGAGACUUCAUAUCUCUCAACUCGGGCAUUUGCUUGAAAUAUUAACUUGAACUCCUGGAACAUCUCAUAUGCUCCAUGACGUUCAAAACAUCUUUGAAGUCCCGAUUCUAAGCCAUAAAGCAUGGCACACUGAACUAUCGAGUAGUCAUUAGCUUUAGUCUGCCAGACGUUCAUAGCGUCCGGAGUUGCUCCUGCAGCGGGCCUUGCACCUAGAGGUGCUUCCAGGACGUAAUUCUUCUGUGCAACAUUGAGGAUAAUCCUCAAGUUACGGACCCAGUCCGUGUAGUUGCUACCAUCAUCUUUCAACUUAGCUUUCUCUAGGAACGCAUUAAAAUUCAAUGGAACGAUAGCACGGGCCAUUGAUCUACAACAACAUAGAUAUGCGAAAAACUAUCACGUACUAAGUUCAUGAUAAAUUAAAGUUCAAUUAAUCAUAUUACUUAAGAACUCCCACUUAGAUAGACAUCACGUGAUCCAUAUCAACUAAAGCAUGCCCGAUCAUCACGUGAGAUGGAGUAGUUUUCAAUGGUGAACAUCUCUAUGUUGAUCAUAUCUACUAUAUGAUUCACAUUCGACCUUUCGGUCUCAGUGUUUCGAGGCCAUAUCUGCAUAUGCUAGGCUCAUCAAGUUUAACCCGAGUACUCUGCAUGUGCAAAACUGUCUUGCACCCGUUGUAUGUGAACGUAGAGCUUAUCACACCCGAUCAUCACGUGGUGUCUCGACACGACGAACUGUAGCAAUGGUGCAUACUCAGGGAGAACACUUACACCUUGAAAUUUAGUGAGGGAUCAUCUUAUAAUGCUACCGCCGUACUAAGCAAAAUAAGAUGCGUAAAAGAUAAACAUCACAUGCAAUCAAAAUAUGUGACAUGAUAUGGCCAUCGUCAUCUUGUGCCUUUGAUCUCCAUCUCCAAAGCACCGUUAUGAUCUCGAUUAUCACCGGCUUGACACCUUGAUCUCCAUCGUAGCAUCGUUGUCGUCUCGCCAACUAUUGCUUCUAUGAUUAUCGCUACCGCAUAGUGAUAAAGUAAAGAAAUUACAUGGCGAUUGUAUUUCAUACAAUAAAGAGACAACCAUAAGGCUCCUGCCAGUUGCCGAUAACUUUUACAAAACAUGAUCAUCUCAUACAAUAACGUAUAUCACAUCAUGCCUUGACCACAUCACAUCACAACAUGCCCUGCAAAAAGAAGUUAGACGUCCUCUACUUUGUUGUUGCAAGUUUUACAUGGCUGCUACGGGCUUCUAGCAAGAACCGUUCUUACCCUAUGCAUCAAAACCACAAUGAUUUUUCAUCAAGUGUGUUGUUUAAUCUUCAACAAGGACCGGUCGUAGUCAAACUCGAUUCAACUAAAGUUGGAGAAACAGACACCCGCCAGCCACCUGUGUGCAAAGCACGUCGGUAGAACCGGUCUCAUGAACGUGGUCAUGUAAUGUUGGUCCGGGCCGCUUCAUCCAACAAUACCGCCGAAUCAAAGUAAGACGUUGGUGGUAAGCAGUAUGACUAUUAUCGCCCACAAAUCUUUGUGUUCUACUCGUGCAUAUCAUCUACGCAUAGACCUGGCUCAGAUGCCACUGUUGGGGAACGUAGCAUGCAAUUUCAAAAAAAAAUCCUAUGCUCACGCAAGAUCUAUCUAGGAGAUAUAUAGCAAUGAGAGGGGGAGAUUGUGUCCACGUAUCCUCCUAGACCAAAAGCGGAAGCGUUAGGUUAACGCGGUUGAUGUAGUCGAACGUCUUCCCGAUCCAACCGAUCUAGUACCAAACGUACGACACCUCCGAGUUCAGCACACGUUCAGCUCGAUGACGUCCUGCAAACUCUUGAUCCAGCAGAGGUUCGAGGGAGAGUUCGGGCAGCAUGAUAGCAUGGUGACGGUGAUGGUGAUGUGAUCCGCGCAGGGCUUCACCUAAGCACUACGACGCUAUGACCAAAGGAGUAAACUGUGGAGGUUGGCACCGCACAUGGCUAAGAGAACAAUUGAUGUGCCUUUGGGGUGCCCUCCACCCCCGUAUAUAAAGGAGGGGAGGAGGAGGUGGCCGGCCCUAGGGGGCGCGCCAAGUGGGGGGAGUCCCACUAGGACUCCUAGUCCUAGUCGGCUCCCCCUUCCUUCCAACGGAGAGGGGCGAAGGGGAAAUAGGGGGAGAGGGGAAGGAAAGGGGGCUGCGCCCCCACCCCUUGUCCAAUUCGGACUUGCCAUGGGGGGGGGGGCGCCACCUCUUAUGGCAUGCCUCCCUCUCUCCACUAUGGCCCAUGAGGCCCAUUAACUUUCCCGGGGCGUUCCGGUAACCUCCCGGUACUCCAAAAAAUCCCCGAACCUCUUCAGAACCAUUCAGGUGUCCGUACAUAACCGUCCAAUAUAUCAAUCUUUACCUCUCUACCAUUUCGAGACUCCUCGUCAUGUCCGUGAUCCCAUCCGGGACUCCGAACAAACUUCGGUCACCAAAACACACAACUCAUAAUACAAAUUGUCAUCGAACGUUAAGCGUGCGGACCCUACGGGUUCGAGAACUAUGUAGACAUGACCAAGACACAUCUCCAGUCAUUAACCAAUAGUGGAACCUAGAUGCUGAUAUUGGUUCCUACAUAUUCUACGAAGAUCUUUAUCGGUCAAACCGCAUGAUAACAUACGUCAUUCCCUUUGUCAUCGGUAUGUUACUUGCCCGGGAUUCGAUCGUCGGUAUCCUCAUACCUAGUUCAAUCUUGUUACCGAAAAGUCUCUUUACUCGUUCCGUAAUCAUCUCGCAACUAAUUCAUUAGUCACAUUGCUUGCAAGGCUUAUUGUGAUGUGCAUUACCGAGAGGGCCCAGAGAUACCUCUCCGAUACUUGGAGUGACAAAUCCUAAUCUCGAUCUAUGCCAACCCAACAAACACCUUCGGAGACACCUGUAGAGCAUCUUUAUAAUCACCCAGUUAUGUUGUGACGUUUGAUAGCACACAAGGUGUUCCUCCGGUAUUCGGGAGUUGCAUAAUCUCAUAGUCAGAGGAAUAUGUAUAAGUCAUGAAGAAAGCAAUAGCAAUAAAACUUAACGAUCAUUAUGCUAAGCUAACGGUUGGGUCUUGUCCAUCACAUCAUUCUGUAAUGAUGUGAUCCCAUUCAUCAAAUGACAACACAUGUCUAUGGUCAGGAAACUUAACCAUCUUUGAUUAACGAGCUAGUCAAGUAGAGGCAUACUAGGGACACUCAGUAUUGUCUAUGUAUUCACACAUGUACUAAGUUUCUGGUUAGUACGAUUCUAGCAUGAAUAAUAAACAUUUAUCAUGAUAUAAGGAAAUAAAUAAUAACUUUAUUAUUGCCUCUAGGACGUAUUUCCUUCAGUCUCCCACUUGCACUAGAGUCAAUAAUCUAGAUUACAUAGUAAUGAUUCUAACACCCAUGGAGUCUUGGUGCUGAUCAUGUUUUGCUCAUGGAAGAGGCUUAGUCAACGGGUCUGCAACAUUCAGAUCCGUACGUAUUUUGCAAAUCUCUAUGUCUCCCUUCUAGACUUGAUCACGGACGGAAUUGAAGCGUCUCUUGAUGUGUUUGAUUCUCUUGUGAAAUUUGGAUUCCUUCGCCAAGGCAAUUGCUCUAGUAUUGUCACAAAAGAUUUUCAUUGGACCCGAUGCACUAGGUAUUACACCCAGAUCGGAUAUGAACUCCUUCAUCCAGACUCCUUCAUUUGCUGCUUCUGAAGCAGCUAUGUAUUCCGCUUCACACGUAGAUCCCGCCAUGACGCUCUGCUUGGAACUGCACCAACUGACAGCUCCACCAUUCAAUAUAAAUACGUAUCCAGUUUGUGACUUAGAGUCAUUCGGAUCAGUGUCAAAGCUUGCAUCGAUGUAACCAUUUAUGACAAGCUCUUUAUCACCUCCAUAAACGAGAAACAUAUCCUUAGUCCUUUUCAGGUAUUUCAGGAUGUUCUUGACCGCUGUCCAGUGUUCCCCUCCUGGAUUACUUUGGUACCUCCCUGCUAAACUUAUAGCAAGGCACACAGCAGGUCUGGUACACCACAUUGCAUACAUGAUAGAACCUAUGUGUUGGGGAUAUAACUACUGAGUAUGAACCGCCCAGAAGGGGCCGGGUCAUGCCAUCGGCGACUUAUCAAUGAAGAUGGCGGGUCAUAGCAAGCCCAUUGACGACCCAAGACCCAGAGGCGACUUGAGGCCCAAGGGGAUGAACCGCCACAUGAAUAACUUGUAUUGUAAGGCAAGCUUAGUUAGUCACCGAGCCGGACACGAUGUGUAUGAGCCGAUCUGGACUCUGGAAGCCACCGGGCAUCAACCUAUGUAUAUAAAGGGGUGACCCGGCGGUGGGUUAACUCAAGAAACCAGAGAUCGAGAACUAGGUCAAGUGUAUUCGCUCCCUGGUAAUCGAAAUCCAAGCAAUACAGUCCCAAACUGGAGUAAACCUUUACCUCCACCGCGAGGGGCCGAACAAGUAUAAACUCUCUGUGUCCUUUAUCCUGUUUAACCCCUUUAAGCUAACCUAGUUGCGAUGGCUCCACGACUAAGUCCUUACGCUAGGACAUCUGCCGUGUUAAGUCCACGACAGUUGGCGCUCACCGUGGGGCCAGUGCACGGUGGUUUCGAGUUCUUGAAGGGCAACUUCGCAGGGAUCACGGGACACGCUGUCGGCCGGAUGACCAAGAGUCAUCGCGGCAAGCUCUACAACGACGACGUUGGCUGGGGCCCCGAGGUCGGCUCAAUUGAGUACGGGUACCGGGUCCCCUUUGGUGGAAUCCACGUUUUCAUCGGCAAGAUCGGCGAAUCAGGCCCUGAGCCGGACACCUGCACCGACAUCAUCGAGACGGCUUAGCGUGCAUGACCCACCAAGAUUCAUCCCGCCGUGAAGCACACCUUUGUUGGUUUCAUCCAUGGGGCGGAAUUUGAGGAAGGACCGGUGUCUGGUGGUGAGGCGGCCAUCUACCCUAAUGGUGAAUCGUCAACCGGUGAGACCAAUUCAUUGUAUCAACUGCAAGACGGUCGGCUUGGGGGCUAUUCCAAUGGAGACAGUAUUCCGAACCCCUAUGAGCCGCCGAACAAGGUUGCGAUCUUCAUGGCCGGUACACAGCCAGUGCUCGGCUCAAUGAACGCCGCGGCUAUGACCUCCGGCUCAACGGCUGCGGCAAUGGCUGGUGCUAGCGGAUCUGCACGCUCGCCGGCUCAAGUUCUGACAGAGUUGUUGGAGGGUUUGGCGACUUUGAUGGGGGUGGAGGUGACCCCGGACACUCAGGAACAACAUAAGGUUGAUGUGGUGAAGCUACGAGAUGAGAUAGCUCAAGCCAAGGAGGAGCUGGCGGCUGAAAACGCUAGGAUGGUUAUGGAGCGAGCUGCUUUGGACGCUCAGGCACAACGGAUUCAGGCAGAGUCUUUCCGGCUUACCUUGGAUCAAAACGCUUUGAAUGCUAUCAUGAGAAGGAGACACCAGUGUCGUUUACCUCCGGUUUAUGAUGCGAGAAACCUCUUCAACACGCCUCGGGUAGGGACCAGUGACCUGCCUGUGGUGAACCGGGCGGUUGAGGCGUUCGUGACUGGAGCGCCGGUUCAGUCGCGUGCUGCGGAUCCGCCUCAAUUGGAUAUGGCUCUGCCUCGGCAUGUUCCGAAGCCGCCGGGUCAUUAUUCUAAUCCUUUGGAGAACAUGAUUGCUGCAGCGACACGAUUGGCGGCUCUCCCAGUUGAAGGCGAGUCUCCGACGGCAAUAGAAACACGGAGGGCCAGAGAGCUUCUUCAGACAGUUGUGGCCCAACAGGCGGCUUAUUCUUAUAGUCACGAGCGGACUCACUCAACCCCUUGACCGAGUCGGAGUUAUAGCAGGCACAUUGAUUCGCCAGCAGUUUCAAGCAGUGAGAAACACCGUAACCAACCUCGUAGGCAUGAUCCGGCGCGCGGUGGUAACGAUGCCCAGACUUUGGUUGAUCAGGGCAGGGCGCGUCGGGAGGCGUAGCUGGCGGCUCAGCUAGCGGCUCAACAGCAAUCCCUGGUUAAUCCGUCAGCGUCUGUGGAGGCAGGAAUGACCUCUAGAACCCUGGGUGUGCCAUGUUUAGUGCUGGCUCUACGCAACAAGCGUUUGCCUAAGGAUUUCAAGGGCCCUUGAAAGGUGCAUAAUUACACAGCGGAUCAACCCCCGGAGGCUUGGAUCGAGAGCUAUGAGAUGGCUAUGGAGAUGUUGGAUGUUAGUGAUGCUGCAUGUGCUAAGUAUUUCACCAUGAUGCUGGAUGGACCGACUCGUACUUGGUUGAAAGGGCUGCCCGCUAACUCCAUUAGAUCAUGGGCGGAGUUGAAAUCAUGUUUCAUCCAAAAAUUUAAAGACACAUGCAAGCAGCCCAUGUCAAUCCUAGAUUUAGACUCUUGUGUCCAAGGCGAGGGCGAGUCGACAACCAAUUGGGUGCGCCGGAUCUCAGUUGUUAUACAUUCAUCGGACAGUAUUAAUGCCGGUUCAGCAGUCCUGAUGUUGGAAAAGAAUUGUCGUUUCCUUCCCCUUAAGCAGAAACUGGGGCGGCUUAAACACCAUUGCAAUGACAUGGGGGAGGUCAUGGCGGCUCUUGUCAAAUAUGCCGACUCUGAUAGUAUGUCAGGACCCCGAUUCUAAGUCACACCGAUCUCGCCUGUAACACCUCAUAUCACUUUGCGGCCUCACGCACGGUAUUCCCACGGGUGUCGCCUUACCAUGGCCCGGGACCGUUUGCGCCUUUUGGCUCACGUAUAUGAUAAUGUCACUAGCAUCCAUAUGACAGAGAACCCGGGCCGACAUGACUAGUCGUGAACCCAAAGUGGCACUAACUUACGGGGACAGGCAUACAUGAAUCAACAUCGAGCAUGUCGGUCAGCAGCGUGUGAAUCCGGGCUGUAGCACUGGGCUUACAGGACUCCGGGAACCCGGGCUGUAGCAGGCUAGGCAGGACUCCGGAUGUCACCGCGUGACAUUUCCCCGAAGGGACAGACACCAGGAACGAAGUGAAUCACAUGCCGGCCAGUCAAGUGGUCCGGAGCAGUAGUGCUGGGCUAGUAGGACUCCGGUGAACUGGGCUGUAGCGGACUACUAUGGCUCAUGGAAGCACAAGACUACAUUUCCCCAUAAGAGAGGCUACCAAGGAUAAACAGUUAGGUUGUCGGAUCCCACACAUACCAAGCAUUUCAAUCAUACACACAAUAUGCUCGAUAUGUGCAAAUACAACAUGGCAUCACAACAAGACUCUACGACUCAGAGUAUUUAUUCAUUAGGCCCCAAAGAGCCAGAUAUUACAAACAUGGGUCUCAUGACCCAACAUUCAGAGCAUACAAGUCAAAGCACAUGCGGAAGCUCAACAUGUCUGAGUACAGACAUCUACAAAUGAAAAAGGCUGAGAAGCCUGACUAUUUACUAGAUCCUGCCGAGGGCACAAGAUCGUAGCUGAGGUAUCAAGCUAAACGUCGAAGUCCACACGGAACUACUAGCGAGACUGACGUCUCUCUGCAAAACAUAAAAUAAGCAAACGUGAGUACAAAUGUACCCAGCAAGACUUACAUCAGAACUAUCUACAUAUGCAUCGGUAUCAACAAAAGGGGUGGUGGAGUUUAACUGCAGCAAGCCAGCUUUGACUCAGUGGCUAACCUGAACUACGACUGCAAGCAACUCUUUGAGGUGGCGCACACGAGUCCACAUAUUCACCAUAUCAAUACACCACUAUGGAUUCGCUCCCGUCUCCCUACGAGAACGCCAUCCACUCACGCUUAUCUUGCGCAUUUUAGAGUAUCCACUUUCACUUGUCUAUGAACUGUUAUAGGCAACCCAGAAGUCCUUUACCGCGGACACGACUAUUCGAAUAGAUCAUAUUAACCCUGCAGGGGUGUACUUCGACACACACGCUCUCACCACUUACCGUCGUUUACACGACAUGUACUCGACAACCUUCAAGCGGAAGCCCAACGUGGGUGUUGGCCACAGCCUACCUAAACACUCAAGUCUCUAGUCCAGGUUUAUCGCCUAUUCAGGUUCCAUCCGCAGGGAGUCCGACCGAGGUUUCCACAUACGGCCCCGAACGAUGUGUGCAGGGUUCCCGAGACACCAAACGGGCGCCCAGUACACCGUGCCACGUGCCUACCGCAUCACAUCCCACCCCUCGGUCAGCGCUGUCCACGGCCUCCAGCAUACUACAAACACCAGAAACUACUUGCAACUCCUGGACAAAGGACAAGGGUGAUUAAGAAGCCGAGAGGGUCCAUUGGUUUCGGGCCCAAUGCGUGGUAGUAACUGUAUCAUGGAUCACAAACACAGAACUCAGUUCCUGAGGACGGCUUCAAUGAGACAACCCACCAUGUACUCCUACAUGGCCUCUCACCGCUACCUUUACCAAAUCGUGUUCACACACUUAGCUCACACACAGUAGGACAUGCUCAUCACCAUUCCAAUUCAUCCCCGAUGAAUCAGACCUGACACAACUCUAAGCAGUAGCGGGCAUGACAAACAAGCAUGAAUGAGUAGGCACAUCAGGGCUCAAACAACUCCUACUCAUGCUAGUGGGUUUCAUCUAUUUACUGUGGCAAUGAUAGGUCAUGCAGAGGAUAAGGGGUUCAAUUACCGCAACAAGUAACAGUUGAAUCGUUGCUGUCCUAAUGUAGUAAAAGAGAGCAGGAGCGAGAGAGUGGGAUUGUAUCGGAAUGAACAAGGGGGUUAUGCUUGCCUGGCACUUCUGAAGAUAUUAUAGUUCUUCAUCGGUGUCAUCGAUCACGUCAUCGGAGCAUCGGCUACUGAGAGGGGACGGUUACCGGCAAACAGAGAAGGACACAAUCAAUGCAAUGCGACAAUAUGAUGCAUGGUCAUGACAUGUCAAGAAUGUUAUGAUUUACACUAAUGCAUCUAGCAACAGUUUAAAUGAGGUCCAUAUGAACUAAGGGUUCAUAUGCAAACUCCAUAUUUAGCAUUUAUAAUGUCAUUAUCAUGUUUUCACCUAUACAGAAGGUAUAACUUAGUUUGACAUGCAUGAAAAUGAUACAAAUGGAUAGAUUGCAUUUUUCUGAUAAUUUUUCAUAUAUAAAUUAUUUCAUUCUGAGCUACGGUUGAUUUUAUAUGAUUUUUAGAAGUUUAUACUAUUUUCUGGAAUUUCCUGAAUAAACUUAAAUCCAGAUAAUGCUUUACUGCGUCAGCCUGACGUCAUCACUGCGUCAGCGAGUCAACGGGCUGGCCAGGGUCAAACCUGACCCGUGGGACCUGCCUGUCAGUGACUAACCUAACUAAUCCAGAUUAAUUAGCGCUAAACUAAUACUAAUCUAGUUUAGUUAAGAGCAUGGGCCCACACGUCAGUGACUCAGGGGGAGUCAAACUGGGGUCAAACCGGGUCAAACGAGGUCAAACCCGCCGGCGACUCGACGCCGGCGAGUCCAGACGCGGCGGAGCACGUCGGAAAUCGUCCACCGGCGACCAUUUGGACAGCGGAUUGGUGCUACGCGCAGCUGAGGCUCGUGCGCAGCUAGCAGUGCAAGCGGGAGGGUCUGGGGUGGACGGAGUUGACGACGGCGGGCUCUUUGCGGCCGCCGGAGUUCGGGCGAGGUUGGGAAUGGGGCUGUGGGGCACGGCGGAGCGAACGGCCGGGUGCUACGGCCUCCAGGUGAUGUGCUGAGCACGGUGACGCGCUCCAUGGUGAGCUUGCGCGGCAGUGGCCACGGCUGGCGGCGAGAAGAUCUCGGCCGUGGUGGGAACGAAGCUAGGGGACGAGCAUGGGCACGAGAGUAGAGGGGAAAAGAAGAGGGGCUCACGGCGAGUCUGAAGGGGUGGUUGGUGGGCUCGGGGGCGCACUGGUAGUGGCGAAUCGACCGACGAGGAGCCUCGGUGGCCGGUAACGGAAACGGCGACGGUGGCGAUGAAGCAGCGCGUCCGAGGCCGGGAGGAUCGUCGAGGAGGAAGAAGCAGAUGAGGCGGAGCUCUUGGACAGCUCGGAGAGGCGAGGUGGUGGCGGUGGCCGCGGGUACGGCGAUCGGCGUCGGCGAGCUCGCUCGGUGGCGCUCUGUUUUUGCGGGAGAGAGGGCCAGAGGGGAAAGUGAGAGAGAGGAGAGAGCGGUCGGGGCUGCGUGGUGUCGCGAGGGAGGCCCAGGGCGACGAGGGGGAAGCGGCAGGAAGCAGGAGGUGGCCGGGGCGCGUGCGUGCGCGCGUCGGGCACACGCCGUCCUCCUGGCAGGGGGAGGAAGACGACAGGGGAGGAGGAGGUGGGCUGGGCUGGCACAGGGCCAGGCCAGGUGGGCUGCACAGUAGGUAGGUCCAGGUAACUUUCUCUCCCUUCUCUUUUCUAUUUCUGUCUUUAGUUUCUGUCUUCUAUUUUCUGCAAUUGGUUCGAUUUAGCAAAAAUGCCAAACCACUUUGUAAAAUGCUCAAAAUAUUUGUGGCACUUGGGAAAUUAUUUCCCACGGCCCUCAAAUGCUUUCAAGAUUAUUUGGACAUUUAAGAGUAUUUAUAGAAUUUAAUUGUCCAAAUUCAAAUACUUAUGAAUUAACUCCAAAAUCCAUAAAUGUCCUAGAAAUGUGUGCAUCAUUUUUGGGAGAAGUUUUCACCCAUUCCAAAAUUGAUGAACUUUUCUGAAGGCCAUUUUGGGUAGAUCGAAAAGAUUUAAUUUGACCCUAAUUGUAUUUCAUUUAGUGCUAGGGUUUUAACAUCCCCAGUUCAAGAUUAAUUGAAAUCGAAAAUGAUGCAUGGAUGCAAUGCCACUAAUUACAAGAAGAUUUCUAGGGCUGUGACAACUCACCCCCACUAAACAAGAAUCUCGUCCCGAGAUUCAAGAAGUGAAGUAAGAAGACAGAGGGGUCAGAAAACUAUCACAGUCUUCUCGGUCCAACUGCCCUUCACGAAGAUGUUGAUCCGUUGCUUCAAUUAACGUUGACGUCUUUGCUUUCGAGAUCUUCAUCCGACACGAUGACGACAAGGGAAACUCUAUAGAAAUCGAUCUCCUUAAAGAUCGAGCAACUCACGAUCAACUCACGGAAUGCGACGUUGAGUAUCUCUUGAGCUGAGACUCAACACAUACAUCGAGAGAGGGAUGAAGUGAAACAGAGAACGAAGAUUCAAGUUGAUAAACACAAUUCCACGCUGAAUAAGACGGUGCAUGGUUUCAAAGUAGCGAGGAGAUAAUUCCCACAAUUCCAUAACGGGGCACCUUGGGGAAGGUGACUCGUAGAACUAUUCCUUAAGUGGCAAAAAGAAUUACUUUUGAUCCUAAGAUCAUUGAAACUUUUUAUACUAGCCUAAGGCAAUCACAACAAUCAUCUGGCGGAGUUCGGGAGAAUGACACACUCGGGCUAGAAUGGACGAUGUGGAAUACCUUGUUGAAGACAGCGAAAUGGAUGAUGAUUUUUUUAUAUAUAUCAUCGGAAAUGAAUGGGACUCAUGGUAAGACCACUUGAAGAUGAUCUUGAUCAGUAAUUACUGAGAAGGGUAGUCCAUAGUAGGACGGCACAAUGAUGGUGCAAGCUGGGAACAAAAUGCAAAUGCUGGAAUGGUUUUAGUAACUGGGGAGAAGCUCAACAGUAGAGAGUGAAUCCACUGUUUGAAAGUUAUAGCAUAACCGAGGAAACCGAGGAAACUGGAGGUGGCUGUCGGUGUCAAAACCGGCGGAUCUCGGGUAGGGGGUCCCGAACUGUGCGUCUAAGGUCGAUGGUAACAGGAGAUGGGGGACACGAUGUUUACCCAGGUUCGGGCCCUCUCUAUGGAGGUAAUACCCUACUUCCUGCUUGAUUGAUCUUGAUGAAUAUGAGUAUUACAAGAGUUGAUCUAACACGAGAUCGUAAUGGCUAAAACCCUAGAAGUCUAGCCUGUAUGAUUGUGAUUAUGAUUCUGGCCUCUAUGGACUAAGCCCUCUGGUUUAUAUAGACACCGGAGGGGACUAGGGUUGUACAAAGUCGGUUACAGAGAAAGGAAUCUUCAUAUUAGGAUGCCAAGGAGAGUCCUAUCCAGACACGGGAGAAAGUCUUCGGUUUUGUAUCUUCACAGCCCAUCAGUCCGGCCCACGUACUAUAGUCCGGACGCCCGAGGACCCCUUAGUCCAGGACUCCCUCAGUAGCCCCCGAACCAGGCUUUCAAUGACGAUGUGUCCGGCGCGCAGAUUGUCUUCGGCAUCGCAAGGCGGGUUCCUCCUCCGAUGACUCCAAAGUGCUGUAUUCAGCCUUUCAUUUAGUGUCAUACACAUCGGCUUCUGUGCAUCCAUUGCUUCAGCUUCCAUGUGUCGAGCGAAUACGAGAGGUCAGGGUAUGUUUUGCAUAUAACACCCCGGCCAUGUAAGAAAAGCGUCUAUUUAAAGGGAUUGGAUCUCAGAUCCGCUUCACACCACGCGGAAAAUCCUCCAAGCUUGCUUGGAGAGACCGCUCCAACAUGGCUAGCACUCCCAGUUCUUCCUCCCGUCCCCACGGCCUUGAAAAAGGCGAUUGGGAGAGAUGUUCCAUAUCCCACGGUCAACUAGUGAAGCUGCAAACACAGGGAUUUCUUCCCCCCGCGGAUCUAGUCCCCGUUCGAGUAGGAUUGACUUCCUUCAACGGUGGGGCUCAGGUUGAGAAUUUCCCCAAUCUAUCCAGGGGGGAACAAGUGUGCUUCGUUCCCUACCUGCUAAGAGGCGUCGGUUUUCCAAUUCAUCCAUUCCUCCGAGGACUUCUGGAGUAUUAUGGUCUUCAACUUCACAAUUUCACUCCUGCCUCCAUUCUGCACAUCGCGGGUUACGUCGCUCUUUGUGAGCUAUUCCUGGGUUGUGAGGCCCACUUUGAAUUGUGGAGGAAGCUAUUCUGCCUCGUCCCUCGUAACCAAGAGGGAUCAAUAUUUGAAGUGGGCGGAGCCGAGGUAUGGCGCGUCGCCGGGACCGGAUACCUGUCCGGCACACCAAAGAAGGCAAGCGAAGAGUGGCCUUUCGAAUGGUUCUAUAUUGAGGACGUCGCCCUUCCUGAUCCAGUCCGAAUGGGUCUUCCCGAAUUCGCAAGUGUUCCGUUGAAGAAACGCCACAGCUGGCGCCCUCGGAGCCUCGAGGAGGAAGAUAGCGCGGAAGUCCGUCAACUGAUGAGCAAGAUAAAGACGCUUGCCCAGUCCGGAUUAUCAAUAGUCGAGGUAAUGGCAACUUCCAUAGUGCGAGGGGUCCAGCCACUCGAAUACAGAGGGCUCCCCAUGUUGCACUAUAAUGGGGAAGAUGACGCCUCCCGCUGCGGUCGGAAGGUGUCAGAUGUGGGGUUCCGGCAAACCCUUAAGGUUCGAACACUGGGGUGCGCGCGAAGUCUUUCCCUCCUAUCGAUCUACGCCCUAGCUCGCUAAGAUCUCGCGGACGAACUCAACGAACUCGCAACACAGAAAGACACGGGGUUUAUACUGGUUCGGGCCACUGUUGUGGUGUAAUACCCUACUCCAGUGUGGUGGUGGUGGAUUGCCUCUUGGGCUGAUGAUGAACAGUACAAGGGGAAGAACAGCCUCCUGAGGUUGAGGUGUUCUUGUGCUAGUGUUGGCCUUUGAUCUGUUUGGGUUCUCGUUGUCCGUUCUAUUGUGGUGGCUAGAACUAUUUAUAGAGGCCCUAGUCCUCUUCCCAAAUAAUGAGCGAGAAGGGAGCCAACAACGGCGGGCAAGUUUGAAGGGGGACAGCUAGUACAAGCUAUCCUGACAAAAGCGGUCUUCGCCUGCGAAAGGCUCUGGUGGUGACGCCGUCUUGGGCUCCACGAUGACCUCCGUCUUGCCGUCCACCUGGUAUUGGUCUUGUUGCACCAAUAUAGCAACCUUUUCCUGAUGCCUCGGUACUCCUCGCCUGCGCUAGCUUCCUUAGCACCAAAGAGGAAACAAGGACGAUGCGCGCGCUGGCGCCCUCCUGGUGUCGAUCGUCAUGGCUCACGUCACGAGAGCCUCGUGAGGUUUGCCCCGCCUUGAUAUCUCCGCUCCUCGUGAGCCUGCCUGGCUUGGCCGCUCCUGAGGAGGUCUUGCGUCGUCCGCCUCGCGAGGCUUGGCCCCUCGCGAGGGUCUUGAAUGCCUUGUCGAUGAAGAUGGGUUGUACGGCCUGCUGACUUAGCCACGCCGUGGGCCGCAGGCAGGCAAGUCCGGGGACCCCCAUUCCCAGGACGCCGACAGUAGCCCCCGGGCCCAAGGUGCGCUCGGGCUUGGCUUCGCGGCGAAGCCAAGGGCCAAGUACGGAGCACCGCGGGCCCCAAAAGCCUGCGGCUCGGUUAACGCGUGGCGGUUGAUUGGAUGUGGGCGUCCCCGCUUCCCCACGCUGCCUCUAAAUCCGCCUAGCUAUGCACCCCCCGCGGCCUACAUAGUUAUUCCUCCUUCGCCCACGCCUGUUUCUUCCAAUCUCCCUGCUUCCUCGAGGCCCUGCUCUGCCCUGCCAAUCCGGCUUACGCUCCGCUUGCUUCAUCGCCAUGGCGCCGAAACAAGCUGAAAAGGGGAGAAACCCCUGUCGUUGCCAACUGCGCCUCCAUCUUUUGAGCCGGCGCUUGGCCGGCCUCGGGUGCUCAACAACGAGGCCAUGGACAAGGUGCGCCCCAUGCUUGCCUCCAGCUUCAACGAGUGGGGAGAGACGGUGGCUUGGCCCGCGUCCCUUACUCGCAUGGAUCGGGCAGCCACUGAGGUCCCGAUCUUCAUUUAUGCCCUUUGGGCUAGCUCGAUUCCUCCCUUCUCCGCCUUCUUCAACGCGGUGCUCGAGCAUUACCAGAUCCACAUGCUUCAUCUCAACCCUCAAUCUGUGACCCUUCUUGCCGUCUUCGCCUUCUUGUGCGAGGCCAUGGUGGGCAUCGCUCCUUCCGUGGCCCUGCUUUGCCAUUUCUUCUCAUUGCAUCUGACUGGUCCCCGACAGAGCUCGGGGUGUGUGAGCUUCCAGGCCGUGGCCGCGACCGUGGGCGUGGGGAUUGACUUCGAGCUCUCUUCAUCCACGAGCGAGUUUCGUACGCGGUGGGUGUUUAUUGAUGCCGGCGUGCUCAGCCCUCUGCUCCAAGUUCCGGCGGGGCCCGCUGUUCCAAACUCCGGCUGGGGCCACCAGAGGCUCUCGAGCCCUCGCCUUGCUCAGGCUGAGGUGCUGAAGGACCGCGGCGUGACCGCGCCUAUGGUGGUGAAGUUCGUCAAGCGCCGGGUUGCUCCGCUCCGGCGCCACUCUCGCCCAAUGUGGGCUUUGCUCAACAGUCAGGACCACAUGAGGUUCCAGGAGUUUGGGCUCCCUCUCGGGACGCGGCAGACAGUGCUCAAGGUCUUGACGGGUGUCCCUUUGCCGGCUGAAAUGCCUGGGAAGAAUUGCCUGCUGUAUCGCUGCAAGAACUAGGAUGAGUUUGCAGCGAGCAUGCUUUCCUUUGACGAAUGGGGGCUGCGGCCGAUCGAUCUGGUGGGGCCCCGCGAGAACCCCGUCGUCGUGGUUCCCUUCCUUGCCGCCGGUGCCGAGCUCACCCCAAGUGGGGGUGCAGGAGGGCGAGCUCCGACGGAGGCUGGUGGCCCAAGUGCUAUGGAGCACAUGCUGAGUGGUGAUCCUGGGGCGUCAUCCUCGGGAGCUUGCGACCCCCUUCUUGAAACGCCGGUCGCUGAGGAGAUGCGGCAUGCGGCUCCCGAGGCUAAGGCCCCGGAAGCCUCAGGAGUUGGUGGUGAGGCGGUGCCCGGCUGUUUGCCGCAUCCGGGCACCCCUAAAAUUGUCUCUCCAAGCUCUUCGCCCCGUGCAGGCCGCCACGUCCAGCGAUACGGUCGACUCUGCGUCGAUUUCUCGGAGCUCCGCAAGAGGAAAGGAUCCCCGAGCGGCAACAACAUCUUCGGACCGCUGAAGCGGAGGAAGUACAUCGCCGUUGACGUGUAAGUAUCUUAUCGCUGUGGCUCCUUGUGUGCUAUUUUCCAUCUCCUGACGUCAGUUCUUCAGGGCUCCUUCCAUCGAGGCGGCUGCGCCUCCUGAGAAACGGCCUCCUCCUUCCUCAACUCCUCCAUCGGCCUUGAGCGUUCCUGGUCUGCUUACCGCCCCUGGAGCAGGGUUGGUUGGGGGAGCAUCUCCGUCUUCAUGGCGCGCUGAGCCUGCGGCUUGGCCAUUCCUCCCCCAAGGUCUGGCGUGGAGCCUGGCGGGCGUGCCCAAGACCCCUCCCUUGCUUAUGGACAGCAACUGGUUGGCUUCGAUCUUCGGAUCCUCUUCAUGCAGCGUGCCCUGAUCGUCUCGGGCUUCUCGCGAGGUCUGGCUGACGUCGGGUGCGGCGUCAGCCCCCAGCCCCCUGCCAGGGGGUGGCGCGCCACUCAGCGCCCCGCCCGCUGCCCCAGAGGUGGAGGACGAGGUGGGCCGAGCGUUUGAGCUUGAGCGCGAGCGGAGCGUAGUUCGUCACGAGCUCUUCCAGGAGGCGAUGGGCGCGAUGAGUCGACUGGGUGAAGAGCUCGUUGGUGUCGACUCGCGCCUUGAGGCUGAAGGUCUCCGACUAGCGGAGGAGCGGCGCAAGCUGAAGGUGGCCAUCAACCUCGGCCGCUAUCAGCGCGACCUUGAGAAUGCGAAGGCCGAGGCAUCCCUCAAGAUCGCCCAUGAAGCCCGCUCGCGAGCCUUGGAAGAGGCUCGCGAGGCUGACCGUCGUCGCGAGGCUGCGGAGAAGCGCGCGUGGGAGCUCCAGGCCUGGAGCGCGUCCCUUGAGCAGUGGGUGGAGGCGCACAGGGCCACUCUUGCAUCGCUGAGGGGGACGCCCAGGGAGGAAGAGGAGGUCCGGAAGCGCGACGAGGCGCUGGCUCUGGAAGCCGUGGAGCGCAGCCUCGAGCUCAAACAACUGGAGACGAGGGAGCGUCAAGUUGCUCAAGCAGAAGAUGCCGUCGGGGCUCGCGAGGCCAGAGUCGAGGAGGAGGUCAAUCGCCGGGUGGCCAAGGUUCGCGCAGACCUGGAGGGCAGGUAUGACCUAAAGCUGAAGCUCGCGGGUACGGAGGAUGCGGGCAGGGCCGCUGCCCUCAGGCCUAGGUUGGAUGAGGCUGAGAGGCGCGCGGAGGCCACAGCCGCCGCCUUGGUUACGGCGCAGGUGGACUUGGCCUCCGCCCGCGCCGAGCUGCGUUCCCUUUGGAGGCGGGUCGAUGACGCUGAGGCCGUUGUACGGCAAAGCACGGAGGAAGUGCUCCAACGACGAACACUGGAGCGCGAGCAUGCCCCUAUGCUUCAGGAUCUCCGGAAGAGGGCCAAUAUCGCCUUGGGCCAUAUUUGUGACGUGGAGGCGCCGGCCCCUCACUCGAAUGAUUAUGCCAGCCACCUGACCUUCUUCACUGAGGUGGUGACGCACCUGGAGGCUCGAUCUGCCAGAGCUCGCCAGCUUGUGGAGGAAAGGGGUUGUGGCCUGCUUGAGCGCGCUUUCUCCCGUGCCUUCAGCCACCUCCUGAAUGCCGACCCCAACUUUGAUUUCGCCGCCGCCAUCGCCCCCGUACCCACAGCUGUCCGGGGCGACCUGGCGUGUUGGGUUGAGGACAAUGUGGACGCGUUGGUCAGGGCCUUCACCUCGGAGGAUGACGCGGUGCUGGUCACCGCAGAUGAAGGCGAUGUGGUUGACGACGGCGACGGGGGCGUCGCCGAUGGUGGCGACGAUGCUGACGAAGACGAUGAUGACGCGAGUGACGCGUCCGCGGGUGAUGCAGCGAGCGACAUUUCUAGCUGAUCCCAUGUUCUCCUGUCGUUUCAUCCUGCACACAAAACUCGGGCGUGGCCCUUGGAAAACUUGUAAGAGCAUUUUGAGAGGGGGAGCCCCUCAUGUAAGCAAACUGCAGUUUUACUUUCCUAUGUGGUGUGAGUUUGUGUCCUCGCGGGCUCGUGAAUCCAGGUGCGAGUUUUCUGUCAUGGUUUACCUUAGUUAGCGCCAGCUUGGAGCUGGGUCACGGGGCGUCGAGCUUCUGAGAAUCCUGCGGAGCUUGUUGCCCUGUCAGAAGGGGCGUCGCAAGAGGUGAGCACCAGUUGCAGUGCUAGCGCGCGCUCGGCGUGCGCGUGCUUCGCGCUGUCCUGCUCGCGAGGAGCUCGUGAGGGGAAGGCGAUGGACAUGAGUCCCAACAAAACGAGAUCCAGAAGGCAAGAAAUUGCUCAAACGAUAAAAGGCUCCCCCCGUGUGCAUCGAUAAAAAUUCGGCUUCAACUUAAAUCCAGAUUCAGAAAGCAAAGCUACAGAAAGAGAGAUCCAAAGCAAAAGGCCGCGUCCAGCACCUAGUCUAGUCUUCUGGUCUUCAAGUCUUCUCACCAGCGCGGAGCUAAGUGCUGCCACUAGGCGUGGGAGGGAGCCCCAGGGCCUGAGGCCAGCACCCCUGAGACUUUGGGGCGUGUACAGCCCCAACUCAUUAUUACGUGAGAGUGUCACGGGCGGCGAGCUUCACAGGCACCGGGCCUUCUUCACAGGUACCGGCCUUGCUUCAUAUCGCCAGACGAGGGCCCCGCCUUGCGCCACCCUUGACCUCCUUUGAGCCGACCGGUCACCGGGACGACACAAAAGAGGGAAAGAGGACGCCAACGGUGCCCUCGGUGACCACAGGUCCUCUGCCGGGGGAAGGGUCGUCGAGGCCUCCCCGACAGAGGGCCUACCUCCGGGUGUCGCCUGGCGUCGCGCGACGUGGGGAGUGGCCUUGCUCCUAGCUCCCUCCUGGCGGCCCCCAGCACGUUUCCCUUGUUGGGAGGGGUGCUGCCGUGCCAGGGUCGUCGAUCGACGCUGCAACCUGAUUCAUCUGCAGCCCAUGGUUAGUGUAAGCAUGUUCCUGAGAGAUUAGCGGUACCCUGUAGUUGCCGUUGCCGGCGCGACCGUCAUGGUUCUCCGUCGGUUCUUGGAAAGCCUUGGCUCCUAGCGCCCCCUCUCCCCAAUCUUCUCCAACGAACGAGCCGUGGUCGUCCUCCGGUGCGUACUCUUGGUCCAUCAUGCGGGGCACGUAGGCCUCUGGGGCCGUCACCCCGAACACCUCGCCGUAGUGCCCCACACCCCAUGUUGCUCGGCCCCGGGAGGCUUCCUGAGGGUGGUAGCGUGGAACCUGGCUAGGACCAUGGGGGGCGACACUUGCGCCCACGCUUGUCGCGGGCGGCAUAGGGGCUGCGGAGCCCCCUUCGUCGCUGGUCGUGCUGAUGUUGAUGGAGCCCCCCGGCGUAGCUGAUGGCGCGCGGUUGUGGUGAGGCCCGCCGUGUGGCCCUGCAGUGGCCUGAGGAGAAAGUCGGUAGCAGAAAGGUGGUGCUCCCGAUGCCGCCGCAUCCAGUAGCUCGGCAACACUGCUUGCUAACCGCCUUCAGAAAGUGAUACUAAGAUGCAUCCACCGCAAUCAAUAUGGUUUUCUUCGGUGUCGUUCUAUUCAAGAUUGCCUGGCCUGGUGUUUUGAGUAUAUACACCAAUGCAAAGCUUCGAAGCGACCCAUCGUCCUUCUUAAGCUGGAUUUCACGAAGGCCUUCGACACAAUUGAGCAUGAACUUAUUCUUAGAAUUUUUCAAAGCAAGGGUUUUGACUCCCGGUGGACUGGAUGGAUCAAUAGCAUAUUGUCUACGGGAUCUUCUUCUGUGCUUCUCAACGGCGUGCCUGGCAAUCACUUUGUUUGCAGAACGGGCGUGCAUCAGGGGGAUCCUCUCUCACCGUUGCUCUUUGUGAUUGCGGUUGACUUAUUGCAAUCUGUAGUCAACGAGAUGUGCUCCAGGAAUAUCCUCUCACUGCCAAUCCCAACCAACUCCAGCGACUACCCAAUUAUACAAUAUGCCGACGACACUUUAAUUGUUCUGCCUGUGAUCGAUGAUCAGCUUAUUGCUUUCAAGGAGAUGCUUGACACAUUUGCAGCGUCAACAGGACUACGUGUAAACUUUAGUAAGUCCUCACUCAUUCAAAUAAACAUGACUGAUGCGGAAGGUGCUAGGGUGGCUUCUUUGCUCGGAUGCGAUGUUGGGUCAAUGCCAUUCACGUAUUUAGGCUUGCCAAUGGGAACUUCUAGGCCUACAAUCUAUGAUCUGCUGCCUCUGGUUGAUCGUGUUGAGCGACGCUUAUCUGCUUCCUCAUGCCUGCUAAAUCAAGGAAGCCGACUGCAACUUCUAUAGUCAGUGUUGUGCUCCAUGCCAAUAUACUUCUUGUGUACCUUAUCUCUUCCCAAGGGCAUUUUGCAGCAGUUAGAGCGAAUCAUGAGGCAAUGUCUGUGGAGGGGCAACACAGAUAACCCGCGUCAAUCAUUGGCGGCUUGGGAUUUAGUCUGUCGCCCUAAGAAAUUCGGCGGUUUGGGUGUUCUUAACUUGGGAUUCAAAUUGAGGCUUUGUUACUAAAGCAUCUCUUCAAGUUCUAUAAUAAAGUGGAUGUGCCUUGGGUAUCAUUAAUUUGGGACACUUAUUAUGCAUCGUCACCACCUCAAAGCACCCAGAACUGUGGCUCCUUUUGGUGGCGUGAUGUCAUGCGUUUAUACCCUAAUUUCUGGAAGCUUGCUGUUCCACAAGUUCAUGUAGGCGACACGAUGCUUUUUUGGCUUGACCGUUGGCAGCUAGGAAAUCGUCCUGUUCUUUUACACGACUGUUUCCCGAGGCUACAUUCAUUUGUAGUUGAUGAUGCAAUCACUGUCAAGGAGUUUAUGGAGCGGCCUGAUGUCUUGGAUCAUUUCCAUUUGCCUCUGUCACAGGAGGCCUACUCAGAAUUAACACAACUCUAGGCCCUGCUGCCUUUGAUCAAUCUGGAUGGUGAGAGCAAAGACAUUUGGAAGUGGCCUUCGAAGUCUGGUGUUUUUAUGUCAAAGAUAUACUAUGACUCUUGCUUCUCACACCUAGUGGUUGACCCCAUCUUUAAAUGGAUUUGGAAGUGUGCAUGCACACUCAAGUUCAAAGUGUUUGGCUGGCUUCUAUUAAUGGAUCAUUUGAACACUAGGGAUAUGAUGCAACGUCGUCAUUGGAUCAUCCAGGAUGACACAUGUGUGCUAUGCAACCUUGCACAACAUGAGGAUCGGGCCCAUCUUUUCUUUGCUUGCAAUUUUAGCCAAAGGGUUUGGAACUAUCUUGGGAUUUCUUGGUCCGUUCAACCGAACCAAACCACAUAUGAGAUGGCUCAAUCAGUUAGGAGGGAUUUCGGUCAUCCUUUCUUCACUGAGGUUGUCUUCACUGCUACUUGGAAUGUUUGGACACAAAGGAAUGUGAAGAUCUUCAGCAAUGAGCAACCUUCUUUUAGAGCUUGGAGAAGGUACUUUAUCCAUGACAUUUCUCUUCUGUCUCAUAGGAUUAGGUGUAAAUAUAAAGAUAGUUUACUGUCUUGGAUAGCUAACAUUUCUUAGCCUCUUUGCUUGUAAGUAUCUUUUCUCUCUUUUUUCUGUAAAUUUGUAUAAUUGUAACUAUACUGCUUUCUUUUAGUUAUUAAUAAAGGACUGUGAGGCUGUUGCCUUGCAGUAUAUAGUCAAAAAAACACACGCUCUAGCAGUGCAUCCCGGCUGCUUUCCAUCAGCCUGCAUCGCAGCAGCUCCCUUGCCACGGUGAGCGCUGCCCGCAUGUUUGCUUGCUCGCGCCGUGAGUGCGGUGCCGUUGCUGCGGCAUGGCUCGCUGCUCUUGCAGCGGCCCGUACUUGCCGCGGGGUGAGGGUGGACGACGCCUGGCCGCGCUGCCCAUGCCCGGCGGAGUUUGGCGGCGCUCGCGCCGCCUGAAGCGCGGGGUCGAGGUCUUCAUGGGCAGGCGGCGCUGCCCGGGCUGGCCAGGCUGCCCAACGGUCGGAGCCGGCCCUCCGCCGGACAUCGUGGCUGUGGAGCGUCGGCGAGCUGGUCGGCGGAGAAGAAGCUCCGGUGCACCCCUACCUGGCGUGCCAAAUGUCGGAUGUGGGGUUCCGGCAAACCCUUAAGGUUCAAACACUGGGGUGCGCGUGAAGUCUUUCCCUCCUACCGAUCUACGCCCUAGCUCGCUAAGAUCUCGCGGACGAACUCGACGAACUCGCAACACAGAAAGACACGGGGUUUAUACUGGUUCGGGCCACCGUUGUGGUGUAAUACCCUACUCCAGUGUGGUGGUGGUGGAUUGCCUCUUGGGCUGAUGAUGAACAGUACAAGGGGAAGAACAGCCUCCUGAGGUUGAGGUGUUCUUGUGCUAGUGUUGGCCUUUGAUCUGUUUGGGUUCUCGUUGUCCGUUCUACUGUGGUGGCUAGACCUAUUUAUAGAGGCCCUGGUCCUCUUCCCAAAUAAUGAGAGGGAAGGGAGCCAACAACGGCGGGCAAGUUUGAAGGGGGACAGCUAGUACAAGCUAUCCUGACAAAAGUGGUCUUCGCCUGCGAAAGGCUCUGGUGGUGACGCCGUCUUGGGCUCCACGAUGACCUCCGUCUUGCCAUCCUCCUGGUCUUGGUCUCGUCGCACCAAUAUAGCAACCUUUGCCUGAUGCCUCGGUACUCCUCGCCUGCACUGGCUUCCUUAGCACCAAAGAGGAAACAAGGACGAUGCGCGCGCUGGCGCCCGCCUGGUGUCGAUCAUCAUGGCUCACGUCACGAGAGCCUCGUGAGGUUUGCCCCGCCUUGAUAUCUCCGCUCCUCGUGAGCCUGCCUGGCUUGGCCGCUCCUGAGGAGGUCUUGCGUUGUCCGCCUCGCGAGGCUUGGCCCCUCGCGAGGGUCUUGAAUGCCUUGUCGAUGAAGAUGGGCCGUACGGCCUGCUGACUUGGCCACGCCGUGGGCCGCAGGCAGCAGGCAAGUCUGGGGACCCCCGUUCCCAGGACGCCGACAGAAGGGUCCGGACACCCCCGCCGCUUUGGCAAAAAUAUUGGCCGAGCUGUUCAAAGGGGAGGAAGAGGAAUUUAUUCGUAUCAAGCGCAGAGAUGGAUUCUCCAUGUACAAUCCCCCUAGCUGGGUGAGUUCCAACCCCGCCGCUCCACUCAUUCUACUCCCUGAGUCAAUUUUAAUGAACGUUAAUCCGUCCAUUUGUAAUAGGAAUGGCGAAAGAUCAGCGAGGGGCUACACUACCCCGCCCCACAGCCAGAGGACCACAACCGGGACCUUGACCCCGGAUUCGAAGAGGAUCCGGACAUAUUCGUGGUGCUCGAGGAUGGGGUGUUCUACCAGGCGAGCUAUGACGGCACGAAAGUGGCCAUCACCGCCGACUGCCCCGGUCUUCUCCCUGCCUCCCACGUAAGUAACCAGGAGACAUCCCCGAAAGAGCUUCCUCGUUCUGCCUCACCCACCGCACUGUCUCGUGCUCCAAAGGGAAGGCGCUCGGCGCGUCAUGCUGUACUAGAGGCAACUCCAAAGAGAGCGGCGCGCACGUCGGGCAAGCCUUCAAAGAGGAAAGCAAACGAAGACAUGGCCGAAACCUCACCAGAGAGGUAUGGUUUUGUAAAUAUGCCCCUUGGCAGUCACAUCCAACUAUGACAUUUUCCGUUUGUGCCUUAUCAGGAAAAGCGUUCGCCGGACUAUGUCCGGGGGUCCGGCCGGUCAUACUCCCAACAGCCAGGUUCCAGACCCUGCCGUAAAGACGGGAGCUGAUAUGGGAGCGACACCGGAUUGUCCUUUGGCCGAGGAUUCGGAUGAUGUAUCUGUCACCAACUCGGAAGUGGAGAGCGCCAUGGGUCAUCGGCGCGGGAGAGCCGUUCUUCGCGACCCCAGUUUUACAAAAGAGGCCUUCGAUGCCUUUAGCUCGGCGGAUGCAUACAUCCGAGGUACUCGAGACGGGCUUACCAGAGCCGCAGACCAGCAUUUGAAAGAUAUGCGGGUAGGUUUAUUAUACAAAACUGAUAAUUAUAUACCAGUAGCCCCUGAGACUUGAAGCAGUUGAUACAAUUGAUUUAAGGAUCAUUGUAUAACCGGGUACUUACGGAGAAGAACAACCUGUUGUCUCAGGAACUAGAAAAGUGUCGGAUCCAGCUAACUGCUGCUACCGCUGAACUGGAGAAAUCCAAGAAGGCAUCACCUGGUAAUGUUCCCCUCCAUCGAGAAAACAUAAUUAUAUACUAGCAAUACUAACACUGUUGCUCAUCUUAUGGCAGGAUCGUCAGAUCAACUGAAGGAGCAACUGAAAGCCGCCCAAGCGGAAGAACAAGGAGCCAAAAGACUACUGUCCACGGGCGAACGUGUGUUGACACGAGUCAGGGAUGAGAAAAACAAGCUGCAGGAUUCCUAUACCCAGCUGGGUGAAGAACUGAAAGAUGUACGGGCCCAGCUGGCUGAUUCCGUGAAGGAAAAUAAGAGGCUGCGCGACGGCAUUUUUGGUAUGUGGUCAAACUUACCUCCGUGUAGUUCGGAGAUGAAAGGGACUGACAGAAUUAUAUCUGUAGGUAUGCUGACUGGCCGUCCCGAAGAGGAGAUGUCCGGAAUCUCGGCCGAUCUGCUACAAGAGCUGUCGCAAAUGCACGAGCAAGCUCGGCAGGCGAUGCGAAGUGUUGCCAAGGCUUUAUGGCCAUCCGCCUCUCCUCCAGGAAGGAUGGAGGAGCUUAUACAGCUAUUCAAGGGAGCACGGUGGCGCUUUCUCUUAUGGAAGAUAUCGGCCUGCCGGGAAGGUGCACGAGAAGCCUGGGCCAUGGUCAAAACACGGUAUACCAAGCUUGAUCCCAAUCAUAUGGCCCAGGUCGGACCUCUAGGGUCAGAUGGGAAAGAAAUUCCUGUGAAUUUGGUAUAUGACCAAGUAGAAGUAGCCGUCAAAUAUUCCCAAGAGGAUUGUAAAUUAGACAGCCUGUUAGACGAUAUAGAGGAGGAAAUUUAUGAGUCCAAGUGACUAUGUACUUUCCUUGACAUAUUUGUCCCUAGCCGGAUUGUAAAACGAUUGUCACGGCAGACCUUUUCGCUUCGACCUCUGGACCCGAAGGUGCGGAGUGUUUCCGAAUACCUGAGCGGCAAAAUAGACCAGGGUAUGUGUGGAAACCAGGCGUAGGGGUCAUAGUUGCUUGAACAGACAAGUUGUAUCCGGCUAGCUAUGUUAUAUUACAUUGUGAUUGUAAUAAACAUCUUCCAGAGAGAAUAGUUCCGUUAAGGAUUCCUUUCCCUGGGUGUACGUGCGUUAAUGUGCAUGUCCGAACUAUGAUUUGAAAAAUUCGCAGUAUAUUCAACAUCUAGGGGUUCAAAUUUUAAUGAGUGUAAAAACAUCUUUAGUUUGCCGACCGAAUAUUCGAAUGCUAGCUUUCGGCUUCACCCAGUCUGAGGUACACAUCCGGAUGACCCGGCAGUAACAAUCGCAGAGGUGCUCCCUUUAUGCCCUAGCCGAACUAACGGGAACGUAGGGCAUAAGCACAGGAGCCAGGCAACCCAGCUUGGCCAAAACUUAAGUCAUAUCGAUUCAUAUAAUGGCAAAGAAAAGGUACACAUGAGGAAAAACGCAUAUGUGAUGAGCUUGAUGCUUGGAAAAUAACAAUAAUAAGCUUCUGUCAAAGAAGCCCCCCAGGUAUAAUGGACGUACAUAUUUGAGGAUGUGUAUGUCACAGGUGCAUGGUUUAGCAGCACGAAGAGCUUUAAGGCUAAAAAGGAAAAAGCGAAAAGAGAGGAAAAAGUAAUGGAAACAAUAGGGAGAAGGAGACGAACAAAGAGUUCGGCGCUAGGCAUAGAAUCUUCGGAGUAUGGCCGUGUUCCAGGGGUUCGGCUCUAGGUGAUUGUCUGAUGCAUCACGCAGGCGGUACGCUCCUCCAGUGAGAACUUCGUCAAUUAUGAAGGGACCCUCCCACUUGGGCUUGAGUUUGUCCUUUUUCUUCUCCGGCAGGCGUAGAACAAGUUCGCCAAUAUUAUAAGUCUUGGCCCGCACUUCUCUCCUUUGAUACCUGCAAGCCUGUUGUUGAUAAAAUGCUGAACAGGCUUUUGCAAUGUCGCGCCCCUCCUCCAGGGCAUCUAAGCUGUCCUACCGAUCAAGCUCGACCUCUCUCUCUUCGUACAUGCGCACUCGAGGUAAGUCAUGAAUAAUGUCGCAGGGUAACACAGCCUGUGUGUCGUACACCAUAAAGAAAGGUCUAUAUCCGGUAGUGCGAUUGGGCGUGGUCCGCAGCCCCAGAGUACGGAGUCGAGCUCCUCAACCCAGUGCUUGUUUGAUUCUUUCAAAGACCGCACUAGUCUAGGCUUGAUGCCGCUCAUAAUAAGAUCAUUGGCUCGUUCGAUUUGACCGUUUGUUUGCGGGUGAUAGACGGAGGCGUAAUCGAUCUUAAUGCCCCGAUUAGCGCACCAGUUUUUCACCUCAUCGGCUGUGAAAUUGGAGCCGUUAUCGGUGAUGAUGCUGUGUGGGACACCAUAACGGUGUACAACGCCGGAUAUAAAGUCUAACACUGGUCCAGCUUCGGCCGUUUUAACUGGUUUGGCCUCUAUCCACUUAGUGAAUUUAUCCACCAUGACCAGUAGAUAUUUUUUCUUAUGGCUUCCUCCUUUAAGGGGUCCAACCAUAUCAAGCCCCCAGACCGCAAAAGGCCAGAUGAUGGGGAUUGUUUGUAGAGCAGUGGGUGGCAUAUGGCUUUGGUUGGCGAAAAGCUGGCAUCCGACGCAACGUUGGACAAGGUCCUGUGCAUCUGCUCGGGCCGUCGGCCAAUAGAAACCUGUACGGAAGGCCUUGCUUACAAGGGCCCGAGCUGCAGCGUGGUGACCACCGAGACCGGCAUGAAUUUCAGCCAAGAGUUGCCGCCCCUCUUCCUCGGAGAUACAUCUUUGGAGUACUCCGGUAGCGCUUUUCUUGUAGAGUUCUCUGUCGUGAACCUUGUAGGCUUUUGAGCGUCAGACAACGCGGCAGGCCUCAUUCUGAUCCUCAGGGAGUUCUCGCCUAUUAAGGUAGGCCAAGAAGGGUUCGGUCCAUGGGGCAAUGACUGCCAUGAUGAGAUGGGCCGACGGUGUUAUUUCGGUGGCUGAGCCCCCGAUGAUAUCGGUGUGUUCGGCAUCUGGGGUUAUAGGCGGAUCCGGACUGGUGUUGCUGCUCUCCCCUUGCCACACCAUGGACAGCUUAAAAAGCCUUUCCAGAAAAAUGUUAGGUGGGACGGGGUCGCGCUUGGCACCGAUGCGAGCAAGGACGUCCGCCGCUUGAUUACUUUCUCGAGCCACAUGAUGAAACUCGAGCCCCUCGAACCAAGCCGAGAUUUUGAGAACGGCGUUACGGUAAGCCGCCAUUUUCGGGUCUCUGGCAUCGAAAUCUCCAUUUGUUUGAGAUAUUGCGAGGUUUGAGUCCCCGCGCACUUCCAGGCGUUGUAUGCCCAUGGAGACAGCCAUCCAAAGACCAUGCAAUAAGGCCUCAUAUUCGGCUGCAUUGUUGGAGUCUGUGUAUAAUAUUUGGAGUACAUACUGAACUACGUCUCCCGUGGGGGACGUUAAGACAACGCCCGCUCCUAACCCCGCCAACAUUUUGGAACCCCAGUUGGAAUACGUGCCGUACUCUUUAGGGAGUUCGGCCUCGGUCCAUUCGGCGACGAAGUCAGCCAGUACUUGGGAUUUAAUGGUGCGGCACGGUUUGUAUGCUAUGUCGAAUGGAAGGAGCUCGAUGGCCCACUUAGCAAUCCGGCCCGUGGCAUCGCGGUUGUUUAUUAUGUCAUUGAGUGGUACCUUGGAAGCCACCGUAAUCGAGCACUCUUGAAAGUAGUGUCGCAGCUUCCGGGAUGCCAUGAAGACCGCGUAUGCUAUCUUUUGGUAAUGAGGGUAUCAGGAUUUGCAUGGUGUGAGGACAGUGGAUACGUAGUAUACCGGUUUCUAGAGCGGGAAUUUGUGUCCGUCCUGCUCUCGCUCAACGACGAGCACGGCGCUCACCACCUGGUGUGUUGCCGAUAUGUAUAAUAACAUGGAUUCGCCAACGUUCGGCGCGGCCAGGAUUGGGUUGCUCGUUAGAAGGGCCUUUAUUUCCUCCAGUCCGGCCGUUGCCGCGUCCGUCCACUCAAAGUGGUCGGUGCAUCGGAGAAGGCGAUAGAGUGGCAAUGCUUUUUCUCCCAAUUUGGAGAUAAAGCGGCUUAAAGCUGCCACGCAUCCCGCGAGUUUUUGGACCUGUUUAAGGUCUGUUGGCGUAGCCAAUUGUGACAAAGCUCGGAUUUUGGCUGGAUUUGCCUCAAUUCCCCUAUUGGAAACGAUGAAGCCCAGCAGUUUUCCGGCGGGGACGCCGAAAACACACUUUUCCGGAUUGAGCUUGAUGUCAUAUGUACAGAGGUUGUCGAAUGUGAGACGUAGCUCGUCUAUCAAUGACUCGACGUGCCUGGUUUUGAUGACGACGUCAUCCACGUAUGCUUCAACUGUCGUGUCGAUCUGUUUCUCCAGGCAUGUUUGAAUCAUGCGUUGGUAGGUGGCGCCAGCGUUUUUGAGCCCGAAAGGCAUAGUGUUGAAGCAAAAAGGCCCAUAUGGGGUAAUGAAUGCUGUUGCAGCUUGAUCGGACUCCUUCAUCUUGAUUUGAUGGUAUCCGGAGUAUGCGUCGAGGAAACACAGUGAGUCGUGUCCUGAGGUUGCAUCAAUAAUCUGAUCGAUGCGAGGGAGGGGGAAGGGAUCCUUAGGGCAGGCCUUUUUGAGGUCUUUGAAAUCGACGCAUAGGCGCCAGGAUUUAUCCUUCUUUGGUACCAUCACCAGGUUUGCUAGCUAGUCCAGGUGUUUUAUUUCUCUGAUGAAUCCAGCCUCGAGUAACUUGGCUAGCUCCUCUCCCAUAGCUUGUCGAUUGGGUUCGGAAAAACACCGCAGUGUUUGCUUAUAUCCCUUUAAUAUAUUGAGGCUGUGUUCGGCCAGCCUGCGUGGGAUUCCUGGCAUAUCAGAAGGGUGCCAGGCGAAUAUGUCCCAGUUCUCACGCAGGAACUUUCGUAGCGCGGCGUCGACCGUCGGGUCGAGUUGUGCCCCGAUGGAUGCUGUCUUCUUGGGGUCCGUCGGGUGGACUUGAAAUUUGACUAUUUCCUCUGCUGGUUUAAAGGAGGUGGAUUUGGGUCGUUUGUCCAAGAUUACGUAAUCCCUAUCCAUAGUAGAGCGCAGCGCGGUUAGCUCUGCUGCCGCAAGUAUUUCCGACAAUGCUUCGAGGGCCAGGGAUGCAGUUUUAUUCUCGGCGCGGAGUGCUAUGUCCGGAUCACUGGCAAGAGGGAUGAUACCGUUGGGCCCGGGCAUCUUGAGCUUCAUGUAUCCGUAAUGAGGUAUAGCUUGGAAGCAUGUGAAUGCGUCUCGCCCCAAUAGGGCAUGAUAUCCGCUGUUGAAUGGAGCCACUCUGAAAGUUAUCUCCUCGGACCUAUAAUUCUCCGGUGUGCCGAAUACCACGUCGAGCGUGCUUUUUCUCGCGCAUCGUGCCUCCCGACUGGGAAUGAUUCCCCGGAAAGUCAUGCUACUUUGCUCAAUGCGACUUCUGUCUAUUUCCAUUUUAUUGAGCAUAUCCUUGUAGAUGAGGUUUAAUCCGCUGCCGCCGUCCAUGAGCACUUUGGUGAGCCGAAAUCCGUCCACAAUUGGACUAAGGACCAAGGCGACUGGUGCCCGGACUGUCCUGAAUUUUGGUUCAUCAUCGGCAUUGAAAGUUAUGGUCGUGUCGUUCCAGGGGUUUAUUGUUGCGACUUGGCAGACUUCGGCGAGGUCGCGGAGUGCCCUUUUGCGCUGAUUUUUUGAAGCGAAAGUUUCGAAGACCCUCAAUACUCUAAGGUCGUUGUCUUCCAGGGGGUGUUGUUCUGGGGUAUUUUUGGUGAGGAGAUCCUCGCCGCUCUUGGCCACUUGCCGGAGUAUCCAACAUGCUCUAAGGCUAUGGGUUGGUGUGGUAUCCAGUGUUGUUUGUAUUUUACAUGGCCUAUCGAGCCAUCCCUCCAGAACGGUUCCGCGCCCCGUAAUGGGCUUAGAUUUCUUUACUAUUGGGUCGGGCGCCCCACGAGGGUGCGUCCUUUUUGCCCGGACGAGGGGCUGAGCUAGAACCGGUGGUUCCCAGCGAGCUGCCUGAGUUUUCCAGGCGCUUUCCAUUGCGCAGUACUUUUGUACUAUGGUUGCCAAGUCACUGAAGUGUAAUACGCGACGACGGUUGAUGGCAUUGAGGAUUCCUUCGUCCGUGCAAUUGUUGCAGAAUACGGAGAUCGAGUCUUUGUCAUGGCAAUCUUUAAUCUUGUCUUUGACAAAGAGGAAUCUGGCCCAAAAGUGAUGGACCGUUUCCCGAGACCGCUGUCGUAUGUACAUAAGAUCGUGUACAGCUGGGUGGGUGGGUGGAUUUAAAUCUGAUCCCUGACCCAAUUUGGGAUCCGGAGUUGGAAAAUCUUCCGAACUUAAUGGUUCGGGCUCCGGGAUAUCUGCUGAUGUAUUAGGCCCGCCGUCCGAUUCUAAGUUCGGAGGGCAGGGCACGUCGUCCCGCGGACAGGUAUCCAGCUCCUCGAGCUCGGAAAUCUAAACAUAUUUCAUCCUCAAUAUGGAGGAAGAGUUAUUGUUUUGCUCCUCUACUACCGCUAUCUGAUGGGUGAUCGGUGGAGAUUUGAUUUCUCUCUGGUCAGGUUUAAGCCCAAUCCGAUCGUAGUCUGUAGUGACCCCCAAAGCGGCGAUGCGAUCUAGGAGUUCGUUUAAAGACGACAACUCCUUCGGAUCCAUACGUUUGGAGUUUUUGGAGUCAACCCGGAGGCGAUUUUCGAUGACUCGAGAGGUGAUCGUCGGCUUAACGGCCGAACAGGCGGUCAUGGUAAAGCCACCAAGCCGGAGGGUUUGGCCUAGGGCUAAGGCUCCUCCGGAGGUGAUAUUAUCCUUGAUGACAAGGCGAGCCAUCAAUCCUGUUUUCGACGUCACAGUGGAACUCUCAAUGAAAGCACCAAUCCUGAAUGGUUGGCUAACCCGGUGCUGGUACUUAAGAAAAAUGGUACUUGGCGCAUGUGUGUGGAUUACACAGACCUUAAUAAAGCAUGCCCGACCGAUCCUUUUGCUCUCCCUCGUAUUGACCAGAUUAUUGAUGCUACGGUGGGUUGUGAGCGUUUGAGUUUCUUGGAUGCCUAUUCAGGGUAUCAUCAGAUCAAGAUGGCAGUUAAGGACCAGGAGAAGACAACCUUCAUCACUCCCUUUGGAGCCUUCUGCUAUGUGUCUAUGCCUUUCAGGCUCAAGAGUGCCCAGGCGACUUACCAGCUGUGUGUUCAAAAUUGUCUUCAUGAUCAGAUUGGGCGCAAUGUUCAUGCUUAUGUGGAUGAUAUUGUGGUGAAAUCAAGGAAGAAGGAGACUUUGAUAGAUGAUUUGAAAGAGACCUUUGACAAUCUCCGGGUCUACAAGAUGAUGCUUAACCCGGCAAAAUGUGUCUUUGGUGUACCAGCAGACAAGCUCUUGGGUUUUCUGGUUUCUGAACGGGGCAUUGAAGCUAACCCCAAGAAAAUCAAGGCUAUCACUUCCUUGGCUAAACCAGCGUGUAUUAAUGAUGUUCAGCGUCUGGCGGGUCGUAUUGCGGCCUUAAGCUGGUUCAUAAGCCGGUUGGGUGAAAAAUCUAUCCUUCUAUACCAGAUGAUGAAGACAACAGAUCACUUUAUCUGGAGUGAUGAUGUUGAUCAGGCGUUUGAAGCCUUGAAGAAACAGUUAGCUGAGCCGCCCAUCCUUGCUGCUCCUAUUGACAAGGAGCCCUUGUUGUUAUAUGUGGCUGCUAAUAGCCGAGCUGUCAGCGUGGCGAUUGUUGUGGAAAGGAAGGAAUCAGGCAAGGAGUAUCCGGUUCAGCGGUCGGUUUAUUAUAUCAGUGAGGUCCUCAUUGAAUCCAAGCAGAGGCAUCCACAUUGGCAGAAACUGGUAUAUGGAGUGUUCAUGGCUAGUCGUAAGUUGAAGCAGUAUUUCCUUGGUCAUCCCAUCACUGUGGUAAGUUCUGCUCCCUUGGGGGACAUUAUUCAAAACAGAGAAGCCACGGGUCGGGUAGCCAAAUGGGUCAUUGAGCUCGGACCCCAUGGUUUGAAGUAUAUGCCACGGACAGCUAUCAAGUCUCAAGCACUGGUGGAUUUUAUCAAUGACUGGACUGAGCUGCAGAUGCCUGAGGUGAAGCCAGAUAGCACAUAUUGGACUAUUCACUUUGAUGGAUCCAGGAAGUUCGAAGGCUCGAGGGCUGGAGUUAUUUUGACUUCCCCACGAGGUGAUAAAUUUUGUUAUGUUUUAAGGUUGAUGUUCCCUUGUACUAACAAUGCAGCUGAGUAUGAGGCCUUGCUCCAUGGUCUUCGGAUGGCUAAAGAGAUGAAAUUAAGCAGGGUGAGGUGUUUCGGUGACUCAGAUCUGGUGGCUCAGCAAGUUUCAGGCCCUUGGGAUUCUAAGGACCCACUCAUGGCGGCUUAUCUCCGCGAGGUCGAUGCUAUUGCUGGUCAGUUCAAAGAUUAUCAAGUGGAACAUGUUGAUAGAAGGAAAAACAAGGCGGCUGAUGCUUUAAGAUGGUUGGGGUCCCAGCGUAAGCUGAUGCCACCAAAUGUUUUCCUUGAUAUUCUGCAUAAUCCUUCAGUCAAAUUGCCUACGGAGGAAGAUCUUGCUAUUCCUGACCCAGAGGCGUAGUUGGUGGCGGCUCUUCAUGCUAUUCCUGAUUGGACAGUUCCAUAUUUGGCUUAUAUGACCCGGGGCGAAUUACCUGAAGAUGAAACUUUGGCCAGGCAGAUAACCCGGCGGUCUAAGUCAAUGACUAUUGUCAAUGGAGAGUUGCACCGUUGCAGUGUCACAAGGGUGUUUCAACGUUGUGUCUCUCUUGAGGAGGGCCAUGAAAUUCUGCAAGAGAUUCGUGAAGGAGAUUGUGGUCAUCAUGCCGGCUCUAAGUCUCUCGUGGCCAAGGCUUUUCAUCAUGGGUUUUAUUGGCUGACGGCUCAUGCUGAUGUAAAGGAUUUGGUCAGUAAAUGUGAUGGUUGUCAGAAAUUUUCAAGACGAGCUCAUGUGCCGGCUCAAGAAUUGAGGAUGAUUCCAAUUACUUGGCCGUUUGCAGUCUGGGGGCUUGAUAUGGUUGGACCUUUCAAAAGGUCCAAUGAUAAAAAGACCCACCUUCUGGUGGCGGUUGACAAAUUUACAAAGUGGGUUGAGGCAGAGCCGGUCAGUAAGUGUGACGCGGCGACAACGGUUCAGUUCAUCAAAAAGGUGAUUUUCCGUUUUGGCUAUCCCCACAGCAUUAUAACUGAUAAUGGCACUAAUCUAUCCAAGGGUGCUAUGAAAGAGUUCUGUCAACGAGAACAUAUUCGUCUUGAUGUAUCAUCAGUGGCCCACCUCCGGUCCAAUGGCCAAGCUAAAAGAGCCAAUCAAGAAAUUUUGAGAGGCAUCAAGCCCCGGCUUAUGGUCCCUUUGCAGAGGACACCGGGUUGUUGGGUGGAGGAAUUACCCUAAGUGCUAUGGAGUAUCAAUACAACCCCCAACAGAUCUACGGGUUACACGCCUUUCUUCAUGGUUUACGGAGCAAAGGCGGUUCUCCCUAGUGACAUCCGUCACGACUCACCCCGUGUGGCGGCUUAUGUUGAAGCAGAUAAUGAAAGGGCACGUCAGGAUGAUCUUGACUUAUUGGAUGAGGAGUGUGACCAUGCGGCGGCUCAUUCGGUGAUUUAUAAGCAAAAUCUGCGUCGUUAUCAUAGCCGCCGGGUUAAAACCAGGACCUUUCAAGAAGGAGAUUUUGUGCUCCGGCUUAUCCAGGAUCAAACUGAUAUGCACAAGCUAUCCCCACCUUGGGAAGGGCCCUUUGUGGUCAGCAAAAAUUUGAACAAUGGGUCAUACUACCUUAUCGAUGUUCGAGACCACAAGGACUCACGCACGUCGGAGGAGGAGACCCGCCGGCCGUGGAAUAUUGCUCAUCUUCAGCCUUAUUACGCUUGAGCCACCGGCUCUUGUGAUGUACAUGCUUCUAUCAAUGUACAUAUUAUGAUGAAUAUAAUAAAGCCAUCAUCCCUGAUAAUUUAGGGCCUCUGUCGUUUCAUUUCUGAGAAUACGAGUCUUUAUUGUCACUUCAUACGAUCACUUGGGGGCUUCCUGCUUAUUGAGCAUAGCUAUGAUUACCCUCUUGAUCCGGCUUGUACGCCAUGAUUGCGGAAUACUUGGGGGCUUACCGCUCAUUGAGCAUAGCUAUGAUUACCCCACCGAUCCGGCUUAUACGCCUGGACUGAAAUAUUACUUGGGGGAUCCUUGUUAAUGAACAAAGCUUUGUUGAUCCUUGUAAUAGGCUUGGACGCCAGGUGUAUUCACCAAAACAUACGGGCUAUCCUGCCUUUGUUUUGCCUGCCACUCCGACCAGGUAAUCCUGGAAUGACUCGCCGUACUCUUGACAAUCAAUCUUGUAAAGACCCUGAAUUUGUCAAAGUUAAAACAACGAUUGGUCAUGUGAGGUAUGACUUACGAGGUUUGAAUUAAGGUUUAACUCAGCGGCUGCGUGGCCCUUGAAUAACGCUUGACAUGGAGGCUUGGCAGCCUAUGAAUGCCUUGUUUUCUGUUUUUUCUUUGAUUUGAACAUUUUUUGAGGUUGAUUUUUUAUGCCAUGUUGAUACAUGGUUGAAAACUGAUUAGGGCCAUGAUGCCUUAUGGUUCAUAUAUGAAUCUAUCCGGAGUUUUGUCAACCCGGCCUGGUUUUGGACUUUAAGUCGCUAGUGUAUGAUGAUUAUGUGCUUGGAGUGCUGUGCUCUCAGCUUUGGGAUGCUACCCCUUGCUGUAUGUGGCGUUGACAGCCGGCGGUAUACAUAAAUUGAACAGGGCGUUGUGCUCUGUCUUUGUGCUGUUACCCUUACUGCACGAUGUAUGAUAAACCUGCAGUGUGAACAAAUAUCACAUGUAUGAUUUUUGUUAUAGGUUUUGAUAAACCGGCCCUGAUUAUGGACUAUUUAGUCAUUAGUGGUUUUUAUAUGGGGUAUUAUGACCCGCCCUGGGGUAAACCGCCAGGGCACUUGUUAUCUGCUCAUGUGCAGGGAAAGAUGAUAAGCAUGGUCCGCAUAAUUGAUGAUAUUAUAAGCAUAAGUGGCAGAUCUUCAAAGGACGGAUCGGCAGUAUUAUGCAAACAAAACAUGCACGAUGGCACGACAGAUCGGUGUUUUAACUAGCCUAUAACAUGGCUCCAUGAGCCCAAAUGAUUAAAUGUUUUUCAGACAAUAUCUGAUGAUGCAGAGUAUGAGCCGUCCAGUGGAUCAAUUCUCCUGGUCUUGGCGGUUUGAGGCUUCCGGGUCAUCCCGCGCCGGUUCUUCUUCUCCCUCCAUCGUCUGGAAGUUAGGCGAUGACCAAUUGAUGCCAGUCAAAGCUUGAAAUUCAGCCUCGUCAUCGAUAAGCUCAGAUGGAUCGGUUUCAGGGGCGGAAGUAUGCUUACGGAUUGGAGGGAUCAGAUCCACAAUUUUGUAAGCCGGCGUGGGCAUCUUUUGGUUUUCCGCUGUAUAAGCCGCCUGAUACUUGGACAGAUCUGUUUCUUCAGCAAUAAGACUCGCCAAUGGACAUAUCUCCUUCACGCAAGCAGCAAAAUCUUUCUUGUCAAAGGGAGACUCGUCCUCCUUGAAGCUGGGGCAGCCAGUAGCUAGCUCGGUCGGGUCUAAUUCUGCCUGCCAUGCCUUGCCCGGCUUAAAGCCGUAAUGGCACCAGCUCUGGCGGCUGACCGCUUGAUUUCUUCAAUUCUGGCAGGCACGACAGAAAGUUUGCUUAAGACAUCGCUGAGAAGAGCUGGUGCUUGAUUGGUUGGGGAGAUGAUAACUAUUGUGCGCUGGGCACCAGUGUAUAGCUGCUCUACUAGCGUGUAAACCGCCUUGAGUUUUAUCAGCACUUCUUUACCAAGAUUGCUGCUCCUGGGGCAUGCAGAACAUAUUAUGAUUAAGCCACCAGGCAGUUUACAGAAUGGAGUGUGGAAAGUCAUUACAAUGUUAAAGAUCUUACCAAAAAUAGUAGAGGUCGUCUGUGUGAUAUGAUGCUUCAAGCCAGUAAGUUAUGUGGUGACAUCCUCCAAAGAGGCCUCAACUUUUUCAGCCCUUUGUAUCAGGGCAGCCUUCUCUUCUGCCCAGGUGGCUUGCUCAGCAUUAAAGUCAGAUUUAAGCUUCUGUUUUCAUCCAAGCUAAACUUGAACUUGGAGUCAGCCUUCCGGGUCUCAGCUUCUUGUGCUUCAAGCCGGGUUUUUAAAUCGGUCAACUCAGAUUGAAAUUGACUGGACGCCUCCUGCAAGUAGAAGAUCGAAACAAGUAUACACAGUUAUGAUAUAGUCUUGUACAAAGAAAAGUCCCAAGCCCUUUGCAAGCAAUAGCACUUGGCACUUGGGGGCUAAUGGGUGUAGAAAGUUUCUUUAUGAAGCGGUGAUAGUGACAAGUCCCAAGCCCUUUGCAAGCAAUAACACUUGGCACUUGGGGGCUAAUGGGUGCAGAAAAUUUCUUUUAUGAAGCAGUGGCAGAAAAAUCCGGUUCAUCUUUUUCAAGUUAACCCGGUUUGUAAGGGUGACCAGAUGAGAUUUUCAGUAACAAUGAUAGGUCCCGGUUUAUUCAUAUUGAUUAAACUGGCCCUUGGGGGCUACAGGUGCAAAGUUGAUCACUAUUAAUUGAAGUCCCGGCUUAACUUGAUAGUUUAAGCCGGCCCUUGGGGGCUACUAGUUUGAUCUUCACAUAUUUAUGACUAUCUAAAAAUCUAUAGUAUAUUCAAUUCUAUCAUAUUCAGUAGACUUGGGGGCUGAAGGAAUGUAUCUUACAGAAAAGGCAGAAGUUGAUACCUCAUAUUUCUGGUGCAUGUGUUUGACCAUGUCAAUCUCCAGAUCGCGGCUGCUGUGCACCUGGCCGAGGUAGCCGGAGAGGAUUUCGUUAAUGCUCAGAUGAGAAUAAUUGGCCAUGUCAAAUUUGACCUUGCGUUUCUCGAUCAAUUCUUCCUUGGCAGAAUGUUUUGCUAGAGCAACAGGAUUCCCCGGUUCUUGAAAACUAGUGCUAGUGAUCAGAACUUCAGUGUUCGGUUCUGACGGCUUGACUGGGCUUGGCGGUUUAGCACCCAAAGGAUCAAUAACUGUAUGUUCAACAGAGGCAUCAGGAUUCUCUGGUGGCGGGUCAUCAGCAAGUUCCUCUUGGUGUUGCACGGAGGCUUCAGAUAUUGGUGCUUGCUUUUCCGGUUCAUGAGUCUUGGGGUCUUCUACUGGCUUGUUUAUUUUAGCCUUUUUGCUAGGCUUUGCUAUUCCACUGCAAGAGGAUAGAAAUGGUGAGUAUAAGUAUAGAAAUGUGAAAAGGCAAAGAUAAAAUUUGUACCCAGGGGCAGUCUUGAAAGCCGGAAGCUGAGUCUGAGAUAAAUCGCCAGACGAAGAGUGAGAGGUCCCCUGAUAAUUUGAGUCAGAAGGAUUGAGUGCUUGACGAAUAAGACCUGCCUUGGGAUAAAUAGAGUUGGAAUUUCGAAGCACCUCAUUCCGGCAUUUGCAUGGGGCUGGUGUGUUAGGUAAACCGGAGGAAAGUUCUCCGCCUCCAUUGGUCCGAGUUCGGCACCGCUUCUCAUGCUGUUGUUGCUUCAAAAUAAAGUUGGGAUCCAACUGAGCUAAAGGGUGAGAAAACCUUAAUUCCGGAUCACUUGUUGAAUUUUCUGUCUUGGCAAAGGCUCUGAGUCGGAGGAAAUAAUAUUUACCUCGUCAUCACCCGCUUGGCUGGUUUCCACGUCAUCCUGAUAGCAAUCAGUGUCAAUAAGAUAGUUGAAAAAAGAGCCAAGGGAAUCAAGGCCUACCUCCGACUCAUCAUCUUCAUCUAGGUUCAACAUAUCAGAAGUAGUGGAUUUCUUUUUAUUCUUCUUCAGGGCUUUAGUUUUAGCCCUGGCUUUCUUGGCGGCCUUUUCAUCAUAUUUCCUUUUCCAAAAGGCGGCUCCAGCCUGCAAAAAUUACAAUAAAAGUUGGAGAUUUGCAAGUUAUAUGAACAAUGAAGUGAAGUAUAUAAACUGGACAGACUUACAUCCGGUGCCAGGUUGAGUGUGCAGAAGGGAUUCAACCCCACUUUGCUGCAACUAUCCAAGCUUUCUUUGAGAAGGGUUUUGGUCAUAUCAUUAAUGGCUUUAUUAAUCAAACGUGUUGAGCUGUAGCAUAGGGGAUCUUUGGCAUCACCAGUAUAUGUGCACAUUAAACCGGACCGGUGGCUUAAAGGUAUAAUCCUCCAAGCUGCCCAGCCUCGAACCAGGUCAACCCCAGUCAAUCCAUUGGCCAAUAAUGCUUUAACCUUUGAAAAGGUAGGCAUAAGUUUGGCUCGUUCAGCAGUGGUAAGCCGUUCGGGGAGAGGGUGCUUCGGGUUGAGCCGCUGGUCAUGGAAGCCUGGCAAGGGUUUUCAUCAGCAGGAGAAGUAUCUUUGCAAUAGAACCAGGUUUGAUUCCAAUCCUUGGGAUGACUUGGAAGCUGAGCAUAAGAGAAAAUAGCAUCUCUUCGCCACUGAAUCGAGAUCCCUCCAAGUUCUUGGCUGGGCCCGUCAGUGAAUUCAUUUUGGCGGUUCAAAUAAAAAUACUCUCUGAAGAGUUCAAUACUGGGUUCUUCUUGAAGGUAUACUUCACAGAAGACUUGGAAAUUGCAGAUAUUUGAAACAUAAUUGGGUCCGAUGUCUUGAGGAUGAAGAUGCAAAAAUGCAGAACGUCACGGAAGAGGUUUGACCCGGGCAGUGAGAAGCCCCGAUUCAUGUGAUCAGUGAAAACAAUAACUUCAUCAUCUUGUGGCUGAGGUAUGACUUCGUCGGGGUUUGGGGCGCGCCAGUGAAUGACGUCUUUUGCUGGUAAGAAGCCAAUUUUUACAUACUCUUGGAGCAUUGCUUCUGUGACGAUGGAUGGGACCCAAUCGCAUGACGUAACUGUCUUAGUCAUGAUUGGGUGCAUGGCCUAAACAAGACGAUUCAAGAUGUUAUUAAACCGACAGAUACCUGGCGGGUUACAAAUUAUCGUUUAAACUACCGUGAAGGGCUAAUGGUUAUGGAUUUACCAGUUCAGAAUAUGUAGUUGACAAACCGGAGAAUUGAGUUAUGAGGAUGAAUAAAUAAGCAUGGUUAAGCCGGAGGAUAUUGCCGGGUUAUUCAGAUUAUGAAGCAUAUGAUGGUGGUUUAAACAUUAUAUAAGCCGCCAUGGCUAAGUGCUAGAUAAACAUUUGGCUAAGUGCUAGAUAAACAAGAUUCUACAGAUGGAUGUAUAAUUAUGGAUCUACCACAGUUGGGAAAAGAAAAGUAAAUUUUAAACCUAAAGGUUGUGACAGUGGAAAAGUUCAUUUGUGCGAAGAUUCUCUGUAUAGAAGGAAUGUUUCCUAUGCUUGAGAGGGGGUGUCAAACAGCUUUCGCACGCCUCUAAUUCUAUUUUCAGAUUGAAACGAGUGCAUUACGGAGAAACAGUGAAGAACAGCAAGAACAGUGAUGAACUAUUCAAACCCUAGUGCGGAUCUGAGGCAUGGGUAAAGGAGUACUUACGGAUGCGUUGGAACAACAGUGGUGCGCCGGCGUUCUCUGGUCUAAUCAAGUUGAUGCAGCGGCCUACACUACAAAAAAAAGACACAUCCGUGACAUUUUGGGCCGAACGAAAUUUUUUUUGUCAUACAUAUGACACUUCUAUGACGAUAAUUGUGACAAAACCCGGUAUCAUCAUAGAUGUGGUGGGCUCCUACUUAUAUGACAAAAAAUCAUGACAGAAAAUGGGCUUUUCGUCCUGGGCGGGCCGGAGACGCAGCUGCAUGACAUUCUUUGGGCCGUCCAUGACGGAAAAAACCGUGGUAGAAGCAAGGGUGAGGAAAAUUUCGGGGAGUUCCCGGUUACGGUGGGAGGUCGGGGGCCGAGCGAUGCGCGUUUCUCUCGUACACGUACGCGCGUGUGUGCGAGGCAUUGGCUCUAACUGAACCCAAGCAAGGCGUUGGGCUCUAACUGAACCCGAGCGAUUGCACUGCAGGCUACGCGUUACAGAACCCGAUCGAGCGAUUCCUUCGCUACUGCUGCUAACUGAAGCCGAUCGAUUGGAUGAACAGUGAGCGUUGCGGCAGGGGGGGGGGUUGGAUGAACAGUGAGCGGUGGCGUUGCCUCGGGAUGAACAGGACCCCGUGGUGUGGUGGAGGGCUGGAUGAACAGUAGAUGGUGGAAGGGUGCCCGUGGAGGGGUGGUUGAAUAGGACCCCGUGGUGUGGAGGGCUGGAUGAACAGUAGACGGUGGAGGGGUGCCCGUGGAGGGGUGGUUGAACAGUAGCCGGUGGAGUAGCGCGCGGUGGAGGCUGGAUGAACAGGAGCCCGUGGAGGCUGGAGGAGGUCGACGGUAGCCCGUGGAGGCUAGAGGAGGUCGACAGUGGAGAUGAACAGUAUCCCGUGGAGUCCCGUUUUGCGGUACGCCACAUCCCUCCCGAUGAACAGGACCCCCGUUUCGACCGUAGGAGGUCCGUUUCGUCCGUUUUGCGGUACGCCACACCCCUCCCAAUCAACAGGACCCCCGUUUCGACCGUAGGAGGUCAGUGUAAACUUUGCGCUUGGCUGUUCGCCUAUUCGGGAAGUCGAACAAUAAUAGCACUAGUAGUAUAGUGUAUGCUUCUGGCACUCUGACACCGAAUUAACUGUUGCACGUCCACCGCCUGAGCGAGGGAGAGCUUGCAUUAGUCAAAAGUUUCUCCUUGUCCUGCGAGCCACCGCGCGCAAGCUUCUCCCGUCCUGCAACCUUCUCCUCGUUCGGCAAGUUGACGGGACACAGCAAAGUAAUGCUAGUCCAUACUGCCUCCUCUCCGGUUAAUAUGGCUUAAUUUCAAACGAGAUAAAUACACUGUCUGUCACUGUAUAUUUGUAAAAAUACGGUCAGUGGACUUCAUAAUACGCUCAUUGCGCUCAAUAUAUAUAUUUUCCGGUGUUUAUACGGUCACUAGCUCACCCUGACUGAGUAUGUGUGUGCAUGCACGUGUAGGUUGAGCACUUGAGCGUGACCGUGUGUGUUCCGUCGUGUGCUCGGACAUGCAUGCAUUAGGGCGUCGCGCGUGUUUUUGCGUCCAUGUGUACGUGUGACUGUUGCAUACACGUAGGGGGAGUACGUGUAGGGGCCACUAAGGAGCAGUCAAAUCACACAGUAAGUUAGUCGGAAGAAGCAACCAUCAUUACACUCUUGAAUGAAGCGUACGCAAUAUAAAAUGGUUGAUAUGGAGAGAAAAAGAAAACCACUAUAUAUACACUAGCAGGUCCCUAAGCUACAAGCCUGCUUGCUUAGGUUGCUCUCUUCACAAGCAUAGAACGACGGGUCUGAUCCCGCAGCUGGGGGAAGGGAACAAUGUUCUGCGUAGACGCGGUCGACGUCGGCGAGGGAGAAAACCACAGUCGGCGCGUCCCAAUCGGGGGUCACCGCGGUAUGGGCCGAUGUCGCAUCCCAACCGCCCUUCUUUCUACAGCCCGACGUCCCAGGUAGUCCAUCUUCCUUUUGGAGACGGCUUGCUCCACUGCCGUAGCUCCAUCUCCAUGUCGAUCUUUCUCUACUUCUACCGGCUUCUACUUGUGAUGAGUUUAUGUCUCAUGAACUAGUGCCAGUACUAUUAUUCUAAUCACACUUCUUCAAUAUCUUUGCCAUCAGGGAUGCUCAGGUCGAUUUUAGUGGAACUGCACAAAAGCAUCGUAUGAUCCGAGGGUGCCAGCCGUCUUUCCUUCGACAGGUUCUACCUGGCCAGGAAAUUAAAUCAUGUUUAGGGUUUAGGGUUUAAGUCGUAGUGACCCCAUCAGUAGUUUUUCUUUCGUACACACUCUCACAACUUUUUUCUUUAGUUGUGAAGUAAAUAUUGGCUAUGAUCUGUGAAUCAUUGAGAUGCAUCAGCAUGCGUGUUAGUUUUCCUUUGUAUUUGAUGGAAUGUUGUAACGGGGCAACCUUGGAAUAGGAAUGAAAAUGGAGUGGAAAGUUUCCGUUUUUCCGGAGAAAAAAUGGAAACGGAGAGAAACCAACGUUUCUUUUCGUUGGAUCGCGCCAUCGAGUAAAACCAACGUUUAAAUCACGUCUGUCGUGUUCGUGUCUCACCCUCCUCCACGGCUCGACCCCACACGGUCACUCGGCAUGCCACUCACCACAAACCGAGUAUACGAUAACUUUCCCGCCUGCUUGUCGAUGGACCUCGCCAUGGAGUACUAGCACUACUGGAAGAGAUUGACGAGUUGGGGGAGGACAGCUAGCUGUAGCACGGACUCCCAAGAACUUUUUACAUGCAUGUUGUAGCCGGCUAUUGCGACCUUUAAACGCGGAGCAGCCGCGUGCACCCGGAAGCGGCGCGGGCGACGCUCUCUUGGCCGGCGCGCCGCUUCAAUGCCGGCGCCAGUGAGAGGUCGCGUCCGCUCUGGCCGGGCAUGAAUGCGGCACUGACCGUUUCGGGCGGGAAGCACGCGCGGGUGAUGAAGAGGGUUCGGGUUGGUCAGGACCGGCUGUGGCAGCGGUCCGGACGUGCGCAAACAAGAGAUGUUGUACGUUAAUAUUGCUGCGUAUAUACAACAUAAAUAAUGUGCCAGUUGGACAAAUAUGAUUGGAGAUGGAGAUGGAAAUGGAAUUUUACAUAAACACGGAUAUGCAUGUCUAUGUCUAUGUGUGUGUGCGCGACGACUCUCGCGACCUGGAAGCGGGGGCGUGUUUUUGAUCGAGUUUUCUUUCUUGGUAUGUUAGAAAAUCAGUUUGUCUAAUUCACAUCUAGAUGUUAUUUAAGGAUAUCACAUCUAAGCUCCCACAAGUAUAUAAUGUAGCAACAAGAAACAAAAAAAACUAGGAAAAAAAAUAGACCACAAACAGAGUGGACAUCAACUUAGAUGUGACAUAACUAUGUCACAUCUAGAUGUGUCCUAGACAGACCCUUAAAAAAUUGUUCGCCAGUUUUCGUUUCUUUUUUCCGGGAACGCGUGUAUUCUAUUUAAAACCACUGCUAUGGAGAGAUUUUUUUACUCCAUUAUAGCCUCUUGUUUGAUAGAGUUUCUCGUGUCUCGCUCUCUCACCCUCUCCAUAUAUGUUACACGUUGGAGGCUCAACGUUCAUUUGCUAGGGUUUGCUAUAUUCACAGUCUCUCACCCUCUCUUCACCAGAUCUAAACAAGACUGCGUUGGCCUCUUGUCUCUCUCUCCCCCCUCACAGCUGGUGAAGGAGGCGUCCGUAUCCCGUCGCACCGGGAAGGGGAGGAGGUGCAACGUUCACUCUAUCGCCUUUGGCGAGGGAGGCAAUCCACUGCCGGCUGCGCUGUUCUCUUUCACCCAGCGCCUGUGCGGGAGGGCCACCGACCCCUUCUUCCUCGCUGCCGUACGUAGUGUGGGCAGAUCCGGCCUCCUGCCGCACGCCUUGCCACAUCCCGACGACCCUAAGGUAUAAGUUUCUUUGAAACCGUCGUUGCUCUAGCUGCAUGUGGAUCUUUUUCGAUCUGUAGUCGAAUCCAGGUCUUGGUUCAAAGAGGAAAGAAGGGUGCGGUGGGCUGGAGCAAGAAUCUAGGACGUGGUUCAAUGAGGAAAGGAGGGGCAGAAAGUAGUAUAGACUGGCUAUCCAGCCGCUUUGUAGGUCGAAAAGGGAAAAAGGGGGUAACCCAGUACACACAUCUGUAAGGAACCGAUCUCUUUGUUGAAAAGAGAAAGAAACUGGGUGGUCGGGUAGUUUGUGCAGGACUAGAUUUGCUGCCCUCACAUAGGAAGAAGGUUCAAAGAGAACAAAUAUGGGACCAGCGCAUAUAUGCUGCUUGGCUACAUACUCUGCAUCACCCAUUUAUACGUGUGGACGCACAGGGUGCUGGCAUGUCCCAUACAGCUAUUUUGCUGUUGUUAAUCUAAGAAUGCCGCCGGAAAAUUGAAGCAAUGCCACUGUUAAAAGUAAAUUACAUUUUUUAACGAAUGUUGUUUCAAGAGAAUGUCUCUGUUAAUAUGAAUCAAUGCAACCGUUUUAGAAAUGCUACUGUCCUACUUUGUUUUCCAUCCAAGAUAAGUUAGAUGCUUCUUUCUGUCACCGUUUGUUUCAUCCUCCUUUAUCGGCAAGUAAUUGUUUCCUUUUUUGCCUCUGUUAAAACAGGGCUAUCGAUUCAACUUGUUGCUAUUGCGACAUUUUGCUUCGCUACUCGAAACACUUAUGUUUUAAGAGUGUUUUGUGCAGUUCAACUUGAAUGUCACAUCGGUGACUUUGCUUAAUUUUGGUGGAACUACACAAAAGGAGAUCAAGAUUUGUUUCCAGUCUUCGUGGUGAGUUGUUUCAAAUCUUGGUCUCAACCACAUGAUGUGCAGUGUGCUUUGAGAUGUUGUGCUACUUGUUUUGGUACUGUUUUAAAUAAAUGUUGAAUUGAAGCUAUUGUAUUGCUGUCUUUUCCCAUUAAGUAGUGAACAAAAAUGGGACCAACCCAGACAUGAUGCUUGUUGCUUUGUUACAACAAAUUCAGCAUCACCCCCUUUAUAAGCCAGUAAUUGAUGCCACUCUCAGAAUUAACUACUGAAUCUUAUUUCAAAACUGCAACACUUGUUAGGGAUUGGCGGGAUUACCAUUUUUGUGGCCGCAUGUUUCAUCCUCCUUUAUUAGCCAGUAAUUGAUUCCUUUUUUGCCUCUGUUUAAACAGAGAUAUCUAUUCAACUUGUUGCUAUUGUGACAUUUUGCUUCGCUACGCGAAACACUUUGCUUGAUUUCAGUGCAACUGCACAAAACGAGAUUGGAUUUCCUAUUCGUGUUGGCAGAUUCGUAUUUUAUCUUGUCCGUCUCAUGAAAGGUCAGUAAAGCCUUCAUCCACAUGAUUGUGCAGUGUGCUUUGAGAUGUUGUGCUACUUGUAUUGGUACUGUUUUAAAUAAAUGUUGAAUUGAAGCUAUUGUAUUGCUAUCUUUUCCCAUUAAGUAGUGAACAAAAAUGGGACCAACCCAGACAUGAUGCUUGUUGCUUUGUUACAACAAACUCUGCAUCACCCCCUUUAUAAGUAGAUGGAAGCACAUACUGUUGUUGCGCCCACUCUCCCCUGGAACUGUUUAUGCUUUUCGUUAAUCUAAUGCCGCUGGUAAAAUUAAGCAAUGCCACUCUCAGAAUUAAUUAACUACUGAAUCUUAGUUCAAAAUUGCAACACUUGUUAGGAAUGGUACUAUCUUGCUUUAUAGUUCUUUCUACAUGUUUAACCAAGGUAUUGUUAAGAUAAUGUCUCUGUUAAAAUGAAUCAGUUGCAUUGUUUUAGGAAUGGUACUUUUCUGCUUUGUCGUUCUUUAUACAUGUUGAAACAAGGCAUUGUUAAUAUAAUGUCUCAGUCAAUAUGAAUGAAUCACACUAAUGGAGAAUUGCUACUCUCCUGCUUUGUUUCCCAUUAAGAUAAAGUAGAUCAGUAGAUGCUUUUCUUCUGGGAGUACAAGUCAUCAACCGUUAUUUCUUAGUAAUAGUUUCCCUUAUACCUAUUGUUGCUUACAGGGAUAUCAAAAUUAAAGCUCGGUUUUAUUCCGACUUCGAUUUUAGUUGAACUGCACAAAAGGAGCCAAUGUGUCCAAGGCAAACUGCUGCAUUACUGGGUCCAGUUGGUCGUUCCACUUUGCAAAAAGAAGCAGUCAUUGUUUGCGCUACAUUAUAGAAGGAAUGACCGAGAAGCUUUACAGAGUAUUAUUAGACACCGGUGACAUGACUAGUCUGUAGAGACCAUUGGCAAUUUAACAACACGUGGAGUGCCCUGGGCAAAAAGUGCCCAAACAAGUACAAGAAGCUACGACAGGACUUCACGAUCAUAGGCAUUACAUAUUUUGAAUGGGAAAAGCUUGUCAAAGUUUAAUCAUUGAUGUUAGCAAGAAGACAUUAGUUUAAUAUAUUGGAAUUGGAAAACCUUGUCAAAAUUUGCUGAUUGAUGUUAGCCAGAAGACAUGCAUUUGAUAUUUUUGAGUGGGACGCCCUUGCUGUGAGCAGCGUCGAGUGUUUUUUCCUAUUCCUAUGUUCAGUUUAGAAGUAAAUAGUUACUCUGCUGAGAUAUUCCUGUGUUAAGAGUUUGUUCUGAAUAUGUCUAUGUAAUGCCAGGCCUUGUGUUUGAUUGCAAAGUUGAGCUUGGAAUGUUGUGGCAUGCGGCAUCACGAGCUGUUCACCAUGCCUCUUGAGAAUAAUGCUUCGUAUUGUUUUGCAUGUCGAUCUAAUGCCAGUGAUUUGCUUGUUAAGAAGAUCAUCCUCUUCUGUUGUUUCCGUGCUUAAGAAGUUCAUCGUGUGAUGUUUCAUUCAUAGCCUAUACGACAAGUCGGGUAGGUUAGACGUGAAACCAUAUGAUCUUCCGACCAACUCAUGAUAUUAGGCCGUGAUUGGAUCAUCGUUUUCCAACCAAAACCGCUUGUAAAACUCACGCUUGUAAAUUAAAGCAGAUGGUCUCGGGCGAAGGCGCUUGGUUGGUAGAUUUCGACUAGUAAAAUAUCGGAAGUACUUCACACACGAUAAAAACGCUGAACGACACUCGGACGGUUGCUAAUCCAGCCGUUAGCUGCUGUUUCAGCCUUGCCCAUGGAUGGCAUGAUACGCACGUCGUGCAUGUAUCGUGUGGUAGUGUCGUCCAUAUAGCAGUGCUCGUAAAAUAUGCACCGGUCUCUCAAAUUACACGUGUAACCCGCCGGUUUUACUUACAGACCUCGGGCCCUCGGUUUCAUUACGCCUAUUUACGCGUUGUUUCCGAUGACGAGUAAAUUACACUUGUAUGUUAAUACAGGUUUGAAAUAAACCAGAGCUCCCAAGCGCGGCCUUACCGUUUCAUGCCGUCUCGGUUUCUCGAAGGUGCUCAUAGGUGUCCGAUGAUCCUGGCUUCCUGAAUGAGCAGCGGGCGCUGUAUCAGACCAUCUGUAGGGCCCGCGAGGCCCUCUCCGUUGUCCUUUGAGUUGUUGUGCUCGCCGUGGCGCCGAGCAUUGUUAACAUCGUCAACGAACAUGAGGAUUCAGGAGAUGACUUUAUUUUGACUAGAUGACACUAGGGACCCACUAGGGCCAUAGCCGUACGUACGCAAGUGCCUCCUUAUUAUGUACAACUAUAUUUUUUUUUGCUUUUCCUGGUUUCCUGACAUCACGGUCCCACACCAUUGUCAACCUAUGUAAUCAAUAUAAACGAGAGAACUGCACAAGGUGCGGCUGACAGCUGGGACCAAGCAGCUCGAGCAGUAUUUGUGUUUUUGAGGUGUGAGCACUGCAGAGUUUUUCUUGGCGAUGAUUUCGUUGUUGUUUAGAGGAGAGCAGGGUAUUAACUGGGUGGGCUGUGGCCCGUCUAGCCCAGGCCAGAUAUCCAGCCCAGAUACUAUUUUUUCAAGAUGAAAAUGGCUAGCCCAGCUAUACGUCUUUUUGAGGAAUACCCAGGCAAGGUCAACUUGUUAUUCUCCGCCCCGCUGGGCUGCAAAUCUUUCCUAGGAGGGAUGCAUUAGGCUUAACAGGAAAAUGGGCUUUAAAAAAUAAUAAAUGGGAUGUAAUUAUAAAAACUAGGCAGUAACUAUAAAAAAAUGCACCAAACACGAAAUUAGUUUAUAAAAUAUUAUUUACGGAUUUUGAAAAUCUUAAAUUUUCAUUGUUGUGCGCGCAAUGUUUCAUUGGAUUUUUACGUAAUACAAAUUUAUAUUUAAUCUGACUAGAAAUUUCGGGAUAAAAAUAUUUCGGAUCCCAUCAAAAUGUGGGAAAUUUUAUUGAAUUCUGUCUUCAACGGUUGUUGAAAUUAUUAAUUGCUGUCCUAGCUAGAAAAUGGGUUGUACUUUUAACAAACUGUAAAUGGGCUGUUGUAAAUUCCAUUAGAAUUCAAAAAUGGGCUGUACAUUCUUACAAAAUGCAAAUGGGCUAUAAGUUCUCUGCCACACACUUGUGGGCCUACUAAGUGACGCGUCCCCUAAAAAAAUAAGUUGACGUGUAUGCAAGGCUUUGUCAACUUAUUAUAGUCAACACACGGUUCUAGCAGCAGUGGCCGUUGGAUGUCUAUCCAACGGAUGUCGUGCUUCUUCUUCAAUCUCGGAUAUUCUUAGCUUCGGCCGCCCAAAAAAUGAUUCCUCCCCCUGACAUCUGGGGCGCACCGUUUCGGAGGCUGACCUGUGGGCCUACUAAGUUGGAGCGUACCAAGGGCUUUGUCAACUUAGUCAAUAUGAACGAUUCUAGCUCCUGUGACCGUACGAUGUCCAUCCAACGGCCGUAGUGUUUCUUCAACCUCUGGUCUUCUUGGUCCAGCCGCCCAAAGCAGCGCCGGUCGUGCCGCCUGCUCCUGCCUCCCGUGGCUGGCUGUGCUGCCGUGGAGGCCUCACUGCCCCCAUACUACUCCCACCGCUGGCCAGGCCAUCCCUCCACUCACCCACACCCCCUGUUAUUCUGCGGCGAUGACAGCCUCACACCGCAGCCGAACCAGUGAACCCUCGUACUCCUCUCCGCACGGGCUUCCACUGUUGCGUCUUCCCCGGCUCCGCGUUGUCCCCUUCCUAGGCCUCGCCGUCGUCCACCGCCCUGGUGCUCUCGGCGCGGCGUGGUCAACGUGGUCAACGACCGACUUCCAUCGGAAGAGUACUGUACGUGGAGAGGCUGACAGUUGGGUCCACGGCGGCCGCAAGGAAGUGCCUCCUUAUUACACGCAAAAUAAUUAUUCCUCCACCUGACAGUGGGGACCCACCGGACGGGCCACCUUAUUUCGCGAAAAAAACGUUUCCCCCCUGACUGCUGGGACCCACCGGACGGGCCACCGUAUUUCGCGAAAAAACGUCCCCCCCGCUGUCAGCUCGGACCCACCGGAAGUGCCUCCUUAUUACGCACAAAAAAAUGAAUACUCCCCUGCUAGCUGGGACCCACCUUGGUGGGAGGCUGACUUGUGGGCCUACUAAGUUGACGGGGACGGAGGGCUUUGUCAACUUAGUCAAUAUGAACGAUUCUAGCUCCAGUGACCGUACGAUGUCCAUCCAACGGCCGUAGUGCUUCUUCAACCUCUGGUCUUCUUGCUCCAGCCGCCCAAAGCAGCGCCGGUCGUGCCGCCUGCUCCUGCCUCCCGUGGCCGGCUAUGCUGCCGCGGAGGCCUCACCGUCCCCUACUAUUCCCACCGCUGGCCAGGCCCUGCGGCGACGGCAGCCUCACACCGCAGCCAAACGAGUGAACCCUCAUACUCCUCUCCGCGUGGGCAUCCACUGCCGCGUCUUCACCGGCUCCGCGUCGUCCCCUUCCUAGGCCUCGCCGUCGUCCACUGCCCUGGUGCUCUCGGCGUGGCAUGGUCAACGUGGUCAAGGAACGACUUCCAUCGGACGUGGACUAUACGUGGAGAGGCUGACAACUGGGUCCACGGCGGCAGCAAGGAAGUGCCUCCUUAUUUCGCGGAAAAUAAUGAUUCCUCCACCUGACAGCAGGGACCCACCGGACGGGCCACCGUAUUUCGUGAAAAAAACGUUUCCCCCUGACUGCUGGGACCCACCAGCUACAACUUCGCACGCAAGGAAGUGCGUCCGGGCAAAAAAAAGAUUCGCCCCCUGACUGCUGGGACCCACCAGCUACAUCUUCGCACGCAAGGAAGUGCGUCCGGGCAAAAAAAACCAAAACGAUUCGCCCCCCUGACUGCUGGGACCCACCAGCUACAUCUUCACAGGCAAGGAAGUGCGUGACAGUCGGGACCCACCUGGUCAAAGCGUACAUACCGUUGUCAUUCUGGUCGCGAACGUGUACGUACAUAUAUACUGGUCGAUGUAAGAGGCGCGCACGUGUCGUAGUAGAGGCGCAUACGUGUCGUAGUAGAGGCGCGCACGUAGCAUGUACACGUACGUAUAGCGGCCAGGGUGCAAGAAAGAAAUACGGCCACGUACGUACAUACGGGCAGGGUCUCGAACGCCUACUCGCGCAUACGUACGGCGAGGGCUCGUGUACAUGGCUGGGUCGGAACGGAGAAACAGCGUCAUCGCCGUGUUCAUGGGGAGGCAACGGAAUGCGUCGUGUUCAUGGGGAGGCAACGGAAUGCGUCGUGUUCAUGGGGAGGGGUGUGGCGUACCACAAAACAGAGGAAACGGACCUCCUACGGUCGAAACUGGGGUCCUGUUGAUCGGGAGGGGUGUGGCGUACCGCAAAACGGACGAAACGGACCUCCUACGGUCGAAACGGGGGUCCUGUUGAUCGGGAGGGNNNNNNNNNNNNNNNNNNNNNNNNNNNNNNNNNNNNNNNNNNNNNNNNNNNNNNNNNNNNNNNNNNNNNNNNNNNNNNNNNNNNNNNNNNNNNNNNNNNNNNNNNNNNNNNNNNNNNNNNNNNNNNNNNNNNNNNNNNNNNNNNNNNNNNNNNNNNNNNNNNNNNNNNNNNNNNNNNNNNNNNNNNNNNNNNNNNNNNNNNNNNNNNNNNNNNNNNNNNNNNNNNNNNNNNNNNNNNNNNNNNNNNNNNNNNNNNNNNNNNNNNNNNNNNNNNNNNNNNNNNNNNNNNNNNNNNNNNNNNNNNNNNNNNNNNNNNNNNNNNNNNNNNNNNNNNNNNNNNNNNNNNNNNNNNNNNNNNNNNNNNNNNNNNNNNNNNNNNNNNNNNNNNNNNNNNNNNNNNNNNNNNNNNNNNNNNNNNNNNNNNNNNNNNNNNNNNNNNNNNNNNNNNNNNNNNNNNNNNNNNNNNNNNNNNNNNNNNNNNNNNNNNNNNNNNNNNNNNNNNNNNNNNNNNNNNNNNNNNNNNNNNNNNNNNNNNNNNNNNNNNNNNNNNNNNNNNNNNNNNNNNNNNNNNNNNNNNNNNNNNNNNNNNNNNNNNNNNNNNNNNNNNNNNNNNNNNNNNNNNNNNNNNNNNNNNNNNNNNNNNNNNNNNNNNNNNNNNNNNNNNNNNNNNNNNNNNNNNNNNNNNNNNNNNNNNNNNNNNNNNNNNNNNNNNNNNNNNNNNNNNNNNNNNNNNNNNNNNNNNNNNNNNNNNNNNNNNNNNNNNNNNNNNNNNNNNNAACGCUCACUGUUCAUCCAAUCGAUCGGCUUCAGUUAGCAGCAGUAGCGAAGGAAUCGCUCGAUCGGGUUCAGUAACGUGUAGCCUGCAGUGCAAUCGCUCGGGUUCAGUUAGAGCCCAACGCCUUGCUUGGGUUCAGUUAGAGCCAACGCCUCGCACACACGCGCGUACGUGUACGAGAGAAACGCGCAUCGCUCGGCCCCCGACCUCCCACCAUAACCGGGAACUCCCCGAAAUUUUCCUCCCCCUCGCUUCUACCACGGUUUUUUCCGUCAUGGACGGCCCAAAGAAUGUCAUGCAGCUGCGUCUCCGGCCCGCCCAGGACGAAAAGCCCAUUUUCUGUCAUGAUUUUUUGUCAUAGAAGUAGGAGCCCACCACAUCUAUGAUGAUACCGGGUUUUGUCACAAUUAUCGUCAUAGAAGUGUCAUAUGUAUGACAGAAAAAAAAAUUGUUCGGCCCAAAAUGUCAUGGAUGUGUCUUUUUUUUGUAGUGUAGGCCGCUGCAUCAACUUGAUUAGACCAGAGAACGCCGGCGCACCACUGUUGUUCCACCGCAUCCGUAAGUACUCCUUUACCCAUGCCUCAGAUCCGUACUAGGGUUUGAAUAGUUCAUCACUGUUCUUGCUGUUCUUCACUGUUUCUCCGUAAUGCACUCGUUUCAAUCUGAAAAUAGAAUUAGAGGCGUGCGAAAGCUGUUUGACACCCCCUCUCAAGCAUAGGAAACAUUCCUUCUAUACAGAGAAUCUUCGCACAAAUGAACUUUUCCACUGUCACAACCUUUAGGUUUAAAAUUUACUUUUCUUUUCCCAACUGCGGUAGAUCCAUAAUUAUACAUCCAUCUGUAGAAUCUUGUUUAUCUAGCACUUAGCCAAAUGUUUACUGAUAGAUCAGAAGUAUUAUAGCUGCCAUGGCGGCUUAUAUAAUGUUUAAACCACCAUCAUAUGCUUCAUAAUCUGAAUAACCCGGCAAUAUCCUCCGGCUUAACCAUGCUUAUUUAUUCAUCCUCAUAACUCAGUUCUCCGGUUUGUCAACUACAUAUUCUGAACUGGUAAAUCCAUAACCAUUAGCCCUUCACGGCAGUUUAAACGAUAAUUUGUAACCCGCCAGGUAUCUGUCGGUUUAAUAACAUCUUGAAUCGUCUUGUUUAGGCCAUGCACCCAAUCAUGACUAAGACAGUUACGUCAUGCGAUUGGGUCCCAUCCAUCAUCACAGAAGCAAUGCUCCAAGAGUAUGUAAAAAUUGGCUUCUUACCAGCAAAAGACGUCAUUCACUGGCGCGCCCCAAACCCCGACGAAGUCGUACCUCAGCCAUAAGAUGAUGAAGUUAUUGUUUUCACUGAUCACAUGAAUCGGGGCUUCUCACUGCCUGGGUCAAACUUCUUCCGUGACGUUCUGCAUUUUUGCAUCUUCAUCCUCAAGACAUUGGACCCAAUUAUGUUUCAAAUAUCUGCAAUUUCCAAGUCUUCUGUGAAGUAUACCUUCAAGAAGAACCCAGUAUUGAACUCUUCAGAGAGUAUUUUUAUUUGAACCGCCAAAAUGAAUUCACUGACGGGCCCAGCCAAGAACUUGGAGGGAUCUCGAUUCAGUGGCGAAGAGAUGCUAUUUUCUCUUAUGCUCAGCUUCCAAGUCAUCCCAAGGAUUGGAAUCAAACCUGGUUCUAUUGCAAAGAUACUUCUCCUGCUGAUGAAAAUCCCUUGCCAGGCUUCCAUGACCAGCGGCUCAACCCAAAGCACCCUCUCCCCGAACGGCUUACCACUGCUGAACGAGCCAAACUUAUGCCUACCUUUUCAAAGGUUAAAGCAUUAUUGGCCAAUGGAUUGACUGGGGUCGACCUGGUUCGAGGCUGGGCAGCUUGGAGGAUUAUACCUUUAAGCCACCGGUCCGGUUUAAUGUGCACAUAUACUGGUGAUGCCAAAGAUCCCCUACGCUACAGCUCAACACGUUUGAUUAAUAAAGCCAUUAAUGAUAUGACCAAAACCCUUCUCAAUGAAAGCUUGGAUAGUUGCAGCAAAGUGGGGUUGAAUCCCUUCUGCACACUCAACCUGGCACCGGAUGUAAGUCUGUCCGGUUUAUAUACUUCACUUCAUUGUUCAUAUAACUUGCAAAUCUCCAACUUUUAUUGUAAUUUUUGCAGGCUGGAGCCGCCUUUUGGAAAAGGAAAUAUGAUGAAAAGGCCGCCAAGAAAGCCAGGGCUAAAACUAAAGCCCUGAAGAAGAAUAAAAAGAAAUCCACUACUUCUGAUAUGUUGAACCUAGAUGAAGAUGAUGAGUCGGAGGUAGGCCUUGAUUCCCUUGGCUCUUUUUUCAACUAUCUUAUUGACACUGAUUGCUAUCAGGAUGACGCGGAAACCAGCCAAGCGGGUGAUGACGAGGUAAAUAUUAUUUCCUCCGACUCAGAGCCUUUGCCAAGACAGAAAAUUCGACAAGUGAUCCGGAAUUAAGGGUUUCUCACCCUUUAGCUCAGUUGGAUCCCAACUUUAUUUUGAAGCAACAACAGCAUGAGAAGCGGUGCCGAACUCGGACCAAUGGAGGCGGAGAACUUUCCUCCGGUUUACCUAAGACACCAGCCCCAUGCAAAUGCCGGAAUGAGGUGCUUCGAAAUUCCAACUCUAUUUAUCCCAAGGCAGGUCUUAUUCGUCAAGCACUCAAUCCUUCUAACUCAAAUUAUCAGGGCACCUCUCACUCUUCGUCUGGCGAUUUAUCUCAGACUCAGCUUCCGGCUUUCAAGACUGCCCCUCGGUACAAAUUUUAUCUUUGCCUUUUCACAUUUCUAUACUUAUACUCACCAUUUCUAUCCUGUUGCAGUGGAAUAGAAAAGCCUAGCAAAAAGGCUAAAAUAAACAAGCCAGUAGAAGACCCCAAGACUCAUGAACCGGAAAAGCAAGCACCAAUAUCUGAAGCCUCCGUGCAACACCCAGAGGAACUUGCUGAUGACCCGCCACCAGAGAAUCCUGAUGCCUCUGUUGAACAUACAGUUAUUGAUCCUUUGGGUGCUAAACCGCCAAGCCCAGUCAAGCCGUCAGAACCGAACACUGAAGUUCUGAUCACUAGCACUAGUUUUCAAGAACCGGGGAAUCCUGUUGCUCUAGCAAAACAUUCUGCCAAGGAAGAAUUGAUCAAGAAACGCAAGGUCAAAUUUGACAUGGCCAAUUAUUCUCAUCUGAGCAUUAACGAAAUCCUCUCCGGCUACCUCAGCCAGGUGCACAGCAGCCGCGAUCUGGAGAUUGACAUGGUCAAACACAUGCACCAGAAAUAUGAGGUAUCAACUUCUGCCUUUUCUGUAAGAUACAUUCCUUCAGCCCCCAAGUCUACUGAAUAUGAUAGAAUUGAAUAUACUGUAGAUUUUUAGAUAGUCAUAAAUAUGUGAAGAUCAAACUAGUAGCCCCCAAGGGCCGGCUUAAACUAUCAAGUUAAGUCGGGACUUCAAUUAAUAGUGAUCAACUUUGCACCUGUAGCCCCCAAGGGCCGGUUUAAUCAAUAUGAAUAAACCGGGACCUAUCAUUGUCACUGAAAAUCUCAUCUGGUCACCCUUACAAACUGGGUUAACUUGAAAAAGAUGAACCGGAUUUUUCUGCCACUGCUUCAUAAAAGAAAUUUUCUGCACCCAUUAGCCCCCAAGUGCCAAGUGCUAUUGCUUGCAAAGGGCUUGGGACUUGUCACUAUCACCGCUUCAUAAAGAAACUUUCUGCACCCAUUAGCCCCCAAGUGCCAAGUGCUAUUGCUUGCAAAGGGCUUGGGACUUUUCUUCGUACAAGACUAUAUCAUAACUGUGUAUACUUGUUUCGAUCUUCUACUUGCAGGAGGCGUCCAGUCAAUUUCAAUCUGAGUUGACCGAUUUAAAAACCCGGCUUGAAGCACAAGAAGCUGAGACCCGGAAGGCUGACUCCAAGUUCAAGUUUAGCUUGGAUGAAAACAGAAGCUUAAAUCUGACUUUAAUGCUGAGCAAGCCACCUGGGCAGAAGAGAAGGCUGCCCUGAUACAAAGGGCUGAAAAAGUUGAGGCCUCUUUGGAGGAUGUCACCACAUAACUUACUGGCUUGAAGCAUCAUAUCACACAGACGACCUCUACUAUUUUUGGUAAGAUCUUUAACAUUGUAAUGACUUUCCACACUCCAUUCUGUAAACCGCCUGGUGGCUUAAUCAUAAUAUGUUCUGCAUGCCCCAGGAGCAGCAAUCUUGGUAAAGAAGUGCUGAUAAAACUCAAGGCGGUUUACACGCUAGUAGAGCAGCUAUACACUGGUGCCCAGCGCACAAUAGUUACCAUCUCCCCAACCAAUCAAGCACCGGCUCUUCUCAGCGAUGUCUUAAGCAAACUUUCUGUCCUGCCUGCCAGAAUUGAAGAAAUCAAGCGGUCAGCCGCCAGAGCUGGUGCCAUUACGGCUUUAAGCCGGGCAAGGCAUGGCAGGCAGAAUUAGACCCGACCGAGCUAGCUACUGGCUGCCCCAGCUUCAAGGAGGACAGGUCUCCCUUUGACAAGAAAGAUUUUGCUGCUUGCGUGAAGGAGAUAUGUCCAUUGGUGAGUCUUAUUGCUGAAGAAACAGAUCUGUCCAAGUACCAGGCGGCUUAUACAGCGGAAAACCAAAAGAUGCCCAUGCCGGCUUACAAAAUUGUGGAUCUGAUCCCUCCAAUCCGUAAGCAUACUUCCGCCCCUGAAACCGAUCCAUCUGAGCUUAUCGAUGACGAGGCUGAAUUUCAAGCUUUGACUGGCAUCAAUUGGUCAUCGCCUAACUUCCAGACGAUGGAGGGAGAAGAAGAACCGGCGCGGGAUGACCCGGAAGCCUCAAACCGCCAAGACCAGGAGAAUUGAUCCACUGGACGGCUCAUAAUCUGCAUCAUCAGAUAUUGCCUGAAAAACAUUUAAUCAUUUGGGCUCAUGGAGCCAUGUUAUAGGCUAGUUAAAACACCGAUCUGUCGUGCCAUCGUGCAUGUUUUGUUUGCAUAAUACUGUCGAUCCGUCCUUUGAAGAUCUGCCACUUAUGCUUAUAAUAUCAUCAAUUAUGCAGACCAUGCUUAUCAUCUUUCCCUGCACAUGAGCAGAUAACAAGUGCCCUGGCGGUUUACCCCAGGGCGGGUCAUAAUACCCCAUAUAAAAACCACUGAUGACUAAAUAGUCCAUAACCAGGGCCGGUUUAUCAAAACCUAUAACAAAAAUCAUACCUGUGAUAUUUGUUCACACUGCAGGUUUAUCAUACAUCGUGCAGUAAGGGUAACAGCGCAAAGACAGAGCACAACGCCCUGUUCAAUUUAUGUAUACCGUCGGCUGUCAACGCCACAUACAGCAAGGGGUAGCAUCCCAAAGCUGAGAGCACAGCACUCCAAGCACAUAAUCAUCAUACACUAGCGACUUAAAGUCCAAAACCAGGCCGGGUUGACAAAACUCCGGAUAGAUUCAUAUAUGAACAAUAAGGCAUCAUGGCCCUAAUCAGUUUUCAACCAUGUAUCAACAUGGCACAAAAAAUCAACCUCAAAAAAUAUUCAAAUCAAAGAAAAAACAGAAAACAAGGCAUUCAUAGGCUGCCAAGCCUCCAUGUCAGGCGUUAUUCAAGGGCCACGCAGCCGCUGAGUUAAACCUUAAUUCAAACCUCGUAAGUCGUACCUCACAUGACCAAUCGUUGUUUUAACUUUGACAAAUUCAGGGUCUUUACAAGAUUGAUUGUCAAGAGUACGGCGAGUCAUUCCAGGAUUACCUGGUCGGAGUGGCAGGCAAAACAAAGCAGGAUAGCCCGUAUGUUUUGGUGAAUACACCUGGCGUCCAAGCCUAUUACAAGGAUCAACAAAGCUUUGUUCAUUAACAAGGAUCCCCCAAGUAAUAUUUCAGUCCAGGCGUAUAAGCCGGAUCGGUGGGGUAAUCAUAGCUAUGCUCAAUGAGCGGUAAGCCCCCAAGUAUUCCGCAAUCAUGGCGUACAAGCCGGAUCAAGAGGGUAAUCAUAGCUAUGCUCAAUAAGCAGGAAGCCCCCAAGUGAUCGUAUGAAGUGACAAUAAAGACUCGUAUUCUCAGAAAUGAAACGACAGAGGCCCUAAAUUAUCAGGGAUGAUGGCUUUAUUAUAUUCAUCAUAAUAUGUACAUUGAUAGAAGCAUGUACAUCACAAGAGCCGGUGGCUCAAGCGUAAUAAGGCUAAAGAUGAGCAAUAUUCCACGGCCGGCGGGUCUCCUCCUCCGACGUGCGUGAGUCCUUGUGGUCUCGAACAUCGAUAAGGUAGUAUGACCCGUUGUUCAAAUUUUUGCUGACCACAAAGGGCCCUUCCCAAGGUGGGGAUAGCUUGUGCAUAUCAGUUUGAUCCUGGAUAAGCCGGAGCACAAAAUCUCCUUCUUGAAAGGUCCUGGUUUUGACCCGGCGGCUAUGAUAACGACGCAGAUAUUGCUGAUAAAUCACCGAAUGAGCCGCCGCAUGGUCACACUCCUCAUCCAAUUAGUCAAGAUCAUCCUGACGUGCCCUUUCAUUAUCUGCUUCAACAUAAGCCGCCACACGGGGUGAGUCGUGACGGAUGUCACUAGGGAGAACCGCCUCUGCUCCGUAAACCAUGAAGAAAGGCGUGUAACCCGUAGAUCUGUUGGUGGUUGUAUUGAUACUCCAUAGCACUUAGGGUAAUUCCUCCACCCAACAACCCGGUGUCCUCUGCAAAGGGACCAUAAGCCGGGGCUUGAUGCCUCUCAAAAUUUCUUGAUUGGCUCUUUUAGCUUGGCCAUUGGACUGGAGGUGGGCCACUGAUGAUACAUCAAGACGAAUAUGUUCUCGUUGACAGAACUCUGUCAUAGCACCCUUGGAUAGAUUAGUGCCAUUAUCAGUUAUAAUGCUGUGGGGAUAGCCAAAACGGAAAAUCACCUUUUUGAUGAACUGAACCGUUGUCGCCGCGUCACACUUACUGACCGGCUCUACCUCAACCCACUUUGUAAAUUUGUCAACCGCCACCAGAAGGUGGGUCUUUUUAUCAUUGUACCUUUUGAAAGGUCCAACCAUAUCAAGCCCCCAGACUGCAAACGGCCAAGUAAUUGGAAUCAUCCUCAAUUCUUGAGCCGGCACAUGAGCUCGUCUUGAAAAUUUCUGACAACCAUCACAUUUACUGACCAAAUCCUUUACAUCAGCAUGAGCCGUCAGCCAAUAAAACCCAUGAUGAAAAGCCUUGGCCACGAGAGACUUAGAGCCGGCAUGAUGACCACAAUCUCCUUCACGAAUCUCUUGCAGUUUCAUGGCCCUCCUCAAGAGAGACACAACGUUGAAACACCCCUGUGACACUGCAACGGUGCAACUCUCCAUUGACAAUAGUCAUUGACUUAGACCGCCGGGUUAUCUGCCUGGCCAAAGUUUCAUCUUCAGGUAAUUCGCCCCGGGUCAUAUAAGCCAAAUAUGGAACUGUCCAAUCAGGAAUAGCAUGAAGAGCCGCCACCAACUAUGCCUCCGGGUCAAGAAUAGCAAGAUCUUCCUCCGUAGGCAAUUUGACUGAAGGAUUAUGCAGAAUAUCAAGGAAAACAUUUGGUGGCAUCAGCUUACGCUGGGACCCCAACCAUCUUAAAGCAUCAGCCGCCUUGUUUUUCCUUCUAUCAACAUGUUCCACUUGAUAAUCUUUGAACUGACCAGCAAUAGCAUCGACCUCGCGGAGAUAAGCCGCCAUGAGUGGGUCCUUAGAAUCCCAAGGGCCUGAAACUUGCUGAGCCACCAGAUCUGAGUCACCGAAACACCUCACCCUGCUUAAUUUCAUCUCUUUAGCCAUCCGAAGACCAUGGAGCAAGGCCUCAUACUCAGCUGCAUUGUUAGUACAAGGGAACAUCAACCUUAAAACAUAACAAAAUUUAUCACCUCGUGGGGAAGUCAAAAUAACUCCAGCCCUCGAGCCUUCGAACUUCCUGGAUCCAUCAAAGUGAAUAGUCCAAUAUGUGCUAUCUGGCUUCACCUCAGGCAUCUGCAGCUCAGUCCAGUCAUUGAUAAAAUCCACCAGUGCUUGAGACUUGAUAGCUGUCCGUGGCAUAUACUUCAAACCAUGGGGUCCGAGCUCAAUGACCCAUUUGGCUACCCGACCCGUGGCUUCUCUGUUUUGAAUAAUGUCCCCCAAGGGAGCAGAACUUACCACAGUGAUGGGAUGACCAAGGAAAUACUGCUUCAACUUACGACUAGCCAUGAACACUCCAUAUACCAGUUUCUGCCAAUGUGGAUGCCUCUGCUUGGAUUCAAUGAGGACCUCACUGAUAUAAUAAACCGACCGCUGAACCGGAUACUCCUUGCCUGAUUCCUUCCUUUCCACAACAAUCGCCACGCUGACAGCUCGGCUAUUAGCAGCCACAUAUAACAACAAGGGCUCCUUGUCAAUAGGAGCAGCAAGGAUGGGCGGCUCAGCUAACUGUUUCUUCAAGGCUUCAAACGCCUGAUCAGCAGCAUCACUCCAGAUAAAGUGAUCUGUUGUCUUCAUCAUCUGGUAUAGAAGGAUAGAUUUUUCACCCAACCGGCUUAUGAACCAGCUUAAGGCCGCAAUACGACCCGCCAGACGCUGAACAUCAUUAAUACACGCCGGUUUAGCCAAGGAAGUGAUAGCCUUGAUUUUCUUGGGGUUAGCUUCAAUGCCCCGUUCAGAAACCAGAAAACCCAAGAGCUUGUCUGCUGGUACACCAAAGACACAUUUUGCCGGGUUAAGCAUCAUCUUGUAGACCCGGAGAUUGUCAAAGGUCUCUUUCAAAUCAUCUAUCAAAGUCUCCUUCUUCCUUGAUUUCACCACAAUAUCAUCCACAUAAGCAUGAACAUUGCGCCCAAUCUGAUCAUGAAGACAAUUUUGAACACACAGCUGGUAAGUCGCCUAGGCACUCUUGAGCCCGAAAGGCAUAGACACAUAGCAGAAGGCUCCAAAGGGAGUGAUGAAGGUUGUCUUCUCCUGGUCCUUAACUGCCAUCUUGAUCUGAUGAUACCCUGAAUAGGCAUCCAAGAAACUCAAACGCUCACAACCCACCGUAGCAUCAAUAAUCUGGUCAAUACGAGGGAGAGCAAAAGGAUCGGCCGGGCAUGCUUUAUUAAGGUCUGUGUAAUCCACACACAUGCGCCAAGUACCAUUUUUCUUAAGUACCAGCACCGGGUUAGCCAACCAUUCAGGAUGAAAAACUUCAACAAUAAACCUAGCUGCCAAAAGCCGGGCCACCUCUUCACCAAUGACCUUACGCCUCUCUUCAUUAAAGCGACGAAGGAAUUGUUUAACCGGUUUAAACUUUGGAUCAAUAGUGAGAGUGUGCUCAGCGAGUUCCCUCGGUACACCUGGCAUGUCUGAAGGCUUCCAUGCAAAGAUGUCCUGGUUCUCACGGAUGAACUCGAUGAGUGCGCUUUCCUAUUUUGGAUCCAAAUUAGCACUGAUACUGAACUGCUUGGAUGAGUCGCCAGGAACAAAGUCAAUCAACUUAGUGUCAUCUGCCGACUUAAACUUCAACAAGGGGUCAUGCUCUGUGGUUGGCUUCUUCAAAGUUGUCAUAUCCGCCGGCUCAACGUUAUCUUUAUAAAACUUCAACUCUUCUGUUGCACAAACAGCUCAGCAUAAGCAGCGUCACCUUCUUCACAUUCCAAGGCUAUCUUCCUAUUUGCCGUGCAUAGUGAUGGUGCCCUUGUAACCCGGCAUCUUGAGCUGCAGAUAAACAUAACAAGGCCUUUGCCAUAAACUUGGCAUAAGCUGGCUGCCCAAACAAGGCAUGAUAAGGGCUCUUAAUCUUAACCACUUCAAAGGUCAAUGUCUCCGCUCUGGAAUCAUGCUCAUCACCAAAAGCCACUGAGGGAGUCCUGGACUAAGGAGUCCUCGGGCGUCAGGACUAUAGUGCGUGGGCCUGAUUGAUGGGUUGUGAAGAUACAAAACCGAAGACUCUCUCCCGUGUCCGGAUAGGACUCUCCUUGGCGUGGAAGGCAAGCUUGGCAUCCUAAUAUGAAGAUUCCUUUCUCUGUAACCGACUUUGUACAACCCUAGUCCCCUCCGGUGUCUAUAUAAACCGGAGGGCUUAGUCCAUAGAGGCCAGAAUCAUAAUCACAAUCAUACAGGCUAGACUUCUAGGGUUUUAGCCAUUACGAUCUCGUGGUAGAUCAACUCUUGUAAUACUCAUAUUCAUCAAGAUCAAUCAAGCAGGAAGUAGGGUAUUACCUCCAUAGAGAGGGCCCGAACCUGGGUAAACAUCGUGUCCCCCGUCUCCUGUUACCAUCGACCUUAGACGCACAGUUCGGGACCCCCUACCUGAGAUCCGCCGGUUUUGACACCGACAUUGGUGCUUUCAUUGAGAGUUCCACUGUGACGUCGAAAACAGGAUUGAGGGCUCGCCUUGUCGUCAAGGAUAAUAUCACCUCCGGAGGAGCCUUGGCCCUAGGCCAAACCCUCCGGCUUGGUGGCUUUACCAUGACCGCCUGUUCGGCCGUUAAGCCGACGAUCACCUCUCGAGUCAUCGAAAAUCGCCUCCGGGUUGACUCCAAAAACUCCAAACGUAUGGAUCCGAAGGAGUUGUCGUCUUUAAACGAACUCCUAGAUCGCAUCGCCGCUUUGGGGGUCACUACAGACUACGAUCGGAUUGGGCUUAAACCUGACCAGAGAGAAAUCAAAUCUCCACCGAUCACCCAUCAGAUAGCGGUAGUAGAGGAGCAAAACAAUAACUCUUCCUCCAUAUUAAGGAUGAAAUAUGUUUGGAUUUCCGAGCUCGAGGAGCUGGAUACCUGUCCGCGGGACGACGUGCCCUGCCCUCCGAACUUAGAAUCGGACGGCGGGCCUAAUACAUCAGCAGAUAUCCCGGAGCCCGAACCAUUAAGUUCGGAAGAUUUUCCAACUCCGGAUCCCAAAUUGGGUCAGGGAUCAGAUUUAAAUCCACCCACCCACCCAGCUGUACGCGAUCUUAUGUACAUACUACAGCGGUCUUGGGAAACGGUCCAUCACUUUUGGGCCAGAUUCCUCCUUGUCAAAGACAAGAUUAAAGAUUGUCGUGACAAAGACUCGAUCUCAGUAUUCUGCAACAAUUGCACGGACGAAGGAAUCCUCAAUGCCAUCAACCGUCGUCGCGUAUUACACUUCAGUGACUUGGCAACCAUAGUACAGAAGUACUGCGCAAUGGAAAGCGCCUGGAAAACUCAGGCAGCUCGCUGGGAACCACCGGUUCUAGCUCAGCCCCUCGUCCGGGCAAAAAGGACGCACCCUCGUGGGGCGCCCGACCCAAUAGUAAAGAAAUCUAAGCCCAUUACGGGGCGCGGAACCGUUCUGGAGGGAUGGCUCGAUAGGCCAUGUAAAAUACAAACAACACUGGAUACCACACCAACCCAUAGCCUUAGAGCAUGUUGGAUACUCCGGCAAGUGGCCAAGAGCGGCGAGGAUCUCCUCACCAAAAAUACCCUAGAACAACACCCCUUGGAAGACAAUGACCUUAGAGUAUUGAGGGUCUUCGAAACUUUCGCUUCAAAAAACAGCGCAAAAGGGCACUCCGCGACCUCGCCAAAGUCUGCCAAGUCGCAACAAUAAACCCCUGGAACGACACGGCCAUAACUUUCAAUGCCGGUGACGAACCAAAAUUCAGGACAGUCCGGACACCAGUCGCCUUGGUCCUCAGUCCAAUUGUGGACGGAUUUCGGCUCACCAAAGUGCUCAUGGACGGCGGUAGCGGAUUAAACCUCAUCUACGAGGAUAUGCUCAAUAAAAUGGAAAUAGACAGAAGUCGCAUUGAGCAAAGUAGCACGACUUUCCGGGGAAUCAUUCCCAGUCGGGAGGCACGAUGCGCGAGAAAAAGCACGCUCAACGUGGUAUUUGGCACACCGGAGAAUUAUAGGUCCGAGGAGAUAACUUUCCAAGUGGCUCCAUUCAACAGCGGAUAUCAUGCCCUAUUGGGGCGAGACGCAUUCACAUGCUUCCAAGCUAUACCUCAUUACGGAUACAUGAAGCUCAAGAUGCCCGCGCCCAACGGUAUCAUCCCUCUUGCCAGUGAUCCGGACAUAGCACUCCGCGCCGAGAAUAAAACUGCAUCCCUGGCCCUCGAAGCAUUGUCGGAAAUACUUGCGGCCGCAGAGCUAACCGCGCUGCGCUCUACUAUGGAUAGGGAUGACGUAAUCUUGGACAAACGACCCAAAUCCACCUCCUUUAAACCAGCAGAGGAAAUAGUCAAAUUUCAAGUCCACCCGACGGACCCCAAGAAGACAGCAUCCAUCGGGGCACAACUCGACCCGACGGUCGACGUCGCGCUACGAAAGUUCCUGCGUGAGAACUGGGACAUAUUCGCCUGGCACCCUUCUGAUAUGCUAGGAAUCCCACGCAGGCUGGCCGAACACAGCCUCAAUAUAUUAAAGGGAUAUAAACCGGUCAAGCAAACACUACGGUGUUUUUCCGAACCCAAUCGACAAGCUAUGGGAGAGGAGCUAGCCAAGUUACUCGAGGCUGGAUUCAUCAGAGAAAUAAAACACGUGGACUAGCUAGCAAACCUGGUGAUGGUACCAAAGAAGGAUAAAUCCUGGCACCUAUGCGUCGAUUUCAAAGACCUCAAAAAGGCCUGCCCUAAGGAUCCCUUCCCCCUCCCUCGCAUCGAUCAGAUUAUUGAUGCAACCUCAGGACACGACUCACUGUGCUUCCUCGACGCAUAGUCCGGAUACCAUCAAAUCAAGAUGAAGGAGUCCGAUCAAGCUGCAACAGCAUUCAUUACCCCAUAUGGGCCUUUUUGCUUCAACACUAUGCCUUUCGGGCUCAAAAACGCUGGCGCCACCUACCAACGCAUGAUUCAAACAUGCCUGGAGAAACAUAUCGACACGACAGUUGAAGCAUACGUGGAUGACGUCAUCAUCAAAACCAGGCACGUCGAGUCAUUGAUAGACGAGCUAUGUCUCACAUUCGACAACCUCCGUACAUAUGACAUCAAGCUCAAUCCGGAAAAGUGUGUUUUCGGCGUCCCCGCCGGAAAACUGCUGGGCUUCAUCGUUUCCAAUAGAGGAAUUGAGGCAAAUCCAGCCAAAAUCCGAGCUUUGUCACAAUUGGCUACGCCAACAGACCUUAAACAGGUCCAAAAACUCGCGGGAUGCGUGGCAGCUUUAAGCCGCUUUAUCUCCAAAUUGGGAGAAAAAGCAUUGCCACUCUAUCGCCUUCUCCGAUGCACCGACCACUUCGAGUGGACGGACGCGGCAACGGCCGGACUGGAGGAAAUAAAGGCCCUUUUAGCGAGCAACCCAAUCCUGGCCGCGCCGAACAUCGGCGAAUCCAUGUUAUUAUACAUAUCGGCAACACACCAGGUGGUGAGCGCCGUGCUCGUCGUUGAGCGAGAGCAGGACGGACACAAAUUCCCGCUCUAGAAACCGGUAUACUACGUAUCCACUGUCCUCACACCAUGCAAAUCCUGAUACCCUCAUUACCAAAAGAUAGCAUACGCGGUCUUCAUGGCAUCCCAGAAGCUGCGACACUACUUUCAAGAGUGCUCGAUUACGGUGGCUUCCAAGGUACCACUCAAUGACAUAAUAAACAACCGCGAUGCCACGGGCCGGAUUGCUAAGUGGGCCAUCGAGCUCCUUCCAUUCGACAUAGCAUACAAACCAUGCCGCACCAUUAAAUCCCAAGUACUAGCUGACUUCGUCGCCGAAUGGACCGAGGCCGAACUCCCUAAAGAGUACGACACGUAUUCCAACUGGGUUAUGUACUUUGAUGGUUCCAAAAUGUUGGCGGGGUUAGGAGCGGGCGUUGUCUUAACGUCCCCCACGGGAGACGUAGUUCAGUAUGUACUCCAAAUAUUAUACACAGACUCCAACAAUGCAGCCGAAUAUGAGGCCUUAUUGCAUGGUCUUUGGAUGGCUGUCUCCAUGGGCAUACAACGUCUGGAAGUGCGUGGGGACUCAAACCUCGCAAUAUCUCAAAUAAAUGGAGAUUUCGAUGCCAGAGACCCGAAAAUGGCGGCUUACCGUAACGCCGUUCUCAAAAUCUCGGCUCGGUUCGAGGGGCUCGAGUUUCAUCAUGUGGCUCGAGAAAGUAAUCAAGCGGCGGACGUCCUUGCUCGCAUCGGUGCCAAGCGUGACCCUGUCCCACCAAACAUUUUUCUGGAAAGGCUUUUUAAGCUGUCCAUGGUGUGGCAAGGGGAGAGCAGCAACACCAGUCCGGAUCCGACUAUAACCCCAGAUGCCGAACACACCGAUAUCAUCGGGGGCUCAGCCACCGAAAUAACACCGUCGGCCCAUCUCAUCAUGGCAGUCAUUGCCCCAUGGACCGAACCCUUCUUGGCCUACCUUAAUAGGCGAGAACUCCCUGAGGAUCAGAAUGAGGCCCGCCGCGUUGUCUGACGCUCAAAAGCCUACAAGGUUCACGACGGAGAACUCUACAAGAAAAGCGCUGCCGGAGUACUCCAAAGAUGUAUCUCCGAGGAAGAGGGGUGGCAGCUCUUGGCUGAAAUUCAUGCCGGUCUCGAUGGUCACCACGCCGCAGCUCGGGCCCUUGUAAGCAAGGCCUUCCGUACAGGUUUCUAUUGGCCGACGGCCCGAGCAGAUGCACAGGACCUUGUCCAACGUUGCGUCGGAUGCCAGCUUUUCGCCAACCAAAGCCAUAUGCCACCCACUGCUCUACAAACAAUCCCCAUCAUCUGGCCUUUUGCGGUCUGGGGGCUUGAUAUGGUUGGACCCCUUAAAGGAGGAAGCCAUAAGAAAAAAUAUCUGCUGGUCAUGGUGGAUAAAUUCACUAAGUGGAUAGAGGCCAAACCAGUUAAAACGGCCGAAGCUGGACCAGUGUUAGACUUUAUAUCCGGCGUUGUACACCGUUAUGGUGUCCCACACAACAUCAUCACCGAUAACGGCUCCAAUUUCACAGCCGAUGAGGUGAAAAACUGGUGCACUAAUCGGGGCAUUAAGAUCGAUUACGCCUCCGUCUAUCACCCGCAAACAAACGGUCAAAUCGAACGAGCCAAUGAUCUUAUUAUGAGCGGCAUCAAGCCUAGACUAGUGCGGUCUUUGAAAGAAUCAGACAAGCACUGGGUUGAGGAGCUCGACUCCGUACUCUGGGGCUGCGGACCACGCCCAAUCACACUACCGGAUAUACACCUUUCUUUAUGGUGUACGGCGCAGAGGCUGUGUUACCCUGCGACAUUAUUCAUGACUCACCUCGAGUGCGCAUGUACGAAGAGAGAGAGGCCGAGCUUGAUCGAUAGGACAGCUUAGAUGCCCUGGAGGAGGAGCGCGACAUUGCAAAAGCCUGUUCCGCAUUUUAUCAACAACAGGCUUGCAGGUAUCAAAGGAGAGAAGUGCGGGCCAAGACUUAUAAUAUUGGCGAACUUGUUCUACGCCUGCCGGAGAAGAAAAAGGACAAACUCAAGCCCAAGUGGGAGGGUCCCUUCAUAAUUGACGAAGUUCUCACUGGAUGAGCGUACCGCCUGCGUGAUGCAUCAGACAAUCACCUAGAGCCGAACCCCUGGAAUGCGGCCAUACUCCGAAGAUUCUAUGCCUAGCGCCGAACUCUUUGUUCGUCUCCUUCUCCCUAUUGUUUCCAUUACUUUUUCCUCUCUUUUCGCUUUUUCCUUUUUAGCCUUAAAGCUCUUCGUGCGGCUAAACCGUGCACCUGUGACAUACACAUCCUCAAAUAUGUACGUCCAUUAUACCUGGGGGCUUCUUUGACAGAAGCUUAUUAUUGUUAUUUUCCGAGCAUCAAGCUCAUCACAUAUGCGUUUUUCCUCAUAUGUACCUUUUCUUCGCCAUUAUAUGAAUCGAUAUGACUUAAGUUUUGGCCAAGCUGGGUUGCCUGGCUCCUGUGCUUAUGCCCUACGUUCCCGUUAGUUCGGCUAGGGCAUAAAGGGAGCACCUCUGCGAUUGUUACUGCCGGGUCAUCCGGAUGUGUACCUCAGACUGGGUGAAGCCGAAAGCUAGCAUUCUUAAGGGACUAUUCGGUCGGCAAACUAAAGAUGUUUUUACACUCAUUAAAAAUGAACCCCUAGAUGUUGAAUAUACUGCGAAUUUUUCAAAUCAUAGUUCGGACAUGCACAUUAACGCACGUACACCCAGGGAAAGGAAUCCUUAACGGAACUGUUCUCUCUGGAAGAUGUUUAUUACAAUCACAAUGUAAUAUAACAUAGCUAGCCGGAUACAACUUGUCUGUUCAAGCAACUAUGACCCCUACGCCUGGUUUCCACACAUACCCCGGUCUAUUUUGCCGCUCAGGUAUUCGGAAACACUCCACACCUUCGGGUCCAGAGGUUGAAGCGAAAAGGUCUGCCGUGACAAUCGUUUUACAAUCCGGCUAGGGACAAAUAUGUCAAGGAAAGUACAUAGUCAAUUGGACUCAUAAAUUUCCUCCUCUAUACCGUCUAACAGGCUAUCUAAUUUACAAUCCUGUUGGGAAUAUUUGACGGCUACUUCUACUUGGUCAUAUACCAAAUUCACGGGAAUUUCUUUCCCAUCUGACCCUAGAGGUCCGACCCGGGCCAUAUGAUUUGGAUCAAGCUUGGUAUACCGUGUUUUGACCAUGGCCCAGGCUUCUCGUGCACCUUCCCGGCAGGCCGAUAUCUUCCAUAAGAGAAAGCGCCACCGCGCUCCCUUGAAUAACUGUAUAAGCUCCUCCAUCCUUCCUGGAGGAGAGGCGGAUGGCCAUAAAGCCUUGGCAACACUUCGCAUCGCCUGCCGAGCUUGCUCGUGCAUUUGCGACAGCUCUUGUAGCAGAUCGGCCGAGAUUCCGGACAUCUCCUCUUCGGGACGGCCAGUCAGCAUACCUACAGAUAUAAUUCUGUCAGUCCCUUUCAUCUCUGAACUACACAGAGGUAAGUUUGACCACAUACCAAAAAUGCCGCCGCGCAGCCUCUUAUUUUCCUUCACGGAAUCAGCCAGCUGGGCCCGUACAUCUUUCAGUUCUUCACCCAGCUGGGUAUAGGAAUCCUGCAGCUUGUUUUUCUCAUCCCUGACUCGUGUCAACACACGUUCGCCCGUGGACAGUAGUCUUUUGGCUCCUUGUUCUUCCGCUUGGGCGGCUUUCAGUUGCUCCUUCAGUUGAUCUGACGAUCCUGCCAUAAGAUGAGCAACAGUGUUAGUAUUGCUAGUAUAUAAUUAUGUUUUCUCGAUGGAGGGGAACAUUACCAGGUGAUGCCUUCUUGGAUUUCUCCAGUUCAGCGGUAGCAGCAGUUAGCUGGAUCCGACACUUUUCUAGUUCCUGAGACAACAGGUUGUUCUUCUCCGUAAGUACCCGGUUAUACAAUGAUCCUUAAAUCAGUUGUAUCAACUGCUUCAAGUCUCAGGGGCUACUGGUAUAUAAUUAUCAGUUUUGUAUAAUAAACCUACCCGCAUAUCUAUCAAAUGCUGGUCUGCGGCUCUGGUAAGCCCAUCUCGAGUACCUCGGAUGUAUGCAUCCGCCGAGCUAAAGGCAUCGAAGGCCUCUUUUGUAAAACUGGGGUCGCGAAGAACGGCUCUCCGGCGCCGAUGACCCAUGGCGCUCUCCACUUCCGAGUUGGUGACGGAUACAUCAUCCGAAUCCUCGGCCAAAGGACAAUCCGGUGUCGCUCCCAUAUCAGCUCCCGUCUUUACGGCAGGGUCUGGAACCUGGUUGUUGGGAGUAUGACCGGCCGGACCCCCGGACAUAGUCCGGCGAACGCUUUUCCUGAUAAGGCACAAACGGAAAAUGUCAUAGUUGGAUGUGACUGCCAAGGGGCAUAUUUACAAAACCAUACCUCUUUGGUGAGGUUUCGGCCAUGUCUUCGUUUGCUUUCCUCUUUGAAGGCUUGCCCGACGUGCGCGCCACUCUCUUUGGAGUUGCCUCUAGUACAGCAUGACGCGCCGAGCGCCUUCCCUUUGGAGCACGAGACAGUGCGGUGGGUGAGGUAGAACGAGGAAGCUCUUUCGGGGAUGUCUCCUGGUUACUUACGUGGGAGGCAGGGAGAAGACCGGGGUAGUCGGCGGUGAUGGCCACUUUCGUGCCGUCAUAGCUCGCCUGGUAGAACACCCCGUCCUCGAGCACCAUGAAUAUGUCCGGAUCCUCUUCGAAUCCGGGGUCAAGAUCCCGGUUGUGGUCCUCUGGCUGUGGGGCGGGGUAGUGUAGCCCCUCGCCGAUCUUUCGCCAUUCCUAUUACAAAUGGACGGAUUAACGUUCAUUAAAAUUGACUCAGGGAGUAGAAUGAGUGGAGCAGCGGGGUUGGAACUCACCCAGCUAGGGGGAUUGUACAUGGAGAAUCCAUCUCUGCGCUUGAUACGAAUAAAUUCCUCUUCCUCCCCUUUGAACAGCUCGGCCAAUAUUUUUGCCAAAGCGGCGGGGGUCUCCGGACCCUUCUGUCGGCGUCCUGGGAACGGGGGUCCCCAGACUUGCCUGCUGCCUGGGGCCCACGGCGUGGCUAAGUCAGCAGGCCGUACGACCCAUCUUCAUCGACAAGGCAUUCAAGACCCUCGCGAGGGGCCAAGCCUCGCGAGGCGGACAACGCAAGACCUCCUCAGGAGCGGCCAAGCCAGGCAGGCUCACGAGGAGUGGAGAUAUCAAGGCGGGGCAAACCUCACGAGGCUCUCGUGACGUGAGCCAUGACGAUCGACACCAGGCGGGCGCCAGCGCACGCAUCGUCCUUGUUUCCACUUUGGUGCUAAGGAAGCCAGUGCAGGCGAGGAGUACCGAGGCAUCAGGCAAAGGUUGCUAUAUUGGUGCGACGAGACCAAGACCAGGAGGACGGCAAGACGGAGGUCAUCGUGGAGCCCAAGACGGCGUCACCACCAGAGCCUUUCGCAGGCGAAGACCACUUUUGUCAGGAUAGCUUGUACUAGUUGUCCCCCUUCAAACUUGCCCGCCGUUGUUGGCUCCCUUCCCUCUCAUUAUUUGGGAAGAGGACCAGGGCCUCUAUAAAUAGGUCUAGCCACCACAGUAGAACGGACAACGAGAACCCAAACAGAUCAAAGGCCAACACUAGCACAAGAACACCUCAACCUUAGGAGGUUGUUCUUCCCCUUGUACUGUUCAUCAUCAGCCCAAGAGGCAAUCCACCACCACCACACUGGAGUAGGGUAUUACACCACAACGGUGGCCCGAACCAGUAUAAACCCCGUGUCUUUCUGUGUUGUGAGUUCGUCGAGUUCGUCCGCGAGAUCUUAGCGAGCUAGGGCGUAGAUCGGUAGGAGGGAAAGACUUCACGCGCACCCCAGUGUUUGAACCUUAAGGGUUUGCCGGAACCCCACAUCCGACAUUUGGCGCGCUAGGUAGGGGUGCGCCGGAGCUUCUUCUCCGCCGAUCAGCUCGCCGAUGCUCCACAGUCACGAUGUCCAGCGACUCAAGGGCCGGCUCCGACCGUUGGGCAGCCUGGCCAGCCCGGGCAGCGCCGCCUGCCCAUGAAGACCUCGACCCCGCGCUUCAGGCGGCGCGAGCGCCGCCAAACUCCGUCGGGCAUGGGCAGCGUGGCCAGGCGUCGUCCACCCUCACCCCGCGGCAAGUACGGGCCACUGCAAGAGCAGCGAGCCAUGCCGCAGCAACGGCGCCGCACUCACGGCGGGAGCAAGCAAACAUGCGGGCAACGCUCACCGUGGCAAGGGAGCUGCUGCGAUGCAGGCUGAUGGAAAGCGGCCGGGGUGCACUGCUAGAGCGUGUGUUUUUUUGACUAUAUACUGCAAGGCAACAGCCUCACAGUCCUUUAUUAAUAACUAAAAGAAAGCAGUAUAGUUACAAUUAUACAAAUUUACAGAAAAAAGAGAGAAAAGAUACUUACAAGCAAAGAGGCUAAGAAAUGUUAGCUAUCCAAGACAGUAAACUAUCUUUAUAUUUACACCUAAUCCUAUGAGACAGAAGAGAAAUGUCAUGGAUAAAGUUCCUUCUCCAAGCUCUAAAAGAAGGUUGCUCAUUUCUGAAGAUCUUCACAUUCCUUUGUGUCCAAACAUUCCAAGUAGCAGUGAAGACAACCUCAGUGAAGAAAGGAUGACCGAAAUCCCUCCUAACUGAUUGAGCCAUCUCAUAUGUGGUUUGGUUCGGUUGAACGGACCAAGAAAUCCCAAGAUAGUUCCAAACCCUUUGGCUAAAAUUGCAAGCAAAGAAAAGAUGGGCCCGAUCCUCAUGCUGUGCAAGGUUGCAUAGCACACAUGUGUCAUCCUGGAUGAUCCAAUGACGACGUUGCAUCAUAUCCCUAAUGUUCAAAUGAUCCAUUAAUAGAAGCUAGCCAAACACUUUGAACUUGAGUGUGCAUGCACACUUCCAAAUCCAUUUAAAGAUGGGGUCAACCACUAGGUGUGAGAAGCAAGAGUCAUAGUAUAUCUUUGACAUAAAAACACCAGACUUCGAAGGCCACUUCCAAAUGUCUUCGCUCUCACCAUCCAGAUUGAUCAAAGGCAGCAGGGCCUAGAGUUGUGUUAAUUCUGAGUAGGCCUCCUGUGACAGAGGCAAAUGGAAAUGAUCCAAGACAUCAGGCCGCUCCAUAAACUCCUUGACAGUGAUUGCAUCAUCAACUACAAAUGAAUGUAGCCUCGGGAAACAGUCAUGUAAAAGAACAGGACGAUUUCCCAGCUGCCAACGGUCAAGCCAAAAAAGCAUCGUGUCGCCUACAUGAACUUGUGGAACAGCAAGCUUGCAGAAAUUAGGGUAUAAACGCAUGACAUCACGCCACCAAAAGGAGCCACAGUUCUGGGUGCUUUGAGGUGGUGACGAUGCAUAAUAAGUGUCCCAAAUUAAUGAUACCCAAGGCACAUCCACUUUAUUAUAGAACUUGAAGAGAUGCUUUAGUAACAAAGCCUCAUUUUGAAUCCCAAGUUAAGAACACCCAAACCGCCGAAUUUCUUAGGGCGACAGACUAAAUCCCAAGCCGCCAAUGAUUGACGCGGGUUAUCUGUGUUGCCCCUCCACAGACAUUGCCUCAUGAUUCGCUCUAACUGCUGCAAAAUGCCCUUGGGAAGAGAUAAGGUACACAAGAAGUAUAUUGGCAUGGAGCACAACACUGACUGUAGAAGUUGCAGUCGGCUUCCUUGAUUUAGCAGGCAUGAGGAAGCAGAUAAGCGUCGCUCAACACGAUCAACCAGAGGCAGCAGAUCAUAGAUUGUAGGCCUAGAAGUUCCCAUUGGCAAGCCUAAAUACGUGAAUGGCAUUGACUCAACAUCGCAUCCGAGCAAAGAAGCCACCCUAGCACCUUCCGCAUUAGUCAUGUUUAUUGGAAUGAGUGAGGACUUACUAAAGUUUACACGUAGUCCUGUUGACGCCGCAAAUGUGUCAAGCAUCUCCUUGAAAGCAAUAAGCUGAUCAUCGAUCGCAGGCAGAACAAUUAAAGUGUCGUCGGCAUAUUGUACAAUCGGGUAGUCGCUGGAGUUGGUUGGGAUUGGCAGUGAGAGGAUAUUCCUGGAGCACAUCUCGUUGACUACAGAUUGCAAUAAGUCAACCGCAAUCACAAAGAGCAACGGUGAGAGAGGAUCCCCCUGACGCACGCCCGUUCUGCAAACAAAGUGAUUGCCAGGCACGCCGUUGAGAAGCACAGAAGAAGAUCCCGUAGACAAUAUGCUAUUGAUCCAUCCAGUCCACCGGGAGUCAAAACCCUUGCUUUGAAAAAUUCUAAGAAUAAGUUCAUGCACAAUUGUGUCGAAGGCCUUCGUGAAAUCCAGCUUAAGAAGGACGAUGGGUCGCUUCGAAGCUUUGCAUUGGUGUAUAUACUCAAAACACCAGGCCAGGCAAUCUUGAAUAGAACGACACCGAAGAAAACCAUAUUGAUUGCGGUGGAUGCAUCUUAGUAUCACUUUCUGAAGGCGGUUAGCAAGCAGUGUUGCCGAGCUACUGGAUGCGGCGGCAUCGGGAGCACCACCUUUCUGCUACCGACUUUCUCCUCAGGCCACUGCAGGGCCACACGGCGGGCCUCACCACAACCGCGCGCCAUCAGCUACGCCCGGGGGCUCCAUCAACAUCAGCACGACCAGCGGCGUAGGGGGCUCCGCAGCCCCUAUGCCGCCCGCGACAAGUGUGGGCGCAAGCAUCGCCCCCCACGGUCCUAGCCAGGUUCCACGCUACCACCCUCAGGAAGCCACCCUGGGCCGAGCAACAUGGGGUGUGGGGCACUACGGCGAGGUGUUCGGGGUGACGGCCCCGGAGGCCUACGUGCCCCACAUGAUGGACCAAGAGUACGCACCGGAGGACGACCACGGCUCGUUCGUUGGAGAAGAUUGGGGAGAGGGGGCGCUAGGAGCCAAGGCUUUCCAAGAACCGACGGAGAACCACGACGAUCGCGCCGGCAACGGCAACUACAGGGUACCGCUAAUCUCUCAGGAACAGGCUUACACUAACCAUGGGCUGCAGAUGAAUCAGGUUGCAGCGUCGAUCGACGACCCUGGCACGGCAGCACCCCUCCCAACAAGGGAAACGUGCUGGGGGCCGCCAGGAGGGAGCCAGGAGCAAGGCCACUCCCCGCAUCGCGCGACACCAGGCGACACCCGAAGGUAGGCCCUCUGUCGGGGAGGCCUCGACGACCCUUCCCCCGGCAGAGGACCUGUGGUCGCCGAGGGCACUAUUGGCGUCCUCUUUCCCUCUUUUGUGUCGUCCCGGUGACCGGUCGGCUCAAAGGAGGUCAAGGGUGGCGCAAGGCGGGGCCCUCGUCUGGCGAUAUGAAGCAAGGCCGGUACCUGUGAAGAAGGCCCGGUGCCUGUGAAGCUCGCCGCCCGUGACACUCUCACGUAAUAAUGAGUUGGGGCUGUACACGCCCCAAAGUCUCAGGGGUGCUGGCCUCAGGCCCUGGGGCUCCCUCCCACGCCUAGUGGCAGCACUUAGCUCCGCGCUGGUGAGAAGACUUGAAGACCAGAAGACUAGACUAGGUGCCGGACGCGGCCUUUUGCUUUGGAUCUCUCUUUCUGUAGCUUUGCUUUCUGAAUCUGGAUUUAAGUUGAAGCCGAAUUUUUAUCGAUGCGCACGGGGAGAGCCUUUUAUCGUUUGAGCAAUUUCUUGCCUUCUGGAUCUCGUUUUGUCUGGGACUCAUGUCCAUCGCCUUCCCCUCACGAGCUCCUCGCGAGCAGGACAGCGCGAAGCACGCGCACGCCGAGCGCGCGCUAGCACUGCAACUGGUGCUCACCUCUUGCGAGGCCCCUUCUGACGGGGCAACAAGCUCCGCAGGAUUCUCAGAAGCUCGACGCCCCGUGACCCAGCUCCAAGCUGGCGCUGACUAAGGUAAACCAUGACAGAAAACUCGCACCUGGAUUCACGAGCCCGCGAGGACACAAACUCACACCACAUAGGAAAGUAAAACUGCAGUUUGCUUACAUGAGGGGCUCCCCCUCUCAAAAUGCUCUUACAAGUUUUCCAAGGGCCACGCCCGAGUUUUGUGUGCAGGAUGAAACGACAGGAGAACAUGGGAUCAGCUAGAAAUGUCGCUCGUUGCAUCACCCGUGGACGCGUCACUCGCGUCGUCAUCGUCUUCGUCAGCAUCGUCGCCACCAUCGGCGACGCCCCCGUCGCCGUCGUCAACCACAUCGCCUUCGUCUGCGGCGACCAGCACCGCGUCAUCCUCCGAGGUGAAGGCCCUGACCAACGCGUCCACAUUGUCCUCAACCCAACGCGCCAGGUCGCCCCGGACAGCCGUGGGUACGGGGGCGAUGGCGGCGGCGAAAUCAAAGUUGGGGUCGGCAUUCAGGAGGUGGCUGAAGGCACGGGAGAAAGCGCGCUCAAGCAGGCCACAACCCCUUUCCUCCACAAGCUGGCGAGCUCUGGCAGAUCGAGCCUCCAGGUGCGUCACCACCUCGGUGAAGAAGGUCAGGUGGCUGGCAUAAUCAUUCGAGUGAGGGGCCGGCGCCUCCACAUCGCAAAUAUGGCCCAAGGCGAUAUUGGCCCUCUUCCGGAGAUCCUGAAGCAUAGGGGCAUGCUUGUGCUCCAGUGUUCGUCGUUGGAGCACUUCCUCCGUGCUUUGCCGUACAACGGCCUCAGCGUCAUCGACCCGCCUCCAAAGGGAACGCAGCUCGGCGCGGGCGGAGGCCAAGUCCACCUGCGCCGUAACCAAGGCGGCGGUUGUGGCCUCCGCGCGCCUCUCAGCCUCAUCCAACCUAGGCCUGAGGGCAGCAGCCCUGCCCGCAUCCUCCGUACCCGCGAGCUUCAGCUUCAGGUCAUACCUGCCCUCCAGGUCUGCGCGAACCUUGGCCACCCGGCGAUUGACCUCCUCCUCGACUCUGGCCUCGCGAGCCCCGACGGCAUCUUCUGCUUGAGCAACUUGACGCUCCCUCGUCUCCAGUUGCUUGAGCUCGAGGCUGCGCUCCACGGCUUCCAGAGCCAGCGCCUCGUCGCGCUUCCGGACCUCCUCUUCCUCCCCGGGCGUCCCCCUCAGCGAUGCAAGAGUGGCCCUGUGCGCCUCCACCUGCUGCUCAAGGGACGCGCUCCAGGCCUGGAGCUCCCACGCGCGCUUCUCCGCAGCCUCGCGACGACGGUCAGCCUCGCGAGCCUCUUCCAAGGCUCGCGAGCGGGCUUCAUGGGCGAUCUUGAGGGAUGCCUCGGCCUUCGCAUUCUCAAGGUCGCGCUGAUAGCGGCCGAGGUUGAUGGCCACCUUCAGCUUGCGCCGCUCCUCCGCUAGUCGGAGACCUUCAGCCUCAAGGCGCGAGUCGACACCAACGAGCUCUUCACCCAGUCGACUCAUCGCGCCCAUCGCCUCCUGGAAGAGCUCGUGACGAACUACGCUCCGCCCGCGCUCAAGCUCAAACGCUCGGCCCACCUCGUCCUCCACCUCUGGGGCAGCGGGCGGGGCGCUGAGUGGCGCGCCACCCCCCGGCAGGGGGCUGGGGGCUGACGCCGCACCCGACGUCAGCCAGACCUCGUGAGAAGCCCGAGCCGAUCAGGGCACGCUGCAUGAAGAGGAGCCGAAGAUCGAAGCCAACCAGCUGUUGUCCAUAAGCAAGGGAGGGGUCUUGGGCACGCCCGCCAGGCUCCACGCCAGACCUUGGGGGAGGAAUGGCCAAGCCGCAGGCUCAGCACGCCAUGAAGACGGAGAUGCUCCCCCAACCAACCCUGCUCCAGGGGUGGUAAGCAGACCAGGAAUGCUCAAGGCCGAUGGAGGAGUUGAGGAAGGAGGAGGCCGUUUCUCAGGAGGCGCAGCCGCCUCGAUGGAAGGAGCCCUGAAGAACUGACGUCAGGAGAUGGAAAAUAGCACACAAGGAGCCACAGCGAUAAGAUACUUACAUGUCAACGGCGAUGUACUUCCUCCGCUUCAGCGGUCUGAAGAUGUUGUUGCCGCUCGGGGAUCCUUUCCUCUUGCGGAGCUCCGAGAAAUCGACGCAGUGUCGGCCGUAUCGCUGGACGUGGCGGCCUGCACGGGGCGAAGAGCUUGGAGAGACAAUUUUAGGGGUGCCCGGAUGCGGCAAACAGCCGGGCACCACCUCACCACCAACUCCUGAGGCUUCCGGGACCUUAGCCUCGGGAGCCGCAUGCCGCAUCUCCUCAGCGACCAGUGUUUCAAGAAGGGGGUCGCAAGCUCCCGAGGAUGACACCCCAGGAUCACCACUCAGCAUGUGCUCCAUAGCACUUGGGCCACCAGCCUCCGUCGGAGCUCGCCCUCCUGCACCCCCACUUGGGGUGAGCUCGGCACCGGCGGCAAGGAAGGGAACCACGACGACGGGGUUCUCGCGGGGCCCCACCAGAUCGAUCGGCCGCAGCCCCCAUUCGUCAAAGGAAAGCAUGCUCGCUGCAAACUCAUCCUUGUUCUUGCAGCGAUACAGUAGGCAAUUCUUCCCAGGCAUUUCAGCCGGCAAAGGGACACCCGUCAAGACCUUGAGCACUGUCUGCCGCGUCCUGAGAGGGAGCCCAGACUCCUCGAACCUCAUGUGGUCCUGACUGUUGAGCAAAGCCCACAUUGGGCGAGAGUGGCGCCGGAGCGGAGCAACCCGGCGCUUGACGAACUCCUUCACCACCAUAGGCGCGGUCAUGCCGCGGUCCUUCAGCAGCCUCAGCCUGAGCAAGGCGAGGGCUCGAGAGCCUCUGGUGGCCCCAGCCGGAGUUUGGAACAGCGGGCCCCGCCGGAACUUGGAGCAGAGGGCUGAGCACGCCGGCAUCAAUAAACACCCACCGCGUACGAAACUCGCUCGUGGAUGAAGAGAGCUCGAAGUCAAUCCCUGCGCCCGCGGUCGCGGCCACGGCCUGGAAGCUCACACACCCCAAGCUCUGUCGGGGACCAGUCAGAUGCAAUGAGAAGAAAUGGCAAAGCAGGGCCACGGAAGGAGCGAUGCCCACCAUGGCCUCCCACAAGAAGGUGAAGACGGCAAGAAGGGUCACAGAUUGAGGGUUGAGAUGAAGCAUGUGGAUCUGGUAAUGCUCGAGCACCGCGUUGAAGAAGGCGGAGAAGGGAGGAAUCGAGCUAGCCCAAAGGGCAUCAAUGAAGAUCGGGACCUCAGUGGCUGCCCGAUCCAUGCGAGUAAGGGACGCGGGCCAAGCCACCGUCUCUCCCCACUCGUUGAAGCUGGAGGCAAGCAUGGGGCGCACCUUGUCCAUGGCCUCGUCGUUGAGCACCCGAGGCUGGCCGAUCGCCGGCUCAAAAGAUGGAGGCGCAGUUGGCAACGACAGGGGUUUCUUCCCCUUUUCAGCUUGUUUCGGCGCCAUGGCGAUGAAGCAAGCGGAGCGUAAGCCGGAUUGGCAGGGCAGAGCAGGGCCUCGAGGAAGCAGGGAGAUUGGAAGAAACAGGCGUGGGCGAAGGAGGAAUAACUAUGUAGGCCGCGGGGGGCGCAUAGCUAGGCGGAUUCAGAGGCAGCGUGGGGAAGCGGGGACGCCCACAUCUAAUCAACCGCCACGCGUCAACCGAGGCCGCAGGCUUUUGGGGCCCGCGGUGCUCCGUACUUGGCCCUUGGCUUCGCCGCGAAGCCAAGCCCGAGCGCACCUUGGGCCCGGGGGCUACUGUCGGCGUCCUGGGAAUGGGGGUCCCCGGACUUGCCUGCCUGCGGCCCACGGCGUGGCUAAGUCAGCAGGCCGUACAGCCCAUCUUCAUCGACAAGGCAUUCAAGACCCUCGCGAGGGGCCAAGCCUCACGAGGCGGACGACACAAGACCUCCUCAGGAGCGGCCAAGCCAGGCAGGCUCACGAGGAGCGCAAAUAUCAAGGCGGGGCAAACCUCAUGAGGCUCUCGUGACGUGAGCCAUGACGAUCGACACCAGGCGGGCGCCAGGUGGGCGCCAGCGCGCGCAUCGUCCUUGUUUCCUCUUUGGUGCUAAGGAAGCUAGCGCAGGCGAGGAGUACCGAGGCAUCAGGAAAAGGUUGCUAUAUUGGUGCAACGAGACCAAUACCAGGAGGACGGCAAGACGGAGGUCAUCGUGGAGCCCAAGACGGCGUCACCACCAGAGCCUUUCGCAGGCGAAGACCACUUUUGUCAGGAUAGCUUGUACUAGCUGUCCCCCUUCAAACUUGCCCGCCGUUGUUGGCUCCCUUCUCGCUCAUUAUUUGGGAAGAGGACUAGGGCCUCUAUAAAUAGUUCUAGCCACCACAGUAGAACGGACAACGAGAACCCAAACAGAUCAAAGGCCAACACUAGCACAAGAACACCUCAACCUCAGGAGGCUGUUCUUCCCCUUGUACUGUUCAUCAUCAGCCCAAGAGGCAAUCCACCACCACCACACUGGAGUAGGGUAUUACACCACAACGGUGGCCCGAACUAGUAUAAACCCCGUGUCUUUCUGUGUUGCGAGUUCGUCGAGUUCGUCCACGAGAUCUUAGCGAGCUAGGGUGUAGAUCGGUAGGAGGGAAAGACUUCGCGCGCACCCCAGUGUUCGAACCUUAAGGGUUUGCCGGAACCCCACAUCUGACACCUUCCGACCGCAGCGGGAGGCGUCAUCUUCCCCAUUAUAAUGCAACAUGGGGAGCCCUCUGUAUUGGAGUGGCUAGACCCCUCGCACUAUGGAAGUUGCCAUUACCUCGACUAUUGAUAAUCCGGACUGGGCAAGCGUCUUUAUCUUGCUCAUCAGUUGACGGACUUCCGCGCUAUCUUCCUCCUCGAGGCUCCGAGGGCGCCAGCUGUGGCGUUUCUUCAACGGAACACUUGCGAAUUCGGGAAGACCCAUUCGGACUGGAUCAGGAAGGGCGACGUCCUCAAUAUAGAACCAUUCGGAAGGCCACUCUUCGCUUGCCUUCUUUGGUGUGCCGGACAGGUAUCCGGUCCCGGCGACGCGCCAUACCUCGGCUCCGCCCACUUCAAAUAUUGAUCCCUCUUGGUUACGAGGGACGAGGCAGAAUAGCUUCCUACACAAUUCAAAGUGGGCCUCACAACCCAGGAAUAGCUCACAAAGAGCGACAUAACCCGCGAUGUGCAGAAUGGAGGCAGGAGUGAAAUUGUGAAGUUGAAGACCAUAAUACUCCAAAAGUCCUCGGAGGAACGGAUGAAUUGGAAAACCGACGCCUCUUAGCAGGUAGGGAACGAAGCACACUUGUUCCCCCCUGGAUAGAUUGGGGAAAUUCUCAACCUGAGCCCCACCGUUUAAGGAAGUCAAUCCUACUCGAACGGGGACUAGAUCCGCGGGGGGAAGAAAUCCCUGUGUUUGCAGCUUCACUAGUUGACCGUGGGAUAUGGAACAUCUCUCCCAAUUGCCUUUUUCAAGGCCGUGGGGACGGGAGGAAGAACUGGGAGUGCUAGCCAUGUUGGAGCGGUCUCUGCAAGCAAGCUCGGAGGAUUUUCCGCGUGGUGUGAAGCGGAUCUGAGAUCCAAUCCCUUUAAAUAGACGCUUUUCUUACAUGGCCGGGGUGUUAUAUGUAAAACAUACCCUGACCUCUCGUAUUCGCUCGACACAUGGAAGCUGAAGCAAUGGAUGCACAGAAGCCGAUGUGUAUGACACUAAAUGAAAGGCCGAAUACAGCUCUUUGGAGUCAUCGGAGGAGGAACCCGCCUUGCGAUGCCGAAGACAAUCUGCGCGCCGGACACAUCGUCAUUGAAAGCCUGGUUCGGGGGCUACUGAGGGAGUCCUGGACUAAGGGGUCCUCGGGCGUCCGGACUACAGUACGUGGGCCGGACUGAUGGGCUGUGAAGAUACAAAACCGAAGACUUUCUCCCGUGUCUGGAUAGGACUCUCCUUGGCGUCCUAAUAUGAAGAUUCCUUUCUCUGUAACCGACUUUGUACUACCCUAGUCCCCUCCGGUGUCUAUAUAAACCAGAGGGCUUAGUCCAUAGAGGCCAGAAUCAUAAUCACAAUCAUACAGGCUAGACUUCUAGGGUUUUAGCCAUUACGAUCUCGUGGUAGAUCAACUCUUGUAAUACUCAUAUUCAUUAAGAUCAAUCAAGCAGGAAGUAGGGUAUUACCUCCAUAGAGAGGGCCCGAACCUGGGUAAACAUCGUGUCCCCCAUCUCAUGUUACCAUCGACCUUAGACGCACAGUUCGGGACCCCCUACCCGAGAUCCGCCGGUUUUGACACCAACAGCCACUUCCAAAGCUAUCUUGCCCACAGGAUACGCCGACUUACCAGGCACCACUCCAUGAAAGACAGUAUUACACGGCUUAAGAUCCUUAUCAGUCAAGCCCAUACGACGGAAAGUAUCAUAGUAAAGGAUAUUGAUGUUGCUGCCUCCAUCCAUGAGUACUUUAGUGAACUUGUACCCUCCAUCCUGAGUGCAACCACCAAAGCCAACUGACCUGGAUUGUCAACCCGGGGCGGGUGAUCCUCAUGGCUCCAAAGAAUAGGAUGUUCAGACCAUCGCAAGAAACGGGGAACCGCCGGCUCAACUACAUUCACCGCCCUUUUAUGAAUCUUCUGAUCUCGUUUGCAUAAACUCGUGGUGAACACAUGAUAUUGUCCACUAUUCAACUGCUUCGGGUUACUCUGAUAACCAGAUUGCUGCUGUUGAUUCCCUUGACCAGACUAUUGAUUGAAACCACCUUGAUUGCCUUGGCCCUGGAAACCAGAACUUGAGCCGGCUCCACCAAAGCCAGGCCCGUGAGAGCCGGAUCCUGAACCGCCAUCCGGGCCAUGAUUGUUAUGGAAAAAAUUGGAAUUUCUGUACUCCCUCAUGAUGAAGCAAUCCUUCCAUAGAUGAUUGGCUGGCUUCUCGUGCGUAUCGUGCUUUGGGCAAGGCUGAUUCAUCAUUGCCUCCAGGUUGAACUUUGGCCCACCAAGCUGGGGCGGCUUUCCCUUCCGACGCUAAUUAUUGUUCUGCGUAUUGGUGUUGGCCACAAAGUCUAAACCGCCCUCGGCCUUGCGUUUACCAUUGCCACCGUGACCCGUCGUGUUAUGCUACUGUCCCUUCGCAUUGCCACCCUUCUUCCCCUUACCGGCCUUCUCCUCAUAAGAGUCGGGGUCUUUAGUACUAUCAGAGUCGGCAUAUUUGACUAGAGCCGCCAUGACCUCCCCCAUGUCAUUGCAAUGGUGUUUAAGCCGCCCCAGUUUCUGCUUAAGGGGAAGGAAACGACAAUUCUUUUCCAACAUCAGGACUGCUGAACCGGCAUUAAUACUGUCCGAUGAAUGUAUAACAACUGAGAUCCGGCGCACCCAAUUGGUUGUCGACUCGCCCUCGCCUUGGACACAAGAGUCUAAAUCUAGGAUUGACAUGGGCUGCUUGCAUGUGUCUUCAAAUUUUUGGAUGAAACAUGAUUUCAACUCCGCCCAUGAUCUAAUGGAGUUAGCGGGCAGCCCUUUCAACCAAGUACGAGUCGAUCCAUCCAGCAUCAUGGUGAAAUACUUAGCACAUGCAGCAUCACUAACAUCCAACAUCUCCAUAGCCAUCUCAUAGCUCUCGAUCCAAGCCUCCGGGGGUUGAUCCGCUGUGUAAUUAUGCACCUUUCAAGGGCCCUUGAAAUCCUUAGGCAAACGCUCGUUGCAUAGAGCCAGCACUAAACAUGGCACACCCAGGGUUCUAGAGGUCACUCCUGCCUCCACAGACGCUAGCUGAGCCGCCAGCUAUGCCUCCCGACGCGCCCUGCCCUGAUCAACCAAAGUUUGGGCAUCGUUACCACCACGCGCCGGAUCAUGCCUACGAGGUUGAUUACGGUGUUUCUCACUGCUUGAAACUGCUGGGGAAUCAAUGUGCCUGCUAUAACUCCGACUCGGUCAAGGGGUUGAGUGAGUCCGCUCGUGACUAUAAGAAUAAGCCGCCUGUUGGGCCACAACUGUCUGAAGAAGCUCUCUGGCCCUCCGUGUUUCUAUUGCCGUCGGAGACUCGCCUUCAACUGGGAGAGCCGCCAAUCGUGUUGCUGCAGCAAUCAUGUUCUCCAAAGGAUUAGAAUAAUGACCCGGCGGCGUCGGAACAUGCCGAGGCAGAGCCAUAUCCAAUUGAGGCGGAUCCGCAGCACGCGACUGAACCGGCGCUCCAGUCACGAACGCCUCAACCGCCCGGUUCACCACAGGCAGGUCACUGGUCCCUGCCCUAGGCGUGUUGAAGAGGUUUCUCGCAUCAUAAACCGGAGGUAAACGACACUGGUGUCUCCUUCUCAUGAUAGCAUUCAAAGUGUUUUGAUCCAAGGUAAGUCGGAAAGACUCUGCCUGAAUCCGUUGUGCCUGAGCGUCCAAAGCAGCUCGCUCCGUAACCAUCCUAGCGUUUUCAGCCGCCAGCUCCUCCUUGGCUUGAGCUAUCUCAUCUCCAACAACUCUGUCAGAACUUGAGCCGGCGGGCGUGCAGAGCCACUAGCACCAGCCAUUGCCGCAGCCGUUGAGCCGGAGGUCAUAGCCGCGGCGUUCAUUGAGCCGAGCGCUGGCUGUGUACCGGCCAUGAAGAUCGCAACCCUGUUCGGCGGCUCAUAGGGGUUCGGAAUACUGUCUCCAUUGGAAUAGCCCCCAAGCCGACCGUCUUGCAGUUGAUACAUUGAAUUGGUCUCACCGGUUGACGAUUCACCAUCAGAGUAGAUGGCCGCCUCACCACCAGACACCGGUCCUUCCUCAAAUUCCGCCCCAUGGAUGAAACCAACAAAGGUGUGCUUCACGGCGGGAUGAAUCUUGGUGGGUCAUGCACGCUAAGCCGUCUCGAUGAUGUCGGUGCAGGUGUCCGGCUCAGGGCCUGAUUCGCCGAUCUUGCCGAUGAAAACGUGGAUUCCACCAAAGGGGACCCGGUACCCGUACUCAAUUGAGCCGACCUCGGGGCCCCAGCCAACGUCGUCGUUGUAGAGCUUGCCGCGAUGACUCUUGGUCAUCCGGCCGACAGCGUGUCCCGUGAUCCCUGCGAAGUUGCCCUUCAAGAACUCGAAACCACCGUGCACUGGCCCCACGGUGAGCGCCAACUGUCGUGGACUUAACACGGCAGAUGUCCUAGCGUAAGGACUUAGUCGUGGAGCCAUCGCAACUAGGUUAGCUUAAAGGGGUUAAACAGGAUAAAGGACACAGAGAGUUUAUACUUGUUCGGCCCCUCGCGGUGGAGGUAAAGGUUUACUCCAGUUUGGGACUGUAUUGCUUGGAUUUCGAUUACCAGGGAGCGAAUACACUUGACCUAGUUCUCGAUCUCUGGUUUCUUGAGUUAACCCACCGCCGGGUCACCCCUUUAUAUACAUAGGUUGAUGCCCGGUGGCUUCCAGAGUCCAGAUCGGCUCAUACACAUCGUGUCCGGCUCGGUGACUAACUAAGCUUGCCUUACAAUACAAGUUAUUCAUGUGGCGGUUCAUCCCCUUGGGCCUCAAGUCGCCUCUGGGUCUUGGGUCGUCAAUGGGCUUGCUAUGACCCGCCAUCUUCAUUGAUAAGUCGCCGAUGGCAUGACCCGGCCCCUUCUGGGCGGUUCAUACUCAGUAGUUAUAUCCCCAACACAUAGGUUCUAUCAUGUAUGCAAUGUGGUGUACCAGACCUGCUGUGUGCCUUGCUAUAAGUUUAGCAGGGAGGUACCAAAGUAAUCCAGGAGGGGAACACUGGACAACGGUCAAGAACAUCCUGAAAUACCUGAAAAGGACUAAGGAUAUGUUUCUCGUUUAUGGAGGUGAUAAAGAGCUUGUCGUAAAUGGUUACAUCGAUGCAAGCUUUGACACUGAUCCGAAUGACUCUAAGUCACAAACUGGAUACGUAUUUAUAUUGAAUGGUGGAGCUGUCAGUUGGUGCAGUUCCAAGCAGAGCGUCAUGGCGGGAUCUACGUGUGAAGCGGAAUACAUAGCUGCUUCAGAAGCAGCAAAUGAAGGAGUCUGGAUGAAGGAGUUCAUAUCCGAUCUGGGUGUAAUACCUAGUGCAUCGGGUCCAAUGAAAAUCUUUUGUGACAAUACUAGAGCAAUUGCCUUGGCGAAGGAAUCCAAAUUUCACAAGAGAAUCAAACACAUCAAGAGACGCUUCAAUUCCGUCCGUGAUCAAGUCUAGAAGGGAGACAUAGAGAUUUGCAAAAUACGUACGGAUCUGAAUGUUGCAGACCCGUUGACUAAGCCUCUUCCAUGAGCAAAACAUGAUCAGCACCAAGACUCCAUGGGUGUUAGAAUCAUUACUAUGUAAUCUAGAUUAUUGACUCUAGUGCAAGUGGGAGACUGAAGGAAAUACGUCCUAGAGGCAAUAAUAAAGUUAUUAUUUAUUUCCUUAUAUCAUGAUAAAUGUUUAUUAUUCAUGCUAGAAUCGUACUAACCAGAAACUUAGUACAUGUGUGAAUACAUAGACAAUACUGAGUGUCCCUAGUAUGCCUCUACUUGACUAGCUCGUUAAUCAAAGAUGGUUAAGUUUCCUGACCAUAGACAUGUGUUGUCAUUUGAUGAAUGGGAUCACAUCAUUACAGAAUGAUGUGAUGGACAAGACCCAACCGUUAGCUUAGCAUAAUGAUCGUUAAGUUUUAUUGCUAUUGCUUUCUUCAUGACUUAUACAUAUUCCUCUGACUAUGAGAUUAUGCAACUCCCGAAUACCGGAGGAACACCUUGUGUGCUAUCAAACGUCACAACAUAACUGGGUGAUUAUAAAGAUGCUCUACAGGUGUCUCCGAAGGUGUUUGUUGGGUUGGCAUAGAUCGAGAUUAGGAUUUGUCACUCCAAGUAUCGGAGAGGUAUCUCUGGGCCCUCUCGGUAAUGCACAUCACAAUAAGCCUUGCAAGCAAUGUGACUAAUGAAUUAGUUGCGAGAUGAUUACGGAACGAGUAAAGAGACUUUUCGGUAACAAGAUUGAACUAGGUAUGAGGAUACCGACGAUCGAAUCCCGGGCAAGUAACAUACCGAUGACAAAGGGAAUGACGUAUGUUAUCAUGCGGUUUGACCGAUAAAGAUCUUCGUAGAAUAUGUAGGAACCAAUAUCAGCAUCUAGGUUCCACUAUUGGUUAAUGACUAGAGAUGUGUCUUGGUCAUGUCUACAUAGUUCUCGAACCCGUAGGGUCCGCACGCUUAACGUUCGAUGACAAUUUGUAUUAUGAGUUGUGUGUUUUGGUGACCGAAGUUUGUUCGGAGUCCCGGAUGGGAUCACGGACAUGACGAGGAGUCUCGAAAUGGUAGAGAGGUAAAGAUUGAUAUAUUGGACGGUUAUGUACGGACACCUGAAUGGUUCUGAAGAGGUUCGGGGAUUUUUUGGAGUACCGGGAGGUUACCGGAACGCCCCGGGAAAGUUAAUGGGCCUCAUGGGCCAUAGUGGAGAGAGCGAGGCAUGCCAUAAGAGGUGGCGCCCCCCCCCAUGGCAAGUCCGAAUUGGACAAGGGGUGGGGGCGCGGCCCCCUUUCCUUCCCCUCUCCCCCUAUUUCCCCUUCGCCCCUCUCCGUUGGAAGGAAGGGGGAGCCGACUAGGACUAGGAGUCCUAAUGGGACUCCCCCCACUUGGCGCGCCCCCUAGGGCCGGCCACCUCCUCCUCCCCUCCUUUAUAUACGGGGGUGGAGGGCACCCCAAAGGCACAUCAAUUGUUCUCUUAGCCAUGUGCGGUGCCAACCUCCACAGUUUACUCCUUUGGUCAUAGCGUCGUAGUGCUUAGGUGAAGCCCUGCGCGGAUCACAUCACCAUCACCGUCACCAUGCUAUCAUGCUGCCCGAACUCUCCCUCGAACCUCUGCUGGAUCAAGAGUUCGCAGGACGUCAUCGAGCUGAACGUGUGCUGAACUCGGAGGUGUCGUACGUUUGGUACUAGAUCGGUUGGAUCGGGAAGACGUUCGACUACAUCAACCGCGUUAACCUAACGCUUCCGCUUUUGGUCUAGGAGGAUACGUGGACACAAUCUCCCCCUCUCAUUGCUAUAUAUCUCCUAGAUAGAUCUUGCGUGAGCAUAGGAUUUUUUUUUUUGAAAUUGCAUGCUACGUUCCCCAACAGUGGCAUCUGAGCCAGGUCUAUGCGUAGAUGAUAUGCACGAGUAGAACACAAAGAUUUGUGGGCGAUAAUAGUUAUACUGCUUACCACCAACGUCUUACUUUGAUUCGGCGGUAUUGUUGGAUGAAGCGGCCUGGACCAACAUUACAUGACCACGUUCAUGAGACCGGUUCUACCGACGUGCUUUGCACACAGGUGGCUGGCGGGUGUGUGUUUCUCCAACUUUAGUUGAAUCGAGUUUGACUACGACCGGUCCUUGUUGAAGAUUAAACAACACACUUGAUGAAAAAUCGUUGUGGUUUUGAUGCAUAGGGUAAGAACGGUUCUUGCUAGAAGCCCGUAGCAGCCAUGUAAAACUUGCAACAACAAAGUAGAGGACGUCUAACUUCUUUUUGCAGGGCAUGUUGUGAUGUGAUGUGGUCAAGGCAUGAUGUGAUAUACGUUAUUGUAUGAGAUGAUCAUGUUUUGUAAAAGUUAUCGGCAACUGGCAGGAGCCUUAUGGUUGUCUCUUUAUUGUAUGAAAUACAAUCGCCAUGUAAUUUCUUUACUUUAUCACUAUGCGGUAGCGAUAAUCAUAGAAGCAAUAGUUGGCGAGACGACAACGAUGCUACGAUGGAGAUCAAGGUGUCAAGCCGGUGACAAUCGAGAUCAUAACGGUGCUUUGGAGAUGGAGAUCAAAGGCACAAGAUGACGAUGGCCAUAUCAUGUCACAUAUUUUGAUUGCAUGUGAUGUUUAUCUUUUACGCAUCUUAUUUUGCUUAGUACGGCGGUAGCAUUAUAAGAUGAUCCCUCACUAAAUUUCAAGGUGUAAGUGUUCUCCCUGAGUAUGCACCGUUGCUACAGUUCGUCGUGUCGAGACACCACGUGAUGAUCGGGUGUGAUAAGCUCUACGUUCACAUACAACGGGUGCAAGACAGUUUUGCACAUGCAGAGUACUCGGGUUAAACUUGAUGAGCCUAGCAUAUGCAGAUAUGGCCUCGAAACACUGAGACCGAAAGGUCGAAUGUGAAUCAUAUAGUAGAUAUGAUCAACAUAGAGAUGUUCACCAUUGAAAACUACUCCAUCUCACGUGAUGAUCGGGCAUGCUUUAGUUGAUAUGGAUCACGUGAUGUCUAUCUAAGUGGGAGUUCUUAAGUAAUAUGAUUAAUUGAACUUUAAUUUAUCAUGAACUUAGUACGUGAUAGUUUUUCGCAUAUCUAUGUUGUUGUAGAUCAAUGGCCCGUGCUAUCGUUCCAUUGAAUUUUAAUGCGUUCCUAGAGAAAGCUAAGUUGAAAGAUGAUGGUAGCAACUACACGGACUGGGUCCGUAACUUGAGGAUUAUCCUCAAUGUUGCACAGAAGAAUUACGUCCUGGAAGCACCUCUAGGUGCAAGGCCCGCUGCAGGAGCAACUCCGGACGCUAUGAACGUCUGGCAGACUAAAGCUAAUGACUACUCGAUAGUUCAGUGUGCCAUGCUUUAUGGCUUAGAAUCGGGACUUCAAAGAUGUUUUGAACGUCAUGGAGCAUAUGAGAUGUUCCAGGAGUUCAAGUUAAUAUUUCAAGCAAAUGCCCGAGUUGAGAGAUAUGAAGUCUCCAACAAGUUCUAUAGCUGCAAGAUGGAGGAGAACAGUUCUGUCAGUGAACACAUACUCAGAAUGUCUGGGGUAUCAUAACCACUUGACUCAGCUAGGAGUUAAUCUUCCUGAUGUAGUGUCAUUGACAGAGUUCUUCAAUCACUGCCACCAAGCUAUAAAGGCUUCGUGAUGAACUAUAAUAUGCAAGGGAUAGAAAAGACAAUUCCCGAGCUCUUCGCGAUGCUAAAGGCUGCGGAGGCAGAAAUCAAGAAGGAGCAUCAAGUGUUGAUGGUUAACAAGACCACUAGUUUCAAGAAAAAGGGCAAAGGGAAGAAGGGGAACUUCAAGAAGAAUAGCAAGCAAGUUGCUACUCCCGGGAAGAAGCCCAAGUUUGGACCUAAGUCUGAAACGAAGUGCUUCUACUUUAAAGGGACUGGUCACUGGAAGCGGAACUGUCCCAAGUAUUUGGCAGAUAAGAAGGAUGGCAAAGUGAAAGGUAUAUUUGAUAUACAUGUUAUUGAUGUGUACCUUACUAAUGCUCGUAGUAGCGCUUGGGUAUUUGAUACUGGUUCUGUUGCUCAUAUUUGCAACUCAAAAUAGGAGCUACGGAUUAAACGAAGAUUGGCUAAGGAUGAGGUGACGAUGCGCGUCGGAAAUGGUUCCAAGGUCGCUGUGAUCGCCGUCGGCACGCUACCUCUACAUCUACCUUCGGGAUUAGUUUUAGACCUAAAUAAUUGUUAUUUGGUGCCAGCGUUGAGCAUGAACAUUGUAUCUGGAUCUUGUUUGAUGUGAGACGGUUAUUCAUUUAAAUCAGAGAAUAAUGGUUGUUCUAUUUAUAUGAGUAAUAUCUUUUAUAGUCAUGCACCCUUGAUGAAUGGUCUAUUUUUGUUGAAUCUCGAUCGUAGUGAUACACAUAUUCAUAAUAUUGAAGCCAAAAGAUGCAAAGUUAAUAACGAUAGUGCAACUUAUUUGUGGCACUGUCGUUUAGGUCAUAUUGGUAUAAAGCGCAUGAAGAAACUCGAUGCUGAUGGUCUUUUGGAAUCACUUGAUUAUGAAUCACUUGAUCCUUGCGAACCAUGCCUCAUGGGCAAGAUGACUAAGACUCCGUUCUCCGGAACAAUGGAGAGAGCAACUGGCUUAUUGGAAAUAAUGCAUACUGAUGUAUGCGAUCCAAUGAGUGUUGAGGCUCGCGGCGGGUAUAGUUAUUUUUUGACCUUCACAGAUGAUUUGAGCAGAUAUGGGUAUAUCUACUUAGUGAAACACAAGUCUUAAAUAUUUGAAAAGUUCAAAGAAUUUCAGAGUGAAGUGGAAAAUCAUCUUAACAAGAAAAUAAAGUUUCUACGAUCUGAUCGUGGAGGUGAAUAUUUGAGUUAUGAGUUUGGUCUUCAUUUGAAACAAUGUGGAAUAGUUUCGCAACUCACGCCACCUGGAACACCACAACGUAAUGGUGUGUCCAAACGUCGUAAUCGUACUUUAUUAGAUCUGAUGCGAUUUAUGAUGCCUCUUACCGAUUUACCGCUACCGUUUUGGGGUUAUGCUUUAGAGACGGCUGCAUUCAUGUUAAAUAGGGCACCAUCUAAAUCCGUUGAGACGACACCAUAUGAACUAUGGUUUGGCAAGAAACCUAAGCUGUCGUUUCUUAAAGUUUGGGGCUGCGAUGCUUAUGUGAAAAAGCUUCAACCUGAUAAGCUCGAACCCAAAUCGAAGAAAUGUGUCUUCAUAGGAUACCCAAAGAAAACUAUUGGGUACACCUUCUAUCACAGAUCCAAAGGCAAGACAUUUGUUACUAAGAAUGGAUGCUUUCUAGAGAAGGAGUUUCUCUCGGAAGAAGUGGGUGGGAGGAAAGUAUAACUUGAUGAGGUAAUUGUACCUUCUCCCGAAUUGGAAAGUAGUUCAUCACAGAAAUCAGUUCCAGUGAUGCCUACAUCAAUUAGUGAGGAAGUUAAUGAUGAUGAUCAUAAAACUUCAGAUCAAGUUACUACCGAACCUCGUAGGUCAACCAGAGUGGUACGGUAGUCCUGUUCUGGAGGUCAUGUUACUAGACCAUGACGAACCUACAAACUAUGAGGAAGCGAUGAUGAGCCCAGAUUCCAUAAAAUGGCUUGAGGCCAUGAAAUCUGAGAUGGNNNNNNNNNNNNNNNNNNNNNNNNNNNNNNNNNNNNNNNNNNNNNNNNNNNNNNNNNNNNNNNNNNNNNNNNNNNNNNNNNNNNNNNNNNNNNNNNNNNNNNNNNNNNNNNNNNNNNNNNNNNNNNNNNNNNNNNNNNNNNNNNNNNNNNNNNNNNNNNNNNNNNNNNNNNNNNNNNNNNNNNNNNNNNNNNNNNNNNNNNNNNNNNNNNNNNNNNNNNNNNNNNNNNNNNNNNNNNNNNNNNNNNNNNNNNNNNNNNNNNNNNNNNNNNNNNNNNNNNNNNNNNNNNNNNNNNNNNNNNNNNNNNNNNNNNNNNNNNNNNNNNNNNNNNNNNNNNNNNNNNNNNNNNNNNNNNNNNNNNNNNNNNNNNNNNNNNNNNNNNNNNNNNNNNNNNNNNNNNNNNNNNNNNNNNNNNNNNNNNNNNNNNNNNNNNNNNNNNNNNNNNNNNNNNNNNNNNNNNNNNNNNNNNNNNNNNNNNNNNNNNNNNNNNNNNNNNNNNNNNNNNNNNNNNNNNNNNNNNNNNNNNNNNNNNNNNNNNNNNNNNNNNNNNNNNNNNNNNNNNNNNNNNNNNNNNNNNNNNNNNNNNNNNNNNNNNNNNNNNNNNNNNNNNNNNNNNNNNNNNNNNNNNNNNNNNNNNNNNNNNNNNNNNNNNNNNNNNNNNNNNNNNNNNNNNNNNNNNNNNNNNNNNNNNNNNNNNNNNNNNNNNNNNNNNNNNNNNNNNNNNNNNNNNNNNNNNNNNNNNNNNNNNNNNNNNNNNNNNNNNNNNNNNNNNNNNNNNNNNNNNNNNNNNNNNNNNNNNNNNNNNNNNNNNNNNNNNNNNNNNNNNNNNNNNNNNNNNNNNNNNNNNNNNNNNNNNNNNNNNNNNNNNNNNNNNNNNNNNNNNNNNNNNNNNNNNNNNNNNNNNNNNNNNNNNNNNNNNNNNNNNNNNNNNNNNNNNNNNNNNNNNNNNNNNNNNNNNNNNNNNNNNNNNNNNNNNNNNNNNNNNNNNNNNNNNNNNNNNNNNNNNNNNNNNNNNNNNNNNNNNNNNNNNNNNNNNNNNNNNNNNNNNNNNNNNNNNNNNNNNNNNNNNNNNNNNNNNNNNNNNNNNNNNNNNNNNNNNNNNNNNNNNNNNNNNNNNNNNNNNNNNNNNNNNNNNNNNNNNNNNNNNNNNNNNNNNNNNNNNNNNNNNNNNNNNNNNNNNNNNNNNNNNNNNNNNNNNNNNNNNNNNNNNNNNNNNNNNNNNNNNNNNNNNNNNNNNNNNNNNNNNNNNNNNNNNNNNNNNNNNNNNNNNNNNNNNNNNNNNNNNNNNNNNNNNNNNNNNNNNNNNNNNNNNNNNNNNNNNNNNNNNNNNNNNNNNNNNNNNNNNNNNNNNNNNNNAUUUCACAAGAGAACCAAACACAUCAAGAGACGCUUCAAUUCCAUCCGCAAUCAAGUCAAGGAGGGAGACAUAGAGAUUUGCAAAAUACAUACGGAUCUGAAUGUUGCAGACCCGUUAACUAAGCCUCUUCCACAAGCAAAACAUGAUCAACACCAAGACUCCAUGGGUGUUAGAAUCAUUACUAUGUAAUCUAGAUUAUUGACUCUAGUGCAAGUGGGAGACUGAAGAAAAUAUGCCCUAGAGGCAAGAAUACAGUUAUUAUUUAUUUCCUUAUAUCAUGAUAAAUGUUUUUUAUUCAUGCUAGAAUUGUAUUAACCGGAAACUUAGUACAUGUGUGAAUACAUAGACAAUACUGAGUGUCCCUAGUAUGCCUCUACUUGACUAGCUCAUUAAUCAAAGAUGGUUAAGUUUCCUGACCAUAGACAUGUGUUGUCAUCUGAUGAACGGGGUCACAUCAUUAGAGAAUNNNNNNNNNNNNNNNNNNNNNNNNNNNNNNNNNNNNNNNNNNNNNNNNNNNNNNNNNNNNNNNNNNNNNNNNNNNNNNNNNNNNNNNNNNNNNNNNNNNNNNNNNNNNNNNNNNNNNNNNNNNNNNNNNNNNNNNNNNNNNNNNNNNNNNNNNNNNNNNNNNNNNNNNNNNNNNNNNNNNNNNNNNNNNNNNNNNNNNNNNNNNNNNNNNNNNNNNNNNNNNNNNNNNNNNNNNNNNNNNNNNNNNNNNNNNNNNNNNNNNNNNNNNNNNNNNNNNNNNNNNNNNNNNNNNNNNNNNNNNNNNNNNNNNNNNNNNNNNNNNNNNNNNNNNNNNNNNNNNNNNNNNNNNNNNNNNNNNNNNNNNNNNNNNNNNNNNNNNNNNNNNNNNNNNNNNNNNNNNNNNNNNNNNNNNNNNNNNNNNNNNNNNNNNNNNNNNNNNNNNNNNNNNNNNNNNNNNNNNNNNNNNNNNNNNNNNNNNNNNNNNNNNNNNNNNNNNNNNNNNNNNNNNNNNNNNNNNNNNNNNNNNNNNNNNNNNNNNNNNNNNNNNNNNNNNNNNNNNNNNNNNNNNNNNNNNNNNNNNNNNNNNNNNNNNNNNNNAUGUGAUGGACAAGACCCAUCCUUUAGCUUAGCAUAAUGAUCGUUAAGUUUUAUUGCUAUUGCUUUCUUCAUGACUUAUACAUAUUCCUCUGACUAUGAGAUUAUGCAACUCCCGUAUACCGGAGGAACACCUUGUGUGCUAUCAAAUGUCACAAUGUAACUGGGUGAUUAUAAAGAUGCUCUACAGGUGUCUCCAAAGGUGUUUGUUGGGUUGGCAAAGAUCGAGAUUAGGAUUUGUCACUCCGAGUAUCGGAGAGGUACUCUGGGCCCUCUUGGUGAUGCACAUCACUAUAAGCCUUGCAAGCAAUGUGACUAAUGAGUUAGUUGCGGGAUGAUGCAUUACGGAACGAGUAAAGAGACUUUCCGGUAACGAGAUUGAACUAGGUAUGAGGAUACCGACGAUCGAAUCUCGGGCAAGUAACAUACCGAUGACAAAGGGAAUGACGUUUGUUAUCAUGCGGUUUGACCGAUAAAGAUCUUCGUAGAAUAUGUAGGAACCAAUAUGAGCAUCCAGGUUCCGAUAUUGGUUAUUGACCGGAGAUGUGUCUCGGUCAUGUCUACAUAGUUCUCGAACCCGUAGGGUCCGCACGCUUAACGUUCGAUGACGAUUUGUAUUAUGAGUUUUGUGUUUUGGUGACCGAAGUUUGUUUGGAGUCUCGGAUGAUAUCACGGACAUGACGAGGAGUCUCGAAAUGGUCGAGAGGUAAAGAUUGAUAUAUUGUAAGGUUAUGUACCGACACCGAAAUGGUUCCGAAGAGGUUCGGGGAUUUUUCGGAGUACCGGGAGGUUACCAGAACCCCCCGGGAAAGUUUAAUGGGCCUCAUGGGCCAUAGUGGAGAGAGGAAGGCAGGCCACAAGAGGUGCCCCCCAUGGCAAGUCCGAAUUGGACAAGGGGUGGGUGGCGCAGCCCCCCUUUCCUUCUCCCUCUCCCCCUCUUUCCCCUUUCCCCCUCUCCGUUGGAAGGAAGGGGGACCCGACUAGGACUAGGAGUCCUAGUGGGACUCCCCCCACUUGGCGCGCCCCCUAGGGCCGGCCACCUCCUCCUCCCCUUCUUUAUAUACGGGGGCGGGGGGCACCCCAAAGGCACAUCAAUUGUUCUCUUAGCCAUGUGCGGUGCCCCCUCCACAGUUUACUCCUUAGGUCAUAGCGUCGUAGUGCGUAGGCGAAGCCCUGCGCGGAUCACAUCACCAUCACCGUCACCACACCAUCGUGCUGACGGAACUCUCCCUCGACCCUCUGCUGGAUCAAGAGUUCGAGGGACGUCAUCGAGCUGAACGUGUGCUGAACUCGGAGGUGUCGUACGUUCGGUACUAGAUCGGUUGGAUCGUGAAGGCGUUCGACUACAUCAACCACGUUAACCUAACGCUUCCGCUUUCGGUCUACGAGGGUACGUGGACACACUCUCCCCCUCUCGUUGCUAUACAUCUCCUAGAUAGAUCUUGCGUGAGCGUAGAUUUUUUUUGAAAUUGCAUGCUACGUUCCCCAACAUUUCCUUCCCACCAGAAAAUGAGAGGAACCCUAGAUCUAGGCGCUUUGUUUGCCGCCCAAAAGUGGGAGAGGUUGGACUCGCCAUCGAGAAUCGGAGCGAAGGGGCGAUAUCGAGGUUCUGUAGCGGGUGGCUCACGGCGGAUAUCCGCGCCACCCACGUGUCGCCCAUCCGCCAGUGUCCCAUCGUGCACCACAGUCGAUCGUGCAUCAAGGAGCCCAAUUACACAAACGUGGGGGAGGCACACAUGUGCAUGUCUCCCUCAUAUGUGUUGGUGUCAUCCAAGGAGGUGCGGGCGGAGGUGGAUUGCCGACUGGCGAGCAUGAUAUACGUGACAUCAUCCUCUUUUUCAAUCGCCUCUCAUAUAUAAGUUCGCUUUGCGCAUAUAAUCCGAAGAGGCCCCCUAAGAUUGGUCACCCCUGGACUCUACAAGAUCGCCACCAGAAAGUAGAGAAUGGAGAUGAAGGAGCCCCAGAAGGAGAAGUGGAUCCAUUCGGUCCCCCGCCUGACGUCCCCACCCCAACUACAGGAGUUCAUUGCUCUCACAUAGGGUAUCUCCCAGGUUGCGCUGACCCUGGACCAGGAUGAUUCCAUCUCUUGGCGGUGGACCCCCAAUGGUACCUACUUCACUGCUUCGGCCUACUCGGCCGAAUUCUAUGGAACCUUCCCCAGGUUCUCUCCAGUCACACGUGGAAUCCAAGUGCAAGUUCUUCAACUGGCUCAUGCUCCAUGGAAAGAUCCUCACGGCGGACAUGCUGGCCGUUCGCGGCGAGCCGCAUGACCCUCGAGCCUUGGAGACGACAAUUCACUUGUGCCAGGACUGCCCGUUUACCAUUUUUGUUUGGUUCCACGUCCAGGCCUGGAUUGGGGAGGCCCCUGGGGCCACACCCACGCUGCCCCCUCCCAUGGGGAUGACUGGUGGGACUUGCUCACCGCCACUUUGUCCAAAGACAACAGAAGAAGGCUUAGCGACCGCUUCCUCUACACCAUCUGGAACAUCUGGAAGGUGCGCAACCGACGUAUCUUCAAUGAAACUCGCCUCACUCACCUCGAGGUCAUUGCUCUCGCCUUUGAUGACACCAAGCAGAGGACCCUGCCUUUUGGUCGGGCACAGGUGGCAGCCAGUAUUGGUUGAUUCGAGCUAACUUGCGGGAUGGUUAGGGGUUUUUGUUAGGUUUCCCACCAGAAAGACAUGUUAUCUGUGUACAUAAACAUUAUUUUCUUCGUCUAAUAUGAAAGGCAGUGCUCUUGCCGGUUCUCCGAAAAAGAAAAUCCCUGCUCAGUUUAAGUGAGUUGAAACCAUGCAAUUUAUUCUUUUGAAUCUUCGCUGGAAUCGAUCGCCGCUUCAUAUAUAAUGCCUGUUAGUCUACUCAACCUAAGUUUGCUCUGUGUUUGUAUGCCAAUCCCUGCAAAUCAAUUGCUUUUUUUUACGGAAAGGCCUUCAUGGCUAGCUUUGUUAAUUAUCAAAUAAUGCUUACAUCGCCUACAAAUCAAUUGCUUAACUGAACAUAUAUUAUUUUCUCAAAACAUUAACAGGUGUAAAAGAUUAGCCGGGGUGCCCUCCGUUUUCGCGCUAAUGCGAAAUGAUUUUCGCGCGAAAAAACGGCGCGCGCGGCUAACUUUUUGGCGGUAAGGCGAAACGAUCUUGGCGCGAUUCAUCCGAAACAUCUUGGCGCUAAAAGGCGAAUGAAAAGGAAAUCCCUUCCUCACAAGAGAGAGCGGUUGCGGAGUUCCAAAUUCCAAUCUCUCGAGGAAGAAAUGGAGCCAUGGGAGUAGAGCGAGGGAGGGAGCGUCAAGAGGCCGACGGUCCCGCCUGUGGCCGCACUCGGCGCCGAACUCCUGGGGAAGGUACUACGCCGCCUCCCCGACAUGGCGUCGCUCGCCAGCGCCGCCUGCGUCUGCAAGCGCUGGGGCCGCGUGGCCUCCGACCCCGCCGUCUUCCGCCGCUUCGGCUCCCUCCGCAGGCCCCCGCUCGUCGGCGUCCUCGUCACCGACCGUGGCCGCGAGAAGUUUCCCCUUUACUACCAUGAUACCUGCUUCAUCAAGGCGCCCUCUCGCAACAACCCCGAGCUGGCCUCCGCCGCGGCGAACGGCGACUUCUACUUCAUGCACCACCCCGACGUCGACGACGACGACGAGUGGCGCCUCCGUGGCUGCGACGGCGGCUUCCUCCUCUUCUCCCUCGGCCGCUACAGCACGGACCUCGCCGUGUACGACCCUCUCGACCGGACCGCCGUCUUCUUCAAGCCGCCCCACGACUUCCGCCCGUUCCGCUACGCCAUCGUCGCCGACGAGGCCGACGCCUCGUUCCAGGUCAUCGACAUACAGCCCGACCCCUGGGGCGACGAUGCCUCGGUCGUCUUCUCCUCCCGCACCCGCAGCUGGGUGGAGAACGGCUCGGUGCGCUACAGAUUUGCCUGGCCCUACACCGACGGCAUUGCCGCCGGGCGGUUUGCCUACUGGCGGUCCAACACCAAGAAUGAUUGUUAUUGUGAACCGAAGGAGGAGAUAUUGGUGGUUGACACGAAGACCAUGGUGUGGUCGUACAUGACCGCGCCGGUGCCGGUCGGCGAAUCGUACUGCGUGGCGCACAUGCCGGAGCACGGGGGGCUGUGCAUCGUGUCCAGCAAAGAGCAACGCGUGCUGCUCUGGGUCAGUGACGCCAAUGGUGGAUGGGUGGUCAAGAAGGAGGUCUCGCUGCUGAAUCACUUUCCCUACUUGAAGAAGCUUCGUCGUGACCAGUGGAUGAAGAGGGUGCGCAUCCUGGCGAUGAGGGCCGGCUAUGUUUACAUGGAGUUCUGGUCCAUAAGGAAGACCGACUCCUAUCUUCUUGUGCUCAACCUCAACACCGUCAAGCUGGAAAUUUUUCUGAACAAUGGGCUCAACAAUGAGGAUAGGCCUUACAGAGGCCCUGCUUUUCCGUUCUUUUUGCGGAUGGCACCUCUGCCUGCCGCAGAUGAUGACAAGAAGCUUCAAGAUGCUUGAUGCAUGGAGUAGGUAAUCUCCUAUUUGUUAGAUUUAUUUCUCUUGUUUCUACUUCAGGAUGCCUGAUUGCAUUUAGCAUGUAAUCUACUACUACCCCUGUUUUUAAAUAUAAGAUGUUUUGGCGGUUUAAAUUGAACUGCCAAAACGUCUUAUAUUUAGGAACAAAGGAUGUAUUUGUUAGAUUUACUUAUCUAGUUUCUACUUUGGUCGAUCUAGAUGUUUAACUACCUGUGCAAAUUGCUCACCAAGCCACUCGGAUAAUGAUGUUCUCUGUUCUGAAAAUUGCAUAGAGUUUCUCUGUUCUGAAAAUUGCAGAGUUUAUCUGUUCUGAAAAUUGCAUAGAGUUUCAUGAAUUUGUUAGUAUUAUAAAUAGUUGUACAAUGCAUGUUUUGUUACUAGGCACUCCAGCUUCCUUGGUGCCUACCAGUUUCCUAGAUUAUUUUCCCAGAACUCACAAUAUUCUAAAAUCUGUUGCUUUAUUUAUGACUUGUUCACUUCAAUGAAUGUGCCCCUAUUUUCCAGAUUUUUGUUUGGAAAUCACCACCAUGUAGACGUAGAAGUUGAUUUGUUUUCAGAAGCUGUUGAUUUAAUUAUUAGGCUACUGAUAUACUGAUCAAAAGUUUAAGAAGGGACUACUCAGUUGUUUAUUAGUACUACAUGAUUUGCUUUUCUCAGAUGUUACAAACAUAUCAUGAGAGUUAAGUGAUUACGUCUUGAAAUGGCACCAUCAUUUCAGAUAGCUGAUUUUUUUUUCUUGUUGCUAUUUCUUUUGUCAUUUGAGACUUCACUUAUAGUCUGUAGUUAGCAGCUGAAUUCUUUAAGGAUACAUCAAGGCUUGGAAUUGGAUAAUUUGCACCCUUGUGUAUGCUUCACUAUAUUUCUUCAGUUAUCUUAGUAAAAAUGGCACACUUAAGUUACAUCAUUGUUCUUUACCGAACAAUUUUGUAGAAUGCUCAGGUAUUAGAUUACUUUGGAAUGCAUGAAUCAUGAUCAAAUCGUCAAGCAUGCUUCCCAAUUUCUGUGUAUGUAGUAGUGAAGAAAAAUGAUGUGUUUCUCUAUCAAGUGACUUUAAGGUCAUCAAUGCAUAGUAGUUUCUACAUUUUCAUGCAUAGCCAUAAAAGAAUCACAAUAUGUGCUCUGAAGGUAAUAAAUCAAGAGCUUUGAAUUUCAGGUCAAGUUGGUAGAAGUAACUUAAUUUGGAGCGUGAGGUGUCAUCCACUCAUCCUUUUGAAAGGGAAUUGCAGCAGUUGUUUGGUACGGAGUACAUCUUUUCCGAUUGACAUGGGAAUGGAAGCGUGUAGCUAUUUUGCAAGCCAUAUAUGGUCUAUUUUGUGGAAAUAGCUUCAAUGUAAUCUGAAUUUAGUCCCUUUCCGGUCAUGAGACCUGUUUGAUGUUAGUUAAAUGAAACUUCAACUAAGAUGGUUUAAUUUAAUUUUGGUUUUGUGCUUGUGUUUCAUGUUAAUUAGACCAGCAUGGCAUCAUAAUUCAGUUGGGGAGUAGAGCUCUACAUUUUUUAUACUAGUCUACUGUUUUUUAUAGAAAUGCUAAUAUGACAUAAACCUGUAGAAUUGCUAGGAAUGCAUUAUGGCUUUCGACCGCAUGUCCCGUGGUAAUUGUUAUAAGAAAUCUAGAAGUUAUCCAUGAUGUGUACAUAGUUUAAUCCCACAUUGCCAGUGAAGGGAGAGCUACUUUACUCUCCUUUACAGCACGAGGAAAGAGAGUAGAACGUGCACACUCGCUCAUGACACACGCAUGGUGGUGUGUGUGAAUUGAUUUUGAUUUUGAACUAGUUGAGAGCUGGACAUACAAGGGUUGAAUGCCCGAGCUUCUGACUAACUGCUAUGACUACUUUAUCUUCAGUGGACGACUAUGUCGUCUCCACUGACCACUGCCAUGGCUUCCAAUGCUGCACACUAGACCUUUUUGCGAACUCUAUGUGUUGUUCAUCUCCUUGUUGGCAUGCACAUUUGAUUCAUGUGUGCAUAUGUUUCGAUGUUCCUAGUUCGUGGUUUGUGAUUUGUCUUGUCAGCGCGUUCCUUUGUUGGGUUGCUGUCACGGAUCUCACCGACAUUGUCAUCGCCUUGGGCGCUGCAGCCAUUGAUGCGAAUCCCUUCCAGCGAACUAUCGAAUGCCAGUAGAUACGUAGCAAAUGUGUAGCAUAUUCAGGUUUCUGUCGAUAUAGUUUGUCUUGUGGUUCUUGUAGUUUUUGCUGUAGUGGCCUUUUGAGUAGUUGUUCUGAUUCUAGGAUUAAGGUGACCUGGCCUCUCAAACUUCUGCGGACCUGCCCAGACCACGCGUGUCUGUUUUGAGUUUUGACCUGAGUAUUUGACAAAAAACUACCACAUUAAGGGUUGCCGUCUCACAGAACUACCACAUUUAAAAAAGUGAUUGAUAACUACCAAAAAUUUCUAAUUUUGUGACUAAAGACUAUCACUUUGAAAAAUGGCUAGUUUGGACGAUUUAAACACAUUUAUGACAUGCGAGACCCACCUGUCAGGGCUGACGUGGCAGCAAAGUCAACUCCGUUUUUUUACCGUUAAGCUGACCGUUAUGACAGGUGGGGCCCACAUGUCGGUCCCUUCAAAAAAAUAAAAACAAACAGGUCCCUAUAACUUUAAAAAAAACAAUCAAAUCCUUGCAAGUUUUAUAAAAAAGCAAUCAGGCCAUUUUUAGUUUUUUAGAAAAAGCAAUCAGGUCCCUGCCGACGAGCUCGUCGCUGGAGCCGGCUGGCAUUGGUCUGGCGAGCUCGAGGGCGUGCCAGCUCCUGUGUGCAGAGCGGCCGAGCUCCAAGUGCCGCAUAGCCCCGUUCUGGAGGUGUUGCACGCGACACGGUAGGGCUGGAGGGUUGCCGCAACCACGGCGGGCGACGCCAUGCCCAUCUAGCUCCUUCCGCUACUGCUUGCCACUGCUGCUCCUUCCCGCUGCUUGCCACCGCCGCUGCUGCUCUUUUCCCGAUGCUGCUGCUUGCGGCUGCUGCUCUUUGCCAUUGUUGCUUGCCGCUGCUCCUUGCGACGGCUGCUCUACUCCGGCAGCCACGGUACCGAGGCCUAGGCAGCAGCAGCAGCACGGCGAAAUUCUCGCCGAUGUCGCCCAUAUUGCCGUGGUCGACCAACUGCGCAUCAGAGCUAACCUGGGCGAGCGUAGGAGUUGGGGAAGGGGACGACUGAGUUUGGGCGUGGCGGUGGCAGGCAUGGCCGUGGUGGCUCGAUGUAGGCUUGGCGGCGGCGACGCUGGUGAGAGUGGCAUGGCCAUGGUGGCUCGGGAUAGAGAGUUCAGGGAAGAGAGAUAGAGAGAGGAAGAAGAAGAAUGACGUGUGGGCCCCAGCUGUCAUAAUGGUCAGCUCAACGAUCAAAAUAAACGGAAUUGACUUUGCCGCCACGUCAGCCCUGACAGGUGGGUCCCGCAUGUCAUAAACGUGUUUAGAUCGUCUAAACUGGCCAUUUUUCAGAAGUGGUAGUUUUUAGUCAUAAAAUUAGAAAGUUUUGGUAGUUAUCAGUCACUUUUUUGAAUGUGGUAGUUCUGUGGGACGGCAACCCCUAAUGUGAUGGUUUUUGUCAAAUACUCUUUUGACCUCCCAUAUUUUCUGCCAAACAACCACACCUCUCAAAUAGUCCUCUUCACUUUAAGGCAUUUUGACGAGCACUUUAUGUGCAACCUCGUUAGAGCACGUAGCACCCACCGACUUGGCGGUGGCUGGACCUCCAACGCGCAACCAUUUUUCUUUUUUUUUGUGUGUGGUGGUGGCGAGCUCCACAGGCACGGGCACCCCCUGCUCCUCCCAUGUGCGCUUUGGGCCGGCCCAUGUGCGGGGCGGGCGCCCCUAUUUUUUUUCUUUCCUGUUAUUAUUUUUUGCUUCAUUAAGAAAUGUUUCGGGAUUUCAAAAUUAAAAAUGAAUUUUACAGGUUCUUGAAUUCAAAAAAUGUUCUCAAAUUUAAAAAAUAUUUGCGAUUUCAAAAAAUGUUUAUGAAUUUGAAAUACUGUUCGCGAAUUUAAAAAAUGUUCAUGCUUUUUAAAAAGUUUAGGAAUUCAAAAAAUAUUCACGAAUUCAAAAAUGUCCAUGAAUUUCAAUAUUAAUCAGAUGGUCGUAAUAUAUUAGCAACAUUUGGAUUGCCCCCUUCCUCUUUUUAUUCACUUUAUUACUUAUAUUCUAGACUCUAACCCUAUGGUUUAUUCUUUAUGAAAUAUCAUAUAAAAUAGAAGGUAUGAAAUACCAUAUAAAAUAGAAUGUACAAGAAAUGGAUAUAAUGAAAUUAUUGAUUCGAUCUUACGACCUAAUUUAUCUGAUUAAUGUAUCAACAACCAAACCACCCAUUUUCUGAAAAAGAAUGAGCAUGGUCUUGUUCAAAUUCAAAGGGGUCCUAAUCUUCAACCCGUUAUGUGCUUGAGUACAAUUUCCCGGAGUAAGCACUGUGGCUUGUUUCCAAUGCUCAGCAGCUCAGCACUAAACCAACUGUAAAGCAAAAUAACCAAUCAGACUUUAAACACCACAAUAUCCACUCGCCCCUUGAAAUGAGAUCUAGAAAUCGCAUGCCGCAGAACAACAGUUUACAAAAAAUACCAGGCAUACAUAAUAUGGAGACCCAAAGCUUGAGAGAUGGUUAAGCUGACGAUUGUCAGUUUUGUAAGUCCUCUUGAAAACGGUCAAGAAAAUAAAAUUGUAGUAGCAAUUAGCAUAAUAAUGUAUUAUUGUAAUGAAUACUUAAGCACAAGGCCAGAGCGAGGUUUGUCGCAAUAGCCAUAUGCCGCCGCUUCACGCUUUCUAGCUGCGUCAAACUUUACUCUGUACUCAUAAUCCUAUUUUUAUUUUAGAUGCAAUUUAAAUUAGUCUUUGGAUACAAAUCACCAGAAUGUAUAUUCUUCCUCAAUAUGCUAUUGAGAGGAAAAGGAUUUAAUCCUUUAUAAGAACUAAAGUUUUCAUUGGAAUAUAAAAAUAAAAAACUUAAGAAUGCCUUAAGUAUAUCAUUUCAAAUUCAGUUAUUAAUAGAACGAAUCACGCUUUUACCAGAAGUCUAUUACGAAGGANNNNNNNNNNNNNNNNNNNNNNNNNNNNNNNNNNNNNNNNNNNNNNNNNNNNNNNNNNNNNNNNNNNNNNNNNNNNNNNNNNNNNNNNNNNNNNNNNNNNNNNNNNNNNNNNNNNNNNNNNNNNNNNNNNNNNNNNNNNNNNNNNNNNNNNNNNNNNNNNNNNNNNNNNNNNNNNNNNNNNNNNNNNNNNNNNNNNNNNNNNNNNNNNNNNNNNNNNNNNACGCACACGUAGAACACGAUCCGCAUCCCGUGCGUCCGCAUCCUCAGCGCGACGGCGGCGUCUGGCAGGCGCGGCGCGGCGUAGACGAGAGGCAGGGUCGAGGCCGUGGCGCCCACCCGCCUCGGGACCCGCCGGUGCUUCGGGACGCCGUGGGCGUGGGGCGCGAAGCCGGCGUCGAGGAAGGCGGCGUGGACGACGACUAUGAGGCGGCCGAGGAGGCGCUCCGCGUCCCACCGGCGGGCGUCGAUUACCCGGUGGAGGGGCGAGGUCUCCGCGAUGGCCAUGGCGUGACCGAUGAUUUCUAGGAGUUGUGCGCGUGGGAUCUAAUACAAGUGACGGCGUGCUGGAUGCAUGGAUGGAACUUGGAGCGGCGGGCCAGCUAGGGCAAAGGCAGGAAUGCACGAGCAAGACGAACGCGCGGCCUGACAUCUCUUGACCAGGCAAACGGAGCCCGUCCAGCCCACCUCGUCGCACGGCCGCCUCUCUUUGGUUCAGGCCUCCUUUAGAGCAACUCUAGCAGACCCCGCAUCCCGCCCGCCCGCAAAACGCGUUUACAGUUCGUGCAAAAUCAUUUUUGCGGGCUGGCUCGGGCUGGCACAGAUGCAGACCCCCCAAACGGAUUUGUAAAAAAGUAUAUUCGCGGAAUAUGCCUUUUUACGGGUCGGCUUUGCUGGGUCUGCUCUUUGUGUUGCUGCAUCCCGCAUAUCAUCAGCCCGCAAAUAUCAAAUCCAACAUAAUUCAACAAUCGAAAACAAACUGAAUUAUUCAAAUCAAACAUAAUACAAUAAUCAUUCGCAUUACAAAUAAUUAUUCAAAUCACCGUAGCAAACUUAAAUAAUGCAAUACAAAACUUGUCAUGAAUACAAAUACAAAUGAAUACAAAAAUUAGUCAUUGUCCAGCCCUUUGCCAAUGGUGCUCAAUGAGAUCUUUCUGAAGUUGAAAGUGUGUGCCUGCAUUUUCAAUCUCCUUGUAUGUCUGAAGAAAAGCUCUAAUGUGGUUUCGGUCUAGCUGGUUUGACACGGCUACCCAUAUUGUCGUAAAAGAAUUCUAAGUUCAUUCCUCUCUCAUCUUCAAAAAUCAUAUUGUGCAGAAUAACACAACAUGUCAUGAUGUUCUUCAAAGUUUUCUUAUCCCAAAAACGAGCAGGACCACGGACAAUGGCAAACCUAGAUUGCAAAACACCGAAUGCUCUUUCAAUGUCUUUUCGAGCCGCCUCUUGCACCCUUGCAAAUUCACAUUGUUUUUUUGUUUUGGGUUCUUUGAUGCUCUUGACAAAUGUGCACCAAGGAGGGUAUAUACAUCUGCGAGAUAGUACCCCUUUGUGUAUUCAUGCCCAUUGAUAGUGUAGUUGCAAGCAGGAGCAUCACCACUAGCAAGCCUAGCAAACAAAUGAGACCGUUGCAACACAUUGAUAUCAUUGAGAGUGCCCGGCAUACCAAAAAAGCAAUGCCAAAUCCAUAAAUCCUCGGAUGCUACGGCCUCUAGCACAAUUGUUGCAUCACGAGACUUGCCACAAUACAUUCCUUGCCAAGGCUUGGGGCAAUUUUUCCAAUUCCAAUGCAUACAUCAAUGCUACCUAGCAUGCCAGGCCAACCUCUCCUCUCAUUAGAUGCCAUCAAUUUCUUUGUGUCAUCUUCAUUGGGUGCCUGAAGAUACUCAGGACCAAAGACACGGACGAUCACUUUCGCAAAUCUAUGCAUAGACUCAAUUGUGCUAUCUUCACCAAUGCGAAGAUACUCAUCGGCAUAGUCAGCCGGAACGCCAUAUGCAAUCACCCGCAUAGCUGCGGAGAUUUUUUGAUAUGCACUAAAUCCCUUUAAGCCCGCGACAUUCCUUCUUUGAGUAAAAUACUGGCAAUUUGCCUCGCAAGCUUGAACAAGUUUCACAAAGAGGGAUCGGCGCAUUCGGUACCUUCUCCGGAAGAGGUGCGGAGGAUAUGUAGGAUUCUCCGUGAAAUAGUCUUGCAUCAACAUCUCGUUCCCAAGAUGGCGAUUCUGAGGAAUGCACAGACGCCCGACAGUCGAUCCUCGCCUCCUCUUUCGGUGCGCGCCAUGACUAAUGUUUGCUGCCGAAAUGUCACAAGCAUGGUCUCAACAUCCGAGUCGCCCGAAUCGGACGAAUCGGAGAGCAAGAACUUCUCGCACGGGCUCAACUCCAUCUACACGCACACCGGCUCGUCAAUCAACUACACAGCUCGCAAAAAUCACAAAAAAGGACUAACCGAUGGCGGGUGAUCCCGGGCGGCGACGAGGGGGCGCGCUCGACGGUGGUCGAUCCCCGGCGGCGGCGACGACGGGGGGCGGCUCUUCUCGCCGGAUCCGGAGGGGCAAUGCAGCGGCUCGGUGCGGGAGGGUGUGGGGCGGCCCCGCAGCGCGAUUCCGCCCGCAUAUAUGGCCGGAAUCGCCGGCGGCGGGCGGAAGCAAGGGCGGGCGGCGGCGGAAGGAGGGGGAAAAGAGCGCGGGGCCGAAAUGUCCCUCCCGCCAACUGCUUCUCUCUGAUGCAGGGCACCGCAGCCGCGAGGGGGAAACCCGCGUUUUCCCGGGUUGGGGUCGAGAAUUUGACGCGCCCCUCAAAUUUUUUUGCGGGCCGGAGCGGGAUGCAGGGUCUGGUCGGGCAGGUUUUCCGGCCCGUAUCCACAUUUUGACGGUUAUUUUGCGGGUCGGGGACGGAUGCGGGGUCUGCUAGAGUUGCUCUUAUGUGGUGCUCAGGCCUCCCCAGCUUUCUUCUCUUUGGUUGACGUGGCCCAAGUAAAACUAACCAACGCUUUAAAAAGAUCAAGAUCAAUUGUGUAUGGCAGCAUCGUUAAGGAGAUCAAAUCAACUUCAGCCCAAUUCAUGUCUCGUACUUUCAUUUUCGAGGGACCUGAGACUAAUAUUAAGGCACAUAGCCUCGCUAAGCACGUUUUAGGACUUUUUUUAGGACGUCAUUUGUGGCUCCUCGAACCUUCGGACUUUAAUUGUAUUCCAAUGUAUUUGGAUUAUGAUAAUUAAAUAAAGUGUGUUUAGACUAAAAAAAAGCUAAACAAGGCUCGACCUUAAAAAAAGGCUAAGACCAUCUCCAAUAGAUGAUGUAUUUUAUAUUACCAAACUAUUGUUGGAGUAAAAUAUACAUUAUUAAAAAAUGCUUUUUUACAUCACCAAAAACGUAAAAAUACGUCAAGGCUCCAAAGCUGAACCUAUUCUUGUCUAUGAACUUAACUAUCGAAACUGAAUUUACUGUCGAAACGUACAAAAUCGAACAAAAUUGGAGUGGCUAAACUAAAUUAAAAUGGAGCAUCCGAAACCGAACCUAAUCGAAGCGGCUGGUACUAGUACCGAACCCAAAACUGAACGCUGCUUGUUCGUCAUCCGCUCGCACGUUCGUCGUCCAGCCCGGCUUGCUUCUCGUCGUCUGCUCACACGUCCGCCGGUGCUGGAUCAGUGGUUUUAUUCGUGUUGGGGAGGAGCACUAAAGGGCAGUGGCGGAGCCAGGAAACUUGGACGAGGGGGCCAAGUGGUGUCAAAAUAGGUUGGGGAGGGCCAAACAAUAGGACAAUAGGUUUUAAGCAGAAAAUGAUCACUCAUUCUACAUUGUUCAUCAACAAUUUAGCAGNNNNNNNNNNNNNNNNNNNNNNNNNNNNNNNNNNNNNNNNNNNNNNNNNNNNNNNNNNNNNNNNNNNNNNNNNNNNNNNNNNNNNNNNNNNNNNNNNNNNNNNNNNNNNNNNNNNNNNNNNNNNNNNNNNNNNNNNNNNNNNNNNNNNNNNNNNNNNNNNNNNNNNNNNNNNNNNNNNNNNNNNNNNNNNNNNNNNNNNNNNNNNNNNNNNNNNNNNNNNNNNNNNNNNNNNNNNNNNNNNNNNNNNNNNNNNNNNNNNNNNNNNNNNNNNNNNNNNNNNNNNNNNNNNNNNNNNNNNNNNNNNNNNNNNNNNNNNNNNNNNNNNNNNNNNNNNNNNNNNNNNNNNNNNNNNNNNNNNNNNNNNNNNNNNNNNNNNNNNNNNNNNNNNNNNNNNNNNNNNNNNNNNNNNNNNNNNNNNNNNNNNNNNNNNNNNNNNNNNNNNNNNNNNNNNNNNNNNNNNNNNNNNNNNNNNNNNNNNNNNNNNNNNNNNNNNNNNNNNNNNNNNNNNNNNNNNNNNNNNNNNNNNNNNNNNNNNNNNNNNNNNNNNNNNNNNNNNNNNNNNNNNNNNNNNNNNNNNNNNNNNNNNNNNNNNNNNNNNNNNNNNNNNNNNNNNUGGCGUUUUUACUCCGGCGUGGCGAAAUGAUGGCAAUCGGCUCCCCCUUGCCCAUUUGUGGUCAUGAGAACAACAACCUCUUCCCCAACAUCAGUGCCAUUCAAACCGGAGCAACAAUCAUAAGCUUGGCACCAUGGCAGGUACCAUUAAAAGCUUUACAAUUUUCUCGACUUGGCUCCCGUGUUCAGCCUAGGUGGCAAGAUAUUGCUGACGUUUAACACAACAGCAAAAACGAAGAAUUGUACUAGUACAUCAUAAUACACAUGGUUUCCAUAAUUACACUCUUCUCAUACACGAAAAAUAUUAGGCCAACUUUCAACAGGUUGCUGUACUAUCUUUUUCAUGGCAUCUGCUUAUCCCCUCCCAAAGGAGAUCAGAUCCCUUAUUCACAGACUGACGCUUCAAUGCCAGGCCUGUUCUGUUAUUAUUGUAUCUUCUUGAUUAACAUCUGCAUAUAUCUCCUUCCGAAGGAGAUGAGAUCCCUCACUCACAGCUGCUUCUUAGCCAGAUCUUUGUUCUGCUCAAUGUACGGGUAGGCUCUCUGGUACUGCAGUAUCGCCCAGACGAGGUGCCUCCAGGAGAACUCAGGCCAGAGGGGGUCUGGGUUCUGCAGAUGGCUAAACGUCGUCUGCCACAGGAGGAAGUUGCUCAGCCGGGUCUCGCCCGAGGUCCGGAUCACGAUGUCCGGGUCUGGGCAGCCGGCGGUGUACAUGUGGCGAUCCAGGUCGGACACCGAGAUAUCCGAACAUGUGGCGAUCCAGGUCGGACACCGAGAUAUCCGGACACCGAUACUGCUUCGAUACGCGUAUCCCCUUUUCUUAUUUAAAAAAAAAGAAAAAAAAUCAGAUACGCUGGCGAUACGCUAGCGAUACGGCUGGGACACGGCGAGCGCAGAACUACGUUGCACCGAUACGGCGAUACCGAUACGGCGAUACGAGUACGGCGAUACGUGAUACGGCAAUUUCUAGAAACAGCAAUAUGCGAUACGGCAAGUAUAUAUAUAGAUAAUUAAUAAAAUUACAUGUUCUACUUCUAUAGACAGCAGCAACAUCAUCAGCAAGUAAUAAUUUAAUCCCACAAACAUCAACAAGUAGCACCACAGCAAGCAUACACGUAAGCCAGCAAGCAACCAAACAUGAAGCACACAUCAAAAUCAAGCAGCCAAGCAUACAUCAGAUCCAAAUUAAUAUAGUAAUACUACUACCUAAUGAAAGCCAGCAAGCAGCCAAGCAUACAUCAAGAUCAAGCACACAUCAGUACAUCACUAGGGGCUCGAGGUAAUUGUUCUUUACCUUUCGAGUUGCACGGCAGUGGAGAAGAGAAGAAGACGCAGGCAAAGAGGCGAUUCCAGGGGGUGGGGGCGCCGGCGGUGAGCCGCUCUUGGCGGAGGAGGAGGAGGCAGCGCCGGCGGUGAGCCGCUCUAGGCGGAGGAGGAGGCAGCGGCGGCGGCGGCCCUGGGUCGCCCUCGAACCCUAGGUCUCAGUGUAGUCGACCAGAGAAGAGAGGACGCGAGAGAGGCAGAGGAAUAGGUCGUGGUCGUGGCCUCAUGGGCUAUUGGGCUCGCUCAGGCUGCGUUCUGCGCCUACGAAGCACCGAUACUUCAGAAGUUGCCGUAUCGCCGUUCAGAACGUCUCCGAUACUCCGAUACGCCCGAUACUGCUUCGAUACGCGUAUCCCACAAGUAUCCCCUUUUCUUAUUUAACAAAAAAGAAAAAAAAUCAGAUACGCUGGCGAUACGCUAGCGAUACGGCUUCGAUACGUUCUGCGCUCACCGUGUCACAGCCGUAUCGCUAGCGUAUAUCUGAUUCGUGCAUAAAUUUGAACGCAACCGUGAUCUUUAAGCAACAUAUUUAGCUUCAAAUUUAUGCAGAUGUAAGGUACUUUAAUAAUCUGAUUCGUGCCUGAAUCUCGUUCCGAGUACAAGACAGAGAAAAUAUUAGCAAACAAUAAGCACGUACGCACUCGCAUCUAGAAACAAUAAGCACGUACAUCCGCUUGUGGAGUCAGAUGAGAGAGCGGUGAUUGGGUACAGUACACGGGGAAAGAAGAGAAGUCCCAUGACAUUUGGGCACGAACUAACCUUGACUGCUCCGGUGGAUCUGGCCCUGCUUGGCAGCUGGCCGAGGACUUCCCGCUGGAGGUCCUUGAGCUUUUCUGGUCACCGGCGGCGCAGGGGCAGGGGUGGUAGAAGGAGGCGCUAGGGGAUGGGGUUAGGGCGAAGGAGGAGGACAGGGUUAGAUCUGGUGGGGCGAACCGUGAGGGGAGAGCGGUGGGGGCAGGAGUUGGUUCUGGAAGCGGUGCGUGAGGCCACCAAUAUUUGGCUAGCCCGCGUGUUGGCGCGCCCACGGUUCGAGCCGAACCAAUCGCCCGUCAAUUUUUGGUAAGCGCCAAUAGUUGGCUUGCCAAUUUUUGGCUGCAAACCAAUUAGGCUCGUAGUCCCAUCGACCCAUUCCAUAGGUCGGGCGUCAACCCCCAUUUUUCUUUUUUGAACACAGCAGCAGCACACAGCGGCGGAUCCAGGAUUGAAGCAAGCCCCGGGCCCAAAAAUUUUUUUCGGCGCGAGAGAAAAACUUAACAUCCAUCAAGCUAGCUAUAGCUACCUCAAAUAUGACUCAAUUGCACCAAAAAUUUAGAAUUUAAACUCAAUGCUUAGAGACACAACAAAAUUGAUAAAAAAGAUGACAAAAACUACGAACAAUACGUGCAGUAAAAAGAAUACCAAAUCAAUGGCUUGCUUCAUCAGUGUCUUCCAUAACUUAAUCAACGGUGGAAGAAGAGCCAACACCUUAGACAAAUGAAAAGCCAACAUCAGUGUCUUGAUCAAGUGAAAUUAAAUGUUCGACAGCAGCAAUGGACCAUAAGCGGUAUUGUGGUAGCAAAUCCCAACAUUAUAGCAGUCUAGCAGAUCAAAAAUAUUCAGAAAACAAGUUAUAGCAUCUGAUGGCCAGCCACUUACCAAUCCUGGGCAGCAGAGAGCAGGAGCUGGCAGAGCGGGCGAGGCGGCGAGCUGGGCUGCGCGUGGCGGAGAGCAGGAACUAGCAGAGCGGGCGAGGCGGUGAGCUGGGCUGCGCGAGCGGCGGAGCAGGGCAGCAGGGGAGCAGAGGACGGGCGACGGGGCGAGCAGCGGAGCAGGCCAGGCGGACGAGCGGCGGAGGUCGCACCGGCGGCCGUCACGAGCGGCGGAGGGCGCAGGGCCGCGGGCGAACGGCGGAGUCACCGGCGGCCAUCACGAGCGGGGAGCGGCGGAGGGCGCAGGCGAGCGGGGGAGUCGGGGCGGAGAAAUUUGGAUAUUUGCCACUUCCAAUAAGUGGCUUCUCAAAAUUGCCACUUUCAAGGUUGGCUUCGCAAAAUUGCCACUCAGCUCAUUGACCCCUUGAUUACCAUGCCAUUUCCUCUUUUUAUUGAUUUUCUUUUUCCUUUUCUCAUUUAUACACACCGGACAAGACCAAACUGCCCCUGAGGCUAUGUACACCUACUAAAUAUCCGUACCGUUUAUGCAUCUGUAUUCUCGUUCAACUGAGAAGAACAAGGCGCACAAUUUCUGGUCGUCAGUUCGUCGGCCUGCAUCACGGUCGCUGUCGUGGCCCGCACCACUCGGGUGCUUGCUGCUCACUCUGCUCGACCGUCGUCGCCGCUCGCCCGGUUUGCCCGCACGAUCCGCUUGCGCUGCCCGUCCCGGUCGCCUGGCCACUCUGCUGGGAACAUGUAGCAAGGGAAAGGAAAAUCAUCUUACCCUUGGGAAAGACCAGGUUCCAAGCCGCCGCUGCGGUAGCAAACGAUCGGUGGCGCACUUCGUGCAGGCAAUCGGCAGCACAAGACGUCCAGCCGGCGGCACGCGGCGUCCAGACGAUCGGCGGCGCAUGACGCCGAAAAGAAUCGCCGGAGCGUGACGUCCAGGUAACCGGUGGUAUGGCACACGCGAUAUUAUCGGCAGUCAGCGCGGGCACUGCGGUUCAAGUGAUGAUUCCAUGCCCUAUACGGCAGAUACAUACGUGUAACAGGCACAGGGGUAAGUUAGUCUUUUCAUAGCCAGUUAAUGUGAAAAAAAACAAUUAAAACGAAUUAAAGAGGAGCUGAUGGCAUACUAAUCAAGGAUUCAAUGACCUAAGUGGCAAUUGUGCGAAUCAAUUCUCCAGAGUGGCAGAUCAGCGAAGCCCCACGAACAAAGUGGCAAAAAUCCAAAUGUCUCGUCGGGGCGUGACUAGGUCUGGGCAUCGGGGGCGAGCUGGGCUGCGCUGUGAAGAUGGACAGCCUGGGCCCUGGUUGUGUUUUGGGCUAAGCCCCGGCCCAUUCAAAAAACAUGGCUAGGUAAUAAUUAAAAAAAACCACGCCCCGGGCCUGGGCCCUGGGGGCCUGGGGCCCAGAUCCGCCCCUGGCAGCACAGACGCAAACGCUCACACAUAUGCGUGUACGCUUACCCCUACGAACGCAUACACGCGCACCCUAUCCCUAUGAGCACCUUCGAAAGACUGAGCCGCCAUAUCAUCUUGAAAUUUGCAAGGUCACCGUAGGCGCCUCGUCAUUGACGGAAACGUCUUCUCUCACUGAAAGGGCAUCGCAGAAAAUUCUGAAAUAAAUCCAGAAAUAAUGCGAGCACCAGGACUUGAAUCCUGAUGGGCUGGGGAUACCACUGUCCCUCUAACCAUCCAACCGCUGGUUGGUUCGAGUCGACCCCCUUUUUUCUUUGACUUUCAAUUUUAUUUUUUAAUACUUUUUGAACAAAAAAAUAAUCUAAAUUAUGGUUUGUUUGUAUAUUCGUGUUGUUUAUACCGAGGGCUUUGAAAUAAGAUCAUUUUUCCAUACGUUUUUGAUAUUAAAACUUUAUCAAGUUUCAACCGAGUAAACAACAGAAUCAUCAAAUUUCAGAGACUAAAAAAUAAUGAUAAGAUUCCUGCCAUUCCACGUGCGUCUUGGAGCCGCCGCCCCUGGGCACCACGCGCAACAACGACGACUUCGGCCUUCUCGUGCCUCCGGGCGUCGUGGCCAUCCGUCCGUCCCUCCCUCCCUCUCCCUCCCACCUUCUCUUUUUUUCUUCCUUUAAUUAUUAGGUUUUCUGCCCUUAUUUUUAGCAGGUUUACAUUCAUACAAAGAUUGAAUAUAACCUUGUGUUAACAAAUUCUUGUGAAUAUAUAUGUUAUGUACAAGCCCAAAUACCUGCUUAACAGAUUCUUGCGGGGUUUUUUGAAACAGAGGCAAAAGCUUUGCCACAUUCACUCAUUAAGAAGAAGAGAGUUGCCCACUUAAUUACGGGAUACUGGGCGAAAACCGUUACAACUUGACCACGAAAGGCAACCACAAGUGAAAACAUGAAAACACCCCCAACAUGCUACCCCUACCAACUUCCGGCAUAUGAGACGCAUCCUCACAGAAUUACCCCCACAAAAUAACCUGAGAAAAAGACAUCAUCAAAGGCAACAGGCACGAGCACACCCAUGAUGAGAGAGCAACACAAUGAGAGCCAACAAUCAUCAUCAUCAUGAAGCAACCGCGAAUGCCUUUUUUAUAGCGUCACUCUUCUUGCUUCUGCACUUAUCUGAUUUCUCCUUCAAGAUGAUGGGUCGCGAGCUAGCACCGGCUCUCUUCUUAUCCCUGAUAGCCUUCCCCUACAGGAGACAACCCUAAACCGAGCUAGCACCACCUGUUGGGGAACGUAGCAUGCAAUUUCAAAAAAAUUCCUACGAUCACGCAAGAACUAUCUAGGAGAUGCACAACAAUGAGAGGGGGAGAGUAUGCCCACGUACCCUCGAAGACCGAAAGCGGAAGCGUUAGGUUAACGCGGUUGUUGUAGUCGAACAUUUUCACGAUCCAACCGAUCCAAGUACCGGACGUACGGCACCUCCGUGUUUAGCACACGUUCAGCUCGAUGACGUCCCUCGAACUCUUGAUCCAGCAGAGGGUAGAGGUAGAGUUCCAUCAGCACGACAGCGUGGUGACGGUGUUGGUGAUGUGAUCCUGCAGGGCUUCGCCUAAGCACUACGACGCUAUGACCGGAGGAGUAAACUGUGGAGGGGGCACCGCACACGGCUAAGAGAACAAUUGAUGUCCUUUGGGGUGCCCCCUGCCCACGUAUAUAAAGGAGGGGAGGAGGAGGCCGGCGGCCAGGAGGGGCGCGCCAUGGGGGGAGUCCUACUAGGACUCCCAGUCCUAGUAGGAUUCGCCCCCUCCUUUUCCUUUCUCCACCGGAGGGAAAAGGAAGGAGAGGGAGAGGGAGAGGAAAAGGGGGGCGCCGCCCCCUCCCCCUAGUCCAAUUCAGACUGCCAUGGGGGGGACGCCGGCCACCCCUUGCGGCCCUCCUCUCUCUCCACUAAGGCCCACUAAGGCCCAAUAUUUCCCCUGGGGGGUUCCGGUAACCCCUCGGUACUCCGGUAAAAUACCCGAACCACUCGAAACCAUUUCGAUGUUCGAAUACUACCUUCCAAUAUAUGAAUAUUUACCUCUCGACCAUUUCGAGACUCCUCGUCAUGUCCGUGAUCUCAUCCGGGACUCCGAAGAAACUUCGGUCACCAAAACACACAACUCAUAAUACACAUCGUCAUCGAACAUUAAGCGUGCGGAUCCUACGGGUUCGAGAACUAUGUAGACAUGACCGAGACACAUCACCGGUCAAUAGCCAAUAGAGGAACCUGGAUGCUCAUAUUGGUUCGUACAUAUUCUACGAAGAUCUUUAUCGGUAAAACCGCAUAACAACAUACGUCAUUCCCUUUGUCAUCGGUAUGUUACUUGCCCAAGAUUCGAUCGUCGGUAUCAUCAUGUUGGAAAUAUGCCCUAGAGGCAAUAAUAAAUAGGUUAUUAUUACAUUUCCUUGUUCAUGAUAAUCGUUUAUUAUCCAUGCUAGAAUUGUAUUGAUAGAAAACUCAGAUACAUGUGUGGAUACAUAGACAACACCAUGUCCCUAGUAAGCCUCUAGUUGACUAGUUCGUUGAUCAAUAGAUGGUUACGGUUUCCUGACCAUGGACAUUGGAUGUCGUUGAUAACGGGAUCACAUCAUUAGGAGAAUGAUGUGAUGGACAAGACCCAAUCCUAAGCCUAGCACAAGAUCGUGUAGUUCGUUUGCUCAGAGCUUUUCUAAUGUCAAGUAUCAGUUCCUUAGACCAUGAGAUUGUGCAACUCCCGGAUACCGUAGGAAUGCUUUGGGUGUACCAAACAUCACAACGUAACUGGGUGGCUAUAAAGGUGCACUACAGGUAUCUCCGAAAGUGUCUGUUGGGUUGGCACGAAUCGAGACUGGGAUUUGUCACUCCGUGUAAACGGAGAGGUAUCUCUGGGCCCACUCGGUAGGACAUCAUCAUAAUGUGCACAAUGUGACCAAGGAGUUGAUCACGGGAUGAUGUGAGUUACGGAACGAGUAAAGAGACUUGCCGGUAAUGAGAUUGAACAAGGUAUAGGGAUACCAACGAUCGAAUCUCGGGCAAGUAACAUACCGAUAGACAAAGGGAAUUGUAUACGGGAUUGAUUGAAUCCCCCACAUCGUGGUUCAUCCGAUGAGAUCAUCGUGGAACAUGUGGGAGCCAACAUGGGUAUCCAGAUCCCGCUGUUGGUUAUUGACCGGAGAACGUCUCGGUCAUGUUUGCAUGGUUCCCGAACCCGUAGGGUCUACACACUUAAGGUUCGGUGACGCUAGGGUUAUAAGGAAAGUAUGUACGUGGUUACCGAAUGUUGUUCGGAGUCCCGGAUGAGAUCCCGGACGUCACGAGGAGUUCCAGAAUGGUCCGGAGGUAAAGAUUUAUAUAUGGGAAGUCCUGUUUUGGUCACCGGAAAAGUUUCGGGUGAUAUCGGUAAUGUACCGGGACCGCCGGGAGGGUCCCGGGGGUCCACCAAGUGGGGCCACCAGCCCCAGAUGGCUGCGUGGGCCAAGUGUGGGAGGGGACCAGCCCCAGGUGGGCUGGUGCGCCCCCCCACCAAGGCCCAAGGCGCAUGGGAGAGUGGGAUGGGGCAAAGCCUAGGUCCAGAUGGGCCUUAAGGCCCACCCUAGUGGCGCCCCCCCUUCUCCUCCCCUUGGCCGCACCCCUUGGAUGGGAUCUAGGGCUGGCCGCCACCCCUUGGGGUGGAAACCCUAGAGGGGGCGCAGCCCCCUCCCCCCCUUAUAUAUAGUUGAGGUUUGGGCUGCCCAAGACACGAGAACGUCUCUCUUUCGGCGCAGCCCUACCCCUCUCCCUCCUCCUCCUCUCCCGCGGUGCUUGGCGAAGCCCUGCGGGAUUGCCACGCUCCUCCAUCACCACCACGCCGUCGUGCUGCUGCUGGAUGGAGUCUUCCCCAAGCUCUCCCUCUCUCCUUGCUAGAUCAAGGCGUGGGAGACGUCACCGGGCUGCACGUGUGUUGAACGCGGAGGCACCGUUCUUCGGUGCUUAGAUCGGAAUCAACCGCGAUCUGAAUCGCUACGAGUACGACUCCUUCAUCCGCGUUCUUGCAACGCUUCCACAUCGCGAUCUACAAGGGUAUGUAGAUCCACUCCCCUCCCCCUCGUUGCUAGAGUACUCCAUAGAUUGAUCUUGGUGAUGCGUAGAAAAUUUUGAAUUUCUGCUACGUUACCCAACAGUGGCAUCACGAGCUAGGUCUAUGCGUAGUUUCUAUGCACGAGUAGAACACAAAGUAGUUGUGGGCGUAGAUGUUGCCAAUUCUUCUUGCCGCAACUAGUCUUAUCUUGUUUCGGCGGCAUUGUGGGAUGAAGCGGCCCGGACCGACCUUACACGUACGCUUACGUGAGACAGGUUCCACCGACUGACAUGCACUAGUUGCAUAAGGUGGCUAGUGGGUGUCUGUCUCUCCCACUUUAGUCGGAACGGAUUCGAUGAAAAGGGUCCUUAUGAAGGGUAAAUAGAAAUUGGCAUAUCACGUUGUGGUUUUACGUAGGUAAGAAACGUUCUUGCUAGAAACCUAUACAAGCCACGUAAAAACUUGCAACAACAAUUAGAGGACGUCUAACUUGUUUUUGCAGCAUGUGCUAUGUGAUGUGAUAUGGCCAGAAGAUGUGAUGAAUGAUAUAUGUGAUGUAUGAGAUUGAUCAUAUUCUUGUAAUAGGAAUCACGACUUGCAUGUCGAUGAGUAUGACAACCGGCAGGAGCCAUAGGAGUUGUCUUUAUUUUUUGUAUGACCUGCGUGUCAUUGAAUAACGCCAUGUAAAUUACUUUACUUUAUUGCUAAGCGCGUUAGCCAUAGAAGUAGAAGUAAUCGUUGGCGUGACAACUUCAUGAAGACACAAUGAUGGAGAUCAUGGUGUCAUGCCGGUGACGAAGAUGAUCAUGGUGCCCCGAAGAUGGAGAUCAAAGGAGCAAAAUGAUAUUGGCCAUAUCAUGUCACUAUUUGAUUGCAUGUGAUGUUUAUCAUGUUAUGCAUCUUAUUUGCUUAGAACGACGCUACUAAGUAAGAUGAUCCCUCACUAAAAUUUCAAGAGACGUGUUCCCCUAACUGUGCACCGUUGCGAAGGUUCGUUGUUUCGAAGCACCACGUGAUGAUCAGGUGUGAUAGAUUCUAACGUUCGAAUACAACGGGUGUUGACGAGCUUAGCAUGUAUAGACAUGGCCUCGGAACACAUGCGAAACACUUAGGUUGACUUGACGAGCCUAGCAUGUACAGACAUGGCCUCGGAACACAAGAGACCGAAAGGUCGAACAUGAGUCGUAUAGCAGAUACGAUCAACAUGGAGAUGUUCACCGAUGAUGACUAGUCCGUCUCACGUGAUGAUCGGACACGGCCUAGUUUGACUCGGAUCAUGUAUCACUUAGAUGACUAGAGGGAUGUCUAUCUGAUUGGGAGUUCAUUAAAUAAUUAGAUGAACUUCAUUAUCAUGAACAUAGUCAAAAGGUCUUUGCAAAUUAUGUCAUACGCUUUAGUUCUACUGUUUAAGAUAUGUUCCUAGAGAAAAUGUAGUUGAAAGUUGGUAGUAGCAAUUAUGCGGACUGGGUCCGUAAACUGAGGAUUGUCCUCAUUGCUGCACAGAAGGCUUAUGUCCUUAAUGCACCGCUCGGUGUGCUGAACCUUAGCGUCGUCUGUAGAUGUUGCGAAACAUCUGACAUACACGUUUUGAUGACUACGUGAUAGUUCAGUGCGUACGGUUUAGAAUUGUGGCACCAAAGACAUUUUUGAAACGUCGCAGAACAUAUGAGAUGUUCCGAAGACUGAAAUUGGGAUUUCAGACUAGUGCCCACGUCAAGAGGUAUGAGACCUCUGACAAGUUUCUUAAGCCUGCAAACUAAGGGAGAAAAGCUCAAUCGUUGAGCAUGUGCUCAGAUUGUCUGAGUACCACAAUCGCUUGAAUCGAGUGGGAGUUAAUCUCCCAGAUGAGAUAGUGAUGGUUCUCCAUAGUCACUGCCACCAAGCUAGUAGAGCUUCGUGAUGAACUAUAACAUAUCAGGGAAUGAUGAUCCUUGAGCUAUUCGCGAUGUUUGACACCGCGAGAGUAGAAAUCAAGAAGGAGCAUCAAUUGUUGAUGGUUAGUAAAACCACUAGUUUAAGAAGGGUAAGGGCAAAAGGGAUACUUCAUGAAACAGCAAGUCAUUUGCUGCUCUAGUGAAGAAUCCCAAGGUUGAACCCAAACCCGAGACUAAGUGCUUCUGUAAUGAGAGGAACGGUCACUGAAGCAGUACUACCCUAGAUACUUGGUAGAUGAGAAGGCAGGCAAGGUCGACUGAAGUAUAUUGGAUAUACGUUAUAUGAAUGUGUACUUUACUAAUACUCCUAGCAGCACCAGGGUAUUAGAUGCCGGUUCGGUUGCUAAGUGUUAGUAACUCGAAAUAAAAGCUGUGGAAUAACCGGAGACUAGCUAAAGGUGAGAUGACGAUAUGUGUUGGAAGUGUUUCCAAGGUUGAUGUGAUCAAGCAUCGCAUGCUCCCUCUACCAUCGAGAUUUGGUGUUUGCGUUGAGCAUGAUUGGAUUAUGUUUAUCGCAAUACGGUUAUUCAUUUAAGGAGAAUAAUGGUUACUCUGUUUAUUUGAAUAAUACCUUCAAUGGUUUUGCACCUAAAAUGAAUCUCGAUCGUAGUGAUACACAUGUUCGUGCCAAAAUAUAUAAAAUAUUAAUGAUAGUUCCACAUACUUGUGGCACUGCCAUUUGAGUCAUAUUGGUAUAGAACGCAUGAAGAAGCUCCAUGUAGAUGGAUCUUUGGACUCACUCGUUUUUUUUUGAAAAGAUUGAGACAUGCGAACCAUGAUUGUUGGUAUAUAUGCAUGAAGAAACUCCAUGCAGAUGGAUCGUUUGGACUCACUUGAUUUUGAAUCACUUGAGACAUGCAAAUCAUACCACAUGGGCAAGAUGACUGAAAGUCCUCGUUUUCAGUAAGAUGGAACAAGAGAGCAACUUAUUGGAAGUAAUACAUUUUGAUGUAUGCAGUCCAAUGAGUGCUGAGGCAUGCAGUGGAUAUCGUUAUGUUCUUACUUCACAGAUGAUUUGAGUAGAUGCUGAGUGUAUUUACUUGAUGAAACACAAGUCUGAAUUAUUGAAAGGUUCAAGUAAUUUCAGAGUGAAGUUGAAGAUCGUCGUGACAAGAGGAUGAAAUGUCUGUGAUAUGAUCAUAGAGAUGAGUAUCUGAGUUACGAGUUUGGCACACAAUUAAGACAUUGUGGAAAGUGUUUCACAAUUAAUACCGCCUGGAACACCACAGUGUGAUGGUGUGUCCGAACAUCAUAACUGCACCCUAUUGGAUAUGGUGCAUACCAUGAUGUCUCUUAUCGAAUUACCACUAUCGUUUAUGGGUUAGGCAUUAGAGAUAACCGCAUUCACUUUAAAAGGGGCACCACGCAAUUCUGUUGAGACGACACCGUUUAGAGAAACCUAAGUUGUCGUUUCUUAAAAGUUUGGGGCUGCGUAUGUGAAAAGUUUCAGGCUGAUAAGCUCGAACCCAAAGCGGAUAAAUGCAUCUUCAUAGAAUACCCAAAACAGUUGGGUAUACCUCCUAUUUCAGAUCUGGAAGCAAAAGUAAUUGCUUCUAGAAGCGAGUUCUUUUUCGAGGAAAAGUUUCUCUCGAAAGAAUUGAGUGGGAGGAUGGUGGAGACUUGAUAGGGUUAUUGAACCGUCACUUCAACUAGUGUGUAGCAGGGCACUGGAAGUUGUUCCUGUGGCACCUACACCAAUUGAAGUGGAAGCUUAUGAUAGUGAUCAUGAGACUUCGGAUCAAGUCACUACCAAACCUCGUAGGACGACGAGGAUGCGUGCUACUUCAGAGUGGUACGUGAUCCUGUCUGAGAUAUCAUGUUGUUGGACAAUACUGAACCUACGAGCUAUGGAGAAGCGAUGGUGGGACCAUAUUCCGACAAAUGGUUAGAAGCCAUGAAAUCCGAGAUAAAUGGAUCUUUGAGAAGAAGACGGACGUGGACGGUAAUGUUACCAUCUAUGAAGCUCGACUUGUGGCAAAGAGUAUUUCCACAAGUUCAAGGAGUUGACUACGAUGAGAUUUUCUCAUCCGUAGCAAUGCUUAAGUCCGUCGGAAUCAUGUUAGCAUUAGCUGCAUUUAUGAAAUCUGGCAGAUGGAUGUCAAAACAAGUUUCCUUACCAGUUUUCGUAAGGAAAGGUUGUAUGUGAUACAAUCAGAAAGGUUUUGUCGAUCCUAAGGAUGCUAAUAGGUAUGCUAGCUCCAGCGAUCCUUCCAUGGACUAGAGCAAGCAUCUCGGAGUCAGAAUAUACGCUUUGAUGGAGUGAUCAAAGUUUUUGGGUUUAUACAAAGUUUGUUAGAAACUUGUAUUUGCAAUAAAGUGAGUGGGAGCGCCACAACAUUUCUGAUAAGUAUAUGUGAAUGACAUAUUGUUGAUCCGAAAUGAUGUAAUAUUUCUGGAAAGCAUAAAGGGUUGUUUGAAAGGAGUUUUUCAAAGGAAGACCUGGAUAAAGCUGCUUACAUAUUGGACAUCAAGAUCUAUAGAGAUAGAUCAAGACGCCUGAUGAUACUUUCAAAGAACGCACACCUUGACAUGAUUUUGAAAGAGUUCAAAAUAGAUCAGCAAAGAAGGAGUUCUUGGCUGUGUUACAAGGUGUGAGUAUUGCGUAAGACUCAAGACCUGACCACAACAGAAGAGAGAGAAAGGACGAAGGUCGUCCCCUAUGCUUCAGACGUAGGCUCUACAGUAUGCUAUGCUGUGUACCGCACAUGAAGUGUGCCUGCCAUGAGUUGGUCAAGGGGUACAAUAGUGAUCCGGGAAUGGAUCACAUGACAUCGGUCGAACUUAUCCUUAGUAUCUAGUGAACUAAGGAUUUUCUCGAUUAUGGAGGUGAAAAGGAGUUCGUCGUAAAGAGUUACGUCGAUGCAAACUUUGACACUAAUCCGGAUGACUCUGAGUAGUAAACCGGAUUCGUAUAGUAGAGCAAUUAUUUGAAAUGGCUCCAAAUAGCGCGUGGUAGCAUCCACAAGAUGACAUAGAUAUUCGUAAAGCACACACGGAUCUGAAAGGUUCAGACCCGUUGACUAAUAACCUCUCUCACAAGCAUAACAUGAUCAAACCAGAACUCAUUGAGUUUAAUCACAUAGUGAUGUGAACUAGAUUGUUGACUCUAGUAAACUCUUUGGAUGUUGGUCACAUGGUGAUGUGACCUAUGAGUGUUAAUCGCAUGGUGAUGUGGACUAGAUUAUUGACUCUAGUGCAAGUGGGAGACUGUUGGAAAUAUGCCCUAGAGGCAAUAAUAAAUAGGUUAUUAUAAUAUUUCCUUGUUCAUGAUAAUCGUUUAUUAUCCAUGCUAGAAUUGUAUUGAUAGGAAACUCAGAUACAUGUGUGGAUACAUAGACAACACCAUGUCCCUAGUAAGCCUCUAGUUGACUAGCUCGUUGAUCAAUAGAUGGUUACGGUUUCCUGACCAUGGACAUUGGAUGUCGUUGAUAACGGGAUCACAUCAUUAGGAGAAUGAUGUGAUGGACAAGACCCAAUCCUAAGCCUAGCACAAGAUCGUGUAGUUCGUUUGCUCAGAGCUUUUCUAAUGUCAAGUAUCAGUUCCUUAGACCAUGAGAUUGUGCAACUCCCGGAUACCGUAGGAAUGCUUUGGGUGUACCAAACGUCACAACGUAACUGGGUGGCUAUAAAGGUGCACUACAGGUAUCUCCGAAAGUGUCUGUUGGGUUGGCACGAAUCGAGACUGGGAUUUGUCACUCCGUGUAAACGGAGAGGUAUCUCUGGGCCCACUCGGUAGGACAUCAUCAUAAUGUGCACAAUGUGACCAAGAGUUGAUCACGGGAUGAUGUGAGUUACGGAACGAGUAAAGAGACUUGCCGGUAACGAGAUUGAACAAGGUAUAGGGAUACCGACGAUCGAAUCUCGGGCAAGUAACAUACCGAUAGACAAAGGGAAUUGUAUACGGGAUUGAUUGAAUCCCCGACAUCGUGGUUCAUCCGAUGAGAUCAUCGUGGAACAUGUGGGAGCCAACAUGGGUAUCCAGAUCCCGCUGUUGGUUAUUGACCGGAGAACGUCUCGGUCAUGUCUGCAUGGUUCCCGAACCCGUAGGGUCUACACACUUAAGGUUCGGUGACGCUAGGGUUAUAGGGAAAGUAUGUACGUGGUUACCGAAUGUUGUUCGGAGUCCCGGAUGAGAUCCCGGACGUCAUGAGGAGUUCCGGAAUGGUCUAGAGGUAAAGAUUUAUAUAUGGGAAGUCCUGUUUUGGUCACCGGAAAAGUUUCGGGUGAUAUCGGUAAUGUACCGGGACCACCGGGAGGGUCCCGGGGGUCCACCAAGUGGGGCCACCAGCCCCAGAUGGCUGCGUGGGCCAAGUGUGGGAGGGGACCAGCCCCAGGUGGGCUGGUGCGCCCCCCACCAAGGCCCAAGGCGCAUGGGAGAGUGGGAGGGGGCAAACCCUAGGUCCAGAUGGGCCUUAAGGCCCACCCUAGUGGCGCCCCCCCUUCUCCUCCCCUUGGCCGCACCCCUUGGAUGGGAUCUAGGGCUGGCCGCCACCCCUUGGGGUGGAAACCCUAGAGGGGGCGCAGCCCCCUCCCCCCCUUAUAUAUAGUUGAGGUUUGGGCUGCCCAAGACACGAGAACGUCUCUCUUUCGGCGCAGCCCUACCCCUCUCCCUCCUCCUCCUCUCCCGCGGUGCUUGGCGAAGCCCUGCGGGAUUGCCACGCUCCUCCAUCACCGCCACGCCGUCGUGCUGCUGCUGGAUGGAGUCUUCCCCAACCUCUCCCUCUCUCCUUGCUGGAUCAAGGCGUGGGAGACGUCACCGGGCUGCACGUGUGUUGAACGCGGAGGCACCGUUCUUCGGUGCUUAGAUCGGAAUCAACCGCGAUCUGAAUCGCUACGAGUACGACUCCUUCAUCCGCGUUCUUGCAACGCUUCCGCAUCGUGAUCUACAAGGGUAUGUAGAUCCACUCCCCUUCCCCUCGUUGCUAGAGUACUCCAUAGAUUGAUCUUGGUGAUGCGUAGAAAAUUUUGAAUUUCUGCUACGUUACCCAACACAUCAUACCUAGUUCAAUCUCGUUACCGGCAAGUCUGUUUACUCGUUCUGUAAUGCAUCAUCCCACAACUAACUCAUUAGUCACAUUGCUUGCAAGGCUUAUAGUGAUGUGCAUUACCGAGAGGGCCCAGAGAUACCUCCCCGAUACACGGAGUGACAAAUCCUAAUCUUGAUCUAUGCCAACCCAACAAACACCUUCAGAGACACCUGUAGAGCAUCUUUAUAAUCACCCAGUUACGUUGUGACGUUUGAUAGCACACAAGGUGUUCCUCCGGUAUUCGGGAGUUGCAUAAUCUCAUAGUCAGAGGAAUAUGUAUAAGUCAUAAAGAAAGCAAUAGCAAUAAAACUAAGCGAUCAUAAUGCUAAGCUAACGGAUGGGUCUUGUCCAUCACAUCAUUCUCUAAUGAUGUGACCCCGUUCAUCAAAUGACAACACAUGUCUAUGGUCAGGAAACUUAACCAUCUUUGAUUAAUGAGCUAGUCAAGUAGAGGUAUACCAGGGACACUCAGUUUUGUCUAUGUAUUCACACAUGUACUAAGUUUCCGGUUAAUACAGUUCUAGCAUGAAUAAUAAACAUUUAUCAUGAUAUAAGGAAAUAUAAAUAACAACUUUAUUAUUGCCUCUGGGGCAUAUUUCAUUUAGUCUCCCACUUGCACUAGAGUCCAUAAUCUAGAUUACAUAGUAAUGAUUCUAACACCCAUGGAGUCUUGGUGUUGAUCAUGUUUUGCUCGUGGAAGAGGCUUAGUCAACGGGUCUGCAACAUUCAGAUCCGUAUGUAUUUUGCAAAUCUCUAUGUCUCCCUCCUUGACUUGAUCGCGGAUGGAAUUGAAGAGUCUCUUGAUGUGUUUGGUUCUCUUGUGAAAUCUGGAUUCAUUCGCCAAGGCAAUUGCUCCAGUAUUGUCACAAAAGAUUUUCAUUGGACCCGAUGCACUAGGUAUUACACCUAGAUCGGAUAUGAACUCCUUCAUUCGCUGCUUCCGAAGAAGCUAUCUACUCCGCUUCACACGUAGAUCCCGCCACGACGCUCUGCUUGGAACUGCACCAACAGACAACUCCACCAUUCAAUAUAAGUAUGUACCCGGUUUGUGACUUAGAGUCAUCCGGAUCAGUGUCAAAGCUUGCAUCGACGUAACAAUUUACGACAAGCUCUUUGUCACCUCCAUAAACGAGAAACAUAUCCUUAGUCCUUUUCAGGUAUUUCAGGAUGUUCUUGACCGCUGUCCAGUGAUCCACUCCUGGAUUACUUUGGUACCUCCCUGCUAAACUUAUAGCAAGGCACACAUCAGGUCUGGUAUACAGCAUUGCAUACAUGAUAGAACCUAUGGCUGAGGCAUAGGGAAUGACUUUCAUUUUCUCUCUAUCUUCUGCAGUGGUCGGGCAUUGAGUCUGACUCAACUUCACACCUUGUAACACAGGCAAGAACCCUUUCUUGGACUGAUCCAUUUUGAACUUCUUCAAAACUUUAUCAAGGUAUGUGCUUUGUGAAAGUCCAAUUAAGCGUCUCGAUCUAUCUCUAUAGAUCUUGAUGCCCAAUAUGUAAGCAGCUUCACCGAGGUCUUUCAUUGAAAAAUUCUUAUUCAAGUAUCCUUUUAUGCUAUCCAGAAAUUCUAUAUCAUUUCCAAUCAACAAUAUGUCAUCCACAUAUAAUAUAAAAAAUGCAACAGAGAUCCCACUCACUUUCUUGUAAAUACAGGCUUCUCCAAAAGUCUGUAUAAAACCAUAUGCUUUGAUCACACUAUCAAAGCGUAUAUUCCAACUCCGAGAGGCUUGCACCAGUCCAUAAAUGGAUCGCUGGAGCUUGCACACUUUGUUAGCACCUUUAGGAUCGACAAAACCUUCUGGUUGCAUCAUAUACAACUCUUGUUUAAGAAAUCCAUUAAGGAACGCGGUUUUGACAUCCAUUUGCCAAAUUUCAUAAUCAUAAAAUGCAGCAAAUUGCUAACAUGAUUUAGACAGCCUUAAGCAUUGCUACGGGUGAGAAGGUCUCAUCAUAGUCAACUCCUUGAACUUGUCGAAAACCUUUCGCAACAAGCCGUGCUUUGUAGAUAGUAACGUUACCGUCAGCGUCAGUCUUCUUCUUGAAGAUCCAUUUAUUCUCUAUGGCUUGCCGAUCAUCGGGCAAGUCAACCAAAGCCCACACUUUGUUCUCAUACAUGGAUCCUGAUACGUCCAUUUUGCAUCAUGUUUUCUUACUGUUAUUUAUGAUGUUUUCAUCCCAAAUAAUGAUUUUUGGAGUAAUUCUAAUGCCUUUUCUCUCAUAAUAUGCAAGGUAUACACAAAGAGGGAGAAUUCCGGCAGCUGGAAAUCUGGACCUGGAAAAGCUACGUCAGGCCACCUAUUCUGCAUAACUUCAAACAAGCUGAAACUUCACGAGGAUUUUUAUGGAAUAUUUGAGAAUUAUUGGAGCAAAUAACUACCAGAGGGGCCCCACCAGGUGGGCACAACCCACCUGGGCGCGCCAGGGAGCCCAGGCGCGCCCUGGUGGGUUGUGCUCACCCAGGCCCACCUCCGGUGCCCAUCUUCUGGUAUAUAGGUCAUUUUGACCUAGAAAAAUAAGGAGAGGACUUUCGGGACGGAGCGUCGCCGUCUCGAGGCAGAACUUGGGCAGGAGCACUUUUCCCCUCCGGCGGAGCGAUUCCGUCGGGGGAACUUCCCUACUGGAGGGGGAAAUCAUCGUCAUCAUCAUCACCAACAACUCUCCCAUCUUGGGGAGGGUAAUCUCCAUCAACAUCUUCAACAACACCAUCUCAUCUCAAACCCUAGUUCAUCUCUUGUGUUCAAUCUUGUUACCGGAACUAUAGAUUGGUGCUUGUGGGUGACUAGUAGUGUUGAUUACAUCUUGUAGUUGAUUACUAUAUGGUUUAUUUGGUGGAAGAUUAUAUGUUCAGAUCCAUUAUGCUAUUUAAUACCCCUCUGAUCAUGAGCAUGAUUGUCAUUUGUGAGUAGUCACUUUUGUUCUUGAGGUCAUGGGAGAAAUCAUGUUGCAAGUAAUCAUGUGAACUUGAUAUGUGUUCGAUAUUUUGAUAGUAUGUAUGUUGUGAUUCCCUUAGUGGUGUCAUGUGAACGUCAACUACAUGAAACUUCACCAUAUUUGGGCCUAAGGGCAUGCAUUGUGGAGUAGAAAUUAGAUGAUGGGUUGCGAGAGUGACAGAAGCUUAAACCCCAGUUUAUGCGCUAUUCCGUAAGGGACCGAUUGGAUCCAAAAGUUUAAUGCUAUGGUUAGAAUUUAUUCUUAAUACUUUUCUCAUAGUUGCGGAUGCUUGCGGGAGGGUUAAUCAUAAGUAGGAGGUUUGUUAAAGUAAGAACAGCACCUAAGCACCGGUCCACCCACAUAUCAAAUUAUCAAAGUACCGAACACAAAUCGAACCAACAUGAUGAAAGUGACUAGAUGAAAUUCCCGUGUACCCUCAAGAACGCUUUGCUUAUCAUAAGAGACUGUUUCGGCCUGUCCUUUGCCUCAAAAGGAUUGGGCUACCUUGCUAGACUUUUGUUACUACUACCGUUACUUGCUCGUUACAAAUUAUCUUGCUAUCAAACUACUCCGCUACUUAUAAUUUCAGCACUUGCAAACAUUACCUUACUGAAAGCUACUUGUCAUUUCCUUAUGCUCCUCGUUGGGUUCAACACUCUUACUUAUCGAAAAGAGCUACAAUUGAUCCACUAUAAUUGUGGGUCAUCAGAUCCCAUCUCAGAUUUCAUGGCCUCAAGCCAUUUCGCGGAAUCUGGGCUCAUCAUCGCUUCCUCAUAGUUCGUAGGUUCAUCAUGGUCUAGUAACAUGACCUCCAGAAUAGGAUUACCGUACCACUCUGGUGCGAAACUUACUCUAGUUUAUCUACAAGGUUCGAUAGUAACUUGAUCUGAAGUUUCAUGAUCAUCAUCAUUAACUUCCUCAAUAAUUGGUGUAGGCAUCACUGGAAUUGAUUUCUGUGAUGAACUACUUUCCUCCCACUCCCUUCUUUCGAGAGAAACUCCUUCUCUAGAAAGGAUCCAUUCUUACCAACGAAUAUCUUGCCUUCGGAUAUGUGAUAGAAGGUGUACCCAACAGUCUCCUUUGGGUAUCCUAUGAAGACACAUUUCUCCGAUUUGGGUUCGAGCUUAUCAGGUUGAAGCUUUUUCACAUAAGCAUCGCAGCCCCAAACUUUUAGAAAUGUCAGCUUAGGUUUCUUGCCAAACCACAGUCAUAUGGUGUCAUCUCAACGGAUUUAGAUGUGCCCUAUUUAACAUGAAUGUGACCGUCUCUAAAGCAUAACCCCCAAAACGAUAGUGGUAAAUCGGUAUGUGACAUCAUAGAUCGCACCAUAUCUAAUAAAGUACGGUUACGACGUUCGGACACACCAUUACGCUGUGGUGUUCCAGGUGGCGUGAGUUGUGAAACUAUUCCACAUUGUUUCAAAUGAAGACCAAACUCAUAACUCAAAUAUUCACCUCCACGAUCAGAUCAUAGAAACUUUAUUUUCUUGUUAUGAUGAUUUUCCACUUCACUCUGAAAUUCUUUGAACUUUUCAAGUGUUUUAGACUUAUGUUUCAUUAAGUAGAUAUACCCAUAUCUGCUCAAAUCAUCUGUGAAGGUCAGAAAAUAACGAUACCCACCGCGAGCCUCAACACUCAUCGGACCGCAUAGAUCAGUAUGUAUUAUUUCCAAUAAGUCAGUUGCUCGCUCCAUUGUUCCGAAGAACGGAGUCUUAGUCAUCUUGCCCAUGAGGCAUGGUUCGCAAGCAUCAAGUGAUUCAUAAUCAAGUGAUUCCAAAAGCCCAUCAGCAUGGAGUUUCUUCAUGCGCUUUAUGCCAAUAUGACCUAAACGGCAGUGCCACAAAUAAGUUGCACUAUCAUUAUUAACUUUGCAUCUUUUGGCUUCAAAAUUAUGAAUAUGUGUAUCACUACGAUCGAGAUUCAACAAAAAUAGACCACUCAUCAAGGGUGCAUGACCAUAAAAGAUAUUAGUCAUAUAAAUAGACCAACCAUUAUUCUCUGAUUUAAAUGAAUAACCAUUUAAAGAAAUAAAUGAUUCACUAGGUUUGUUUUUUAUCGAUAAUAUUUACUUACGGGAUACUUUUGACGUUAUUCAGCGAUUCUCACAUAGCGGUCUUGGUUUGAAAUCCCUUUUGAAACGUGAAAUCAUAAACAAGUUGGUUGAAGUAGUAAUACCAUUUUCCGAUGAGAAUUCUAAGUCGUACGUGUACGGUUAUUUUGCUUGUCUCGCAUCAAACAAGAUCCAGAUAUAAUGUUCAUGCUCAAUGCUGGCACCAAAUAACAAUUAUUCAGGUCUAAAACUAAUCCCGAAAGUAGAUGUUUAGGUAGCAUGCCGACGACGAUGACAUCGACUUUGGAACCAUUUCCCACGCGCAUCAUCACCUCGUCGUUAGCCAAUCUUCGUUUAAUCUGUAGCCCAUGUUUCGAGUUGCAAAUAUGAGCAACAGAACCAAUAUCAAAUACCCAGGCACUACUACAAGCAUUAGUAAGGUACACAUCAAUAACAUGUAUAUCAAAUAUACCUUUCACUUUGCCAUCCUUCUUAUCCGCCAAAUACUUGGGGCAGUUCCACUUCCAGUGACCAGUCCCUUUGCAGUAGGAGCGCUCAGUUCCAGGCUUAGGUCCAGACUUGGGUUUCUUCCCGGGAGCAGCAACUUUCUUGCUAUUCUUCUUGAAGUUCCCCUUCUUCCCUUUGCCCUUUUUCUUGAAACUAGUGGUCUUGUUAACCAUCAACACUUGAUGCUCCUUCUUGAUUUCUACCUCCGCAGCCUUUAGCAUCACGAAGAGCUCGGGAAUUGUCUUUUCCAUCCCUUGCAUAUUAUAGUUCAUCAUGAAGCCUUUAUAGCUUGGUGGCAGUGAUUGAAGAACUUUGUCAAUGACACUAUCAUCAGGAAGAUUAACUCCCAGCUGAGUCAAGUGGUUAUGGUACCCAGACAUUCUGAGUAUGUGUUCACUGAUAGAACUAUUCUCCUCCAUCUUGCAGCUAUAGAACUUGUUGGAGACUUCAUAUCUCUCAACUCGGGCAUUUGCUUGAAAUAUUAACUUCAACUCCUGGAACAUCUCAUAUGCUCCAUGACAUUCAAAACGUCUUUGAAGUCCCGAUUCUAAGCUGUAAAGCAUGGCACAUAGAACUAUCGAGUAGUCAUCAGCUUUAGUCUGCCAGAUGUUCAUAAUGUCCGGCGUUGCUCCUCCGCAGCGGGCCUUGCACCUAGCGGUGCUUCCAGGACGUAAUUCUUCUGUGCAACAAUGAGGAUAAUCCUCAAGUUACGGACCCAAUCCGUGUAGUUGCUACCAUCAUCUUUCAACUUAGCUUUCUUUAGGUACGCAUUAAAAUUCAAGGGAACGGUAGCACGGGCCAUUGAUAUACAACAACCUAGAUAUGCAAAAACUAUCAGGUACUAAGUUCAUGAUAAAUUAAAGUUCAAUUAAUCAUAUUACUUAAGAACUCCCACUUAGAUAGACACCCCUCUAGUCAUCUAAAUGAUCACAUGAUCCAUAUCAACUAAACCAUGUCCGAUCAUCACGUGAGAUGGAGUAGUUUUCAAUGGUGAACAUCUCUAUGUUGAUCAUAUCUACUAUAUGAUUCACGUUUGACCUUUCGGUCUCAGUGUUCUAAGGCCAUAUCUGCAUAUUCUAGGCUCGUCAAGUUUAACCCGAGUAUUCUGCACGUGCAAAACUGGGUUGCACCCGUUGUAUGUGAACGUAGAGCUUAUCACAGCAGAUCAUCACGUGGUGUCUCGACACGACGAACUGUAGCAACGGUGCAUACUCAAGGAGAACACUUAUACCUUGAAAUUUAGUGAGGGAUCAUCUUAUAAUGCUACCGCCGUACUAAGCAAAAUAAGAUGCAUAAAAGAUAAACAUCACAUGCAAUCAAAAUAUGUGACAUGAUAUGGCCAUCAUCAUCUUGUGCCUUUGAUCUCCAUCUCCAAAGCACCGUCAUGAUCUCCAUUGUCACUGGCUUGACACCUUGAUCUCCAUCGUAGCGUCGUUGUCGUCUCGCCAACUAUUGCUUCUACAACUAUCGCUACCGCAUAGUGAUAAAGUAAAGCAAUCACAUGGCGAUUGCAUUUCAUACAAUAAAGCGACAACCAUAAGGCUCCUGCCAGUUGCCGAUAACUAUUACAAAACAUGAUCAUCUCAUACAAUAAAUUAUAUCUCAUCAUGUCUUGACCAUAUCACAUCACAACAUGCCCUACAAAAAUAAGUUAGACGUCCUCUACUUUGUUGUUGCAAGUUUUACGUGGCUGCUACGGGCUUCUAGCAAGAACCGUUCUUACCUACGCAUCAAAACCACAACGAUUUUUCGUCAAGUGUGCUGUUUUAACCUUCAACAAGGGCCGGCCGUAGUCAAACUCGAUUCAACUAAAGUUGGAGAACAGACACCCGCCAGCCACCUGCGUGCAAAGCACGUCGGUAGAGUCGGUCUCAUGAACGUGGUCAUGUAAUGUUGGUCCGGGUCGCUUCAUCCAACAAUACCGCCGAAUCAAAGUAAGACGUUCGUGGUAAGCAGUAUGACUAUUAUCGCCCACAACUCUUUGUGUUCCACUCGUGCAAAUCAUCUACGCAUAGACCUCGCUCGGAUGCCACUCUUGGGGAACAUAGCAUGCAAUUUCAAAAAAAUUCCUACAAUCAUGCAAGAUCUAUCUAGGAGAUGCAUAGCAACGAGAGGGGGAGAGUGUGUCCAUGUACCCUCGUAGACCGAUCCAAGUACCGAACAUAUGGCACCUCCGUGUUCAGCACACGUUCAGCUCGAUGACGUCCCUCAAACUCUUGAUCCAGCAGAGGGUCGAGGGAGAGUUCCGUCAGCACGACGGCGUGGUGAUGGUGUUGGUGAUGUGAUCCACACAGGGCUUCGCCUAACACUACAAAAAAAGAGACAUCCGUGACAUUUUGGGCUGAACUAAUUUUUUUCUAUCAUACUUAUGACACUUCUAUGAUGAUAAUUGUGACAAAACCCGGUAUCAUCAUAGAUGUGGUGGGGUCCUACUUUUAUGACAAAAAAUCAUGACAGAAAAUGGGCUUUUCGUCCUGGGCGGGCCAGAGACGCAGCUGCAUGACAUUCUUUGGGCCAUCCAUGACGGAAAAAACCAUGGUAGAAGCGAGGGCGAGGAAAAUAUCGGGGAGUUCCCGAUUACCGUGGCUGGUCGGGGGCCGAGCAAUGCACGUUUCUCUCAUAUGUACGCGUGUGUGUGUGAGGCGUUGCGCUCUAACUGAACCAGAGCGAGGCGUUGGGCUCUAACUGAACCCGAGCGAUUGCACUGCAGGCUAUGCAUUACUGAACCCGAGCGAUCGAUCGAUGGCUGUUAACUGAACCCGAUCGAGCGAUUCCUUCGCUACUGCUGCUAAAUGAAGCCGAUCGAUGCUGCCUCUGGAUGAACAGUGAGCGUUGUUGGGGGGUUUGGAUGAACAGUUCCCGAUGGGGGUUGGAUGAACAGGAACCCGUGGUAGUAGAGGCCGUUGCCGCUGGAUGAGCUGUACCCCGAUCGAUCGAGCCGGUGGAUGAACAGGACCCCGUGGAGGGCUGGAUGAAUAGGGCCCCGCGGAGGGCUGGUUGAACAGGGUCCCGCGGAGGGCUGGUUGAACAGUAGCCGGUGGAGGGCUGGAUGAACAGUAGCCCAUGGAGGGGUGGUUGAACUGUUGGGUUAUGUAGCAGAAAUUCAAAAUUUUCUACGCAUCACCAAGAUAAAUCUAUGGAGUAAUCUAGCAAUGAGGGGAAGGGGAGUGCAUCUACAUACCCUUGUAGAUCGCGAGCGGAAGCAUUCAAGAGAACGGGGUUGAUGGAGUCGUACUCGUCGUGAUCCAAAUCACCGAUGAUCCUAGCGCAGAACGGACGGCACCUCCGCGUUCAACACACGUACGGAGCAGCAACGUCUCCUCCUUGUUGAUCCAGCAAGGGGGGAGGAGAGGUUGAUGGAGAUCCAGCAGCACGACGGCGUGGUGGUGGAAGUAGCGGGGAUCCCGGUAGGGCUUCGCCAAGCACUAAUGGGAGGGAGAGGUGUCACGGGAGGGAGAGGGAGGCGCCAGGGGCUGGGAUAUUGCUGCCCUCCCUUCCCCCCACUAUAUAUAGGGCCAAGGGAGAGGGGGGGGGGAGCGCAGCCUUGGCCCUUCCUCCAAGGAAGGGUGCGGCCAGGGAGGAGUCCUUCCUCCCCAAGGCACCUCGGAGGUGCCUUCCCCCUUUAGGACUCUCCGUUUUUCUUAUCUCUUGGCGCAUGGGCCUCUUGGGGCUGGUGCCCAUGGCCCAUAUAGGCCAAGGCGCACCCCCUACAGCCCAUGUGCCCCCCCCGGGGCUGGUGGACCCCCUUGGUGGACCCCCGGACCCCUUUCGGCACUCCCGGUACAAUACCGAUAAAGUGCGAAACUUUUCCGGCGACCAAAACAAGACUUCCCAUAUAUAAAUCUUUACCUCCGGACCAUUCCGAAACUCCUCGUGAUGACCGGGAUCUCAUCCAGGACUCCGAACAACUUUCGGCUUACUGCAUACUAAUAUCUCUACAACCCUAGCGUCACCGAACCUUAAGUGUGUAGACCCUACGGGUUCGGGAGACACGCAGACAUGACCGAGACGACUCUCCGGUCAAUAACCAACAGCGGGAUCUGGAUACCCAUGUUGGCUCCCACAUGCUCCUCGAUGAUCUCAUCGGAUGAACCACGAUGUCGAGGAUUCAAUCAAUCCCGUAUACAAUUCCCUUUGUCUAUCGAUAUGUUACUUGCCCGAGAUUCGAUCGUCGGUAUCCCGAUACCUUGUUCAAUCUCGUUACCGGCAAGUCCCUUUACUCGUUCCGUAACUCACAUCAUCCCGUGAUCAACUCCUUGGUCACAUUGUGCACAUUAUGAUGAUGUCCUACCGAGUGGGCCCAGAGAUACCUCUCCGUUUACACGGAGUGACAAAUCCCAGUCUCGAUUCGUGCCAACCCAACAGACACUUUCGGAGAUACCCGUAGUGCACCUUUAUAGCCACCCAGUUACGUUGUGACGUUUGGCACACCCAAAGCAUUCCUACGGUAUCCGGGAGUUGCACAAUCUCAUGGUCUAAGGAAAUGAUACUUGACAUUAGAAAAGCUCUGAGCAAACGAACUACACGAUCUUGUGCUAGGCUUAGGAUUGGGUCUUGUCCAUCACAUCAUUGUCCUAAUGAUGUGAUCCCGUUAUCAACGACAUCCAAUGUCCAUGGUCAGGAAACCGUAACCAUCUAUUGAUCAACGAGCUAGUCAACUAGAGGCUUACUAGGGACAUGGUGUUGUCUAUGUAUCCACACAUGUAUCUGAGUUUCCUAUCAAUACAAUUCUAGCAUGGAUAAUAAACGAUUAUCAUGAACAAGGAAAUAUAAUAAUAACCUAUUUAUUAUUGCCUCUAGGGCAUAUUUCCAACAGUCUCCCACUUGCACUAGAGUCAAUAAUCUAGUCCACAUCACCAUGCGAUUUAACACUCAUAGGUCACAUCACCAUGUGACCAACAUCCAAAGAGUUCACUAGAGUCAACAAUCUAGUUCACAUCACUAUGUGAUUAACACUCAAUGAGUUCUGGUUUGAUCAUAUUAUGCUUGUGAGAGAGGUUAUUAGUCAACGGGUCUGAACCUUUCAGAUCCGUGUGUGCUUUACGAAUAUCUAUGUCAUCUUGUGGAUGCUACCACGCGCUAUUUGGAGCCAUUUCAAAUAAUUGCUCUACUAUACGAAUCCGGUUUACUACUCAGAGUCAUCCGCAUUAGUGUCAAAGUUCGCAUCGACGUAACUCUUUACGACGAACUCCUUUUCACCUCCAUAAUCGAGAAAAUCCUUAGUUCACUAGAUACUAAGGAUAAGUUCGACCGCUGUCAUGUGAUCCAUUCCCGGAUCACUAUUGUACCCCUUGACCAACUCAUGGCAAGGCACACUUCAUGUGCGGUACACAGCAUAGCAUACUGUAGAGCCUACGUCUGAAGCAUAGGGGACGACCUUCGUCCUUUCUCUCUCUUCUGCUGUGGUCAGGUCUUGAGUCUUACGCAAUACUCCCACCUUGAACACAGCCAAGAACUCCUUCUUUGCUGAUCUAUUUUGAACUCUUUCAAAAUCAUGUCAAGGUGUGCGUUCUUUGAAAGUAUCAUCAGGCGUCUUGAUCUAUCUCUAUAGAUCUUGAUGCCCAAUAUGUAAGCAGCUUUAUCCAGGUCUUCUUUUGAAAAAACUCCUUUCAAACAACCCUUUAUGCUUUCCAGAAAUUCUACAUCAUUUCGGAUCAACAAUAUGUCAUUCACAUAUACUUAUCAGAAAUGUUGUAGCGCUCCCACUCACUUUAUUGUAAAUACAAGUUUCUAACAAACUUUGUAUAAACCCAAAAACUUUGAUCACUCCAUCAAAGCGUAUAUUCUGACUCCGAGAUGCUUUCUCUAAUCCAUGGAAGGAUCGCUGGAGCUAGCAUACCUUUUAGCAUCCUUAGGAUCGACAAAACCCUUUCUGAUUGUAUCACAUACAACCUUUCCUUACGAAAACUGGUAAGGAAACUUGUUUUGACAUCCAUCUGCCAGAUUUCAUAAAUGCAGCUAAUGCUAACAUGAUUCCGACGGACUUAAGCAUCGCUACGGAUGAGAAAAUCUCAUCGUAGUCAACUCCUUGAACUUGUGAAAAUACUCUUUGCCACAAGUCGUGCUUCAUAGACGGUAACAUUACCGUCCACGCCCGUCUUCUUCUCAAAGAUCCAUUUAUCUCGGAUUUCAUGGCUUCUAACCAUUUGUCAGAAUAUGGGCCCACCAUCGCUUCUCCAUAGCUCAUAGGUUCAUCGUUGUCCAACAACAUGACUUCCAAGACAGGAUCACGUACUACUCUGAAGUAUUACGCAUCCUCGUCGUCCUAUGAGGUUUGGUAGUGACUUGAUCUGAAGUUUCAUGAUCACUAUCAUAAGCUUCCACUUCAAUUGGUGUAGGUGCCACAGGAACAACUUCCUGUGCCCUGCUACACACUAGUUGAAGUUAUGGUUCAAUAACCUUAUCAAGUCUCCACCAUCCUCCCACUCAAUUCUUUCGAGAGAAACUUUUCCUCGAGAAAGGAACCGUUUCUAGAAGCAAUUACUUUUGCUUCCAGAUCUGAAAUAGGAGGUAUACCCAACUGUUUUGGGUAUUCUUAUGAAGAUGCAUUUAUCCGCUUUGGGUUCGAGCUUAUCAGCCUGAAACUUUUUCACAUAAGCAUCGCAGCCCCAAACUUUUAAGAAAUGACAACUUAGGUUUCUCUAAACGGUGUCGUCUCAACGGAAUUGCGUGGUGCCCCUUUUAAAGUGAAUGCGGUUGUCUCUAAUGCCUAACCCAUAAACGAUAGUGGUAAUUCGAUAAGAGACAUCAUGGUAUGCACCAUAUCCAAUAGGGUGCAGUUAUGAUGUUCGGACACACCAUCACACUGUGGUGUUUCAGGCGGUAUUAAUUGUGAAACACUUUCCACAAUGUCUUAAUUGUGUGCCAAACUCGUAACUCAGAUAUCUCUAUGAUCAUAUCAUAGACAUUUUAUCCUCUUGUCACGACGAUCUUCAACUUCACUCUGAAAUUACUUGAACCUUUCAAUAAUUCAGACUUGUGUUUCAUCAAGUAAAUACACUCAGCAUCUACUCAAAUCAUCUGUGAAGUAAGAACAUAAUGAUAUCCACUGCAUGCCUCAGCACUCAUUGGACUGCACACAUCAAAUGUAUUACUUCCAACAAGUUGCUCUCUUGUUCCAUCUUACUGAAAACGAGGCCUUUCAGUCAUCUUGCCCAUGUGGUAUGAUUUGCAUGUCUCAAGUGAUUCAAAAUCAAGUGAGUCCAAACGAUCCAUCUGCAUGGAGUUUCUUCAUGCAUAUAUACCAAUAGACAUGGUUCGCAUGUCUCAAUCUUUUCAAAAAACGAGUGAGUCCAAAGAUCCAUCUACAUGGAGCUUCUUCAUGCGUUCUAUACCAAUAUGACUCAAAUGGCAGUGCCACAAGUAUGUGGAACUAUCAUUACUAUUUUAUAUCUUUUGGCAUGAACAUGUGUAUCACUACGAUCGAGAUUAAUUUUAGGUGCAAGACCAUUGAAGGUAUUAUUUAAAUAAACAGAGUAACCAUUAUUCUCCUUAAAUGAAUAACCGUAUUGCGAUAAACAUAAUCCAAUCAUGCUCAACGCAAACACCAAAUCUCGAUGGUAGAGGGAGCAUGCGGUGCUUGAUCACAUCAACCUUGGAAACACUAACAACACAUAUUGUCAUCUCACCUUUAGCUAGCCUCCAUUUAUUCCACAGCUUUUAUUUCGAGUUACUAACACUUAGCAACCGAACCGGUAUCUAAUACCCUGGUGCUGCUAGGAGUACUAGUAAAGUACACAUUCAUAUAAUGUAUAUCCAAUAUACUUCUGUCGACCUUGCCUGCCUUCUCAUCUACCAAGUAUCUAGGGUAGUACUGCUUCAGUGACCGUUCCUCUCAUUACAGAAGCACUUAGUCUCAGGUUUGGGUUCAACCUUGGGAUUCUUCACUAGAGCAGCAACUGAUUUGCCGUUUCAUGAAGUAUCCCUUCUUGCCCUUGCCCUUCUAGAAACUAGUGGUUUUACUAACCAUCAACAAUUGAUGCUCCUUUUUGAUUUCUACUUUCGCGGUGUCAAACAUCGCGAGUUGCUCAAGGAUCAUCAUGUCUAUCCCUGAUAUGUUAUAGUUCAUCACGAAGCUCUACUAGCUUGGUGGCAGUGACUAUGGAGAACCAUCACUAUCUCAUCUGGGAGAUUAACUCCCACUCGAUUCAAGUGAUUGUGGCACUCAGACAAUCUGAGCACAUGCUCAACGAUUGAGCUUUUCUCCCUUAGCUUGCAGGCUUAAGAAACUUGUCAGAGGUCUCAUACCUCUCGACGUGGGCACUAGUCUGAAAUCCCAGUUUCAGUCUUCAGAACAUCUCAUAUGUUCUGCGACGUUUCAAAACCGUCUUUGGUGCCACAAUUCUAAACCGUUAGCAUUACGCACUGAACUAUCACGUAGUUAUCAAAACGUGUAUGUCAGAUGUUCCGCAACAUCUAUAGACGAUGCUGAGGUUCAGCACACCGAGCGGUGCAUUAAGGACAUAAGCCUUCUGUGCAGCAAUGAGGACAAUCCUCAGUUUACGGACCCAGUCCGCAUAAUUGCUACUACCAACUUUCAACUAAAUUUUCUCUAGGAACGUAUCUUAAACAGUAGAACUAUAGCGCAUGACAUAAUUUGCAAAGACCUUUUGACUAUGUUCAUGAUAAUGAAGUUCAUCUGAUUAUUUAAUGAACUCCCACUCAGAUAGACAUCCCUCUAGUCAUCUAUGAUACAUGAUCCGAGUCAAACUAGGCCGUGUCCGAUCAUCACGUGAGACGGACUAGUCAUCAUCGGUGAACAUCUCCAUGUUGAUCGUAUCUGCUAUACGACUCAUGUUCGACCUUUCGGUCUCUUGUGUUCCGAGGCCAUGUCUGUACAUGCUAGGCUCGUCAAGUCAACCUAAGUGUUUCGCAUGUGUUCCGAGGCCAUGUUUGUACAUGCUAGGCUCGUCAACACCCGUUGUAUUCGAACGUUAGAAUCUAUCACACCCGAUCAUCACGUGGUGCUUCAAAACAACGAACCUUCGCAACGGUGCACAGUUAGGGGGAAUACGUCUCUUGAAAUUUUAGUGAGGGAUCAUCUUAUUUAAGCUACCGUCGUUCUAAGCAAAUAAGAUGCAUAACAUGAUAAACAUCACAUGCAAUCAAAUAGUGACAUGAUAUGGCCAAUAUCAUUUUGCUCCUUUGAUCUCCAUCUUCGGGGCACCAUGAUCAUCUUUGUCACCGGCAUGACACCAUGAUCUCCAUCAUUGUGUCUUCAUGAAGUUGUCACGCCAACGAUUACUUCUACUUCUAUGGCUAACGCGCUUAGCAAUAAAGUAAAGUAACUUACAUGGCGUUAUUCAAUGACACGCAGGUCAUACAAAAAUAAAGACAACUCCUAUGGCUCCUGCCGGUUGUCAUACUCAUCGACAUGCAAGUCGUGAUUCCUAUUACAAGAACAUGAUCAAUCUCAUACAUCACAUAUAUCAUUCAUCACAUCGUUUUUGGCCAUAUCACAUCACAUAGCAUACCCUGCAAAAACAAGUUAGACGUCCUCUAAUUGUUGUUGCAUGUUUUACGUGGCUGCUAUGGGUUUCUAGCAAGAAUGUUUCUUACCUACGCAAAAGCCACAAUGUGAUAUGCCAAUUUCUAUUUACCCUUCAUAAGGACCCUUUUCAUCGAAUCCGAUCCGACUAAAGUGGGAGAGACAGACACCCGCUAGCCACCUUAUGCAACUAGUGCAUGUCAGUCGGUGGAACCUGUCUCACGUAAGCGUACGUGUAAGGUCGGUCCGGGCCGCUUCAUCCCACAAUGCCGCCGAAACAAGAUAAGACUAGUAGCGGCAAGAAGAAUUGGCAACAUCUACGCCCACAACUACUUUGUGUUCUACUCGUGCAUAGAAACUACGCAUAGACCUAGCUCAUGAUGCCACUGUGGGUUAUGUAGCAGAAAUUCAAAAUUUUCUACGCAUCACCAAGAUCAAUCUAUGGAGUAAUCUAGCAACGAGGGGAAGGGGAGUGCAUCUACAUACCCUUGUAGAUCGCGAGCGGAAGCGUUCAAGAGAACGGGGUUGAUGGAGUCGUACUCGUCGUGAUCCAAAUCACCGAUGAUCCUAGCGCCGAACGGACGGCACCUCCGCGUUCAACACACGUACGGAGCAGCAACGUCUCCUCCUUAUUGAUCCAGCAAGGGGGGAGGAGAGGUUGAUGGAGAUCCAGCAGCACGACGGCGUGGUGGUGGAAGUAGCGGGAAUCCCGGUAGGGCUUCGCCAAGCACUAACGGGAGGGAGAGGUGUCACGGGAGGGAGAGGGAGGCGCCAGGGGCUGGGAUAUUGCUUCCCUCCCUUCCCCCCACUAUAUAUAGGGCCAAGGGAGAGUGGGGGGGGGCGCAGCCUUGGCCCUUCCUCCAAGGAAGGGUGCGGCCAGGGAAGAGUCCUUCCUCCCCAAGGCACCUUGGAGGUGCCUUCCCCCUUUAGGACUCUCCAUUUUUCUUAUCUCUUGGCGCAUGGGCCUCUUGGGGCUGGUGCCCUUGGCCCAUAUAGGCCGAGGCACACCCCCUACAGCCCAUGUGGCCCCCCGGGGCUGGUGGACCCCCUUGGUGGACCCCCGGACCCCUUUCGGCACUCCCGGUACAAUACCGAUAAAGUGUGAAACUUUUCUGGCGACCAAAACAAGACUUCCCAUAUUAAAUCUUUACCUCCGGACCAUUCCGGAACUCCUCGUGACGUCCGGGAUCUCAUCCGGGACUCCAAACAACUUUCGGGUUACCGCAUACUAAUAUCUCUACAACCCUAGCGUCACCGAACCUUAAGUGUGUAGACCCUACGGGUUCGGGAGACACGCAGACAUGACCGAGACGACUCUCCGGUCAAUAACCAACAGCGGGAUCUGGAUACCCAUGUUGGCUCCCACAUGCUCCUCGAUGAUCUCAUCGGAUGAACCACGAUGUCGAGGAUUCAAUCAAUCCCGUAUACAAUUCCCUUUGUCUAUCGAUAUGUUACUUGCCCGAGAUUCGAUCGUCGGUAUCCCGAUACCUUGUUCAAUCUCGUUACCGGCAAGUCUCUUUACUCGUUCCGUAACUCACAUCAUCCCGUGAUCAACUCCUUGGUCACAUUGUGCACAUUAUGAUGAUGUCCUACCGAGUGGGCCCAGAGAUACCUCUCCGUUUACACGGAGUGACAAAUCCCAGUCUCGAUUCGUGCCAACCCAACAGACACUUUCAGAGAUACCCGUAGUGCACCUUUAUAGCCACCCAGUUACGUUGUGACAUUUGGCACACCCAAAGCAUUCCUACGGUAUCCGGGAGUUGCACAAUCUCAUGGUCUAAGGAAAUGAUACUUGACAUUAGAAAAGCUCUGAGCAAACGAACUACACGAUCUUGUGCUAGGCUUAGGAUUGGGUCUUGUCCAUCACAUCAUUGUCCUAAUGAUGUGAUCCCGUUAUCAACGACAUCCAAUGUCCAUGGUCAGGAAACCGUAACCAUCUAUUGAUCAACGAGCUAGUCAACUAGAGGCUUACUAGGGACAUGGUGUUGUCUAUGUAUCCACACAUGUAUCUGAGUUUCCUAUCAAUACAAUUCUAGCAUGGAUAAUAAACGAUUAUCAUGAACAAGGAAAUAUAAUAAUAACCUAUUUAUUAUUGCCUCUAGGGCAUAUUUCCAACAUGAACAGGACCCCCGUGGAGAGGGCUGGUUGAACAGUAGCCGAUGGAGGAGCGCGCGGUGGAGGCUGGAUGAACAGGAGCCCGUGGAUGAACAGUCGCAGGUGGAGGCUGGAGGAGGUCGACGGUGGAUGAAUAGGAGCCCGUGGAGGCUGGAGGAGGUCGACGGUGGAGAUGAACAGUAUCCCGUGGAGUCCCGUUUUGUGGUACGCCACAGCCCUCCCGAUGAACAGGACCCCCAUUUCGACCAUAGAGCUCCAACACAAGUCCGUUUCCUCUGUUUUGCGGUACGCCACACCCCUCCCAAUCAACAGGACCCCGUUUCGACCGUAGGAGGUCCGUUUCCUCCGUUUUGCGGUACGCCAGACCCCUCCCGAUGAACAUGAUCCCGUUUCGACCAUGGCCGGUCGAACACAAGGCCGUUUCCUCCAUUCUGCAGUACACCAGGCCUCGUUUCCAUCGGCUAUUCCGUCCAAGCCGGUUGGCUCCCGAUGAACAACACGUGUUCUGUUGCCUCCCGAUGAACACGACGCAUUCCGUUGCCUCCCCAUGAACACGACGACGACGUAGUUUCUCCAUUCUGACCCAGCGACAGCCAUGUACACGAGCCCUGGCCGUACGUAUGCGCGAGUAGGCGUUCGAGACCCCGCCCGUAUGUACGUACGUGGCCGUAUUAACUUUCUUGCACCCUGGCCGCUGUACGUACGUGUACAUGCUACGUGCACGCCUCUACUACCACACGUGCCCUUCCUUACACGGCCACGGUUCAUCGCUGCAGCCUGCAGACAGACCGAUCGACCAAUAUGUACGUACACGUUCGCGACCAGAAUGACAACGCUACAUACGCUUCGACCGGGUGGGUCCCGACUGUCAGGCACUUUCUUGCGUGCGAAGAUGUAGCUGGUGGGUCCCAGCAGUCAGAGGCGAAUCGUUUUUUUGCCCGUAAUAUGGAUGCACUUCCUUGCGUGCGAAGAUGUAGCUGGUGGGUCCCAGCAGUUAGGGGGCGAAUCAUUUUUUUGCCCGUAAUAUGGACACACUUCCUUGCGUGCGAAGAUGUAGCUGGUGGGUCCCAGCAGUCGGGGGGAAACUUUUUUUGCAAAAUACGGUGGCCCGUCUGGUGGGUCCCUGCUGUCAGGUGGAGGAAUAAUUAUUUUCCGCGUAAUAAGGAGGCACUUUGUUGCUGCGGCCGUGGACCCAGCUGUCAGCCUCUCCACGUACAGUACUCUUCCAAUGGAAGUCGGUCGUUGACCACAUUGACCAUGCCGUGCCAAGAGCACGAAGGCGGUGAACGAGGGCGAGGCCUGGGAAGGGGACGACACGGAGCUGGGAAAGACGCGGCAGUGGAUGCCCACGCAGAGAGGAGUAUGAGGGUUCACUAGUUUGGCUGCGGUGUGAGGAUGCCGUUGCCGCAGGGCCUGGCCAGCGGUGGGAGUGGUAGGGGGAGGUGAGGCGUCCGCGGCAGCACAGCCGGCCACGGGAGGCAGGAGCAGGCGGCACGACCGGCACUGCUUAGGGCGGCUGGAGCAAGAAGACCAGAGGUUGAAGAAUCACAACGGCCGUUGGAUGGACAUCGUAUGGUCACUGCAGCUAGAAUCGUUUAUAUUGACUAAGUUGGCAAAGCCCUUGGUACGUGUCAACUUAGUAGGCCCACAGGUCAGCCUCCGAAAUGGUGCGCCCCAGAUGUCUAGGGGAGGAAUCAUUUUUUGGGCGACUGAAGCUAGAAUAUCCGAGAUUGAAGAAGAAGCACGACAUCCGUUGGAUGGACAUCCAACAGGCACUGCUGCUAGAAUCGUGUGUUGACUAUAAGUUGACAAAGCCUUGCAUACGCGCCAACUUAGUAGGCCCACAAGUGUGUGGCAGAGAACUUAUAGCCCAUUUGCGAUUUGUAAGAAUGCACAACCCAUUUUUGAAUUCUAAUGGAAUUUACUACAGCCCAUUUACAGUUUGUUAAAAGUACAACCCAUUUUUAGCUAGGACGACGAUUAAUAAUUUCAACCAACCAUUCAAAACAGAAUUCAAUAAAAUUUCCCACAUUUUGAUAGGAUCCGAAAUAUUUUUGUCCUGAAAUUUCUAGUCAGAUUAAAUACAAUUUCAAUAUAAAUUUGUAUUACGUAAAAAUCCAACGAAACAUUGCGCGCGCAACAAUUAGUGAAAUUAAAAUUUUCAAAAUCCAAAAGUAAUAUUUUAUAAACUAAUUACGUCUUUGGUGCAUUUUUUAUAGUUACUGCCCAGUUUUUAUAAUUACAUCCCAUUUAUUAUUUCUUAAAGCUCAUUUUCUUGUUAGGCCUAAUGCAUCCCUCCCAGGAAAGAUUUGUAGCCCAGCGGGGCGGAGAAUAACAAGUUGACCCGGAUUGUGUACAACUGUCGGCCCAGUUGCAUUGCUGAUGUUGAAAAAAGGCAUGUCUAGUAUAGUACAACCUUACAUGGCUACUCAGCCCACAUUCAGGGACGUCGGAAAGGCCAAAACAAGGCUUCUGUACAACUUUUUGAAGUCACCGAGCUCAAUUAAUAACUUAAGAAAAAAGUUAGAGUACAGUGGAACCUAAUUAAAAACUGUCACGAGUGAAGAAAUAAUUCAACGGGUCCCACUUGUUGAUGUCUACUACACAACCUUCCUCUUGUAGACGUUGUUGGGCCUCCAAGUGCAGAGGUUUGUAGGACAGCAACAAAUUUCCGUCAAGUGGAUGACCUAAGGUUUAUCAAUCCGUGGGAGGCGUAGGAUGAAGAUAGUCUCUCUCAAACAACCCUGCAACCAAAUAACAAAGAGUCUCUUGUGUCCUCAACACACCCAAUACAAUGGUAAACUGUAUAGGUGCACUAGUUCGGCGAAGGGAUGGUGAUACAAGUGCAAUAUGGAUGGUAGAUAUAGGUUUUUGUAAUAUGAAAAUAUAAAAACAGCAAGGUAACAAGUAAUAAAAGUGAGCACAAACGGUAUUGCAAUGCUAGGAAACAAGGCCUAGGGUUCAUACUUUCACUAGUGCAAGUUCUCUCAACAAUAAUAACAUAAUUGGAUCACAUAACUAUCCCUCAACAUGCAACAAAGAGUCACUCCAAAGUCAUUAAUAGCAGAGAACAAACGAAGAGAUUAUUGUAGGGUACGAAACCACCUCAAAGUUAUCCUUUCUGAUUGAUCUAUUCAAGAGUCCGUAUUAAAAUAACACGAAGUUAUUCUUUCAGUUCAAUCUAUCAUAGAGUUCGUACUAGAAUAACACCUUAAGACACAAAUCAACCAAAACCCUAUUGUCACCUAGAUACUCCAAUGUCACCUCAAGUAUCCGUGGGUAUGAUUAUACGAUAUGCAUCACACAAUCUUAGAUUCAUCUAUUCAACCAACACAAAGAACUUCAAAGAGUGCCCCAAAGUUUCUACCGGAGAGUCAAGACGAAAACGUGUGCCAACCCCUAUGCAUAAGUUCACAAACGGAACCCGCAAGUUGAUCACCAAAACAUACAUCAAGUGGAUCACGUGAAUAUCCCAUUGUCACCACAGAUAAGCACAUGCAAGACAUACAUCAAGUGUUCUCAAAUCCUUAAAGACUCAAUCCGAUAAGAUAACUUCAAAGGGAAAACUCAAUCCAUUACAAGAGAGUAGUGGGGGAGAAACAUCAUAAGAUCCAACUAUAAUAGCAAAGCUCGCGAUACAUCAAGAUCGUACCACCUCAAGAACACGAGAGAGAGAGAGAGAGAUCAAACACAUAGCUACUGGUACAUACCCUCAGCCCCGAGGGUGAACUACUCCCUCCUCAUCAUGGAGAGCGCCGGGAUGAUGAAGAUGGCCACCGGUGAUGGAUCCCCCCUCCGGCAGGGUGCCGGAACAGGGUCCCGAUUUGUUUUGGGUGGCUACAGAGGCUUGCGGCGGCGGAACUCCUGAUCUAUUAUGUUCCCUGAUGUUUUUAGGGUAUAUGGAUAUAUAUAGGCGAAAGAAGUUGGUAAGGGGAGCCACGAGGGGCCCAUGAGGGUGGGGGGUGCGCCCAGGGGGGCAGGCGCGCCUCCCUGCCUUGUGGCCACCUCGAAGCUUCCCUGACUUCAACUCCAAGUCUCCUGGAUCACGUUCGUUCCAAAAAUCACGCUCCCGAAGGUUUCAUUCCGUUUGGACUCCAUUUGAUAUUCCUUUUCUGCGAAACACUGAAACAAGGGAAAAAACAGAAACUGGCACUGGGCUCUGGGUUAAUAGGUUAGUCCCAAAAAUAAUAUAAAGGUGCAUAGUAAAGCCCAUUAAACAUCCAAGAUGGAUAAUAUAAUAGCAUGAAUACUUCAUAAAUUAUAGAUACGUUGGAGACAUAUCACUUGUGCGUGUGUGUGUGUGUGUGUGUGUGAGACCCAUCGGUCGAUGCUCGUAAAUACAUCUUUUAGCCAUAUGCAUUGACGAUGCUCAGUAAAAACUUAUAUAGUUGACACAAUCAUAUAGAACAUCAUAGCACACUGAACUUGCAUACAAAAAUUUCACGUAGGCGGCACAAUCAGGGUGGAAGUAGUGGAUCGCUACGGGUAGGGCUAUGUUGAAACCAACGAACUCGUACAUAACGGUUCAUCGUCUUUAUCAAUGAUGGGGAAAUAUCUUGAAUGCUGUGCAAAGAAAACAGACAGACAACACAAUAUAUAAGUUCUGCUAGAACAUUAAGUUGACGUACAACCCUUUCUAAAAAAAGUUUAGGUAAAAAAAUAGAACAGGUCAUCUGACAAGAUUAAGUUGUUACCUCAAAUUAGAGCACAUCCAGGCAGCCAGCCCUGCCUCUUCUCCCAAAGAAGUAGUGGCCUCCAUCGCGCGAUGGAGUAGGCCCUGUGCCAUCCAUCGUUCCGAGCAACAUGGGGAAAGUCUGACGUUGACUCCUGUAAUGGACGUCGUCGAUGGACCCGGGCACCAGCGGCGGCGGCAGGACUUCGAUUGAUUGAUUGACCACUUCUUCGACAUGCACGAACACUCGAUACAGGUACAUCCCUAACAUGGUCUGCAGCGGCCUUGGUGGCAACGAAUAGUACAACCCCGGUUCCUGCACCGGUAUCUCAACACCAAUCACCUUCGGUAUGGUGGACGGCUUCUUCAUCCAUGCCAUAUCCGUUAGAGCCCAGCUGUCUGGAGGAACAAACAUACUUACGAGCUCACCUCCAAGGUCGUUGAUAAGCUCAUUCCUGGACUCGCUGUUCCAAGCACGUCGAGGCAUGCCGUGGAAGGUAACCUUUGUUAAAAACUCAAGCUCAGAGGGCACCGAGCCCCAUCCUGGGUGCCACCGAUCAAAGCUCACCAGCGUGCCAUCGCAGAACAAGCGUCAGGUUCCGGACAACUUUCGACUGCAGUGCGGAGAGCUUUGAUCGGUGGCACCCAGGAUCUCCGGCUCGGAGAUCCGCGUUGACCGGAGACAUGAUAGUGCGCUUGAGUAGGGAGUACAGGAGGGGGAUUUGGGGGAACUGGAGUAGGAAUUGAGAUUCCAGAGGUGGGGGAGGGACGGCUGAUUGGGGAUGAAAAGGUAGCAUGAAUUUCGAACAUGCGCCAAUAUGCUCUCAGCGCGCAAGCGCACGAAAACAACGGUGGCGCCCACAUGUCGGCCUAAGAGUCAUAAUUGACCUAUUUGGCAUUGCGUUACUACUCGGCCCAUAUUCAACGACACCUCACUGGCCCAAACAAGUGUACAUCAUCGAAAAGACACUGAGCUCAAAUUAUAACUUGAAAAGAGGAGAUAUACUCUGAACGCUGGAGAAUGGUGAUGCUCUCAUUUAGCCCACUAGCCGUUCGAGACAAUAAACAGUUCAAAACAACAAUAUAUACAACAUUCAAACACUGACUAGUGACUACUAUUGACAUAAACAGCAAGACAUGAUAGUUCAUAAGAAGUCUUGCUACACCACCAAAACGCGCCCAUCUGCAGCGCUCAGACUCUCGUGAUCCAGACGAGAAUGACAUUCUAAAUAGAGGCAACUAUUACAUAGUAAGAGUGACAUAGACGAGGAUGACCAAAUGACAAGGAAUAUGCAUAACAAAAAAGAGAACUACCCAUCCAGAACAAGCAGCAAAGACAGCAAGUCAUUCGAAGAGGGAUGAUCCAACACCAUCAUAAUUUGCAGCCCCGGUUCAGCCACCAGUGAUCCGGAGACACCAAUACUCCACCCUUUUGACGCAAUAGCCCAAUUACCUAUCAACCUGAAGGCUUGAACCACAUCACUGCCUAUCGGACUCGACACAUCCAAGGAUCAAAGUUAAUCCAGAUGCCUUUGUCAUUCUCACCUUCUUUUGGCUGCAGGCUGUAUCAUUGACAAUCAGGGGAGUUUGCUCCCGAACUCCUAGGGCUCGCCGUGUAGACACAGUUUUCCAUAGCAAACAGAGCCUCUCUGCCAUCAAGGUCCUUGCCAAUGGUGAUCUCCUGGUUAAUCGGAUAACUGAGUCCGAGAAACAGAGAGUAUGAACCAAGGCUGUUUACCCGCCUCCAACUCAAAAAUCCUGCAGGCCCAAACAAGCUGGUAUCCUGCUCAUAGACGUAGCAGCCACUGUCCGGAUACUCACGUAUUUCACGGUGCUUGCAUACAUUGGGGUUUUUGCAAUAUAACUUUUCCGGCUCAUGUGUCCGAAUGAUCAUCAGUCUUUUGCCGUCCUCUGAUCGAGCGAGGAACCAGUUGUGCUUCCCUAUUUUUGGCAAAGGUUGGUGUGAUUACAAAGGGCAGUAACUAUAGGGACACUGCAUCAUAUCAAAAAGGACAGGCAUUGUUAAUGUAAGAUCAGCAUUGUUCAGAGUAUGAGUAGGAUAAUGCAAGAAACAACAUUGAUAUGUCCCUGUUGGAACUGGGAGGAAAAUACAGGGAAAUGUAUACUGGGUUCGAAAAUAUAGAAGUGCCAUGCAUGGUUAUACUCAUGUUAUCUCACAAUCGAUUCUUCACAGGAAACUACCAUGUCAUGCAUGUUAUGUAAUCAUGUUCUGUCCUCAAAAACAAAUUCUUCAAGGAAACUAACAUACCAUGCAUUGUUAUAUACUCAUGUUCUGUGGGCAAAAUUUUUGUGAGCAUAUUAUUCUAGCUAUUGAUUGCUGAAGGGCGAACAUAGGUAUGUACACAUGGUAAGCAUUACAGGAUUUCACUACUUCAAAAUAUAGAGUUCUCCAUAUGCACAUUUACUUCCCUAAUGUAUGGUUAGAUGAAAUGAACAGUGUGAUGCAUGUUUCUACAUCAUGAAAAUGAGGAAACUAACAUGGCCAUUGAUACACACUCAUAUUUAGUAGUAUAUAGAUUACUAUAAAAUAAUGAGAAUAUUAAUAUCUUCCUAAUAGUUUGAUUAUUCAGGGGUACAAAUUGGCUGUAAUGACAUGGUUACAAUCGCAUGAAUUAACUCAUUCCAAAUAUAGAUGAUUUACGGCGUCUCUAAUACAUUGCCAUAGUUCUACUCAAAUUCUGCUCAAACAGGGAUAUGUCAAUCAUCACAAAAAGUUCAAACGGUGUCAUGGCGUCAUCAUUAACAUCAGACGGAAACAACUUACACGCGCCGUCCCAGCAAUACGUGGUGCCAUCUGCUUUGUCGAUCGCGUAGAUGAUGCCAUUGUGUUCAAUAGCAUCACAGAAGUGUGUAUCAGCUUUGACGAUGAUCCACUGCGAGCUGAGCUGUCUCCAGCUAAACAAGGCACCGGCGGAAAGAUAGGCGAGUCCCUUGUCGAACAACGCAAUUAGCUUGAAGUCUGCGUAAUCCGCAUGUCGUGUGAGCACUUGGCAGAUUACAAUCUUCUGCAAAACAAGGUGCAUCCAACUGACGACGUAAUCUAGAUGACUUGGACCGCGAAGGUAAAACUCUAUAUCGUCCAACGGAGGAAGGAUAAUCUCAUGGGAGGUUUGGAAGUUCACGAGCACCAACUUUUCCCCGUCUUCUGUGACGGCAGCCAUCCAGUGGGAGUUCAUGCCGACCCAGUACAUACCUGCAAGAAGUUUCGGGCGAAGGUUAUCAGAUCGAAGUCGAGGGAAAUGAUGUAUGGCGACCCACUACAUACCUGCAAAGAAGUUUCGGCUAAUGAAGGUUGGAUUGAAGUUGAGGGGCAUUAUGUACGCCUCUGUAUCAUGGUGAGCAAAUCUCGCAAGACCAGAUAGCAGCAAGCAGGGUGUCUUGAAAAGCUUAGGCCUCGCUUCAAUGAUGGCCGUGUGCAUGCCCCUCGAGCAUGCAGCCAGCCGCAGGGCGCUCAACAUAUCCAUACACGAACAACAAAGGUCGAGGAUGUCACUGGAGAGAUUGCUCCAAUCGCGGCUCAUAUGGAUGCUGCGCGGUUCGCUUUCGGCCAUGGUGGAGUUUGGAAGGUGGGGUUUUGGGGGGCUUGAUUUACGGGGGAGAAGGCUUUCGGUGCUGGAGCGGCUAGCGAGGGAAUAGUGGUACUGGGGGAGGCGAGCGAGGCGAGGGUACGCGGGGGCACAGUGAGAUGAUGAAGAGUGACCUCAGGAUCUCCGGCGAGACGGAGAUGGAGAUGGAGUGGUGAUAAGGGAGAGGGGGACAACGCGAAGCAUGCUAUACAGCGGCGGUGACAGUGACUGCACAGUGCACAAGGUGAGGCUGACUUUGGUAACCCGGACACACCACCUGGACUGGUGUCACCUUGGGCGCUGGGUCUUGUCACUUCACUGUGAGGAUCGGAUGAAUAAUAGUAUUUUGACCAUCAAGUGUACCACAGUUGUACAACUACUACUAGUAGGAGUAGUAGGAACAUGAGUAGUACUCCCUCCGGUCCUCUUUUGUCUGCGCAUAACUUUUUUCAGUAUUUCUCUAAUUAGUCUGCGCAUAUACCCUUUUGCAUGCGCCCAUUUCCCUCCAUGCCCUGCAUUCACAGCAUUAAUUAGCGUACGCAUGAGCAGCUGCAGCCAGACUCCAGCCAAUAAACUGCAGCAUGCAAGUGGGCCAUUCUGUGCGCGUGGGAGAGAGAAAAGGUAACCGAAGAGCCCGUCCAAUCCAUUGCAUGCAGCAGUCAAACCACCGCAGCUCUCCUCAUGCAUGCCAUAACUUCUCCCAUUUACUUCUCCAUCGGGAACCGAUUUUGCUCGGCUUCUUCACUAAUCCUUGAUCUUCAUUUGCAUCCGAACCACACUGCAUUCACAUUGUUUUAACCUCUUCACAUCCUCCUGGAGUAAUUCCGAAGCCCCUAUAAAUAAUCAUCUUCUUCAGUUAGACUAGCCAUCUAAUCCUAAUUCUCUAAACCAUAGCCCUCCGGUCCAGCGGUUCCAAAUGGCGAAAGAGAUCGAGAUGCAGGUUUUUAGCGUCCAACAUGUCCUCGUCAAAGGCUCGUUGAUCAUAGUUGACACAGUCACCGACCACCCAAGGGUUGUUCGGAAGUGGAUCAACAAUGUAUCCAACUCCCUCCAAAAGGUGGAGAUGAAUGUCAUCGGUCUCGACGCAGAGUACACGGAGCGUGCCACUCGGAAGAUCCAACGCGCCGCCGUCCUUCAGCUGUGCCUCGAAGAUGUUGUUUUGGUGUAGCACAUCAUACACGCGCCCUCCAUACCAGGUGAGCAUCACGAUUUCUUGUCUCGGGAGGACAUAUACUUCUGUGGGGCAGCCAUCGCAGGGGACAAACAGAAGUUGGAGCCGUACAACCUUGAUUUGAAAAGCAUCGCUGACCUACAAACCAAAAUAAAAUUUCCUGUAGAAGAUUGUGAUAAACCAACACCAUCCCUAUUCAACGUAGCAAAUUUUGUGCUCGGAACAAAUCUUUAGAAGGGUGACGAGACGCUGGCAUUAAGGUCGUCUGGAUGGGAAAAUUAUCCCUUGACGUACGAGCAGAUAAAAUAUGCUGCCCUCGAUGCUCGUGUGAGUUUCAAGAUAGCUGCAAGGUCUAGAGAGCUUGUUGCGAAGCCGUCUCCCACAGAAAAUGAGAAGAAGAAGAAGAUCCUGCACCAGCAGCAGGGCAUUAUGGAUGGAUGAACUAUUUCCUCUCUUGUAAAAAAAAUAUUCCCUCUCUAUGUAUAUUGAUAUAGAUGGACUAUUUCGAUGGUGUGCAUGUCUUUGGAACAAGUAGUAGCGUGGGUCCGCUUGACUAUAAGGAACUAUUUAUCCGCCUAGCUUUCUCUACUACUCCUUCAAGUGAUUGGUUUGCAAUGCAUGUGUCCGUAGACAUGACAACUUGUCCAUGGAAGUUCAGCUACAGCAACCAUCACGUUUCAUCCACUGCCACUCACGAUUUCCACGACGCCGCUCCAACCCACGGCACCACGUCCCCGACGUGCGCCUCACCCCUCUCGGCCGCACCGCCCCUCUGCCUUUGUGUGCAUGACAUGUGGGCCAACUGAAAUGCGACGAGCAUGAAGUUUCUACCACAGCCACACGCGAUUCCCACGACGCCGCUCGAACCCAUGACACCACACGUCCCCCGACCUGCGGCUCACCCCUCUCGGCCCCACUGCCCCUCUGCCUUCGGGAGCAUUACAGGUGGACCAGCCACCUAUUGGGUCCACAUGUUAUUGACUCAAAGGCAGGUUUCGUAAGGCGCUGAAGCUCAGACCCGAGGGCCCCGAGAGGUAAAUGUAACUCCUGCGCCAGGCCUUGUAGUGCUACCGCUGCACGAACUCGUGGCAAACUCAAGAUUUGUUUCUUUACUAUACAUGCACGCAACGAUUUAAUGGACAUUGUAAUCUCAACAUGUGAUGGGGAGCUCUAAAUUUGAAUUUGAAACUUAUAAAACGAAAAGAUUCAAAACAAAUAAACUGGGAGAGUGGGAGUAUACCGUUGGAUGUGUCCCAUACGAAACAAGUCCCCUGGUUUGUCACCGCGAAGAUGCGGUUAGAAAGGAGCAUAGCGUCUUCGUACUCGUACGACAACAAAUCGGCUGCAGACAGCAUCGUCCACCUUUGACCGCCAUGUGCAAGGUUCGUGCUAUGUUCUUCAAUCUCACCGUGGUUCCAUCGUACCAAUUCAGGCGGUGGCCCAUUGCAUGGCUGAUCCCAAUGUUGGACAAAGGUUCUACGAGAACGGUGUCACCGUUGUAAAUGUUGUGCAAAUUGAUGUUGGUACCCUCCCGUACAUAUGCAAGCCAAUCUCCACUCGCACCGAGCCUAACCUGUGAUACAGUGGGCAGGGGGAGAAUUAGGAAAUGGACACGGAAGUAGUCUUUAGAAUGCAUUUACUACGUGAUCAAACUCAUCUUACUUGCUUAUCGGACAAAAUCCGAGUGCCCCUCAACGUCGGCAUCUCAAGGGGCGUCAACUUGCAACCAUGGCCACGCCGCGCUGGAGAGACCCCCAACGAAACAUCCUUGUGCGUUGCAUAGAACAUCAAGAUGCAUUUGUAUGAGUAGUUUAUCUUGUGAGAGAAAAGGAUGAACGAGGGAAGGCCAUAUUUGCAAAUGUGGAGAGGGGUGUAGGUUUCUUUUUGCAAAAUUGCCACAGUUUUCUUCCUAUCCAUCAGAUAUAAAUCGGACGACCUAUAAAAAAGCAGAGUUGGUGAUGAUGGUGUGCCUGCCAUCUUGCAAUAUGGGCCAUCCGAUCUAUAUCUAAUGAAUAGGAAGGAAACUAUGACAACUUACCCGCACUCCUCUCCACAUUUGCAGAUAAGGCCUUCCUUCGUUCAUCCUUUUCUCCCACAAGAUCUUGAUGUUCCGUGCAUCGCACGGGCAUCUUGCUAGUAUAAGAGGGGUAUGGGUAUUUUUUUGCAAAAUUGCCGUAGUUUCCUUCCUAUCCGUCAGAUAUAAAUCGGACGGCCUAUACUGCAGGAUGGCAGGCACACGAUCAUCAACAACUCUGUAUUUUAUAAGAGUAGAGUAGAGAUAGAGAUAGAGACUACUACUACCAAUGUGCCGGCCCGUGCGUUGCAAUGGAUCCAAAGUAGUAGAAUAAUACUUGUUCACGGGCUUGAAAUAUAAACACUCUAGUUUUGAUAUACAUAUAUUAGUAAAAGUAAAUCAUGCUUCACUCAAAAUAUAUUCCUCGGGCUGUUUUGAUGGUUUGAAGAUAACAGGUUUUAAAAAAUUUGGAGCUGUUUUUUUUAACAUUUUGUAGCAUGGCACGGCAUCCGGUGCACCUAAUCGUCUCAAAAGAAAAUUGAGUUUGGGUCGGUGGCACACCCAGCGGCAAGAUGCCCGUGUGGCCUUCUUCUAUAACUAGCAAGAUGCCCGUGCACUACAGGGAACAUCAAGAUGCAUUUUUUUUACAAAACACCUGUUGUGAUUGACCCUUGCAGGAGUAAUCCCAUGUGUAAAAACUAAUGAUAUCUCGAGAAUUUUAUCGGAAAAAUGGUUUCUUUGGAACAAGUUUUCUCUACUACUGCUCCUUGCAGUGAGCGGUAUGCAAUGCAUGUGUCAGCAUACAUGACAGCUUGUCCAUGGAACUUGAAGCACGGCGACCAUCACAUUUCUUGUUUCUACCACUGCCACACCCACACGCGAUUCCCACGACGCCGCUCCAACCCACGGCACGACGUCCCCCGACGUGCGCCUCAUCCCUCUCGGCCCCACUGCUCCUCUGCCUUUGUGUGCAUGACAUGCGGGCCAGCUGAACUGCGGCGACCAUCAACUUUCUACCACAGCCACACCCGAUUGGACGCGGUUUGCCUGCUCCGAUCCGUACUCCCGCACCAUCGAAUUUUCAUCCAGCGGUUGUGACACAUUUCGUCCCGGGCAUCAAUCCUCAGCUGGAGUACUUCUGUACUACAGGUAGUACCCGCCUGUGUGGCCAUCUACGCCUCGUAACGCCUCGACGCCCAGCUGUGGCACCCUCGCCACGGCCAUGCCACCACCGUUCGGUUCAUCUCGAAUGAGUGAGUCGUGAACCACGCCACCACCAUGCGAAUGACAUGUGGGCCAGCCGCAUUUAAGGUCUGCAUGCCAUUGACUCAUAGGCCAGUGCACUAAGCCACUGAAGCUCGGUCCCGUGGGCCCUGAGAGGGAAAUGUGCCCGUGCGUUGCAACGGAUAGGAAGGCCUUGUGGUGCUCCCGCAGUACGAGCUCGUGCCAAACCUGGAUGAGAUUUGGUAACCAACUAGUAAGCUACACAUGCAUUGCACGCAUGAGAUUUGGUAACCAAGUCUCUACUAUAUAUAUAUAUAUAUAUAUAUGUAUACUCUUAUAAGAAACAGAGUUGGUGAUGAUGGUGUGCCUGCCAUCCUGCAAUAUAGGCCGUCCGAUUUAUAUCUGACGGAUAGGCAGGAAACUAUGGCAAUUUUUCAAAAAGAUGCCCACACCCCUCUCCACAUUUGCGAAUAAGGCCUUCUCUUGUUCAUCCUUUUCUCCCACAACAUAAACUACUCAUACAAAUGCAUCUUGAUUUUCCGUGCAACGCAUGGGCAUCUUGCUAGUUAUGAAUAAAUAACACUCUGUCAACGAGCCCCAUCAGACACCAAAUUUCUUGGCUUCCAUGCUACAACUAGAUCUUCCCCUCGUUUCUAUUUUCCAACCCGGCGGCAGGCGGGGUGCGUUUGCCAAUGGUCGGUUUUAUCAACGAUGGUCCCACAUGAAAGUGAAAAUGUUAGGCAUCACGCCUUCCCUAGCUAUGUGGCGUGCUAGACGGGCCGUGGAGUACUCCCGAUUCCCGGGCAUGUGGGGGUGCGGCACGAGCGCGUCAGGCCUUUUCCUUUUACUCACAACAUGCCCGUGCGUUGCGACGGAUCAAAAGUAGUAGAAUAGUAGUACUUGUUCACAAACUUAAAAGAAAUCACUCCUAUUUUGAUAUACUCCCAAUAGAUUACUUUUCACUCAAAAUAUAUUUCUCAGGCUGUUUUGAUGAGGUGAGGGAGGGAUGUGGUUGCUUUCAAGAUAAUAAGGGGUUUUCUGCAAAUUGGAGCAGAGAAGUGGGCUAUUGUUGCAAAAAUGCCACAACUUACCUCACAGCCGUUAGAUGCAGAUCUAAUGGUUAGAAACGACGGAUGACGGACACACCACCAUCACCAACUGAGUCUUUUAUAGGAGUAGGAGUAGAGAAAAAAUGUAUAAAUUGUAACAUUUGGUUCUGCUCCUUGGCACGAUAGAUAGAUAGAAAUAACGAUUGGAAACACUAGGGCGGGGCUAUUUCCGCCAGAUAAGCAGGGUACAUAGUAGCUAGGUUGGCGCAUCGUCGGUUUGGUCACAUGCGGUCCGACAUGUUCUAGUGUUUCUAGCAAGAUGCCCGUGCGUUGCACGAAGUUGAUGGAAAAGGUAAGCACAACUUAUAAAUUGAUGGAUGGAGUACUAGUUACAGUGAUGCAUAUAAUUAAGCAAAGGGAUCGCACAUGUCGGUAUUGACUAGAACCGGAAUGCAAUAGCAUAAUAAUAAUUAGGGCCACGAUGAGGCAAUCACAGUGGUGGUUACAAGAGGAAAGAAUAAAGAUGCAUCCAACAACGUACGACCUCCUCCUCCUCAACUUAGUGCCCCGGGCCACCAACCGGCGACUAAGGAGCGGCGGCUUUUGUGGCGAGGUCAAGGUGCUUCUCAGCAAAGGCAUCCAAGGCUUCCAGCCAGUUGAGGAAGGCCAACGUCGUAGCGUCCUCAAUGGCCUUGUAGAUACCUAUGUACACGAUUUGCUCAUACAUGUGGAUGUUGAAGGAAAUAUGCCCUAGAGGCAAUAAUGAAGUUGUUAUUUAUAUUUCCUUAUAUCAUGAUAAAUGUUUAUUAUUCAUGCUAGAAUUGUAUUAACCGAAAACUUAGUACAUGUGUGAAUACAUAGACAAACAGAGUGUCACUAGUAUGCCUCUACUUGACUAGCUCGUUGAAUAAAAGAUGGUUAAGUUUCCUAUCCAUAGACAUGAGUUGUCAUUUGAUUAACGGGAUCACAUCAUUAGAGAAUGAUGUGAUUGACUUGACCCAAUCCGUUAGCUUAGCACUUGAUCGUUUAGUAUAUUGCUAUUGCUUUCUUCAUAACUUAUACAUGUUCCUAUGACUAUGAGAUUAUGCAACUCCCGAAUACCGGAGGAACACUUUGUGUGCUACCAAACGUCACAACGUAACUGGGUGAUUAUAAAGGUGCUCUACAGGUGUCUCCGAUGGUACUUGUUGAGUUGGCAUAGAUCGAGAUUAGGAUUUGUCACUCCGAUUGUCGGAGAGGUAUCUCUGGCCCCUCUCGGUAAUGCACAUCACUAUAAGCCUUGCAAGCAAUGUGACUAAUGAGUUAGUUGUGGGAUGAUGCAUUACGGAACGAGUAAAGAGACUUGCGAGUAACGAGAUUGAACUAGGUAUUGAGAUACCAACGAUCGAAUCUCGGGCAAGUAACAUACCGAUGACAAAGGGAACAAUGUAUAUCGUUAUGCGGUUUGACCGAUAAAGAUCUUCGUAGAAUAUGUGGGAGCCAAUAUGAACAUCCAGGUUCCGCUAUUGGUUAUUGACAAGAGAUGUGUCUUGGUCAUGUCUACAUAGUUCUCGAACCCGUAGGGUCCGCACGCUUAACGUUCGGUGACGAUCGAUAUUAUGAGUUUAUGUGUUUUGAUGUACUGAAGGUAGUUCGGAGUCCCGGAUAUGAUCACGGACAUGACGAGGAGUCUCGAAAUGGUCGAGACAUAAAGAUCGAUAUAUUGGAAGCCUAUGUUUGGACAUCGGAAUGGUUCCGGAUGAAUUCUGGCAUUUACCGGAGUACCGGGAGGUAACCGGAACCCCCCGGGGAGUAUAUGGGCCUUAUUGGGCCUUAGUGGAAUAGAGGAGAGGAAGGGAAAAGGUGGAGGGCGCGCCCCCUAGCCCAAUAUGAAUUGGGUGGGGGCCGCCCCCCCUUCCUUCCCUCUCUACUCGCAUUCCUUCUCUCCUACUCCUACUACUUGGAAGGGGGGAAUCCUACUCCCGGUGGGAGUAGGACUCCCCAGGGCGCACCAUAGUAGAGGGUCGGCCCUCCCCUCCUCCACUCCUUUAUAUACGGGGGAAGGGGGAACCCCAUAGACACACAAGUUGAUCAUUGAUCUCUUAGCCGUGUGCGGUGCCCCCCUCCACCAUAAUCCACCUCGGUCAUAUCGUUGCAAUGCUUAGGCGAGGCCCUGCGCCGGUAGCUUUAUCAUCACCGUCAUCACGCCAUCGUGCUGACGAAGCUCUCCCUCGACACUUUGCUGGAUCAUGAGUUCGUGGGACAUCACCGAGCCGAACGUGUGCAGAUCGCGGAGGUGCCAUACUUUCGUUGCUAGGAUCAGUCGAUCGUGAAGACGCACGACUACAUCAACCGCGUUGUCAUAACGCUUCCGCUUACGGUCUACGAGGGUAGUGGACAACACUCUCCCCUCUCAUUGCUAUGCAUCACCAUGAUCUUGCAUGUGCGUAGGAAAGUUUUGAAAUUACUACGUUUCCCAACAGUGGCAUCUGAGCCAGGUUUAUGCGUAGAUGUUAUAUGCACGAGUAGAACACAAGUGAGUUGUGGGCGAUAAUAGUCAUACUGCUUACUAGCAUGUCAUACUUUGAUUCAGUGGUAUUGUUGGAUGAAGCGGACGGGACCGACAUUACGCGUACGCUUACGCGAGACUGGUUCUACCGACGUGCUUCGCACACAGGUGGCUGGUGGGUGUUAGUUUCUCAAACUUUAGUUGAAUCGAGUGUGGCUACGCCCGGUCCUUGUUGAAGGUUAAAACAACACAUACUUGAUGAAAAAUCGUUGUGGUUUUGAUGCGUAGGUAAGAACGGUUCUUUCUCAGCCCAUAGCAGCCACGUAAAACUUGCAACAACAAAGUAGAGGACGUCUAACUUGUUUUUGCAGGGCAUGUUGUGAUGUGAUAUGGUCAAGACAUGAUGCUAAAUUUUAUUGUAUGAGAUGAUCAUGUUUUGUAACGAAGUUAUCGGCAACUGGCAGGAGCCAUAUGGUUGUCGCUUUAUUGUAUGAAAUGCAAUCGCCAUGUAAUUGCUUUACUUUCUCAAUAAGCGGUAGCGAUAGUCGUAGAAGCAAUAGUUGGCGAGACGACAACGAUGCUACGAUGGAGAUCAAGGUGUCGCGCCGGUGACGAUGGUGAUCAUGACGGUGCUUUGGAGAUGGAAAUCAAAGGCAAAAGAUGAUGAUGGCCAUAUCAUAUCACUUAUAUUGAUUGCAUGUGAUGUUUAUCCUUUAUGCAUCUUAUUUUGCUUAGUUCGACGGUACCAUUAUAAGAUGAUCUCUCACUAAAUUUCAAGGUACAAGUGUUCUCCUUGAGUAUGCACCGUUGCGAAAGUUCGUCGUGCCGAGACACCACGUGAUGAUCGGGUGUGAUAAGCUCUACGUUCACAUACAACGGGUGCUAGGCAGUUUUGAAUACUCGGGUUAAACUUGACGAGCCUAGCAUAUGCAGAUAUGGCCUCGGAACACUGAGACCGAAAGUCGAGUGUGAAUCAUAUAGUAGAUAUGAUCAACAUAGUGAUGUUCACCAUUGAAAACUACUCCAUCUCACGUGAUGAUCGGACAUGGUUUAGUUGAUAUGGAUCACGUGAUCACUUAGAUGAUUAGAGGGAUGUCUAUCUAAGUGGGAGUUCUUUAGUAAUAUGAUUAAUUGAACUUUAAUUUAUCAUGAACUUAGUACCUGAUAGUAUUUUGCAUGUCUAUGUUGUUGUAGAUAGAUGGCCCGUGUUGUUGUUCCGUUGAAUUUUAAUGCGUUCCUAGAGAAAGCUAAGUUGAAAGAUGAUGGUAGCAACUACAUGGAUUGGGUCUGUAACUUGAGGAUUAUCCUCAUUGCUACACAAAAGAAUUACGUCCAGGAAGCACCGCUAGUUGCCAAACCCGUUGCAGGAGGAACGCCAGAUGUUAUGAACGUCUGGCAGAGCAAAGCUGAUGACUACUCGAUAGUUCAGUGUGCCAUGCUUUACGGCUUAGAACCGGGACUUGAACGACGUUUUGAACGUCAUGGAGCAUAUGAGAUGUUCCAGGAGUUGAAGUUAAUAUUUCAAGCAAAUGCCCGAAUUGAGAGAUAUGAAGUCUCCAAUAAGUUCUAUAGCUGCAAGAUGGAGGACAAUAGUUCUGUCAAAGAGCAUAUACACAAAACGUCUGGGUAUAACAAUCACUUGAUUCAACUGGGAGUUAAUCUUCCUGAUGAUAGUGUCACUGACAGAAUUCUUCAAUCACUGCCACCAAGCUACAAGAGCUUCGUGAUGAACUAUAACAUGCAAGGGACACUACAAAAAAAAUACACUUCCAUGAUGAUACGUGUUUGUCACAGUACGUCGCGUUUUUUGUCAUGCAUGUACAUCCAUGACAGAAUCAAGAUAGUCAUACCUGUGCUGUCGUAGAAGUGUUCCAUGACAUCACCAAAAUUAUCAUCACGGAAGUGUCCACUUCCAUGACGAUAAAUCGCGCAUCACAAAAGUGCUUUCGUCAAGGGUGACCGACACGUGGCAUCCACCGUAACGGAACGCCGUUAAGCUAUCGGGUCAGGUUUUGGAUCCGAUAACCCGUUAACAGCCCCGACCAAUGGGGAUUUUCCAUGUGUAAAAUCAUCGUUGGCUGGAGGAAACACGUGUCGGCUCAUCGCUGGGACAGAUGUCAUCCACUCAUUGGACAGAAGGCGCCUAUGAUACGUCGACACGUGGCACGGCCCAACAGUGGCCCAUUCCUGUGAAAAGGCCGGCCUGUUUGACUUGGUCAAAAGCUGGCGGGCCGGCCCAUGGAAAGCCUGUUAACGGCCUGUUCGCAUAUAGCCCAUUUAUAGCCCGCUAACCCAAGGCCCGUUACGCCCUAUUCGAAUUAGGCCCAGUAGCGUCAUCUGGGCCAUCCAAUAUGAUUCCAGCCCGUUUUCACUUCUGGCCCAUGUAUGGCCCAUGACGUCUUUCGGCCCAUAUGAGGCCCUAUGUAACUCUUGGCCUAUUAACGGCCCGUGCUGAAACUGGCCCGUAAUGAACAGUGUAUUACUUUACACCCAUUAACGGCCCGUGGUGAAACUGGCCCGUAAUGAACAGUGUAUCACUUUAUACCCAUUAACGGCCUGUUAUUCCGUUGGGCCGUUUCCAGCCCAUGUUAUCUUUCAGCCUUCUCAGAGCCCAUUUAUUCUUGGGCUAUUUUCCAGCAUUCGUUUACUUACGGCCCGUUACUGUCAUUUUCUCCUUGUGGGCCAAAUUCAGCCCGUCGUUACAGUCGGCCCGUUUGUGGUCCGUUAAUACGUUGGGCCGUUUUCACAGCGUCAUCAAAUACGGCCUAUUAACGAUAGCCCGUUAUGGUCGGCCCAUGAACGGACGAUUCCAACUCUAGCCCGUUUACGGCCAGAAUGCGGUCUGUUUGGCCCAUGUUUGGCCAAUCGAUCAUACGGCCCGUAUAAGGCCCAUUGAUGAUACGACCCGUAGAAGGCCCAUUGUUUCUACGGCCCGUAGAAGGCCCAUUGUUUCUACGGCCCGUAGAAGGCCCACUGUUUCUACGGCCCAUAGAAGGCCCACUGUUUCUAUGGCCCGUAGAAGGCCCACUGUUUCUACGGCCCGUAGGAGGCCCAGUGUCACUACAGUAAAUAUUAGCCCAUGGUUAUUGUGGCCUAGUUUUAAAAAAUAGGUUAUUGCAGCCACUAGCAAACCGCAGAAAAAGAACUGCACUGACUACAAGCAAACAAAUAAACAAGACAACAAGGAAAUAAAUAAGCAAGCAACUUACACUAGGCUAUCACAGACACAUAUUACAUCCACUGGGCAUCAAAGUUCGCCACCAGUGCAAAUAUAGGGAACACAGCAGCAUAUAAACGCCGCAGCAAAACAAGUCCAGAACUGAAACCACUUCAGAAGAGCUCAAGAAACAAUAUCCUGGGUACCCAUAAUGCUGGCAAGAUGCUUAGCAAGCUUAUUAACUUUCUCUUGUUUGGCGCUUAAGUCCUCCAGCGCUUGCUGUUGCAACAGAAAGUAUGCAUCUGAAUUCUGCAGGGACUUCCUCAGUCCUUCGGCUUCCUGUCGCAUAACAUCUGAUCGAUGUCUUUCAACUUGAAGUUGAGACUCAAGAAGCCGAACUAAUUCAGGCAACAAGUUCGAAGAGCUGGUGCCAGCAGUGGUAGCCAGUAACUCGAACACUACAUCAAGGCAGGACUUUGGGGUUGUCUCAGUGUCUUCAAUAUAGUUUUUAUCAGCUUUCUUGGAGACCAACAGGGAUGUCUCACUAUCUUGAACCUUAUCUGCAUUACUUCCUUUACCAUUGCAUAAUAGGGUACUCUUCUCCAAUAUUUUAUCCGCGUUCUAAAAGGGAAACAAACAAACACAUCUCAGGUUUACAAUGUAGUAUAUGAAACUCAUUUUGGUAAACCAGUUCAGUAGUAAGGUGGACAGGAUAACAGCAUGAAACAAACAUAUAUCUAUGUAGUAUGGUCACUGUAUGGUCUAUAUCAUUCUAGUUUAUGUUGCCAAAUCAAGAUAGAUAUAGUUCAAAUCGUAUCUAUUUAAGACAAAGCAGCAUAGACAGAAUAUAAGUGUGGGAAACUACACAGCAAUAACAACACUUGUAAUGUGCAUGGCAUGAGAACAUAACUGUUUAUUCAAUUGAAACUGAAAUCAACAUAGAGCAAGUUACAACAGCAAACAGCCAAACACGUUGAAGAAACAGGUUUAAAACAUACCUGUUGCGCCAUUGGAGUUUCAAUUGCAUCCUUCAAAUUUGAAAUUAGUUGGUAUCAGUAAAUACAGUGAUGCAAGAGCAAAGUAGUAUGAACCAUAGCUACGGAACCUGACCUGAGAACAAUUCUUCUUCUGCUUUAAGCGUUGACUUCAGGUUCGGAGUGGUGGUCCUCGUGAUUUGGGCACUGCAGUUGCCUUACUAACUGCUCGUGUUUGGGUGCUUUGUGGUGGAGACGGUGCUGUGUCAACGGGAACUGGGUGUCUAUCUGCUGGGGUUGGGGUUAGAAGGGGUGUAGCUGGUUCUCUGUCCAACUGGGUAGGGGUACAAUCUGCAUGAGUGUGGGUUAUGUGUGGUGGGGCUGGUUCUUGGGCAAGUACAACCGUGCUUCUAUCUGCAUCGACAUGUAGCACGAUCUUUUCUGAAGACCGUGUUUUUACUCCCACAGAUACUGCCAUCACUCCCUCCAAUUGAAAUGGCUAAUAAACAAGAAGUAAUUGAAUGUACAGACAUUGUAAGAUAGACAGGUGCAAUGGAUAGUAGGGAAGAAAAUAGGGCAUGAAAUAAACAUUUAUGUUGUCUAAGCAAACAGAAUAGCAGGACAUAAUUUCACAUAUAUGAUGGCUAAUUAAACAGGAUAGCAUGACACAAUUUCACAUGUAUGAUGGCUAACUAAACAGGAUAGAAUGACAUACUUCAAAAUAUGAUGACUAUGUUAACAGGAUGACAUGAUAUAACUAUAUGAUGUGUCUAUUAAAGUGGUUGGCAUGCCAUAAAUCACAAACAUGCCGUCGAUGGAAACAUGAUGGCAUGAUAUAAUUCACGGAUAGAAUGACAUAAUUUAAAAUAUGAUGACUAUGUAAACAGGAUGAGAUGAUAUAACUAUAUUAUGUCUUUAGAAAAUGGGUUGGCAUGCCAUAAUUCAGAUACAUGUUGUCUAUGUAAACAUCAUGGCAUGACAUAAUUCAAAUAUAUGAUUUAUAUACUAAGGAAGUGAGCAGAGGGCAAUCGCAUAUAUGAUGUGUCAACUAAGGAGAUGGCAUUCAAUAUUGUGUAUAUGAUGUAAAAACUAAGUAUUGCAAUACAACAUAUGCAUUAUAUGAGUAAUAUAACCCUGCCAAGUUUGAGCAUACAUCUCAGGGGGAUAAUAGGACUUGUCAUCUGCCUCUGAAUCCUCCUCUGAAGAGCUAUCUGUAACCAGCAAGAUAUCUGCUUCAGCAGGUCGCAUUGUCUGCUCUGAAGACCUUGUUUUCACUCCAGAUUUCUCCAUCACCAAUUCAAAUGGCUGAUGCACAAGAAGAGCAGUUUAAUAUACAAACAUUGUCGACAAAAGCAAUGAGAAAUACAAAAAAGAGGACGGCAUGAUAUAAUUCACAUAUAUGACGCUUGCCUAAACAUCAUGGCAUUUCAUAAUUCACAUACAUAAUGCCUUGCAACAAGAUAACAUUGCAUAAUUCACAUAUAUAAUGUCUUGCAACAAGAUGGCAUUGCAUAAUUCACAUAUAUGGUAAUUAGACACUAAACAGGUGGCAUUCACACAAAGCAUGUCUAAACUAAGCAAAUGACAUAGCAAUGCAAGAUACCAUACACACGAUAUGAGCAACAUAACCCUGCCAAGUUAGGGCAUGCACCUCGGGGGGGGGAUAUGACUGGUCAUCUGUCUCUGAAUCCUCCUCUGAGGAGCUAUCGGUAACCAGCAAGACAUGCGCUUUGUCAGAUAGCAUUGUCUGCUCUGAAGACCUUGUUUCCACUCCAGAUUUUUCCAUGACCGUGCCGAAUGGCUUAUGCAGAGGAAGAGUAGUUGAAUGUACUAAAAUUGUUGACAAAUUUAACACGUAAUAAAAAAAUGAUGGCAUGAUAUAAUUCACAUAUAAGAUGACUGGCUAACCAGGGUGGCAUUGCAAAAUUCACAUAUAUGAUGCCUGGCUAGACAAGAUGGCAUUGCAUGAUUCACAUAUACGAUAAAGAAACUAAACAUAUGACAUUGACACAAAGCAUGUCUAAACUAAGCAGAUGACAUCUUUAAUGUAUACAGUAAGCAAUGCAAGGCACCAUAUGCAUGAUAUUACCAACAUCAGCAUGCCAAGUUAGAGCGAAGACCUCAUGGGGUAAAUAGGAGUGAUCUUCUCCUUCUGAAUCCCCCUCAGAACAGUUAUCUUCCUCUUGAUUACGAUCUGAAAUGGGUGGAGGGGGGGCUUCCUUUGCGCCCACCAUGGAACGACGUCUGCAUGAAAUUUUAUUGCCACGCAAGGCUCGUCUCUUUUGCUCUACAUGAUUAGUUCCAUUGUGUACAAUAACUGGCAUGCAUAGGAAUAAAACAUAGUGAGAUUAUGUAAGGAGUGCAUGCACAAAUCCAGAGUGAUGGUAGCAAACUGUGGAUAGACCCAAAACCAAUGAUAGCAGGCAGAUAAUAGCUUUAGUUAAAAAAUACAGAUAAUGGCUCCUUUAAUGUUUGUUUGCACCCAACAUGAAACUCAUAGUAGACACCGGAGAUUAACCAGAUAGUAGACAGAUAGUACUGAUUGCUGCCCCAAUAUGUACCCCACAACCAUUUAAUAACUCAAGUUUCAGCAUUAGUUUGGACCUGACUCGGAGUCUAAUAGGUGAACACGACGAUAAUGUAGCAUGUCAUCAUAUUCAGCGAUGCAUAACGUAAGCAGACACGGGAGAGUGCGACCUUUCUUGCGGACCCGUGUAGUCCUCAAGGUCAUCUGCUCAGUUGAUGAUGGUAAUGCAGUUGCCGUGGCUGCCGGCGGCGGGGAAGAAGAUCUGAGGCGGCGAAAGACAGUCUGGAGAGCGGAUCCCUGCUGUGGUGAACCCUUCCGUCGUUGGAGCAGCUGAGCUGGGGUGGAACACAGCGCCGCAGGAGCAGGACAAACCACACAAGGUUUUCUUUGUCACAUAUCUGUAACAGAAGUAAUUGAGUAAGGGCUUGUUUGAAUUUGAGGAUUCUAACAAUGCAGGGAUAGGAAAUAGACAGGAAUAGGAUAGGAAUGCCCGUGCAAAACAGAGAAUUUAAAAACACAGGAUUUCUGCCAAUCUGGGUGUUUGAUUCACAACAAUUGGAAGAUGACAGGAUGCAAAAAAGCAUGGUGAGAUUAAGUCAAACCACAAGAAAAUGUACGGUUAUAAUUCUAUUAUGCUACUAUCUCUUAGUCUUGUGCUUGAUGAAUAGGAAUAUGAAAAGGAGGAGAAGUGGAAAUUAGAAUUCCUAUGGUUUUUCUUUCAAGGAGACACUAAAGGAACAAAUCCUACAGUUUUCCUUUGCUCCAUUCCUUUGCACCAAAUUCAUGAAAAGUAGUACCAUAGGAAACUUUGCAAUUUCGAUGUUUUUUCAUUCACUUUUCCUUUCAAGCACUGGCGAUUCUAGUAGGCAGGCUUGAGCAAGGAAAAUCCUACACUAAAAAAAUGUUUUUGUGCUACUUCUAUUAGUUUGGACCCAGGCCACUGCCAUACUAGCUCAACUCCCAGGCCCAUCGACAAAUGCACAGCUCAAAUGCGCAGAGAUAAAUAAUGAUGGCGUUUAAGAGAGUCCAUCACGGAUAGCUAAGUUGCCUGGUACCUCACUGGUUGUCAUAUAGUAGGAUAAAAUAAUCAUAUUUCCCGUUACUACGAGUGCUCAGUGGACAAUAUAUAUAUAACAUGUAGAGUAAAAAAGAGAUGCAACAAGUGUACAACCUCUUUGGCGAAGCCAUGUCGAUCUCAGCAUGAUUGGGUUGGCCGGUGAGGAUGCUUCGGCUGACUUGGCUGUCGGAGGAGGGGAAGAAGAUCUUAGGCGUCUGGAGAUGGAGCCCGAGGUACUGCUCCGCUGUGAUGGAGGGUUUCGUCGUUGGAGCAGCUCCGGUGAGUUGUACGACGCUGAGGCUGAAGUAGGACAAGAGAGACAACGAACAACGUUAACCUGAGUGGAAUUCUAAUAGCAUCUCCAAUACAUGACGUAAAAUACAUAACCACAAAGUGCUAGAUGUAAAAUACAUCAGCCGCGCAUCUCUGAACUUAACUGUCGAAACUGAAUUUAACUGUCGAAACUGAACUUAACUGUCGAAACUGAACUUGACUGUCGAAACUGAAUUUUGCUGUCAAAACUGAAUUUUGCUGUCGAAACUGAACGCACUAGCAAGGUGAGGCUACACGUUGGUCGACUGACUUUUUCAUCUCUGGUCAGUCGAUUUUGCAGCCGUUGGAUAUGAAAUCAAGGGCCUGCGGUUCAUCUUCAACCUCCACCCCCCUGAGCCGCCAGCCACCACCGGCCAAACAGAAGCCCCCCGCCGCCCGCGGCCGGCAGUGCGCCACCCCACCCGCCCCGAAAACACUCCCCACCGCCGGUCCGCCGCCGCCCCGGCCAUCCCUCUAGCCCCCCACCCCCGUGCCAAGGUUUUUGUCCGNNNNNNNNNNNNNNNNNNNNNNNNNNNNNNNNNNNNNNNNNNNNNNNNNNNNNNNNNNNNNNNNNNNNNNNNNNNNNNNNNNNNNNNNNNNNNNNNNNNNNNNNNNNNNNNNNNNNNNNNNNNNNNNNNNNNNNNNNNNNNNNNNNNNNNNNNNNNNNNNNNNNNNNNNNNNNNNNNNNNNNNNNNNNNNNNNNNNNNNNNNNNNNNNNNNNNNNNNNNNNNNNNNNNNNNNNNNNNNNNNNNNNNNNNNNNNNNNNNNNNNNNNNNNNNNNNNNNNNNNNNNGCCACCGCCCCGCCAACGCCCCGCCACUGCCGGCGACCACUGGCCCCAUCCUGAACCCUAAGAUAGAUAGUGGGGUACCUCUCCGGCGAGCCCCCCUCCCCGCUGCGGCUGGUUCUUCCUUCACCCCGGCGAGCCCCCCACCCCCUAAAAAUCGACUGACCCAAAAGUCGAUUCAGUCGACUGAAGUGUAGCUAAAUCGGAGCAGCAUCGCAAGCAAGAGUAAGAGCGAGAGCAGCAGCGCGAGCAAGAGCAAUAGCAAGAGCAGACCAGGCAGGGGACCGAGAGCAAGAGUAGAGCAGCAGCGCGAGCGAGAGCUAAAGCAGCAGCAGCUCAUACUGAUGUGGACGUCGCCGCCGAGGGAGCGACGCCGUGGAGGAAGUGGCCGGCGACGCCGCCGUGGAUGGAGCCGCGCCGUGUCGGCUCGGGACCGAGCGCCGGCAGCACCGUGAGAUCGAAUCAAGAAGAAAAUGCGGCGAUUAGUGUACAACCUCUUUGGUGGCACCGAUUAGGCCGCAGCUUCAUCCGAGGAAACGGUGAUGAUGAUGCUCUUCCGGUGGUGCAGGUGAAGACGGCGGUGUGGUAAUGGAGGUGGCGCGAAAGACAAGGGGAACGUCGGGGCAGCUCCUUGGAGGUGGAGGAUGGGGUGGCUGAACCCGCGGGACGAUGAGAUCGACGAAGGAUCCUCAUCCGGUACGGUGGAUGAGGGACGUCGAGGUGUUGCUGUGGACGACGUCGUCGAGGAAGAGGCUCCGGCUGGGUGGCGGACGGAGCAGGGUGUGGGGUUUCGUCGCGGGUUUUCGCGGCCUCGGUGUACGAAUGGGUGGGUGGAUGGGUUGGCAGUGGGGAACCAUGGCUUAGAGACGCGCUUGUCCGAAAUGUGGGGUAAGUUAUGAAAGUACCCCCACCGAUUUGAGGCGGUUCUUUCGGUUCAGGGGUACCACGGGCAUUUCGCGUGUCGGGAUUUCACAGGAGGUGGGAGUUUUUGUGCGCGUUGUAAUUUCGGAAUAGCAAGGCGCGGGUUGAGAUGGAGGGAGUUGUCGGAGUACAACGAGACAAAGAUAUAUCUUAAAUAUUUCGGGCUAACAAGGCGUGGGUUGAAGAGGCGGGAGUUUCGCAGCAUGAUAGACAGAGACGCUAGCUUGAAUUUUCGACAUAACAAGGUGCGGCUUGAAAUUUCGGAAGAACAAGCUUAACGUGUACCCAAAAAAGACAAUUUGCACCUCAACACGCACAACACACACACAAACUCCAUUUAGACUAGAGGAAGGUACACGUGCAUUACACGCAUGAGAUUUGGCAACCAAAUUAUGAAUAAAUACCACAUUAUAGCAUGCAAGCUUUGAGUCGUAUAUGCAUGAUGUAGAUGUUCGUUUAAUUCUUAUAGUUCAUUUCAUUCAAAAUCAUCUAGUUUUUAUAAGAAAGCUAAUCUAUUUUAAGAUUCAUGGAAUUGUGCGUCGUAAGACAUAAAGUAAAAACAAAUAAUGGCAAAUCAUGUAGAAAACAUUUGGGAAAUUCUGAUGCGGAAGAUUCUAGAACAAAUAAGAAGUGCUUGUGUUUUGAUGUUUGUGCAUUAUGCUUAAGUUCAACCAUGGAGUCUUCUAGAUUAUACAUGUGGCGAAAUCUGGUGGAAUCUAGAUGAUAUCCAACGGCCAGUAGUGCUCAAAUUUGCCAUCUUUGGACCAUCGGAUUCGCCUCAUCCAACGACCAUCUUUCAAAGUUAAAGUUACCCCCACACAAUAAAAAAAAUAUAUAAAAUAUAAUAUAUAUAGGGGUAUAGAUAUAGAUAUGUGAUGCGAAAGCCGCCCAUCAUCUCCAAUUAGAAUAGUGUGUCCAUGCACGGAUGCGACGUGGCCAAAUGAUGUCUGCCAUCGGUAUCUCAAAUUCAAAUCAGUCUGACCUUGUUCAAUUUGUAUACAUUACAACAUGCUCGUUUCCAAACCACACCGCGCAGAUCUCCGUUAUAUUCAUGCAUGCAUGGGUUUCAAACAUCAGGAUCUCUUAUUCAAAUAUUUGAAUUCAACUUUACAUUGAUUUUGACCUCACCUAUUCUUUUACACCCACACAGUAGUCUUCUCUUUAUAAUUGUACCACUAACUUUCUCUCGUGCAUGCAUGCACACACACUACCAGUCGGCAUUAUCCAUCGCACGCAUGCAAUCUUUUUCUUCAGGACGGUCUCCCAUGAAGGCACACACCCACACACAUCCCCCUCUCCAUCAUAUCGGGCAUUCUUUAUCUCUCAUGCGUGCAUGCACAACGAUCGAUGUUCCUCUAUGUAUGUGUGUAUAUAUCUAGGCCUUUCAUAGUUUUCCACACAAACUGAUCAAUCGAUAUAUCCAGUGAGGUCUCACCCUCUUUCCCACGUCCACAUCGAUCAAUCUAUACCUCUCUAUAUAGGAUUAACAUAUAUAGCUAAUACACCCACAUUAAUUAUAUAUCCAACGUCCCCCUCUCAUCAUCCAUGCCUCCCGCUUCAUCUCUCAGACGCGUGCACAAUGACGAAGACAGGGGCAGUAAGGGCCCUGCCCCCUCCCCCCCUAACAUCACUAUAUAUCGAGGCUAAUAUGAAUGUGAUCAUUAGACAAUUGCUGCAAAAAAUGGUUUAAGUUCAUGAAUUGACCCUCCUCGUAAAGGAUUAGCAAUGCUUGGCCCCCUAGCUCAUUUAUUUUUCAUGGCUCCUCCACUGCGCGCAACAGCGCACGUGUUCGCCCCCUCUCUCUAAAUAUCGAUCUCGCACUUGUGCAUUCCUUCAUAGUCUCCCUCCACUCGACCCCUCGCACCAUCUUCUAGCCCCCCACCGGAUUUUGCCAUAUGUACAGUCUAGCAGACUCCGUGGUUGAACUUAAGCAUAAUGCACAAACCUCAAAACAACAGUGGUUCUCUUUUGUUCUAGAAUCUUCCGUAUCAUAACUGCCCAAACUUUUUUUCUAGUUGAAUUGCCAUUAUUUGUUUUUAGUUUAUGCUUUACAACGCACAAUUCCAUGAAUCAUAAAAUAGAUUAAGGGCUUCUUUGAUUCAAAGGAUUCUCAAAGGAAUUUUGGAGGAUUCUAAUCAUUAGGAAUUUUCCUAUCUUGGUUGUUUGAUUCGUAGGAUUGUAAACCAUAGGAAUUUUUCCAUAUGAUUCAUUUGCACUAGAUUUCAUAGGAAACAUCCCAUCCACUCAAACCUCUUUGAAAGAAUUCUGCGUUUUUUCUAUGCACAAUCAAACACUCGUACAAUCCUGUAGGAUUCAAGACGACAUUCCACUAUAAUCCCAUGUUUUUCCUAUCCCCGCGUUCUUAGCUUUUUUAUAAAAACUAAUUGAUUUUGAAUGAGAUGAACUAGAAGAAUUAAAUGAAGGCUACAUCAGGCAUAUAUGACUCAGAGCUUACAUGCUAUAGUGUGGUAUUUAUUCAUAAUUUGGUUGCAAAAUCUGAUGCGUGCAAUGCACGUGUACCUUACUAGUACUUCGAGUAUGUGCAAAACACGUAAAUUAGAAUACCAAUGGCCCGCUACACAGUGUCUCUCUUACAGUUCAUGAAGCCACGUGGCACAUGUGGAGGCGUUGUCGCGACCUCCUUGCGUGGAUUGAUCACAGUGACGUGCUGCUGGUUCCAGAAGAAUGUACUCGUCCUCCCUGAGCCAUACUGGCGGUACAUGCACGAAGCGAAGAUGUGCACGCACGCCACGCACGCACUCAUUCCCUCGCACGCACACGUGGGUACACGGGCGGACGCAAUUUUGUACCAAGAUCCACCCCAUGUGAUAAUUUGACGCGUGUAAAGUCGUUCACUUCAUUGAUGGUCAAUUAAUACAGCGCAUGCAAAUUGAGUGGACGUGAGGGCGGAAGAAAGACAUUAUUACUCCACUGCGCGCAUGCGAGUAGUUAAAUCGUGGGUUGCUAGUAGUACUUCCAUUGGUCUCCUUCGUAUUUUGUGCCAAUUUUUGACAGUAACAUAAUAUUUACGCAUUUGAGCAGUGUAGUACUUCAAAUUUAUGUUCCGCUAAACUCAUCGGGAGCCGUUUCGGGCUCGAAACCAAAACCAUCAAUUAAUCUUUACCUUGUUCCCAUCACAUUCGAAAGCCUACUCACACCUACUAGUACGUACCAAACCUGAACGUGUUCCCACUAUGCAGGUAUUAGUACUAGUGCUAGUACUUAGGUUGUAAAAAGGGGAACUACCUAACCGAAAAUUACUCUACCUUUCCUCCUCAUAAGUGCUUCUUCUUCGUCCGUCGUUGCCAUGGCCGGUGAGCAGAGCUCUAGGUCGAGAACUACUCGUAGCAAGGGAGCGGCAACCAAGGCUGCGGAAAAAAGGGCUCGCCGCCACGCAGAGACCUCGAAAGAUCUCUCACGGGCAGGAGAUGGCUCCCAGGAGCGCCCUAGCCGCGGAGCCGAACAUGCCGAGCCAGCGGAGCUGGAGUCGUUAUCCCUCGACGGCAUGCCCGAUCAGCUCAAUAAGCAGAAGGAGUUCAUCCAAGGCUUGAUGGAGUUGCUGAAGGAGAGCCUCGACGACAUGCCCGCUGAGCUCAAUCAGCAGGGGGAGUUGACCGCCAGCUUGGUGAUGCUGCUAAAGAAGAGCAUUGCCUCGGAGAAGAAGGCGACCGGCGAAAUCCUGCGACUUCAGGAGGACAAGGCGAAGCUCUGCCACGAGAUCGACCUGUUGAAGGAGAAGAACACCGGCUGGAAGAAGCUGCAUGAGAAUAGUAUUUCCUCGAUGAAGAUGCUGCAGGCCCUCGUCAUGGAACAGAAGGAGGAGUUGGCGAUGCUCCGCAUCGAGCACCCGGCUGCUGUCAAGGUACGUAAUGCGGUCGUGGAACAGAUGAUGAAGGCUCGCGUCGAGAAAUCCCGCGUCAUGGACAGAAUGAAGAAGAUGGCGGAGGAGACCUGCAAGGAGAUGGAGGUCGUGGAGGCGAUGAAGAAGCAGUUACGACUCCGCGGCGAAUUAGAUCAUUUGGGGUGAUAAUCUUCCUUCUUCUUUUGCUCCUGUGUUUCAUCUUUUGCUUCGGGUGUUUCGCCGCACGUGUCACGUUCUCUGCGAGGCAUGAAUAGAACAAUGGUUUUUUAGGGAAUGAAUAGAACAAUGCUAACAAUGAGAUGACUAGCAAAUUAGAUCAUUUUUAUUGCCAUAUGGCACUGGGCUGCCGUGUUUCGUGCUCCUCUGUCGCAGUACUACUCCAGUGGAAAACUUGAGUAUACCGCACUGUUCUUUGAUCCUCCUUGAUCAGGUCGUCGGCGCAUUUAUACGAGCAGUCAAAUCACAAGGCCCCGCCUUCCAGCAGAAAUGAGCCGUCAAAUCACAAAGGCCCUCGCCUCUCGUGAAACCGACCAAGCUAGACUGCCCCGCCCUCUAGCCUUUUAAAAAUGUAUACUUUUGUACAGCAGUAGUUUCGAUGGAUUGCGCCAUGGAGCAAAAGUUGAAAUUAAAAAAAGGUGGUACAUAUAGAGAGCGCUCGUCGCCAAAUUAUGCAUAUAGUACUAUUAAAAAGGCUAGUCACAAUAAUGGUGUCCAGCACAACCCACCCCUCAAAUAAAACUAAGAGGGUGCUUGGAUACGUUUUAGUCCCAUGACUAAAAGUAGUGGGACUAAAACAUGCUAGCCUCACCCAUGCUUGGAUCCAAAUACUAAAAAGGCUAAAAUCAAGUUAAUGAGCAUUUAUUAUCCUCCAAACCCUCCAAUCCAGAACUCGCCUGUGUUAAAGGAGAGGAGUUAAAUGCGUAGAGAGAGGACUAAUCCACAUUUUAGUAGGGGUACCCCUGACUAAAAAAUAUUAGUCUCAAGACUAGUUUUAGCCCCUCUUUAGUCAGGGGUGCUUGGAACUUUAGCCUCUUAAAGAGAGUAUUUUUAGUCAGACUAAAAUAAGUCCCUUGGAUCCAAGCACCCUCUAAGCAUCCUGGAAUUCUUUGACAAAACUAAGCACCCUGAAAUUCUUUGACAACUAAACUGCUGGCUAUAUGAUGUUGGCCAUAUAUAUUGUACGUAUACAAUGUGAAGAGACGAGUGGUAGUACUAUACCAACUAAAAGAUGAAAUGUAAGAAAUACUAGUAUGUACGUACUGAAGAGUUAAAGUAACGAGAAGAAACAUAACAUAGUUCUUCUGGGGGCUCAACACAACACACCCCUCAAAUUAAUUUAAGCACACCUGAAAUUAAACAUUGCAACUAUUCCGGUAGACACUGCAUUAGAACCACCAUGAGCAAUGACACUGCCACCUUACUCGGAGUUCUCGACUUCGUCCUUGUCCCUCUUCCUCUUGGCCGAUACUUCUUUGCUUGAACCGCACACUUGGCUAUUGCUCUUCAUCCAACCCUUGUAGAUAUUGAAGCAAAGGUAGCCAUCCAUUGCAGCGUAGUGGAUGUGGUCUAUAUCUAGUACAUUCUGCUGCCAUGCAUGACGAUGAAACGUGUAUGGAGGUUUCUCCAGUUUACCGUACGAAGGAUGAACCAUGGCUCCUGCCAGGGUCAGCAUUGAAGGCUGACGAGAGGACACCAGCCGAUUCUUCUGGAGGUCGAAGGUGUUGCCUACAAUGAGGCCUAUCUGACGUAGGACUUCUUUGUCGUUACCAAAGUCUACAGUAACGAAUUUGACUAGGUUGCUCUCGAGGAAGUCCUUAAAAUCCUGGCACUCAACGUCGGCAUGGCAUAUGUGGUAGACCAAGCAUAAGCCAUGCACGCAAACCUGGAUCACGGCGGGCUUCUUCCUCUCUUCGUCCUUUAGAUCCUUCUCUCGUCCCAGGACUGUGGUGUACUCAACAUCUAGCCCAGCGACCCACUCAUCAUCUGAGUCUUCGAACAUGCGUCUGAAGCGAGAAAGGCAUCCUUUCACCGUCGCGGAAGAACGGGUGUAGAUGACGUCGAACUCAUCGCCGGUGAUGGUUCUAACCUUGUACUCACCGCCGAUCGUGGAGAUUUGGGACGCCAUGGAUUUGGGAGGAGGGUUAGGAUUAGUGGAACUGCCAUAAUGUGAAUGGACGGGACAACUAGGAGCGAACCGCCAUAGUAUUGAAGGACGUGUGGGGACGAGUAGGAGCGAACUGCCAGCGUGCGAACGGCAGGGUAGUGGCUUUCCAUUCUCCCAUGAUACGGGCUUCCGAGAGCCCUUGGAUCUGAGAUCGAACGGUUGCAUGGCGUGAUUCUAGACCUAUGGGUGAAUAUCCUAUCCUGGAGGGUUAUUCUGCAAAAUUUCAGCAACUUAGCAUGCGACCGUUUGAUCUCAGAUCCAAGGGCUGCCAGCAGCCCGUAUCAUGGUCGCGCCUACCACGACCGCCGCGUCGCUCGCGCGGUCGCGCCCUUGGAGAUUUAACACGGCGCGUUAGGCUAUAUGAUGUUGGCAUGUCAUACAUAGUCAUCACUUAGUCACUCGUACUACAACAAGGUUGGCUAUAAGGUUGGCUAUAAGUGUAUUUUUUUACUCCUCUCUAUCUCUUUCUUCGUACUCCCUCCGUCCCAUAAUAUAAGAACGUUUUUGACACUAGUGUAGUGCCAAAAAUGUUCUUAUAUUAUGGGACACAGGGAGUACUAGUAUUUAUUGCAUUUGCCAAGGAGUGACCUCUUCCAAUGAAAUGGUGUUGCUAAGUUUGCUUCAUUUAAUUAGCUAUAGACUCAAAAUUGUCUUUUCACCUAGGUACACGCGCUUAGCACCGUUUCUUCCUUGGGUCACCAAACUAGUCUGUCUCUUCUUGAUUAACUUGCCACAUCAGACUUUAUGCCUAUGUGGCAAGCUUAAGUACCUGUAGGAGCAAGUAAAAGUAAGUACAAUAGUGCGCUUUACAUGGCAUUUUUGCAUAUGUGGAGGAAAGAGAGGCAAGGAAAAAGUGGAGAAGUGGGCUCUCAUGCAAGAGCCAGCCUCUACUACAUGGUGGAGCAUUGGGAGAGGCACCUGUAUGGAGGUGGUCAGGAAUCGGGAGACUCACGCCGGUCGUAGUGCCGCAGUUAAAAUGAUAAUGGCAAGUCAAAUCACGGGGCCCCACCUAUCCAGCAGUAACUCGCUGUCAAAUCACACAGCCCUACGUUUGCAGCAGCCUACUCCCUCGUCUUCUCGCGUCUCUGUCGAACCGACUAGGCGGAACUGCCCCGCCGCCUACCGCGCAGGAAAAGCCCCGCCCUCGACUUUUAAAUAGUAUACAGUAUACUAAUUUUGUAUCCAUGGAUUGCACCCACGCCAUGGAGCAAAGCGUCUAGAAAACGACGGUACACAUGUACGGAGUAUACAGCACGCCCGUCGCGUUCGCGUCGCACCCCAGACGGUCAGUCGGUCUGGCACGCUGCUCUCCGAAUGGAACGUGCGUCAUAUUGCGUUUGCACACACAUGUGGGACGACAAUUGAGAACCGACCAUAGGCACACUCCCCGCCCCACAAGUCGGGUGACUUAAUAGAAGAGGGAGACGAGCGAUAGUACUAGAGAAGUGUUGUACUACAUUGGUGCCUGGACGAUCCCUGCAAGACACGGAAGAUCAGUUCGUCCAUGCAUGUGACCUGACUCCAGCAGACACGCCUGGAUUGGCUAUCGUGUACAUCGUGCAGGCUGUGUUGUACAUGGCUGUAGUUGUGGUGAGAAAUCUAAAAAAAGGUUUCUUGUCAUCUCGCAAAAUUAGGUGUCAUGUGCUUCGGAUCACUGCGAGGGUUAAACAUCGACAACUGAGUUGGGCUAGUCAUUGGGGGCACAUGCACGAACAGUGACUACUCGGCUGCCAUCUAGGUCAAGCCGGCUAUGUUAAUUAGGACAUCUAUCGACGGACCCCUUUUCUACGAGUUUAUCUUUAAUUUGAGCUUUGUUCCUUGUCUAGUUUGUCUGUCGGGAUUCAUGUUGUCUCCUUUGGGCAGUGAGGUUAUGAUUUCUUGUCAUGCGGAAUUUUUUCGUGUUAUAUGUUAUAAUCCGGUGCUUCAGAUCAAAAUGACGACAACUGCGCCUCCUGGCCACGUGCAUGAAGACUUCUCGACAGUCAUUGACGAGGUCAAGCCGGCUCCGGUAGACAAAAGAAAACUAGUACUACUCCACUAUAUAGGCAGGAGCCUCCGCGCUUGCUUGCUAGUGUUGCUCUCUUCACACUGUCUCGGCCUCCCCAGAUCUAGACACGACAGCGGUGGCCACACACUCUCUCUCUCUGCUCACCGCUGGUCACAGAUCCAGCCGGAUCCUCUCCGCCGGGGAUGGUGAGAAGGUGCAAUUCAUGCAGUCGUCCUUCUCAACGGCUCUUACCCACUGCUGGGCGCGUCCCGAUCAGCCUGCCUUGCCGUUCUCUCCCAAGCACCGCUGGCGAGGGAGGGCCUCCGACCCCUUCUUCCUCGCUGCCGUAGUGUGGGCAGAUCCGGCCUCCCGCCGCCCACCUAGCGAUAUCCCGGCGACCAUCAGGUAUAACUUCCUUCGAAACCGGCCUUGCUCUACUUCCCGAGCUCUCGACGUCGCUGCAUUUGUAUCUUUUACUAUUUCUCAGGCCCCCUCGUAGAUAGGAUCGAUCGGCUGUUCGAAAACCACCUAUUUUUUUACGUUUAAGAGGUAAAACUAGUUCAUGCACUCGAAUCUAGUACUACUUGGUUCAAACAAGGAAGAAAGGGGGUGGGGGUGGGGGAGGAUUUGUUACCUGAAUCUAGGACUUGGUCGAAAGAGGAAAUAAUGGGGGCGAAAAGUAGCAGAGACUGGCUAUCCAACUGGUCUCUAGGUCUAAUAGGGAAAUAAAGGGAAACACAGUACAGACUCAAUAUAAACCCGAUCUAUUGGUUGAAAAAGGAAAGAAAGUGGGGACUGGGGGACAAGUCAACAGAGUAAGUCCAGCACUAGAUUUGCUAGCCUCACACAGUAUAAGGUGGCUAUACCGAACAAAAAUGGGACCAACCCAGAUAUCCUGUUCUGAUGUUUGUUGCCCCGAGCCACUCUUAUGUAAUGCCACUGGUAAAAUGUAGCAGUCGCACUGUUAAAAGUAAGGACACGUUAAACCAAUGUUGUUUUCAAUGUAAUGCCUCCAGUAAUAUGAAUCAAUGGCACUUCUUUACAUGUCCUGCUAAAAUUUCCCAUUAAGAUAAGUUGGUUCUUUUCCUUAGAAAUGCAACUGUCCUGGUCCGCCUACUCUCCCGUGCCCAAAGUAAUGUCGUAUUUAACGGUUGUCAUAGUUAAUCCUAAUGCCCACACUAAUAUCUAGCAAUGCCAGUGCUUUAGAAAUUGCUACUGUCCUUGUAGGAUUGCCAUUCAGAUAAGGAACAUGCUUCUUUUCAUUUGAUGCAUGUUUCAUCACUUGUUAGUCACCCUCCUUUCCACCUUUUUUGUGCAAACAGAGAUAUACAUUUCACGCUCGAUCUUAGUUGAACUGCACAAAUGAUAUCCAAAUUAUAGUUGAGCAUUCCAGGAGCUUCACAACCAACCUUGAUGUUGCUCAAUUUUAUUGCAACUAAUGAAGAAGAAGCUCUGUGGGUUUCGUUUUCUGAUGGAAAUGGAACUGGGGCUGGAGCCCUUUUCUUAAAAAAAUUUGAAGAAGAAGCUGCUAGCUCACGGGACAUUGCUUCAUUUUAGGUGAACUGCACCAAAAGGUCCCAUGAAUUGAAUCAUCCAUGUUGGUGACUGAAAGAGCCAGCUUCAGCAUCCCAGUCUAAGCACCCCCGGCCUCCAUCCUUGCGACGCACGGUACACCUCGUUUGCCACCUGCUCGAUCCUAGUGUCACUGAUAAAAUGAAGUAAUAAUACAGUGAAAAUAGAGUGAGUGUCAUCUCUAUCAUUUCAUUUCCAAUGUAGAUAAAGAAAGUGCUUCUCUUUGUUAAUGUAUGUUUCAUCAACUAGUCCCAUUGUUAAUGUUUAAGUGUUUCUGCAAACUGGGGUGCUUAAUUUUAGUUGAUAUGUACAAAAAUAGAGAUUUGAAUGUCUCAAGGCGCCUCCUUGUACUACCGAUGUACACUGAUGUUCAUCACUGGCAGAAGGUGUAUCUGGGAGACUUGGGACGAUGUCCAGUAUGAGGCAUACCGUAUGAGGCGUCGCAGGGCCCAUCUCGCCCUCGCAGCAUGGCAUACUAUGAUACUAUCGCAAUAUUUUCUUCUAUUUAUUUUGUGUGUUUCAUCAACUAGUGCCACUAUAAUGUAAUCACGCUUUUUCAUUAUCUGUGCAAACAGGGUUAUUCAGCUGCAUUUUGGUGGAACUGCACAAAUGUACGUAUGGAACCGGCAUAUAUGCAGAGUGCGAGGUGUGCCAAGUAAAAAUUACCGACACCAACCAUGCUGCAUGCACGCAUUGGCAUCCACCACCACCAGUGGGAUGUGUGGCGCUCUCUGUGGACGGAUCUUUCUCGGCAGCAAAUCAUCUAACCAAAUACUAGUAGCUUAUAUUGGCAGUUUUCUAGGGAGUACUCUUUUCUGAAAGAAGCACCAAUCUAUUUUUCUUUAUUUGUACACUGUGUCACAACUUUGACCCAAAGGUCCAGAGCUAUUUUAGGGUGAUUGGCGUAGUACUCGGAGACUGAUUGUAAGCAUGAGAAGGUGGAAGAUUAGGUUAGUGCGAAGCUUACCUUAAACCCUAGCGCCGCCGUUGAAACGAGGUGAGUGUCGAGGGAACCGUGGAGAACGGCGGGGAAGCGACGUCGCGCCAUCCGGCCUCCUCUUGCGGUGGGAGAACAAAUACUCCUGUGGCUCCGGCUGGCUUUGCACCCUCACGAACGGCACACCAUACUCGAUCGAUUCGUUAUCCUCUAGGUGCUCGACCUUCGACCUGUACGCCCACCACCUCCGCCUGACUGUCGCCUCGGGCGAAUCUGUCUGCUCCAUCGCCCAGAGGAGAUACUCGAUGAACUCGGAGGACUGCGGCGUGACUGCCGCCGAGGAGUACAUGUACAUCGCCGCCCUCAUCGCCGCCAUCUCGUUCUUUCGCAUACAUUGCCACAUGGCCCGCACCGUCCUCGAAAUCUCCCACUCAUUGUCAAACCAACUAAGGAUCUCCUUCAACCUGGCUAACUUUGCCUGGUUGCCGCCGGCGAUCUGCCUGAUUCGCUGCUGCAUCCUCUCCAUAGAUGUCCUUCUGAGUGGUCCGGUGCUAGCUUUGGAAGAUGGAAGGAGAGACGGUGGUCUUGCAAUAGAGAAGAGGGAGAGGCGAGAUGGUGGUUUUGGAAUGGAGAUGAUGGAGAGGAGAGGAGGUGGUUUUACAAUGGAGAAGAUCAGAAGAGGGAGAGGCGAGACGGUGGUUUUGGAAUGGAGAUGAUGGAGAGGAGAGGAGGUGGUUUUGCAAUGGAGAAGAUCAGAAGAGGGAGAGGCGAGACGGUGGUUUUGGAAUGGAGAUGAUGGAGAGGAGAGGAGGUGGUUUUGCAAUGGAGAAGAGGGAGAGGAGCGUGCGGCAGCGAUUUAGGAUUGGACGAGAGGGCCGGCGCGCUGUGACUGGAUCAAAAUCAAAAUCAAUUUACCCUUCAAUUAAGAAAGCGACCCCACAUUAACUAGUCUCUCUUUUAUUCUGGGUCAUAAUUGACCAUGAUUUUCGCACAUAAAAUAUAUGUUAUACAUUGCAAAAAUAAUAUAAUUUGAAAGUACAUUCAGAUACGAACCAAACGAUACAAUUUUUGGUGACAUGCAUUCACAUUUUGCUUGUCAAAUACAGUACGUGGUCAAACUUUGACCCAAAAUACGCAAAACAACAAAAAAAAAAUACUUCCAAGACCAGCGCCGCUCUUCCGCUCUUCUCCUCUUAAACCACCGCCGCUCCUCUCCUGUUCCAUCUAAAUGCAGCGCCGCUCCUCUCCUCUUCCAUUUCAAAACCACCGCCCCUCCUCUCAUGUUCCAGUCCAAAACCAGCGUCGCUCCUCUCCCGUUCUAAUCCAAAACCAGCGCUGCUCCUCUCCUCUUCCAUUCAAAAACCACCACCGGCGAGUGAAGGUGCUGUGGAGAAGUAGAUCGAUGGAGGAGUACAACCGAUACGUGAGGAUCGCAGACGGCGACCCUGUGAAGCUAGCUAGGAUGUUGGAGAUACAGUCUUGGUUUACAACAAGGACCAACUAGCGGCGACGGCGACAUCCAUGGCCAAAUAUCUGCAACAGAGCGAAAAGGCGGCGAUACUCCUGGAGGGAGUCGCGCCGGAGUACAUAGAGCUGCUCCUCUGGGCCAUGGAGCAAACAGAUUCACCGAAUCCGAUCGUGAGGGAGCGGUGGUGGGAGUAUCAAUCCCAGAUGGAGCAUCCACCAGAGAUUGAAGGAUCGAGCAUCUACAGGGUGCCGUUUGUGAGGUUGUCCUGCCAGAGCAAGCUGGUGGAGUCUUCGUCGACCGAAUCCAUUUGCAAGAAGGGAAAAGCAGUUGGCCCGACGACGCUUCCCCGCCAUCAUCUCCCUCGCCGUUCACAUCGUCUCACGGGGCGGCUGUAUGCCGCCGAGGAAUAGGAGGGGGCUGCCCCUCCAGCCCAAUAGUCGGGCAGGUCGUGAAUUGUCAGGAGGAGCUUAGGGUUGUCAGUAUUUGCAGGUUGUGAAUUGUGUUGUGUAUUUUGGGAGUACUUUCAGAUAUGAAUGUCUUUUGAAUUUCAGAUUUGCAGUAUUGAGCAUAUGAAGUAUUUUAUGAAUUCUAGAGAUCUAUUUUUAGCACUUAAAAAAUGUAGUUUCAUAGGAGUACAAAAGUGCAAACAAUGUGAUUCUCAGAGAAGAAACUGCAAGUUUCAGUUUCAGAUAAGAAACCGCAAGUUCAGUUUCAGAUAAGAAACUGCAACUUUUAGAGGCAGAGCAUUUAUAUUAACACAGCCUUUUCAAACAGGGUUAACAUCAUGUUGGAAGUUUUAUUCAUGGUCGAAAAUGGAACUACCAGCCAGUUAACAUCAUUCUGAUCAACAUUCAUGCAUAGCACAUCUUCAUAUGAUGCACAGUCAAAAUGCCCACACAAUGUCGAGUGUGCGAAACACAGAGAAAACGAGGGACGAAGUUUUGGCAAGUGUUGGACGUGGUUUUGGGCUGCCCCGUCUAGGCUUUCAUUUUUAACAUGUGUAGCCCACGACCUCGGAUGGGAGGUCCAUAGGCCUGUUUGUAUUUUCUUAGGGCUGUCAUGUAUCGACCGGCCUAUGGACCUCCCAUCCGAGGUUUUAUUUUUGGCAGCCCAAUUUAUGUAUUUUUUGAAGAAAACGGAGAGGUCUGUUUUAUUUUUCUAUAUAAGAAUAGGAACGCCAGGUCCAACUUAUGUUUCCCUUCUAACUAUAUUAUAUAUAUUUAAAUUGUUUUAUAUGUUAUUAUAUAUUAUUUUUAUUGUCAUCAUAUAUUUAACAGAUACUUACAUAUGUAAGAAAACAAUAUCCCACAUCUUAUUAACUUAUAAAAAUAAUUUCUUAACAAAUAAAAUCCUGGAUUGUUUUGGCACGAGAAUCCUAGUGAUUGUGUACAAAAGCUUGGUAAGAUUUAAGGACGAAUGUAAUAAUAUCACUUAUUAGGAAAUAAAAUAAAUGGGCCGCAUGGACGCUACAUUAUUUGUUCACCCAGCCCAGCUAAUGGCUGUAAUUCAAAAAAAGAUCAAAUUGACAGUAAAUUCUACCGCGCAAAAAAAAGACUGUAAAUUCUGAAAAAUGGGUUGAAUACGUGCCACAUUUUUGGAGGCUGAAAUGUGGGCCAAUAGGUCGAAGCCAACGCAAGUCGUUGUCAAUUUAGUCAACAAAUGAUUCUGACAUGUUAGCCGUUGGAUUUACAUCAGACGACCGGCAUCCAUCUUCAAUCUCUCGUCUUCUUCCUCCAGCGCCGCCGGGACCACCUCCCGCCUCCUGCUGCUAGCAGCUCUGCUUAGCACGCUUCGCUAUGAAGUGCUACUCCACCGUUGGCCAGGCCAUCCCUCCACCCCUCCACACCUCCUGUUCUUCUCCACCGACUACCGAACCACACCGCACUAGAACCAGUUAACCCUCGUACACCUCUCCAUCUGUGACUCUACUCCCGCGUCUUCCCAUCUUCAGCUCGUUGCCGUCCGGGGCCUCGCCGUCGUCCACCACCUUGGAUGCGCUCGGCGCGGCGUGGUCAACGUGGUCAACGAACGACACCAUCGGAAGUAGACUAUGCGUGGAGAGGCUGACAACUGGGUCCACGGCCGCACACAAGGAAAUGCCUCCUUAUUACGCGCAAAAUAAUGAUUCCUCCACCUGACAUCUGGGACCCACCGGAAGGGCCUCUGUAUUUCGCGAAAAUAACGUGCCCCCCGCUGACAUGUCGGACCCACCAGCUAUCUUCGCAUGCAAGGAAGUGCCUCCUUAUUACGCACAAAAAAAAUUAAUACUCCCCCUGCCAGCUGGAACCCAGCAUAGUGGGAGGCUGACUUGUGGGCCUACCAAGUUGACGGGGACGGAGGGCUUUGUCAACUUAGUCAAUAUGAACGAUGCUAGCUCCUGUUACCGUACGAUGUCCAUCCAACGGCCGUAAUGCUUCUUCAACCUCUGGUCUUCUUGCUCCAGCCGUCCAAACCAGCGCCGGUCGUGCCGCGUGCUCCUGCCUCCCGUGGCCGGCUGUGAUGCCGCGGAGGCCUCACCGCCCCCUACUACUCCCACCGCUGGCCAGGCCAUCCCUCUACUCUCCCACACCCCCUGUUAUUCUGCGGCGACAACAGCCUCACACCGCAGCCGAACCAGUGAACCCUCAUACUCCUCUUCGCGUGGGCAUCCACUGUUGCGUCUUCCCCGGCUCCGAGUCGUCCCCUUCCUAGUCCUCGCCAUCGUCCACCGCCGUGGUGCUCUCGGCGCAGCGUGGUCAACGUGGUCAAGGAACGACUUCCAUCGGACAUGGACUGUACGUGGAGAGGCUGACAGCUGGGUCCAUGGCCGCAGCAAGGAAGUGCCUCCUUAUUACGCGCAAAAUAAUGAUUCCUCCACCUGACAGCGGGGACCCACCGGACGGGCCAUCGUAUUUCGCGAAAAAAACGUUUCCCCCUGACUGCUGGGACCCACCAGCUACAUCUUCGCACGCAAGGAAGUGCGUAAAAAAAAAACGAUUUGCCCCCCUGACUGCUGGGACCCACCAGCUACAUCUUCGCACGCAAGGAAGUGCGUCCGGGCAAAAAAAAACGAUUCGCCCCCUGACUACUGGGACCCACCAGCUACAUCUUCGCACGCAAGGAAGUGCCUGACAGUCGGGACCCACCUGGUCGAAGCGUACGUAGCGUUGUCAUUCUGGUCACGAACGUGUACGUACAUAUAUACUGGUGGAUGUAGAGGCGCGCACGUGUUGUAGUAGAGGCGCGUACGUGUCGUAGUAGAGGCGCGCACGUAGCAUGUACACGUACGUACAACGGCCAGGGUGCAAGAAAGAAAAUAAGGCCACGUAUGUGUACAUACGGGCGGGGUCUCGAACGCCUACUCGCGCAUACGUACGGCCAGGGCUCGUGUACAUGGCUGGGUCGGAACAGAGAAACAUCGUCGUCGUCGUGUUCAUGGGGAGGCAACGGAAUGCGUCGUGUUCAUGGGGAGGCAACGGAAUGCGUCGUGUUCAUGGGGAGGCAACGGAAUGCGUCGUGUUCAUGGGGAGGCAACGGAAUGCGUCGUGUUCAUCGGGAGGCAACGGAACGCGUGGGAGCCAACCGGCUGGGUCAGAACAGAAUGCGUGGUCGUGUUCAUCGGGAGGGCUUGGACGGAACAGGCGAUGGAAACGAGGCCUGNNNNNNNNNNNNNNNNNNNNNNNNNNNNNNNNNNNNNNNNNNNNNNNNNNNNNNNNNNNNNNNNNNNNNNNNNNNNNNNNNNNNNNNNNNNNNNNNNNNNNNNNNNNNNNNNNNNNNNNNNNNNNNNNNNNNNNNNNNNNNNNNNNNNNNNNNNNNNNNNNNNNNNNNNNNNNNNNNNNNNNNNNNNNNNNNCGAAACGGGGGUCCUGUUGAUCGGGAGGGGUGUGACGUACCGCAAAACGGAGGAAACGGACCUCCUACGGUCGAAACGGGGGUCUUGUUGAUCGGGAGGGGUGUCGCGUACCGCAAAACGGAGGAAACAGACCUCCUACGGUCGAAACGGGCGUCCUGUUGAUCGGGAGGGGUGUGGCAUACCGCAAAACGGACGAAACGGACUUGUGUUGGAGUGCUACGGUCAAAACGGGGGUCCUAUUCAUCGGGAGGGGUGUGGUGUGCCGCAAAACAGGACUCCAUGGGAUACUGUUCAUCUCCACCGUCGACCUCCUCCAGCCUCCACGGGCUACUGUUCAUCCACCGUCGACCUCCUCCAGCCUCCACAUGCGACUGUUCAUCCACGGGCUCCUAUUCAUCUAGCCUCCACCGCGCGCUACUCCACCGGCUAUUAUUCAACCACCCCUCUCCACGGGCUCCUGUUCAACCACCCCUCCACGGGCUACUGUUCAUCCACUCCUCCAUCGUCUUUUGUUCAUCCAGCCCUCCACGGGGUCAUCCUGUUCAUCCAGUCCUNNNNNNNNNNCAAAACGGACGAAACGGACCUCCUACGGUCGAAACGGAGGUCCUGUUCAUCGGGAGGUGUGUGGCGUACCGCAAAACGGGACUCCACGGGAUACUGUUCAUCUCCACCAUUGACCUCCUCCAGCCUCCACGGGCUCCUGUUCAUCCAGCCUCCACCGCGCGCUACUCCACCGGCUACUGUUCAACCACCCCUCCACGGGCACCCCUCCACCGUCUACUGUUCAUCCAGCCCUCCACACCACGGGGUCCUAUUCAACCACCCCUCCACGGGCACCCCUCCACCGUCUACUGUUCAUGCAAUCCUCCACACCACGGGGUCCUGUUCAUCCAGAGGCAACGCCACCGCUAACUGUUCAUCCAACCCCCCGGCAAUGCUCACUGUUCAUCCAAUCGAUCGGCUUCAGUUAGCAGCAGUAGCAAAGGAAUCGCUCGAUCGGGUUCAGUUAACAGCCAUCGAUCAAUCGCUCGGGUUCAGUAACGCGUAGCCUGCAGUGCAAUCGCUCGGGUUCAGUUAGAGCCAACGCCUCGCACACACGCGCAUACGUGUACGAGAGAAACGCGCAUCGCUCGGCCCCCGACCUCCCACCGUAACUGGGAACUCCCCAAAAUUUUCCUCCCCCUCACUUCUACCACGGUUUUUUCCGUCAUGGAAGGCCCAAAGAAUGUCAUGCAGCUGCGUCUCCGGCCCGCCCAGGACGAAAAGCCCAUUUUCUGUCAUGAUUUUUUGUCAUAGAAGUAGGAGCCCACCACAUCUAUGAUGAUAGCGGGUUUUGUCACAAUUAUCGUCAUAGAAGUGUCAUAUGUAUGACAGAAAAAAAAUUCGUUCGGCCCAAAAUGUCAUGGAUGUGUCUUUUUUUUGUAGUGGGAUGGAUAAAACAAUUCCCGAAGGGUAAAGGGAAGAAGGGGAACUUCAAGAAGAACGGCAAGCAAGUUGCUGCUCAAGUGAAGAAGCCCAAGUCUGGACCUAAGCCUGAGACUGAGUGCUUCUACUGCAAAGGGACUGGUCACUGGAAGCGGAACUGCCCCAAGUAUUUGGCAGAUAAGAAGGAUGGCAAGGUGAACAAAGGUAUAUGUGAUAUACAUGUUAUUGAUGUGUACCUUACUAAUGCUCGCAGUAGCACCUGGGUAUUUGAUACUGGUUCUGUUGCUAAUAUUUGCAACUCGAAACAGGGACUACGGAUUAAGCGACGAUUGGCUAAGGACGAGGUGACGAUGCGCGUGGGAAAUGGUUCCAAAGUCGAUGUGAUCGCGGUCGGCAUGCUACCUCUACAUCCACCUUCGGGAUUAGUUUUAGACCUGAAUAAUUGUUAUUUGGUGCCAGCGUUAAGCAUGAACAUUAUAUCUGGAUCUUGUUUGAUGCGAGACGGUUAUUCAUUUAAAUCAGAGAAUAAUGGUUGUUCUAUUUAUAUGGGUAAUAUCUUUUAUGGUCAUGCACCCUUGAAGAGUGGUCUAUUUUUGUUGAAUCUCGAUAGUAGUGACACACAUAUUCAUAAUAUUGAAGCCAAAGAUACAGAGUUGAUAAUGAUAGUGCAACUUAUUUGUGGCACUGUCGUUUGGGUCAUAUUGGUGUAAAGCGCAUGAAGAAACUCCAUUCUGAUGGACUUUUGGAAUCACUUGAUUAUGAAUCACUUGGUACUUGCGAACCAUGCCUCAUGGGCAAGAUGACUAGAACUCCGUUCUCCGGAACAAUGGAGCGAGCAACAGAUUUGUUGGAAAUCAUACAUACUGAUGUAUGUGGUCAGAUGAAUAUUGAGGCUCGCGGCGGGUAUCGUAAUUUUCUCACCUUCAUAGAUGAUUUGAGCAGAUAUGGGUAUAUCUACUUGAUGAAACAUAAGUCUGAAACAUUUGAAAAGUUCAAAGAAUUUCAGAGUGAAGUGGAAAAUCAUCGUAACAAGAAAAAUAAAGUUUCUACGAUCUGAUCGUGAGGAGAAUAUUUGAGUUACGAGUUUGGUCUUCAUUUGAAACAAUGCAGAAUAGUUUCACAACUCACGCCACCCGGAACACCACAGCGUAAUGGUGUGUCCGAAUGUCGUAAUCGUACUUUACUAGAUAUGGUGCGAUCUAUGAUGUCUCUUACUGAUUUACUGCUAUCGUUUUGGGGUUAUGCUUUAGAGACGGCUGCAUUCACGUUAAAUAGGGCACCAUCUAAAUCCGUUGAGAUGACACCUUAUGAACUGUGGUUUGGCAAGAAACCAAAGUUGUCAUUUCUUAAAGUUUGGGGCUGCGAUGCUUAUGUGAAAAAGCUUCAACCUGAUAAGCUCGAACCCAAAUCGGAGAAAUGUGUCUUCAUAGGAUACCCAAAGGAGACUGUUGGGUACACCUUCUAUCACAGAUCCGAAGGCAAGAUGUUCGUUGCUAAGAAUGGUUCCUUUCUAGAGAAGGAGUUUCUCUCGAAAGAAGUGAGUGGGAGGAAAGUAGAACUUGAUGGGGUAACUGUACCUACUCCCGUGUUGGAAAGUAGUUCAUCACAGAAAUAUGUUCCUAUGACUCCUACACCAAUUAGUGAGGAAGCUAAUGAUGGUGAUCAUGUAACUUCAUAUCAAGUUACUACCGAACCUCGUAGGUCAACCAGAGUAAGAGCCGCACCAGAGUGGUAUGGUAAUCCUGUUCUGGAGGUCGUGUUACUUGACCAUGAGGAACCUACGAACUAUGAGGAAGCGAUGAUGAGCCUAGAUUCCGCGAAAUGGCUUGAGGCCAUGAAAUCUGAGAUGGGAUCCAUGUAUGAGAACAAAGUGUGGACUUUGGUUGACUUGCCCGAUGAUCGGCAAGCCAUCGAGAAUAAAUGGAUCUUCAAGAAGAAGACUGACGCUGACGGUAAUGUUACUAUCUACAAAGCUCGACUUGUUGCGAAAGGUUUUCGACAAGUUCAAGGAGUUGACUACGAUGAGACCUUCUCACCCGUAGCGAUGCUUAAGUCCGUCCGAAUCAUGUUAGCAAUUGCUGCAUUUUAUGAUUAUGAAAUUUGGCAAAUGGAUGUAAAGUCUGCAUUCCGGAAUGGAUUUCUGGAAGAAGAGUUGUAUAUGAUGCAACCUGAAGGUUUUAUCGAUCCAAAGGAUGCUAACAAAGUGUGCAAGCUCCAGCGAUCCAUUUAUGGACUGGUGCAAACAUCUCGGAGUUGGAAUAAACGUUUUGAUAGUGUGAUCAAAGCAUACGGUUUGAUACAGACUUUUGGAGAAGCCUGUAUUUACAAGAAAGUGAGUGGGCGCUCUGUAGCAUUUCCAAUAUUAUAUGUGGAUGACAUAUUGUUGAUUGGGAAUGAUAUAGAAUUUUCUGGAUACCAUAAAAGGAUACUUGAACAUGAGUUUUUCAAUGAAAGACCUCGGUGAAGCUGCUUAUAGAUUGGGCAUCAAGAUCUAUAGAGAUAGAUCAAGACGCUUAAUUGGACUUUCACAAAGCACAUACCUUGAUAAAGUUUUGAAAAAGCUCAAAAUGGAUCAAGAAAAGAAAGGGUUCUUGCCUGUGUUAGAAGGUGUGAAGUUGACUUAGACUCAAUGCCCGACCACUGCAGAAGAUAGAGAGAAAAUGGAAGGUGUUCCCUAUGCUUCAGCCAUAGGCUCUAUCAUGUAUGCAAUGCUGUGUACCAGACCUGAUGUGUGCCUUGCUAUUAGUUUAGUAGGGAGGUACCAAAGUAAUCCAGGAGUGGAUCACUGGACAGCGGUCAAGAACAUCCUGAAAUACCUAAAAAGGACUAAGGAUAUGUUUCUCGUUUAUGGAGGUGACAAAGAGCUCGUCAUAAAUGGUUACGUCGAUGCAAGCUUUGACACUGAUCCGGAUGACUCUAAGUCACAAACCGGAUACAUGUUUCUAUUGAACGGUGGAGCUGUCAGUUGGUGCAGUUCUAAGCAAAGCGUCAUGGCGGGAUCUACGUGUGAAGCAGAGUACAUAGCUCCUUCGGAAGCAGCAAAUGAAGGAGUCUGGAUGAAGGAGUUCAUAUCCUAUCUAGUUGUCAUACCUAGUGCAUCGGGUCCAAUGAAAAUCUUUUGUGACAAUACUGGUGCAAUUGCCUUGGCAAAGCAAUCCAGAUUUCACAAGAGAACCAAGCACAUCAAGAGACGCUUCAAUUCCAUCCGCGAUCAAGUCAAGGAGGGAGACAUAGAGAUUUGCAAGAUACAUACGGAUCUGAAUGUUGCAGACCCGUUGACUAAGCCUCUCUCACGAGCAAAACAUGAUCAACACCAAGACUCCAUGGGUGUUAGAAUCAUUACUGUGUAAUCUAGAUUAUUGACUCUAGUGCAAGUGGGAGACUGAAGGAAAUAUGCCCUAGAGGCAAUAAUAAAGUUGUUAUUUAUAUUUCCUUAUAUCAUGAUAAAUGUUUAUUAUUCAUUCUAUAAUUGUAUUAACCGGAGACUUAGUACAUGUGUGAAUACAGAGACAAACAGAGUGUCACUAGUAUGCCUCUACUUGACUAGCUCAUUGAAUCAAAGAUGGUUAAGUUUCCUAGCCAUAGACAUGAGUUGUCAUUUGAUUAACGGGAUCACAUCAUUAGAGAAUGAUGUGAUUUACUUGACCCAUUCCGUUACCUUAGCACUUGAUCGUUUAGUAUAUUGCUAUUGCUUUCUUCAUAACUUAUACAUGUUCCUAUGACUAUGAGAUUAUGCAACUCCCGAAUACCGGAGGAACACUUUGUGUGCUACCAAACGUCACAACGUAAAUGGGUGAUUAUAAAGGUGCUCUACAGGUGUCUCCGAUAGUAGUUGUUGAGUUGACAUAGAUCGAGAUUAGAAUUUGUCACUCCGAUUGUCAGAGAGGUAUCUCUGGGCCCUCUCGGUAAUGCACAUCACUAUAAGCCUUGCAAGCAAUGUGACUAAUGAGUUAGUUGCGGGAUGGUGCAUUACAGAACGAGUUAAAUGACUUGCCAGUAACGAGAUUGAACUAGGUAUUGAGAUACCGACGAUCGAAUCUCGGGCAAGGAACAUACCAAUGACAAAGGGAACAACGUAUAUCGUUAUGCGGUUUGACCGAUAAAGAUCUUCGUAGAAUAUGUGGGAGCCAAUAUGAACAUCCAGGUUCCGCUAUUGGUUAUUGACCAGAGACGUGUCUCGGUCAUGUCUACAUAGUUCUCAAACCCGUAGGGUCCGUGAGGGAGUCCUGGAUUAGGGGGUCCUCGGGCAUCCGGCCUAUGUGACGUGGACCGGACUGAUGGGCUAUGAAGAUACAAGACCGAAGACUUUCACCCAUGUCCGGAUGGGACUCUCCUUGGUGUGGAUGGCAAGCUUGGUGAGCGGAUAUGAAGAUUCCUUUCUUUGUAACCGACUUUGUACAACCCUAGCCCCCUCUGGUGUCUAUAUAAACCGGAGGGUUUAGUCCGUAGAGGCAAUCACAAUCAUACAGGCUAGACUUCUAGGGUUUUAGCCAUUACGAUCUCGUGUUAGAUCAACUCUUGUAAUACUCAUAUUCAUCAAGAUCAAUCAAGCAGGAAGUAGGGUAUUACCUCCAUAGAGAGGGCCCGAACCUGGGUAAACAUCGUGUCCCCCAGCUCCUGUUACCAUCAACCUUAGACGCACAGUUUGGGACCCCCUACCUGAGAUCCGCCGGUUUUGACACCGACAUUGGUGCUUUCAUUGAGAGUUCCGCUAUGACGUCGAAGACAGGAUUGAUGGCUCGCCUUGUUAUCAAGGACAGUAUCACCUCCGGAGGAGCCCUCGCCUCAGGCCAAACCCUCCGGCUGGGCGGCUUUACCAUGACCGCCCUUCCAGCCAUUAAGCCGACGAUGACUUCUCGGGUCAUCGAAAAUCGCCUCCACGUCGACUCCGAAUACUCCAAACGGAUGGAUCCGACGGACUUGUCAUCUUUAAACGAACUUCUGGAUCGCAUCGCCGCCUUGGGGGUUGCUACAGACUACGAUCGGAUUGGGCUUAAAUCCGAUCAGAGAGAAAUCAAAUCUCUGCCGAUCACCCAUUAGAUAGCAGUAGUAGAGGAGCAAAACAACAACUCUUCCUCUAUAUUGAGGACGAACUAUGUUCAGAUUUCCGAGCUCGAAGAUCCGGACACCUGUCCGCGGAACGACACACCCUGUCCCCCGAACCUAGAAUCGGAUAGUGGACCAGGGAAAUCAGUUGAUAUUCCGGAGCCCGAACUAUUAAGCUCGGAAGUUUCUCAAACUCCGGAUCCCAAAUUGGGUCAGGGUUCGGAUUUAAAGCCACCUACCCACCCGAAUAUACGCGAUCUCAUGUACAUACAACAGCAGUCUCAAGAAACAGUCCAUCACUUUUGGGCCAGAUUCCUCCUUGUCAAAGACAAGAUUAAAGAUUGCCGCAACGAAGACGCGAUCUCAGUAUUCUGCAAUAAUUGCACAGACGAAGGAAUCCUCAACGCCAUCAACCGCCGUCGCGUAUUACACUUCGCUGACUUGGCAACCAUAGUACAGAAGUACUGCGCAAUGGAAAGCGCCUGGAAAACUCAGGCAGCUCGCUGGGAACCACCGGUUUCCACUCAACCCCUCGUCCGGGCAAAAAGGAUGCACCCUCAUGGGGCGCCCGUCCCAGUAGUAAAGAAAUCUAAGCCCAUUACGGGGCGCGGAACCGUUCGGGAGGGAUGGCUUGAUAGGCCAUGCAAAAUACACACAAUACUGGAUACCAUACCCACCCACAGCCUUAGAGCAUGUUGGAUACUCCGGCAAGUGGCCAAGAGCAGCGAGGAUAUCCUCACCAAAAAUACCUCAGAGCAACACCCCCCGGAAGACGACGAGCUCAGGGUAUUGAUGGUCUUCGAGACUUUCGCUUCAAACAAUCGGCGCAAAAGGGCCCGCCGCGACCUCGCCGAUGUCUGCCAAGUCGCAGCAAUAAACCCCUGGAACGACACGGCCAUAACUUUCAACACCAGUGACGAACCAAAAUUCCGGACAGUCCAGGCACCAACCGCCUUGGUCCUCAAUCCAAUUGUGGACGGUUUUCGGCUCACCAAAGUGCUCAUGGACGGCGGCAGCAGACUAAACCUCAUCUAUGAGGACACACUCGAUAAAAUGGAAAUAGACAGGAGCCGCAUCGAGCAAAGUAGCACGACCUUCUGAGGAAUCAUUCCCAGCCGGGAGGUGUGAUGCGCGGGAAAAAUCACACUCGACGUGGUAUUCGGCACACCGGAGAAUUAUUGGUCCGAAGAGAUAACCUUCCAAGUGGCCCAUUCAAUAGUGGAUUUCACGCCCUAUUGGGGCGAGAUGCGUUUACACGCUUCCAAGCUAUACCUCAUUACGGAUACAUGAAGCUCAAGAUGCCUGGGCCCAAUGGUAUUAUCACUCUUGCUAGUGAUCCGGACAUAGCACUCCGCGCCGAAAAUAAAACCGCAUCCCUGGCCCUCGCGGCAUUGUCUGAAGCCCUCGCGGCUGAAGAGUUAACCGCACUAUGCCCCACGGUGGAUAGGGAUGACGUAAUCCUGGAAGUGACCCAAAUCCACCUCCUUUAAACCAGCAGACGAAAUAGUCAAAUUUCAAGUCCACCCGACGGACCCCAAGAAAAUAGCAUCCAUCGGGGCACAACUGGACCCAACGGUUGACGCCGCGUUACGAGAGUUCCUGCGUGAGAACUGGGACAUAUUCGCCUGGCACCCUACUGAUAUGCCAGGAAUCCCAGGCAGGUCAGCCGAACACAUCCUCAAUAUUUUGAAGGGAUAUAAACCGAUCAAGCAAACACUGCGGCGCUUUUCCGAACCCAAACGCCAAGCUAUCGGGGAGGAGCUAGCCAAGUUAAUCGAGGCCGGAUUCAUCAGAGAAAUAAAACACCCGAACUAGCUAGCAAACCUGGUGAUGGUGCCAAAGAAGGAUAAAUCCUGGCGCCUGUGUGUUGAUUUCAAAGACCUUCAUAAGGCCUGCCCUAAGGAUCCCUUCCCCCUCCCCCGCAUCGACCAGAUUAUUGAUGCUACCGCAGGAAACGACUCACAGUGUUUCCUCGAUGCAUACUCCGGAGAUGUCGGUGUGGAACGACACCUAUGGGAUCACAAGAAUCCGUACUACGGUUGCCGGGGCGCAGGGUUGCGAGAAGAGCAGGAUUAGUAUUCAGCACGAGGAUCAUUUACCCAGGUUUGGGCCGCGAGGAUGCGUAAAACCCUAGUCCUGCUUUGGUGGGUGUAUUUCAGAGAGUUCUUGGGCUCUCGAACUAGCUAUGGUGAGUGCGUGGUUCGAAAGAGCCGAAUCCUUCUCCAGUGUUCCACGGGCCUCCUUUUAUAGUCGAAAGGGGCUGCCACAGUGGCAUACAGGAGGUGGAAAGGCGCACAUUAUUGCGAGCUUAUCGCUCGUAUUACAGGACAAGGCGCAUUUAAUGCAUAGCUGAGGUGUCCUCUUGCUUUAUUGGGGACGGGAGCGAGGCCCGUCCCGUCCGUCGCCGCUCCUCCUCGCUCUGACACGCGCCCUGGCCAUUUGGUGCAUGCGGUGCCAUGUAGGCAGGCAGGCAGGCAGCUGAGGUGGCGUGGUGGUAGGGUCUUCACGAAGAUCUGCAUGUCGCCACGCAGGUGUGUGCCGAGUUGGCCUGGAAGCUGCAUGUUGCCACGCAGGCGCCUGCCUAGUUGGUUGGGCUGGCAGCUGCAUGCGAACGGCGGCGGAGACUUGGAUGGUGCGGGCCUGGCGGUGGCCCAGCUGGCGUCCUUGGUGAGGGCCUUGCUGGGGCACGCUGCCGUCCCCGGCAAGGAUCUUGCCGAGGGUCUGGUGGCCUUCCUCGGCAAGGAUCUUGCCGAGGGUCGUCGUCUUCUGAUCCUCAUCUGAUCUUGAGUGUUCCUUGUCUUCAUAAAGAUCUGCAUGCCACCAUGGAGGUGCCUCCCGAGCCCUGGCCCAACAUGGUUGAUGAUGUUGGAGACCGUGGGCUCAAGGGUGGCUCGCUCUGUGGGGGUGGGGCGAGCUGCCCCGGCAAGGGUCUUGCCGGGGGAGAACCUGCUUCGUUCCUCUGCUCUUUGUGGUCUUUGGCCUUGAUGUUGCUCUGGUUGUCUUGGGCUACGGUUUUACCUCGGUUUACCUCCCCUGUUCUGCUUGGUGCGACCGUGGGCGCGGCUCCGACUGCCCGUGCACAGUUAAAGGGGUACAAAGGUGCGCCCCUUCUUUUGUACACCGACAGGAGCCCCCGGGCCUGGGCCACACAUAAGCGCGACACGUUGUUGGGCCAGGUCCAAAAUGGUGCGCGGGCAGGCGGGGCGGUUUUUACCGCGGUAAAACUUUUCGCACGCUUUGCUUCCCAUGACCCGCGCGCGGAAUGGCGUGGCGUGGAGGGGUGCGCGUGACGUGGGCGGCAUGCGUGGGGCGGUUCCCGCACGCAUGCGUCACAUCGUAGUAAAUGGGCAGCGCGACCCGCACCUUCCUCAUAAAAAGGGGGGUAACCAUGAGCGCACUGUUCCUUUUACCCUUCGCACAAUCCCAAUCUCGGAAGCCUCCGCUCGUCUUCCUCUUCUUUCCCAAGCUUCGCUCUUACUCGCCGCCAUUGUGUUCCCGCCGCCCUCUGCUUUGCCCUUCUCUCCCAGCCGCCAUGGCGCCGAAAUCCGUCAAGGGCAAGGGCGUGGCUAAGAACGCCGGAGCGGCGGAGCCGCCGGAGAGUGCGCUGGCAGUGCAGCGGACGCAGUCCGCCUUGUUCCCCUCGACAGUCGACGUGUUCGAGCUUCGGGAAGCCUUCAGGCCCCUGUGGGGGUGAAGACAGGGGAGAGAAGUCGGGGCAUCCAGCCACGCGCGUCAUCCCUGCCAACUGCGCCGAGGCUGCCCCAAAUCGGUACCCCUUCUUUGUUGACUAUUUUUCCUGCGGGCUUUGUCCUCCCUUCUCCGAUUUCUUCUGCGACAUCAGCACACCUUUGGCUUCUGCCUCUUGGAUUUUACCCCGAAUGCGGUGGCGUGCAUGGCCAUUUUCGCGCACCUCUGCGAAGGCUUCGCCAGGGUGCACCCCAACACGGCGCUCUUUCGCCAUUACUUCUCCCCUCAGAUCCAACCAGGGGGCGCCAUCUCCGGUUGCAUCACCUGGAUCCCAAGGUCCAAGGGGGCGUAUCCGGAGGGUGCCAUGAAGGAGAGGUGGGAAGAAUGGCGGGGCCGGUGGUGCUGGAUCGAAGAGAAGGACCCGUCGGCAUUCUGCGAAGUUCGCCGGGCGCCGCCGGUCCGCAGAAGCGAUUGGAGCGAUGUCGACGCCGACGACGAGAAGCUCACGGUCGCCACCACCAGGAUUCUUCGGCUGCCCGAGGCCGGGCUCACCCUUGAGAUGAUCGGGGCGGACUUCUCCGCCGCCGGAUCGCUCCACUGCACAACAAGGGGAGGCCGGACUGGCUCUUCACGAAUCCUGCCGACAUCAUGCGGCUUCGCCCCGGCCUCGACCACAACUUCACAGUGAUGGGGCAUGCCCAUUUCUGCCAGCGGCUCUUCCAGCUUGAUGUGGGCCGCGACGUCGAGGUCGAGCGGACCGGCAAGGUCGCGAGGGCCGCCGCCCAGCAAGGUCUUCAAGGGGCCCUUGUUCAAGCUACCGGCGGGAGUGGUCCCGCUGUGCAAUAAUUUGCACCGGACCGAGAUCAUCGCCAUGAUGCCGGACUGCAACGUGCAUGGCCGUGACCCGAGCUACAAGGAGCCGGAGGACGUCGAGGUGCAUCAAUUCUUUGACACUCUGCACGAGGGGUACAUCAAUGCUGACGCCGAGCGGCUGCUUGUCCAGGACACCACCCAGGCGGAACUGGACUACAUCGCCACCAGGGCGAGGGAGGCACAGCUUGCCGAGGAGGCCGGCAGCGCUGGUGGUGUGGAGGACAAGGCCGCGACGGCCGUGGAGGAGGAGGAGCUCGCCCGGUGGGCGGCGGGCGCCGGGGAGGCCAGCAGCACCGGCACCGAGGCUCCUCUGGUUGAGGGAGCGGUCGACGAGUCGUUGAAGGAGGAGGCCGGGGAUGUUGACCCUCCGGCGACGGGGAGAGGGCGAGUCCUGCAGGGAGCCACUUCCGGCGAGCCGGUGCGGUCCGCCAGGGCCGCGCGGUGGCCAAAGUCCCCCGAGGAGUCCGCGCGCCAGACGAGGGCCGCGGCGGCGAAGAAGGUGGUGAAGGCUGCGGCAGCGAGGAAGAAGGCAUCUGCUUCUUCUUCGUCCACGCGCCCGCAGACUCCGCCCUCCUCCCCUCCUCUGGCGGAUGCCGACGCGGGGGUCACUUUUGACUACGGGUCCCUCAGCCCGAGGAGGAAGAGGAAAACAGCAGAGGAGGAGGCGGACGACGAGUAAGUAUCUAGCUCCUUCCUGUCAUCUCUGCCUCCUCAAUCUGUGCCGCUUGUCUUGACUUGUUUUUAUCUUGGCAGGGAUGUGGAGACGCUGGCCCAAAGGGUGAAGAGGGCCAAUACCUCAGCAGGCGGCCAGCCCCUGGCCGGUACUUCAAGGGCGCCACUGGUGGUGCUGAGUAGCCCGGACAGCAGCCCCCGGUCCAGCCCUCAGCGUAAGCUCACCACCCUCCCCUUGUCCACAUGUGUCAGGGGUACGAUACUUUGGUGCUGACCUUGCCGGGUAUGCAAGAGGAGAACGGCAGCAGGAGGAGCCGCAGAGGGCUACUCCCAACAUGCCGCCCCCAUCGACCACGCCGCCCCGAGGGGCGUCCCCAGUAAGGGCGCCAAGCACCGAGCCCACGCACAUGGAGGAGGAGGAGGAGAACUUGGGCGCUGGCGGCUUUGCCUCGAUGCCAAAUGUUGGCGGGGAGGGGACUUCUUUUUCCCAGCCUGGCACCGACAGUGGUAAGUCGCUCGCCUCUCGUCCCUGUUCCUUUUUCUUUCUUGCUGACCCUUGGUCUUGGCCUUGCCUCACCCCCUUCUUCGGUGUCCAGAUUCCUCCUCGGUGAACCCAGAGGACGUGGAUGCCGUCAUCGAGGACGUCGCCAAGGCCGCCGAGGCGGACGCCGAGAGGAUCGCCGCUGAGGAGGCCGCCGAGGGCGCUGCUGAGGACGCCGCCAAGGGGCCUGCCGGGGAGGCCGUCAAGGCCAUCGCUGAGGAGACCGGCAAGGGGCCUGCCGGGGAGGCCGGCAGGGCUACUGCCGAGGAGGAGGUGGUCGCUGAUGACCAGCCUUCGUCCUCUGCUGCUUCCGGCUCCGGCAAGUACCUGAGGGUGAGUGACGACUUGUUCGUCCACCUUCCAGGCGCGUCGAGCACCAGGGCGCCCAUCGAGGGAGAGGUGUUCGACGACGAAGUGCUUGCCGGUGCCGGGCUUGAGGUCGUCGACGAGCCGAGCGUUGGUGGCGACGGCUCGCAAGAAGAGCGGCUCCUCCACGCCAUGGGCGCCAGCUUCCGGAAGCUCCAGGCGCUCUACCGCGCCCGCCUGGACAAGGCUAAGUCCAGGACGGCGGUGGUGGAGAAAGCGGAGGCGGACCUCCAGAAGCGCGUCGCCGAGACGCAGGACUGGUUCCGCCAGGCUCGCGACGAGCUGAAGGCCGCCCAGGGCAAGCUGGCCAAGCGUGAUGUGGAGCUCACCAUGAAGCUGGCUGACAUCAAGAAGGCCCAGGAGACGGCGGCGGGCUUGGCCGCGGCAGCCGAGGCCGCUCGAACCCAGCACCAGGCCGUGAUGAACUCCCAGGAGGAGGACCUCGCCGCGCGCGAGGAGAAGCUUGCCGCCACGCUUCGCGGCAAGGAUGAAGAGGUGGAGAAGCUUGUCUUGCAGUGGACCAGUGAGCUGGAGCAGAGGCACAAAGAGGCGCUCGAUGCCCAGGCCCAGGUUCAUGCUGACAAGGUGAAGGAGCUAGAGGCGGAGUGGGAUGGGUUGAAGGAGCAGGCCCUGAAGCUGUCCAAGGAGAAGGACACACUCAACAGCGCCCUGACGGAGGCGCAGGGCAGGGCGCGGCCGUCAGCAGGGCUGGGGAGCUCUCCGAGGCCAACAAGUCCGUCAAGGACCUCACACGGAAGCUGGAGGGCCUCGAGGGGAUGCUCACGGAGGCCAAAACCCGGGAGGGGAUCCUGGCCAAGGAGCUGGAGACCGAGAAGCAGCUGCAGAAGAACGAGGCCGCCGAGCACAAGGAUUUCAAGGAGGGCGUGAAACGCUGGAUCGGCCGCCUCAAGGACGUCGCCGGCAGGAUCAUCGUGCAGUUGGCUACCAUGGGGAUGCCAAGCGUGAGGUACGCCCCGAAGCACAGCGGGACCACCAACGCCAAGCUGACCUUGUUCUUCGAGUGUGUUCUCGGGGCCCUGGAGCAGCUUCACGCCAACCGUGCGGCCUCGCUGGCCGACGAGGCCCGGAGGCUUUGCCAGGGCGCCAUGACCAAGGUUCUGACCAAGGUGGCAUACUGGUACCCCGACCUCGACUUCGACGCCGUGCUGGAGAGCUUGCCGGAAGGUACCGACCUCGCGCCGCUCAGGGAGCACAUCAAGCCCAUCAUCAGCCGUGUCGGCGGAAUUCUAAGGGUGGAGGGCCAGCGCCGGGAUUAGGCACCCCGUUUCUUAUCGCCGCUGCAGGUUCACAACCAAGACAAUUGCUAUCUCUAGUUAGAACCGCAGCAACAAUUUGAUGUAAUAUGAUUUUGCAACACUUUUAGUAUCAGGCACGCUAUUUUCCCGUUCGAUUUUCCUUUGUGUGUCCACCCUACGUUAACCGGGCAGGUCUGCCGGCGCGUAAACCCAGGGCGGCGUCUUGGCGACGGAUCCCCAUUGGCCUGCCGGGUGUGCUUGCUGCCGAGUGAACCACCUUACCGCCCUUAGCACGGCCGCCCGAAUUGUCGAGUUUGACUCGAGUCAGAGUCGGGAGCGUUGCCAAGCGCGGAAGGCUACCCCGCCACUCUCGACGCGGCCGCUUUGAGCUGUUGAGCGGACUCGAAAUAGAACAAGGGCGUUGCCAAUUGCGGGAGGGCCCCUUUGCGUGCAGGUUUCUCACACAUAGGCAAGAUCUCCGAGGACGAUAACCUUAUAUAUAAAAGGAAGUAACUCAAAGUUCCGAAUGACUUAGCUUUUCUGCUGCCGCGCUGGCGUCCUUCGCGUUCGCAGGUAGCUCCCUUUUUCUCCUGGCCAUUUCCUUCUUGGGAGUCAUGGCGAUGAGGAACUGUCAGGCCAACUACUAGACCAGAUUCUCACAAUUGCGCCCCCUACCUAGCGCGCCAAAGAUGUCGGUGUGGAACGACACCUAUGGGAUCACAAGAAUCCCUACUAUGGUUGCCGGGGCGCAGGGUUGCGAGAAGAGUAGGAUAGUAAUCUGCACGAGGAUCGUUUACCCAGGUUUGGGCCGCGAGGAUGCGUAAAAUCCUAGUCCUGCUUUGGUGGGUGUAUUUCAGAGAGUUCUUGGGCUCUCGAACUAGCUAUGGUGAGUGUGUGGUUCGAAAGAGCCGAAUCCUUCUCCAGUAUGCCAUGGGCCUCCUUUUAUAGUCGAAAGGGGCUGCCACAGUGGCAUACAGGAGGUGGAAAGGCGCACAGUAUUGCGAGCUUAUCGCUCGUAUUACAAGACAAGGCGCAUUUAAUGCAUAGCUGAGGUGUCCUCUUGCUUUAUUGGGGACGGGAGCGAGGCCCGUCCCGUCCGUCACCGCCCCUCCUCGCUCUGACACGCACCCUGGCCAUUUGGUGCAUGCGGUGCCAUGUAGGCAGGCAGGCAGCUGAGGUGGCAUGGUGGUAGGGUCUUCACGAAGAUCUGCAUGCCGCCACGCAGGUGUGUGCCGAGUUGGCCUGGAAGCUGCAUGUUGCCAUGCAGGCGCCUGCCCAGCUGGUUGGGCUGGCAGCUGCAUGCGAAUGGCGGCGGAGACUUGGUUGGUGCGGGCCUGGCGGUGGCCCUGUUGGCAUCCUUGGUGAGGGCCUUGCCGGGGCGCGCUGCCGUCCCCGACAAGGAUCUUGCCGAGGGUCUGGUGGCCUUCCUCGGCAAGGAUCUUGCCGAGGGUCGUCGUCUUCUGAUCCUCAUCUGAUCUUGAGUGUUCCUUGUCUUCACAAAGAUCUGCAUGCCACCAUGGAGGUGCCUCCCGAGCCCUGGCCCAACGUGGUUGAUGAUGUUGGAGACCGUGGGCUCAAGGGUGGCUCGCUCUGCCGGGGGUGGGGAGAGCUGCCCCGGCAAGGGUCUUGCCGGGGGAGAACCUGCUUCGUCCCUCUGCUCUUUGUGGUCUUUGGCCUUGGUGUUGCUCUGGUUGUCUUUGGCUUCAAUUUUACCUCGGUUUACCUCCCCUGUUUUGCUUGGUGCGACCGUGGGCGCAGCUCCGACUGCCCGUGCACAGGUAAAUGGGUACAAAGGUGCGCCCCUUCUUUUGUACACCAACAGGAUACCAUCAAAUCAAAAUGAAGGAGUCCGACCAAGCCACGACAGCAUUCAUCACCCCAUAUAGACCAUUCUGCUUCAACAAUAUGCCCUUCGGGCUCAAAAACACUGGUGCCACCUACCAACGCAUGAUUCAAACAUGCCUGGAGAAACAGCUCAGUAAGACAGUUGAAGCAUAUGUGGAUGACGUCGUCAUCAAAACUAGGCACGUCGAGUCAUUGAUAGACGAUCUGCGACUCACAUUCGACAACCUCCGUACAUAUGACAUCAAGCUCAAUCCAGGAAAGUGUGUUUUCGGCGUUCCCGCUAGAAAACUGCUGGGCUUCAUCAUUUCCAAUAGAGGAAUUGAGGCAAAUCCAGCCAAAAUCCGAGCUUUGUCACAAUUGGCUAAGCCAACAGACCUUAAACAGGUCCAAAAACUAGCCGGAUGUGUGGCAGCUUUAAGCCGCUUUAUCUCCAGACUAGGAGAAAAAGCACUGCCACUUUAUCGCCUUCUCCGAUGCACCGACCACUUCGAGUGGACGGAUGCAGGGAACGGCCGGACUGGAAGAAAUAAAGGCUCUUUUAGCAAGCAACCCAAUCCUGGCCGCGCCGAACAUCGACAAACCCAUGAUAUUAUACAUAUCGGCAACUCACCAAGUGGUGAGCGUGGUGCUCGUCGUCGAGCGAGAGGAGGACGGACACAAAUUCCCGCUUCAGAAGAUGAUAUACUACGUAUCCACUGUCCUCACACCAUGCAAAUCCCAGUACCCUCAUUACCAAAAGAUAGCAUACGCGGUCUUCAUGGCAUCCCGGAAGGUACGACACUACUUUCAAGAGUGCUCGAUUACGGUGGCUUCUGAAGUACCACUGAAUGACAUAAUAAACAACCGUGAUGCCAUGGGCCGAAUCGCCAAGUGGGCCAUUGAGCUCCUUCCAUUCGCCAUAACAUACAAACCGCGCCGAGCCACUAAAUCCCAAGUACUCGCUGACUUCAUCGCCGAAUGGACAGAGGCCGAACUCCCUAAAGAGUAUGGCACAUAUUCCAACUGGGUCAUGCACUUCGAUGGCUCCAAAAUGCUGGCGGGCUUAGGAGCGGGUGUUGUCUUAACAUCCCCCACUGGAGAUACAGUUCAGUACGUACUCCAAAUAUUAUACACGGACUCCAACAAUGCAGCCGAAUACGAGGCCUUAUUACAUGGUCUUCGGAUGGCUGUCUCCAUGGGCAUACAACGCCUGGAGGUGCGCGGGGAUUCAAACCUCACAAUAUCCCAAAUAAAUGAUGAUUUCAACGUCAAAGAUCCAAAGAUGGCGGCCUAUCGUAACGCCGUUCUCAAAAUGUCGGCUCGAUUCGAGGGACCCGAGUUCCAUCAUGUGGCUCGAGAAUGUAAUCAAGCGCCGGACGUCCUCGCUCGCAUUGGUGCCAAGCGUGACCCCGUCCCGCCUAACAUCUUUCUGGAAAGGCUCUUCAAGCCAUCCGUGGUGUGGCAAGGGGAAAGCGGCAACACUAGUUCUGAUCCGAUUAUACCCCCGGAUUCCGAACACGAUACCGAUAUUAUCGAGGGCUCAGCCACCGAAAUAACACCAUCGGCCCAUCUUAUAAUGGCAGUAAUUGCCCCAUGGACCGAACCUUUCUUGGCAUACCUUAAUAGGCGAGAGCUCCCUGAGGGUCAGAAUGAGGCUCGCUACAUUGUCCGGCGCUCGAAAGCCUACAAGGUCCAUGACGUAGAGCUCUACAAGAAAAGCGUCACCGGAGUACUUCAAAGAUGUAUCUCCGAAGAAGAGGGAUGGCGGCUCUUGGCUGAAAUCCAUGCUGAUCUCGGUGGUCACCACGCCGCCGCUCGGGCCCUUGUGAAUAAGGCCUUUCGUACAGGUUUCUAUUGGCCGACGGCCCGAGGAGAUGCACAUGACCUUGUCCAACGUUGUGUCGGAUGCCAGCUUUUCGCCAAUUAAAGCCAUAUGCCACCCACCGCUCUACAAACAAUCCCCAUUACCUGGCCUUUCGCGGUCUGGGGGCUUGAUAUGGUCGAACCCCUUAAAGGAGGAAGCCAUAAGAAAAAAUAUCUGCUAAUCAUGGUAGAUAAAUUCACUAAGUGGAUAGAGGCCAAACCAGUUAAAACAGCCGAAGCCGGACCAGUGAUAGACUUCAUAUCCGGUGUCGUGCACCGUUAUGGCGUCCCACACAGCAUCAUCACCGAUAACGGCUCCAAUUUUUACAGCCGAUGAGGUGAAAACCUGGUGUGCUAAUCUGGGCAUUAAGCUCGAUUACGCCUCCGUCUAUCACCCGCAAACAAACGGUCAAGUCAAAUGAGCUAAUGGUCUUAUUAUGAGCGGCAUUAAGCCUAGACUAGUGCGGUCUUUGAAAAAAUCAGACAAGCACUGGGUUGAGGAGCUUGACUCCGUACUCCGUACUCUGGGGGCUGCGGACCACGCCCAAUCGUACUACGGAUACACACCGUUCUUCAUGGUGUACGACGCAGAGGCCGUGUUGCCCUGUGACAUUAUUCAUGACUCACCUCGAGUGCGCAUGUAUGAAGAGAGAGAGAGGCCGAGCUUGAUCGGCAGGAUAGUUUAGAUGUCCUGGAGGAGGAGCGCGAUGUUGCAAAAGCCCGUUCCGCACUGUAUCAACAACAGGCUCGUAGAUAUCACAGUAGAGAAGUGCGGGCCAAGACGUAUAAUGUUGGCGAACUCGUUCUACGCUUGCCAGAGAAGAAAAAGGACAAACUCAAGCCCAAUGGUGGAAGGAUGAGACUGCGUAUAAUCCAUGGACUCAACAUUAGUCAUAAAGAACUCACAUACUUAUUGCAAAUAUCUAUCAGUUAUCGAAACAAAGUACUACGCGCAUGUUCCUAGGGGGAUAGAUUGGUAGGAAAAGACAAUCGCUCGUCCCCGACCGCCACUCAUAAGGAAGACAAUCGAUAAAUAAAUCAUGCUCUGACUUCAUCAUAUAAUGGUUCACCAUACGUGCAUGCUACGGGAAUCAUGAACUUUAGCACAAGUAUUUCUCAAAUUCACAACUACUCAAUUAGCAUGACUCUAAUAUCACCAUCUUCAUAUCUCAAAACAGUCAUAAAGAAUCAAACUUCUCAGAGUAUUCAAUGCACUUUAUAUGAUAGUUUUUAUUAUACGUAUCUUGGAUGCUCAUCACAUUAGGACUAAUUUUUUUAACCAAAGCAAAUUACCAUGCUGUUCUAAAUGACUCUUAAAAUAAUAUAAGUGAAGCAUAAGAGAUCAAUAAUUUCUAUAAAAUAAAACCACCACCGUGCUCUAAAAAGAUAUAAGCGAAGCACUAGAGCAAAAUUAUCUAGCUCAAAAGAUAUAAGUGAAGCACAUAGAGUAUUCUAAUAAAUUCAGAUUCAUGUGUGUCUCUCCAAAAGGUGUGUACAGCAAGGAUGAUUGUGGUAAACUAAAAAUAAAGGACUCAAAUCAUACAAGACGCUCUAAGCAAAACACAUAUCAUGUGGUGAAUACAAAUAUAACCUCAAGUAAAGUUACCGAUAGACGAAGACGAAGGAGGGGAUGCCUUACGGGGCAUCCCCAAGCUUAGGCUUUUGGUUGUCCUUGAAUUUUACCUUGGGGUGUCUUGGGGAUCCCCAAACUUAGGCUCUUGCCACUCCUUGUUCCAAAAUCCAUCAAAUCUUUACCCAAAAACUUGAAAACUUCACAACACAAAACUCAACAGAAAAUCUCAUGAGCUCCGUUAGCAAAAUAAAAUAAACCACCACUUUAACGUACUGUAAUGAACUNNNNNNNNNNNNNNNNNNNNNNNNNNNNNNNNNNNNNNNNNNNNNNNNNNNNNNNNNNNNNNNNNNNNNNNNNNNNNNNNNNNNNNNNNNNNNNNNNNNNNNNNNNNNNNNNNNNNNNNNNNNNNNNNNNNNNNNNNNNNNNNNNNNNNNNNNNNNNNNNNNNNNNNNNNNNNNNNNNNNNNNNNNNNNNNNNNNNNNNNNNNNNNNNNNNNNNNNNNNNNNNNNNNNNNNNNNNNNNNNNNNNNNNNNNNNNNNNNNNNNNNNNNNNNNNNNNNNNNNNNNNNNNNNNNNNNNNNNNNNNNNNNNNNNNNNNNNNNNNNNNNNNNNNNNNNNNNNNNNNNNUACUAGCCAUAGAUUCAUCAAAAUAAGCAAACAACACACGAAAAACAGAAUCUAUCAAAAACAGAACAGUCUGUAGUAAUCUGCAUCAAACGCAAACUUCUGGAACUCCAAAAAUUCUACCAAAAUAGGAAGACCUAGAUAAUUUGAUUAUUGAUCUACUUCAAUUAGAAUAAAUAUUUUAUCACUUUAUGGUGAUUUUUAACAAUUGUUUUCGUGAGAAGAAAGUUUCUGUCUUCUUCAGCAAGAUCAAAUAAUUAUCACCCAAGAAGAUCCUAUAGGCUUUACUUGGCACAAACACUAAUUAAAACAUAAAACCACAUCUAACCAGAGGCUAGAUGAAUUAUUUAUUACUAAACAGGACCAAAAAGCAAGGAACAAAAAUAAAAUUGGGUUGCCUCCCAACAAGCGCUUUUCUUUAAAGCCUUUUUAGCUAGGCAUUGAUAAUUUUAAUGAUGCUCACAUCAAAGACAAGAAUUAAAGCACAAAUAGAGCAUCAUAGAACAUGUGAUAAACACAUCUAAGUCUAACAUACUUCCUAUGCAUAGGCAUUUUAUAAGCAAACAAAUUAUCAUAGCAAGCAAAAAUUAGCAUAUGCAAGGAAGAAGAAAGAGACGAUAGCAAUCUCAACAUGACGAGAGGUAAUUUAGUAAGAUAAAAAUUUCUACAACCAUAUUUUCCUCUCUCAUAAUAAUUACAUGUAGGAUCAUAGGAAAAUUCAAAAAAAUAGCUAUCACAUAACAUAUUCUCAACACGAUCCACAUGCAUGCGAAGUUGACAUUCUUCCAAAAUAGUGGGAUUAUCAUUAACUAAAGUCAUGACCUCUCCAAACCCACUUUUAUCAAAAAUACCAUAAGAUUGAACAUUCUCCAAAUAUGUGGGAUCUAAAGUUGACACUCUUCCAAACCCACUUUCAAUAUUAUUGCAAACACUAUUAUCAAUCUCAUAUGCAUCGUGGGGCUUAAAUAAAUUUUCAAGAUCAUAAGAAGAAUCACCCCAAUCAUGAUCAUUGCAACAAGUAGUAGACAUAGCAAAACUACCAUCCCCAAGCUCUAGGUUUUGCAUAUUAUUAGCACAAUUGACAUCAACAGAAUUUAUAGUACAAUCAUUGCAAUCAUGCUUUUUAUUCAAGGAGCUAUCGUGAAUCUCUUCAUAAAUUUCUUCAUCACAAUUUUCACAUUCACGAAUUUCAAGCAAAACCUCAUAAAGAUAAUCUAGUGCACUCAAAUAACUAGAAAUUGGUUCAUCAUAAUUGGAUCUCUUAAAAAGAUUAGCAAGGGGAUGAGGAUCCAUAAACUUUUAGCAAGCAAAGAUGCAAGCAAAAAGAAGGCACAUGGUAACACAAGAUCGAACGGAAGGAGGGAGAAGAAAAGGCAAAGGUUUUCAAAAAUCGUUUUAGAAGUGGGGGAGAGGAAAACGAGAGGCAAAUGGCAAAUAAUGUAAUGCGAGGGAUAAGAGUUUGUGAUGGGUACUUGGUAUGUCUUGACUUGUGCGUAGAUCUCCCAGGCAACGGCGCCAAAAAUGGCUCAUUGACGGGAGAUCAAAUGUUGACUUGACUUGGUGCAAAUCUCCCCGGCAAUGGCGCCAGAAAUCCUUCUUGCUACCUCUUGAGCAUGCAUUGGUUUUCCCUUGAAGAGGAAAGGGUGAUGCAGCAAAGUAGCGUAAGUAUUUCCCUCAGUUUUUGAGAACCAAGGUAUCAAUCCAGUAGGAGACUACACGCAAAUCCCUCGUACCCGCACAAACAAAUAAGUACCUUGCAGCCAACGCGAUAAAGGGGUUGUCAAUCCCUUCACGGCCACUUGCAAAAGUGAGAUCUGAUAGAGAUGAAUAGAUAAAUAUUUUUGGUAUUUUUUUGUAUAGAUUGAAAAGUAAAGAUUGCAAAAUAAACGGCGACAGAAAUAGCACGUUGGCGGGAGAUUAAUAUGAUGGAAGAUAGACCCGGGGGCCAUAGGUUUCACUAGUGGCUUCUCUCAAGAUAGAAAAUUCUACGGUGGGUGAACGAAUUACUGUCGAGCAAUUGAUUGAAAAGCGCAUAGUUAUGAGAAUAUCUAGGCAUGAUCAUGUAUAUAGGCAUCACGUCCGUGACAAGUAGACCGAAACGAUUCUGCAUCUACUACUAUUACUCCACACAUCGAUCGCUAUCCAGCACGCAUCUAGAGUAUUAAGUUCAUAAGAACAGUGUAAUGCAUUAAGCAAGAUGACAUGAUGUAGAGGAUAAACUCAAGCAAUAUGAUAUAAACCCCAUCUUUUUAUCCUCGAUGGCAACAAUACAAUACGUGCCUUGCUGCCCCUGCUGUCACUGGGAAAGGACACCGCAAGAUUGAACCCAAAGCUAAGCACUUCUCCCACUGCAAGAAAGAUCAAUCUAGUAGUCCAAACCAAACCGAUAAUUCAAAGAGACUUGCAAAGAUAUUAAAUCAUGCAUAUAAUAAUUCAGAGAAGAAUCAAAUAUUGUUCAUAGAUAAUCUUGAUCAUAAACCCAUAAUUCAUCGGAUCUUGACAAACACACUGCAAAAAGUAUUACAUCAAAUAGAUCUCCAAGAGAAUCGAGGAGAACUUUGUAUUGAGAUUCAAAGAGAGAGAAGAAGCCAUCUAGCUAAUAACUAUGGACCCGAAGGUCUGUGGUAAACUACUCACACAUCAUCGGAGAGGCUAUGGUGUUGAUGUAGAAGCCCUCCAUGAUCGAUUCCCCCUCCGGUGGAGCGCCGGAAAAGGCCCCAAGAUGGGAUCUCACGGGUACAGAAGGCUGCGGCAGUGGAAAUAGGGUUUUGUGGUGCUCCUGGAUGUUUUUAGGGUAUAUUAGUAUAUAUAGGCGAAAGAAGUAGGUCGGUGGAGCCACUAGGGGCCCACGAGGGUGGGGCGCGCCCUCCUACCUCGUGUCCGCCUCGUUGCUUCCUUGACGUCCACUCCAAGUCUCCUAGAUUGUGUUUGUUCCAAAAACGAUCCUCGCGAAGGUUUCAUUCCGUUUGGACUCCGUUUGAUAUUCCUUUUCUGCGAAACACUGAAAUAGGCAAAAAAAGCAAUUUGCACUGGGCCUCCGGUUAGUAGGUUAGUCCCAAAAUAAUAUAAAGUGCAUAAUAAAGCUCAUUAAACAUCCAAAAUAGAUAAUACAAUAGCAUGGAACAAUCAAAAAUUAUAGAUACGUUGGAGACGUAUCAUAUACCAAACUAACGGGAAUUUCUUUUCCAUCUGACCCUGGAGGUCCAACCCGGGCCAUAUGAUUCGGAUCAAGCUUGGUAUACCAUGUUUUUACCAUGGCGCAGGCCUCUCGCGCACCUUCUCGGCAGGCAGAUAUCUUCCAUAAUCGAAAACGCCGCCGCGCUCCUCUGAAUAGCUGCAGCAGAUCGCCUGAAGAUCUGCUUUUGGCUUAGUUUAGCUUGCCCAGCUCUUUUCUCCCCUCUCCCUUGUUCUCCCUUCCAGGCUCCUCAUGGCCUUGCACCAUGGUGCAAAAUAUGAACCCCAUGUACGGAUCUUAUGAUCCUUUGGCCUCGGCCUUUUGAAAUAUAUAAGGUAGAACAUGAUCUACCUUCUCAUUUAAAAAAAUAGCUGCACAAGCUCCUCCAUGCUUCCUGGAGGGGAGACGGAGCGCCACAAGGCCUUGGCAACACUCCGCAUUGCCUGCCGAGCUCGCUCGUGCAUUUGUGACAGCUCUUGCAGCAGAUCACCUGAAGAUCCCGACAUUUCCUCUUUGGGGCGGCCAAUCAGCAUCUCUACAGACAUAAAGCUAUCAGUUCCUUUCCUCGCCGAAUUACACGGAGGUAAGUUCGAAAGCAUACUGAAUAUGCCGCCUCGUAGCCUCUUAUUUUCCUUCACGGAGUCAGCUAGCUGGGCUCGAACAUCUUUCAGUUCUUCGCCCAGCAGGGUGUUGGAAUCCUGCAGCUUGCGCGAACAUCCUCCCUGACCCGUUUCAGCACAUGUUCGCCCGUGGCCAGUAGUCUUUUGGCUUCUUGUUCACCCGCUUGCGCGACUUUCAGCUCCUCCUUCAGUUGAUCUGAUGAUCCUGCCAUGAGAUGUGCAACAGUGUUAGUAUCGCUAGUAUAUGAUUAUAUUUUCUCGAUGGAGGGGAACAUUACCAGGCGAUGCCUUCUUGGAUUUCUCUAGUUCGGCGGUAGGAGCAGUUAGCUGGGUCCGACACUUUUCUGGUUCUUGAGACAACAGGUUCUUCUUCUUUGUAAGCACCUGGUUAUACAACGAUCCUUAAAUCAGUUGUAUCAACUACUUCAAUUCUUGGGUGCUACUGGUACAUAAUUAUCAGAUUUGUACAAUGUGAACUUACCCACAUAUCUUUCAAAUGUUGGUCUGUGGCUCUGGCAAGCCCAUCUCGAGCAGCUCGGAUGUAUGCAUUAGCCAAGCUGAAGGCAUUGAAUGCUUCUUUCGUAUAGCCAGGGUCGCGAAGAGCGGCCCUCUGACGCCGAUGAUUCAUGGCACUCUCCACUUCCGAGUUUGUGAUGGAUACAUCAUCUGAAUCCUCUGCCAAAGGACAGUCCAGCGUCACUCCCGUAUCAGCCCUUGUCUUUACGGCAGGGUCGGGAACCUGACUGUUGGGGGCGUUACAGGCAGGAUCCCCGGACAUAGUCCGGCGAACGCUCUUCCUGAUAAGACGCAACAGACAAUGUCACAGUUGGAUGUGACUGCCAAGGGACAUGUUUACAAAGCCAUACCUCUUUGAUGAAGGCUCGGUUGUGCCUUCGUUUGCCCUCCUCUUUGAAGGAUUGCCCGGUGUGGGCGCCGCUCUCUUUAGAGUCGCCUCUGGUGCAGCACGGCGCGCCGAGCGCCUCCCCUUUGGAGCACAAGGCAGUGCGGUGGGUGAGGUAGAACGAGGAAGCUCUUUUGGAGGAGAUGUCUCCUGAUUACUUACGUGUGAGGCAGGAAGGAGGCUGGGAUAGUCAGCUAUAAUGGCCACUUCUGUGCCAUCGUAGCUCGCCUGGUAAAAUACUCCCUCCUCAAGCUCUACAAAUAUGUCCGGAUCCUCUUCGAAUCCGGGGUCAAGAUCCCGGUUAUGGUCCUCCGGCUGUGGAACGGGGCUGUAGAUCCCCGCGAUGACCUUACGCCAUUCAUGUUACAAAUGGACAGGGUUCUUAUCGAUUAAAAGUGACUCAGGUAAAGGAUUGAGUAAGGUGGUGGGAUUAAAACUCACCCAGCUGGGAGGAUUGUACAUGGAAAAUCCCUCUUGGCGCUUAAGACGAGCGAACUCCUCUUUCUCCCCUUUAUACAGAUCGACUAGUAUUGCGGCCAGGGCGGUGAGGGAAUCCAUACCCUUUUGUCUGCAGCAUGAGGCGUCAUCUUCCCCGUUGAACUGCCACAUAGGGAGCACCCUAUAUUGGAGCGGCUGAACCCCUCGUGCUAUGGAAGUGGCCAUUACCUCGAUUAUUGAUAAUCCGGACUGGGCGAGCGUCUUUAUCUUGCCCAUCAAUUGACGGACUUCCACGCUAUCUUCCUCCUCGAGGCUCUGUGGGCGCCAGCUGUGGCGUUUCUUCAACGGAGCGCUUGAAAAUUCGGGAAGACCCAUUCAGACUUGGUCAGGGAGAGCGAUGUCCUCAAUAUAGAACCAUUCGGAAGGCCACUGUUCAGACGGCUUCUUCGGCGUGCCGGACAGGUAUCCGGUCCCAGCUAUGCGCCAUACCCCGGCACCGCCCACUUCGAAUAUCGAUCCCUCUUGGUUGCGAGGGACGAGGCAGAAUAGUUUCCUCCAUAACUCAGAAUGGGCCUCACAACCCAGGAAUAGCUCACAGAGAGCAACAUAACCCGCAAUGUGCAGGAUGGAGGCAGGAGUGAGAUUGUGCAGAUGGAGGCCGUAAUACUCUAGAAGUCCUUGGAGGAAAGGGUGGAUUGGAAAUCCGACGCCUCUUAACAAGUAGGGAACAAAGCACACUCGUUCCCCCUUGGAUGGAUUGAGGAAAUUCUCCGCUUGAGCCCCGCUGUUGAAGGAGGUCAAUCCUACCCAAAUGGGGACUAGAUCCGCGGGAGGAAGACAUCCGUACAUUUGCGGCCUCACCAACUGAUUGUGGGAUACAGAACAUCUUUCCCAAUCGCCUUUUUCGGAGCCGUGGGGGCGGGAAUAAGAACUGGGAGUGCUAGCCAUGUUGGAGUGGUUUCUCCUAGCAAGCUCUGAGGAUUUUCGGCUUGGUGUGGAAUGGAUCUGAGAUCCAGUCUCUUUAAAUAGACGCCUUUCUUACAUGGCCGGGGUGUUCUGUGCAAAAAAUACCCUGACCUCUCGUAUUCGCUCGACACGUGGAAGCUGAAGCUAUGGAUGCACAGAAGCCGAUGCGUGCGACAUUAAAUGGAAGACUGAAUACAGCUCUUGGAAGUCAGGUGCUUUGAAGUCAUCGGAGGAGGAACCCGCCUUGCAAUGCCGAAGACAAUCUGCGCGCCGGACACAUCGUCAUUGAAAGCUUGGUUUGGGGGCUACUGAGGGAGUCCUGGAUUAGGGGGUCCUCGGGCAUCCGACCUAUGUGACGUGGACCGGACUAAUGGGCUAUGAAGAUACAAGACCGAAGACUUUCACCCGUGUCCGGAUGGGACUCUCCUUGGCAUGGAUGGCAAGCUUGGCGUGCGGAUAUGAAGAUUCCUUUCUUUGUAACCGACUUUGUACAACCCUAGUUCCCUCUGGUAUCUAUAUAAACCGGAGGGUUUGGUCCGUAGAGGCAAUCACAAUCAUACAGCUAGACUUCUAGGGUUUUAGCCAUUAUGAUCUCGUGGUAGAUCAACUCUUGUAAUACUCAUAUUCAUCAAGAUCAAUCAAGCAGGAAGUAGGGUAUUACCUCCAUAGAGAGGGCCCGAACCUGGGUAAACAUCGUGUCCCCCGUCUCCUGUUACCAUCGACCUUAGACGCACAGUUCGGGACCCCCUACCCGAGAUCCGCCGGUUUUGACACCGAUAGUCCGCACGCUUAACGUUCGGUGAUGAUAGGUAUUAUGAGUUUAUGUGUUUUGAUGUACUGAAGGUAGUUCAGAGUCCUGGAUAUGAUCACGGACAUGACGAGGAGUCUCGAAAUGGUCAAGACGUAAAGAUCGAUAUAUUGGAAGCCUAUGUUUGGACAUCAGAAUGGUUCCGGAUGAGUUUCAGGCAUUUACCGGAGUACCGGGAGGUUACCGGAACCCCCCGGGGAGUAUAUGGACCUUAUUGGGCCUUAGUGGAAUAGAGGAGAGGAAGGGAAAAGGUGGAGGGCGCGCCCCCCUAGCCCAAUCCGAAUUGGGUGCCCCCUUCCUUCCCUCUCUCCUCCCCUUCCUUCUCUCCUACUCCUACUACUUGGAAGGGGGGAAUCCUACUCCCGGUGGGAGUAGGACUCCCCAGGGUGCGCCAUAGUAGAGGGCCGGCCCUCCCCCUCCUCCACUCCUUUAUAUAUGGGGGAAGGGGGCACCCCAUAGACACACAAAUUGAUCAUUGAUCUCUUAGCCGUGUGCGGUGCCCCCUCCACCAUAAUCCACCUCGCUCAUAUCGUUGCAAUGCUUAGGCGAAGCCCUGCGCCGGUAGCUUCAUCAUCAUCAUCAUCAUGCCAUCGUGCUGACGAAGCUCUCCCUCGACACUCUGCUGCAUCGUGAGUUCGUGGGACGUCACCGAGCCGAACGUGUGCAGAUUGCGGAGGUGCCGUACUUUCAGUGCUAGGAUCGGUCGAUCGUGAAGACGUACGACUACAUCAACGACAUUGUCAUAACGCUUCCGCUUACGGUCUACGAGGGUACGUGGACAACACUCUCCCCUCUCAUUGCUAUGCAUCACCAUGAUCUUGCAUGUGCAUAGGAAAUUUUUGAAAUUACUAUGUUUCCCAACAGAUGUGUAGGUCGACAAAUUCUUGUAGGGCGAGGCACCUCACGGCGAGUGUGACCUCCAAGUGGACAAUCUUCGUGGCGUCGGCGGGCAGUCGCAGGGCCACCAGUGCUUGAAAGAGGUUCCGGCCAUGGAGGCCGAUGAUACGUCCAUUUUGCAUCAUGCUUUUAUAUCGAUAUUUAUUGCAUUAUGGGUUGUUAUUACACAUUAUGUCACACUACUUAUGCUUUUUUCUCUUAUUUUACAAGGUUUACAUGAAGAGGGAGAAUGCCGGCAGCUGGAAUUCUAGGCUGGAAAAGGAACAAAUAUUAGAGACCUAUUCUGCACAGCUCCAAAAGUCCUGAAACUUCACGGAGGCAGUUUUUGGAAUUAAUAAAAAAUAAUGGCGAAAGAAUCAACCAGAGGGGGGUCACCCACCAUCCACGAGGGUGGGGGGCGCCCUACCCCCUGGGCGCGCCUCCUGCCUCAUGGGCCCCCUGGUAGGCCUCCGGUGCCCAUCUUUUUCUAUAUGAAGUCUUUCGCCCUGGAAAAAAAUGAGAAGGAAGCUUUCGGGACGAAGCGCCACCGUCUCGAGGCGGAACCUUGGCUGAACCAAUCUAGGGCUCCGGUGGAGCUGUUCUGCCGGGGAAACAUCCCUCCGGGAGGGGGAAAUCAUCACCAUUGUCAUCAGCAUCAAUCCUCUCAUCGGGAGGGGGUCAAUCUCCAUCAACAUCUUCACCAGCACCAUCUCAUCUCAAACCCUAGUUCAUCUCUUGUAUCCAAUCUUUGUCUCAAAACCUCAGAUUGGUACCUGUGUUUCGCUAGUAUUGUUGAUUACUCCUUGUAGUUGAUGCUAGUUGGUUUUUUUGGUGGAAGAUCAUAUGUUCAGAUCCUUUAUGCAUAUUAAUACCCCUCUGAUUAUGAACAUGAAUAUGAUUUGUGAGUAGUUACGUUUGUUCCUGAGGACAUGGGAGAAGUCUUGCUAUAAUUAGUCAUGUGAAUUUGGUAUUCGUUCGAUAUUUUGAUGAGAUGUAUGUUGUCUUUCCUCUAGUGGUGUUAUGUGAACGUCGACUACAUGACACUUCACCAUUAUUUGGGCCUAGGGGAAGGCAUUGGGAAGUAAUAAGUAGAUGAUGGGUUGCUAGAGUGACAGAAGCUUUAACCCUAGUUUAUGUGUUGCUUUGUAAGGGGCUGAUUUGGAUCCAUAUGUUUCAUGCUAUGGUUAGGUUUAGCUUAAUACUUCUUUUGUAGUUGCGGAUGCUUGCAAUAGGGGUUAAUCAUAAGUGGGAUGCUUGUCCAAGGAAGGGCAGUACCCAAGCACCAGUCCACCCACAUAUCAAAUUAUCAAAGUAAUGAACGCGAAUCAUAUGAGCGUGAUGAAAACUAGCUUGCCGAUAAUUCCCAUGUGUCCUCGGGAGCAUUUUUGUGUCAAGUUAUACUUCAAAUCCAGCAAGUUGAACCUCCCCAUGAAUUUUCUUCCAUUUAUUCCUUAUCAAAAAUAUUUUCUACCUUCUAUUUUGAUCCUUGGAGGUUUACAAAGGAACUACCAUUUUUACUUUGAGUUUGGCCUCCAAACCUUUUUCCCUGGCUAGUCCUUAGAGCCCUCAACCAAGAUCCAUGAAGAUCCACUGGUCUCCAGUUCAAAUAUUUCAAACUGUGCUUGCUGCAAGUUUGGACCAUAUUUGCCAAAUUUGAUGAAAUUCAUUUGUUUUCUCCUCCUAAAAUCUGAGAAAAUUCAGGCAGCCUCUGGAUGCAUUGAGAGGUCACCUCACCAAGUCCCAGCUCCAGAAAUUUUUUUCUUCAUGCCAAAUCAUUUCGUUGAACACCUGAAGGGCACUGUCACUGUCAAGUUCAGGUAUUCAGAGUUACAGUUUCAGUGAGCACUAUCGUUUUCUUUAGAAACCGUUCUCGAUCUUGCCAGUAGCCGCGGUGGCGCCUUGCGCCCUGUGCUCCCUUCUUAUCCCCGUGCCGCAUGAUCGCCUGGAGGUUUGCGAGCGUCGGCGACGAGCAGGAGGAGGUGCGCCACCCCGUGAGCGACGGCAGCAGCGCCCUUUGUGGCCGCCAGUGAGGCGCAGCGUUGGACGGCGCCGUCCAGCGCCGCCCAAGCCACCAGAGGCCACCGCGUGGCCAUCCACUCACCCGUGAACGCUGCAGUCCGUCGUCGUGAACUGGUAGGCGCGGAGCGCGCUCCCUGCCGCCGCCGUGCCCGUACGGCCGUCCUGUCGAGGAUCGGUGCAUUACGCCUAGGCCGACCGAGGUUUAGCGGGGGAACGACACCAGUGAUCCUCCCUGAUGGUGCCUAGCCUCCUAAACCCCCUGCCCAACCUCUGCCUCGCCGUAAUUGCUCGCCGGAGCUAUCCCGUUCACGGCCACCCCCUCGGAUCGCCUAUAAAAGGAGGCCCCGAGCUCGAACUCGAACCCGCACCACCUCCACACACUGCCAAUACCACGCCAAGCCACUGGAAGAGCCCCGAGGGAGCCUUCUUCCCCAACUCCGGCCGCCUCGACCCGCCACGGGACCCAGCUCGAUUCACCCCCGUGCGUGCACCUCUACCUCUCAGCUCAUGCCAGUAGUCUCCUAGUGCAUCCACUCUUCUGACCCGCGCAUCAAUUUGGAGUUUGCAGCACCCACCGGAGUACUCCACCAUCGCCCGAACCACCGUCCGCCGGAGAAAGUGUCGCCGUCGACGUGGUGCUCUCCGACGGCCAAGUCCACCACCCACCGACGCGGAAGAACACCCUGAACCUCUUGGUACCCUCCGAUCUCUCUGCCUCGCCGUGGUUCAGCGCCGGCGACACCCGCAGCCUUCGGGCGCCGGCGAGCUCCGUUGGGAGUUUUAAACCUGACGGGUGGGACCUCCCCGUCAGCCUCUCUUCUUUCCCCCCUCGAACCGUUUUCUGAUAGCGCCUUCGGGCAGAAUGCAUUUUCUCUUUGGGCUGGCGCAUUUCAUUCUGAACUGUUUUCUGUUUUCUCAAACAAGUCCCUGGAUCUUUUCUGUUUCAUCACAGAUCAGUCCUUGGACUAAAACCCUUAUAUCUGUUUAAUAAAAGAUGAUUUUUGAUUGAUUCUUUUUCUGUCAGUCUUAUAUUUUUGUCUAGUUUUUUAUAGUAUUUAUUUGGAAUAUUUUGGAACAAUUUUUAUUCACGCAACGAUUUUCACGUUAGUAUACGGUUUCGUUAUACCGUAGGUUCCGGAGGAGGUGACGGAGCCGCGAACUUCGCCGAACUAGACUCCGACUUCUCCGAACCAAGCAAGCAUGUUUGAACCUUGGAUAUGAUAGGUGUUUUGCGUGUUUGCUUGAAUGGUUUGUGCAUGGCAUAUGAGCAUCGGUGAGUAUCACGUUGCAUGUAAGGCAACUAACCGUAUGUUCCGAAGUUACUGUGAUCUUUGAUGAGAGAUGACCUGAUCAUGUGGUGACAUGAAAGGCAAUAAGAAGGUAUUGUUGUAGCAUGCCAGUCUUACGUCAUUCGAUAAACUCCGACGUUAACGUGGACUGAGCCACGUUACCAUUCUUCCCCUUUCGUGCUGCCACAUGUCUUCUGCAAAGAGUACGGUUUAGUAAGUUGCUAACCUCCUUCCUUGUACACACCAAAUAGAGGGGCCGGGAUGAGGGUACCAUGGCCCUGGAUUAAAGCCAGUCAUCCGGUCAAGGGGCAUGGGUGUUUCCGGUUGGGACCGAGAGGGGGGCACCCCUUAGAGCGCGCGGUAUAAAUUUGAUCCCAUGCUACGCGAGGUUGUAGCCUCCCCGUCUCAAGGUUUUUCUUGAACGUUGCCGAGGGUGAUUCCUGGCAUCGGAAUGUUGAAUGGGUGUGUACUCGUUAGAUGUGUUUCUCCUAAAACACCGUAAACGGAACUAGUCCCUUGCGGCUACUGAAAUCCGUUGGCUGUGGUUAAGAGUACAAACUCUGCAGAGUCAAUUCCUUCCGAGUCAUCGUGUCCAUGGUCAAGGACCAUGGCCAGCAUAUCCAUAUCCAUGUCAGUCCCUAUGUCAGUCUCCAUGGUAAAUCCCUGGUGAACAAGCUUGAGUGGUAAACCCGGUUGAAUUGUUAUUCCUGUGGAUGGACUAACCUUUUGUUUAUCUCGUACCUGAAUAUUUCCUUGAAAUGAUUUAAUUUCAUGAGCUGCUGAAAUAUCAAGUUAUGUAAUAUAAGCCCUUUAUGUGACGUCGCUCAGACGUUCGACUGUGGCACGCUCGUUAUUUACUUUUGAUAUAAGCCCUUUAUAUGAUGUCGCUCAGACGUCCGACUGUGGCACUCUUGUCAUUUACUUUUGAUAUAAGCCCUUUAUGUGAUGUCGCUCAGACGUCCGACUGUGGCACGCUCGUUAUUUACUUUUGAUAUAAGCCCUUUAUGUGAUGUCGCUCAGACGUCCGACUGUGGCACGCACUGUCAUUUAUUUUCCACUAUAAGCCCUUUAUGUGGUGUCGCCUUGACGCCCGACUGCGGCAUUGUUAUUUCAUUUGUAUACUUUCGAGGAGUCAUUCAGACACUCGAUUGGCCUUCAGUAUUACUUUGGGAUUUUGGGAGGACUACCGCCCGACUUCCCUUUUUUUCCCCAUGCAUUGCUAUCUCCUUGUCUGAGUGCGCUCUGUUAAUCCGUUCAUAUGCAUCAUGUUUACAUUUGUUAUAUCUUAUGUCCGAACUGUCUUGCGAGUACUUUCAUAGUACUCACCUGGCUUGUUGAUUUGGCCAGAUAUUGACGAAGGCGAUCUCAUGGAUGAAGAGUUUGAUAGUGAGUCCGACGCCUAGAGGAGUCCCAGUCAGUCCCGUGCGAUCCUGGAUUUUGGUCACUUGUAUUAUAUACGCUUCCGCCACCCGCAAUAAGAAUCCUCGAGCCUCACUCCGACGCUCGAAGAGCUGUAGAUUCAGGAGUCAUGUCACCCACUUCACUGUGACAUACCCACCACCGCUUUUAUCGUGAGUCAGUAGUAUGCCACCCUAUCCGCCUCUAUGUAUUAUUGGCGUGUUGUAAUAAAUUGUUGAGCAGUCUCCGCUCAACCUUGUAUUAUAUUUAGUACUCCUGGUUUUUUUUCUGUGAUCAAAAUAUUGUCUACCAGUGAGAAGGAUUCUUCUCUACUGGUCCGUAAAAGGGAUCGGUUUCUCAAUAAAUAUUUUUAUUGGAAAACCGGUCGUGACAAGCUUGGUAUCAGAGCCAGGCUGACUGUAGGAAGCCACUAGGUGCGAUCGCUAAUCGGUUAUUAGCGUUUUUAGUGCUUUUUCAGCAUUUUGCAAAUGUAGCUAUUUUCUGUUGGUCAACAUAAAUUUAUGAUAUGACUACUCAGAAUUUUUGCCUACUUUUGUAGAUGGCUGGCAGCAACUGCGAGACUCGGGUGUUCACUAAUGUGCCCGAGGGGUUUGUCAAACUCCUCGUCCCCAUCACCAAGCUCGCGAUCGGGCCAGCAACUCGUCCGGAGUUCACGCUUUACCAGCACAAGCUCAGCGACGACGUGUCUAUGCACCAGGCCGUGGUGCAAUUCAAGGGAGGACGUUCUGCGUCUCGCCACUUCCGUUUUGUGGGAAGGGCCAUGCCUACGGAGAGGCAUGCCAUGCAGAUGGCUGCCCGUGAGGCGAUAGCUCGCCUUCGGGACAUUCUUCCUUCGAUGAAGACUCGUCGCUACCGCUACCUCCCAUGCCAUGUGCCAUAUACUUGUCACUAUGCAUUCGCCUGCCAUAGGGGAGAUCGAGAUGAAGCUAUCGAGAUGCUUGUUGAGUAUCUCAAGGCUCUGGAGGCAGCUUUCGACGACCUCGUGGACGGCCUUGUGGCUGCCCGUAUGGACUUAGUUCGGGGAUAUUUUGCCAACAGGAGGGAGCUUCUCCAGAUGGCACCACCACUGACGUUCGUCUCAUCCUCAGCAUCCUAUUCACCUGCCAUUUUGGCCACCGCUCGCCGUCUGCCUACCACUGAGGAGUUCGACCAGGUCAUUGCUCCUACUCCAGUCAGAGCUGCACCGCCUGCCGCACCCACACUACCGCCUGUUGCACCCGCGCCAUCUCCUCAGCGCAGUGCUGCGCGCCUGGAGCCUAUUAGGGAGGAGGUGGAGGUUGAGUCUCCUGCACCGCUGGGUCUUACCCUCGGCAAGGGGAAGGACAUCUUCACCAUCUCCGACUGAGUGCGCCUAGUAGCCGCGUGAUGUAUCUGCAUGUAUGUUGUGUUUUAUAUGUACUUAAGUUUGUGGUUGUUGUGUGCGCAUCAUGUAGGAUCCCGGAGGAGUGUGCUAGCCUAAUAACAUGUCAGGAGUAUGUACGCACAUCCUGAGUGAUGUAUCGUAUGUUUGCGUAUCACGUGUAUGAUCCUUCUCCAUGCGCAAUCAAAUAUUUUCUUGAAAAAAAUCUUGAGGUCUUUUAAAUUUUUUGCCUUGCAAGAUUUUCCUUGUGCCACCCAGUUUUUCUCAUGAUUUUUGCAAAAUAAUACCCCAGAGUGGAAAAUGUCUCGUCCGUGGACUCGUUCCAUGCCAAAUCCACCCGAAGAAGUUUAUGGAACACAGACAAGCAACAACUUCACACAGGGACAGUCUAGUCAACAGGACAGCGAGGCAGCCUUAUCUCAAGUAUGCCGCCUCUUCGAACAAAGCCAGCAACAGCACCAAGAGAUGAUGAAUCACGUCAUCAAUAUGGGAAAUCACCGUGAGCCAUACCAGCCACACUCCAAGUUAUCUGAACUACAGAAGACACGCCCUCCAACAUUUGCUCACACUGAUAGGCCACUUGAAGCCGAUGAUUGGCUUCGUGACAUCGAAAGAAAGUUGAUUAUUGCUCAAUGUUCUGAUCAUGAGAAGGUGCUUGAUGCACCUCACUACCUCACUGGAGCAGCUGCAGCAUGGUGGGAAAACUUCCUACACAUGCAUCCCAGUGAACACAACAUUACCUGGGAAGAGUUUAAGGAAGGCUUUCGUGGGGCACACAUCCCCAGGAGCAUCAUAAAGAACAAGAAAAGAGAAUUUGAUGACCUCAAGCAGAGAGGCAUGACAGUGACAGAAUGCAACAGUCAGUUUACCCAGCUAUCUUGUUAUGCCUACGAUGAGCAUAUGACUGAGAACAAAAGGAUGGAAAAGUUUUUGGACGGCCUGGCGCCAGCACUAAAAUGCCAACUGGUCGUACACACUUUCCCAGAUUUCAAAACUCUGGUUGACAAGGCCAUUACUUUGGAGAAUGAGCGCCGCAGUCUGGAGGAUAUUCGUAAGCGAAAAAGGGACAAGACGACUCUUGCUCGUAAUAACCGGAGCAAGACUGAUGUUCAGAGGAAUGAAGCAAGAAAAUCCACGACUACUGCUCUAAGGCCAACCAGACAGUUUCAUUCAAGGGACAAGGACUUUACUUACCGUCCAGGGGUCACUUGCUAUGCUUGUGGAGAGGAAGGGCACUAUGCCAAACAGUGCCCAAAACCAAGGAACUCGGCCCCCAAGCCGAACAAUGGUGGGAAUAAUCCAGCCCCCAAACGCAACAAUUUCAAUCCCAACAACAAUCACAGGAAGGGUCACCUGAACCAUGUGACCAAGGAAGGAGCACAGAAUGCCCCAGACAUCGUACUUGGUACGUUCCCUGUCAACACAGUACCUGCCACGGUUUUGUUUGAUUCUGGAGCUUCUCACUCGUUCAUUUCGAAGAGUUUCGUUUUGCAACAUGUUUUUCCGAUUCUUCCUUUGGAAAAAUCUAUGAUUAUCAAGUCCCCCGGGAAUAAGCAGAUCACUCAGAGUUACUGCCAAGGAGUGAUUAUUGAAUUCGAAGGACUAAAGUUUCAGGCUAAUCUCAUCGUGUUGGAAAAUAAAGGACUGGAUGUUAUCCUAGGGAUGGACUGGUUGACCACCAACAAGGGAUUUAUUGACUGUUUUAAUCGGACUGUGAUUCUCACUCACCAUCACGGCAAGACAAUAAAGGUUACAGCUCAAGAGAGACCACGGUCACGGCAACCAAAGUUGAACAAAGUGGACAUCUCAGAAUUGAGAAAAGUUCCAGUGGUGUGCGAAUUUCCUGACGUAUUUCCUGAAGAACUACCAGGCAUGCCACCAGACCGAGAGAUAGAGUUCAGCAUUGAACUAGCACCUGGCACCACCCCUAUCUACAAGAAACCUUAUAGAAUGGCACCCUCAGAGUUGGUAGAAUUGAAGAAGCAAAUCAAGGAAUUACUGGAUAAAGGAUUUAUUCGAGCCAGCUCCUCACCUUGGGGUUCGCCAGUAUUAUUCGCCAAGAAGAAGGAUGGGACACUGAGAUUGUGUAUAGACUACCGAGCUCUCAAUAUGGUCACCAUCAAAAACAAAUAUCCAAUGCCACGGAUAAAUGAUUUGUUUGACCAGCUCGCACAAGCCAAGGUGUUCUCAAAAAUUGAUUUGAGAUCGGGAUAUCAUCAAUUAAAAGUACGGACAGAAGAUAUCCCUAAGACAACAUUCACCUCCAGAUACGGGUUAUAUGAGUUCACAGUAAUGACAUUUGGACUGACGAACGCCCCCGCAUAUUUUGUCCACCUCAUGAACAAAGUGUUUAUGAAAUUCAUGGACAAAUUUGUAGUGGUGUUCAUUGACGAUAUUCUGGUAUACUCAAGGACACCAGAAGAACAUGCUGAGCAUCUCAAAAUUGUGUUGGGAGAAUUAAGGAAACAUCAAUUGUACGCCAAAUUUAGCAAGUGUGAAUUUUGGCUAAGACAAGUUGGUUUUCUGGGCCAUAUAUUGACCCAAGAAGGCAUGGCCGUAGACCCAGAAAAAGUCACAUCCAUACUUGACUGGAAACCACCAGCCAACGUAACAGAUGUAUGGAGUUUCCUAGGAAUGGCUGGGUAUUACCGAAGAUUUAUUGAAGGGUUCUCCACUGUGGCAAAACCAAUGACCCAGUUGCUCAAGAAAGACAAGAAAUUUGUAUGGACUGAAGCGUGCGAGAAAAGCUUCCAAGAGCUCAAGAAGAAACUAACAACAGCACCGGUUUUGAUCGUGCCAGACAUACACAAGAGUUUUGAAGUGUAUUGUGACGCAUCCCGGAAGGGCCUCGGGUGUGUAUUGAUGCAGGACGGCAAAGUUGUCGCGUAUGCUUCCAGGCAACUGCGGAAGCAUGAGGAAAAUUAUCCUACUCAUGACUUGGAGCUAGCAGCCGUCAUCCAUGCACUCAAAGAGUGGAGACACUUUCUACUGGGAAAUCAUUGUGAAAUGUAUAUGGAGCAUAAGAGCCUUAAAUAUAUUUUCACACAACCAGAGCUAAAUUUACGACAACGACGCUGGUUGGAAUUGGUCAAGGACUAUGAUGUCGGCAUUCACUACCAUCCAGGGAAAGCAAAUGUAGUGGCAGAUGCUCUUAGUCGGAACCCCAGCCCGGGCAACGACAGUCCACAGAACUUGAGGCCUGAGUUUCAGCAGGAGUUCGCUAGACUCAACAUGGUGUUAGUCUCUGAGGGCACCAUAUCAAAUCUGGAGAUACAUCCCACCCUAAUGGAACAAAUUAAGAAGGCUCAGCAGGGACAUCCCAGCAUCGAAGGUAUAAAGAUAAAAAUGAGCCUUGGCAAGGCUUCAGAGUUCGUCACAGACAAUGAGGGAAUAUUAUGGUACGGGGACAGACUUUGCGUACCAAACAUUGAGGGACUCAAGCAGCAAAUCCUAACCGAAAGCCACACCGCUCCAUACUCGAUCCACCCUGGAGGAACCAAAAUGUACAAAGACAUUCAGGAAAGAUUUUGGUGGCACGGUAUGAAAAGGGAUAUAGCCGCAUUCAUUGCUUGUUGCGAUUCAUGUCAGCACACUAAAGCCGAGCAUCAAAAGCCAGCAGGGCUGCUACAGCCAAACCAUAUACCUGAAUGGAAAUGGGAUGAAAUUGGGAUGGACUUCAUUGUCGGACUACCUCGAUCACAACGCGGAAAUGACGCCAUAUGGGUCAUCACAGAUAGGCUAACCAAAGUAGCACAUUUCAUUCCCAUGAAGACGACCUACUCCACUCAAAGGCUUGCUAAGCUUUAUCUCUCCCUUAUAGUUUGUCUGCAUGGAGUCCCAAAGACUAUAAUAUCCGACCGAGGCACUCAAUUUGUCUCUAAAUUUUGGGAUCACUUACAACAAGCUCUGGGCACGCAACUAGCAUUCAGUACAGCAUACCACCCCAGACUGAUGGACAAACUGAAUGCGUGAACCAAAUCCUAGAAGACAUGCUGAGAGCCUGUGUGCUCACCUAUGGAUCCAGUUGGGAAGAAAGUUUGCCGUAUGCCGAGUUUGCUUACAACAACAGUUACCAGGCCAGCUUACAAAUGGCACCUUUUGAAGCAUUGUACGGACGGAGGUGUCGUACCCCACUAAAUUGGUCAGAGACGGGUGACAGUCGUAUCUUCGGCCCAGACAUGCUCAAGGAGGCCGAGGAGAAAGUUAAACAGAUCAGGGACAAACUCAAGACAGCUCAAAGCCGACAAAAGAGCUAUUACGACCGAAAACAUCGUGAGGUCAGCUUUGAACCCGGUGAAUAUGUAUAUCUACGAGUGUCUCCUAUGAGAGGCCUGCAACGGUUCAAAAUUAAAGGGAAGCUAGCCCCAAGAUUUAUUGGACCCUUCUGUAUAGUUGCACGAAGAGGCACAGUAGCCUACCAGCUGGACCUACCCAAGGAGCUGUCAGACGUCCAUGACGUGUUUCACGUCUCACAGUUGAGAAAAUAUGUAAGCAACCCGGAGAAGCAUGUAUCUCAUGAGAGCAUUGAUGUGCAACCAGACCUCACCUACAGAGAGCGGCCAGUAAAGAUUUUGGAAGAGUUUGAAAGGAGGACCCGUCAGAAAACAACUAAAAUUUUCAAGGUUCAGUGGAGCAAUCACACUGAGGAUGAAGCUACAUGGGAAAGAGAAGAUUUUCUUCAGGCAGAGUACCCACAUCUAUUUGAGAAUCAGCUGAAAUCUCGGGGAUGAGAUUUUUCCUAAGGGGGUAGGUGUUUUGACACCCAAAAAAAAUUUAUUUGGCUUUUUCAAACUUUUAUUUGAUUUGAGGGGUGUUAUUUAAAAUUUUCUUCUAAAGAACUCUCCCUCUCAAAAACUUUCUUUUAUGACAAGUGUUUUGUUUGGAUUCACCCAAGACUUGAUUUUUGGUCUUGGAGGUUUUUCCUUCUUAUGUGGACUCAAAACCAAAUGCUUUUCACUUGGGAAAUUUCUUUUGAAAAAUCUUUUAAAUAGCCCUAUGGCAUUUGGAGUGAUCUUUUCCCCUUUUCAAAAUCUCCUCUUGCCAUGACAUGAGUGGAAAUCCCCUCCCGAAAGCCAUUCCCCAUCUUUGUGUCAAGUUAUACUUCAAAUCCAGCAAGUUGAACGUCCCCAUGAAUUUUCUUCCAUUUAUAACUUAUCAAAAAUAUUUUCUGCCUUCUAUUUUGAUCCUUGGAGGUUUACAAAGGAACUACCAUUUUUACUUUGAGUUUGGCCUCCAAACCUUUUUCCCUGGCUAGUCCUUAGAGCCCUCAACCAAGAUCCAUGAAGAUCCACUGGUCACCAGUUCAAAUAUUUCAAAUUGUGCUUGCUGCAAGUUUGGACCAUAUUUGCCAAAUUUGAUGAAAUUCAUUUGUUUUCUCCUCCUAAAAAUCUGAGAAAAUUCAGGCAGCCUCUGGAUGCAUUGAGAGGUCACCUCACCAAGUCCCAGCUCCAGAAUUUUUUUCUUCAUGCCAAAUCAUUUCGUCGAACACCUGAAGGGCACUGUCACUGUCAAGUUCAGGUAUUCAGAGUUACAGUUUCAGUGAGCACUGUCGUUUUCUUCAGAAACCGUUCUCGAUCUCGCCAGUAGCCGCGGUGGCGCCUUGCGCCCUGUGCUCCCUUCUUAUCCCUGCGCCGCACGAUCGCCUGGAGGUUUGCGGGCGUCGGCGACGAGCAGGAGGAGGUGCGCCACCCCGUGAGCGACGGCAGCAGCGCCCUUUGCGGCCGCCAGUGAGGCGCAGCGUUGGACGGCACCAUCCAGCGCCGCCCAAGCCACCAGAGGCCACCGCGUGGCCAUCCACUCACCCGUGAACGCUGCAGUCCAUCGUCGUGAACUGGUAGGCGCGGAGCGCGCUCCCUGCCGCCGCCGUGCCCAUACGGCCGUCCCGUCGAGGAUCAUGCCAGUAGUCUCCUAGUGCAACCACUCUUCUGACCCGCGCAUCAAUUUGGAGUUUGCAGCACCCACCGGAGUACUCCACCAUCGCCCGAACCACCGUCCGCCGGAGAAAGUGUCGCCGUCGACGUGGUGCUCUCCGACGGCCAAGUCCACCACCCACCGACGCGGAAGAACACCCUGAACCUCUUGGUACCCUCCGAUCUCUCUGCCUCGCCGUGGUUCAGCGCCGGCGACCCCCGCAGCCUUCGGGCGCCGGCGAGCUCCGUUGGGAGUUUUAAACCUGACGGGUGGGACCCCCCCGUCAGCCUCUCUUCUUUCCACCCCUCGAACCGUUUUUUGAUAGUGCCUUCGGGCAGAAUGUGUUUUCUCUUUGGGCUGGCGCAUUUCAUUCCGAACCGUUUUCUGUUUUCUCAAACAAGUCCCUGGAUCUUUUCUGUUUCAUCACAGAUCAGUCCUUGGACUAAAACCCUUAUAUCUUUUUAAUAAAAGAUGAUUUUUGAUUGAUUCUUUUUCUGUCAGUCUUAUAUUUUUGUCUAGUUUUUUAUAGUAUUUAUUUGGAAUAUUUUUGGAACAAUUUUUAUUCACGCAACGAUUUUCACGUUAGUAUACGGUUUCGUUAUACCGUAGGUUCCGGAGGAGGUGACGGAGCCGCGAACUUCGCCGAACUAGACUCCGACUUCUCCGAACCAGGCAAGCAUGUUUGAACCUUUGAUAUGAUAGGUGUUUUGCGUGUUUGCUUGAAUGGUUUGUGCAUGGCAUAUGAGCAUCGGUGAGUAUCACGUUGCAUGUAAGGCAACUAACCGUAUGUUCCGAAGUUACUGUGAUCUUUGAUGAGAGAUGACCUGAUCAUGUGGUGACAUGAAAGGCAAUAAGAUGGUAUUGUUGUAGCAUGCCAGUCUUACGUCAUCCGAUAAACUCCGACGUUAACGUGGACUGAGCCACGUUACCGUUCUUCCCCUUUCGUGCUGCCACAUGUCUUCUGCAAAGAGUACGGUUUAGUAAGUUGCUAACCUCCUUCCUUGUACACACCAAAUAGAGGGGCCGGGAUGAGGGUACCAUGGCCCUGGAUUAAAACCAGUCAUCCGGUCAGGGGGCAUGGGUGUUUCCGGUUGGGACCGAGAGGGGGGCACCCCUUAGAGCGCGCGGUAUAAAUUUGAUCCCAUGCUACGCGAGGUUGUAGCCUCCCCGUCUCAAGGUUUUUCUUGAACAUUGCCGAGGGUGAUUCCUGGCAUCGGAAUGUUGAAUGGGUGUGUACUCGUUAGAUGUGUUUCUCCUAAAACACCAUAAACGGAACUAGUCCCUUGCGGCUACUGAAAUCCGUUGGCUGUGGUUAAGAGUACAAACUCUGCAGGGUCAAUUCCUUCCGAGUCAUCGUGUCCAUGGUCAAGGACCAUGGCCAGCAUAUCCAUAUCCAUGUUAGUCCCUAUGUCAGUCUCCAUGGUAAAUCCCUGGUGAACAAGCUUGAGUGGUAAACCCGGUUGAAUUGUUAUUCCUGUGGAUGGACUAACCUUUUGUUUAUCUCGUACCUGAAUAUUUCCUUGAAAUGAUUUAAUUUCAUGAGCUGCUGAAAUAUCAAGUUAUGUAAUAUAAGCCCUUUAUGUGACGUCGCUCAGACGUCCGACUGUGGCACGCUCGUUAUUUACUUUUGAUAUAAGCCCUUUAUGUGAUGUCGCUCAGACGUCCGACUGUGGCACUCUUGUCAUUUACUUUUGAUAUUAAGCCCUUUAUGUGAUAUCGCUCAGACGUCCGACUGUGGCACGCUCGUUAUUUACUUUUGAUAUAAGCCCUUUAUGUGAUGUCGCUCAGACGUCCGACUGUGGCACGCACUGUCAUUUAUUUUCCACUAUAAGCCCUUUAUGUGGUGUCGCCUUGACGCCCGACUGCGGCAUUGUUAUUUCAUUUGUAUCCUUUCGAGGAGUCAUUCAGACACUCGAUUGGCCUUCAGUAUUACUUUGGGAUUUCGGGAGGACUACCGCCCGACUUCCCUUUUUUUUCCCAUGCAUUGCUAUCUCCUUGUCUGAGUGCGCUCUUUAAUCCGUUCAUAUGCAUCAUGUUUACAUUUGUUAUAUCUUAUGUCCGAACUGUCUUGCGAGUACUUUCAUAGUACUCACCUGGCUUGUUGAUUUGGCCAGAUAUUGACGAAGGCGAUCUCAUGGAUGAAGAGUUUGAUAGUGAGUCCGACGCCUAGAGGAGUCCCAGUCAGUCCCGUGCGAUCCUGGAUUUUGGUCACUUGUAUUAUAUACGCUUACGCCACCCGCAAUAAGAAUCCUCGAGCCUCACUCCGACGCUCGAAGAGGUGUAGAUUCAGGAGUCAUGUCACCCACUUCACUGUGACAUACCCACCACCGCUUUUAUUGUGAGUCAGUAGUAUGCCACCCUAUCCGCCUCUAUGUAUUAUUGGCGUGUUGUAAUAAAUUGUUGAGCAGUCUCCGCUCAACCUUGUAUUAUAUUUAGUACUCCUGGUUUUUUUUCUUCUGUGAUCAAGAUAUUGUCUACCAGUGAGAAGGAUUCUUCUCUACUGGUCCGUAAAAGGGAUCGGUUUCUCAAUAAAUAUUUUUAUUGGAAAACCGGUCGUGACACUCUGUCACAGAGGAGGACCUCAAGAAGCUAAGAGAAGCCAGGUAUCUGAUUGCUGAAAUCUUGCACAUGCUGCCUGCUCCAGGGCAGGUCAUCCCUACUCUCGAAUCCAACGAGAGUGUCAUAUUUGUUUCCCACCUCCUCCGAGGGCUAGGUUUUAGUCUUGAUCCCUUUGUUAGAGGGCUUAUGUUCUUCUACGGGCUCGAUUUCCAUGAUCUGGCUCCGGAUUCCAUCCUUCACAUCUCGUCGUUCAUCGUCGUGUGCGAAGCCUUCCUCCGCGUCACCCCACACUUCGGAUGAUGGCUCAAGACCUUCCAUGUGAAGCCGAGGAUGAUCGAUGGGCGACACGCAGAGUGCGGAGGCGCCAUAAUAAGCAAAGGCGCCGAUGCUCCAUGGCUGGAGGGUUCCUUCCCGGAGAUGUCCAACUUAUGGCAGCGGGAGUGGUUUUACAUCACGGCUCCCCGAAGCACUAAGUGGGCAGCUGCCCCGCCUUCCGUUUGGGCCCCCCGCCACAACUGGCAUCAUGGGUCAACAAGGGGCUGGACUGGGGGCCAGUUAACGACCUGCCGAUACUGCAGAGUCGCAUCCGAGAUCUCCUCGAGAGAGAUGUCAACCUUGUCAAGGUAAUGCAAGUCAUGCUAGUUCGUCGGGUCCUGCCAUGCCAACGUCGACCUCUCCGUAUGUGGGAGUUCAACCCGGAAGGACCAUGAACUAUUCAGAAAUUCUUUGGCGUGACGCUCGAAGGGAUGUAUGGAUUGUUCUUCGGACCACGAAUAAAGUGUCCGGACACCACCGCGGAUGCGGGUCUAAACUGCAAUCGUCCAGAUACCCAGGUAAGUAAUUCUGCGGAUGAACACGCUGUCUUUUUAUUUAUCACAACAUCAUUCUGAAAAGUCGCUCUUUGACCAGGACUGGAUAAAAAAGGCGAAGAUGAUCAGGUGUUCAGCUCCCCUUCCCGAAGGCUCACUGAAUCCUUACUAGCCAGGAUGCUUGAGUAUGCACCUCACCAGGUGCCAUCAGAGGAAGAUAAAGGGAGGAAUAAGGAAGCUGAAAGCGGGCUUCACGCAUUACUCAUCCGAACCGGCGGAAUUAGUGUCUCCACGAAGGAGGAUAACCGGGGAGAAGAAUCUAAAAUUCCUUCUCCCCAAGGACGGAAGAGGACCGCCUCUAAAGAUUUGGAAGCGAGGGUUUCCAAAUGAGGGAAGAAACCUUCGCCAGGGGGUCCUGCCCCAGAGGGCAUCCUUACCGCACAGUGCCCGCAAGGGGAUCAGCCCUCCACCGAGCUGUAAGUGAACAAGAGUACUUUUGGUAAAUAUAUCCUGCUUCAUCUCUGAGGACAAUAACCGAGAUGUAUGUCUUGCAGUUCGGAUCGUAGCCCUUCUCGACAGAGUUCGUCUUCGGGGGAUCUUCUUCCGGAGAUGAUGGAGAGCGAAACGCCUCCCCCUGUCUCCUCGCCUCAUGAGGCGGACGACCCUGAGGUAUCAUCGCGGAGAAUUUCUCCUGAUCCGCCAAGGCCGGAAGGUAACCCUUCGGCCACCCGAAGUCCGGAGGAUUCGGCUCCUAAGGAGAGCAACAGAAAGAGUCCGGGACUGCCUGGUGCACAACCGGGUGUACUGAUGGGACUUCUGGAGCAAGUGACUAUCUCAGAGGCGCAUCGUACUUUAAUGGGUAUGGUGGUUGAGAGGAUUGCAUCCGCCGAAAGUGGGUUGCAUGAGGCUUUUAUGAGCCUGCUAAGAGGUUUUGAGGUACGCAAAGUAAUAUAUAUAUUUUUUGACAGUACCUCACACGCUAGGUGUGCCCUUAUGCAGACAGUAGCCCCUCAGACUCUGGUUGCUGUCCAAAGGCGGCAAACAGAGGAUCAUAGUCCCAGGUAAUGAUCAUGCUACUUUUAUGUGCAGGCGGCUGAGGGUCCGGCGGCUAGCCGGACUGGUGAGUUUGCCGAACUGAAGCGGCAACUUGAUGCAGCAGAUGCCGACAUUGUGCUUGUAAACAAGCGGCUUGACGAGGCACAUGGUAUGUAUUCUCCGGUGGUUAACAGAUAUUAAGAGGAGCAUGAUGCUAGUAUCUAUAAUAUGCUGUGACUGCAGAUGGAGCUGCCGCCGUGGAGACCCUUCAGGUGGAGCUUGCCCAAGCCAAGGAACAAGCCAGGAGAAGUGAUGCGGCCGCCCUAAAUGCGGUCGAAGAAUUAAGAGCCGAAUAGGCUGCUCAUCGCCAGAGCGAAGAUAAAAUAGCCAAGAUGGCUGUUAAUCUGAAGGAUGCCGCCGACCGGUAUGAGCUUCUCGAAAAGGACAAUCAAGUGAAAGCGGCGGACCUGGAGAAAGCCAUGGUAGCAGCCAAGGAGACCCGCUCGAAAAUAAGAGCGACGAAGGAGGAGCUUCGUCAAGCCGGAGAUAUCACGGCUGGGAAGCCCUUUUUGUUGCGGACGAAGUUCAGAGAUCCGAAGUAUGCCCCUCUGGAUCAAUUAUGGAGUGCUGCAGACGCAUACGUGGACUUGGCAACGAGUGCUGCUGAUGCGAUUAAAUUUUUCAAAGAUCAAAAAGAUCAUGAAGUGGAAAAGUUGUUCUGGUUGCAGUUCAGUGCUCCAACGCCUCCGCUGCUGCUGAAUGAGCAAAUGGCCGGGUGGGCUGAGCUCCAUAGGUUGUCCGGGCUUGCCAUGAGGUCUGUCGUGGAUCAUCUUUGGCCGGAAGGACCAAGGACGAAUAGUUAUUUUGGUUUAGUGCAAUGAUUCCUUGGUGUUGUGCCGCAUAUCGACGCUGCAAAGAGGUCGGCGUGCAUAGAGGGUGCGUGGAUGGCUCUUGCCCGUGUUAAGACAUACUGGCCAGAGAUGGAGGCCACCGCUAUUGCAACCCAGAGUCCGGCCGUAGGCCAGGCAUCGUCCGAGCACUAUUUUGAAGAAGUCCUAGAAGGCGCUCGUUUAAUAGAGGCUCAGUGCUCGAAGAGUAUCAUGUUCUAGUUACAUGUAACCCGAUUGUAAAAACAAUGCUUAGGAUUAUAAAGGCUGUGUUUAUACUUUUGCCUGAAAGUAUUAUGAUGCCUCCUGUGCGGCCGUUUAUGUAUGUAUAUAACCUGAAAGUUUGCAGUCGUCAGCUUCAGCCCCCACGCAUGUAAUGCGGGGGUGUUCUGAAAAGCGCGUAUUCACACUUGAUCCAACGUCUUGGUCCAUUAAGGAGGUGAUAGCACGGCGAACAAGGCAAUCGGACUAUAUUGCUUUAACACUUUCACUUAGCCAUAGGAGUUUGAUGGUGGGGCUACUAUAUAGCCCCUGGUACUUCCGCGUCUAUCCGAAGACGGUGCGCGUACAUACAUGACCAGGAAACCGGUCCUUCGUUAAUGCGGAGGAAUCGCGAAGAUUCUGAUGAGUCAUCGAGUGGUUGACCAGUCUUGCGCUGUAUCAUGACAGUCAGUUUUCGGCUUUCUCUACUAAGGUGCUCGUCCGGAUGAACCAGGGCACAAUCGUAGUAGUUCUCCCAGUGCUACCUUAGCCGAUAUAGCGGAACGUAAGGUACCAAAACAUGGGAGCCGGGCAAACCCAACUAUUGACCAAAGACAUGAUUCGGAGCUGAUGCAUAUAAGGCCAAACUCGCGACACCGAACACUCCCUAAGGUAUUCGGUCUUUACAACAUAUACUAGGCUGAGUAACGCCCUUGAUAAUGAACCCUGAAUUUCCAGGUACGUGCAUUAGUCUGGCGUGGCGAAAUGCCAAUAACGCCAGCGUCCCUCUCGGUUAUGUUUAGUAUCCGGAGGGUGUAAAGCAACAAGAGACAGUAAGAAAGGUUUACACAGGGUCUUAAUCUAAAAAGAAACCUUUGAGCGGGGCCCUGCUGCACGUCUGCGCCUGUGUCUCCGUUGUGCCGUAUCCUGGAAGGGUGUAGCACGAUUAUCAUCUGUAAAAGAGAAAAACUCAAGUGAAAGUAUUCGUGCGAAAAAUUGGUUAUUCUUAAUAAACCAUUAAAAUUUAAUCUAAAUAAGGGCAAUCCGAACUGUAGUUCAUUUUUACAUGCGGGAAGCCCCUAGCGCCCCUUAUGGGGAUAUAUCCAUCAACCCAAUCUCAGGUUUAUCUGAGCUGUUACAGCCAGCGUUGCGCCGGACUCGUCUAGCCGUGUCCGCGGUCUUGACGACAGAUCAUUUAUUCUAGUUGGAGAGGCCGGUCAGUGUUCGGCUGCUAAAGCCGUCACACAUUCUUCCAUACGCAAGGAACGCUCUGCGUUUCCGCUAACUAUGAUGGUGCCACGUGGACCGGGCAUCUUAAUCUUAAGAUAAGCAUAAUGCGGUACUGCGUUAAGACGAGCGAAGGCCGUUCUUCCGAGUAGUGCUUGAUAGCUGCUUCGGAAUGGAGCGAUGUCGAAGGUUACAACCUCUAGUACUAGAGAGCCCGUGCAGCGGGCCUCUGGGCCGGGUAUUACUCCUUUAAAGGUAGUAUUGCUUUGGUUAAUCCUUGUCGGGUCUAUCCCCAUUUUGCGGACUGUGUCCUGAUAUAUCAGAUCGAGACUAUUGCCGCCGUCCAUAAGGACUCAGGUGAGAUGGUAUCCGUUAAAUAUUAUUGGGUCUAGCACCAAGGCAGCAGAUCCUCCGUGCCGGAUACUAUCCGGGUGAUCCCUAUGAUCGAAAGUGAUCGGGCAGGCCGACCAAGGGUUGAAUUUCGGGGUGACGGGCUCCACGACGCAUACGUCUCGGAGUGCGCGUUUGCUCGUCCUCUUUAUUGCGUGAAUCAUGUUCACUGUUUUGACCUCUGGCGGGAAUUUUUUCUGUCCCCCAGUAUUUUGCUGGCGAGGCUCAUCCUCGUCUUCACUUGGUGUCUCCCUCCCCUUGUGUUCGGCGUUUAGCUUAUAGGCAUGCUUGAAAACCCAGCAUUCUCUGUUGGUGUGAUUCGCAGGUUUGUCGGAGGUGCCAUGAAUCUGACAUAAUCUAUCUGGAAUCUUGUUUAGGCUGGACGGUCCAUCUCUGCUGCCUUUAAAUGGCUUUUUCCGUUGACCGGAUCGUGAGCCCCUGAAUCCAGCGUUCACCGCCGUGUUGUCUGGGUUGUCUUCAUUGUUUUGACGCUUGCUUUUGUUGUGUCGUGGUUUUCCAUUGCCAUCCCUAACUUCGGAUGUGCCUGGGUCGCUGGUGCCGCUACGGGCCAGCCAACUAUCUUCACCCGCGCAAAAGCGGGUCAUAAGGCUUGUCAGGGCUGUCAUUGUCCUCAGUUUUUCCUGGCCGAGGUGUCUGGCGAGCCAUUCGUCCCGGACACUGUGCUUGAAAGCUGCUAAAGCUUCGGCGUCUGGGCAAUCGACGAUUUGAUUCUUCUUAGUGAGGAAUCUGUUCCAAAGCUUUCGGGCUGACUCUCCGGGCUGUUGAAUUAUAUGACUUAAAUCGUCUGCAUCCGGAGGUCGGACAUAGGUCCCUUGAAAAUUAGCCCUAAAAGCAUCCUCAGGCUCUUCCCAACUUCCAAUUGAGUUUACGGGGAGGCUUUUCAGCCCAUGCCGAGCUGGUCCUUUCAACUUGAGGGGCAAGUAUUUGAUGCCGUGGAGAUCAUCUCCGCGAGCCAUAUGGAUAUGAAGUAUAAAGUCCUCAAUCCAGACCCCAGGGUCUGUCGUUCCGUCAUACGCCUCUAUAUUCAUGGGUUUGAAUCCCUCUGGGAAUUCGUGAUCCAGCACCUCAUCGGUGAAGCAUAGGGGGUGCGCGGCACCCCUGGACUUGGACGUGUCAUGACGUUCUGACGGUUGUAGUGUUCAGUUUUGAUUCUGUGCCGGAGCGCGCUUCCUAGAUCCAUAGAUGGACCUGGUCAUACAGACAUCGUUAGCCGCCCUAUCGCAGCCACGGGGUGGUCGAUCCGGCUGAUUGGCCGUUUUAUUUUUCGACUGUGUGGGCUCUAAAGCCUCGUCAUCGAAUUCAGGCAGCAGCUUGCGCUUUGGAUAGCUCUUUGUGUGGCGAUUGCCAUCGUACUUUUCUGCAGUGUCGAGCACUUUGUUCCAUCUACUGUUGAGUGUAUUUUCCGCAGCCUUGAGCCUUUGUUUCUGCUUCUUUAGGCUCCUCGCGGUGGCAAGAAGCCUUCUAUGGAGGUUCUCUUGCUCCAAGUGCCUUUCCGGGAUGAUGUGUGCAUCGUCGUCCGGACUGUUCUCCUCUCCGGAGAUAGGUUUAUUAGUUUUACCCUCGGCGUCACCGUUGUUGGACGGCGGCUCCGUACUAUGUUCGCCUUCCGCUGGCUCAUCUUGUUCUGUCGCUGGGUCCAUGUGGUCGUUGUUUCUUCUGGAGUCGACCGGGGUGUUAUUUAUUCUUGCGCUGUUGUCGCUGUUUUUUGCCGAGGCGGGAUUUGGAGCGGCGCCUACGCCGUCGCUUUGGUUGCUUCUUGAGGGAACUAUCCUUCGCUGCAUCCUUCCGUUCCUCGUCGUUGUUUUUUUUGGGUGUAUCCACCAUAUAUAUAUAUCGUGUGAUGAAGUGGCUAUCCAGCGCCCUGUGGGCGGUGGUUCCUGUUCCUCUCCUGCAUCGUCGUCCAUACUGUCGAUGUCUUCGGAGCCGAAAUCGAGCAUGUCGGUUAAAUCGUCGACAGUGGCUACUAAGUGGGUGGUGGGUGGGGAGCGAAUUUCUUCGUCGUCCGCAUCCCACUCUAGCCGGACAUAGUUCGGCCAAGGGUCUCCUGACAAGGAGAGAGAUCUUAAUGAGUUUAGCACGUCACCCAGUGGUGAGUGCUGAAAGAUAUCCGCGGAGGAAAACUCCAUGAUCGGUGCCCAAUCAGAUUCGAUUGGCACGGAUGCAGGCGGUUCGGAGCCCGUGGCCGGGGACGAAUCCAAGUGUCCGGCAACACGGGUCUCAUAAGAGGUGAAGUCGGUAUUCGGCUCUAUCGCCGCUGCGUGCGCGGCCUCCGCGGCGGGGUCUAUCCACCCGUCCUCGGACGAUACGAUCUGCUCCGGAUUGAGGGCCGGAGUAGUUGCAGGUGUGAUCUCCCGAACACUGUCCGACGGCAGGGCUAAGUCAUGCUCGUCGUGACUGCGCGGCGCGCCUGACAUGGGCUCGAAUCCGUCGAAGAUUAAGUCUUCGCGGAUGUCGGCAGUAUAGUUCAAGUUUCCAAACCUGACCUGGUGGCCAGGGGCGUAGCUCUCGAUCUGCUCCAGAUGGCCAAGCGAGUUGGCCCGCAGUACGAAGCCGCCGAAUACGAAGAUCUGUCCUGGGAGGAAAGCCUCGCCCUGGAUCGCAUCGUUGUUGAUGAUCGAAGGAGCCAUCAGGCCUUUAACGCGACGACACAGUGGAACUCUCAAUGAAAGCACCAAUGUCGGUGUCAAAACCGGCGGAUCUCGGGUAGGGGGUCCCGAACUAUGCGUCCAAGGCGGAUGGUAACAUGAGGCGGGGGACACAAUGUUUACCCAGGUUUGGGCCCUCUCGAUGGAGGUAAUACCCUACUUCCUACUUGAUUGAUCUUGAUGAUAUGAGUAUUACAAGAGUUGAUCUACCACGAGAUCGUAGAGGCUAAACCCUAGAAGUUAGCCUAUGAUUAUGAUUGUUGUUGUCCUACGGACUAAACCCUCCAGUUUAUAUAGACACCGGAGGGGGCUAGGGUUACACAGAGUCGGUUACAAGGGAGGAGAUCUACAUAUCCGUAUUGCCAAGCUUGCCUUCCACGCAAAGGAGAGUCCCAUCUGGACACGAGACGAAGUCUUGAGUCUUGUAUCUUCAUAGUCCAACAGUCCGGCAGAAGUAUAUAGUCCUGCUGUCCGAGGACCCCCUAAUCCAGAACUCCCUCAGCCAUCAAGACUCUUUUCUGGCGCCAUUGCCGGGGAGUGAAGCGCCUUUGGUAAAAGGAAUUUGGUAAGGAAAAAUUUAUAUAGUGUGCUGAAAUUUACUGUCACUUGUUACUAUGGAAAGUAAUCCUUUGAGGGGCUUGUUCGGGGUAUCUUCACCCCGACCAGUAGAGCAAAGAGUUUCUCCUCACCCUACUGAACCUACUGAAAAUGUUUACUUUGAAAUUCCUUCGGGUAUGAUAGAGAAACUGCUAGCUAAUCCUUUUACAGGAGAUGGAACAUUACAUCCCGAUUUGCACCUAAUCUAUGUGGAUUAUUUAAGCUUGCAGGUAUGCCCGAGGAUGUUAUCAAGAAGAAGGUCUUCCCUUUAUCUUUGAAGGGAAAGGCAUUGACAUGGUUUAGGCUAUGUGAUGAUAUGGGAUCAUGGAACUACAACCGAUUGAAAUUGGAAUUUCAUCAGAAGUUUUAUCCUAUGCAUCUUGUUCAUCGUGAUCGUAAUUAUAUAUAUAAUUUUUGGCCUCGCGAAGGAGAAAGCAUCGCUCAAGCUUGGGGGAGACUUAAGUCAAUGUUAUAUUCAUGCCCCAAUCAUGAGAUCUCAAGAGAAAUUAUUAUUCAAAAUUUUUAUGCUCGGCUUUCUCUCAAUAAUCGCUCCAUGCUCGAUACUUCUUGUACUGGUUCUUUUAUGAUGAAGACUAUUGAAUUCAAAUGGGAUUUAUUGGAAAGAAUUAAACGCAACUCUGAAGAUUGGAAUCUCGACGAAGGUAAGGAGUCAGGUAUAACACCUAAGUUUGAUUGUGUUAAAUCUUUUAUGGAUACCGAUGUUUUCCGUAAAUUUAGCACUAAAUAUGGACUUGACUCUGAGAUAGUAGCUUCUUUCUGUGAAUCAUUUGCUACUCAUGUUUAUCUCCCUAAGGAGAAGUGGUUUAAAUAUCAUCCUCCCAUUGAAGUAAAAAAUAGCUGAACCUAUUAAAGUUGAAGAAAGACUAUCACUUAUAAUGUUGAUCCUAUUGUUCCUACUGCUUAUAUUGAGAAACCCUUUCUCUGUUAGAAUAAAGGAUCAUGCUAAAGCUUCAACUAUGGUUCGUAAGAGUAAUACUAGAACACCUACACCCCCUGAGCAAAUUAAAGUUGAACCUAGUAUUGCUAUGGUUAAAGAUCUCUUGGCCGAUAAUAUUGAUGGGCAUGUUAUUUACUUCUGUGAUGAGGCUGCUAGAAUUGCUAGACCCGAUACUAAGGGUAAACAUAGACCUAUUGUUUCUGUUAAAAUAGGAGAUCAUUGUUAUCAUGGCUUAUGUGAUAUGGGUGCUAGUGCAAGUGCAAUACCUCAUUCCUUAUACAAAGAAAUUAUGCAUGAUAUUGCACCUGCUGAGAUAGAAGAAAUUGAUGUUACAAUUAAGCUUGCCAAUAGAGAUACUAUUUCACCAGUUGGGAUUGUUAGAGAUGUUGAAGUCUUGUGUGGGAAAGUUAAAUAUCCUACUGAUUUUCUUGUUCUUGGUUCCCCACAAGAUGACUUUUGUCCCAUUAUAUUUGGUAGGCCCUUCUUGAAUACUGUUAAUGCUAAGAUAGACUGCGAAAAGGAUAUUGUUACUGUUGGUUUAGGGGAUAUGUCUCAUGAUUUUAAUUUUGCUAAAUUUCGUAGACAACCCCAUGAUAAAGAAUUGCCUAGUAAAGAUGAAAUUAUUGGUCUUGCUUCUAUUGUCGUGCCUCCUAAUGAUCCUUUAGAACAAUAUUUGCUAGACCAUGAAAAUGAUAUGUUUAUGAAUGAAAGAAGGGAAAUAGAUGAAGUAUUCUUUAAACAGGGACCUAUUUUGAAACACAACUUGCCUAUUGAAAUUCUAGGGGAUCCUCCUCCACCCAAGGGUGAUCCCGUGUUUGAGCUUAAACCAUUGCCUGAUACUCUUAAAUAUGCUUAUCUUGAUGAAAAGAAGAUAUGUCCUGUUAUUAUUAGUGCUAACCUUUCAGAGCAAGAAGAAGAGAAAUUAUUGAAAACUCUGAAGAAGCACCGUGCUGCUAUUGGAUAUACUCUGGAUGAUCUUAAGGGAAUUAGUCCCACUCUAUGCCAACACAAAAUAAAAUUGGAGAAAGACGCUAAACCGGUUGUUGAUCACCAAUGACGGUUAAAUCCUAAGAUGAAAGAAGUGGUAAGAAAAGAAAUACUAAAGCUUCUGGAGGCAGGUAUAAUUUAUCCUGUUGCUGAUAGUCAGUGGAUAAGUCCUGUCCAUUGUGUCCCAAAGAAGGGAGGUAUUACUGUUGUCCCUAAUGAUAAAGAUGAAUUGAUCCCACAAAGAAUUGUUACAGGUUAUAGAAUGGUAAUUGAUUUCCGAAAACUAAAUAAAGCUACUAAAAAGGAUCAUUACCCUUUACCUUUUAUUGAUCAAAUGCUAGAAAGAUUAUCCAAACAUACACAUUUUUUCUUUCUAGACGGUUAUUCUGGUUUCUCUCAAAUACCUAUGUCAAAAGAGGAUCAAGAAAAGACCACUUUUACUUGCCCUUUCGGUACCUUUGCUUAUGGACGUAUUCCUUUUGGUUUAUGUAAUGCACCUGCUACCUUUCAAAGAUGCAUGAUGGCUACAUUAUCUGAUUUUUGUGAAAAGAUUGUUGAGGUAUUCAUGGAUGAUUUCUCCGUGUAUGGAACUUCUUUUGAUGAUUGCUUAAGCAACCUUGAUCGAGUUUUGCAGAGAUGUGAAGAAACUAAUCUUGUCUUGAAUUGGGAGAAGUCCCAAUUUAUGGUUAAUGAAGGUAUUGUCUUGAGGCAUAAAAUUUCUGAAAUAGGUAUUGAAGUUGAUAAAGCCAAAGUUGAUGUUAUUGAAAAGAUGUCGUGUUCUAAGGACAUCAAAGGUAUAAGAAGUUUCCUUGGUCAUUGUGACGCCCCCGAUUCGACCGUACACUAAUCAUGCACGCAAAUGUGUACGAUCAAGAUCAGGGACUCACGGGAAGAUAUCACAACACAACUCUACAAUAUAAAUAAGUCAUACAAGCAUCAUAAUACAAGCCAGGGGCCUCGAGGGCUCGAAUUCGAUCAUAGACGAGUCAGCAGAAGCAACAAUAUCUGAGUACAGACAUCAGUUAAACAAGUUUGCCUUAAGAAGGCUAGCACAAAAGUAGCAACGAUCGAAAAGGCAAGGCUUCCUGCCUGGGACCUCCUAACUACUCCUCGAAGCCGAACUCCACAUAGAAUCAUCCUCGGGGUCUCUAGCUCCUGGACUCCAGCAUCUGGUUGCGACAACCAGGUAUAGAAAGGGGAAAAGAGGGAGAAAAGCAACCGUGAGUACUCAUCCAAAGUACUCGCAAGCAAGGAGCUACACUACAUAUGCAUGGGUAUAUGUGUAAAGGGUCAUAUCGGUGGACUGAACUGCAGAAUGCCAGAAUAAGAGGGGGGGGGGUAGCUAAUCCUGUCGAAGACUACGCUUCUGGCCACGUCCAUCUUGCAGCAUGUAGAAGAGAGAAGAUGGUAAGUUCACCAAGUAGCAUCGCAUAGCAUAAUCCUACCCGGCGAUCCCCUCCUCGUCGCCCUGUUAGAGAGCGAUCACCGGGUUAUAUCUGGCACUUGGAAGGGUGUGUUUUAUUAAGUAUCCAGUUCCAGUUGUCAUAAGGUCAAGGUACAACUCCGGGUCGUCCUUUUACCGAGGGACACGGCUAUUCGAAUAGAUAAACUUCCCUGCAGGGGUGCACCACAUAACCCAACACGCUCGAUCCCAUUUGGCCGGACACACUUUUCUGGGUCAUGCCCGGCCGCGGAAGAUCAACACGUCGCAGCCCCACCUAGGCACAACAGAGAGGUCAGCACGCCGGUCUAAAUCCUAUGCGCGCAGGGGUCUGGGCCCAUCGCCCAUUGCACACCUGCACGUUGCGUACGCGGCCGGAAGCAGACCUAGCCUAGCAGGCGUUCCAGUCCAAUCCGGCGCGCGCCGCUCCGUCGCUGACGUCAAGAAGAGCUUCGGCUGAUACCACGAUGUCGAGUGCCCAUAACUGUUCCCGCGUAGUUGGUUAGUGCGUAUAGACCAAAUGGCCAGACUCAGAUCAAAUACCAAGAUCUCGUUAAGCGUGUUAAGUAUCCGCGAACGCCGACCAGGGCCAGGCCCACCUCUCUCCUAGGUGGUCUCAACCUGCCCUGUCGCUCCGCCAUAAAGUAACAGUCGGGGGCCGUCAGGAACCCAGGCCCACCUCUACCGGGAUGGAGCCACCUGUCCUUUCAGCCCCCUUAUCAGAAUCACUUGCGGGUACUCAACGAGCCGACCCGACUUUAGUCACCACAUGUGUCAUGUAUAUAAAGUAUAUAGUAUAUACCCGUGAUCACCUCCCGAAGUGAUCACGGCCCAGUAGUAUAGCAUGGCAGACGGACAAGAGUGUAGGGCCAUUGAUGGAACACUAGCAUCCUAUACUAAGCAGUAGGAUAGCAGGUAAGGGUAACAACUGUAGCAACAAUGAUAGGCUAUGCAGCAGAAUAGGAUCAACCGAAAGCAGUAACAUGCUACACUCUUCUAAUGCAAGCAGUAUAGAGAAGAAUAGGCGAUAUCUGGUGAUCAAGGGGGGGGGGCUUGCCUGGAAGCUCAGCCGAGAAGGAGGGGUCGUCAACACCGUAGUCGUACUGGGUGGCAGCGGCGUCGGUCUCGGUGUCUAGAGAGAGAAGAGGGGGGAGAAACAAUAAAUACAAUGCAAACAAAUGCAUGGCGAUGCAUGACAUGACAAAGCGUGAGGCUAGGUGUGCCUAAACGAGGUACUAGGUGAUACCGGCGAAGGGGGGAAACAUCCGGGAAAGUAUUCCCGAUGUUUCGCGUUUUCGGACAGAUGGACCGGAGGUGAAAUGUUGCAGGUUCACUAUGCUAGGGACGUGUGGUGAACGAACGGGCUGCGUAUCCGGAUUCGUCUCGUCGUUCUGAGCAACUUUCAUAUAGAAAACAUUUUCAUCCGAGCUACGGUUUAUUUUCUAUGAAUUUUCAAAGAUUAAACCAUUUUCUGGAAUUAUUUUUAUUAACAGAAAUCUAUUAAUGCGUCAGCAAUGCAUCAGCAGUCAGCUGACCCGUUUGACUAGUCAAACUGACCAAUGGGUCCCACCUGUCAUAGACAGUGGCCUUAACAGAGUUUAAUUUCAAUUAAUCUAACUAAUUAGAUAACAUGGGCCCACUGUCCGUGAGUAAUCAAUUUAAAUUUAUUUAAAUUAAGUAAUUUAAUUAGUGUUAGGGGCGAGGCCCACCAGUGAGUGGCACUGGGCUGCCGAGUCAGCACAUUGACUGGGUCAACUUGGUCAAGGGGGGCGAGCGGGGGCCACUGGGGCCACCGGUCAGCGACAAGGGUGGUGGCCCCGGGCGGCCACGUCAGCAGUGGCGGUGGCGCGCUGGCGGCGGAUAUUACAACGGCGGCGACGCGCCGGAGUCGGCCGGAAAAAGGCCACAGAGGGCCUCCAGACCGGCCGUUUGGACCUACGAGUGUGUGCUGGCGUUGUGCACGUGAUGGUGAGGACGGCCGGCGCCGGGGACGGUCCGAGCAUCGCCGGCGUCGAGGUUUGCGGUCGCCGGAGUUGGGCGAGGAUGCAGACGGCGACAGGGGGCACGAACGGAGGCGUGGGUGGGCUCUUCCGAACGCCGGGUCGACGCCGCGUCAAGUGGUGGUAUUAGGCGAUGCUGGGGAGGCCGGAGCUGGCCGGAGUAGCGACGGGGAGCGGCGGUGGCGCUCAGGACCUGUUCGAAGCGCGGCAGGAGUGACCUAGGGGGCGGUUGGGGCUGCAGCUCGGUGCUGCGCGUCUCCUGGAGCACUCCAGUGACUUGCGCUGGGGCUCGGAAGCGCGUACGGCGCGCGGGCGGCGGCCAUGGCGGGCGGCGGAGCUCACCUCCGCGGGGACGGCGACGGAGCGCGCUAGAGCAUGAAAGAGAGGGAAGGGAGCGUCACGAAGGCUCACCUAGCGGGCACAUGGUGGCCCUGUGAAUGCUUAGGAGCAGCAAAAGCGGCGAAGCGGGGCGACGGUGCUCGUCGGAGCCGAGGACGAUGACUUGGUCGGGGCGGUGCUGUAGCGGGCUUCAGCUCGAGCGGGUGGUCCGGAUCGUAGUAGUGGACGUCGAGGGCGCGUCUGAACACGGUGGCUCGUCGAGGAGGGGCCUGUGGCUACGUGGGCGAGCAAGCGGAGGCGACGGCAGUGGCCACCAUGGCGGAGAGGAGAAGCAGCAGCGCGUGGGGGGAAAGGGGAUCUGAGAGGAGAGGCGGAGAGGGAGAGAGGCGUGGAGUGGGGAAGGGAUCGAGGCGCGCGUGUGGCGGCCUUAUCCCCUCGCCGACGACGGCGAGUGGGUUCGGCGGGGCUACGCCCCUGUUCCGACCCCGGUCGGGGGAAUAGGGAAGGGGACGGGCAGGGAGGAUCUGGGCUGGCUCGGGUGGUUUAGGUGGGCCGGCCCAAGUGGGUUAGGUCCAGGGGGGUUGUUGUGUCUCUCUCACUUUUGUUUUCUCUAACAGUUUUCUUUUUACUUUUCUUUUCUGUUUUAUGUCUAUUUCCUUUUAUUUUAGUUUCACAAAAUACACAAAUGGUUCCUAAAUUGGUAUUGCUAUAUAUACUACUGCCACAUUAAUUUGGGUAACUAAAUAAAAUAGUUUAAUAUUUUAUUUAUUGUAAAAGGCAUUCAACUAAUUGUUUUUGCUACUGUUUAAAACAUUUUAAAGUAUUUAAACCUUUUAUAAAAGUGUGGUUUCUCCACCAUACUUACCUAUGCAUUAUUUGGCUCACCCCGAACAUUUUAGUUUUAAUAUUUGAAAUUUUUUAUUGUUUGCUUGAUUUUGAAUUUGAAUUUGAAUCGGUUUCGAACUAACGCGAGAUUAGCAACAGUAAUCGAGGUGAUGCGGCAUCAUUAGUAGAGGGUUACUGUAGCUUAAUUAUCCGGGCGUCACAGUCAUGCCGGUUUCUAUAGGAGGUUCAUUAAAGACUUCUCAAAAAUUUCUAGGCCUCUGACUAAUCUCUUACAAAAAGAUGUUCCUUUUGUCUUUGAUGAUGAUUAUGUAGAAGCAUUUGAAAUACUUAAGAAAGCUUUGAUUUCUGCACCUAUUGUUCAACCACCAGAUUGGAAUUUACCCUUUGGAAUUAUGUGCGAUGCUAGUGAUUAUGCUGUAGGUGCUGUUCUGGGACAAAGAGUUGAUAAGAAAUUAAAUGUUAUCCAAUGUGCUAGUAAAACUUUAGACAGUGCCCAGAGAAAUUAUGCUACUACUGAAAAAGAAUUUUUAGCAGUUGUAUUUGCUUGUGAUAAGUUCAGACCUUAUAUUGUUGAUUCUAAAGUAACUUUUCACACUGAUCAUGCUGCUAUUAAAUAUCUUAUGGAAAAGAAAGAUGCUAAACCUAGACUUAUUAGAUGGGUUCUCUUGCUACAAGAAUUUGAUUUGCAUAUUAUUGAUAGAAAGGGAGCUGAGAACCCCGUUGCAGACAACUUGUCUAGGUUAGAGAAUUUUCUUGAUGACCCACUACCUAUUGAUGAUAGCUUUCCUGAUGAACAAUUAGCUGUCAUAAAUGCUUCUCGUACUGCUCCAUGGUAUGCUGAUUAUGCUAAUUACAUUGUUGCUAAAUUUAUACCACCUAGUUUCACAUACCAGCAAAAGAAAAAGUUUUUCUAUGAUUUAAGACAUUACUUCUGGGAUGACCCACACCUUUAUAAAGAAGGAGUAGAUGGUGUUAUUAGAUGUUGUGUACCUGAGCAUGAACAGGAACAGAUCCUACGCAAGUGUCACUCCGAGGCUUAUGGAGGACACCAUGCUGGAGAUAGAACUACGCAUAAGGUAUUGCAAUCCGGUUUUUAUUGGCCUACUCUUUUCAAAGAUGCCCGUAAGUUUGUCUUGUCUUGUGAUGAAUGUCAAGGAAUUGGUAAUAUUAGUAUACGUCAAGAAAUGCCUAUGAACUAUUCACUUGUUAUUGAACCAUUUGAUGUUUGGGGCUUUGAUUAUAUGGGACCGUUUCCUUCCUCUAAUGGGUAUACACAUAUUUUAGUUGCUGUUGAUUACGUUACUAAGUGGGCAGAAGCUAUUCCAACUAGUAGUGUUGAUCAUAACACCUCUAUCAAGAUGCUUAAAGAAGUUAUUUUUCCGAGGUUUGGAGUCCCUAGAUACUUAAUGACUGAUGGUGGUUCACAUUUUAUUCAUGGUUCCUUUCGUAAGAUGCUUGCUAAGUAUGACGUUAAUCACAGAAUUGCAUCUCCUUACCACCCACAGUCUAGUGGUCAAGUAGAAUUGAGUAAUAGAGAGAUCAAAUUAAUUUUGCAAAAGACUGUUAAUAGAUCUAGAAAGAAUUGGUCUAAGAAACUUGAUGAUGCAUUAUGGUCAUAUAGAACUGCAUAUAAAAAUCCUAUGGAUAUUUCUCCAUAUAGAAUGGUUUAUGGAAAAGCAUGUCACUUACCUCUCGAACUAGAACAUAAGGCAUAUUGGGCCAUUAAAGAGCUCAAUUAUGAUUUCAAACUUGCCGGUGAGAAGAGACUUUUUGACAUUAGCUCACUUGACGAGUGGAGAACCCAGGCCUAUGAGAAUGCCAAAUUGUUUAAAGAAAAAGUUAAAAGAUGGCAUGACAAAAGGAUACAAAAGUGUGAGUUUAAUGUAGGUGAUUAUAUUUUGCUAUACAACUCUCGUAUAGUUUAAUGUAGGUGAUUAUAUUUUGCUAUACAACUCUCGUAUAAACUCACACUUUUGUAUCCUUUUGUAUCCCACGACAGUUGGAGAAAUCCGGAGUUUUCUUGGACUUGCAGGAUACUACCGGAGGUUCAUCGAGAAUUUCUCGAAGAUUGCUAAGCCCAUGACUGAGCUAUUGAAGAAGGACACCAAAUUCAAUUGGACUGAGGAUUGUGAAGCUAGUUUCCAGGAGUUGAAGAAACGAUUGGUUACAUCACCAGUGUUGAUUCUACUAGAUCAACGCAAGGACUAUGAAGUUUAUUGCGACGCUUCUCGUCGAGGACUUGGAGUAGCGCUUAUGCAGGAAGGAAGAGUUGUGUCAUAUGCUUCACGACAACUUAAACCCCAUGAGAAGAAUUAUGCUACGCAUGAUUUGGAGUUAGCAGCCGUGGUGCAUGCGUUGAAGACAUGGAACAUUUUCUCAUCGGAAACCAUUGUGAGGUGUACACGGAUCACAAGAGUUUGAAGUAUAUUUUCACGCAGAAGGAGUUAAACCUCAGACAGAGGAGAUGGUUGGAGCUCAUUAAGGAUUAUGAUAUGAGAUUGCAUUAUCACCCAGGAAAGGCUAACGUAGUAGCAGACGCGUUGAGCCGCAAGAGUCAUGUCAACACCCUCAUGACAGGAGAGUUACCUCAGGAGUUAGCCGAGGACCUUCGCGAACUAUGUUUGGAAAUAGUCCCCAGAGGCUAUUUAGCGACACUGGAGAUUCAGUCUACCUUGAUGGAAAGGAUCAGAGAAGCUCAGAAGACAAACAAGGAGAUUGAAGAGAUAAAGGAGAAGAUGAGCAAAGGAAAAGCCAAGGGAUUUCGUGAGGAUGAGCACGAUACCUUAUGGUUUGAGGACCGCGUGUAUGUGCCAAAAGAUCCGGAGAUCAGGAAGUUGAUUUUGCAAGAAGCCCAUGAUUCACCGUACUCGAUUCACCUAGGAAAUACCAAGAUGUAUUUGGAUCUAAAGAAUACUUUCUGGUGGACCGGAAUGAAGAAGGAUAUUGCAGAGUAUGUAGCAGUUUGUGAUGUAUGUCAGAGAGUGAAGGCAGAGCAUCAGAAGCCAGCAGGAUUGCUACAACCAUUGCCGAUACCCGAAUGGAAGUGGGAUAAAAUAGGCAUGGAUUUUAUCACAGGAUUACCCAGGACUCGUUCAGGCUAUGACUCAAUAUGGGUUGUAGUUGACCGUUUGACGAAAGUGGCUCAUUUCAUUCCAGUGAAGACCACUUACACCAGUGCUAAGUUGGCAAAGAUAUACAUGACCAGGAUCGUAUGUUUGCAUGGAGUUCCGAGGACCAUUGUAUCAGACAGAGGAACCCAGUUUACCUCGAAGUUUUGGAAGCAGUUACAUGAAACAUUGGGAACCAGGCUAGAAUUUAGUACAGCUUUUCACCCACAGACAGAUGGACAGACCGAGAGAGUCAACCAGAUUUUGGAGGACAUGUUGAGAGCUUGUGCACUAGAUUAUGGAUCUAGUUGGGACGACAAUUUGCCAUAUGCGGAGUUUUCUUAUAACAACAGUUAUCAAACCAGUUUGAAGAUGGCCCCUUUCGAAGCUUUGUACGGAAGAAGGUGUAGAACACCGUUGUUAUGGGACGAAGUUGGAGACCGUCAGUUGUUUGGACCAGAUUUGAUUAAGGAGUCUGAACAGAAAGUAAGGUUGAUUCGCGAUAGGCUCAAGGUAGCCCAGUCCAGGCAGAAGAGUUAUGCUGAUUCUAAAUGAAAGGAGACAGUUCAUGAAGUCGGAGACAGAGUUUAUCUUCGAGUAUCACCACUUCGAGGAGUGAAGCGUUUUGGAGUUAAGGGAAAGUUAGCGCCCCGUUAUAUCGGACCAUACAGAGUUUUGGAACGUAUGGGAGAAGUUGCCUACAAGCUGGAAUUGCCCGAAGGAUUGUCUGGAGUCCAUGAUGUAUUUCACGUUUCCCAGUUGAAGAAGUGCGACGCAGAGAUGGCUGAGAUACCACUGAGAGAUACUGUGCCGCUGGAAGCGAUUCAGCUGGAAAGUGAUUUGACCUAUGAGGAGAAACCAGUUAAGAUUCUUGAGUAUGCCAGCCGAGUUACCCGCAGUAAGGUUAUCAAGUUUUGCAAAGUCCAGUGGAGUCACCACACGGAAGAUGAAGCCACCUGGGAGCGAGAGGAAGAUCUACGGGAGGACCACUCCCACCUGUUUUCUAUCCAACCCGAAUCUCGAGGGCGAGAUUCAUCUUAAGGGGGGUAGGUUUGUAACAUCCCAAAUUUUCAAUUUGGUAUGUUAUACAUAGAUCAUUAUUGCAAAUCAUAUUUUAUUGCAUUUCGACAAAUCCUCGAUAAAUCCUAAGCAACUCAAGGACCCUCGGAGAGAGUUGGGGAUUUUCUCGAAUUUUCAUAUUUGAUUUUCAUCAAAUAAUAAAACGAGGAUUUUGGUUUUAAUUAUUUUUCUCUCCGGAAAAAUAUUUCAUUAAAAAUAAAUGAGAGGAGAAAAUAUGACUUCCCCAAAACAAUUGAAAUAUUGGAGGAAAAGUGUUAAAAUCAUUUAUUGGAUUUUAUUUGCAAUUUUAAUUGCAUUAAAAAAUUAUUGCACGUUUUCAAAAUUUAUCUUUGUCUCAAAAAAAUGUUCACCCUGUUCUAAAUAUUCUAACUAGACGGGGAAAAUUUGUUUUAUCUUUUUUGGAUUUUGACUUAUUUUUCUACGAAUUUUUCGGCGGAACGUUUUAAAAAAAAUUGCGCCGCGCCCGACCGGGCCGAGGCCCAGCCGAGCCNNNNNNNNNNNNNNNNNNNNNNNNNNNNNNNNNNNNNNNNNNNNNNNNNNNNNNNNNNNNNNNNNNNNNNNNNNNNNNNNNNNNNNNNNNNNNNNNNNNNNNNNNNNNNNNNNNNNNGAAGCCAUCUGGAGCCCCGCCGGAGCCCUGCCCCGACGAGGUACACCUCGCCGUCGUUUGCCGGUUUUGUUUUUUUUUUAAAAACCGUUCGUUUUAAAAAAAACCUAGAUCGGUUUAUUUCUUCGGUUUUGUUAUUUUGUGAACGUUCACCGACCCGUUCGUUUUAACGAACGCGUUCGUCGGAUUUUCUCUGUUAACGAACGUCCGUUCUUUAACCGUUCGUCCGUUUUUCUUUUUCGUCGGAUUUUUCCGCGAUUAUCUCAGAUCUCGAUUUCUGAUCGAAUCUUCGUUUCUGUUUAACUUUUCGCUCGUUUAUCGGAAUCAGGCGAUUCAAGCGCCUAGAGUUUCGUCUAGAAAUUAUCUUUCCGUUUAACCUACUCAAACAAGUUUUUGCUACUGUAAAAUUUGACCUAGAUCCAGAUUAGUAAACGAAGCUUGUUUCUUUCGCCGUUUGACUUUCGUUGCUUCGUUCGAGUUGAUUCUUUUGCAAACCAGAGUUCUUAAGUUGAACUUUCUAGUUGGAUCUUUCAUUUGAGUUUUACCUGUGCAUUAGAUGAGUACUUAUUGUUUGCUUGUUUGUUUGUGAUAGAGUACCCGGAGUGUGCCGCUUGUUACUUCGAAUCGCUAGGUUUCGCGGAUCAUCAGCAAGGCAAGUAACACUUUGAUCAUAUACCUUCCAUACCCAGUUUUUAUUGCAUUAGUUCUAUUCCUCAAACAUUGCAUGGUUAUGAUCUAAUUAAAUUGUGGGUAUUGGGAAGUAGUUGAGGUAGUACCUAUUACCUGUUCUUUUAUCAAACCCUUGGGAGUUACUUCUACGUUGCUAUUAUAUUGCCAAGCUAUGCUCGUAGACGUGGAUUGGGUUUGAGUGAUAUUCAUGACAGAUGUGAGAUUGUUAAUAAUGGUUUACUUAAGGUGGCAACUAAAACUCACAUCUGGGUGGAUUGAGGCACCUGGAGAAUCCAGUGUUGUCUGUUUGUAUAAGGACCGCCACCCAGGCUCAAAGGGAUCAUAAGAUUAUUCAUGCUAGAAACUUCCGUGUGCAGCCACAAGCUAUUAUGGGCUCUAGCAUAGUUGAGUAGGUUACAUGAUCUCUUGAAGAGGUGGGCUAGCAGAUGUAGGGGAAAGUAGGUGUAACUGUCCACCCGGAGUAAAGAGUGAUUGUUCCUGAAAGGCUGUGUCUCGGUCAUCCGUUUCUCAAACAUCAUGUAGUGCGAGAAUCAAGCGGAGGCGAUCGAGUCUUGUGGGGAAAAGUGCGCAAACCUCUGCAGAGUGUACAAACUAAUCAUGGUUAGCCGUGUCCCCGGUUAUGGACAAUUUGAGUAUCUAGUACCUGGAUUAUCAUAUGAAUCUCAUCAUCAUGUUACUUUUAAUUAAUUUUGUUGGGUAAAUGAUGAUUUUUAAUUGGGAUUGAGAUGCCGUCAACCAUCUCAAUGUUUAACAACCACCAUGAUAGUUAAAUAAAAUUUACUCCUUUGCAGUAGGGAAAAAUUGGCUUUCCGCAAAAACUUUAACCAUAGAGCUUUCCACCAGCCAUAUAUGCAUGUAGCAUAGCAUUAUUAUUGUUCAUCAUUCUCUAUGUGUUACAUUGCCAGCAUAUUCCAUGUGCUGACCCGUUUUCGGGCUGCAACGUUUCAUGUUGCAGACUUUUCAGACGACGAGUAAGGUGCCUUAGGUCGUGGUCUUAUACUCAGUGAUGCCGCUGGAGUUGAUGGACUCACUUAUCUUCCAAGUCUUCCGCUGUUAUCGUUUUUAGAUGGCCUUAAGCCAUAUUUAUCAUACUUAUUCUCUUGGAGAUAUUCGAUGUAAUAAGUGUGUGAUUGCUACUCUGUUAUAAAUCCUCCAUUUGUACUGUGCGUGUCAGCAUUACUUAUCCAGGGAUGACACUGGUGCACAGCAGCACAGACUAUUUGAGGUCUGGUUGCUACAAAGGUGGUAUCAGAGCAGACGCUAACUGUAGGACACGACCACUAAGCUUAAGCCCUAGAACACUUCUCUCUUCUCAUUUAUGACCCCUCUCCACUUUCUACUCUUUUAGGAAUGGCAGAUGCAAGGAGCAAGUUCAUGCAACCCGAUGAAGACACGCCUUUUGGUCAACACUUGAAGGAAGUCACCAAGUACUUGAACAUAGGAAUACCAAGCAUCACCGGAACCUACAACGCCACAUUACCCGAAGGGGAGAGCUGGAAGAUUCAAGUUCACAUUCCAGGAAGGACGUUUGUGCCAGUUACUGAACCCAUAAGAUUGGUUUUCGAAGCACCAACCUGGAGUUUAGGGAAGAGCAUGGCAGCCCACAUCGCUAUGGGACGCAUUGGAGAAGUCUACCACCAGGAGCUUAAGGAUACAAUUUAUCAAAUUUGUGGACGCCGAGACGCGCAAUGGGAGAUGAUCAGAACCAAGAAGGAUGGAUCAAUCGCAGCUUUCAUCCAGGAGCAAAACCAACAUAUUCGUCGCCAGGAGAACCAGAUGUGCACGGACAAGGAAGAACUGAAGAAGGCAUUAACCAAGAUCAAGGAGCUGGAGGAAGAACUCAAGGCUACACGCGAGGAUUAUAUGGAGGAAAUCGUCGCACUAGUAGGGAAGAAUGACGACCUGGAGAAGAAGAUUGGAGUAUUCAUGGGAAAUCCAGUGCCAAAAGCAGAAGAUGACCAAUGCACUUGUCCGGAUAACUACAUCAUCAUCGACGACACCGACUCGGAACCAAGUGAAGAUGACUUUGUUGAUGAAGCUGGAGCAGACAUCAUGGAGUCUUCAACUGAUCAGAAUUUCUAAGUAGACCACCAUAUCAGUAGUAGUUUUCCCCCAUUUAAUAGUAUAGUUCAAGCACUUUGUAACGCUAGUUAGAUCGAUUGUUAUGCCUUGUUUGAAUUGAUUGAGUGAUAUUGAUUGUAUUUGUCUCAUGAGCAUAUGGGUAGUGUUUUCCCCUCUAGACCUCAUUCUAUUCUUACUCUCAUCUUUUCUAACCCAUCAGAUGCCUCCGAGACGCGACACCGGGUUUGUUUUCCCACAGGAGAUCACCCAGUUGAUUCAGCAACAGAAUGCCAUGAUGCAAGUGUUAGUGCAGAACCAAGGCAACAACAACAACAACAACAACAACAACCCACGGCCACCACCACCUGUUGAUCACUUAGCCCGUUUCUUAAGGCUAAACCCGCCGGUGUUUUCCAGUAGCACCGAGCCGAUUGUUGCAGAUGAUUGGCUCCGCAAAGUUGGAAGGGAGUUGACCACUGCAGGAUGCACAGAUGCGGAAAGAGUGCGUUUUGCCGCACAUCAGCUUGAUGGACCCACGACAUCAUGGUGGGAGAAUUAUACAGCCACGCACCCUAUUGACACUGUCACAUGGGACCAGUUUCAGCAAGCUUUCCGUACAGCUCCUGUUUCAGCAGGAGCUAUGGCUAUGAAGAAGCGCGAGUUUCGCAACCUACGCCAAGGAGGACGCACCGUAGGCCAGUAUGUGGAGGAUUUCAGUAAAUUAGCACGUUAUGCACCAGAUGACGUUGCUACAGAUGCAGCCAAGCAGGAGAAAUUUUUGGAAGGACUGAAUGAUGAACUGAAUAUGCAGUUGAUGGUAGCAACCUUCAACAACUACCAGGAGCUGGUAGAUAGAGCUCUCAUGAUUGAAGGGAAGCAACAGCAGAUUGAAAACCGUAAGAGGAAGUAUGGAUAAGGGAAGUAUAACUCUGGAGCUCAACAGAAACCACGUUUUGCCCCGAAGCCGGGAGGACAGUUUCAGCAUACCCAUGGAGGAGGUAGUUCGCACAACCAUAAUGGCUCCAAGAAUGGUAAUGGGAAUGGAGGAACCAACGGACAGAACCGCACCAACCCAUCUACCCCAGCCAAGUGGGAUCUAAGUCAUGUUACCUGUUUCAAGUGCCAGAAGACUAGACAUUAUGCAACUGAUUGUCCUGAAGCCCAGAAUGGCAAUGGUAAUGGAAGCUCUGGGAAGAAGCCGAACCCGUUCAACAAAGGACAUGUGAACUACGUUAUCGUGGAGGAGGUUGAAGCUCAGCCUGAUGCUGUAAUAGGUAAGUUUUUGGUUAAGUCAUUUACUGCAACCGUUCUUUUCGAUACUGGUGCAUCGCAUUCAUACAUAUGAAGGGGAUUUGUGAAUAAGUUUAAGCUAUCCACCAAAGUUCUCAGAACCCCUAUGUUAGUAACCUCGCCAGGAGCAGAGUAUAUGGCAAGCCAAGGAUGUUUUCAGAUGCCAUUGGCCAUUGGUAGGCAUGUUUUCCCCUCAGACCUCAUAGUUUUGGAGUCGCAUGGUUUGGAUGUGAUUUUGGGAAUGGAUUGGCUAUCGUUGUAUGGAGGAAACAUCGAUUGUGCCAACAAGACGAUUUUGCUUACCACCCCAGAAGGAAAAAGGAUCAAGUAUGUAUCCCGGCAUAUGCCGAAGAGGACUCAAGUGAAUUCCUUAUCAGGAGUUGUACAGGAGGAAGUACCAGUGGUGAAGGAUUAUCCGGGUGUAUUUUCAGAAGAGUUGCCAGGCAUGCCACCAGAUAGAGACAUUGAGUUCUUGAUUGAACUUUUGCCAGGCACAGGGCCAAUAUCUAAGAGACCGUACAGGAUGCCCGCAAAAGAUUCGGAGGAAAUUAAGAAGCAGAUCAAGGAGUUACUGGAUAAAGGCUAUAUUCGCCCAAGUUGUCACCUUGGGGAUCACCAGUACUGCUAGUGGAGAAGAAAGAUGGAUCGCUGAGGAUGGUUGUUGAUUACCGUGGAUUGAAUGAAGUAACCAUCAAAAACAAGUACCCACUACCGAUGAUCAAUGAUUUGUUUGACCGCCUACAAGGAGCUAAAGUAUUUUCCAAGAUCGAUCUACGAUCAGGAUACCAUCAGUUAAAGAUUCGAGAGCAGGAUAUACCUAAGACGGCUUUUACCACCAGAUAUGGAUUAUAUGAGUAUACCAUUAUGUCAUUUGGUCUGACUAACGCACCUGCCUAUUUUAUGAACCUGAUGAACAAAGUGUUUAUGGAGUUUUUGGAUAAGUUCGUCGUGGUGUUCAUUGACGAUAUUUUAGUCUUUUCCAAGAAUGAGGAAGAGCAUGAGGAGCAUUUGCGAUUGGUACUUGAGAAGCUCAGAGAACAUCAAUUAUAUGCCAAGUUCAGCAAAUGUGAAUUUUGGCUGAAGGAAGUUGGAUUCCUUGGACAUGUUAUUUCUGGAGAAGGAAUAGCAGUAGACCCUGCCAAGGUUGACACAGUGACAAGUUGGGAAUCACCCACAACAGUUGGAGAAAUCCAGAGUUUUCUUGGACUUGCAGGAUACUACCGGAGGUUCAUCGAGAAUUUCUCGAAGAUUGCUAAGCCCAUGACUGAGCUAUUGAAGAAGGACACCAAAUUCAAUUGGACUGAGGAUUGUGAAGCUAGUUUCCAGGAGUUGAAGAAACGAUUGGUUACAUCACCAGUAUUGAUUCUACCAGAUCAACGCAAGGACUAUGAAGUUUAUUGCGACGCUUCUCGUCGAGGACUUGGAGCAGCGCUUAUGCAGGAAGGAAGAGUUGUGUCAUAUGCUUCACGACAACUUAAACCCCAUGAGAAGAAUUAUGCUACGCAUGAUUUGGAGUUAUCAGCCGUGGUGCAUGCGUUGAAGACAUGGAGACAUUUUCUCAUCGGAAACCAUUGUGAGGUGUACACGGAUCACAAGAGUUUGAAGUAUAUUUUCACGCAGAAGGAGUUAAACCUCAGACAGAGGAGAUGGUUGGAGCUCAUUAAGGAUUAUGAUAUGAGAUUGCAUUAUCACCCAGGAAAGGCUAACGUAGUAGCAGACGCGUUGAGCCGCAAGAGUCAUGUCAACACCCUCAUGACAGGAGAGUUACCUCAGGAGUUAGCCGAGGACCUUCGCGAACUAUGUUUGGAAAUAGUCCCCAGAGGCUAUUUAGCGACACUGGAGAUUCAGUCUACCUUGAUGGAAAGGAUCAGAGAAGCUCAGAAGACAAACAAGGAGAUUGAAGAGAUAAAGGAGAAGAUGAGCAAAGGAAAAGCCAAGGGAUUUCGUGAGGAUGAGCACGAUACCUUAUGGUUUGAGGACCGCGUGUAUGUGCCAAAAGAUCCGGAGAUCAGGAAGUUGAUUUUGCAAGAAGCCCAUGAUUCACCGUACUCGAUUCACCCAGGAAAUACCAAGAUGUAUUUGGAUCUAAAGAAUACUUUCUGGUGGACCGGAAUGAAGAAGGAUAUUGCAGAGUAUGUAGCAGUUUGUGAUGUAUGUCAGAGAGUGAAGGCAGAGCAUCAGAAGCCAGCAGGAUUGCUACAACCAUUGCCGAUACCCGAAUGGAAGUGGGAUAAAAUAGGCAUGGAUUUUAUCACAGGAUUACCCAGGACUCGUUCAGGCUAUGACUCAAUAUGGGUUGUAGUCGACCGUUUGACGAAAGUGGCUCAUUUCAUUCCAGUGAAGACCACUUACACCAGUGCUAAGUUGGCAAAGAUAUACAUGACCAGGAUUGUAUGUUUGCAUGGAGUUCCGAGGACCAUUGUAUCAGAUAGAGGAACCCAGUUUACCUCGAAGUUUUGGAAGCAGUUACAUGAAACAUUGGGAACCAGGCUAGAAUUUAGUACAGCUUUUCACCCACAGACAGAUGGACAGACCGAGAGAGUCAACCAGAUUUUGGAGGACAUGUUGAGAGCUUGUGCACUAGAUUAUGGAUCUAGUUGGGACGACAAUUUGCCAUAUGCGGAGUUUUCUUAUAACAACAGUUAUCAAACCAGUUUGAAGAUGGCCCCUUUCGAAGCUUUGUACGGAAGAAGGUGUAGAACACCGUUGUUAUGGGACGAAGUUGGAGACCGUCAGUUGUUUGGACCGGAUUUGAUUAAGGAGUCUGAACAGAAAGUAAGGUUGAUUCGCGAUAGGCUCAAGGUAGCCCAGUCCAGGCAGAAGAGUUAUGCUGAUUCUAAACGAAAGGAGACAGUUCAUGAAGUCGGAGACAGAGUUUAUCUUCGAGUAUCACCACUUCGAGGAGUGAAGCGUUUUGGAGUUAAGGGAAAGUUAGCGCCCCGUUAUAUCGGACCAUACAGAGUUUUGGAACGUAUGGGAGAAGUUGCCUACAAGCUGGAAUUGCCCGAAGGAUUGUCUGGAGUCCAUGAUGUAUUUCACGUUUCCCAGUUGAAGAAGUGCGACGCAGAGAUGGCUGAGAUACCACUGAGAGAUACUGUGCCGCUGGAAGCGAUUCAGCUGGAAAGUGAUUUGACCUAUGAGGAGAAACCAGUUAAGAUUCUUGAGUAUGCCAGCCGAGUUACCCGCAGUAAGGUUAUCAAGUUUUGCAAAGUCCAGUGGAGUCACCACACGGAAGAUGAAGCCACCUGGGAGCGAGAGGAAGAUCUACGGGAGGACCACUCCCACCUGUUUUCUAGCCAACCCGAAUCUCGAGGGCGAGAUUCAUCUUAAGGGGGGUAGGUUUCUAACAUCCCAAAUUUUCAAUUUGGUAUGUUAUACAUAGAUCAUCAUUGCAUAUCAUAUUUUAUUGCAUUUCGACAAAUCCUCGAUAAAUCCUAAGCAACUCAAGGACCCUCGGAGAGAGUUGGGGAUUUUCUCGAAUUUCCAUAUUUUAUUUUCAUCAAAUAAUAAAACGAGGAUUUUGGUUUUAAUUAUUUUUCUCUCCGGAAAAAUAUUUCAUUAAAAAUAAAUGAGAGGAGAAAAUAUGACUUCUCCAAAACAAUCGAAAUAUUGGAGGAAAAGUGUUAAAAUCAUUUAUUGGAUUUUAUUCGGAUUUUAUUUGCAAUUUUAAUUGCAUUAAAAAAUUAUUGCACGUAUUCAAAAUUUAUCUUUGUCUCAAUAAAAUGUUCACCCUGUUCUAAAUAUUCUAACUAGACGGGGAAAAUUUGUUUUACCUAUUUUGGAUUUUUACUUAUUUUUCCACGAAUUUUUCGGCGGAACGUUUUUAAAAAAAAAUUGCGCCGCGCCCGACCGGGCCGAGGCCCAGCCGAGCCGCCGGCCCACCCCCGCGUNNNNNNNNNNNNNNNNNNNNNNNNNNNNNNNNNNNNNNNNNNNNNNNNNNNNNNNNNNNNNNNNNNNNNNNNNNNNNNNNNNNNNNNNNNNNNNNNNNNNNNNNNNNNNNNNNNNNNNNNNNNNNNNNNNNNNNNNNNNNNNNNNNNNNNNNNNNNNNNNNNNNNNNNNNNNNNNNNNNNNNNNNNNNNNNNNNNNNNNNNNNNNNNNNNNNNNNNNNNNNNNNNNNNNNNNNNNNNNNNNNNNNNNNNNNNNNNNNNNNNNNNNNNNNNNNNNNNNNNNNNNNNNNNNNNNNNNNNNNNNNNNNNNNNNNNNNNNNNNNNNNNNNNNNNNNNNNNNNNNNNNNNNNNNNNNNNNNNNNNNNNNNNNNNNNNNNNNNNNNNNNNNNNNNNNNNNNNNNNNNNNNNNNNNNNNNNNNNNNNNNNNNNNNNNNNNNNNNNNNNNNNNNNNNNNNNNNNNNNNNNNNNNNNNNNNNNNNNNNNNNNNNNNNNNNNNNNNNNNNNNNNNNNNNNNNNNNNNNNNNNNNNNNNNNNNNNNNNNNNNNNNNNNNNNNNNNNNNNNNNNNNNNNNNNNNNNNNNNNNNNNNNNNNNNNNNNNNNNNNNNNNNNNNNNNNNNNNNNNNNNNNNNNNNNNNNNNNNNNNNNNNNNNNNNNNNNNNNNNNNNNNNNNNNNNNNNNNNNNNNNNNNNNNNNNNNNNNNNNNNNNNNNNNNNNNNNNNNNNNNNNNNNNNNNNNNNNNNNNNNNNNNNNNNNNNNNNNNNNNNNNNNNNNNNNNNNNNNNNNNNNNNNNNNNNNNNNNNNNNNNNNNNNNNNNNNNNNNNNNNNNNNNNNNNNNNNNNNNNNNNNNNNNNNNNNNNNNNNNNNNNNNNNNNNNNNNNNNNNNNNNNNNNNNNNNNNNNNNNNNNNNNNNNNNNNNNNNNNNNNNNNNNNNNNNNNNNNNNNNNNNNNNNNNNNNNNNNNNNNNNNNNNNNNNNNNNNNNNNNNNNNNNNNNNNNNNNNNNNNNNNNNNNNNNNNNNNNNNNNNNNNNNNNNNNNNNNNNNNNNNNNNNNNNNNNNNNNNNNNNNNNNNNNNNNNNNNNNNNNNNNNNNNNNNNNNNNNNNNNNNNNNNNNNNNNNNNNNNNNNNNNNNNNNNNNNNNNNNNNNNNNNNNNNNNNNNNNNNNNNNNNNNNNNNNNNNNNNNNNNNNNNNNNNNNNNNNNNNNNNNNNNNNNNNNNNNNNNNNNNNNNNNNNNNNNNNNNNNNNNNNNNNNNNNNNNNNNNNNNNNNNNNNNNNNNNNNNNNNNNNNNNNNNNNNNNNNNNNNNNNNNNNNNNNNNNNNNNNNNNNNNNNNNNNNNNNNNNNNNNNNNNNNNNNNNNNNNNNNNNNNNNNNNNNNNNNNNNNNNNNNNNNNNNNNNNNNNNNNNNNNNNNNNNNNNNNNNNNNNNNNNNNNNNNNNNNNNNNNNNNNNNNNNNNNNNNNNNNNNNNNNNNNNNNNNNNNNNNNNNNNNNNNNNNNNNNNNNNNNNNNNNNNNNNNNNNNNNNNNNNNNNNNNNNNNNNNNNNNNNNNNNNNNNNNNNNNNNNNNNNNNNNNNNNNNNNNNNNNNNNNNNNNNNNNNNNNNNNNNNNNUUGGGAAGUAGUUGAGGUAGUACCUAUUACCUGUUCUUUUAUCAAACCCUUGGGAGUUACUUCUACGUUGCUAUUAUAUUGCCAAGCUAUGCUCGUAGACGUGGAUUGGGUUUGAGUGAUAUUCAUGACAGAUGUGAGAUUGUUAAUAAUGGUUUACUUAAGGUGGCAACUAAAACUCACAUCUGGGUGGAUUGAGGCACCUGGAGAAUCCAGUGUUGUCUGUUUGUAUAAGGACCGCCACCCAGGCUCAAAGGGAUCAUAAGAUUAUUCAUGCUAGAAACUUCCGUGUGCAGCCACAAGCUAUUAUGGGCUCUAGCAUAGUUGAGUAGGUUACAUGAUCUCUUGAAGAGGUGGGCUAGCAGAUGUAGGGGAAAGUAGGUGUAACUGUCCACCCGGAGUAAAGAGUGAUUGUUCCUGAAAGGCUGUGUCUCGGUCAUCCGUUUCUCAAACAUCAUGUAGUGCGAGAAUCAAGCGGAGGCGAUCGAGUCUUGUGGGGAAAAGUGCGCAAACCUUUGCAGAGUGUACAAACUAAUCAUGGUUAGCCGUGUCCCCGGUUAUGGACAAUUUGAGUAUCUAGUACCUGGAUUAUCAUAUGAAUCUCAUCAUCAUGUUACUUUUAAUUAAUUUUGUUGGGUAAAUGAUGAUUUUUAAUUGGGAUUGAGAUGCCGUCAACCAUCUCAAUGUUUAAAAACCACCAUGAUAGUUAAAUAAAAUUUAUUCCUUUGCAGUAGGGAAAAAUUGGCUUUCCGCAAAAACUUUAACCAUAGAGCUUUCCACCAGCCAUAUAUGCAUGUAACAUAGCAUUAUUAUUGUUCAUCAUUCUCUAUGUGUUACAUUACCAGCAUAUUCCAUGUGCUGACCAGGUUUCGGGCUGCAACGUUUCAUGUUGCAGACUUUUCAGACGACGAGUAAGGUGCCUUAGGUCGUGGUCUUAUACUCAGUGAUGCCGCUGGAGUUGAUGGACUCACUUAUCUUCCAAGUCUUCCGCUGUUAUCGUUUUUAGAUGGCCUUAAGCCAUAUUUAUCAUACUUAUUCUCUUGGAGAUAUUCGAUGUAAUAAGUGUGUGAUUGCUACUCUGUUAUAAAUCCUCCAUUUGUACUGUGCGUGUCAGCAUUACUGAUCCAGGGAUGACACUGGUGCACAGCAGCACAGACUAUUUAAGGUCUGGUCGCUACAAAGGUGGUAUCAGAGCACACGCUGACUGUAGGACACGACCACUAAGCUUAAGCCCUAGAACACUUCUCUCUUCUCAUUUCUGACCCCUCUCCACUUUCUACUCUUUUAGGAAUGGCGGAUGCAAGGAGCAAGUUCAUGCAACCCAAUGAAGACACGCCUUUUGGUUGACACUUGAAGGAAGUCACCAAGUACUUGAACAUAGGAAUACCAAGCAUCAACGGAACCUACAACGCCACAUUACCCGAAGAGGAGAGCUGGAAGAUUCAAGUUCACAUUCCAGGAAGGACGUUUGUGCCAGUUACUGAACCCAUAAGAUUGGUUUUCGAAGCACCAACCUGGAGUUUAGGGAAGAGCAUGGCAGCCCACAUCGCUAUGGGACGCAUUGGAGAAGUCUACCACCAGGAGCUUAAGGAUACAAUUUAUCAAAUUUGUGGACGCCGAGACGCGCAAUGGGAGAUGAUCAGAACCAAGAAGGAUGGAUCAAUCGCAGCUUUCAUCCAGGAGCAAAACCAACAUAUUCGUCGCCAGGAGAACCAGAUGUGCACGGACAAGGAAGAACUGAAGAAGGCAUUAACCAAGAUCAAGGAGCUGGAGGAAGAACUCAAGGCUACACGCGAGGAUUAUAUGGAGGAAAUCGUCGCACUAGUAGGGAAGAAUGACGACCUGGAGAAGAAGAUUGGAGUAUUCAUGGGAAAUCCAGUGCCAAAAGCAGAAGAUGACCAAUGCACUUGUCCGGAUAACUACAUCAUCAUCGACGACACCGACUCGGAACCAAGUGAAGAUGACUUUGUUGAUGAAGCUGGAGCAGACAUCAUGGAGUCUUCAACUGAUCAGAAUUUCUAUGUAGACCACCAUAUCAGUAGUAGUUUUCCCCCAUUUAAUAGUAUAGUUCAAGCACUUUGUAACGCUAGUUAGAUCGAUUGUUAUGCCUUGUUUGAGUUGAUUGAGUGAUAUUGAUUGUAUUUGUCUCAUGAGCAUAUGGGUAGUGUUUUCCCCUCUAGACCUCAUUCUAUUCUUAACUCUCAUCUUUUCUAACCCAUCAGAUGCCUCCGAGACGCGACACCGGGUUUGUUUUCCCACCGGAGAUCACCCAGUUGAUUCGGCAACAGAAUGCCCUGAUGCAAGUGUUAGUGCAGAACCAAGGCAACAACAACAAAAACAACCCACCGCCGCCACCACCUAUUGAUCACUUAGCCCGUUUCUUAAGGCUAAACCCGCCGGUGUUUUCCAGUAGCACCGAGCCGAUUGUUGCAGAUGAUUGGCUCCACAAAGUUGGAAGGGAGUUGACCACUGCAGGAUGCACAGAUGCGGAAAGAGUGCGUUUUGCCGCACAUCAGCUUGAUGGACCCACGGCAUCAUGGUGGGAGAAUUAUACAGCCACGCACCCUAUUGACACUGUCACAUGGGACCAGUUUCAGCAAGCUUUUCGUACAGCUCAUGUUUCAGCAGGAGCUAUGGCUAUGAAGAAGCGCGAGUUUCGCAACCUACGCCAAGGAGGACGCACCGUAGGCCAGUAUGUGGAGGAUUUCAGUAAAUUAGCACGUUAUGCACCAGAUGACGUUGCUACAGAUGCAGCCAAGCAGGAGAAAUUUUUGGAAGGACUGAAUGAUGAACUGAGUAUGCAGUUGAUGGUAGCAACCUUCAACAACUACCAGGAGCUGGUAGAUAGAGCUCCCAUGAUUGAAGGGAAGCAACAGCAGAUUGAAAACCAUAAGAGGAAGUCUGAACAAGGGAAGUAUAACUCUGGACCUCAACAGAAACCACGUUUUGCCCCGAAGCCGGGAGGACAGUUUCAGCAUACCCAUGGAGGAGGUAGUUCGCACUACCAUAAUGGCUCCAAGAAUGGUAAUGGGAAUGGAGGAACCAACGGACAGAACCGCACCAACCCAUCUACCCCAGCCAAGAGGGAUCUAACUCAUGUUACCUGUUUCAAGUGCCAAAAGACUAGACAUUAUGCAACUGAUUGUCCUGAAGCCCAGAAUGGCAAUGGUAAUGGAAGCUCUGGGAAGAAGUCGAACCCGUUCAACAAAGGACACGUGAUCGUGGAGGAGGUUGAAGCUCAGCCUGAUGCUGUAAUAGGUAAGUUUUUGGUUAAGUCAUUUACUGCAACCAUUCUUUUCGAUACUGGUGCAUCGCAUUCAUACAUAUCAAGGGGAUUUGUGAAUAAGUUUAAGCUGUCCACCAAAGUUCUCAGAACCCCUAUGUUAGUAACCUCGCCAGGAGCAGAGUAUAUGGCAAGCCAAGGAUGUUUUCAGAUGCCAUUGGCCAUUGGUAGGCAUGUUUUCCCCUCAGACCUCAUAGUUUUGGAGUCGCAAGGUUUGGAUGUGAUUUUGGGAAUGGAUUGGCUAUCGUUGUAUGGAGGAAACAUCGAUUGUGCCAGCAAGACGAUUUUGCUUACCACCCUAGAAGGAAAAAGGAUCAAGUAUGUAUCCCGGCAUAUGCCGAAGAGGACUCAAGUGAAUUCCUUAUCAGGAGUUGUACAGGAGGAAGUACCAGUGGUGAAGGAUUAUCCGGAUGUAUUUCCAGAAGAGUUGCUAGGCAUGCCACCAGAUAGAGACAUUGAGUUCUUGAUUGAACUUUUGCCAGGCACAGGGCCAAUAUCUAAGAGACCGUACAGGAUGCCCGCAAAAGAUUCGGAGGAAAUUAAGAAGCAGAUCAAGGAGUUACUGGAUAAAGGCUAUAUUCGCCCAAGUUGUCACCUUGGGGAUCACCAGUACUGCUAGUGGAGAAGAAAGAUGGAUCGCUGAGGAUGGUUGUUGAUUACCGUGGAUUGAAUGAAGUAACCAUCAAAAACAAGUACCCACUGCCGAUGAUCAAUGAUUUGUUUGACCGCCUACAAGGAGCUAAAGUAUUUUCCAAGAUCGAUCUACAAUCAGGAUACCAUCAGUUAAAGAUUCGAGAGCAGGAUAUACCUAAGACGGCUUUUACCACCAGAUAUGGAUUAUAUGAGUAUACCGUUAUGUCAUUUGGUCUGACUAACGCACCUGCCUAUUUUAUGAACCUGAUGAACAAAGUGUUUAUGGAGUUUUUGGAUAAGUUCGUCGUGGUGUUCAUUGACGAUAUUUUAGUCUUUUCCAAGAAUGAGGAAGAGCAUGAGGAGCAUUUGCGAUUGGUACUUGAGAAGCUCAGAGAACAUCAAUUAUAUGCCAAGUUCAGCAAAUGUGAAUUUUGGCUGAAGGAAGUUGGAUUCCUUGGACAUGUUAUUUCUGGAGAAGGAAUAGCAGUAGACCCUGCCAAGGUUGACACAGUGACAAGUUGGGAAUCACCCACGACAGUUGGAGAAAUCCGGAGUUUUCUUGGACUUGCAGGAUACUACCGGAGGUUCAUCGAGAAUUUCUCGAAGAUUGCUAAGCCCAUGACUGAGCUAUUGAAGAAGGACACCAAAUUCAAUUGGACUGAGGAUUGUGAAGCUAGUUUCCAGGAGUUGAAGAAACGAUUGGUUACAUCACCAGUGUUGAUUCUACCAGAUCAACGCAAGGACUAUGAAGUUUAUUGCGACGCUUCUCGUCGAGGACUUGGAGCAGCGCUUAUGCAGGAAGGAAGAGUUGUGUCAUAUGCUUCACGACAACUUAAACCCCAUGAGAAGAAUUAUGCUACGCAUGAUUUGGAGUUAGCAGCCGUGGUGCAUGCGUUGAAGACAGGGAGACAUUUUCUCAUCGGAAACCAUUGUGAGGUGUACACGGAUCACAAGAGUUUGAAGUAUAUUUUCACGCAGAAGGAGUUAAACCUCAGACAGAGGAGAUGGUUGGAGCUCAUUAAGGAUUAUGAUAUGAGAUUGCAUUAUCACCCAGGAAAGGCUAACGUAGUAGCAGACGCGUUGAGCCGCAAGAGUCAUGUCAACACCCUCAUGACAGGAGAGUUACCUCAGGAGUUAGCCGAGGACCUUCGCGAACUAUGUUUGGAAAUAGUCCCCAGAGGCUAUUUAGCGACACUGGAGAUUCAGUCUACCUUGAUGGAAAGGAUCAGAGAAGCUCAGAAGACAAACAAGGAGAUUGAAGAGAUAAAGGAGAAGAUGAGCAAAGGAAAAGCCAAGGGAUUUCGUGAGGAUGAGCACGAUACCUCAUGGUUUGAGGACCGCGUGUAUGUGCCAAAAGAUCCGGAGAUCAGGAAGUUGAUUUUGCAAGAAGCCCAUGAUUCACCGUACUCGAUUCACCCAGGAAAUACCAAGAUGUAUUUGGAUCUAAAGAAUACUUUCUGGUGGACCGGAAUGAAGAAGGAUAUUGCAGAGUAUGUAGCAGUUUGUGAUGUAUGUCAGAGAGUGAAGGCAGAGCAUCAGAAGCCAGCAGGAUUGCUACAACCAUUGCCGAUACCCGAAUGGAAGUGGGAUAAAAUAGGCAUGGAUUUUAUCACAGGAUUACCCAGGACUCGUUCAGGCUAUGACUCAAUAUGGGUUGUAGUCGACCGUUUGACGAAAGUGGCUCAUUUCAUUCCAGUGAAGACCACUUACACCAGUGCUAAGUUGGCAAAGAUAUACAUGACCAGGAUUGUAUGUUUGCAUGGAGUUCCGAGGACCAUUGUAUCAGAUAGAGGAACCCAGUUUACCUCGAAGUUUUGGAAGCAGUUACAUGAAACAUUGGGAACCAGGCUAGAAUUUAGUACAGCUUUUCACCCACAGACAGAUGGACAGACCGAGAGAGUCAACCAGAUUUUGGAGGACAUGUUGAGAGCUUGUGCACUAGAUUAUGGAUCUAGUUGGGACGACAAUUUGCCAUAUGCGGAGUUUUCUUAUAACAACAGUUAUCAAACCAGUUUGAAGAUGGCCCCUUUCGAAGCUUUGUACGGAAGAAGGUGUAGAACACCGUUGUUAUGGGACGAAGUUGGAGACCGUCAGUUGUUUGGACCAGAUUUGAUUAAGGAGUCUGAACAGAAAGUAAGGUUGAUUCGCGAUAGGCUCAAGGUAGCCCAGUCCAGGCAGAAGAGUUAUGCUGAUUCUAAACGAAAGGAGACAGUUCAUGAAGUCGGAGACAGAGUUUAUCUUCGAGUAUCACCACUUCGAGGAGUGAAGCGUUUUGGAGUUAAGGGAAAGUUAGCGCCCCGUUAUAUCGGACCAUACAGAGUUUUGGAACGUAUGGGAGAAGUUGCCUACAAGCUGGAAUUGCCCGAAGGAUUGUCUGGAGUCCAUGAUGUAUUUCACGUUUCCCAGUUGAAGAAGUGCGACGCAGAGAUGGCUGAGAUACCACUGAGAGAUACUGUGCCGCUGGAAGCGAUUCAGCUGGAAAGUGAUUUGACCUAUGAGGAGAAACCAGUUAAGAUUCUUGAGUAUGCCAGCCGAGUUACCCGCAGUAAGGUUAUCAAGUUUUGCAAAGUCCAGUGGAGUCACCACACGGAAGAUGAAGCCACCUGGGAGCGAGAGGAAGAUCUACGGGAGGACCACUCCCACCUGUUUUCUAGCCAACCCGAAUCUCGAGGGCGAGAUUCAUCUUAAGGGGGGUAGGUUUCUAACAUCCCAAAUUUUCAAUUUGGUAUGUUAUACAUAGAUCAUCAUUGCAUAUCAUAUUUUAUUGCAUUUCGACAAAUCCUCGAUAAAUCCUAAGCAACUCAAGGACCCUCGGAGAGAGUUGGGGAUUUUCUCGAAUUUUCAUAUUUUAUUUUCAUCAAAUAAUAAAACGAGGAUUUUGGUUUUAAUUAUUUUUCUCUCCGGAAAAAUAUUUCAUUAAAAAUAAAUGAGAGGAGAUAAUAUAAGUUCUCCAAAACAAUUGAAAUAUUGGAGGAAAAGUGUUAAAAUCAUUUAUUGGAUUUUAUUCGGAUUUUAUUUACAAUUUUAAUUGCAUUAAAAAAUUAUUGCACGUUUUCAAAAUUUAUCUUUGUGUCAAAAAAUGUUCACCCUGUUCUAAAUAUUCUAACUAGACGGGGAAAAUUUGUUUUAUCUUUUUUGGAUUUUUAUUUAUUUUUCUACGAAUUUUUCGGCGAAACGUUUAAAAAAAAUUGCGCCGCGCCCGACCGGGCCGAGGCCCAGCCGAGCCGCCGGCCCACCCCCGCGUCUCCUCCGCGCGAACGCNNNNNNNNNNNNNNNNNNNNNNNNNNNNNNNNNNNNNNNNNNNNNNNNNNNNNNNNNNNNNNNNNNNNNNNNNNNNNNNNNNNNNNNNNNNNNNNNNNNNNNNNNNNNNNNNNNNNNNNNNNNNNNNNNNNNNNNNNNNNNNNNNNNNNNNNNNNNNNNNNNNNNNNNNNNNNNNNNNNNNNNNNNNNNNNNNNNNNNNNNNNNNNNNNNNNNNNNNNNNNNNNNNNNNNNNNNNNNNNNNNNNNNNNNNNNNNNNNNNNNNNNNNNNNNNNNNNNNNNNNNNNNNNNNNNNNNNNNNNNNNNNNNNNNNNNNNNNNNNNNNNNNNNNNNNNNNNNNNNNNNNNNNNNNNNNNNNNNNNNNNNNNNNNNNNNNNNNNNNNNNNNNNNNNNNNNNNNNNNNNNNNNNNNNNNNNNNNNNNNNNNNNNNNNNNNNNNNNNNNNNNNNNNNNNNNNNNNNNNNNNNNNNNNNNNNNNNNNNNNNNNNNNNNNNNNNNNNNNNNNNNNNNNNNNNNNNNNNNNNNNNNNNNNNNNNNNNNNNNNNNNNNNNNNNNNNNNNNNNNNNNNNNNNNNNNNNNNNNNNNNNNNNNNNNNNNNNNNNNNNNNNNNNNNNNNNNNNNNNNNNNNNNNNNNNNNNNNNNNNNNNNNNNNNNNNNNNNNNNNNNNNNNNNNNNNNNNNNNNNNNNNNNNNNNNNNNNNNNNNNNNNNNNNNNNNNNNNNNNNNNNNNNNNNNNNNNNNNNNNNNNNNNNNNNNNNNNNNNNNNNNNNNNNNNNNNNNNNNNNNNNNNNNNNNNNNNNNNNNNNNNNNNNNNNNNNNNNNNNNNNNNNNNNNNNNNNNNNNNNNNNNNNNNNNNNNNNNNNNNNNNNNNNNNNNNNNNNNNNNNNNNNNNNNNNNNNNNNNNNNNNNNNNNNNNNNNNNNNNNNNNNNNNNNNNNNNNNNNNNNNNNNNNNNNNNNNNNNNNNNNNNNNNNNNNNNNNNNNNNNNNNNNNNNNNNNNNNNNNNNNNNNNNNNNNNNNNNNNNNNNNNNNNNNNNNNNNNNNNNNNNNNNNNNNNNNNNNNNNNNNNNNNNNNNNNNNNNNNNNNNNNNNNNNNNNNNNNNNNNNNNNNNNNNNNNNNNNNNNNNNNNNNNNNNNNNNNNNNNNNNNNNNNGAUCUAAUUAAAUUGUGGGUAUUGGGAAGUAGUUGAGGUAGUACCUAUUACCUGUUCUUUUAUCAAACCCUUGGGAGUUACUUCUACGUUGCUAUUAUAUUGCCAAGCUAUGCUCGUAGACGUGGAUUGGGUUUGAGUGAUAUUCAUGACAGAUGUGAGAUUGUUAAUAAUGGUUUACUUAAGGUGGCAACUAAAACUCACAUCUGGGUGGAUUGAGGCACCUGGAGAAUCCAGUGUUGUCUGUUUGUAUAAGGACCGCCACCCAGGCUCAAAGGGAUCAUAAGAUUAUUCAUGCUAGAAACUUCCGUGUGCAGCCACAAGCUAUUAUGGGCUCUAGCAUAGUUGAGUAGGUUACAUGAUCUCUUGAAGAGGUGGGCUAGCAGAUGUAGGGGAAAGUAGGUGUAACUGUCCACCCGGAGUAAAGAGUGAUUGUUCCUGAAAGGUUGUGUCUCGGUCAUCCGUUUCUCAAACAUCAUGUAGUGCGAGAAUCAAGCGGAGGCGAUCGAGUCUUGUGGGGAAAAGUGCGCAAACCUCUGCAGAGUGCACAAACUAAUCAUGGUUAGCCGUGUCCCCGGUUAUGGACAAUUUGAGUAUCUAGUACCUGGAUUAUCAUAUGAAUCUCAUCAUCAUGUUACUUUUAAUUAAUUUUGUUGGGUAAAUGAUGAUUUUUAAUUGGGAUUGAGAUGCUGUCAACCAUCUCAAUGUUUAACAACCACCAUGAUAGUUAAAUAAAAUUUAUUCCUUUGCAGUAGGGAAAAAUUGGCUUUCCGCAAAAACUUUAACCAUAGAGCUUUCCACCAGCCAUAUAUGCAUGUAGCAUAGCAUUAUUAUUGUUCAUCAUUCUCUAUGUGUUACAUUGCCAGCAUAUUCCAUGUGCUGACCCGUUUUCGGGCUGCAACGUUUCAUGUUGCAGACUUUUCAGACGACGAAUAAGGUGCCCUAGGUCGUGGUCUUAUACUCAUUGAUGCCGCUGGAGUUGAUGGACUCACUUAUCUUCCAAGUCUUCCGCUGUUAUCGUUUUUAGAUGGCCUUAAGCCAUAUUUAUCAUACUUAUUCUCUUUGGAGAUAUUCGAUGUAAUAAGUGUGUGAUUGCUACUCUGUUAUAAAUCCUCCAUUUGUACUGUGCGUGUCAGCAUUACUGAUCUAGGGAUGACACUGCUGCACAGCAGCACAGACUAUUUGAAGUCUGGUCGCUACAAGGUGAGCCUCCGUGACGCUCCCUUCCCUCUCUUUCAUGCUCUAGCGCGCUCCGUCGCCGUCCCCGCGGAGGUGAGCUCCGCCGCCCGCGUGCCGUACGCGCUUCCGAGCCCCAGCGCAAGUCACUGAAGUGCUCCAGGAGACGCGCAGCACCGAGCUGCAGCCCCAACCGCCCCCUAGGUCGCUCCCGCCGCGAUUCGAACAGGGCCUGAGCGCCACCGCCGCUCCCCAGCAUCGCCUAAUACCACCACUUGACGCGGCGUCGACCCGGCGUUCGAAAGAGCCCACCCGCGCCUCCGUUCGUGCCCCCUGUCGCCAUCUGCAUCCUCGCCCAACUCCGGCGACCACAAACCUCGACGCCGGCGAUGCUCGGACCGUCCCCGGCGCCGGCCGUCCUCACCAUCGCGUGCACAACGCCAGCACACACUCGUAGGUCCAAACGGCCGGUCUGGAGGCCCUCUGUGGCCUUUUUCCGGCCGACUCCGGCGCGUCGCCGCCGUUGUAAUAUCCGCCGCUAGCGCGCCACCGCCACUGCUGACGUGGCAGCCCGGGGCCACCACCCUUGUCGCUGACCGAUGGCCCCAGUGGCCCCCGCUCGCCCCACUUGACCAAGUUAACCCAGUCAAUGUGCUGACUCGGCAGCCCAGUGCCACUCACUGGUGGGCCUCGCCCCUAACACUAAUUAAAUUACUUAAUUUAAAUAAAUUUAAAUUGAUUACUCACGGACAGUGGGCCCAUGUUAUCUAAUUAGUUAGAUUAAUUGAAAUUAAACUCUGUUAAGGCCACUGUCUAUGACAGGUGGGACCCAUUGGUCAGUUUGACUAGUUUAACGGGUCAGCUGACUGCUGAUGCAUUGCUGACGCAUUAAUAGAUUUCUGUUAUUAAAAAUAAUUCCAGAAAAUGGUUUAAUCUUUGAAAAUUGAUAUAAAAUAAACCGUAGCUCGGAUGAAAAUGUUUUCUAUAUGAAAGUUGCUCAGAACGACGAGACGAAUCUGGAUACGCAGCCCGUUCGUUCACCACACGUCCCUAGCAUAGUGAACCUGCAACAUUUCACCUCCGGUCCAUCUGUCCGAAAACGCGAAACAUCGGGAAUACUUUCCCGGAUGUUUCCCCCUUCGCCGGUAUCACCUAGUACCUCGUUUAGGCACACCUAGCCUCACGCUUUGUCAUGUCAUGCAUCGCCAUGCAUUUGUUUGCAUUGUAUUUAUUGUUUCUCCCCCCUCUUCUCUCGCUAGACACCGAGACCGACGCCCCUGCCACCCAGUACGACUACGGUGUUGACGACCCCUCCUUCUCGGCUGAGCUUCCAGGCAAGCCCCCCCCCUGAUCACCAGAUAUUGCCUAUUCUUCUCUAUACUGCUUGCAUUAGAAGAGUGUAGCAUGUUACUGCUUUCGGUUGAUCCUAUUCUGCUGCAUAGCCUAUCAUUGUUGCUACAGUUGUUACCCUUACCUGCUAUCCUACUGCUUAGUAUAGGAUGCUAGUGUUCCAUCAAUGGCCCUACACUCUUGUCCGUCUGCCAUGCUAUACUACUGGGCCGUGAUCACUUCGGGAGGUGAUCAUGGGUAUAUACUAUAUACUUUAUAUACAUGACACAUGUGGUGACUAAAGUCGGGUCGGCUCGUUGAGUACCCGCAAGUGAUUCUGAUGAGGGGGCUGAAAGGACAGGUGGCUCCAUCCCGGUAGAGGUGGGCCUGGGUUCCUGACGGCCCCCGACUGUUACUUUAUGGCGGAGCGACAGGGCAGGUUGAGACCACCUAGGAGAGAGGUGGGCCUGGCCCUGGUCGGCGUUCGCGGAUACUUAACACGCUUAACGAGAUCUUGGUAUUUGAUCUGAGUCUGGCCAUUUGGUCUACACGCACUAACCAACUACGCGGGAAUAGUUAUGGGCACUCGACGUCGUGGUAUCAGCCGAAGCUCUUCUUGACGUCAGCGACGGAGCGGCGCGCGCCGGAUUGGACUGGAACGCCUGCUAGGCUAGGUCUGCUUCCGGCCGCGUACGCGAUGUGCAGGUGUGCAAUGGGCGAUGGGCCCAGACCCCUGCGCGCAUAGGAUUUAGACCGGCGUGCUGACCUCUCUGUUGUGCCUAGGUGGGGCUGCGACGUGUUGAUCUUCCGCGGCCGGGCAUGACCUAGAAAAGUGUGUCCGGCCAAAUGGGAUCGAGCGUGUUGGGUUAUGUGGUGCACCCCUGCAGGGAAGUUUAUCUAUUCGAAUAGCCGUGUCCCUCGGUAAAAGGACGACCCGGAGUUGUACCUUGACCUUAUGACAACUGGAACUGGAUACUUAAUAAAACACACCCUUCCAAGUGCCAGAUAUAACCCGGUGAUCGCUCUCUAACAGGGCGACGAGGAGGGGAUCGCCGGGUAGGAUUAUGCUAUGCGAUGCUACUUGGUGAACUUACCAUCUACUCUCUUCUACAUGCUGCAAGAUGGAGGUGGCCAGAAGCAUAGUCUUCGACAGGAUUAGCUAUCCCCCUCUUAUUCUGGCAUUCUGCAGUUCAGUCCACUGAUAUAACCCUUUACACAUAUACCCAUGCAUAUGUAGUGUAGCUCCUUGCUUGCGAGUACUUUGGAUGAGUACUCACGGUUGCUUUUCUCCCUCUUUUCCCCUUUCUAUACCUGGUUGUCGCAACCAGAUGCUGGAGUCCAGGAGCUAGAGACCCCGAGGAAGAUUCUAUGUGGAGUUCGGCUUCGAGGAGUAGUUAGGAGGUCCCAGGCAGGAGGCCUUGCCUUUUCGAUCGUUGCUACUUUUGUGCUAGCCUUCUUAAGGCAAACUUGUUUAACAGAUGUCUGUACUCAGAUAUUGUUGCUUCCGCUGACUCGUCUAUGAUCGAGCACUUGUAUUCGAGCCCUCGAGGCCCCUGGCUUGUAUUAUGAUGCUUGUAUGACUUAUUUAUAUUGUACAGUUGUGUUGUGAUAUCUUCCCGUGAGUCCCUGAUCUUGAUCGUACACAUUUGCAUGCAUGAUUAGUGUACGGUCGAAUCGGGAGCGUCACAACGACCAAGGAAACUUCUUAUACCUUUGAUGUCCUUAGAACACGACAUCUUUUCAAUAACAUCAACUUUGGCUUUAUCAACUUCAAUACCUAUUUCAGAAAUUUUAUGCCUCAAGAAAAUACCUUCAUUAACCAUAAAGUGGCACUUCUCCCAAUUCAAGACAAGAUUGGUUUCUUCACAUCUCUGCAAAACUCGAUCAAGGUUGCUUAAGCAAUCAUCAAAAGAAGUUCCAUACACGGAGAAAUCAUCCAUGAAAACCUCAACAAUCUUUUCACAAAAAUCAGAGAAUAUAGCCAUCAUGCAUCUUGGAAAGGUAGCAGGUGCAUUACAUAAACCAAAAGGAAUACGUCUAUAAGCAAAGGUACCGAAAGGGCAAGUAAAAGUGGUCUUUUCUUGAUCCUCUUUUGACAUAGGUAUUUGAGAGAAACCAGAAUAACCGUCUAGAAAGAAAAAUGUGUGUGUUAGCAUUUGAUCAAUAAAAGGUAAAGGGUAAUGAUCCUUUUUAGUAGCUUUAUUUAGUUUGCGGAAAUCAAUUACCAUUCUAUAACCUGUAACAAUUCUUUGUGGGAUCAAUUCAUCUUUAUCAUUAGGGACAACAGUAAUACCUCCCUUCUUUGGGACACAAUGGACAGGACUUAUCCACUGACUAUCAGCAUCAAGAUAAAUUAUACCUGCCUCCAGAAGCUUUAGUAUUUCUUUUCUUACCACUUCUUUCAUCUUAGGAUUUAACCAUCAUUGGUGAUCAACAACCGGUUUAGCGUCUUUCUCCAAUUUUAUUUUGUGUUGGCAUAGAGUGGGACUAAUUCCCUUAAGAUCAUCCAGAGUAUAUCCAAUAGCAGCACGGUUCUUCUUCAGAGUUUUCAAUAAUUUCUCUUCUUCUUGCUCUGAAAGGUUAGCACUAAUAAUAACAGGACAUAUCUUCUUUUCAUCAAGAUAAGCAUAUUUAAGGGUAUCAGGCAAUGGUUUAAGCUCAAACACGGGAUCACCCUUGGGUGGAGGAGGAUCCCCUAGAAUUUCAAUAGGCAAGUUGUGUUUCAAAAUAGGUCCCUGUUUAAAGAAUACUUCAUCUAUUUCCCUUCUUUCAUUCAUAAACAUAUCAUUUUCAUGGUCUAGCAAAUAUUGUUCUAAAGGAUCAUUAGGAGGCACGACAAUAGAAGCAAGACCAAUAAUUUCAUCUUUACUAGGCAAUUCUUUACCAUGGGGUUGUCUACGAAAUUUAGAAAAAUUAAAAUCAUGAGACAUAUCCCCUAAACCAACAGUAACAAUAUCCUUUUCGCAGUCUAUCUUAGCAUUAACAGUAUUCAAGAAGGGCCUACCAAAUAUAAUGGGACAAAAGUCAUCUUGUGGGGAACCAAGAACAAGAAAAUCAGUAGGAUAUUUAACUUUCCCACACAAGACUUCAACAUCUCUAACAAUCCCAACUGGUGAAAUAGUAUCUCUAUUGGCAAGCUUAAUUGUAACAUCAAUUUCUUCUAUCUCAGCAGGUGCAAUAUCAUGCAUAAUUUCUUUGUAUAAGGAAUGAGGUAUUGCACUUGCACUAGCACCCAUAUCACAUAAGCCAUGAUAACAAUGAUCUCCUAUUUUAACAGAAACAAUAGGUCUAUGUUUACCCUUAGUAUCGGGUCUAGCAAUUCUAGCAGCCUCAUCACAGAAGUAAAUAACAUGCCCAUCAAUAUUAUCGGCCAAGAGAUCUUUAACCAUAGCAAUACUAGGUUCAACUUUAAUUUGCUCAAGGGGUGUAGGUGUUCUAGUAUUACUCUUACGAACCAUAGUUGAAGCUUUAGCAUGAUCCUUUAUUCUAACAGAGAAAGGGUUUCUCAAUAUAAGCAGUAGGAACAAUAGUAUCAACAUUAUAAGUGAUAGUCUUUCUUCAACUUUAAUAGGUUCAGCUAUUUUUUACUUCAAUGGGAGGAUGAUAUUUAAACCACUUCUCCUUAGGGAGAUCAACAUGAGUAGCAAAUGAUUCACAGAAAGAAGCUACUAUCUCAGAGUCAAGUCCAUAUUUAGUGCUAAAUUCACGAAAAACAUCGGUAUCCAUAAAAGAUUUAACACAAUCAAACUUAGGUGUUAUACCUGACUCCUUACCUUCGCCGAGAUUCCAAUCUUCAGAGUUGCGUUUAAUUCUUUCCAAUAAAUCCCAUUUGAAUUCAAUAGUCUUCAUCAUAAAAGAACCAGUACAAGAAGUAUCGAGCAUGGAGUGAUUAUUUAGAGAAAGCCGAGCAUAAAAAUUUUGAAUAAUAAUUUCUCUUGAGAGCUCAUGAUUGGGGCAUGAAUAUAACAUUGACUUAAGCCUCCCCCAAGGUUGAGCGAUGCUUUCUCCUUCGCGAGGCCAAAAAUUAUAUAUAUAAUUACGAUCACGAUGAACAAGAUGCAUAGGAUAAAACUUCUGAUGAAAUUCCAAUUUCAAUCGGUUGUAGUUCCAUGAUCCCAUAUCAUCACAUAGCCUAAACCAUGUCAAUGCCUUUUCCUUCAAAGAUAAAGGGAAGACCUUCUUGAUAACAUCCUCGGGCAUACCUGCAAGCUUAAAUAAUCCACAUAGAUUAGGUGCAAAUCGGGAUGUAAUGUUCCAUCUCCUGUAAAAGGAUUAGCUAGCAGUUUCUCUAUCAUACCCGAAGGAAUUUCAAAGUAAACAUUUUCAGUAGGUUCAGUAGGGUGAGGAGAAACUCUUUGCUCUACUGGUCAGGGUGAAGAUACCCCGAACAAGCCCCUCAAAGGAUUACUUUCCAUAGUAACAAGUGACAGUAAAUUUCAGCACACUAUAUAAAUUUUUCCUUACCAAAUUCCUGUUACCAAAGGCGCUUCACUCCCCGGCAAUGGCGCCAGAAAAGAGUCUUGAUGGCUGAGGGAGUUCUGGAUUAGGGGGUCCUCGGACAGCAGGACUAUAUACUUCUGCCGGACUGUUGGACUACGAAGAUACAAGACUCAAGACUUCGUCCCGUGUCCAGAUGGGACUCUCCUUUGCGUGGAAGGCAAGCUUGGCAAUACGGAUAUGUAGAUCUCCUCCCUUGUAACCGACUCUGUGUAACCCUAGCCCCCUCCGGUGUCUAUAUAAACUGGAGGGUUUAGUCCGUAGGACAACAACAAUCAUAAUCAUAGGCUAGCUUCUAGGGUUUAGCCUCUACGAUCUCGUGGUAGAUCAACUCUUGUAAUACUCAUAUCAUCAAGAUCAAUCAAGUAGAAAGUAGGGUAUUACCUCCAUCGAGAGGGCCCGAACCUGGGUAAACAUUGUGUCCCCCGCCUCCUGUUACCAUCCGCCUUAGACGCAUAGUUCGGGACCCCCUACCCGAGAUCCGCCGGUUUUGACACCGACGUUGGUGCUUUCAUUGAGAGUUCCACUGUGUCGUCGCGUUAAAGGCCUGAUGGCUCCUUUGAUCAUCGACAACGAUGCGAUCCAGGGCGAGGCUUUCCUUCCAGGAUAGAUCUUCGUAUUCGGCGGCUUCGUACUGCGGGCCAACUCGCUUGGCCAUCUGGAGCAGAUCGAGAGCUACGCCCCUGGCCAUCAGGUCAGGUUUGGAAACUUGAACUAUACUGCCGACAUCCGCGGAGACUUAAUCUUCGGCGGAUUCGAGCCCAUGUCAGGCGCGCCACGCAGUCACGACGAGCAUGACUUAGCCCUGCCGUCGGACAGUGUUCCAGAGAUCACACCUGCAACUACUCCGGCCCUCAAUCCGGAGCAGAUCGUAUCGUCCGAGGACGGGUGGAUAGACCCCGCCGCGGAGGCCGCGCACGCAGCAGCGAUAGAGCCGAAUACUGACUUCACCUCUUAUGAGACUCGUGUUGCCGGACACUUGGAUUCGUCCCCGGCCACGGGCUCCGAACCGCCUGCAUCCGUGCCAAUCGAAUCUGAUUGGGCACCGAUCAUGGAGUUUUCCUCCGAAAAUAUCUUUCAGCACUCACCACUGGGUGACGUGCUAAACUCAUUAAGAUCUCUCUCCUUGUCAGGAGACCCUUGGCCGAACUAUGUCCGGCUAGAGUGGGAUGCGGACGACGAAGAAAUUCGCUCCCCACCCACCACCCACUUAGUAGCCACUGUCGACGAUUUAACCAACAUGCUCGAUUUUGGCUCCGAAGACAUCGACGGUAUGGACGACGAUGCAGGAGAGGAACAGGAACCACCGCCCACAGGGCGCUGGAUAGCCACUUCAUCACACGAUGUAUAUAUAUGGUGGAUACACCCAAAGAAAACAACGACGAGGAACGGAAGGAUGCAGCGAAGGAUAGUUCCCUCAAGAAGCAACCAAAGCGACGGCGUAGGCGCCGCUCCAAAUCCCGCCUCGGCAAAAAACAGCGACAACAGCGCAAGAAUAAAUAACACCCCGGUCGACUCCAGAAGAAACAACGACCACAUGGACCCAGUGACAGAACAAGAUGAGCCAGCGGAAGGCGAACAUAGUACGGAGCCGCCGUCCGACAACGGUGACGCCGAGGGUAAAACUAAUAAACCUAUCUGUCACGACCGGAUUUUUGGGGAAUAAAUUCCCAGAAAAACGGCCUGUGUGCUCAUCAGCCCCAGGAUUACUGUUAGCUGAUGACGUACCAACUUGAUACAAGAAUUCCAAGCAAGUACAAAAAUAUGUAGUACAAGACCAUUUAGGCCUAGGAGUACAACACUUGGUUUCUAGUGGUUGAGGGCGGAAGCGGUUGGGUACGUCUGCGUCUAUGGGACUCCAUUGCCCACAAGAACAGCUGACCAGGAUAACUCCUAUCUUCGCGAGGCUGCUAUCGUCAACACGUAGGCUCCGAGGUUGUCACCGCGAUGCUUAUCUCCAAGCAAGGAAUCUGGCCAAGACAAUAGCCAGGGACAAGCCAGUGAGUACGUUUGAAUGUACUCACAAACAUUAAGAACACGGGUAUAAUAUAUCAAACAUGCUCCAGAUUAUUAGGUGAUCACACGUCUGUCACGAAAUAUACGAAAGACCAAGAUGCACACAUAUGGUUAAAAAUAUACCAAAAUAAAAUACUGGGUGCCAAACGAGUGUCUGAAUGACUCCUCGAGCGGAAAAUGCAGAAUAGUAAUACUGGUGCCAAACGUGUGUCUGAAUGACUCCUCGAGCGGAAAAUGCAGAAUAGUAAUGCCGCAGUCGGGCGUCGGGGCGACACCACAUAAAGGGCUUAUAAAAGAUAAAUGAACAACAAGCAUGCCGCAGUUGGGCGUCUGAGCGACACCACAGAAAGGGCUUAUAAGAGAAAAUAAUCACAGUGAAUAUCCAGGAGGUAGAACCAUCCCAGGGAUACUAAAAAAAAUACAUAAUGUAAAUGGUUAGUCCAAAAUAAUAAAGAUCAUAAUCCAUAGGUGCCAUAAUCAUAAACAAUAUUUAGUACGGUCGUUUUCUCCAUCCGAAAACCAAUAAUUUAGUCAAGCCAUAUCUCCAUCCGAAUACCGUUACUACGAUCCAGUUAGCCGUGUCUCCAUCCGAAUACCGUUACUGAGUUCUAGUUAAAUCGUCCUCCAUCCGAAUACCGUUACUGAGAUUCAACUCAGACUGUGGUCUUUACUCAAGCACAUGACUGUCCAACAGGAUAUAUCCUCUGCAGAGGGAGUACCAUUUUCCACGAGUAACGAGUUUACUUAGUCCAUCGGGACUAAUUCCUUCUACGGUCUUUUAAUUGAAAACACGCCUGACCUGCACACACCAGCUUAACUCACCAGUGUCUGGAAUCACCCACGACACCUGCCAAGCAAAACUCUAAGUGGGGAGGCUACAACCUCGACGUAGCAUGGGAUCACAAAAAUUUAUACCGCGCGCAAACUAGGGGAGCUACCCCUUCGGCUACAACCGAAACACCCAUGCCCCCGGACCGGAUGACUGGCUUUAAUCCAUGGCCAUGGGACCCUCAUCACGGCCUCUCUGUACGGUGUGUGCUUUGGAAAGGGGUUGACAACCUACUGAACCAUACCCUGUCCCCUGCGGGGACAAGUGGUGGUACCAACAAAAAGGAAGCUAUUGAUCAAGACUCGGUCUGCAACCGACUCAGGUGGUCCAAGUAUCCUCCAACAAUAUUACCACUAGUGAAAUAAAACACCACUCAUCAAGCCUCACCAUGCCAUGCCGGACAUACUCGUCUCGACGAGGGACUAGGGACAAGCUCGUGUCUACCCAAGACCACGACUUUCCCGGCUUCCUACCGGUAUGCAUGAGAAGCUCACGAGGGUGAUCCAAAUCAUUAGUGUAUCCAUUGCUGACCACAAACAACUCCAAAGUGCACUCAUGCACGAGACUAUAUCGAUACAUAAAGCUAUCACAUACUCCAAGUCAAAAGGUGCUGUAGCCAUAUCAAAACACCACACAAAAUAUUAUGCCAGAGUUCAGAAAUGCUUGCCUUCAAGAAUAUGCAAAGGAUGCACUUAUUGGAAGCUUUCCUUUUCUCCAAAAUCCUAUUUUGCAAAAUAUACAAAUAACAAAUAUUUCAAACACAGUACCAAAAAUUGUCUCAAAUAUUUUUGAAAUAAAUCUUAAAAUAAACUAGAUGAAAUUUGAGAGAGGUAGGAAAAGAAUCAACUCAUUUGGAGUUUUAUUUUAAAAGUUAUAGCCAGUCAAAGUUUGGUCAAAUCUCUGUUUUUAAAUAAAACCAGAAAAGAAAACAAUUCAGAAGAAAAUACGCUUUCGUAGCAGAGGAGACGCACUCGGGGGUUAGGCGCCUUCACUUAAACAGAGAGAGGGCGGCCGCGCGGGUCACUAACAGUGGGUCCAGAGGGCCCACUGGUCAGGUUUGACCGUUCUUCCCUCCUUCUCCUUUCUUCUGCCCGACGGAAGCGGGGUUCCGGCGAUCGCCGUCGACGAACGGCAGCGCCUCACGGGCAUCCAAGGGCGGGGAUGGAACGGCCAGACCGAGGCGGUCUCCUAGGUGGUUGUUGGGUCGUCGGAGGUGGAAGGAAUCGCCCGCGGCGAGCUCCGCGGCGGAGAAAAGCUACGGUGGUGAAGUCCUUUUUGUGCUCCGGUGGCCUCCGACCGAAGUUGGGUAGCUGGGCAGCUCCGCAAAUACUAUUGGAAGCUACUGGUGGCGUUGGUUGGGCGAAAGGGUGGCCGGCUACGACGAAUCGCACCGGAGCUUAGCGGCGGCCGAACCGGCCGGAGUUGGGGAGGACGGUCCUCUCCGGUCAAUCCACUGCUCGGGGAGCUCUACGGGGAGGGUCUGAUGUCGCGUGAGUGCUCGGAGGGGCUCGGGGUUCCCUUUUAUAGCGUGACGAGGCUGGCUCCACGGCGGCAGAAGAUAAGAUCGCCGGCGACCACUUUCCUGUAGUUGCAGGGCAUCGUGGCGGCGACGAAAGCGUGCCGACAGCGGGAGGAUAAGCACGGCCUGUACUCUGGGGCAGCUGGCGUGCGCUGGCGGUUUGGGCGGCGCCGUCCGCGGCGGAAUCCGCUGCCGACGCCGGCGUGCUGCCAAGGCGGCGCUGCAGGGUGCCAGGGAGAGCUUGGAGGGUACUGGAGAGAGGGCGAGUGCAUGGCGUGGUUCGGCAGGCGAGCAGGGGUCAGAGAUGGGACGCGACGAGGGUGGCAGUGCGGCGUGUCGGCGUAGUGCGCGCGCGUGCAAAACGUGCGCUCUGGGCGCGCCCAGAGCACGCACGGCAGGUGUUCGACGCAAUGCCAGCACGCUCUAGAGAGCUUGGGAGAGGCUGGCAAAGAACAGAACAAGGGUAGGGGUGGCUAGGAGCUCAGUGGACAAGGUGGAUAGGUCAGGGGUUCAAGUCCACAAUGCAAACCAGAGAGCUUGCCAAAAAUGACUGUGCACACCAGGUGUUCGACAGAAUGCCAAGUGCACUUAGGCAACUCUUGGAGUGGCCAAAGCUUCCAGAUCAGGGUCUCUUUAGGUGCAGGAGAUGAUGGUAAGGUCACUUGGGCAAAACCAGAAACUUGUUAGUGCAAGAAUUUGAGAAAACCAGUUUUGGGCAGAAACUGAAGGCUGACAUUGCAUGCACCAAAAAUAUGCCAAUGGGUCCAAUCUCCUGGACUUAAGAGUUUGGUAGGGAGGGCUACAAGUAGGGAAAAGCUCAGGAUUACUAGAGCAAGGAAAAAUAAGGUUGCAGUACAAAUCACCAAGUUGGACCAGAAUGCAAAAGAGGUUGAUCCACUCAAAUUUUCCAAAGAACAUCACUGGGUUUUUGCUUGAAGAUGAAAUGUAUGCACCCACUGACAUCUCCAAACACUUGGAAGAAUUUUUAAAGAAAUAUUUAAAUGGGUUGUAGUGCAAAAGUGCCUACUGGACCAGAUUGGAAAAGUUGGUGUAGAGCUCAAAAUCUCCAAUGGCCAGAAGGUAUUUUUGCAUAAAAGUGAUGUGGAAACAUCACAUGACAUCCCCAAAUUUUGGUGGAAAUUUUGAAAGCAUUUGUCAAGUGGUUGCAGUGCAAAACAGGCUCCAAAUGCAAAAGAAAUCAUUUUAAAGGAAGAAAGCUUUGAGGAAAAAUAAAUCUUGAAAAAUUUAGAUCCACUGAUGAGGAAUUGUUUUAUAAAAGAGAGUAUUCAAAGCCAAUAAUACUUUUGAAGGUUUUUCCCCACUAGAGGCAAAAAUCCAAAAUCACAAAAGGUAAAACUUGACAAAAAUGGAGAAGUUUUAUUUCCUGGCAACAUUUUAAUAAAUAAAACAAGGCCAAAAUUUUGGGGUGUCACACUAUCUCCGGAGAGGAGAACAGUCCGGACGACGAUGCACACAUCAUCCCGGAAAGGCACUUGGAGCAAGAGAACCUCCAUAGAAGGCUUCUUGCCACCGCGAGGAGCCUAAAGAAGCAGAAACAAAGGCUCAAGGCUGCGGAAAAUACACUCAACAGUAGAUGGAACAAAGUGCUCGACACUGCAGAAAAGUACGAUGGCAAUCGCCACACAAAGAGCUAUCCAAAGCGCAAGCUGCUGCCUGAAUUCGAUGACGAGGCUUUAGAGCCCACACAGUCGAAAAAUAAAACGGCUAAUCAGCCGGAUCGACCACCCCGUGGCUGCGAUAGGGCGGCUAACGAUGUCGGUAUGACCAGGUCCAUCUACGGAUCUAGGAAGCGCGCUCCGGCACAGAAUCAAAACUGAACACUACAACCGUCAGAACGUCAUGACACGUCCAAGUACAGGGGUGCCGCGCACCCCCUAUGCUUCACCGAUGAGGUGCUGGAUCAGGAAUUCCCAGAGGGAUUCAAACCCGUGAAUAUAGAGGCGUAUGACGGAACGACAGACCCUGGGGUCUGGAUUGAGGACUUUAUACUUCAUAUCCAUAUGGCUCGCGGAGAUGAUCUCCACGGCAUCAAAUACUUGCCCCUCAAGUUGAAAGGACCAGCUCGGCAUUGGCUGAAAAGCCUCCCCGUAAACUCAAUUGGAAGUUGGGAAGAGCCUGAGGAUGCUUUUAGGGCUAAUUUUCAAGGGACCUAUGUCCGACCUCCGGAUGCAGACGAUUUAAGUCAUAUAAUUCAACAGCCCGGAGAGUCAGCCCGAAAGCUUUGGAACAGAUUCCUCACUAAGAAGAAUCAAAUCAUCGAUUGCCCGGACGCCGAAGCUUUAGCAGCUUUCAAGCACAGUGUCCGGGACGAAUGGCUCGCCAGACACCUCGGCCAGGAAAAACCGAGGACAAUGACAGCCCUGACAAGCCUUAUGACCCGCUUUUGCGCGGGUGAAGAUAGUUGGCUGGCCCGUAGCGGCACCAGCGACCCAGGCACAUCCGAAGUUAGGGACGGCAAUGGAAAACCACGACACAACAAAAGCAAGCUUUGAAACAAUGAAGACAACCCAGACAACACGGCGGUGAACGCCGGAUUCAGGGGCUCAUGAUCCAGUCAACGGAAAAAGCCAUUUAAAGGCAGCAGAGAUGGACCGUCCAGCCUAAACAAGAUUCCAGACAGAUUAUGUCAGAUUCAUGGCACCUCCGACAAACCUGCGAAUCACACCAACAGAGAAUGUUGGGUUUUCAAGCAGGCCUGUAAGCUAAACACCGAACACAAGGGGAGGGAGACACCAAGUGAAGACGAGGAUGAGCCUCGCCAGCAAAAUACUGGGGGACAAAAAAAAUUCCCGCCAGAGGUCAAAACAGUGAACAUGAUUCACGCAAUAAAGAGGAGGAGCAAAUGCGCACUUCGAGACGUAUGCGUCGUGGAGCCCGUCACCCCCAAAUUCAACCCUUGGUCGGCCUGCCCGAUAACUUUCGAUCAUAGGGAUCACCCGGAUAGUAUCCGGCACGGAGGAUCUGCUGCCUUGGUGCUAGACCCAAUAAUUAACGGAUACCAUCUCACCCGAGUCCUUAUGGACGGCGGCAGUAGUCUCGAUCUGAUAUAUUAGGACACAGUGCGCAAAAUGGGGAUAGACCCGACAAGGAUUAACCAAAGCAAUACUACCUUUAAAGGAGUAAUACCCGGCCCAGAGGCCCGCUGCACGGGCUCUCUAGUACUAGAGGUUGUAUUCGGUUCUCCCGACAACUUCCGAAGUGAAAAGUUAACCUUCGACAUUGCUCCAUUCCGAAGCAGCUAUCAAGCACUACUCGGAAGAAUGGCCUUCGCUCGUCUUAACACAGUACCGCAUUAUGCUUAUCUUAAGCUUAAGAUGCCCGGUCCACGUGGCACCAUCAUAGUUAGCGGAAACGCAGAGCGUUCCUUGCGUAUGGAAGAAUGUGUGACGGCUUUAGCAGCCGAACACUGACCGGCCUCUCCAACUAGAAUAAAUGAUCUGUCGUCAAGACCGCGGACACGGCUAGACGAGUCCGGCGCAACGCUGGCUGUAACAGCUCAGAUAAACCUGAGAUUGGGUUGAUGGAUAUAUCCCCAUAAGGGGCGCUAGGGGCUUCCCGCAUGUAAAAAUGAACUACAGUUCGGGUUGCCCUUAUUUAGAUUAAAUUUUAAUGGUUUAUUAAGAAUAACCAAUUUUUCACACGAAUACUUUCACCUGAGUUUUUCUCUUUUACAGAUGAUAAUCGUGCUACACCCUUCCAGGAUACGGCACAACGGAGACACAGGCGCAGACGUGCAGCAGGGCCCCGCUCAAAGGUUUCUUUUUAGAUUAAGACCCUGUGUAAACCUUUCUUACUGUCUCUUGUUGCUUUACACCCUUCGGAUACUAAACAUAACCGAGAGGGACGCUGGCGUUAUUGGCAUUUCGCCACGCCAGACUAAUGCACGUACCUGGAAAUUCAGGGUUCGUAUCAAGGGCGUUACUCAGCCUAGUAUAUGUUGUAAAGACCGAAUACCUUAGGGAGUGUUCGGUGUCGCGAGUUUGGCCUUAUAUGCAUCAGCUCCGAAUCAUGUCUUUGGUCAACAGUUGGGUUUGCCCGGCUCCCAUGUUUUGGUACCUUACGUUCCGCUAUAUCGGCUAAGGUAGCACUGGGAGAACUACUACGAUUGUGCCCUGGUUCAUCCGGACGAGCACCUUAGUAGAGAAAGCCGAAAACUGACUGUCAUGAUACAGUGCGAGACUGGUCAACCACUCGAUGACUCAUCAGAAUCUUCGCGAUUCCUCUGCAUUAACGAAGGACCGGUUUCCUGGUCAUGUAUGUACGCGCACCGUCUUCGGAUAGACGUGGAAGUACCAGGGGCUAUAUAGUAGCCCCACCGUCAAACUCCUAUGGCUAAGUGAAAGUGUUAAAGCAAUAUAGUCCGAUUGCCUUGUUCGCCGUGCUAUCACCUCCUUAAUGGACCAAGACGUUGGAUCAAGUGUGAAUACGCGCUUUUCAGAACACCCCCGCAUUACAUGCGUGGGGGCUGAAGCCGACGACUGCAAACUUUCAGGUUAUAUACAUACAUAAACGGCCGCACAGGAGGCAUCAUAAUACUUUCAGGCAAAAGUAUAAACACAGCCUUUAUAAUCCUAAUAGCAUUGUUUUUACAAUCGGGUUACAUGUAACUAGAACAUGAUACUCUUCGAGCACUGAGCCUCUAUUAAACGAGCGCCUUCUAGGACUUCUUCAAAAUAGUGCUCGGACGAUGCCUGGCCUACGGCCGGACUCUGGGUUGCAAUAGCGGUGGCCUCCAUCUCUGCCCAGUAUGUCUUAACACGGGCAAGAGCCAUCCGCGCACCCUCUAUGCACGCCGACCUCUUUGCAGCGUCGAUAUGCGGCACAACACCAAGGAAUCGUUGCACUAAACCAAAAUAACUAUUCGUCCUUGGUCCUUCCGGCCAAAGAUGAUCCACGAGAGACCUCAUGGCAAGCCCGGACAACCUAUGGAGCUCAGCCCACCCGGCCAUUUGCUCAUUCAGCAGCAGCGGAGGCGUUGGAGCACUGAACUGCGACCAGAACAACUUUUCCACUUCAUGAUCUUUUUGAUCUUUGAAAAAUUUAGUCGCAUCAGCAGCACUCGUUGCCAAGUCCACGUAUGCGUCUGUAGCACUCCAUAAUUGAUCCAGAGGGGCAUACUUCGGAUCUCCGAACUUCGUCCGCAACAAAAAGGGCUUCCCAGCCGUGAUAUCUCCGGCUUGACGAAGCUCCUCCUUCGCCGCUCUUAUUUUCGAGCGGGUCUCCUUGGCUGCUACCAUGGCUUUCUCCAGGUCCGCCGCUUUCGCUUGAUUGUCCUUUUCGAGAAGCUCAUACCGGUCGGCGGCAUCCUUCAGAUUAACAGCCAUCUUGGCUAUUUUAUCUUCGCUCUGGCGAUGAGCAGCCUAUUCGGCUCUUAAUUCUUCGACCGCCUUUAGGGCGGCCGCAUCACUUCUCCUGGCUUGUUCCUUGGCUUGGGCAAGCUCCACCUGAAGGGUCUCCACGGCGGCAGCUCCAUCUGCAGUCACAGCAUAUUAUAGAUACUAGCAUCAUGCUCCUCUUAAUAUCUGUUAACCACCGGAAAAUACAUACCCUAUGCCUCGUCAAGCCGCUUGUUUACAAGCACAAUGUCGGCAUCUGCUGCAUCAAGUUGCCGCUUCAGUUCGGCAAACUCACCAGUCCGGCUAGCCACCGGACCCUUAGCCGCCUGCACAUAAAAGUAGCAUGAUCAUUACCUGGGACUAUGAUCCUCUGUUUGCUGCCUUUGGACAGCAACCAGAGUCUGAGGGGCUACUGUCUGCAUAAGGGCACACCUAGCGUGUGCGGUACCGUCAAAAAAUAUAUAUAUAUAUUACUUUGCGUACCUCAAAACCUCUUAGCAGGCUCAUAAAAGCCUCAUGCAACCCACUUUCGGCGGAUGCAAUCCUCUCAACCACCAUACCCAUUAAAGUAUGAUGCGCCUCUGAGAUAGUCGCUUGCUCCAGAAGUCCCAUCAGUACACCCGGUUGUGCACCGGGCAGUCCCGGACUCUUUCUGUUGCUCCCCUUAGGAGCCGAAUCCUCCGGACUUCGGGUGGCCGAAGGGUUACCUUCCGGCCUUGGCGGAUCAGGAGAAAUUCUCCGCGACGAUACCUCAGGGUCAUCUGCCUCAUGAGGCGAGGAGACAGGGGGAGGCGUUUCGCUCUCCAUCAUCUCUGGAAGAAGAUCCCCCGAAGACGAACUCUGUUGAGAAGGGCUACGAUCCGAACUGCAAGACAUACGUCUCGGUUAUUGUCCUCAGAGAUGAAGCAGGAUAUAUUUACCAAAAGUACUCUUGUUCACUUACAGCUCGGUGGAGGGCUGAUCCCCUUGCGGGCACUGUGCGGUAAGGAUGCCCUCUGGGGCAGGACCCCCUGGCGAAGGUUUCUUCCCUCGUUUGGAAACCCUCACUUCCAAAUCUUUAGAGGCGGUCCUCUUCCGUCCUUGGGGAGAGGGAAUUUUAGAUUCUUCUCCCCGGUUAUCCUCCUUCGUGGAGACACUAAUUCCCCCGGUUCGGAUGAGUAAUGCGUGAAGCCCGCUUUCGGCUUCCUUAUUCCUCCCUUUAUCUUCCUCUGAUGGCACCUGGUGAGGUGCAUACUCAAGCAUCCUGGCUAGAACAGGUUUCAGUGAGCCUUCGGGAAGGGGAGCCGAACACCUGAUCAUCUUCGCCUUUUUUAUCCAGUCCUGGUCAAAGAGCGAUUUUUCAGAAUGAUGUUGUGAUAAAUAAAAAGACAGCAUGUUCGUCCGCAGAAUUACUUACCUGGGUAUCUGGACGAUUGCAGUUUAGACCCGCAUCCUCGGUGGUGUCCGAACACUUUAUUCGUGGUCCGAAGAACAAUCCAUACAUCCCUUCGAGCGUCACGCCGAAGAAUUUCUGAAUAGUUCACGGUCCUUCCGGGUUGAACUCCCACAUACGGAGAGGUCGACGUUGGCAUGGCAGGACCCGACGAACUAGCAUGACUUGCAUUACCUUGACAAGGUUGACAUCUCUCUCGAGGAGAUCUCGGAUGCGACUCUGUAGUAUCGGCAGGUCGUUAACUGGCCCCCAGUCCAGCCCCUUGUUGACCCACGACGCCAGUUGUGGCGGGGGGCCCAAACGGAAGGCGGGGGCAGCUGCCCACUUAGUGCUUCGGGGAGCCGUGAUGUAAAACCACUCCCGCUGCCAUAAGUUGGACAUCUCCGAGAAGGAACCCUCCAGCCAUGGAGCAUCGGCGCCUUUGCUUAUUAUGGCGCCUCCGCACUCUGCGUGUCGCCCAUCGAUCAUCCUCGGCUUCACAUGGAAGGUCUUGAGCCAUCAUCCGAAGUGUGGGGUGACGCGGAGGAAGGCUUCGCACACGACGAUGAACGACGAGAUGUGAAGGAUGGAAUCCGGAGCCAGAUCAUGGAAAUCGAGCCCGUAGAAGAACAUAAGCCCUCUAACAAAGGGAUCAAGACUAAAACCUAGCCCUCGGAGGAGGUGGGAAACAAAUAUGACACUCUCGUUGGAUUCGGGAGUAGGGAUGACCUGCCCUGGAGCAGGCAGCCUGUGCGAGAUUUCAGCAGUCAGAUACCUGGCUUCUCUUAGCUUCUUGAGGUCCUCCUCUGUGACAGAGGAGUCCAUCCACCGGCCUUGAGGGUUGGAUCCGGACAUGAUUGAAGGUCCGAAGCGCUUAGCCGGAGCCUCGGGUGUUGGAAUUCGAGGUGGGGGAAGGGAAGGAUCGAGCGCAAGAAGAAAAGGACAGGCCUUGGCCCCUUUAUAAAGGGGGUGAAUACCGAGCGUCCUCCGCGUGGCCGUUUGGACCUUGCCUAAAUCGAGGAGUCAUACCAACAGGCGCGAUUGGGUUACCCACACCCGUAUUGAUGAGAAUCCUGUGAUAAGAGGAACACGAUCUCUUCUUCGACAAGAUGUGCCAAUAAAACUGCCUCGCAACACGUGCAGUGGCAGGCUGGGAAAAACGGUUCGUCAUGACCAAACCACGGCAGAAUAUCACACUAUGAAAAGUUGUCAGCAGAUUAAGAUUUGUGAAAAUAUUAUACUCUCUACAGUGGUAUGUGGAAUUUAUUUUACAGAGCCGGACACGCCUUGUGUUCAAAAUCUUCUAUGGAGUAUUCGGAGGAGGAACCCGCCUUGCACUGCCGAAGACAAUCUGCGCGUAGGACUCAUCGUCAUUGAAGCCUGGUUCAGGGGCAACUGAGGGAGUCCUGGAUUAGGGGGUCCUCGGAUAGCCGGACUAUAUACUUCUGCCGAACUGUUGGACUAUGAAGAUACAAGACUCAAGACUUCGUCCCGUGUCUGGAUGGGACUCUCCUUUGCGUGGAAGGCAAGCUUGGCAAUACGGAUAUGUAGAUCUCCUCCCUUGUAACCGACUCUGUGUAACCCUAGCCCCCUCCGGUGUCUAUAUAAACCGGAGGGUUUAGUCCAUAGGACAACAACAAUCAUAAUCAUAGGCUAGCUUCUAGGGUUUAGCCUCUAUGAUCUCAUGGUCGAUCAACUCUUGUAAUACUCAUAUCAUCAAGAUCAAUCAAGCAGGAAGUAGGGUAUUACCUCCAUCGAGAGGGCCCGAACCUGGGUAAACAUUGUGUCCCCCGCCUCCUGUUACCAUCCGCCUCAGACGCACAGUUCAGGACCCCCUACCCGAGAUCCGCCGGUUUUGACACCGACAAUGACCCACAAGUAUAGGAGAUCUAUCGUAGUCCUUUCGAUAAGUAAGAGUGUUGAACCCAACGAGGAGCAGAAGGAAAUGACAAGCGGUUUUCAGUAAGGUAUUCUCUGCAAGCACUAAAAUUAUCAGUAACAGAUAGUUUUGUGAUAAGGUAAUUUGUAACGGGUAACAAGUAAUAAAAGUAAACAAGGUGCAGCAAGGUGGCCCAAUCCUUUUUGUAGCGAAGGACAAGCCUGGACAAACUCUUAUAUAAAGGAAAAUGCUCCCGAGGACACAUGGGAAUUAUCGGCAAGCUAGUUUUCAUCACGCUCAUAUGAUUCGCGUUCAUUACUUUGAUAAUUUGAUAUGUGGGUGGACUGGUGCUUGGGUACUGCCCUUCCUUGGACAAGCAUCCCACUUAUGAUUAACCCCUAUUGCAAGCAUCCGCAACUACAAAAGAAGUAUUAAGGUAAACCUAACCAUAGCAUGAAACAUAUGGAUCCAAAUCAGCCCCUUACAAAGCAACACAUAAACUAGGGUUUAAGCUUCUGUCACUCUAGCAACCCAUCAUCUACUUAUUACUUCCCAAUGCCUUCCCCUAGGCCCAAAUAAUGGUGAAGUGUCAUGUAGUCGACGUUCACAUAACACCACUAGAGGAAAGACAACAUACAUCUCAUCAAAAUAUCGAACGAAUACCAAAUUCACAUGACUAAUUAUAGCAAGACUUCUCCCAUGUCCUCAGGAACAAACGUAACUACUCACAAAUCAUAUUCAUGUUCAUAAUCAGAGGGGUAUUAAUAUGCAUAAAGGAUCUGAACAUAUGAUCUUCCACCAAAAAAACCAACUAGCAUCAACUACAAGGAGUAAUCAACAAUACUAGCAAAACACAGGUACCAAUCUGAGGUUUUGAGACAAAGAUUGGAUACAAGAGAUGAACUAGGGUUUGAGAUGAGAUGGUGCUGGUGAAGAUGUUGAUGGAGAUUGACCACCUCCUGAUGAGAGGAUUGAUGCUGAUGACAAUGGUGAUGAUUUCCCCCUCCCGGAGGGAUGUUUCCCCGGCAGAACAGCUCCACCGGAGCCCUAGAUUGGUUCAGCCAAGGUUCCGCCUCGAGAUGGCGGCGCUUCGUCCCGAAAGCUUCCUUCUCAUUUUUUCCAGGGCGAAAGACUUCAUAUAGAAAAAGAUGGGCACCGGAGGCCUGCCAGGGGGCCCAUGAGGCAGGAGGCGCGCCCAGGGGGUAGGGCGCGCCCCCCACCCUCGUGGAUGGUGGGUGGCCCCCCUCUGGUUGAUUCUUUCGCCAGUAUUUUUAUUAAUUCCAAAAACUGCCUCCGUGAAGUUUCAGGACUUUUGGAGCUAUGCAGAAUAGGUCUCUAAUAUUUGUUCCUUUUCCAGCCUAGAAUUCCAGCUGCCGGCAUUCUCCCUCUUCAUGUAAACCUUGUAAAAUAAGAGAAAAAAGCAUAAGUAUUGUGACAUAAUGUGUAAUAACAACCCAUAAUGCAAUAAAUAUCGAUAUAAAAGCAUGAUGCAAAAUGGACGUAUCAUCGGCCUCCAUGGCCGGAACCUCUUUCAAGCACUGGUGGCCCUGCGACUGCCCGCCGACGCCACGAAGAUUGUCCAGUUGGAGGUCGCACUCGCCGUGAGGUGCCUCGCCCUACAAGAAUUUGUCGACCUACACAUCUAUUGGGAAACAUAGUAAUUUCAAAAAUUUCCUACGCACACGCAAGAUCAUGGUGAUGCAUAGCAAUGAGAGGGGAGAGUGUUGUCCACGUACCCUCGUAGACCGUAAGCGGAAGCGUUAUGACAAUGUCGUUGAUGUAGUCGUACGUCUUCACGAUCGACCGAUCCUAGCACUGAAAGUACGGCACCUCCGCAAUCUGCACACGUUCGGCUCGGUGACGUCCCACGAACUCACGAUGCAGCAUAGUGUCGAGGGAGAGCUUCGUCAGCACGACGGCAUGAUGAUGAUGAUGAUGAUGAUGAUGAAGCUACCGGCGCAGGGCUUCGCCUAAGCAUUGCAACGAUAUGAGCGUGGUGGAUUAUGGUGGAGGGGGCACCGCACACGGCUAAGAGAUCAAUGAUCAACUUGUGUGUCUAUGGGGUGCCCCCUUCCCCCAUAUAUAAAGGAGUGGAGGAGGGGGAGGGCCGGCCCUCUACUAUGGCGCACCCUGGGGAGUCCUACUCCCACCGGGAGUAGGAUUCCCCCCUUCCAAGUAGUAGGAGUAGGAGAGAAGGAAGGGGAGGAGAGAGGGAAGGAAGGGGGGCACCCAAUUCGGAUUGGGCUAGGGGGGCGCGCCCUCCACCUUUUCCCUUCCUCUCCUCUAUUCCACUAAGGCCCAAUAAGGUCCAUAUACUCCCCGGGGGGUUCCGGUAACCUCCCGGUACUCCGGUAAAUGCCCGAACUCAUCCGGAACCAUUCUGAUGUCCAAACAUAGGCUUCCAAUAUAUCGAUCUUUACGUCUUGACCAUUUCAAGACUCCUCGUCAUGUCCGUGAUCAUAUCCAGGACUCUGAACUACCUUCAGUACAUCAAAACACAUAAACUCAUAAUACCGAUCAUCACCGAACGUUAAGCGUGCGGACUAUCGGUGUCAAAACCGGCGGAUCUCGGGUAGGGGGUCCCGAACUGUGCGUCUAAGGUCGAUGGUAACAGGAGACGGGGGACACGAUGUUUACCCAGGUUCGGGCCUUCUCUAUGGAGGUAAUACCCUACUUCCUGCUUGAUUGAUCUUGAUGAAUAUGAGUAUUACAAGAGUUGAUCUACCACGAGAUCGUAAUGGCUAAAACCCUAGAAGUCUAGUUGUAUGAUUGUGAUUGCCUCUACGGACCAAACCCUCCGGUUUAUAUAGAUACCAGAGGGGACUAGGGUUGUACAAAGUCGGUUACAAAGAAAGGAAUCUUCAUAUCCACACGCCAAGCUUGCCAUCCACGCCAAGGAGAGUCCCAUCCGGACACGGGUGAAAGUCUUCGGUCUUGUAUCUUCAUAGCCCAUUAGUCCAGUCCACGUCACAUAGGUCGGAUGCCCGAGGACCCCCUAAUCCAGGACUCCCUCAGUAGCCCCCAAACCAGGCUUUCAAUGACGAUGUGUCCGGCGCGCAGAUUGUCUUCGGCAUUGCUAGGCGGGUUCCUCCUCCGAUGACUUCAAAGCACCUGACUUCCAAGAGCUGUAUUCGGUCUUCCAUUUAAUGUCGCACCCAUCGGCUUCUGUGCAUCCAUAGCUUCAGCUUCCACGUGUCGAGCGAAUACGAGAGGUCAGGGUAUUUUUUGCACAGAACACCCCGGCCAUGUAAGAAAGGCGUCUAUUUAAAGAGACUGGAUCUCAGAUCCAUUCCACACCAAGCCGAAAAUCCUCAGAGCUUGCUAGGAGAAACCACUCCAACAUGGCUAGCGCUCCCAGUUCUUAUUCCCGCCCCCACGGCUCUGAAAAAGGCGAUUGGGAAAGAUGUUCCGUAUCCCACGAUCAGCUGGUGAGGCCGCAAAUGCAGGGAUGUCUUCCUCCUGCGGAUCUAGUCCCCAUUUGGGCAGGAUUGACCUCCUUCAACGGCGGGGCUCAAGCGGAGAAUUUCCUCAAUCCAUCCAAGGGGGAACGAGUGUGCUUCGUUCCCUACUUGUUAAGAGGCAUCGGAUUUCCAAUCCACCCUUUCCUCAGAGGACUUCUAGAGUAUUACGGCCUCCAUCUGCACAAUCUCACUCCUGCCUCCAUCCUGCACAUUGCGGGUUAUGUUGCUCUCUGUGAGCUAUUCCUGGGUUGUGAGGCCCAUUCUGAGUUAUGGAGGAAACUAUUCUGCCUCGUCCCUCGCAACCAAGAGGGAUCGAUAUUCGAAGUGGGCGGUGCCGAGGUAUGGCGCAUAGCUAGGACCGGAUACCUGUCCGGCAUGCCGAAGAAGCCGUCUGAACAGUGGCCUUCCGAAUGGUUCUAUAUUGAGGACGUCGCUCUCCCUGACCAAGUCCGAAUGGGUCUUCCCGAAUUUUCAAGCGCUCCGUUGAAGAAACGCCACAGCUGGCGCCCACAGAGCCUCGAGGAGGAAGAUAGCGUGGAAGUCCGUCAAUUGAUGGGCAAGAUAAAGACGCUCGCCCAGCCCGGAUUAUCAAUAAUCGAGGUAAUGGCCACUUCCAUAGCAUGAGGGGUUCAGCCGCUCCAAUAUAGGGUGCUCCCUAUGUGGCAGUUCAACGGGGAAGAUGACGCCUCAUGCUGCGGACGAAAGGGUCCGGAUUCCCUCACCGCCCUGGCCGCAAUACUAGUCGAUCUGUAUAAAGGGGAGAAAGAGGAGUUCGCUCGUCUUAAGCGCCAAGAGGGAUUUUCCAUGUACAAUCCUCCCAGCUGGGUGAGUUUUAAUCCCACCACCUUACUCAAUCCUUUACCUGAGUCACUUUUAAUCUAUACGAACCCUGUCCAUUUGUAACAUGAGUGGCGUAAGGUCAUCGCGGGGAACUACAGCCCCGCUCCACAGCCGGAGGACCAUAACCGGGAUCUUGACCCCGGAUUCGAAGAGGAUCCAGACAUAUUUGUAGAGCUUGAGGAGGGAGUAUUUUACAAGGCGAGCUACGAUGGCACAGAAGUGGCCAUUAUAGCUGACUAUCCCAGCCUCCUUCCUGCCUCACACGUAAGUAAUCAGGAGACAUCUCCUCCAAAAGAGCUUCAUCGUUCUACCUCACCCACCGCACUGCCUUGUGCUCCAAAGGGGAGGCGCUCGGCGCGCCGUGCUGCACCAGAGGCGACUCUAAAGAGAGCGGCGCCCACACCGGGCAAUCCUUCAAAGAGGAGGGCAAACGAAGGCACAACCGAGCCUUCAUCAAAGAGGUAUGGCUUUGUAAACAUGUCCCUUGGCAGUCACAUCCAACUGUGACAUUGUCUGUUGCGUCUUAUCAGGAAGAGCGUUCGCCGGACUAUGUCCGGGGAUCCUGCCUGUAACGCCCCCAACAGUCAGGUUCCCGACCCUGCCGUAAAGACAAGGGCUGAUACGGGAGUGACGCUGGACUGUCCUUUGGCAGAGGAUUCAGAUGAUGUAUCCGUCACAAACUCGGAAGUGGAGAGUGCCAUGAAUCAUCGGCGUCAGAGGGCCGCUCUUCGCGACCCUGGCUUUACGAAAGAAGCAUUCAAUGCCUUCAGCUUGGCUAAUGCAUACAUCCGAGCUGCUCGAGACGGGCUUACCAGAGCCACAGACCAACAUUUGAAAGAUAUGUGGGUAAGUUCACAUUCACUACAGGAAACAGCUACUUUGCCGUCUGCCACGGCGGACGGCAAAGGCUCGAAAGGCGGACGGCAAAGGCUCGAAAGGCGGACGGCAAAGACCUUUGCCGUCAGCCGCGGACGGCAAAAGGCUCCGGCAAAGAAGGCUACGGUAAACAGCUGCUUUGCCGUCUGCUUCCUGGCGGAGGACGGCAAAGGCUCUUUGCCGUCUGCGGCGGACGGCAAUAAUUGCGCUGUCAGUCUGUUAAGUGGCUAACGGCAGAUCUUUGCCGUCCGCCGCUGACGGCAAAAUUUCUCUGUUCUUUGCCGUCUGCCACUGAUGGCAAAGUGCAGGUUCUUUGCCGUCUGCCACUAAUGGCAAAGUGCAGGUUCUUUGCCGUCUACCACGAAUGGCAAAGUCUUUGCCGUCUGCCACUGUAGGCAAACUGACCAAAUGGGUCAGCUCCCAGGAAGCACAGUUGGCUGCCACGUGGCUUCUUUGCCGUCCGCGGCAGACGGCAAAGAGGCCGUUGCCGUCUGUGGCAGACGGCAAAGAGCCUGCAUAUUGGGUUUUUUUGCUGUUUUUUAUUAAAUCCCACAAUUUGCACAGAAAAUAUAUAUGACAUAUAGAUAUAUUUCACAGGCAUUCAUAAGCAAGUCCAUAAGCAAGUUCAUGUAUUUCACAGGCAUUCAUAAGCAAGUUCCAUCCGUACAUAUUACAUAAGCAAGUUCCAUCAUUUCAUACAUAAACAAGUUCCAUCCAUCAUUUCAUACAUAAACAAGUUCCAUCCAUACAUAAACAAGCACUCCAUAGCUAAGGUGACUAGAAUGAGAAGACAAGAAUGAGAAGACAAGAACAAGAAGAGUAGAACAAGCACUCCAUCCAGCACAUAAUGAAAUCUGCAAAAUGGCAAAAUAAGAAAGUUAGAAAUGGAUCGUUUUUUAGCUCACUUAGGUGAAAUGGAUCGUUUUUUAGGUAACUAAGGUGAAAUGGAUCGUUUUUUAGCUCACUUAGGUCAAAUGGAUCGUUUUUGAGCUAACUUAGUUGAAAUGGAUCGUUUUUGAGCUAACUUUGUUGAAAUGGAUCAUUUUUUAGCUAAUUUAGUUGAAAUGGAUCGUUUUUGAGCUAACUUAGGUGAAAUGGAUCAUUUAUGAGCUAAUUUAGUUGAAAUGGAUCUUUUUGAGCUAACUUAGGUGAAAUGGAUCAUUUAAGAGCUAAUUCAGGUGAAAUGGAUCGUUUUUUAGCUCACUUAGGUCAAAUGGAUCGUUUAUGAGCUAAAUUAGUUGAAAUGGAUCGUUUAUGAGAUAACCUAGGUAAGAUGGGUCAUUUUGGAGUUAACCUAGGUGAAAUGGGCCAUUUUAAAGCUAACGUAGGUAAUAUGGAUCAUUUAGGAGCUAAUCUAGGUAAAAUGGGUCAUUUUUUAGCUAACUUGGAUGAACUGCAUCAUUUAUAAGCUAACCUAGGUAAAAUGGGUCAUUUUGGAGGAAAAUAAGCUAACUCUAGGUCAUUAUGGUAAGCAUAUUGGAGGAAAUAAAGCCAAGUCUAGGUCUUUAUGCAUUUUUUAAGCAAAACUAUGAGAAACUUACCGUGAUCAGGGAGGUGUAGGAGCGGGGUGGCUAGUGCCGCUGCCUGGAGAAGGAUCGUGCGAUGCGUUUCUGGAGUUAAGCUGCACCAAAGAUCAUUUCCAAUGUCUCGUUAGCAUUACGACACUCAAAUGUUAAGACUACCAAGUAAUGUCCAUUCAAACUAAACUCACCGUGCUCCCAGGAGCAAUCACUGGCAUCGGCGGAGCGGGCUGACCGGACUUCUCGCACACAGACUGCACAUUUGGUUUUCAGAACAGAGUCAUACUAGUUAGUAAUGAGACUCAAAUGUUAAGACUAGCAAGUAAUCUGCAGAAGAAACUUACCACAAGGAGCUCGUACAUGGCCCUUGCCUGCAUGUCAUUCUGUGCCCUCUCCUCCUCCAUCAUCUUUCUCGUCCUCUCCUCCAUCUCCCGCUGCCUCUCCGCCGCCUCCGCCAGAAGUUUCUCCGUUCUAUCUCUCUCAGUCUGUAUAGCAGCCUGCAACACCACUCACAUGACCAUUUGUAAUCAUUGAUGGAAGCGCACACAAUGUAAUGGAGAAAGAUAACUGAGUACGUAUCACUAACCUUGAUGGCGAGUUGCACUGGUCGUUCACGAGGCCUUAUCUCAGGAGCGGAGCUCGACUGGCGCGCCUUGAUCUCCGGGAGAGUGCUAGGACAACGGAUAAGUCCAUCUCCAAUGGCUAUGGAGCCAUGGGACCUCCCGCCACCAGAUAUCAUCACCAGCUCUGGAUCAAUGGGACCCUGGCUCGGGUUAAAGUCCUCCCCUUUCCACGCCUUCCCCUCAUCUCUAUAUCUCACGAGCUUGUUGUGGGAGGAGAUGUUGGUGAAGUUGUUUGCAUCAUCGAGGUCAGACUGAGAGAAAGCCUUGACUUUCUUGAAAAAGCCAGUGUGGGCCAUGGCAUACAGGUCGUACACCUCUGGCACCUUAUCCGCCUUAUUGUAGCGUGCCUGAAAGAGAGAAACAAUGAAAAUUAGUAAUUAAAGGGCUCAAGCUAGCAUGAUGAAUGAAUUGCAUGAAUCAUGAAGCAAACCACAUACCCAGUUGCGCCCGAACUGAUAUAACUUGGAGCUGCCUUGAUGGUGUGGCACACCUUCCAUUUGGGCACGUUUGUCCUUGGCCUGGUUGUGGAGGGCUAGCCAUUCUUGUGAGCACCACUCAUCGACCAACACCUCCCAACAAUCCAUCCGAUCCGCACACCAUCUCGGAGGCACCUAAGUUAGCAAAUAGAAACUUAAGCGCUACGGCUAAGAAUUACUAAAUGAAGGAACUUAAGUAGAAGGCCUUAGAAUUACCUUCAUGUACUGCUCCUUACUCAGGAACUUAUCGCGGCACGCCGGCUUGGUCUUCUUGAUACCACACAAGGCGUAGUAGUCUCGAACAGCCUACACCCGAGCCUCGUGCGGUAAGUUCUGGAGUAGGCGCUUGCAGACGUUCUGGAUAACAUUUGCGCUGUCCUCCUCGUAUGCCUCCUCACACCUGUAGAAUGUCUGCAAUCAAAUGAGACAAUAUUGAUUAGUACAAUUAAUAACUAGCUAGUUGAAGAUUUUGAAAUGUGUAAAGGAGAAAUUACCCAGAACGUCAUGAUCACCAUGUCUGCCCUCAUGUCGCACACGACACCGUCGAUAAUGACAUCCGGCGGGGCCGGGGCAGCCACGUAGUGCUCCCAGCUCAACCCAAGCUCUGGAAGCCGACCCUCACCAGGCAACGUGACAAACCCCGGGAAGUUUUGCCGGCAAAGAACUCCAAGGACGGAGUUGGGCCGGCGGACACUAUGAUGGUGGUCCCAACCCCUGCAGCAUGACAAGGCCAACGCAUUAGUUAUUUGAAGAAACGUGAAUGCAGGAGGUACAAAAAUAUUAAAUGCACUUACGUACCUCUCCCCAUCAGGGAAGAUCAACCACCUCUGCUCGCGGGUCGCCGGCACGGACGGGAGCCGUGUAGCACCACCCUGGUAGACGGUGCCACCCUCCUCCUCAAGAUCAGUCGGCUCCCCGCCAUAAUCAGCAUGGCCACUCGGCUCCUCGGGCUGAUCCGGCCAGGUACCCCAUCCGGACGUGUGCUCCUCCGGGGUCUCGUGGGCCGAACUCUCGUGGGCCGAAGGCCAGUCGACCCGAGGCUCGUGGGCCGAAGACCCGUGGACCGGAGUCCGUGUAGCCUCCUCCUCGGACGAGUCCACCCUAGCAGUCACAUGCUCGGGUGAAACAACUGGGGGUGGCGGCGAGGAAGGUGCCGUAGCAGUCACCCUACCUCCUCUCCCGUGACCACGUGCCCCACCUCCUCUCUUCCUACCUCGUCCCCUGCUGGGCACCGCGGUCGACGAAGAAGGGCCCGGCGGUGUGGACAUACUGUCCAGCAACGCUCGGCGGAGAGGUACGUUUGGAAUCGAAGACCUCAGACCACGCGCCGACGAAGAAGGGGCCUUGGCGCGCUCCCGACCAGCGCCCACCAUCUUUCAACACCUGCCAUGACAAACAGUAAACGAAAUUAGUACAACAUAAAAAAAAGACCGACAUGAAUAAUAAUAUGUGUAUCACUUAAGUGUAUCAUCAUCAAGUACAACAUUAAAAAAUUUAAUACCUGACACUACUAAUAAUCUCGAUCAGUAUCAUCAAUAAAUGCAUAAUCAUCAUCAUCACUAUAAUCAAUGACGGGCUCAUAGGGUUCAGUGGCAUCAACAUGUGCAAGGCCACCUUGACGUAAUCGGUCAAGCAAUGACAGGUCAUCCGCAGCAGUAACCUCUUCUUGUUCCGGCUCUUCUUGUUCCUCCUCUGGGGUGAUGUUGGAUUCACUGUCGCUGUCUACUUCAAUGUUUUGGGGUGAAGUAUAGCGGUUCUUGAAACGCUUUUUGGAAAGACGUGUCUCUUGGAAGAAUUCUCCUUCAUAUGUGUCUGGGUUAAUGUGAGGUUCAUAAUACUCUUCCUUUGGGGGAGAUAGUCUAGCACGUGGCGGCACUUCAUAAACGACAUCCCAACCUUUCAGAUUUGGAUAAGUUUGGCAGGCCCACGGUAGAUAGAAUACUUGGGUCGCCUGUUGAGCCGUAAUAUAGACAUCAGGAACAUCUAAAUGGGUGCUUUGGUUGAUUUCAACUAGCCCUACAUGUUCAUGAGUCCUUCUAGUCUCCUUCGGCUGAAACCAAUAACAUUUGAAGACUAUGACAUUCGGUGGGUUUUCACCAUAGAAUAGAAGUUCAUAAAUUGCUUCAACUCUCCCAUAAUACUCGGUACCUCCUUCGCCGAUAGCAGAUACACAACAAUUUGUAGACUUUCGGUCGGCCAUAGAUAGCUCUUUGCCAUAGGUACAAAAGCGAUACCCGUUGAUGUCGUAUUUGUCAAAUGAACGGACCUUAUAGUCAAAACCAUUAGCGACUUGUCUCAAUUCGGCGUCCAUAGACUCUGAAUUAGCCUACAAGUUUAAUAUGAAAGGAUUGUUGCAUUACGCACAAAUUAGCGAAUGAAACCGGGAUAGCCGCCUACAAAUUAGCCUACAAGUCUAAUAGAAAUUACCGUUUGUUUGAACCAAGAGAUGAAACCGGGAUAGCCGCCUCCUUGCUUUGCGAGAAGCUCAUACUCUUCGACAGAAUCCUUUUGGAUCACCGCUCCAUACGAGAAUAAGGCGACGUAUCGACUGUAUGAAAUAUCCAGGAAUAAGAGCAGUUCAAAGGAAAUAGAAGUUGCGAAACUAUGUACUGAGAACUUACUCGAUGUACGGCCGCACUUCUAUCAGGUUGUUGAAGAUAUACAACGAAAUGGUCCGCCAUUGUUCGUUAUCCAAAGAUACUGGAUUUGAAACACUGGCUGGUGCGAGAUUCCCUUUGAAUAGGCUGAGGUUGGAUCCACCCUUUUUAGGGUCGUCAGCACUGUACCGAGGCUUUGGAUUAUGCAAAUGACGAUUUUUGGCUUCAUAGUGUGCUGUCACGAAGUUUGCCGCCUCCUCAGUGAUGAAUGCCUCAGCCAUCGAUGCUUCAAUUCUACGUUUAUUUUUACAUUUUUGUCGAAGCGUCUUCUGCAUCCUCUCAGUUGGGUAGCACCAACGAUUUUGCACGGGUCCCCCCAAUCUUGCCUCGGUCGGGAGAUGCAAAAUCAAAUGUUGCAUUGGAUUAAAGAAGCCCGGUGGAAAGAUCUUCUCUAACUUGCAGAUCAACUCCGGCGCCAACUCUUCCAUUUCUUGUAGCACGCCAGGCGAUAGUUCUUUCGCACAAAGAACACGGAAGAAAUAGCUGAGUUCUGCCAGUACUAGCCAUUCAUCCUCAGGGAUGAAGCCACGCAACAUCACCGGCAUUACCCGCUCAAUCCAUAUGUGCCAAUCAUGACUCUUGAGACCAAAUAUCUUCAAUUUAUCAAGACUGGCUCCCCUCUGUAGAUUCGCUGCAUACCCAUCGGGGAACAUCAACUGCAUUUUCACCCACAAGAUAAUUUCCCUCAUAGCUGGCCUUCCAAGAUUGAACCAUGCCUUUGGCUUCGUCCAGUUCUGCUUUCCUUUCAGUUCUUUCAUGUUUUGUAACGGCCUAUCACAUAGCGCCUCCAGAUCGACUCUAGCCUUAGUAUUAUCCUUUGACUUCCCAUCUAUGCNNNNNNNNNNNNNNNNNNNNNNNNNNNNNNNNNNNNNNNNNNNNNNNNNNNNNNNNNNNNNNNNNNNNNNNNNNNNNNNNNNNNNNNNNNNNNNNNNNNNNNNNNNNNNNNNNNNNNNNNNNNNNNNNNNNNNNNNNNNNNNNNNNNNNNNNNNNNNNNNNNNNNNNNNNNNNNNNNNNNNNNNNNNNNNNNNNNNNNNNNNNNNNNNNNNNNNNNNNNNNNNNNNNNNNNNNNNNNNNNNNNNNNNNNNNNNNNNNNNNNNNNNNNNNNNNNNNNNNNNNNNNNNNNNNNNNNNNNNNNNNNNNNNNNNNNNNNNNNNNNNNNNNNNNNNNNNNNNNNNNNNNNNNNNNNNNNNNNNNNNNNNNNNNNNNNNNNNNNNNNNNNNNNNNNNNNNNNNNNNNNNNNNNNNNNNNNNNNNNNNNNNNNNNNNNNNNNNNNNNNNNNNNNNNNNNNNNNNNNNNNNNNNNNNNNNNNNNNNNNNNNNNNNNNNNNNNNNNNNNNNNNNNNNNNNNNNNNNNNNNNNNNNNNNNNNNNNNNNNNNNNNNNNNNNNNNNNNNNNNNNNNNNNNNNNNNNNNNNNNNNNNNNNNNNNNNNNNNNNNNNNNNNNNNNNNNNNNNNNNNNNNNNNNNNNNNNNNNNNNNNNNNNNNNNNNNNNNNNNNNNNNNNNNNNNNNNNNNNNNNNNNNNNNNNNNNNNNNNNNNNNNNNNNNNNNNNNNNNNNNNNNNNNNNNNNNNNNNNNNNNNNNNNNNNNNNNNNNNNNNNNNNNNNNNNNNNNNNNNNNNNNNNNNNNNNNNNNNNNNNNNNNNNNNNNNNNNNNNNNNNNNNNNNNNNNNNNNNNNNNNNNNNNNNNNNNNNNNNNNNNNNNNNNNNNNNNNNNNNNNNNNNNNNNNNNNNNNNNNNNNNNNNNNNNNNNNNNNNNNNNNNNNNNNNNNNNNNNNNNNNNNNNNNNNNNNNNNNNNNNNNNNNNNNNNNNNNNNNNNNNNNNNNNNNNNNNNNNNNNNNNNNNNNNNNNNNNNNNNNNNNNNNNNNNNNNNNNNNNNNNNNNNNNNNNNNNNNNNNNNNNNNNNNNNNNNNNNNNNNNNNNNNNNNNNNNNNNNNNNNNNNNNNNNNNNNNNNNNNNNNNNNNNNNNNNNNNNNNNNNNNNNNNNNNNNNNNNNNNNNNNNNNNNNNNNNNNNNNNNNNNNNNNNNNNNNNNNNNNNNNNNNNNNNNNNNNNNNNNNNNNNNNNNNNNNNNNNNNNNNNNNNNNNNNNNNNNNNNNNNNNNNNNNNNNNNNNNNNNNNNNNNNNNNNNNNNNNNNNNNNNNNNNNNNNNNNNNNNNNNNNNNNNNNNNNNNNNNNNNNNNNNNNNNNNNNNNNNNNNNNNNNNNNNNNNNNNNNNNNNNNNNNNNNNNNNNNNNNNNNNNNNNNNNNNNNNNNNNNNNNNNNNNNNNNNNNNNNNNNNNNNNNNNNNNNNNNNNNNNNNNNNNNNNNNNNNNNNNNNNNNNNNNNNNNNNNNNNNNNNNNNNNNNNNNNNNNNNNNNNNNNNNNNNNNNNNNNNNNNNNNNNNNNNNNNNNNNNNNNNNNNNNNNNNNNNNNNNNNNNNNNNNNNNNNNNNNNNNNNNNNNNNNNNNNNNNNNNNNNNNNNNNNNNNNNNNNNNNNNNNNNNNNNNNNNNNNNNNNNNNNNNNNNNNNNNNNNNNNNNNNNNNNNNNNNNNNNNNNNNNNNNNNNNNNNNNNNNNNNNNNNNNNNNNNNNNNNNNNNNNNNNNNNNNNNNNNNNNNNNNNNNNNNNNNNNNNNNNNNNNNNNNNNNNNNNNNNNNNNNNNNNNNNNNNNNNNNNNNNNNNNNNNNNNNNNNNNNNNNNNNNNNNNNNNNNNNNNNNNNNNNNNNNNNNNNNNNNNNNNNNNNNNNNNNNNNNNNNNNNNNNNNNNNNNNNNNNNNNNNNNNNNNNNNNNNNNNNNNNNNNNNNNNNNNNNNNNNNNNNNNNNNNNNNNNNNNNNNNNNNNNNNNNNNNNNNNNNNNNNNNNNNNNNNNNNNNNNNNNNNNNNNNNNNNNNNNNNNNNNNNNNNNNNNNNNNNNNNNNNNNNNNNNNNNNNNNNNNNNNNNNNNNNNNNNNNNNNNNNNNNNNNNNNNNNNNNNNNNNNNNNNNNNNNNNNNNNNNNNNNNNNNNNNNNNNNNNNNNNNNNNNNNNNNNNNNNNNNNNNNNNNNNNNNNNNNNNNNNNNNNNNNNNNNNNNNNNNNNNNNNNNNNNNNNNNNNNNNNNNNNNNNNNNNNNNNNNNNNNNNNNNNNNNNNNNNNNNNNNNNNNNNNNNNNNNNNNNNNNNNNNNNNNNNNNNNNNNNNNNNNNNNNNNNNNNNNNNNNNNNNNNNNNNNNNNNNNNNNNNNNNNNNNNNNNNNNNNNNNNNNNNNNNNNNNNNNNNNNNNNNNNNNNNNNNNNNNNNNNNNNNNNNNNNNNNNNNNNNNNNNNNNNNNNNNNNNNNNNNNNNNNNNNNNNNNNNNNNNNNNNNNNNNNNNNNNNNNNNNNNNNNNNNNNNNNNNNNNNNNNNNNNNNNNNNNNNNNNNNNNNNNNNNNNNNNNNNNNNNNNNNNNNNNNNNNNNNNNNNNNNNNNNNNNNNNNNNNNNNNNNNNNNNNNNNNNNNNNNNNNNNNNNNNNNNNNNNNNNNNNNNNNNNNNNNNNNNNNNNNNNNNNNNNNNNNNNNNNNNNNNNNNNNNNNNNNNNNNNNNNNNNNNNNNNNNNNNNNNNNNNNNNNNNNNNNNNNNNNNNNNNNNNNNNNNNNNNNNNNNNNNNNNNNNNNNNNNNNNNNNNNNNNNNNNNNNNNNNNNNNNNNNNNNNNNNNNNNNNNNNNNNNNNNNNNNNNNNNNNNNNNNNNNNNNNNNNNNNNNNNNNNNNNNNNNNNNNNNNNNNNNNNNNNNNNNNNNNNNNNNNNNNNNNNNNNNNNNNNNNNNNNNNNNNNNNNNNNNNNNNNNNNNNNNNNNNNNNNNNNNNNNNNNNNNNNNNNNNNNNNNNNNNNNNNNNNNNNNNNNNNNNNNNNNNNNNNNNNNNNNNNNNNNNNNNNNNNNNNNNNNNNNNNNNNNNNNNNNNNNNNNNNNNNNNNNNNNNNNNNNNNNNNNNNNNNNNNNNNNNNNNNNNNNNNNNNNNNNNNNNNNNNNNNNNNNNNNNNNNNNNNNNNNNNNNNNNNNNNNNNNNNNNNNNNNNNNNNNNNNNNNNNNNNNNNNNNNNNNNNNNNNNNNNNNNNNNNNNNNNNNNNNNNNNNNNNNNNNNNNNNNNNNNNNNNNNNNNNNNNNNNNNNNNNNNNNNNNNNNNNNNNNNNNNNNNNNNNNNNNNNNNNNNNNNNNNNNNNNNNNNNNNNNNNNNNNNNNNNNNNNNNNNNNNNNNNNNNNNNNNNNNNNNNNNNNNNNNNNNNNNNNNNNNNNNNNNNNNNNNNNNNNNNNNNNNNNNNNNNNNNNNNNNNNNNNNNNNNNNNNNNNNNNNNNNNNNNNNNNNNNNNNNNNGCCAGCCUUUGCCAUCCGCCUUUUUGCCUCUUUGCCAUCUGCUAGCGGACGGCAAAGAGGUGGGCCGUUAAGAUUUUUUCAAACGAGCCGGGGGUGGGGGCCACCACACUCUUUGCCGUCUGCCAGCGGACGGCAAAGAUUCUUUGCCGUCUGCUGGCAGACGGCAAAGAGCUGGCAGAUGGCAAAGAGCUUCUUUGCCGUCAGCCUUUUCUUUGCCGUCUACUUUUGGGUAGCUGAUGGCAAAGAGCUUCUUUGCCGUCAGCUAGCAGACGGCAAAGAGCUGGCAGAUGGCAAAUUAGCUGAUUCCAGUAGUGAUUGUACAAAUCUGAUAAUUAUGUACCAGUAGCCCCCAAGAAUUGAAGUAGUUGAUACAACUGAUUUAAGGAUCGUUGUAUAACCAGGUGCUUACAAAGAAGAAGAACCUGUUGUCUCAAGAACCAGAAAAGUGUCGGACCCAGCUAACUGCUCCUACCGCCGAACUAGAGAAAUCCAAGAAGGCAUCGCCUGGUAAUGUUCCCCUCCAUCGAGAAAAUAUAAUCAUAUACUAGCGAUACUAACACUGUUGCACAUCUCAUGGCAGGAUCAUCAGAUCAACUGAAGGAGGAGCUGAAAGUCGCGCAAGCGGGUGAACAAGAAGCCAAAAGACUACUGGCCACGGGCGAACAUGUGCUGCAACGGGUCAGGGAGGAUGUUCGCGCAAGCUGCAGGAUUCCAACACCCUGCUGGGCGAAGAACUGAAAGAUGUUCGAGCCCAGCUAGCUGACUCCAUGAAGGAAAAUAAGAGGCUACGAGGCGGCAUAUUCAGUAUGCUUUCGAACUUACCUCCGUGUAAUUCGGCGAGGAAAGGAACUGACAGCUUUAUGUCUGUAGAGAUGCUGAAUGGCCGCCCCAAAGAGGAAAUGCCGGGAUCUUCAGGCGAUCUGCUGCAAGAGCUGUCACAAAUGCACGAGCGAGCUCGGCAGGCAAUGCGGAGUGUUGCCAAGGCCUUGUGGCGCUCCGUCUCCCCUCCAGGAAGUAUGGAGGAGCUUGUGCAACUAUUUUUUUUAAAUGAGAAGGUAGAUCAUGUUCUACCUUAUAUAUUUCAAAAGGCCGAGGCCAAAGGAUCAUAAGAUCCGUACAUGGGGUUCAUAUUUUGCACCGUGGUGCAAGGCCAUGAGGAGCCUGGAAGAGAGAACAAGGGAGAGGGGAGAAAAGAGUUGGGCAAGCAAAACUAAGCCAAAAGAAGAUCUUCAGGCGAUCUGCUGCAGCUAUUCAGAGGAGCGCGGCGGCGUUUUCGAUUAUGGAAGAUAUCUGCCUGCCGAGAAGGUGCGCGAGAGGCCUGCGCCAUGGUAAAAACAUGGUAUACCAAGCUUGAUCCGAAUCAUUUGGCCCGGGUUGGACCUCUAGGGUCAGGUGGAAAAGAAAUUCCCGUUAGUUUGGUAUAUGAUACGUCUCCAACGUAUCUAUAAUUUUUUAUUGUUCCAUGCUAUUGUAUUAUCUAUUUUGGAUGUUUAAUGAGCUUUAUUAUGCACUUUUAUAUUAUUUUGGGACUAACCUACUAACCGGAGGCCCAGUGCAAAUUGCUUUUUUUGCCUAUUUCAGUGUUUCGCAGAAAAGGAAUAUCAAACGGAGUCCAAACGGAAUGAAACCUUCGCGAGGAUCGUUUUUGGAACAAACACAAUCUAGGAGACUUGGAGUGGACGUCAAGGAAGCAACAAGGCGGACACGAGGUAGGAGGGCGCGCCCAGGGGGGUAGGCGCGCCCCCACUCUCGUGGGCCCCUGGUGGCUCCACCGACCUACUUCCUUCGCCUAUAUAUACUAAUAUACCCUGAAAACAUCCAGGAGCACCACAAAACCCUAUUUCCACUGCCGCAGCCUUCUGUACCUGUGAGAUCCCAUCUUGGGGCCUUUUCCGGCGCUCCGCCGGAGGGGAAUCGAUCAUGGAGGGCUUCUACAUCAACACCAUAGCCUCUCUGAUGAUGUGUGAGUAGUUUACCACAGACCUUCGGGUCCAUAGUUAUUAGCUAGAUGGCUUCUUCUCUCUCUUUGAAUCUCAAUACAAAGUUCUCCUCGAUUCUCUUGGAGAUCUAUUUGAUGUAAUACUUUUUGCAGUGUGUUUGUCAAGAUCCGAUGAAUUAUGGGUUUAUGAUCAAGAUUAUCUAUGAACAAUAUUUGAUUCUUCUCUGAAUUCUUAUAUGCAUGAUUUAAUAUCUUUGCAAGUCUCUUUGAAUUAUCAGUUUGGUUUGGACUACUAGAUUGAUCUUUCUUGUUGUGGGAGAAGUGCUUAGCUUUGGGUUCAAUCUUGCGGUGUCCUUUCCCAGUGACAGCAGGGGCAGCAAGGCACGUAUUGUAUUGUUGCCAUCGAGGAUAAAAAGAUGGGGUUUAUAUCAUAUUGCUUGAGUUUAUCCUCUACAUCAUGUCAUCUUAUGAACUUAAUACUCUAGAUGUGUGCUGGAUAGCGGUCGAUGUGUGGAGUAAUAGUAGUAGAUGCAGAAUCGUUUCGGUCUACUUGUCACGGACGUGAUGCCUAUAUACAUGAUCAUGCCUAGAUAUUCUCAUAACUAUGCGCUUUUCUAUCAAUUGCUCGACAGUAAUUCGUUCACCCACCGUAGAAUUUGCUAUCUUGAGAGAAGCCACUAGUGAAACCUAUGGCCCCCGGGUCUAUCUUCCAUCAUAUUAAUCUCCCGCCAACGUGCUAUUUCUGUCGCCGUUUAUUUUGCAAUCUUUACUUUUCAAUCUAUACAAAAAAUACCAAAAAUAUUUAUCUAUUUAUCUCUAUCAGAUCUCACUUUUGCAAGUGGCCAUGAAGGGAUUGACAACCCCUUUAUCGCGUUGGCUGCAAGGUUCUUAUUUGUUUGUGCAGGUACGAGGGAUUUGCGUGUAGUCUCCUACUGGAUUGAUACCUUGGUUCUCAAAAACUGAGGGAAAUACUUACGCUACUUUGCUGCAUCACCCUUUCCUCUUCAAGGGAAAACCAAUGCAUGCUCAAGAGGUAGCAAGAAGGAUUUCUGGCGCCGUUGCCAGGGAGAUUUGCACCAAGUCAAGUCAAGAUUUGAUCUCCCGUCAAUGAGCCAUUUUUGGCGCCGUUGCCUGGGAGAUCUACGCACAAGUCAAGACAUACCAAGUACCCAUCACAAACUCUUAUCCCUCGCAUUACAUUAUUUGCCAUUUGCCUCUCGUUUUCCUCUCCCCCACUUCUAAAAUGAUUUUUGAAAACCUUUGCCUUUUCUUCUCCCUCCUUCCGUUCGAUCUUGUGUUACCAUGUGCCUUCUUUUUGCUUGCAUCUUCGCUUCCUAAAAGUUUAUGGAUCCUCAUCCCCUUGCUAAUCUUUUUAAGAGAUCCAAUUAUGAUGAACCAAUUUCUAGUUAUUUGAGUGCACUAGAUUAUCUUUAUGAGGUUUUUCUUGAAAUUCGUGAAUGUGAAAAUUGUGAUGAAGAAAUUUAUGAAGAGAUUCACGAUAGCUCCUUGAAUAAAAAGCAUGAUUGCAAUGAUUGUACUAUAAAUUCUGUUGAUGUCAAUUGUGCUAAUAAUAUGCAAAACCUAAAGCUUGGGGAUGGUAGUUUUGCUAUGUCUACUACUUGUUGCAAUGAUCAUGAUUGGGGUGAUUCUUCUUAUGAUCUUGAAAAUUUAUUUAAGCCCCACGAUGCAUAUGAGAUUGAUAAUAGUGUUUGCAAUAAUAUUGAAAGUGGGUUUGGAAGAGUGUCAACUUUAGAUCCCACAUAUUUGGAGAAUGUUCAAUCUUAUGGUAUUUUUGAUAAAAGUGGGUUUGGAGAGGUCAUGACUUUAGUUAAUGAUAAUCCCACUAUUUUGGAAGAGUGUCAACUUCGCAUGCAUGUGGAUCGUGUUGAGAAUAUGUUAUGUGAUAGCUAUUUUGUUGAAUUUGCCUAUGAUCCUACAUGUAAUUAUUAUGAGAGAGGAAAAUAUGGUUGUAGAAAUUUUUAUCUUACUAAAUUACCUCCCGUCAUGUUGAGAUUGCUAUCGUCUCUUUCUUCUUCCUUGCAUAUGCUAAUUUUUGCUUGCUAUGAUAAUUUGUUUGCUUAUAAAAUGCCUAUGCAUAGGAAGUAUGUUAGACUUAGAUGUGUUUAUCACAUGUUCUAUGAUGCUCUAUUUGUGCUUUAAUUCUUGUCUUUGAUGUGAGCAUCAUUAAAAUUAUCAAUGCCUAGCUAAAAAGGCUUUAAAGAAAAGCGCUUGUUGGGAGGCAACCCAAUUUUAUUUUUGUUCCUUGAUUUUUGGUCCUGUUUAGUAAUAAAUAAUUCAUCUAUCCUCUGGUUAGAUGUGGUUUUAUGUUUUAAUUAGUGUUUGUGCCAAGUAAAGCCUAUAGGAUCUUCUUGGGUGAUAAUUAUUUGAUCCUGCUGAAAAAGACAGAAACUUUCUUCUCACAAAAACAAUUGUUAAAAAUCACCAUAAAGUGAUAAAAUAUUUAUUCUAAUUGAAGUAGAUCAAUAAUCAAAUUAUCUAGGUCGUCCUAUUUUGGUAGAAUUUUUGGAGUUCCAGAAGUUUGCGUUUGAUGCAGAUUACUACAGACUGUUCUGUUUUUGAUAGAUUCUGUUUUUCGUGUGUUGUUUGCUUAUUUUGAUGAAUCUAUGGCUAGUAUCGGGGGGGGGGGGGUAUGAACCAUAGAGAAGUUGGAAUACAGUAGGUUUAACACCAAUAUAAAUAAAGAAUGAGUUCAUUACAGUACGUUAAAGUGGUGGUUUAUUUUAUUUUGCUAACGGAGCUCAUGAGAUUUUCUGCUGAGUUUUGUGUUGUGAAGUUUUCAAGUUUUUGGGUAAAGAUUUGAUGGAUUUUGGAACAAGGAGUGGCAAGAGCCUAAGCUUGGGGAUCCCCAAGACACCCCAAGGUAAAAUUCGAGGACAACCAAAAGCCUAAGCUUGGGGAUGCCCCGUAAGGCAUCCCCUCCUUCGCCUUCGUCUAUCGGUAACUUUACUUGAGGUUAUAUUUGUAUUCACCACAUGAUAUGUGUUUUGCUUAGAGCGUCUUGUAUGAUUUGAGUCCUUGCUUUUUAGUUUACCACAAUCAUCCUUGCUGUACACACCUUUUGGAGAGACACACAUGAAUCGGAAUUUAUUAGAAUACUCUAUGUGCUUCACUUAUAUCUUUUGAGCUAGAUAAUUUUGCUCUAGUGCUUCGCUUAUAUCUUUUUAGAGCACGGUGGUGGUUUUAUUUUAUAGAAAUUAUUGAUCUCUUAUGCUUCACUUAUAUUAUUUUAAGAGUCAUUUAGAACAGCAUGGUAAUUUGCUUUGGUUAAAAAAAUUAGUCCUAAUGUGAUGAGCAUCCAAGAUAGGUAUAAUAAAAACUAUCAUAUAAAGUGCAUUGAAUACUAUGAGAAGUUUGAUUCUUUAUGAUUGUUUUGAGAUAUGAAGAUGGUGAUAUUAGAGUCAUGCUAAUUGAGUAGUUGUGAAUUUGAGAAAUACUUGUGCUAAAGUUCAUGAUUCCCGUAGCAUGCACGUAUGGUGAACCAUUAUGUGAUGAAGUCAGAGCAUGAUUUAUUUAUCGAUUGUCUUCCUUAUGAGUGGCGGUCGGGGACGAGCGACUGUCUUUUCCUACCAAUCUAUCCCCCUAGGAGCAUGUGCAUAGUACUUUGUUUCGAUAACUGAUAGAUAUUUGCAAUAAGUAUGUGAGUUCUUUAUGACUAAUGUUGAGUCCAUGGAUUAUACGCACUCUCAUCCUUCCACCAUUGGGCUUGAGUUUGUCCUUUUUCUUCUCUGGCAAGCGUAGAACGAGUUCGCCAACAUUAUACGUCUUGGCCCGCACUUCUCUACUGUGAUAUCUAGGAGCCUGUUGUUGAUACAGUGCGGAACGGGCUUUUGCAACAUCGCGCUCCUCCUCCAGGACAUCUAAACUAUCCUGCCGAUCAAGCUCGGCCUCUCUCUCUUCAUACAUGCGCACUCGAGGUGAGUCAUGAAUAAUGUCACAGGGCAACACGGCCUCUGCGCCGUACACCAUGAAAAAGGUGUGUGUCCGUAGUACGAUUGGGCGUGGUCCGCAGCCCCCAGAGUACGGAGUACGGAGUCAAGCUCCUCAACCCAGUGCUUGUCUGAUUUUUUUCAAAGACCGCACUAGUCUAGGCUUAAUGCCACUCAUAAUAAGACCAUUAGCUCAUUUGACUUGACCGUUUGUUUGCGGGUGAUAGACGGAGGCGUAAUCGAGCUUAAUGCCCAGAUUAGCACACCAGGUUUUCACUCAUCGGCUGUAAAAAUUGGAGCCGUUAUCGGUGAUGAUGCUGUGUGGGAUGCCAUAACGGUGCACGACACCGGAUAUGAAGUCUAUCACUGGUCUGGCUUCGGCUGUUUUAACUGGUUUGGCCUCUAUCCACUUAGUGAAUUUAUCUACCAUGACCAGCAGAUAUUUUUUCUUAUGGCUUCCUCCUUUAAGGGGUUCGACCAUAUCAAGCCCCCAGACCGCGAAAGGCCAGGUAAUGGGGAUUGUUUGUAGAGCGGUGGGUGGCAUAUGGCUUUAAUUGGCGAAAAGCUGGCAUCCGACACAACGUUGGACAAGGUCAUGUGCAUCUCCUUGGGCCGUCGGCCAAUAGAAACCUGUACGGAAGGCCUUACUCACAAGGGCCCGAGCAUGGAUUUCAGCCAAGAGCCGCCAUCCCUCUUCUUCGGACAUACAUCUUUGAAGUACUCCGGUGACGCUUUUCUUGUAGAGCUCUCCGUCAUGGACCUUGUAGGCUUUCGAGCGCCGGACAAUGCAGCGAGCCUCAUUCUGACCCUCAGGGAGCUCUCGCCUAUUAAGGUAUGCCAAGAAAGGUUCGGUCCAUGGGGCAAUUACUGCCAUUAUAAGAUGGGCCGAUGGUGUUAUUUCGGUGGCUGAGCCCUCGAUAAUAUCGGUAUCGUGUUCGGAAUCCGGGGGUAUAAUCGGAUCAGAACUAGUGUUGCCGCUUUCCCCUUGCCACACCACGGAUGGCUUGAAGAGCCUUUCCAGAAAGAUGUUAGGCGGGACAGGGUCACACUUGGCACCAAUGCGAGCGAGGACGUCCGGCGCUUGAUUACAUUCUCGAGCCACAUGAUGGAACUCGGGUCCCUCGAAUCGAGCCGACAUUUUGAGAACGGCGUUACGAUAGGCCGCCAUCUUUGGAUCUUUGACGUUGAAAUCAUCAUUUAUUUGGGAUAUUGCGAGGUUUGAAUCCCCGUGCACCUCCAGGCGUUGUAUGCCCAUGGAGACAGCCAUCCGAAGACCAUGUAAUAAGGCCUCGUAUUCGGCUGCAUUAUUGGAGUCCGUGUAUAAUAUUUGGAGUACAUACUGAACUGUAUCUCCAGUGGGGGAUGUUAAGACAACACCCGCUCCUAAGCCCGCCAGCAUUUUGGAGCCAUCGAAGUGCAUGACCCAGUUGGAAUAUGUGCCAUACUCUUUAGGGAGUUCGGCCUCUGUCCAUUCGGCGAUGAAGUCAGUGAGUACUUGGGAUUUAGUGGCUCGGCGCGGUUUGUAUGUUAUGUCGAAUGGAAGGAGCUCAAUGGCCCACUUGGCAAUCCGGCCCGUGGCAUCGCGGUUGUUUAUUAUGUCAUUCACUGGUACUUCAGAAGCCACCGUAAUCGAGCACUCUUGAAAGUAGUGUCGUACCUUCCGGGAUGCCAUGAAGACCGCGUAUGCUAUCUUUUGGUAAUGAGGGUACUGGGAUUUGCAUGGUGUGAGGACAGUGGAUACGUAGUAUACCGUCUUCUGAAGCGGGAAUUUGUGUCCGUCCUCCUCUCGCUCGACGACGAGCACCGCGCUCACCACUUGGUGAGUUACCGAUAUGUAUAAUAUCAUGGGUUUGUCGAUGUUCGGCGCGGCCAGGAUUGGGUUGCUUGCUAAAAGAGCCUUUAUUUCUUCCAGUCUGGCCGUUCCCGCAUCCGUCCACUCGAAGUGGUCGGUGCGUCGGAGAAGGCGAUAAAGUGGUAGUGCUUUUUCUCCUAGUCUGGAGAUAAAGCGACUUAAAGCUGCCACACAUCCGGCUAGUUUUUGGACCUGUUUAAGGUCUGUUGGCUUAGCCAAUUGUGACAAAGCUCGGAUUUUGGCUGGAUUUGCCUCAAUUCCUCUAUUGGAAAUGAUGAAGCCCAGCAGUUUUCUAGCGGGAACGCCGAAAACACAAUUUCCUGGAUUGAGCUUGAUGUCAUAUGUACGGAGGUUGUCGAAUGUGAGUCGCAGAUCGUCUAUCAAUGACUCGACGUGCCUAGUUUUUAUGACGACGUCAUCCACAUAUGCUUCAACUGUCUUGCCGAGCUGUUUCUCCAGGCAUGUUUGAAUCAUGCGUUGGUAGGUGGCACCGGUGUUUUUGAGCCCGAAGGGCAUAGUGUUGAAGCAGAAUGGUCUAUAUGGGGUGAUGAAUGCUGUCGUGGCUUGGUCGGACUCCUUCAUUUUGAUUUGAUGGUAUCCUGUUGGUGUACAAAAGAACGGGCGCACCUUUGUACCCCUUUACCUGUGCACGGGCAGUCGGAGCCGCGCCCACGGUCGCACCAAGCAAAACAGGGGAGGUAAACCGAGGUAAAACUGAAGCCAAAGACAACCAGAGCAACACCAAGGCCAAAGACCACAAAGAGCAGAGGGACGAAGCAGGUUCUCCCCCGGCAAGACCCUUGCCGGGGCAGCUCUCCCCACCCCCACAGAGCGAGCCACCCUUGAGCCCACGGUCUCCAACAUCAUCAACCACGUUGGGCCAGGGCUCGGGAGGCACCUCCAUGCUGGCAUGUAGAUCUUUGUGAAGACAAGGUACACUCAAGAUCAGAUGAGGAUCAGAAGACGACGACCCUCGGCAAGAUCCUUGCCGAGGAAGGCCACCAGACCCUCGGCAAGAUCCUUGCCGGGGACGGCAGCGCGCCCCGGCAAGGCCCUCACCAAGGAUGCCAACAGGGCCACCGCCAGGCCCGCACCAACCAAGUCUCCGCCGCCAUUCGCAUGCAGCUGCCAGCCCAACCAGCUGGGCAGGCGCUUGCAUGGCAACAUGCAGCUUCCAGGCCAACUCGGCACACACCUGCGUGGCGGCAUGCAGAUCUUCGUGAAGACCCUACCACCACGCCACCUCAGCUGCCUGCCUGCCUACAUGGCACCGCAUGCACCAAAUGGCCAGGGUGCGUGUCAGAGCGAGGAGGAGCAGCGACGGACGGGACGGGCCUCGCUCCCGUCCCCAAUAAAGCAAGAGGACACCUCAGCUAUGCAUUAAAUGCGCCUUGUCUUGUAAUUCGAGCGAUAAGCUCGCAAUACUGUGCGCCUUUCCACCUCCUGUAUGCCACUGUGGCAGCCCCUUUCGACUAUAAAAGGAGGCCCAUGGCAUACUGGAGAAGGAUUCGGCUCUUUCGAACCACACACUCACCAUAGCUAGUUCGAGAGCCCAAGAACUCUCUGAAAUACACCCACCAAAGCAGGACUAGGAUUUUACGCAUCCUCGCGGCCCAAACCUGGGUAAACGAUCCUCGUGCUGAUUACUAAUCCUGCUCUUCUCGCAACCCUGCGCCCCGGCAACCAUAGUAGGGAUUCUUGUGAUCCCAUAGGUGUCGUUCCACACCGACAUCUUUGGCGCGCCAGGUAGGGGGCGCAAUUGUGAGAAUCUGGUCUAGUAGUUGGCCUAACAGUUCCUCAUUGCCAUGACUCCCAAGAAGGAAAUGGCCAGGAGAAAAAGGGAGCUGCCUACGAACGCGAAGGACGCCAGCGCGGCAGCAGAAAAGCUAAGUCAUUCGGAACUUUGAGUUACUUCCUUUUAUAUAUAAGGUUAUCGUCCUCGGAGAUCUUGCCUAUGUGUGAGAAACCUGCACGCAAAGGGGCCCUCCCGCAAUUGGCAACGCCCUUGUUCUGUUUCGAGUCUGCUCAACAGCUCAAAGCGGCCGCGUUGAGAGUGGCGGGGUAGCCUUCCGCGCUUGGCAACGCUCCCGACUCUGACUCGAGUCAAACUCGACAAUUCGGGCGGCCGUGCUAAGGGCGGUAAGGUGGUUCACCCGGCAGCAAGCACACCCGGCAGGCCAAUGGGGAUCCAUCCCCAAGACGCCGCCCUGGGUUUACGCGCCGGCAGACCUGCCCGGUUAACGUAGGGUGGACACACAAAGGAAAAUCGAACGGGAAAAUAACGUGCCUGAUACUAAAAGUGUUGCAGAGUCAUAUUACAUCAAAUUGUUGCUGUGGUUCUAACUAGAGAUAGAAAUUGUCUUGGUUGUGAACCUGCAGCGGCGAUAAGAAACGGGGUGCCUAAUCCCGGCGCUGGCCCUCCACCCUCAGAAUUCCGCCGACACGGCUGAUGAUGGGCUUGAUGCGCUCCCUGAGCGGCGCGAGGUCGGUACCUUCCGGCAAGCUCUCCAGCACGGCGUCGAAGUCGAGGUCGGGGUACCAGUAUGCCACCUUGGUCAGAACCUUGGUCAUGGUGCCCUGGCAAAGCCUCCGGGCCUCGUCGGCCAGCGAGGCCGCACGGUUGGCGUGAAGCUGCUCCAGGGCCCCGAGAACACACUCGAAGAACAAGGUCAGCUUGGCGUUGGUGGUCCCGCUGCGCUUCGGGGCGUACCUCACGCUUGGCAUCCCCAUGGUAGCCAACUGCACGGUGAUCCUGCCGGCGACGUCCUCGAGGCGGCCGAUCCAGCAUUUCACGCCCUCCUUGAAAUCCUUGUGCUCGGCGGCCUCGUUCUUCUGCAGCUGCUUCUCGGUCUCCAGCUCCUUGGCCAGGAUCCCCUCCCGGGUUUUGGCCUCCGUGAGCAUCCCCUCGAGGCCCUCCAGCUUCAGUGUGAGGUCCUUGACGGACUUGUUGGCCUCGGAGAGCUCCCCAGCCCUGCUAAUGGCCGCGCCCUGCCCUGCGCCUCCGUCAGGGCGCUGUUGAGUGUGUCCUUCUCCUGGGACAGCUUCAGGGCCUGCUCCUUCAACCCAUCCCACUCCGCCUCUAGCUCCUUCACCUUGUCGGCAUGAACCUGGCCUGGGCAUCGAGCGCCUCUUUGUGCCUCUGCUCCAGCUCACUGGUCCACUGCAAGACAAGCUUCUCCACCUCUUCAUCCUUGUCGCGAAGCGUGGCGGCAAGCUUCUCCUUGCGCGCGGCGAGGUCCUCCUCCUGGGAGUUCAGCACGGCCUGGUGCUGGGUUCGAGCGGCCUCGGCUGCCGCGGCCAAGCCCGCCGCCGUCUCCUGGGCCUUCUCGAUGUCAGCCAGCUUCAUGGUGAGCUCCACAUCACGCUUGGCCAGCUCGCCCUGGGCGGCCUUCAGCUCGUCGCGAGCCUGGCGGAACCAGUCCUGCGUCUCGGCGACGCGCUUCUGGAGGUCCGCCUCCGGUUUCUCCACCACCGCCGUCCUGGACUUAGCCUUGUCCAGGCGGGCGCGGUAGAGCGCCUGGAGCUUCCGGAAGCUGGCGCCCAUGGCGUGGAGGAGCCGCUCUUCUCCGAGCCUUCGCCACCAACGCUCGGCUCGUCGACGACCUCAAGCCCGGCGCCGGCAAGCACUUCGUCGUCGAACACCUCUCCCUCGACGGGCGCCCUGGUGCUCGACGCGCCUGUAAGGUGGACGAACAAGUCGUCACUCACCCUCAGGUACUUGCCGGAGCCGGAAGCAGCAGAGGACGAAAGCUGGUCAUCAGCGACCACCUCCUCCUCGGCAGUGGCCCUGCCGGCCUCCCCGGCAGGCCCCUUGCCGGUCUCCUCAGCAAUGGCCUUGCCGGCCUCCUCGGCAGGCCCCUUGGCGGCGUCCUCAGCAGCGCCCUCAACGGCCUCCUCGGCGGCGAUCCUCUCGGCGUCCGCCUCGGCGGCCUUGGCGACGUCCUCGAUGAUGGCGUCCACGUCCUCUGGGUUCACCGAGGAGGAAUCUGGACACCGAAGAAGGGGGUGAGGCAAGGCCAAGACCAAGGGUCAGCAAGAAAGAAAAAGGAACAGGGACGAGAGGCGAGCGACUUACCACUAUCGGUGCUAGGCUGGGAAAAAGAAGUCCCCUCCCUGCCAACAUUUGGCAUCGAGGCAAAGCCGCCAGCGCCCAAAUUCUCCUCCUCCUCCAUGUGCGCGGGCUCGGUGCUUGGCGCCCUUACUAGGGACGCCCCUCGGGGCGGCGUGGUCAACGGGGGCGGCGUGUUGGGAGUAGCCCUCUGCGGCUCCUCCUGCUGCCGUUCUCCUCUUGCAUACCCGGCAAGGUCAGCACCAAAGUAUCGUACCCCUGACACAUGUGGACAAGGGGAGGGUGGUGAGCUUACGCUGAGGGCUGGACCGGGGACUGCUGUCCGGGCUACUCAGCACCACCAGUGGCGCCCUUGAAGUACCGACCAGGGGCUAGCCGCCCGCUGAGGUCUUGGCCCUCUUCACCCUUUGGGCCAGCGUCUCCACAUCCCUGCCAAGAUAAAAACAAGUCAAGACAAGCGACACAGAUUGAGGAGGCAGAGAUGACAGGAAGGAGCUAGAUACUUACUCGUCGUCCGCCUCCUCCUCUGUUGUUUUCCUCUUCCUCCUCGGGCUGAGGGACCCAUAGUCAAAAGUGACCCCCGCGUCGGCAUCCGCCGGAGGAGGGGAGGAGGGCGGAGUCUGCGGGCGCGUGGACGAAGAAGAAGCAGAUGCCUUCUUCCUCGCUGCCGCAGCCUUCACCACCUUCUUCGCCGCCGCGGCCCUCGUCUGGCGCGCGGACUCCUCUGGGGACUUUGGCCGCCGCGCGGCCCUGGCGGACCGCACCGGCUCGCCGGAAGUGGCUCGCCGCAGGACUCGCCCUCUCCCCGUGGCCGGAGGGUCAACAUCCCCGGCCUCCUCCUUCGACGACUCGUCGACCGCUCCCUCAACCAGAGGAGCCUCGGUGCCGGUGCUGCUGGCCUCCCCGGCGCCCGCCGCCCACCGGGCGAGCUCCUCCUCCUCCACGGCCGUCGCUGCCUUGUCCUCCACACCACCAGCGCUGCCGGCCUCCUCGGCAAGCUGUGCCUCCCUCGCCCUGGUGGCGAUGUAGUCCAGUUCCGCCUGGGUGGUGUCCUGGACAAGCAGCCGCUCGGCGUCGGCAUUGAUGUACCCCUCGUGCAGAGUGUCAAAGAAUUGAUGCACCUCGACGUCCUCCGGCUCCUUGUAGCUCGGGUCACGGCCAUGCACGUUGCAGUCCGGCAUCAUGGCGAUGAUCUCGGUCCGGUGUGAAUUAUUGCACAGCGGGACCACUCCCGCCGGUAGCUUGAACAAGGGCCCCUUGAAGACCUUGCUGGGCGGCGGCCCUCGCGACCUUGCCGGUCCGCUCGACCUCGCCGUCGCGGCCCACAUCGAGCUGGAAGAGCUGCUGGCAGAAAUGGGCAUGCCCCAUCACUGUGAAGUUGUGGUCGAGGCCGGGGCGAAGCCGCAUGAUGUCGGCAGGAUUCGUGAAGAGCCAGGCCGGCCUCCCCUUGUUGUGCAGUGGAGCGAUCCGGCGGCGGAGAAGUCCGCCCCGAUCAUCUCAAGGGUGAGCCCGGCCUCGGGCAGCCAAAGAAUCCUGGUGGUGGCGACCGUGAGCUUCUCGUCGUCGGUGUCGACAUCGCUCCAAUCGCUUCUGCGGACCGGCGGCGCCCGGCGAACUUCGCAGAAUGCCGACGGGUCCUUCUCUUCGAUCCAGCACCACCGGCCCCGCCAUUCUUCCCACCUCUCCUUCAUGGCACCCUCCGGAUAUGCCCCCUUGGACCUUGGGAUCUAGGUGAUGCAACCGGAGAUGGCGCCCCCUGGUUGGAUCUGAGGGGAGAAGUAAUGGCGAAAGAGCGCCGUGUUGGGGUGCACCCUGGCGAAGCCUUCGCAGAGGUGCGCGAAAAGGGCCAUGCAUGCCACCGCAUUCGGGGUAAAAUCCAAGAGGCGGAAGCCAAAGGUGUGCAUGAUGUCGUAGAAGAAAUCGGAGAAGGGAGGACAAAGCCCGCAGGAAAAAUAGUCAACAAAGAAGGGGUACCGAUUUGGGGCAGCCUCGGCGCAGUUGGCAGGGAUGACGCGCGUGGCUGGAUGCCCCGACUUCUCUCCCCCCGUCUUCACCCCCACAGGGGCCUAAAGGCUUCCCGAAGCUCGAACACGUCGACUGUCGAGGGGAACAAGGCGGACUGCGUCCGCUGCACUGCCAGCGCACUCUCCGGCGGCUCCGCCGCUCCGGCGUUCUUAGCCACGCCCUUGCCCUUGACGGAUUUCGGCGCCAUGGCGGCUGGGAGAGAAGGGCAAAGCGGAGGGCGGCGGGAAGACAAUGGCGGCGAGUGAGAGCGAAGCUUGGGAAAGAAGAGGAAGACGAGCGGAGGCUUCCGAGAUUGGGAUUGUGCGAAGGGUAAAAGGAAUAGUGCGCUCACGGUUACCCCCCUUUUUAUGGGGAAGGUGCGGGUCGUGCUGCCGAUUUACUACGAUGUGACGCAUGCGUGCGGGAACCGCCCCACGCAUCCCGCCCACGUCACGCGCACCCCUCCACGUCGCGCCAUGCCGCGCGCGGGUCGUGGGAAGCGAAGCGCGCGAAAAGUUUUACCGCGGUAAAAACCGCCCCGCCUGCCCGCGCACCAUUUUGGACCUGGCCCAACAACGUGUCGCGCUUAUGUGUGGCCCAGGCCUGGGGGCUCCUGUCGGUGUACAAAAGAAGGGGCACACCUUUGUACCCCUUUACCUGUGCACGGGCAGUCGGAGCCGCGCCCACGGUCGCACCAAGCAGAACAGUGGAGGUAAACCGAGGUAAAACCAUAGCCCAAGACAACCAGAGCAACAUCAAGGCCAAAGACCACAAAGAGCAGAGGAACGAAGCAGGUUCUCCCCCGGCAAGACCCUUGCCGUGGCAGCUCGCCCCACCCCCAUAGAGCAAGCCACCCUUGAGCCCACGGUCUCCAACAUCAUCAACCACGUUGGGCCAGGGCUCGGGAGGCACCUCCAUGGUGGCAUGCAGAUCUUUGUGAAGAAAAGGAACACUCAAGAUCAAAUGAGGAUUAGAAGACAACGACCCUCGGCAAGAUCCUUGCCGAGGAAGGCCACCAGACCCUCGGCAAGAUCCUUGCCGGGGACGGCAGCGCGCCCCAGCAAGGCCCUCACCAAGGACGCCAGCAGGGCCACCGCCAGGCCCGCACCAUCCAAGUCUCCGCCGCUGUUCGCAUGCAGCUGCCAGCCCAACCAACUAGGCAGGCGCCUGCGUGGCAACAUGCAGCUUCCAGGCCAACUCGGCACACACCUGCGUGGCGACAUGCAGAUCUUCGUGAAGACCCUACCACCACGCCAACUCAGCUGCCUGCCUACCUACAUGGCACCGCAUGAACCAAAUGGCCAGGGCGCAUGUCAGAGCGAGGAGGAGCGGCGACGGACGGGACGGGCCUCGCUCCCGUCCUCAAUAAAGCAAGAGGACACCUCAGCUAUGCAUUAAAUGCGCCUUGUCCUGUAAUACGAGCGAUAAGCUCGCAAUAAUGUGCGCCUUUCCACCUCCUGUAUGCCACUGUGGCAUCCCCUUUCGACUAUAAAAGGAGGCCCGUGGAACACUGGAGAAGGAUUCGGCUCUUUCGAACCACGCACUCACCGUAGCUAGUUCGAGAGCCCAAGAACUCUCUGAAAUACACCCACCAAAGCAGGACUAGGGUUUUACGCAUCCUCGCGGCCCGAACCUGGGUAAAUGAUCCUCGUGCUGAAUACUAAUCCUACUCUUCUCGCAACCCUGCGCCCCGGCAACCGUAGUAGGGAUUCUUGUGAUCCCAUAGGUGUCGUUCCACACCGACAUCUCCGGAGUAUGCAUCGAGGAAAAACUGUGAGUCAUGUCCUGCGGUAGCAUCAAUAAUCUGGUCGAUGCGGGGGAGGGGGAAGGGAUCCUUAGGGCAGGCCUUAUGAAGGUCUUUGAAAUCGACACACAGGCGCCAGGAUUUGUCCUUCUUUGGCACCAUCACCAGGUUUGCUAGCUAGUUCGGGUGUUUUAUUUCUCUGAUGAAUCCGGCCUCGAUUAACUUGGCUAGCUCCUCCCCGAUAGCUUGGCGUUUGGGUUCGGAAAAGCGCCGCAGUGUUUGCUUGACUGGUUUAUAUCCCUUCAAUAUAUUGAGGAUGUGUUCGGCUGACCUGCCUGGGAUUCCUGGCAUAUCAGUAGGGUGCCAGGCGAAUAUGUCCCAGUUCUCGCGCAGGAACUCUCGUAGCGCGGCGUCAACCGUUGGGUCCAGUUGUGCCCCGAUGGAUGCUAUUUUCUUGGGGUUCGUCGGGUGGACUUGAAAUUUGACUAUUUCGUCUUCUGGUUUAAAGGAGGUGGAUUUGGGUCACUUCCAGGAUUACGUCAUCCCUAUCCACCGUGGGGCAUAGUGCGGUUAACUCUUCAGCCGCGAGGGCUUCAGACAAUGCCGCAAGGGCCAGGGAUGCGGUUUUAUUUUCGGCGCGGAGUGCUAUGUCCGGAUCACUAGCAAGAGUGAUAAUACCAUUCGGCCCAGGCAUCUUGAGCUUCAUGUAUCCGUAAUGAGGUAUAGCUUGGAAGCGUGUAAACGCAUCUCGCCCCAAUAGGGCGUGAUAUCCACUAUUGAAAGGGGCCGCUUGGAAGGUUAUCUCUUCGGACCAAUAAUUCUUCGGCGUGCCGAAUACCACGUCGAGUGUGAUUUUUCCCGCGCAUCGCACCUCCCGGCUGGGAAUGAUUCCUCAGAAGGUCGUGCUACUUUGCUCGAUGCGGCUCCUGUCUAUUUCCAUUUUAUCGAGUGUGUCCUCAUAGAUGAGGUUUAGUCUGCUGCCGCCGUCCAUGAGCACUUUGGUGAGCCGAAAACCGUCCACAAUUGGAUUGAGGACCAAGGCGGCUGGUGCCUGGACUGUCCGGAAUUUUGGUUCGUCACUGGUGUUGAAAGUUAUGGCCGUGUCGUUCCAGGGGUUUAUGGCUGCGACUUGGCAGACAUCGGCGAGGUCGCGGAGGGCCCUUUUGCGCCGAUUGUUUGAAGCGAAAGUCUCGAAGACCAUCAAUACCCUGAGGUCGUCGUCUUCCGGGGGGUGUUGCUCUGAGGUAUUUUUGGUGAGGAUAUCCUCGCCGAUCUUGGCCACUUGCCGGAGUAUCCAACAUGCUCUAAGGCUGUGGGUGGGUAUGGUAUCCAGUAUUGUGUGUAUUUUGCAUGGCCUAUCAAGCCAUCCCUCCCGAACGGUUCCGCGCCCCGUAAUGGGCUUAGAUUUCUUUACUACUGGGACGGGCGCCCCAUGAGGGUGCAUCCUUUUUGCCCGGACGAGGGGUUGAGUGGAAACCGGUGGUUCCCAGCGAGCUGCCAGAGUUUUCCAGGCGCUUUCCAUUGCGCAGUACUUCUGUACUAUGGUUGCCAAGUCAGCGAAGUGUAAUACGCGACGGAGGUUGAUGGCGUUGAGGAUUCCUUCGUCUGUGCAAUUAUUGCAGAAUACUGAGAUCGCGUCUUCGUUGCGGCAAUCUUUAAUCUUGUCUUUGACAAGGAGGAAUCUGGCCCAAAAGUGAUGGACUGUUUCUUGAGACUGCUGUUGUAUGUACAUGAGAUCGCGUAUAUUCGGGUGGGUAGGUGGCUUUAAAUCCGAACCCUGACCCAAUUUGGGAUCCGGAGUUUGAGAAACUUCCGAGCUUAAUAGUUCGGGCUCCGGAAUAUCAACUGAUUUCCCUGGUCCACUAUCCGAUUCUAGGUUCGGGGGACAGGGUGUGUCGUUCCGCGGACAGCUGUCCGGAUCUUCGAGCUCGGAAAUCUGAACAUAGUUCGUCCUCAAUAUAGAGGAAGAGUUGUUGUUUUGCUCCUCUACUACUGCUAUCUAAUGGGUGAUCGGCAGAGAUUUGAUUUCUCUCUGAUCGGAUUUAAGCCCAAUCCGAUCGUAGUCUGUAGAAACCCCCAAGGCCGCGAUGCGAUCCAGAAGUUCGCUUAAAGACGACAAGUCCGUCGGAUCCAUCCGUUUGGAGUAUUCGGAGUCGACGUGGAGGCGAUUUUCGAUGACCCGAGAAGUCAUCGUCGGCUUAAUGGCCGGAAGGGCGGUCAUGGUAAAGCCGCCCAGCCGGAGGGUUUGGCCUGAGGCCAGGGCUCCUCCGGAGGUGAUACUGUCCUUGAUAACAAGGCGAGCCAUCAAUCCUGUCUUCGACGUCAUAGCGGAACUCUCAAUGAAAGCACCAAUGUCGGUGUCAAAACCGGCGGAUCUCAGGUAGGGGGUCCCAAACUGUGCGUCUAAGGUUGAUGGUAACAGGAGACGGGGGACACGAUGUUUACCCAGGUUCGGGCCCUCUCUAUGGAGGUAAUACCCUACUUCCUGCUUGAUUGAUCUUGAUGAAUAUGAGUAUUACAAGAGUUGAUCUACCAAGAGAUCGUAAUGGCUAAAACCCUAGAAGUCUAGCAUGUAUGAUUGUGAUUGCCUCUAUGGACUAAACCCUCCGGUUUAUAUAGACACCAGAGGGGACUAGGGUUGUACAAAGUCGGUUACAAAGAAAGGAAUCUUCAUAUCCGCUCACCAAGCUUGCCAUCCACACCAAGGAGAGUCCCAUCAGGACAUGGGUGAAAGUCUUCGGUCUUGUAUCUUCAUAGCCCAUCAGUCCGGUCCACGUCACAUAGGCCGGAUGCCCGACGACCCCCUAAUCCAGGACUCCCUCACGGACCCUACGGGUUUGAGAACUAUGUAGACAUGACCGAGACACGUCUCUGGUCAAUAACCAAUAGCGGAACAUGGAUGUUCAUAUUGGCUCCCACAUAUGCUACGAAGAUCUUUAUCGGUCAAACCACAUAACGAUAUACGUUGUUCCCUUUGUCAUUGGUAUGUUCCUUGCCCGAGAUUCGAUCGUCGGUAUCUCAAUACCUAGUUCAAUCUCGUUACCGGCAAGUCUCUUAACUCGUUCUGUAAUGCAUCAUCCCGCAACUAACUCAUUAGUCACAUUGCUUGCAAGGCUUAUAGUGAUGUGCAUUACCGAGAGGGCCCAGAGAUACCUCUCUGACAAUCGGAGUGACAAAUUCUAAUCUCAAUCUAUGCCAACUCAACAACUACUAUCGGAGACACCUGUAGAGCACCUUUAUAAUCACCCAUUUACGUUGUGACGUUUGGUAGCACACAAAGUGUUCCUCCGGUAUUCGGGAGUUGCAUAAUCUCAUAGUCAUAGGAACAUGUAUAAGUUAUGAAGAAAGCAAUAGCAAUAUACUAAACGAUCAAGUGCUAAGGUAACGGAAUGGGUCAAGUAAAUCACAUCAUUCUCUAAUGAUGUGAUCCCGUUAAUCAAAUGACAACUCAUGUCUAUGGCUAGGAAACUUAACCAUCUUUGAUUCAAUGAGCUAGUCAAGUAGAGGCAUACUAGUGACACUUUGUUUGUCUCUGUAUUCACACAUGUACUAAGUCUCCGGUUAAUACAAUUAUAGCAUGAAUAAUAAACAUUUAUCAUGAUAUAAGGAAAUAUAAAUAACAACUUUAUUAUUGCCUCUAGGGCAUAUUUCCUUCAGUCUCCCACUUGCACUAGAGUCAAUAAUCUAGAUUACACAGUAAUGAUUCUAACACCCAUGGAUUCUUGGUGCUGAUCAUGUUUUGCUCGUGAGAGAGGCUUAGUCAACGGGUCUGCAACAUUCAGAUCUGUAUGUAUCUUGCAAAUCUCUAUGUCUCCCUCCUUGACUUGAUCGCGGAUGGAAUUGAAGCGUCUCUUGAUGUGCUUGGUUCUCUUGUGAAAUCUGGAUUGCUUUGCCAAGGCAAUUGCACCAGUAUUGUCACAAAAGAUUUUCAUUGGACCCGAUGCACUAGGUAUGACAACUAGAUAGGAUAUGAACUCCUUCAUCCAGACUCCUUCAUUUGCUGCUUCUGAAGGAGCUAUGUACUCUGCUUCACACGUAGAUCCUGCCAUGACGCUUUGCUUAGAACUGCACCAACUGACAGCUCCACCGUUCAAUAGAAACAUGUAUCCGGUUUGUGACUUAGAGUCAUCCGGAUCAGUGUCAAAGCUUGCAUCGACGUAACCAUUUAUGACGAGCUCUUUGUCACCUCCAUAAACGAGAAACAUAUCCUUAGUCCUUUUUAGGUAUUUCAGGAUGUUCUUGACCGCUGUCCAGUGAUCCACUCCUGGAUUACUUUGGUACCUCCCUACUAAACUGAUAGCAAGGCACACAUCAGGUCUGGUACAAAGCAUUGCAUACAUGAUAGAGCCUAUGGCUGAAGCAUAGGGAACACCUUCCAUUUUCUCUCUAUCUUCAGCAGUGGUCGGGCAUUGAGUCUAAGUCAACUUCACACCUUCUAACACAGGCAAGAACCCUUUCUUUGCUUGAUCCAUUUUGAGCUUUUUCAAAACUUUAUCAAGGUAUGUGCUUUGUGAAAGUCCAAUUAAGCGUCUUGAUCUAUCUCUAUAGAUCUUGAUGCCCAAUGUAUAAGCAGCUUCACCGAGGUCUUUCAUUGAAAAACUCAUGUUCAAGUAUCCUUUUAUGGUAUCCAGAAAAUUCUAUAUCAUUCCCAAUCAACAAUAUGCCAUCCACAUAUAAUAUUAGAAAUGCUACAGAGCUCCCACUCACUUUCUUGUAAAUACAGGCUUCUCCAAAAGUCUGUAUAAAACCAUAUGCUUUGAUCACACUAUCAAAACGUUUAUUCCAACUCCGAGAUGUUUGCACCAGUCCAUAAAUGGAUCGCUGGAGCUUGGACACUUUGUUAGCAUCCUUUGGGUCGAUAAAACCUUCAGGUUGCAUCAUAUACAACUCUUCUUCCAGAAAUCCAUUCAGGAAUGCAGUCUUUACAUCCAUUUGCCAAAUUUCAUAAUCAUAAAAUGCAGCAAUUGCUAACAUGAUUCGAACGGACUUAAGCAUCGCUACGGGUGAGAAGGUCUCAUCGUAGUCAACUCCUUGAACUUGUCGAAAACCUUUCGCAACAAGUGGAGCUUUGUAGAUAGUAACAUUACCGUCAGCGUCAGUCUUCUUCUUGAAGAUCCAUUUAUUCUCGAUGGCUUGCCGAUCAUCGGGCAAGUCAACCAAAGUCCACACUUUGUUCUCAUACAUGGAUCCCAUCUCAGAUUUCAUGGCCUCAAGCCAUUUCGCGGAAUCUAGGCUCAUCAUCGCUUCCUCAUAGUUCGUAGGUUCCUCAUGGUCAAGUAACAUGACCUCCAGAACAGGAUUACCAUACCACUCUGGUGCGGCUCUUACUCUGGUUGACCUACGAGGUUCGGUAGUAACUUGAUAUGAAGUUACAUGAUCACCAUCAUUAGCUUCCUCACUAAUUGGUGUAGGAGUCAUAGGAACAUAUUUCUGUGAUGAACUACUUUCCAACAAGGGAGUAGGUACAGUUACCCCAUCAAGUUUUACUUUCCUCCCACUCACUUCUUUCGAGAGAAACUCCUUCUCUAGAAAGGAACCAUUCUUAGCAACGAACGUCUUGCCUUUGGAUCUGUGAUAGAAGGUGUACCCAACAGUCUCCUUUGGGUAUCCUAUGAAGACACAUUUCUCCGAUUUGGGUUCGAGCUUAUCAGGUUGAAGCUUUUUCACAUAAGCAUCGCAGCCCCAAACUUUAAGAAACGACAACUUUGGUUUCUUGUCAAACCACAGUUCAUAAGAUGUCAUCUCCACGGAUUUAGAUGGUGCCCUAUUUAACAUGAAUGCAGCCGUCUCUAAAGCAUAACCCCAAAACGAUAGCAGUAAAUCAGUAAGAGACAUCAUAGAUCGCACCAUAUCUAGUAAAGUACGAUUACGACAUUCGGACACACCAUUACACUGUGGUGUUCCGGGUGGCGUGAGUUGCGAAACUAUUCUGCAUUGUUUUUUAGGUUGAAGACCAAACUCGUAAGUCAAAUAUUCUCCUCACGAUCAGAUCGUAGAAACUUUAUUUUUCUUGUUAGGAUGAUUUUCCACUUCACUCUGAAAUUCUUUGAACUUUUCAAAUGUUUCAGACUUAUGUUUCAUCAAGUAGAUAUACCCAUAUCUGCUCAAAUCAUCUAUGAAGGUGAGAAAAUUACGAUACCCGCCGCGAGCCUCAAUAUUCAUCUGACCACAUACAUCAGUAUGUAUGAUUUCCAACAAAUCUGUUGCUCGCUCCAUUGUUCCGGAGAACGGAGUUCUAGUCAUCUUGCCCAUGAGGCAUGGUUCGCAAGUACCAAGUGAUUCAUAAUCAAGUGAUUCCAAAAGUCCAUCAGAAUGGAGUUUCUUCAUGCGCUUUACACCAAUAUGACCCAAACGACAGUGCCACAAAUAAGUUGCACUAUCAUUAUCAACUCUGUAUCUUUGGCUUCAAUAUUAUGAAUAUGUGUGUCACUACUAUCGAGAUUCAACAAAAAUAGACCACUCUUCAAGGGUGCAUGACCAUAAAAGAUAUUACCCAUAUAAAUAGAACAACCAUUAUUCUCUGAUUUAAAUGAAUAACCGUCUCGCAUCAAACAAGAUCCAGAUAUAAUGUUCAUGCUUAACGCUGGCACCAAAUAACAAUUAUUCAGGUCUAAAACUAAUCCCGAAGGUGGAUGUAGAGGUAGCAUGCCGACCGCGAUCACAUCGACUUUGGAACCAUUUCCCACGCGCAUCGUCACCUCGUCCUUAGCCAAUCGUCGCUUAAUCCGUAGUCCCUGUUUCGAGUUGCAAAUAUUAGCAACAGAACCAGUAUCAAAUACCCAGGUGCUACUGCGAGCAUUAGUAAGGUACACAUCAAUAACAUGUAUAUCACAUAUACCUUUGUUCACCUUGCCAUCCUUCUUAUCUGCCAAAUACUUGGGGCAGUUCCGCUUCCAGUGACCAGUCCCUUUGCAGUAGAAGCACUCAGUCUCAGGCUUAGGUCCAGACUUGGGCUUCUUCACUUGAGCAGCAACUUGCUUGCCGUUCUUCUUGAAGUUCCCCUUCUUCCCUUUACCCUUCGGGAAUUGUUUUAUCCAUCCCACUACAAAAAAAAGACACAUCCGUGACAUUUUGGGCCGAACGAAUUUUUUUUCUGUCAUACAUAUGACACUUCUAUGACGAUAAUUGUGACAAAACCCGGUAUCAUCAUAGAUGUGGUGGGCUCCUACUUCUAUGACAAAAAAUCAUGACAGAAAAUGGGCUUUUCGUCCUGGGCGGGCCGGAGACGCAGCUGCAUGACAUUCUUUGGGCCGUCCAUGACGGAAAAAACCGUGGUAGAAGCGAGGGGGAGGAAAAUUUUGGGGAGUUCCCGGUUACGGUGGGAGGUCGGGGGCCGAGCGAUGCGCGUUUCUCUCGUACACGUACGCGCGUGUGUGCGAGGCGUUGGCUCUAACUGAACCCGAGCGAUUGCACUGCAGGCUACGCGUUACUGAACCCGAGCGAUCGAUCGAUGGCUGUUAACUGAACCCGAUCGAGCGAUUCCUUCGCUACUGCUGCUAACUGAAGCCGAUCGACUGGAUGAACAGUGAGCAUUGCCGGGGGGUUGGAUGAACAGUGAGCGGUGGCGUUGCCUCUGGAUGAACAGGACCCGUGGUGUGGAGGGUUGGAUGAACAGUAGAAGGUGGAGGGGUGCCCGUGGAGGGGUGGUUGAACAGGACCCCGUGGUGUGGAGGGCUGGAUGAACAGUAGACGGUGGAGGGGUGCCCGUGGAGGGGUGGUUGAACAGUAGCCGGUGGAGUAGCGCGCGGUGGAGGCUGGAUGAACAGGAGCCCGUGGAGGCUGGAGGAGGUCGAUGGUGGAGAUGAACAGUAUCCCGUGGAGUCCCGUUUUGCGGUACGCCACACACCUCCCGAUGAACAGGACCCCCGUUUCGACCGUAGGAGGUCCGUUUCGUCCGUUUUGCGGUACGCCACAUCCCUCCCGAUCAACAGGACCCCCGUUUCGACCNNNNNNNNNNNNNNNNNNNNNNNNNNNNNNNNNNNNNNNNNNNNNNNNNNNNNNNNNNNNNNNNNNNNNNNNNNNNNNNNNNNNNNNNNNNNNNNNNNNNNNNNNNNNNNNNNNNNNNNNNNNNNNNNNNNNNNNNNNNNNNNNNNNNNNNNNNNNNNNNNNNNNNNNNNNNNNNNNNNNNNNNNNNNNNNNNNNNNNNNNNNNNNNNNNNNNNNNNNNNNNNNNNNNNNNNNNNNNNNNNNNNNNNNNNNNNNNNNNNNNNNNNNNNNNNNNNNNNNNNNNNNNNNNNNNNNNNNNNNNNNNNNNNNNNNNNNNNNNNNNNNNNNNNNNNNNNNNNNNNNNNNNNNNNNNNNNNNNNNNNNNNNNNNNNNNNNNNNNNNNNNNCCGUUUUGCGGUACGCCACACCCCUCCCGAUCAACAGGACCCCCGUUUCGACCGUAGGAGGUCUGUUUGCUUCAUUUUGUGGUAUGCCACACCCCUCCCGAUCAACAGGACCCCGUUCCGAACGUAAGAGGUCCGUUUCCUCCGUUUUGCGGUAUGCCAGGCCUCGUUUCCAUCGCAUGUUCCGUCCAAGCCCUCCCGAUGAACACGACCACGCAUUCUGUUCCAACCCAGCCGGUUGGCUCCCACGCGUUCCGUUGCCUCCUGAUGAACACGACGCAUUCCGUUGCCUCCCCAUGAACACGACGCAUUCCAUUGCCUCCCCAUGAACACGACGACGACGAUGUUUCUCUGUUCCGACCCAGCCAUGUACACGAGCCCUGGCCGUACGUAUGCGCGAGUAGGCGUUCGAGACCCCGCCCGUAUGUACACAUACGUGGUCGUCUUUUCUUUCUUGCACCCUGGCCGCUGUACGUACGUGUACAUGCUACGUGCGCGCCUCUACUACGACACGUACGCGCCUCUACUACGACACGUGCGCGCCUCUACAUCCACCAGUAUAUAUGUACGUACACGUUCGCGACCAGAAUGACAACGCUGCGUACGCUUCGACCAGGUGGGUCCCGACUGUCAGGCACUUCCUUGCGUGCGAAGAUGUAGCUGGUGGGUCCCAGUAGUCAGGGGGCGAAUCGUUUUUUUUUUGCCCGGACGCACUUCCUUGCGUACGAAGAUGUAGCUGGUGGGUCCCAGCAGUCAGGGGGGCAAAUCGUUUUUUUUCGGACGCACUUCCUUGCGUGCGAAGAUGUAGCUGGUGGGUCCCAGCAGUUAGGGGGAAACUUUUUUUCGCGAAAUACGGUGGCCCGUAUGGUGGGUCCCCGCUGUCAGGUGGAGGAAUCAUUAUUUUGUGCGUAAUAAGGAGGCACUUCCUUGCUGCGGCCAUGGACCCAGCUGUCAGCCUCUCCACGUACAGUCCAUGUCCGAUGGAAGUCGUUCCUUGACCACGUUGACCACGCUGCGCCGAGAGCACCACGGCGGUGGACGACGGCGAGGACUAGGAAGGGGACGACUCGGAGCCGGGGAAGACGCAGCAGUGGAUGCCCACGCGAAGAGGAGUAUGAGGGUUCACUGGUUCGGCUGCGGUGUGAGGCUGCUGUCGCCGCAGAAUAACAGGGGGUGUGGGUGAGUAGAGGGAUGGCCUGGCCAGCGGUGGGAGUAGUAGGGGGCGGUGAGGCCUCCGCGGCAUCACAGCCGGCCACGGGAGGCAGGAGCACGCGGCACGACCGGCGCUGGUUUGGGCGGCUGGAGCAAGAAGACCAGAGGUUGAAGAAGCACUACGGCCGUUGGAUGAACAUCGUACGGUAACAGGAGCUAUAAUCGUUCAUAUUGACUAAGUUGACAAAGCCCUCCGUCCCUGUCAACUUGGUAGGCCCACAAGUCAGCCUCCCACUAUGUUGGGUUCCAGCUGACAGGGGGAGUAUUCAUUUUUUUGUGCGUAAUAAGGAGGCACUUCCUUGCAUGCGAAGAUAGCUGGUGGGUCCGACAUGUCAGCGGGGGGCACGUUAUUUUCGCGAAAUACAGAGGCCCUUCCAGUGGGUCCCAGAUGUCAGGUGGAGGAAUCAUUAUUUUGCGCGUAAUAAGGAGGCAUUUCCUUGUGUGCGGCCGUGGACCCAGCUGUCAGCCUCUCCACGCAUAGUCUACUUCCGAUGGUGUCGUUCGUUGACCACGUUGACCACGCCGCGCCGAGCGCAUCCAAGGUGGUGGACGACGGCGAGGCCCCGGACGGCAACGAGCCGAAGAUGGGAAGACGCGGGAGUAGAGUCGGAGAUGGAGAGGUGUACGAGGGUUAACUGGUUCUAGUGCGGUGUGGUUCGGUAGUCGGUGGAGAAGAACAGGAGGUGUGGAGGGGUGGAGGGAUGGCCUGGCCAACGGUGGAGUAGCGCUUCAUAGCGAAGCGUGCUAAGCAGAGCUGCUAGCAGCAGGAGGCGGGAGGUGGUCCCGGCGGCGCUAGAGGAAGAAGACGAGAGAUCGAAGAUGGAUGCCGGUCGUCUGAUGUAAAUCCAACGGCUAACAUGUCAGAAUCAUUUGUUGACUAAAUUGACAACGACUUGCGUUGGCUUCGACCUAUUGGCCACAUUUCAGCCUCCAAAAAUGUGGCACGUAUUCAACCCAUUUUUUCAGAAUUUACAGUCUUUUUUUUGCGCGGUAGAAUUUAUAGUCAAUUUGAUCUUUUUUUGAAUUACAGCCAUUAGCUGGGCUGGGUGAACAAAUAAUGUAGCGUCCAUGCGGCCCAUUUAUUUUAUUUCCUAAUAAGUGAUAUUAUUACAUUCGUCCUUAAAUCUUACCAAGCUUUUGUACACAAUCACUAGGAUUCUCGUGCCAAAACAAUCCAGGAUUUUAUUUGUUAAGAAAUUAUUUUUAUAAGUUAAUAAGAUGUGGGAUAUUGUUUUCUUACAUAUGUAAGUAUCUGUUAAAUAUAUGAUGACAAUAAAAAUAAUAUAUAAUAACAUAUAAAACAAUUUAAAUAUAUAUAAUAUAGUUAGAAGGGAAACAUAAGUUGGACCUGGCGUUCCUAUUCUUAUAUAGAAAAAUAGAACAGACCUCUCCGUUUUCUUCAAAAAAUACAUAAAUUGGGCUGCCAAAAAGAAAACCUCGGAUGGGAGGUCCAUAGGCCGGUCGAUACAUGACAGCCCUAAGAAAAUACAAACAGGCCUAUGGACCUCCCAUCCGAGGUCGUGGGCUGCACAUGUUAAAAAUGAAAGCCUAGACGGGGCAGCCCAAAACCACGUCCAACACUUGCCAAAACUUCGUCCCUCGUUUUCUCUGUGUUUCGCACACUCGACAUUGUGUGGGCAUUCUGACAGUGCAUCAUAUGAAGAUGUGCUAUGCAUGAAUAUUGAUCAGAAUGAUGUUAACUGGCUGGUAGUUCCAUUUUCGACCAUGAAUAAAACUUCCAACAUGAUGUUAACCCUGUUUGAAAAGGCUGUGUUAAUAUAAAUGCUCUGCCUCUAAAAGUUGCAGUUUCUUAUCUGAAACUGAACUUGCGGUUUCUUAUCUGAAACUGAAACUUGCAGUUUCUUCUCUGAGAAUCACAUUGUCUGCACUUUUAUACUCCUAUGAAACUACAUUUUUUAAGUGCUAAAAAUAGAUCUCUAGAAUUCAUAAAAUACUUCAUAUGCUCAAUACUGCAAAUCUGAAAUUCAAAAGACAUUCAUAUCUGAAAGUACUCCCAAAAUACACAACACAAUUCACAACCUGCAAAUACUGACAACCCUAAGCUCCUCCUGACAAUUCACAACCUGCCCGACUAUUGGGCUGGGGGGGGGGGGGCAGCCCCCUCCUAUUCCUCGGCGGCAGACAGCCGCCCCGUGAGACGAUGUGAACGGCGAGGGAGAUGAUGGCGGGGAAGCGUCGUCGGGCCAACUGCUUUUCCCUUCUUGCAAUUGGGUUCGGUCGACGAAGACUCCACCGGCUCGCUCUGGCAGGACAGCCUCACAAACGGCACCCUGUAGAUGCUCGAUCCUUCAAUCUCUGGUGGAUGCUCCAUCUGGGAUCGAUACUCCCACCACCGCUCCCUCACGAUCGGAUUCGGUGAAUCUGUUUGCUCCAUGGCCCAGAGGAGCAGCUCUAUGUACUCCGGCGCGACUCCCUCCGGGAGUAUCAUCGCCUUGUUCGCUCUAUUGCAGAUAUUUGGCCAUGGAUGUCGCCGUCGCCGCUAGUUGGUCCUUGUUGUAAACCAAGACUGUAUCUCCAACAUCCUAGCUAGCUUCAUAGGGUCGCCGUCUGCGAUCCUCAUGUAUCGGUUGUACUCCUCCAUCGAUCUACUUCUCCAUAGCACCUUCACUCACCGGUGGUGGUUUUUGAAUGGAAGAGGAGAGGAGCAGCGCUGGUUUUGGAUUAGAACGGGAGAGGAGCGACGCUGGUUUUGGACUGGAACAGGAGAGGAGGGGCGGUGGUUUUGAAAUGGAAGAGGAGAGGAGCGGCGCUGCAUUUAGAUUGGAACAGGAGAGGAGCGGCGGUGGUUUAAGAGGAGAAGAGCGGAAGAGCGGCGCUGGUCUUGGAAGUAUUUUUUUUUGUUUUGCGUAUUUUGGGUCAAAGUUUGACCACGUACUGUAUUUGACAAGCAAAAUGUGAAUGCAUGUCACCAAAAAUUGUAUUGUUUGGUUCGUAUCUGAAUGUACUUUCAAAUUAUAUUAUUUUUGCAAUGUAUAACAUAUAUUUUAUGUGCAAAAAUCAUGGUCAAUUAUGACCCAGAAUAAAAGAGAGACUAGUUAAUGUGGGGUCGCUUUCUUAACUGAAGGGUAAAUUGAUUUUGAUUUUGAUCCAGUCACAGCGCGCCGGCCCUCUCGUCCAAUCCUAAAUCGCUGCCGCACGCUCCUCUCCCUCUUCUCCAUUGCAAAACCACCUCCUCUCCUCUCCAUCAUCUCCAUUCCAAAACCACCGUCUUGCCUCUCCCUCUUCUGAUCUUCUCCAUUGCAAAACCACCUCCUCUCCUCUCCAUCAUCUCCAUUCCAAAACCACCAUCUCGCCUCUCCCUCUUCUGAUCUUCUCCAUUGUAAAACCACCUCCUCUCCUCUCCAUCAUCUCCAUUCCAAAACCACCGUCUCGCCUCUCCCUCUUCUCUAUUGCAAGACCACCGUCUCUCCUUCCAUCUUCCAAAGCUAGCACCGGACCACUCAGAAGGACAUCUAUGGAGAGGAUGCAGCAGCGAAUCAGGCAGAUCGCCGGCGGCAACCAGGCAAAGUUAGCCAGGUUGAAGGAGAUCCUUAGUUGGUCUGACAAUGAGUGGGAGAUUUUGAGGACGGUGUGGGCCAUGUGGCAAUGUAUGCGAAAGAACGAGAUGGCGGCGAUGAGGGCGGCGAUGUACAUGUACUCCUCGGCGGCAGUCACGCCGCAGUCCUCCGAGUUCAUCGAGUAUCUCCUCUGGGCGAUGGAGCAGAUAGCUUCGCCCGAGGCGACAGUCAGGCGGAGGUGGUGGGCGUACAGGUCGAAGGUCGAGCACCCAGAGGAUAACGAAUCGAUCGAGUAUGGUGUGCCGUUCGUGAGGGUGCAGAGCCAGCCGGAGCCACAGGAGUAUUUGUUCUCCCACCGCAAGAGGAGGCCGGAUGGCGCGACGUCGCUUCCCCGCCGUUCUCCACGGUUCCCUCGAUGCUCGCCUCGUUUCAACGGCGGCGGUAGGGUUUAAGGUAAGCUUCGCACUAACCUAAUCUUCCACCUGCUCAUGCUUACAAUCAGUGUGACAGCUAAUGAAAAUCAUGCUUACAAUCAGUCUCCGAGUACUACGCCAAUCACCCUAAAAUAGCUCUGGACCUUUGGGUCAAAGUUGUGACACAGUGUACAAAUAAAGAAAAAUAGAUUGGUGCUUCUUUCAAAAAAGAGUACUCCCUAGAAAACUGCCAAUAUAAGCUACUAGUAUUUGGUUAGAUGAUUUGCUGCCGAGAAAGAUCCGUCCACAGAGAGUGCCACACAUCCCACUGGUGGUGGUGGAUGCCAAUGCGUGCAUGCAGCAUGGUUGGUGUCGGUAAUUUUUACUUGGCACACCUCGCACUCUGCAUAUAUGCCGGUUCCAAACGUACAUUUGUGCAGUUCCACCAAAAUGCAGCUGAAUAACCCUGUUUGCACAGAUAAUGAAAAAGCGUGAUUACAUUAUAGUGGCACUAGUUGAUGAAACAUACAAAAUAAAUAGAAGAAAAUAUUGCGAUAGUAUCAUAGUAUGCCAUGCUGCGAGGGCGAGAUGGGCCCUGCGACGCCUCAUACGGUACGCCUCAUACUGGACAUCGUCCCAAGUCUCCCAGAUACACCUUCUACCAGUGAUGAACAUCAGUGUACAGCGGUAGUACAAGGAGGCGCCUUGAGACAUUCAAAUCUCUAUUUUUGUACAUAUCAACUAAAAUUAAGCACCCCAGUUUGCAGAAACACUUAAACAUUAACAAUGGGACUAGGUGAUGAAACAUACAUUAACAAAGAGAAGCACUUUCUUUAUCUACAUUGGAAAUGAAAUGAUAGAGAUGACACUCGCUCUAUUUUCACUGUAUUAUUACUUCAUUUUAUCAGUGACACUAGGGUCGAGCAGGUGGCAAACGAGGUGUACCGUGCGUCGCAAGGAUGGAGGCCGGGGGUGCUUAGACUGGGAUGCUGAAGCUGGCUCUUUCAGUCACCAACAUGGAUGAUUCAAUUCAUGGGACCUUUUGGUGCAGUUCACCUAAAAUGAAGCAAUGUCCCGUGAGCUAGCAGCUUCUUCUUCAAUUUUUUUUAAGAAAAGGGCUCCAGUCCCAGUUCCAUUUCCAUCAAAAAACGAAACCCACAGAGCUUCUUCUUCAUUAGUUGCAAUAAAAUUGAGCAACAUCAAGGUUGGUUGUGAAGCUCCUGGAAUGCUCAACUAUAAUUUGGAUAUCAUUUGUGCAGUUCAACUAAGAUCGAGCGUGAAAUGUAUAUCUCUGUUUGCACAAAAAAGGUGGAAAGGAGGGUGACUAACAAGUGAUGAAACAUGCAUCAAAUGAAAAGAAGCAUGUUCCUUAUCUAAUUGGCAAUCCUACAAGGACAGUAGCAAUUUCUAAAGCACUGGCAUUGCUAGAUAUUAGUGUGGGCAUUAGGAUUAACUAUGACAACCGUUAAAUACGACAUUACUUUGGGCACGGGAGAGUAGGCGGACCAGGACAGUUGCAUUUCUAACGAAAAGAACCAACUUAUCUUAAUGGGAAAUUUUAGCAGGACAUGUAAAGAAGUGCCAUUGAUUCAUAUUACUGGAGGCAUUACAUUGAAAACAACAUUGGUUUAAUGUGUCCUUACUUUUAACAGUGCGACUGCUACAUUUUACCAGUGGCAUUACAUAAGAGUGGCUCGGGGCAACAAACAUCAGAACAGGAUAUCUGGGUUGGUCCCAUUUUUGUUCGGUAUAGCCACCUUAUACUGUGUGAGGCUAGCAAAUCUAGUGCUGGACUUACUCUGUUGACUUGUCCCCCAGUCCCCACUUUCUUUCCUUUUUCAACCAAUAGAUCGGGUUUAUAUUGAGUCUGUACUGCGUUUCCUUUAUUUCCCUAUUAGACCUAGAGACCAGUUGGAUAGCAGUCUCUGCUACUUUUCGCCCCCAUUAUUUCCUCUUUCGACCAAGUCCUAGAUUCAGGUAACAAAUCCUCCCCCACCCCCACCCCCUUUCUUCCAUGUUUGAACCAAGUAGUACAAGAUUUGAGUGCAUGAACUAGUUUUACCUCUUAAACGUAAAAAAAUAGGUGGUUUUCGAAUAGCCGAUCGAUCCUAUCUACGAGGGGGCCUGAGAAAUAGUAAAAGAUACAAAUGCAGCGACGUCGGGAGCUCGGGAAGUAGAGAAAGGCCGGUUUCGAAGGAAGUUAUACAUGAUGGUCGCCGGGAUAUCGCUAGGUGGGCGGCGGGAGGCCGGAUCUGCCCACACUACGGCAGCAAGGAAGAAGGGGUCGGAGGCCCUCCCUCGCCAGCGGUGCUUGGGAGAGAACGGCAAGGCAGGCUGAUCGGGACGCGCCCAGCAGUGGGUAAGAGCCGUUGCGAAGGACGACUGCAUGAAUUGCACCUUCUCACCUUCCCCGGCGGAGAGGAUCCGGCUGGAUCUGUGACCAGCGGUGAGCAGAGAGAGAGAGAGUGUGUGGCCACCGCUGUCGUGUUUAGAUCUGGAGAGGCCGAGACAGUGUGAAGAGACCAACACUAGCAAGCAAGCGCGGAGGCUCCUGCCUAUAUAGUGGAGUAGUACUAGUUUUCUUUUGUCUACCGGAGCCGGCUUGACCUCGUCAAUGACUGUCGAGAAGUCUUCAUGCACGUGGCCAGGAGGCGCAGUUGUCGUCAUUUUGAUCUGAAGCACCGGAUUAUAACAUAUAACACGAAAAAAUGCCGCAUGACAAGAAAUCAUAACCUCACUGCCCAAAGGAGACAACAUGAAUCCCGACGGACAAACUAGACGAGGAACAAAGCUCAAAUUAAAGAUAAACUCGUAGAAAAGGGGUUCGUCGAUAGAUGUCCUAAUUAACAUAGCCGGCUUGACCUAGAUGGCAGCCGAGUAGUCACUGUUCAUGCAUGUGCCCCCAAUGACUAGCCCAACUCAGUUGUCGCUGUUUAACCCUCGCAGUGAUCCGAAGCACAUGACACCUAAUUUUGCGAGAUGACAAGAAACCUUUUUUUAGAUUUCUCACCACAACUACAGCCAUGUACAAAACAGCCUGCACGAUGUACACGAUAGCCAAUCCAGGCGUGUCUGCUGGAGUCUGGUCACAUGCAUGGACGAACUGAUCUUCCGUGUCUUGCAGGGAUCGUCCAGGCACCAACGUAGUACAACACUUAUCUAGUACUAUCGCUCGUCUCCCUCUUCUAUUAAGUCACCCGACUUGCGGGGCGGGGAGUGUGCCUAUGGUCGGUUCUCAAUUGCCGUCCCACAUGUGUGUGCAAACGCAAUAUGACAUGCGUUCCAUUCAGAGAGCAGCGUGCCAGACCGACCGACCGUCUGGGGUGCGACGCGAACGCGACGGGUGUGAUGUAUACUCCGUACAUGUGUACCGCCGUUUUCUAGACGCUUUGCUCCAUGGCGCGGGUGCAAUCCAUGGAUACAAAAUUAGUAUACUGUAUACUAUUUAAAAGUUGAGGGCGGGGCUUUUCCUGCGCGGUAGGUGGCGGGGCAGUUCCGCCUAGUCGGUUCGACAGAGACGCGAGAAGACGAGGGAGUAGGCUGCUGCAAACGUAGGGCUGUGUGAUUUGACAGCGAGUUACUGCUGGACAGGUGGGGCCCCGUGAUUUGACUUGCCAUUAUCAUUUUAACUGCAGCGCUACGACCGGCGUGAGUCUCCCGAUUCCUGACCACCUCCAUACAGGUGCCUCUCCCUAUGCUCCACCAUGUAGUAGAGGCUGGCUCUUGCAUGAGAGCCCACUUCUCCACUUCUUCCUUGCCUCUCUUUCCUCCACAUAUGCAAAAAUGCCAUGUAAAGCGCACUAUUGUACUUACUUUUACUUGCUCCUACAGGUACUUAAGCUUGCCACAUAGGCAUAAAGUCUGAUGUGGCAAGUUAAUCAAGAAGAGAGAGACUAGUUUGGUGACCCAAGGAAGAAACGGUGCUAAGCGCGUGUACCUAGGUGAAAAGACAAUUUUGAGUCUAUAGCUAAUUAAAUGAAGCAAACUUAGCAACACCAUUUCAUUGGAAGAGGUCACUCCUUGGCAAAUGCAAUAAAUACUAGUACUCCCUGUGUCCCAUAAUAUAAGAACGUUUUUGGCACUACACUAGUGUCAAAAACGUUCUUAUAUUAUGGGACGGAGGGAGUACGAAGAAAGAGAUAGAGAGGAGUAAAAAAUACACUUAUAGCCAACCUUAUAGCCAACCUUGUUGUAGUACGAGUGACUAAGUGAUGACUAUGUAUGACAUACCAACAUCAGAUAGCCUAACGCACCGUGUUAAAUCUCCAAGGGCGCGACCGCGCGAGCGACGCGACGGUCGUGGUAGGCGCGACCAUGAUAUAGGCUGCUGGCAGCCCUUGGAUCUGAGAUCAAACGGUCGCAUGCUAAGUUGCUGAAAAUUUGUAGAAUAACCCUCCAGGAUAGGAUAUUCACUUAUAGGUCUAGAAUCACGCCAUGCAACCAUUCGAUCUCAGAUCCAAGGGCUCUCGGAAGCCCGUAUCAUGGGAGAAUGGAAAGCCACUACCAUGCCGUUCGCACGCUGGCAGUUCGCUCCUACUCGUCCCCGCACGUCCUUCAAUACUACGGCGGUUCGCUCCUAGUCGUCCCGUCCAUUCACAUUAUGGCAGUUCCACUAAUCCUAACCCUCCUCCCAAAUCCAUGGCGUCCCAAAUCUCCACGAUCGGCGGUGAGUACAAGGUUAGAACCAUCACCGGCGAUGAGUUCGACGUCAUCUACACCCGUUCUUCCGCGAUGGUGAAAGGAUGCCUUUCUCGCUUCAGACGCAUGUUCGAAGACUCAGAUGAUGAGUGGGUCGCUGGGCUAGAUGUUGAGUACACCACAGUCCUGGGACGAGAGAAGGAUCUAAAGGACGAAGAGAGGAAGAAGCCCGCCGUGAUCUAGGUUUGCGUGCAUGACUUAUGCUUGGUCUACCACAUAUGCCAUGCCGACGUUGAGUGCCAGGAUUUUAAGGACUUCCUCGAGAGCAACCUAGUCAAAUUCGUUACUGUAGACUUUGGUAACGACAAAGAAGUCCUACAUCAAAUAGGCCUCAUUGUAGGCAACACCUUCGACCUCCAGAAGAAUCGGCUGGUGUCCUCUCGUCAGCCUUCAAUGCUGACCCUGGCAGGAGCCAUGGUUCAUCCUUCGUACGGUAAACUGGAGAAACCUCCAUACACGUUUCAUCAUCAUGCAUGGCAGCAGAAUGUACUAGAUGUAGACCACAUCCACUACGCUGCAAUGGAUGGCUACCUUUGCUUCAAUAUCUACAAGGGUUGGAUGAAGAGCAAUAGCCAAGUGUGCGGUUCAAGCAAAGAAGUAUCGGCCAAGAGGAAGAGGGACAAGGACGAAGUCGAGGACGUGGACGAGGACUCCGAGUAAGGUGGCAGUGUCAUUGCUCAUGGUGGUUCUAAUGCAGUGUCUACCGGAAUAGUUGCAAUGUUUAAUUUCAGGUGUGCUUAAUUUAAUUUGAGGGGUGUGUUGUGCUGAGCCCCCAGAAGAACUAUGGUAUGUUUCUUCUCGUUACUUUAACUCUUCAGUACGUACAUACUAGUAUUUCUUACAUUUCAUCUUUUAGUUGGUAUAGUACUACCACUUGUUUCUUCACAUUGUAUACGUACAAUAUAUAUGGCCAACAUCAUAUAGCCAGCAGUUUAGUUGUCAAAGAAUUUCAGGGUGCUUAGUUUUGUCAAAGAAUUCCAGGAUGCUUAGAGGGUGCUUGGAUCCAAGGGACUUAUUUUAGUCUGACUAAAAAUACUCUCUUUAAGAGGCUAAAGUUCCAAGCACCCCUGACUAAAGAGGGGCUAAAACUAGUCUUGAGACUAAUAUUUUUUAGUCAGGGGUACCCCUACUAAAAUGUGGAUUAGUCCUCUCUCUACGCAUUUAACUCCUCUCCUUUAACACAGGCGAGUUCUGGAUUGGAGGGUUUGGAGGAUAAUAAAUGCUCAUUAACUUGAUUUUAGCCUUUUUAGUAUUUGGAUCCAAGCAUGGGUGAGGCUAGCAUGUUUUAGUCCCACUACUUUUAGUCAUGGGACUAAAACAUAUCCAAGCACCCUCUUAGUUUUAUUUGAGGGGUGGGUUGUGCUGGACACCAUUAUUGUGACUAGCCUUUUUAAUAGUACUAUAUGCAUAAUUUGGUGACGAGCGCUCUCUAUAUGUACCACCUUUUUUAAUUUCAACUUUUGCUCCAUGGCGCAAUCCAUCGAUACUACUGUUGUACAAAAGUAUACAUUUUUAAAAGGCUAGAGGGCGGGGCAGUCUAGCUUGGUCGGUUUCACGAGAGGCGAGGGCCUUUGUGAUUUGACGGCUCAUUACUGCUGGAAGGCGGGGCCUUGUGAUUUGACUGCUCGUAUAAAUGCGCCGACGACCUGAUCAAGGAGGAGCAAAGAACAGUGCGGUAUACUCAAGUUUCCCACUGGAGUAGUACUGCGACAGAGGAGCACGAAACACGGCAGCCCAGUGCCAUAUGGCAAUAAAAAUGAUCUAAUUUGCUGGUCAUCUCAUUGUUAGCAUUGUUCUAUUCAUUCCCUAAAAAAACCAUUGUUCUAUUCAUGCCUCGCAGAGAACGUGACACGUGCGGCGAAACACCCGAAGCAAAAGAUGAAACACAGGAGCAAAAGAAGAAGGAAGAUUAUCACCCCAAAUGAUCUAAUUCGCCGCGGAGUCGUAACUGCUUCUUCAUUGCCUCCACGACCUCCAUCUCCUUGCACGUCUCCUCCGCCAUCUUCUUCAUUCUGUCCAUGACGCGGGAUUUCUCGACGCGAGCCUUCAUCAUCUGUUCCACGACCGCAUUACAUACCUUGACAGCAGCCGGGUGCUCGAUGCGGAGCAUCGCCAACUCCUCCUUCUGUUCCAUGAUGAGGGCCUGCAGCAUCUUCAUCGAGGAAAUACUAUUCUCAUCCAGCUUCUUCCAGCCGGUGUUCUUCUCCUUCAACAGGUCGAUCUCGUGGCAGAGCUUCGCCUUGUCCUCCUGAAGUCGCAGGAUUUCGCCGGUCGCCUUCUUCUCCGAGGCAAUGCUCUUCUUCAGCAGCAUCACCAAGCCGGCGGUCAACUCCCCCUGCUGAUUGAGCUCAGCGGGCAUGUCGUCGACGCUCUCCUUCAGCAACUCCAUCAAGCCUUGGAUGAACUCCUUCUGCUUAUUGAGCUGAUCGGGCAUGCCGUCGAGGGAUAACGACUCCAGCUCCGCCGGCUCGGCAUGUUCGGCUCCGCGGCUAGGGCGCUCCUGGGAGCCAUCUCCUGCCCGUGAGAGAUCUUUCGAGGUCUCUGCGUGGCGGUGAGCCCUGUUUUUUUUCUGCAGCCUUGGUUGCCGCUCCCUUGCUACGAGUAGUUCUCGACCUAGAGCUUUGCUCACCGGCCAUGGCAACGACGGACGAAGAAGAAGCACUAAUGAGGAGGAAAGGUAUAGUAAUUUUCGGUUAGGUAGUUCCCAUUUUUACAACCUAAGUACUAGCACUAGUACUAAUACCUGCAUAGUGGGAACACGUUCAGGUUUGGUACGUACUAGUAGGUGUGAGCAGGCUUUCGAAUGUGAUGGGAACAAGGUAAAGAUUAAUUGAUGGUUUUGGUUUCGAGCCCGAAACGGCUCCCGAUGAGUUUAGCGGAACAUAAAUUUCAAGUACUACACUGCUCAAAUGCGUAAAUAUUAUGUUACUGUCAAAAAUUGGCACAAAAUACGAAGGAGACCAAUGGAAGUACUACUAGCAACCCACAAUUUAACUACUCGCAUGCGCGCAGUGGAGUAAUAAUGUCUUUCUUCCGCCCUCACGUCCACUCAAUUUGCAUGCGCUGUAUUAAUUGACUAUCAAUGAAGUGAACGACUUUACACGCGUCAAAUUAUCACAUGGGGUGGAUCUUGGUACAAAAUUGCGUCCGCACGUGUACCCACGUGUGCGUGCGAGGGAAUGAGUGCGUGCGUGGCGUGCGUGCACAUCUUCGCUUCGUGCAUGUACCUCCAGUAUGGCUCAGGGAGGACGAGUACAUUCUUCUGGAACCAGCAGCACGUCACUGUGAUCAAUCCACGCAAGGAGGUCGCGACAACGCCUCCACAUGUGCCACGUGGCUUCAUGAACUGUAAGAGAGACACUGUGUAGCGGGCCAUUGGUAUUCUAAUUUACGUGUUUUGCACAUACUCUAAGUACUAGUAAGGUACACGUGCAUUGCACGCAUCAGAUUUUGCAACCAAAUUAUGAAUGAAUACCACACUAUAGCAUGUAAGCUCUGAGUCAUAUAUGCCUAAUGUAGCCUUCGUUUAAUUCUUAUAGUUCAUCUCAUUCAAAAUCAAUUAGUUUUUAUAAAAAAGCUAAGAACGCGGGAAUAGGAAAAACAUGGGAUUAUAGUGGAAUGUCGUCUUGAAUCCUACAGGAUUGUACGAGUGUUUGAUUGUGCAUAGAAAAAACGCAGAAUUCUUUCAAAGAGGUUUGAGUGGAUGGGAUGUUUCCUAUGAAAUCUAGUGCAAAUGAAUCAUAUGGAAAAAUUCCUAUGGUUUACAAUCCUACGAAUCAAACAACCAAGAUAGGAAAAAUUCCUAAUGAUUAGAAUCCUCCAAAAUUCCUUUGAGAAUCCUUUGAAUCAAAGAAGCCCUUAAUCUAUUUUAUGAUUCAUGGAAUUGUGCGUUGUAAAGCAUAAAGUUAAAACAAAUAAUGGCAAUUCAACUAGAAAAAAAGUUUGGGCAGUUAUGAUACGGAAGAUUCUAGAACAAAAGAGAACCACUGUUGUUUUGAGGUUUGUGCAUUAUGCUUAAGUUCAACCACGGAGUCUACUAGACUGUACAUGUGGCAAAAUCCGGUGGGGGCUAGAAGAUGGUGCGAGGGGUCGAGUGGAGGGAGACUAUGAAGGAAUGCACAAGUGCGAGAUCGAUAUUUAGAGAGAGGGGGCGAACACGUGCGCUGUUGCGCGCAGUGGAGGAGCCAUGAAAAAUAAAUGAGCUAGGGGGCCAAGCAUUGCUAAUCCUUUACGAGGAGGGUCAAUUCAUGAACUUAAACCAUUUUUAGCAGCAAUUGUCUAAUGAUCACAUUCAUAUUAGCCUCGAUAUAUAGUGAUGUUAGGGGGGGAGGGGGGCAGGGCCCUUACUGCCCCUAUCUUCGCCAUUGUGCACGCGUCUGAGAGAUGAAGCGGGGGGCAUGGAUGAUGAGAGGGGGACGUUGGAUAUAUAAUUAAUGUGGGUGUAUUAGCUAUAUAUGUUAAUCCUAUAUAGAGAGGUAUAGAUUGAUCGAUGUGGACGUGGGAAAGAGGGUGAGACCUCACUGGAUAUAUCGAUUGAUCGGUUUGUGUGGAAAACUAUGAAAGGCCUAGAUAUAUACACACAUACAUAGAGGAACAUCGAUCGUUGCGCAUGCACGCGUGAGAGAUAAAGAAUGCCCGAUAUGAUGGAGAGGGGGAUGUGUGUGGGUGUGUGCCUUCAUGGGAGACCGGCCUGAAGAAAAAGAUUGCAUGCGUGCGAUGGAUAAUGCCGACUGGUAGUGUGUGUGCAUGCAUGCACGAGAGAAAGUUAGUGGUACAAUUAUAAAGAGAAGACUACUGUGUGGGUGUAAAAGAAUAGGUGAGGUCAUAAUCAAUGUAAAGUUGAAUUCAAAUAUUUGAAUAAGAGAUCCUGAUGUUUGAAACCCAUGCAUGCAUGAAUAUAACGGAGAUCUGCGCGGUGUGGUUUGGAAACGAGCAUGUUGUAAUGUAUACAAAUUGAACAAGGUCAGACUGAUUUGAAUUUGAGAUACCGAUGGCAGACAUCAUUUGGCCACGUCGCAUCCGUGCAUGGACACACUAUUCUAAUUGGAGAUGAUGGGCGGCUUUCGCAUCACAUAUCUAUAUCUAUACCCCUAUAUAUAUUAUAUUUUAUAUUUUUUUAUUGUGUGGGGGUAACUUUAACUUUGAAAGAUGGUCGUUGGAUGAGGCGAAUCCGAUGGUCCAAAGAUGGAAAAUUUGAGCACUACUGGCCGUUGGAUAUCAUCUAGAUUCCACCAGAUUUCGCCACAUGUAUAAUCUAGAAGACUCCAUGGUUGAACUUAAGCAUAAUGCACAAACAUCAAAACACAAGCACUUCUUAUUUGUUCUAGAAUCUUCCGUAUCAGAAUUGCCCAAAUGUUUUUCUACAUGAUUUGCCAUUAUUUGUUUUUACUUUAUGCCUUACGACGCACAAUUCCAUGAAUCUUAAAAUAGAUUAGCUUUCUUAUAAAAACUAGAUGAUUUUGAAUGAAAUGAACUAUAAGAAUUAAAUGAACAUCUACAUCAUGCAUAUAUGACUCAAAGCUUGCAUGCUAUAAUAUGGUAUUUAUUCAUAAUUUGGUUGCCAAAUCUCAUGCGUGUAAUGCACGUGUACCUUACUCUAGUCUAAAUGGUGUUUGUGUGUGUGUUGUGCGUGUUGAGGUGCAAAUUGUCUUUUUUGGGUACACGUUAAGCUUGUUCUUCCGAAAUUUCAAGCCGCACCUUGUUAUGUCGAAAAUUCAAGCUAGCGUCUCUGUCUAUCGUGCUGCGAAACUCCCGCCUCUUCAACCCGCGCCUUGUUAGCCCGAAAUAUUUAAGAUAUAUCUUUGUCUCGUUGUGCUCCGACAACUCCCUCCAUCUCAACCCGCGCCUUGCUAUUCCGAAAUUACAACGCGCGCGAAAACUCCCACCUCCUGUGAAAUCCCGACACGCGAAAUGCCCGUGGUACCCCUGAACCGAAAGAACCACCUCAAAUCAGUGGGGGUACUUUCGUAACUUACCCCACAUUUCGGACAAGCGCGUCUCUAAGCCAUGGUUCCCCACUGCCAACCCAUCCACCCACCCAUUCGUACACCGAGGCCGCGAAAACCCGCGACGAAACCCCACACCCUGCUCCGUCUGCCACCCAGCCGGAGCCUCUUCCCCGACGACGUCGUCCACAGCAACACCUCGACGUCCCUCAUCCACCAUACCGGAUGAGGAUCCGUCGUCGAUCUCAUCGUCCCGCCGGUUCAGCCACCCCGUCCUCCACCUCCAAGGAGCUGCCCCGAUGUUCCCCUCGUCUUUCGCGCCACCUCCAUUACCACACCGCCGUCUUCACCUGCACCACCGGAAGAGCAUCAUCAUCACCGUUUCCUCGGAUGAAGCUGCGGCCUAAUCGGUGCCACCAAAGAGGUUGUACACUAAUCGCCGCAUUUUCUUCUUGAUUCGAUCUCACGGUGCUGCCGGCGCUCAGUCCCGAGCCGACACGGUGCGGCUCCAUCCACGGCGGCGUCGCCGGCCACUUCCUCCACGGCGUCGCUCCCUCGGCGGCGACGUCCACAUCAGUAUGAGCUGCUGCUGCUUUAGCUCUCGCUCGCGCUGCUGCUCUACUCUUGCUCUCGGUCCCCUGCCUGGUCUGCUCUUGCUAUUGCUCUUGCUCGCGCUGCUUCUCUCGCUCUUGCUCUUGCUUGCGAUGCUGCUCCGAUUUAGCUACACUUCAGUCGACUGAAUCGACUUUUGGGUCAGUCGAUUUUUAGGGGGUGGGGGGGCUCGCCGGNNNNNNNNNNNNNNNNNNNNNNNNNNNNNNNNNNNNNNNNNNNNNNNNNNNNNNNNNNNNNNNNNNNNNNNNNNNNNNNNNNNNNNNNNNNNNNNNNNNNNNNNNNNNNNNNNNNNNNNNNNNNNNNNNNNNNNNNNNNNNNNNNNNNNNNNNNNNNNNNNNNNNNNNNNNNNNNNNNNNNNNNNNNNNNNNNNNNNNNNNNNNNNNNNNNNNNNNNNNNNNNNNNNNNNNNNNNNNNNNNNNNNNNNNNNNNNNNNNNNNNNNNNNNNNNNNNNNNNNNNNNNNNNNNNNNNNNNNNNNNNNNNNNNNNNNNNNNNNNNNNNNNNNNNNNNNNNNNNNNNNNNNNNNNNNNNNNNNNNNNNNNNNNNNNNNNNNNNNNNNNNNNNNNNNNNNNNNNNNNNNNNNNNNNAGGUACCCCACUAUCUAUCUUAGGGUUCGGGAUGGGGGCGGUGGUCGCCGGCAGUGGCGGGGCGUUGGCGGGGCAGUGGCAUGGGGACCGCCGGACAAAAACCUCGGCACGGGGGUGGGGGGCUAGAGGGAUGGCCGGGGCGGCGGCGGACCGGUGGUGGGGAGUGUUUUCGGGGCGGGCGGGGUGGCGCACCGCCAGCCGCGGGCGGCGGGGGGCUUCUGUUUGGCCGGUGGUGGCUGGCGGCUCAGGGGGGUGGAGGUUGAAGAUGAACCGCAGGCCCUUGAUUUCGUAUCCAACGGCUGCAAAAUCGACUGACCAGAGAUGAAAAAGUCAGUCGACCGACGUGUAGCCUCACCUUGCUAGUGCGUUCAGUUUCGACAGCAAAAUUCAGUUUCGACAGUUAAGUUCAGUUUCGACAGUUAAGUUCAGUUUCGACAGUUAAAUUCAGUUUCGACAGUUAAGUUCAGAGAUGAGUGGCUGAUGUAUUUUACAUCUAGCACUUUGUGGUUAUGUAUUUUACGGCAUGUAUUGGAGAUGCUAUUAGAAUUCCACUUAGGUUAACGUUGUUCGUUGUCUCUCUUGUCCUACUUCAGCCUCAGCGUCGUACAACUCACCGGAGCUGCUCCAACGACGAAACCCUCCAUCACAGCGGAGCAGUACCUCGGGCUCCAUCUCCAGACGCCUAAGAUCUUCUUCCCCUCCUCCGACAGCCAAGUCAGCCGGAGCAUCCUCACCGGCCAACCCAAUCACGCUGAGAUCGACAUGGCUUCGCCAAAGAGGUUGUACACUUGUUGCAUCUCUUUUUUACUCUACAUGUUAUAUAUAUUGUCCACUGAGCACUCGUAGUAACGGGAAAUACGAUUAUUUUAUCCUACUAUAUGACAACCAGUGAGGUACCAGGCAACUUAGCUAUCCGUGAUGGACUCUCUUAAACGCCAUCAUUAUUUAUCUCUGCGCAUUUGAGCUGUGCAUUUGUCGAUGGGCCUGGGAGUUGAGCUAGUAUGGCAGUGGCCUGGGUCCAAAGUAAUAGAAGUAGCACAAAAACAUUUUUUUAGUGUAGGAUUUUCCUUGCUCAAGCCUGCCUACUAGAAUCGCCAGUGCUUGAAAGGAAAAGUGAAUGAAAAACAUCGGAAUUGCAAAGUUUCCUAUGGUACUACUUUUCAUGAAUUUGGUGCAAAGGAAUGGACCAAAGGAAAACUGUAGGAUUUGUUCCUUUAGUGUCUCCUUGAAAGAAAAACCGUAGGAAUUCUAAUUUCCACUUCCCCUCCUUUUCAUAUUCCUAUUCAUCAAGCACAAGACUAAGAGAUAGUAGCAUAAUAGAAUUAUAACCGUACAUUUUCUUGUGGUUUGACUUAAUCUCACCAUGCUUUUUUGCAUCCUGUGAUCUUCCAAUUGUUGUGAAUCAAACACCCAGAUUGGCAGAAAUCCUGUGUUUUUAAAUUCUCUGUUUUGCACGUGCAUUCCUAUCCUAUUCCUGUCUAUUUCCUAUCCCUGCAUUGUUAGAAUCCUCAAAUUCAAACAAGCCCUUACUCAAUUACUUCUGUUACAGAUAUGUGUCAAAGAAAACCUUGUGUGGUUUGUCCUGCUCCUGCGGCGCUGUGUUCCACCCCAGCUCAACUGCUCCAACGACGGAAGGGUUCACCACAGCAGGGAUCCGCUCUCCAGACUGUCUUUCGCCGCCUCAGAUCUUCUUCCCCGCCGCCGGCAGCCACGGCAACUGCAUUACCAUCAUCAACUGAGCAGAUGACCUUGAGGACUACACGGGUCCGCAAGAAAGGUCGCACUCUUCAGUGUCUGCUUACGUUAUGCGUCGCUGAAUAUGAUGACAUGCUACAUUAUCGUCAUGUUCACCUAUUAGACUCCGAGUCAGGUCCAAACUAAUGCUGAAACUUGAGUUAUUAAAUGGUUGUGGGGUACAUAUUGGGGUAGCAAUCAGUACUAUCUGUCUAUUAUCUGGUUAAUCUCCGGUGUCUACUAUGAGUUUCAUGUUGGGUGCAAACAAACAUUAAAGGAGCCAUUAUCUGUAUUUUUUAACUAAAGCUAUUAUCUGCCUGCUAUCAUUGGUUUUGGGUCUAUCCACAGUUUGCUACCAUCACUCUGGAUUUGUGCAUGCACUCCUUACAUAAUCUCACUAUGUUUUAUUCCUAUGCAUGCCAGUUAUUGUACACAAUGGAACUGAUCAUGUAGAGCAAAAGAGACGAGCCUUGCGUGGCAAUAAAAUUUCAUGCAGACGUCGUUCCAUGGUGGGUGCAAAGGCAGCCCCCCUCCACCCAUUUCAGAUCGUAAUCAAGAGGAAGAUAACUGUUCUGAGGGGGAUUCAGAAGGAGAAGACCACUCCUAUUUACCCCAUGAGGUCUUCGCUCUAACUUGGCAUGCUGAUGUUGGUAAUAUCAUGCAUAUGGUGCCUUGCAUAGCUUACUUUAUACAUUAAAGAUGUCAUCUGCUUAGUUUAGACAUGCUUUGUGUCAAUGUCAUCUGUUUAGUUUCUUUAUCGUAUAUGUGAAUCAUGCAAUGCCAUCUUGUCUAGCCAGGCAUCAUAUAUGUGAAUUUUGCAAUGCCACCCUGGUUAGCCAGUCAUCUUAUAUGUGAAUUAUAUCAUGCCAUCAUUUUUUUAUUACGUGUUGAAUUUGUCAACAAUUUUAGUACAUUCAAUUACUCUUCCUAUGCAUAAGCCAUUCGGCACGGUCAUGGAAAAAUCUGGAGUGGAAACAAGGUCUUCAGAGCAGACAAUGCUAUCUGACGAAGCGCAUGUCUUGCUGGUUACCGAUAGCUCCUCAGAGGAGGAUUCAGAGACAGAUGACCAGUCAUAUCCCCCCCCCCCGAGGUGCAUGCCCUAACUUGGCAGGGUUAUGUUGCUCAUAUCGUGCGUAUGGUAUCUUGCAUUGCUAUGUCAUUUGCUUAGUUUAGACAUGCUUUGUGUGAAUGCCACCUGUUUAGUGUCUAAUUACCAUAUAUGUGAAUUAUGCAAUGCCAUCUUGUUGCAAGACAUUAUAUAUGUGAAUUAUGCAAUGUUAUCUUGUUGCAAGGCAUUAUGUAUGUGAAUUAUGCAAUGCCAUGAUGUUUAGGCAAGCGACAUAUAUGUGAAUUAUAUCAUGCCGUCCUCUUUUUUGUAUUUCUCAUUGCUUUUGUCGACAAUGUUUGUAUAUUCAACUGCUCUUCUUGUGCAUCAGCCAUUUGAAUUGGUGAUGGAGAAAUCUGGAGUGAAAACAAGGUCUUCAGAGCAGACAAUGCUACCUGCUGAAGCAGAUAUCUUGCUGGUUACAGAUAGCUCUUCAGAGGAGGAUUCAGAGGCAGAUGACAAGUCCUAUUAUCCCCCUGAGGUGUAUGCUCAAACUUGGCAGGGUUAUAUUACUCAUAUAAUGCAUAUGUUGUAUUGCAAUACUUAGUUUUUUACAUCAUAUACACAAUAUUGAAUGCCAUCUCCUUAGUUGACACAUCAUAUAUGCGAUUGCCCUCUGCUCACUUCCUUAGUAUAUAAAUCAUAUAUUUGAAUUAUGUCAUGCCAUGAUGUUUACAUAGACAACAUGUAUCUGAAUUAUGGCAUGCCAACCCAUUUUCUAAAGACAUAAUAUAGUUAUAUCAUCUCAUCCUGUUUACAUAGUCAUCAUAUUUUAAAUUAUGUCAUUCUAUCCGUGAAUUAUAUCAUGCCAUCAUGUUUCCAUCGACGGCAUGUUUGUGAUUUAUGGCAUGCCAACCACUUUAAUAGACACAUCAUAUGGUUAUAUCAUGUCAUCCUGUUAACAUAGUCAUCAUAUUUUGAAGUAUGUCAUUCUAUCCUGUUUAGUUAGCCAUCAUACAUGUGAAAUUGUGUCAUGCUAUCCUGUUUAAUUAGCCAUCAUAUAUGUGAAAUUAUGUCCUGCUAUUCUGUUUGCUUAGACAACAUAAAUGUGAAUUAUUUCAUGCCCUAUUUUCUUCCCUACUAUCCAUUGCACCUGUCUAUCUUACAAUGUCUGUACAUUCAAUUACUUUUCUUGUUUAUUAGCCAUUUCAAUUGGAGGGAGUGAUGGCAGUAUCUAUGGGAGUAAAAACACGGUCUUCAGAAAAGAUCGUGCUACCUGUCGAUGCAGAUAGAACCACGGUUGUACUUGCCCAAGAACCAGCCCCACCACACAUAACCCACACUCAUGCAGAUUGUACCCCUACCCAGUUGGACAGAGAACCAGCUACACCCCUUCUAACCCCAACCCCAGCAGAUAGACACCCAGUUCCCGUUGACACUGCACCGUCUCCACCACAAAGCACCCAAACACGAGCAGUUAGUAAGGCAACUGCAGUGCCCAAAUCACGAGGACCACCACUCCGAACCCGAAGUCAACGCUUAAAGCAGAAGAAGAAUUGUUCUCAGGUCAGGUUCCGUAGCUAUGGUUCAUACUACUUUGCUCUUGCAUCACUGUAUUUACUGAUACCAACUAAUUUCAAAUUUGAAGGAUGCAAUUGAAACUCCAAUGGCGCAACAGGUAUGUUUUAAACCUGUUUCUUCAACGUGUUUGGCUGUUUGCUGUUGUAACUUGCUCUAUGUUGAUUUCAGUUUCAAUUGAAUAAACAAUUAUGUUCUCAUGCCAUGCACAUUACAAGUGUUGUUAUUGUUGUGUAGUUUCCCACACUUAUAUUCUGUCUAUGCUGCUUUGUCUUAAAUAGAUAUGAUUCGAACUAUAUCUAUCUUGAUUUGGCAACAUAAACUAGAAUGAUAUAGACCAUACAGUGACCAUACUACAUAGAUAUAUGUUUGUUUCAUGCUGUUAUCCUGUCCACCUUACUACUGAACUGGUUUACCAAAAUGAGUUUCAUAUACUACAUUGUAAACCUGAGAUGUGUUUGUUUGUUUCCCUUUUAGAACGCGGAUAAAAUAUUGGAGAAGAGUACCCUAUUAUGCAAUGGUAAAGGAAGUAAUGCAGAUAAGGUUCAAGAUAGUGAGACAUCCCUGUUGGUCUCCAAGAAAGCUGAUAAAAACUAUAUUGAAGACACUGAGACAACCCCAAAGUCAUGUCUUGAUGUAGUGUUCGAGUUACUGGCUACCACUGCUGGCACCAGCUCUUCGAACUUGUUGCCUGAAUCAGUUCGGCUUCUUGAGUCUCAACUUCAAGUUGAAAGACAUCGAUCAGAUGUUAUGCGACAGGAAGCCGAAGGACUGAGGAAGUCCCUGCAGAAUUCAGAUGCAUACUUUCUGUUGCAACAGCAAGCGCUGGAAGACUUAAGCGCCAAACAAGAGAAAGUUAAUAAGCUUGCUAAGCAUCUUGCCAGCAUUAUGGGUACCCAGGAUAUUGUUUCUUGAGCUCUUCUGAAGUGGUUUCAGUUCUGGACUUGUUUUGCUGCGGCGUUUAUAUGCUGCUGUGUUCCCUAUAUUUGCACUGGUGGCGAACUUUGACGCCCAGUGGAUGUAAUAUGUGUCUGUGAUAGCCUAGUGUAAGUUGCUUGCUUAUUUAUUUCCUUGUUGUCUUGUUUAUUUGUUUGCUUGUAGUCAGUGCAGUUCUUUUUCCGCGGUUUGCUAGUGGCUGCAAUAACCUAUUUUUUAAAACUAGGCCACAAUAACCAUGGGCUAAUAUUUACUGUAGUGACACUGGGCCUCCUACGGGCCAUAGAAACAGUGAGCAUUCUACGGGCCAUAGAAACAGUGGGCCUUCUAUGGGCCGUAGAAAUAGUGGGCCUUCUACAGGUCGUAGAAACAAUGGGCCUUCUACGGGCCGUAGAAACAAUGGGCCUUCUACGGGCCGUAGAAACAAUGGGCCAUCUACGGGACGUAUCAUCAAUGGGCCUUAUAUGGGCCGUAUGAUCGAUUGGCCAAACAUGGGCCAAACAGACCGCAUUCUGGCCGUAAACGGGCUAGAGUUGGAAUCGUCCGUUCAUGGGCCGACCAUAACGGGCUAUCGUUAAUAGGCCGUAUUUGAUGACGCUAUGAAAACGGCCCAACGUAUUAACGGACCACAAACGGGCCGACUGUAACGACGGGCUGAAUUUGGCCCACAAGCAGAAAAUGACAGUAACGGGCCGUAAGUAAACGAAUGCUGGAAAAUAGCCCAAGAAUAAAUGGGCUCUGAGAAGGCCAAAAGAUAACAUGGGCUGGAAACGGCCCAACGGAAUAACAAGCCGUUAAUGGGUAUAAAGUGAUACACUGUUCAUUACGGGCCAGUUUCACCACGGGCCGUUAAUGGGUGUAAAGUAAUACACUGUUCAUUACGGGCCAGUUUCAGCACGGGCCGUUAAUAGGCCAAGAGUUACAUAGGGCCUCAUAUGGGCCGAAAGACGUCAUGGGCCAUACAUGGGCCAGAAGUGAAAACGGGCUGGAAUCAUAUUGGAUGGCCCAGAUGAUGCUACUGGGCCUAAUUCGAAUAGGGCGUAACGGGCCUUGGGUUAGCGGGCUAUAAAUGGGCUAUAUGCGAACAGGCCGUUAACAGGCUUUCCAUGGGCCGGCCCGCCAGCUUUUGACCAAGUCAAACAGGCCGGCCUUUUCACAGGAAUGGGCCACUGUUGGGCCGUGCCACGUGUCGACGUAUCAUAGGCGCCUUCUGUCCAAUGAGUGGAUGACAUCUGUCCCAGCGAUGAGCCGACACGUGUUUCCUCCAGCCAAUGAUGAUUUUACACGUGGAAAAUCCCCAUUGGUCGGGGCUGUUAACGGGUUAUCGGAUCCAAAACCCGACCCGAUAGCUUAACGGCGUUCCGUUACGGUGGAUGCCACGUGUCGGUCACCCUUGACGAAAGCACUUCUGUGACGCGCGAUUUAUCGUCAUGGAAGUGGACACUUCCAUGAUGAUAAUUUUGGUGAUGUCAUGGAACACUUCUACGACAGCACAAGUAUGAUUUUCUUGAUUCUGUCAUAAAUUUGUCAUGGAUGUACAUGCAUGACAAAAAACGCGACCUACUGUGACAAACACGUAUCAUCAUGGAAGUGUAUUUUUUUUUGUAGUGUCCCUUGCAUGUUAUAGUUCAUCACGAAGCUCUUGUAGCUUGGUGGUAGUGAUUGAAGAAUUCUGUCAAUGACACUAUCAUCAGGAAGAUUAACUCCCAGUUGAAUCAAGUGAUUGUUAUACCCAGACGUUUUGAGUAUAUGCUCUUUGACAGAACUAUUAUCCUCCAUCUUGCAGCUAUAGAACUUAUUGGAGACUUCAUAUCUCUCAAUUCGGGCAUUUGCUUGAAAUAUUAACUUCAACUCCUGGAACAUCUCAUAUGCUCCAUGACGUUCAAAACGUCGUUCAAGUCCCGGUUCUAAGCCGUAAAGCAUGGCACACUGAACUAUCGAGUAGUCAUCAGCUUUGCUCUGCCAGACGUUCAUAACAUCUGGCGUUCCUCCUGCAACGGGUUUGGCAACUAGCGGUGCUUCCAGGACCUAAUUCUUUUGUGCAGCAAUGAGGAUAAUCCUCAAGUUACAGACCCAAUCCGUGUAGUUGCUACCAUCAUCUUUCAACUUAGCUUUCUCUAGGAACGCAUUAAAAUUCAACGGAACAACAACACGAGCCAUCUAUCUACAACAACAUAGACAUGCAAAAUACUAUCAGGUACUAAGUUCAUGAUAAAUUAAAGUUCAAUUAAUCAUAUUACUAAAGAACUCCCACUUAGAUAGACAUCCCUCUAAUCAUCUAAGUGAUCACGUGAUCCAUAUCAACUAAACCAUGUCCGAUCAUCACGUGAGAUGGAGUAGUUUUCAAUGGUGAACAUCACUAUGUUGAUCAUAUCUACUAUAUGAUUCACACUCGACCUUUCGGUCUCAGUGUUCCGAGGCCAUAUCUGCAUAUGCUAGGCUCGUCAAGUUUAACCCGACUAUUCAAAACUGGCUAGCACCCGUUGUAUGUGAACGUAGAGCUUAUCACACCCGAUCAUCACGUGGUGUCUCGGCACGACGAACUUUCGCAACGGUGCAUACUCAGGGAGAACACUUGUACCUUGAAAUUUAGUGAGAGAUCAUCUUAUAAUGGUACCGUCGAACUAAGCAAAAUAAGAUGCAUAAAGGAUAAACAUCACAUGCAAUCAAUAUAAGUGAUAUGAUAUGGCCAUCAUCAUCUUUUGCCUUUGAUCUCCAUAUCCAAAGCACCGUCAUGAUCACCAUCGUCACCGGCGCGACACCUUGAUCUCCAUCGUAGCAUCAUUGUCGUCUCGCCAACUAUUGCUUCUACGACUAUCACUACCGCUUAUUGAUAAAGUAAAGCAAUUACAUGGCGAUUGCAUUUCAUACAAUAAAGCGACAACCAUAUGGCUCCUGCCAGUUGCCGAUAACUUCGUUACAAAACAUGAUCAUCUCAUACAAUAAAAUUUAGCAUCAUGUCUUGACCAUAUCACAUCACAACAUGCCCUGCAAAAACAAGUUAGACGUCCUCUACUUUGUUGUUGCAAGUUUUACGUGGCUGCUAUGGGCUGAGAAAGAACCGUUCUUACCUACGCAUCAAAACCACAACGAUUUUUCAUCAAGUAUGUGUUGUUUUAACCUUCAACAAGGACCGGGCGUAGCCACACUCGAUUCAACUAAAUUUUGAGAAACUAACACCCACUAGCCACCUGUGUGUGAAGCACGUCGGUAGAACCAGUCUCGCGUAAGCGUACGCGUAAUGUCGGUCCCGUCCGCUUCAUCCAACAAUACCGCUGAAUCAAAGUAUGACAUGCUAGUAAGCAGUAUGACUAUUAUCGCCCACAACUCACUUGUGUUCUACUCGUGCAUAUAACAUCUACGCAUAAACCUGGCUCAGAUGCCACUGUUGGGAAACGUAGUAAUUUCAAAAAUUUCCUACGCACAUGCAAGAUCAUGGUGAUGCAUAGCAACGAGAGGGGAGAGUGUUGUCCACUACCCUCGUAGACCGUAAGCGGAAGCGUUAUGACAACGCGGUUGAUGUAGUCGUGCGUCUUCACAAUCGACUGAUCCUAGCACCGAAAGUAUGGCACCUCCGCGAUCUGCACACGUUCGGCUCGGUGAUGUCCCACGAACUCAUGAUCCAGCAAAGUGUCGAGGGAGAGCUUUGUCAGCACGAUGGCGUGAUGACGGUGAUGAUGAAGCUACCGGCGCAGGGCUUCGCCUAAGCAUUGCAACGAUAUGACCGAGGUGGGUUAUGGUGGAGGGGGGCACCGCACACGGCUAAGAGAUCAAUGAUCAACUUGUGUGUCUAUGGGGUUCCCCCUUCCCCCGUAUAUAAAGGAGUGGAGGAGGGGAGGGCCGGCCCUCUACUAUGGUGCGCCCUGGGGAGUCCUACUCCCACCGGGAGUAGGAUUCCCCCCUUCCAAGUAGUAGGAGUAGGAGAGAAGGAAUGCGAGGAGAGAGGGAAGGAAGGGGGGGCGGCCCCCACCCAAUUCAUAUUGGGCUAGGGGCGCGCCCUCCACCUUUUCCCUUCCUCUCCUCUAUUCCACUAAGGCCCAAUAAGGCCCAUAUACUCCCCGGGGGGUUCCGGUUACCUCCCGGUACUCCGGUAAAUGCCAGAAUUCAUCCGGAACCAUUCCGAUGUCCAAACAUAGGCUUCCAAUAUAUCGAUCUUUAUGUCUCGACCAUUUAGAGACUCCUCGUCAUGUCCGUGACCAUAUCCGGGACUCCGAACUACCUUCAGUACAUCAAAACACAUAAACUCAUAAUAUCAAUCGUCACCGAACGUUAAGCGUGCGGACCCUACGGGUUCGAGAACUAUGUAGACAUGACCAAGACACAUCUCUUGUCAAUAACCAAUAGCGGAACCUGGAUGUUCAUAUUGGCUCCCACAUAUUCUACGAAGAUCUUUAUUGGUCAAACCGCAUAACGAUAUACAUUGUUCCCUUUGUCAUCGGUAUGUUACUUGCCCGAGAUUCGAUCGUUGGUAUCUCAAUACCUAGUUCAAUCUCGUUACUCGCAAGUCUCUUUACUCGUUCCGUAAUGCAUCAUCCCACAACUAACUCAUUAGUCACAUUGCUUGCAAGGCUUAUAGUGAUGUGCAUUACCGAGAGGGGCCAGAGAUACCUCUCCGACAAUCGGAGUGACAAAUCCUAAUCUCGAUCUAUGCCAACUCAACAAGUACCAUCGGAGACACCUGUAGAGCACCUUUAUAAUCACCCAGUUACGUUGUGACGUUUGGUAGCACACAAAGUGUUCCUCCGGUAUUCGGGAGUUGCAUAAUCUUAUAGUCAUAGGAACAUGUAUAAGUUAUGAAGAAAGCAAUAGCAAUAUACUAAACGAUCAAGUGCUAAGCUAACGGAUUGGGUCAAGUCAAUCACAUCAUUCUCUAAUGAUGUGAUCCCGUUAAUCAAAUGACAACUCAUGUCUAUGGCUAGGAAACUUAACCAUCUUUUAUUCAACGAGCUAGUCAAGUAGAGGCAUACUAGUGACACUCUGUUUGUCUAUGUAUUCACACAUGUACUAAGUUUCCGGUUAAUACAAUUCUAGCAUGAAUAAUAAACAUUUAUCAUGAUAUAAGGAAAUAUAAAUAACAACUUUAUUAUUGCCUCUAGGGCAUAUUUCCUUCAACAUCCACAUGUAUGAGCAAAUCGUGUACAUAGGUAUCUACAAGGCCAUUGAGGACGCUACGACGUUGGCCUUCCUCAACCGGCUGGAAGCCUUGGAUGCCUUUGCUGAGAAGCACCUUGACCUCGCCACAAAAGCCGCCGCUCCUUAGUCGCCGGUUGGUGGCCCGGGGCACUAAGUUGAGGAGGAGGAGGUCGUACGUUGUUGGAUGCAUCUUUAUUCUUUCCUCUUGUAACCACCACUGCGAUCGCCUCAUCGUGGCCCUAAUUAUUAUUAUGCUAUUGCAUUCCGGUUCUAGUCAAUACCGACAUGUGCGAUCCCUUUGCUUAAUUAUAUGCAUCACUGUAACUAGUACUCCAUCCGUCAAUUUAUAAGUUGUGCUUACCUUUUCCAUCAACUUCGUGCAACGCACGGGCAUCUUGCUAGAAACACUAGAACAUGUCGGACCGCAUGUGACCAAACCGACGAUGCGCCAACCUAGCUACUAUGUACCCUGCUUAUCUGGCGGAAAUAGCCCCGCCCUAGCGUUUCCAAUCGUUAUUUCUAUCUAUCUAUCGUGCCAAGGAGCAGAACCAAAUGUUACAAUUUAUACAUUUUUUCUCUACUCCUACUCCUAUAAAAGACUCAGUUGGUGAUGGUGGUGUGUCCGUCAUCCGUCGUUUCUGACCAUUAGAUCUGCAUCUAACGGCUGUGAGGUAAGUUGUGGCAUUUUUGCAACAAUAGCCCACUUCUCUGCUCCAAUUUGCAGAAAACCCCUUAUUAUCUUGAAAGCUACCACAUCCCUCCCUCACCUCAUCAAAACAGCCUGAGAAAUAUAUUUUGAGUGAAAAGUAAUAUAUUGGGAGUAUAUCAAAACAGGAGUGAUUUCUUUUAAGUUUGUGAACAAGUACUACUAUUCUACUACUUUUGAUCCGUCGCAACGCACGGGCAUGUUGUGAGUAAAAGGAAAAGGCAUGACGCGUUCGCGCCGCACCCCCACAUGCCCGGGAAUCGGGAGUACUCCACGGCCCGUCUGGCAUGCCACAUAGCUAGAGAAGGCGUGAUGCCUAGUAUUUUCACUUUCAUGUGGGACCAUCAUUGAGAAAACCGACCAUUGGCAAACGCACCCCGCCUGCCGCCGGGUUGGAAAACAGAAACGAGGGGAAGAUCUAGCUGUAGCAUGGAAGCCAAGAAAUUUGGUGUCUGAUGGGGCUCGUUGACAGAGUGUUAUUUAUUCAUAACUAGCAAGAUGCCCAUGCGUUGCACGGAAAAUCAAGAUGCAUUUGUAUGAGUAGUUUAUGUUGUGGGAGAAAAGGAUGAACAAGAGAAGGCCUUAUUCGCAAAUGUGGAGAGGGGUGUGGGCAUCUUUUUGCAAAAUUGCCAUAGUUUCCUGCCUAUCCGUCAGAUAUAAAUCGGAUGGCCUAUAUUGCAGGAUGGCAGGCACACCAUCAUCACCAACUCUGUUUCUUAUAAGAGUAUACAUAUAGAUAUAGAUAUAUAUAUAUAGUAGAGACUUGGUUACCAAAUCUCAUGCGUGCAAUGCAUGUGUAGCUUACUAGUUGGUUACCAAAUCUCAUCCAGGUUUGGCACGAGCUCGUACUGCGGGAGCACCACAAGGCCUUCCUAUCCGUCGCAACGCACGGGCACAUUUCCCUCUCAGGGCCCACGGGACCGAGCUUCAGUGGCUUAGUGCACCGGCCUAUGAGUCAAUGGCAUGCAGACCUUAAAUGCGGCUGGCCCACAUGUCAUUCUCAUGGUGGUGGCGUGGUUCACGACUCACUCAUUCGAGAUGAACCGAACGGUGGUGGCAUGGCCGUGGCGAGGGUGCCACAGCUGGGCGUCGAGGCGUUACGAGGCGUAGAUGGCCACACAGGCGGGUACUACCUGUAGUACAGAAGUACUCCAGCUGAGGAUUGAUGCCCGGGACGAAAUGUGUCACAGCCGCUGGAUGAAAAUUCGAUGGUGCGGGAGUACGGAUCGGAGCAGGCAAACCGCGUCCAAUCGGGUGUGGCUGUGGUAGAAAGUUGAUGGUCGCCGCAGUUCAACUGGCCCGCAUGUCAUGCACACAAAGGCAGAGGAGCGGUGGGGUCGAGAGGGAUGAGGCGCACGUCGGGGGAUGUCGUGCCGUGGGUUGGAGCGGCGUCGUGGGAAUCGCGUGUGGGUGUGGCAGUGGUAGAAACAAGAAAUGUGAUGGUCGCCGUGGUUCAAGUUCCAUGGACAAGCUGUCAUGUAUGCUGACACAUGCAUUGCAUACCGCUCACUGCAAGGAGCAGUAGUAGAGAAAACUUGUUCCAAAGAACCCAUUUUUCCGAUAAAAUUCUCGAGAUAUCAUUAGUUUUUACACAUGGGAUUACUCCUGCAAGGGUCAAUCACAAUAGGUGUUUUGUAAAAAAAUGCAUCUUGAUGUUCCCUGUAGUGCACGGGCAUCUUGCUAGUUAUAGAAGAAGGCCGCACGGGCAUCUUGCCGCUGGGUGUGCCACCGACCCAAACUCAAUUUUCUUUUGAGACGAUUAGGUGCACCGGAUGUCGUGCCAUGCUACAAAAUGUUAAAAAAACAGCUCCAAAUUUUUUAAAACCUGUUAUCUUCAAACCAUCAAAAUAGCCCGAGGAAUAUAUUUUGAGUGAAGCAUGAUUUACUUUUACUAAUAUAUGUAUAUCAAAACUAGAGUGUUUAUAUUUCAAGCCCGUGAACAAGUAUUAUUCUACUACUUUGGAUCCAUUGCAACGCACGGGCCGGCACAUUGGUAGUAGUAGUCUCUAUCUCUAUCUCUACUCUACUCUUAUAAAAUACAGAGUUGUUGAUGAUCGUGUGCCUGCCAUCCUGCAGUAUAGGCCGUCCGAUUUAUAUCUGACGGACAGGAAGGAAACUAUGGCAAUUUUGCAAAAAAAUACCCACACCCCUCUUAUACUAGCAAGAUGCCCGUGCGUUGCACGGAACAUCAAGAUCUUGUGGGAGAAAAGGAUGAACGAAGGCCUUAUCUGCAAAUGUGGAGAGGAGUGCGGGUAAGUUGUCAUAGUUUCCUUCCUAUCCAUUAGAUAUAGAUCGGACGGCCCAUAUUGCAGGAUGGCAGGCACACCAUCAUCACCAACUCUGCUUUUUUAUAGGUCGUCCGAUUUAUAUCUGAUGGAUAGGAAGAAAACUGUGGCAAUUUUGCAAAAAGAAACCUACACCCCUCUCCACAUUUGCAAAUAUGGCCUUCCCUCGUUCAUCCUUUUCUCUCACAAGAUAAACUACUCAUACAAAUGCAUCUUGAUGUUCUGUGCAACGCACAAGGAUGUUUUGUUGGGGGUCUCUCCAGCGCGGCGUGGCCAUGGUUGCAAGUUGACGCCCCUUGAGAUGCCGACGUUGAGGGGCACUCGGAUUUUGUCCGAUGAGCAGGUAAGAUGAGUUUGAUCACGUAGUAAAUGCAUUCUAAAGACUACUUCCGUGUCCAUUUCCUAAUUCUCCCCCUGCCCACUGUAUCACAGGUUAGGCUCGGUGCGAGUGGAGAUUGGCUUGCAUAUGUACAGGAGGGUACCAACAUCAAUUUGCACAACAUUUACAACAGUGACACCGUUCUCAUAGAACCUUUGUCCAACAUUGGGAUCAGCCAUGCAAUGGGCCAGCGCCCGAAUUGGUACGAUGGAACCACGGUGAGAUUAAAGAAGAUAGCACGAACCUUGCACAUGGCGGUCAAAGGUGGACGAUGCUGUCUGCAGCCGAUUUGUUGUCGUACGAAUACGAAGACGCUAUGCUCCUUUCUAACCGCAUCUUCGCGGUGACAAACCAGGGGACUUGUUUCAUAUGGGACACAUCCAACGGUAUACUCCCACUCUCCCAGUUUAUUUGUUUUGAAUCUUUUCGUUUUAUAAGUUUCAAAUUCAAAUUUAGAGCUCCCCAUCACAUGUUGAGAUUACAAUGUCCAUUAAAUCGUUGCGUGCAUGUAUAGUAAAGAAACAGAUCUCGAGUUUGCCACGAGUUCGUGCAGCGGUAGCACUACAAGGCCUGGCGCAGGAGUUACAUUUACCUCUCGAGGCCCUCGGGUCUGAGCUUCAGCGCCUUACGAAACCUGCCUUUGAGUCAAUAACAUGUGGACCCAAUAGGUGGCUGGUCCACCUGUAAUGCUCCCGAAGGCAGAGGGGCAGUGGGGCCGAGAGGGGUGAGCCGCAGGUCGGGGGACGUGUGGUGUCAUGGGUUCGAGCGGCGCCGUGGGAAUCGCGUGUGGCUGUGGUAGAAACUUGAUGCUCGCCGCAUUUCAGUUGGCCCACAUGUCAUGCACACAAAGGCAGAGGGGCGGUGCGGCCGAGAGGGGUGAGGCGCACGUCGGGGACGUGGUGCCGUGGGUUGGAGCGGCGUCGUGGAAAUCGUGAGUGGCAGUGGAUGAAACGUGAUGGUUGUCGUAGUUGAACUUCCAUGGACAAGUUGUCAUGUCUACGGACACAUGCAUUGCAAACCAAUCACUGGAAGGAGUAGUAGAGAAAGCUAGGCGGAUAAAUAGUUCCUUAUAGUCAAGCGGACCCACGCUACUACUUGUUCCAAAGACAUGCACACCAUCGAAAUAGUCCAUCUAUAUCAAUAUACAUAGAGAGGGAAUAUUUUUUUUACAAGAGAGGAAAUAGUUCAUCCAUCCAUAAUGCCCUGCUGCUGGUGCAGCAUCUUCUUCUUCUUCUUCUCAUUUUCUGUGGGAGACGGCUUCGCAACAAGCUCUCUGGACCUUGCAGCUAUCUUGAAACUCACACGAGCAUCGAGGGCAGCAUAUUUUAUCUGCUCGUACGUCAAGGGAUAAUUUUCCCAUCCAGGCGACCUUAAUGCCAGCAUCUCGUCACCCUUCUAAAGAUUUGUUCCGAGCACAAAAUUUGCUACGUUGAAUAGGGAUGGUGUUGGUUUAUCACAAUCUUCUAUAGGAAAUUUUAUUUUGGUUUGUAGGUCAGCGAUGCUUUUCAAAUCAAGGUUGUACGGCUCCAACUUCUGUUUGUCCCCUGCGAUGGCUGCCCCACAGAAGUAUAUGUCCUCCCGAGACAAGAAAUCGUGAUGCUCACCUGGUAUGGAGGGCGCGUGUAUGAUGUGGUACACCAAAACAACAUCUUCGAGGCACAGCUGAAGGACGGCGGCGCGUUGGAUCUUCCCAGUGGCACGCUCCGUGUACUCUGCGUCGAGACCGAUGACAUUCAUCUCCACCUUUUGGAGGGAGUUGGAUACAUUGUUGAUCCACUUCCGAACAACCCUUGGGUGGUCGGUGACUGUGGCAACUAUGAUCAACAAGGCUUUGACGAGGACAUGUUGGACGCUAAAAACCUGCAUCUCGAUCUCUUUCGCCAUUUGGAACCGCUGGACCGGAGGGCUAUGGUUUAGAGAAUUAGGAUUAGAUGGCUAGUCUAACUGAAGAAGAUGAUUAUUUAUAGGGGCUUCAGAAUUACUCCAGGAGGAUGUGAAGAGGUUAAAACAAUGUGAAUGCAGUGUGGUUUGGAUGCAAAUGAAGAUCAAGGAUUAGUGAAGAAGCCAAGCAAAAUCGGUUCCCGAUGGAGAAGUAAAUGGGAGAAGUUAUGGGCAUGCAUGAGGAGAGCUGCGGUGGUUUGACUGCUGCAUGCAAUGGAUUGGACGGGCUCUUCGGUUACCUUUUCUCUCUCCCACGCGCACAGAAUGGCCCACUUGCAUGCUGCAGUUUAUUGGCUGGAGUCUGGCUGCAGCUGCUCAUGCGUACGCUAAUUAAUGCUGUGAAUGCAGGGCAUGGAGGGAAAUGGGCGCAUGCAAAAGGGUAUAUGCGCAGACUAAUUAGAGAAAUACUGAAAAAAGUUAUGCGCAGACAAAAGAGGACCGGAGGGAGUACUACUCAUGUUCCUACUACUCCUACUAGUAGUAGUUGUACAACUGUGGUACACUUGAUGGUCAAAAUACUAUUAUUCAUCCGAUCCUCACAGUGAAGUGACAAGACCCAGCGCCCGAGGUGACACCAGUCCAGGUGGCGUGUCCGGGUUACCAAAGUCAGCCUCACCUUGUGCACUGUGCAGUCACUAUCACCGCCGUUGUAUAGCAUGCUUCGCCUUGUCCGCCUCUCCCUUAGCACCACUCCAUCUCCAUCUCCGUCUCGCCGGAGAUCCUGAGGUCACUCUUCAUCAUCUCACUGUGCCCCCGCGUACCCUCGCCUCGCUCGCCUCCCCCAGUACCACUAUUCCCUCGCUAGCCGCUCCAGCACCGAAAGCCUUCUCCCCCGUAAAUCAAGCCCCCCAAAACCCCACCUUCCAAACUCCACCAUGGCCGAAAGCGAACUGCGCAGCAUCCAUAUGAGCCGCGAUUGGAGCAAUCUCCCCAGUGACAUCCUCGACCUUUGUUGUUCGUGUAUGGAUAUGUUGAGCGCCCUGCGGCUGGCUGCAUGCUCGAGGGGCAUGCACACGGCCAUCAUCGAAGCGAGGCCUAAGCUUUUCAAGACACCCUGCUUGCUGCUAUCUGGUCUUGCGAGAUUUGCUCACCAUGAUACAGAGGCGUACAUAAUGCCCCUCAACUUCAAUCCAACCUCCAUUAGCCGAAACUUCUUUGCAGGUAUGUAGUGGGUCGCCAUACAUCAUUUCCCUCGACUUCGAUCCGAUAACCUUCGCCCGAAACUUCUUGCAGGUAUGUACUGGGUCGGCAUGAACUCCCACUGGAUGGCUACCGUCACAGAAGACGGGGAAAAGUUGGUGCUCGUGAACUUCCAAACCUCCCAUGAGAUUAUCCUUCCUCCGUUGGACGACAUAGAGUUUUACCUUCGCGGUCCAAGUCAUCUAGAUUACGUCGUCAGUUGGAUGCACCUUGUUUUGCAGAAGAUUGUAAUCUACCAAGUGCCCACACGACAUGCGGAUUACGCAGACUUCAAGCUAAUUGCGCUGUUCGACAAGGGACUCGCCUAUCUUUCCGCCGGUGCCUUGUUUAGCUAGAGCCAGCUCAGCUCGCAGUGGAUCAUCGUCAAAGCUGAUACACACUUCUGUGAUGCUAUUGAACACAAUGGCAUCAUCUACGCGAUCGACAAAGCAGAUGGCACCACGUAUUGCUGGGACGACGCGUGUAAGUUGUUUCCGUCUGAUGUUAAUGAUGACGCCAUGACACCGUUUGAACUUUUUGUGAUGAUUGACAAUUCCCUGUUUGAGCAGAAUUUGAGUAGAACUAUGGCAAUGUAUUAGAGACGCCGUAAAUCAGCUAUAUUUGGAAUGAGUUAAUUCAUGCGAUUGUAACCAUGUCAUUACAGCCAAUUUGUACCCCUGAAUAAUCAAACUGUUAGGAAGAUAUUAAUAGUCUCAUUAUUUUAUAGUAAUCUAUAUACUACUAAAUAUGAGUGUGUAUCAAUGGCCAUGUUAGUUUCCUCAUUUUCAUGAUGUAGAAACAUGCAUCACACUGUUCAUUUCAUCUAACCAUACAUUAGGGAAGUAAAUGUGCAUAUGGAGAACUCUAUAUUUUGAAGUAGUGAAAUCCUGUAAUGCUUACCAUGUGUACAUACCUAUGUUCGCCCUUCAUCAAUCAAUAGCUAGAAUAAUAUGCUCACAAAAAUUUUGCCCACAGAACAUGAGUAUAUAACAAUGCAUGGUAUGUUAGUUUCCUUGAAGAAUUUGUUUUUGAGGAUAGAACAUGAUUACAUAACAUGCAUGACAUGGUAGUUUCCUGUGAAGAAUCGAUUGUGAGAUAACAUGAGUAUAACCAUGCAUGGCACUUCUAUAUUUUCGAACCCAGUAUACAUUUCCCUGUAUUUUCCUCCCAGUUCCAACAGGGACAUAUCAAUGUUGUUUCUUGCAUUAUCCUACUCAUACUCUGAACAAUGUUGAUCUUACAUUAACAAUGCCUGUCCUUUUUGAUAUGAUGCAGUGUCCCCAUAGUUACUGCCCUUUGUAAUCACACCAACCUUUGCCAAAAAUAGGGAAGCACAACUGGUUCCUCGCUCGAUCAGAGGACGGCAAAAGACUGAUGAUCAUUCGGACACAUGAGCCGGAAAAGUUAUAUUGCAAAAACCCCAAUGUAUGCAAGCACCGUGAAAUACGUGAGUAUCCGGAUAGUGGCUGCUACGUCUAUGAGCAGGAUACCAGCUUGUUUGGGCCUGCAGGAUUUUUGAGUUGGAGGCGGGUAAACAGCCUUGGUUCAUACUCUCUGUUUCUCGGACUCAAUUAUCCGAUUAACCAGGAGAUCACCAUUGGCAAGGACCUUGAUGGCAGAGAGGCUCUGUUUGCUAUGGAAAACUGUGUCUACACGGCGAGCCCUAGGAGUUCGGGAGCAAACUCCCCUGAUUGUCAACGAUACAGCCUGCAGCCAAAAGAAGGUGAGAAUGACAAAGGCAUCUGGAUUAACUUUGAUCCUUGGAUGUGUCGAGUCCGAUAGGCAGUGAUGUGGUUCAAGCCUUCAGGUUGAUAGGUAAUUGGGCUGUUGCGUCAAAAGGGUGGAGUAUUGGUGUCUCCGGAUCACUGGUGGCUGAACCGGGGCUGCAAAUUAUGAUGGUGUUGGAUCAUCCCUCUUCGAAUGACUUGUUGUCUUUGCUGCUUGUUCUGGAUGGGUAGUUCUCUUUUUUGUUAUGCAUAUUCCUUGUCAUUUGGUCAUCCUCGUCUAUGUCACUCUUACUAUGUAAUAGUUGCCUCUAUUUAGAAUGUCAUUCUCGUCUGGAUCACGAGAGUCUGAGCGCUGCAGAUGGGCGCGUUUUGGUGGUGUAGCACGACUUCUUAUGAACUAUCAUGUCUUGCUGUUUAUGUCAGUAGUAGUCACUAGUCAGUGUUUGAAUGUUGUAUAUAUUGUUGUUUUGAACUGUUUAUUGUCUCGAACGGCUAGUGGGCUAAAUGAGAGCAUCACCAUUCUCUAGUGUUCAGAGUAUAUCUCCUCUUUUCAAGUUAUAAUUUGAGCUCAUUGUCUUUUCGAUGAUGUACACUUGUUUGGGCCAGUGAGGUGUCGUUGAAUAUGGGCUGAGUAGUAACGCAAUGCCAAAUAGGUCAAUUAUGACUCUCAGGCCGGGCUCUCAAAAGAUCCUCAAAAAAGGUCGGGCUCUCAGAAAAAGAAAGAUUAGGGACUCUUAGGCCGACAUGUGGGCGCCACCGGUGUUUCCGUGCGCUUGCGCGCUGAGAGCAUAUUGGCGCAUGUUCGAAAUUCAUGCUACCUUUUCAUCCCCAAUCAACCGCCCCUCCCCCACCUCUGGAAUCUCGAUUCCUACUCCAGUUCCCCCAAAUCCCCCUCCUGUACUCCCUGUACUCAAGCGCACUAUCAUGUCUCCGGUCAACGCGGAUCUCCGAGCCGGAGAUCCUGGGUGCCACCGAUCAAAGCUCUCCGCACUGCAGUCGAAAGUUGUCCGGAACCUGACGUUUGUUCUGCGAUGGCACGCUGGUGAGCUUUGAUCGGUGGCACCCAGGAUGGGGCUCGGUGCCCUCUGAGCUUGAGUUUUUAACAAAGGUUACCUUCCACGGCAUGCCUCGACAUGCUUGGAACAGCGAGUCCAUGAAUGAGCUUAUCAACGACCUUGGAGUGAGCUCGUAAGUAUGUUUGUUCCUCCAGACAGCUGGGCUCUAACGGUUAUGGCAUGGAUGAAGAAGCCGUCCACCAUACCGAAGGUGAUUGGUGUUGAGAUACCGGUGCAGGAACCGGGGUUGUACUAUUCGUCGCCACCAAGGCCGCCGCAGACCAUGUUAGGGAUGUACCUGUAUCGAGUGUUCGUGCAUGUCGAAGAAGUGGUCAAUCAAUCAAUCGAAGUCCUGCCACCGCCGCUGGUGCCCGGGUCCGUCGACGACGUCCAUUACAGGAGUCAACGUCAGACUUUCCCCGUGUUGCUCGGAACGAUGGAUGGCACAGGGCCUACUCCAUCGCGCGAUGGAGGCCACUGCUUCUUUGGGAGAAGAGGCAGGGCUGGCUGCCUGGAUGUGCUCUAAUUUGAGGUAACAACUGAAUCUUGUCAGAUGACCUGUUCUAUUUUUUUACCUAAACUUUUUUUAGAAAGGGUUGUACGUCAACUUAAUGUUCUAGCAGAACUUAUAUAUUGUGUUGUCUAUCUGUUUUCUUUGCACAGCAUUCAAGAUAUUUCCCCAUCAUUGAAAAAGACGAUGAACUGUUAUGUACGAGUUCGUUGGUUUCAACAUAGCCCUACCCGUAGCGAUCCACUGCUUCCACCCUGAUUGUGCCGCCUACGUGAAAUUUUUGUAUGCAAGUUCAGUGUGCUAUGAUGUUCUAUAUGAUUACGUCAACUAUAUAAGUUUUUACUGAGCAUCGUCAAUGCAUAUGGCUAAAAGAUGUAUUUACAAGCAUCGACCGAUGGGUCUCACACACACACACACACACGCACAAGUGAUAUGUCUCCAACGUAUCUAUAAUUUAUGAAGUAUUCAUGCUAUUAUAUUAUCCAUCUUGGAUGUUUAAUGGGCUUUACUAUGCACCUUUAUAUUAUUUUUGGGACUAACCUAUUAACCCAGAGCCCAGUGCCAGUUUCUGUUUUUUCCCUUGUUUCAGUGUUUCGCAGAAAAGGAAUAUCAAAUGGAGUCCAAACGGAAUGAAACCUUCGGGAGUGUGAUUUUUGGAACGAACGUGAUCCAGGAGACUUGGAGUUGAAGUCAGGGAAGCUUCGAGGUGGCCACAAGGCAGGGAGGCGCGCCUGCCCCCCUGGGCACACCCCCCACCCUCGUGGGCCCCUCGUGGCUCCCCUUACCAACUUCUUUCGCCUAUAUAUAUCCAUAUACCCUAAAAACAUCAGGGAACAUAAUAGAUCGGGAGUUCCGCCGCCGCAAGCCUCUGUAGCCACCCAAAACAAAUCGGGACCCUGUUCCGGCACCCUGCCGGAGGGGGGGAUCCAUCACCGGUGGCCAUCUUCAUCAUCCCGGCGCUCUCCAUGAUGAGGAGGGAGUAGUUCACCCUCGGGGCUGAGGGUAUGUACCAGUAGCUAUGUGUUUGAUCUCUCUCUCUCUCGUGUUCUUGAGGUGGUACGAUCUUGAUGUAUCGCGAGCUUUGCUAUUAUAGUUGGAUCUUAUGAUGUUUCUCCCCCACUACUCUCUUGUAAUGGAUUGAGUUUUCCCUUUGAAGUUAUCUUAUCGGAUUGAGUCUUUAAGGAUUUGAGAACACUUGAUGUAUGUAUUGCAUGUGCUUAUCUGUGGUGACAAUGGGAUAUUCACGUGUUCCACUUGAUGUAUGUUUUGGUGAUCAACUUGCGGGUUCCGUUUGUGAACUUAUGCAUAGGGGUUGGCACACGUUUUCGUCUUGACUCUCCGGUAGAAACUUUGGGGCACUCUUUGAAGUUCUUUGUGUUGGUUGAAUAGAUGAAUCUGAGAUUGUGUGAUGCAUAUCGUAUAAUCAUACCCACGGAUACUUGAGGUGACAUUGGACUAUCUAGGUGACAAUAGGGUUUUGGUUGAUUUGUGUCUUAAGGUGUUAUUCUAGUACGAACUCUAUGAUAGAUUGAACUGAAAGAAUAACUUCGUGUUAUUUUACUACGGACUCUUGAAUAGAUCGAUCAGAAAGGAUAACUUUGAGGUGGUUUCGUACCCUACAAUAAUCUCUUCGUUUGUUCUCCGCUAUUAAUGACUUUGGAGUGACUCUUUGUUGCAUGUUGAGGGAUAGUUAUGUGAUCCAAUUAUGUUAUUAUUGUUGAGAGAACUUGCACUAGUGAAAGUAUGAACCCUAGGCCUUGUUUCCUAGCAUUGCAAUACCGUUUGUGCUCACUUUUAUUACUUGUUACCUUGCUGUUUUUAUAUUUUCAUAUUACAAAAACCUAUAUCUACCAUCCAUAUUGCACUUGUAUCACCAUCUCUUCGCCGAACUAGUGCACCUAUACAGUUUACCAUUGUAUUGGGUGUGUUGGGGACACAAGAGACUCUUUGUUAUUUGGUUGCAGGGUUGUUUGAGAGAGACCAUCUUCAUCCUACGCCUCCCACGGAUUGAUAAACCUUAGGUCAUCCACUUGACGGAAAUUUGCUGCUGUCCUACAAACCUCUGCACUUGGAGGCCCAACAACGUCUGCAAGAGGAAGGUUGUGUAGUAGACAUCAACAAGUGGGACCCGUUGAAUUAUUUCUUCACUCGUGACAGUUUUUAAUUAGGUUCCACUGUACUCUAACUUUUUUCUUAAGUUAUUAAUUGAGCUCGGUGACUUCAAAAAGUUGUACAGAAGCCUUGUUUGGGCCUUUCCGACGUCCCUGAAUGUGGGCUGAGUAGCCAUGUAAGGUUGUACUAUACUAGACAUGCCUUUUUUCAACAUCAGCAAUGCAACUGGGCCGACAGUUGUACACAAUCCGGGUCAACUUGUUAUUCUCCGCCCCGCUGGGCUACAAAUCUUUCCUGGGAGGGAUGCAUUAGGCCUAACAAGAAAAUGAGCUUUAAGAAAUAAUAAAUGGGAUGUAAUUAUAAAAACUGGGCAGUAACUAUAAAAAAAUGCACCAAAGACGUAAUUAGUUUAUAAAAUAUUACUUUUGGAUUUUGAAAAUUUUAAUUUCACUAAUUGUUGCGUGCGCAAUGUUUCGUUGGAUUUUUACGUAAUACAAAUUUAUAUUGAAAUUGUAUUUAAUCUGACUAGAAAUUUCAGGACAAAAAUAUUUCGGAUCCUAUCAAAAUGUGGGAAAUUUUAUUGAAUUCUGUUUUGAAUGGUUGGUUGACAUUAUUAAUCGUUGUCCUAUCUAAAAAUGGGUUGUACUUUUAACAAACUGUAAAUGGGCUGUAGUAAAUUCCAUUAGAAUUCAAAAAUGGGUUGUGCAUUCUUACAAAUCGCAAAUGGGCUAUAAGUUCUCUGCCACACACUUGUGGGCCUACUAAGUUGGCGCGUAUGCAAGGCUUUGUCAACUUAUAGUCAACACACGAUUCUAGCAGCAGUGCCCGUUGGAUGUCCAUCCAACGGAUGUCGUGCUUCUUCUUCAAUCUCGGAUAUUCUAGCUUUAGUCGCCCAAAAAAUGAUUCCUCCCCCAGACAUCUGGGGCGCACCAUUUCGGAGGCUGACCUGUGGGCCUACUAAGUUGACACGUACCAAGGGCUUUGCCAACUUAGUCAAUAUAAACGAUUCUAGCUGCAGUGACCAUACGAUGUCCAUCCAACGGCCGUUGUGAUUCUUCAACCUCUGGUCUUCUUGCUCCAGCCGCCCUAAGCAGUGCCGGUCGUGCCGCCUGCUCCUGCCUCCCGUGGCCGGCUGUGCUGCCGUGGACGCCUCACCUCCCCCUACCACUCCCACCGCUGGCCAGGCCCUGCGGCAACGACAUCCUCACACCGCAGCCAAACCAGUGAACCCUCAUACUCCUCUCCGCGUGGGCAUCCACUGCCGCGUCUUUCCCAGCUCCGUGUCGUCCCCUUCCUAGGCCUCGCCCUCGUCCACUGCCUUCGUGCUCUUGGCACGGCAUGGUCAAUGUGGUCAACGACCGACUUCCAUUGGAAGAGUACUGUACGUGGAGAGGCUGACAGCUGGGUCCACGGCCGCAGCAAGGAAGUGCCUCCUUAUUACGCGGAAAAUAAUUAUUCCUCCUGACAGCAGGGACCCACCGGACGGGCCACCGUAUUUUGCAAAAAAACGUUUCCCCCCUGACUGCUGGGACCCACCAGCUACAUCUUCGCACGCAAGGAAGUGUGUCCAUAUUAUGGGCAAAAAAUGAUUUGCCCCCUAACUGCUGGGACCCACCAGCUACAUCUUCGCACGCAAGGAAGUGCAUCCAUAUUACGGGCAAAAAAACGAUUCGCCUCUGACUGCUGGGACCCACCAGCUACAUCUUCGCACGCAAGGAAGUGCCUGACAGUCGGGACCCACCCGGUCGAAGCUUAUGUAGCGUUGUCAUUCUAGUCGCGAACGUGUACGUACAUACUGGUCGAUCGGUCUGUCUGCAGGCUGCAGCGAUGAACCGUGGCCGUGUAAGGAAGGGCACGUGUGGUAGUAGAGGCGUGCACGUAGCAUGUACACGUACGUACAGCGGCCAGGGUGCAAGAAAGUUAAUACGGCCACGUACGUACAUACGGGCGGGGUCUCGAACGCCUACUCGCGCAUACGUACGGCCAGGGCUCGUGUACAUGGCUGUGGCUGGGUCGGAAUGGAGAAACUACGUCGUCGUCGUGUUCAUGGGGAGGCAACGGAAUGCGUCGUGUUCAUCGGGAGGCAACAGAACGCGUGUUGUUCAUCGGGAGCCAACCGGCUUGGACGGAAUAGCCGAUGGAAACGAGGCCUGGUGUACCGCAGAACGGAGGAAACGGCCUUGUGUUCGACCGGCCAUGGUCGAAACGGGAUCCUGUUCAUCGGGAGGGGUCUGGCGUACCGCAAAACGGAGGAAACGGACCUCCUACGGUCGAAACGGGGUCCUGUUGAUCGGGAGGGGUGUGGCGUACCGCAAAACAGAGGAAACGGACUUGUGUUGGAGCUCUAUGGUCGAAACGGGGGUCCUGUUCAUCGGGAGGGGUGUGGCGUACCACAAAACGGGACUCCACGGGAUACUGUUCAUCUCCACCGUCGACCUCCUCCAGCCUCCACGGGCUCCUAUUCAUCCACCGUCGACCUCCUCCAGCCUCCACCUGCGACUGUUCAUCCACGGGCUCCUGUUCAUCCAGCCUCCACCGCGCGCUCCUCCACCGGCUACUGUUCAACCAGCCCUCUCCACGGGGGUCCUGUUCAACCACCCCUCCAUGGGCUACUAUUCAUCCAGCCCUCCACCGGCUACUGUUUAACCAGCCCUCCGUGGGACCCUGUUCAACCAGCCCUCCGCGGGGCCCUAUUCAUCCAGCCCUCCACGGGGUCCUGUUCAUCCACCGGCUCGAUCGAUCGGGGUACUGCUCAUCCAGCGGCAACGGCCUCUACUACCACGGGUUCCUGUUCAUCCAACCCCCACCGGGAACUGUUCAUCCAAACCCCCCAACAACGCUCACUGUUCAUCCAGAGGCAGCAUCGAUCGGCUUCAGUUAGCAGCAGUAGCGAAGGAAUCGCUCGAUCGGGUUCAGUUAACAGCCAUCGAUCGAUCGCUCGGGUUCAGUAAUGCAUAGCCUGCAGUGCAAUCGCUCGGGUUCAGUUAGCGCCCAACGCCUCGCUCCGGUUCAGUUAGAGCGCAACGCCUCACACACACACGCGUACAUAUGAGAGAAACGCGCAUCGCUCGGCCCCCGACCAGCCACGGUAACCGGGAACUCCCCGAUAUUUUCCUCGCCCUCGCUUCUACCAUGGUUUUUUCCGUCAUGGAUGGCCCAAAGAAUGUCAUGCAGCUGCGUCUCUGGCCCGCCCAGGACGAAAAGCCCAUUUUUUGUCAUGAUUUUUUGUCAUAGAAGUAGGACCCCACCACAUCUAUGAUGAUACCGGGUUUUGUCACAAUUAUUAUCAUAGAAGUGUCAUAAGUAUGAUAGAAAAAAAUUUGUUCGGCCCAAAAUGUCACGGAUGUCUCUUUUUUUGUAGUGUUAGGCGAAGCCCUGUGCGGAUCACAUCACCAACACCAUCACCAUCACCACGCCGUCGUGCUGAUGGAACUCUCCCUCGACCCUCUGCUGGAUCAAGAGUUUGAGGGACGUCAUCGAGCUGAACGUGUGCUGAACACGGAGGUGCCAUACGUUCGGUACUUGGAUCGGUCUACGAGGGUACAUCGACACACUCUCCCCCUCUCGUUGCUAUGCAUCUCCUAGAUAGAUCUUGCAUGAUUGUAUGAAUUUUUUUGAAAUUGCAUGCUAUGUUCCCCAAGUGUGGCAUCCGAGCGAGGUCUAUGCGUAGAUGAUUUGCACGAGUGGAACACAAAGAGUUGUGGGCGAUAAUAGUCAUACUGCUUACCACGAACGUCUUACUUUGAUUCAGCGGUAUUGUUGGAUGAAGCGACCCGGACCAACAUUACAUGACCACGUUCAUGAGACUGAUUCUACCGACGUGCUUUGCACGCAGGUGGCUGGCGGGUGUCUGUUCUCCAACUUUAGUUGAAUCGAGUUUGACUACGGCCGGUCCUUGUUGAAGGUUAAAACAGCACACUUGACGAAAAAUCGUUGUGGUUUUGAUGCGUAGGUAAGAACGGUUCUUGCUAGAAGCCCGUAGCAGCCACGUAAAACUUGCAACAACAAAGUAGAGGACGUCUAACUUGUUUUUGCAGGGCAUGUUGUGAUGUGAUAUGGUCAAGACAUGAUGCGAUAUAAUUUAUUGUAUGAGAUGAUCAUGUUUUGUAAUACUUAUCGGCAACUGGCAAGAGCCUUAUGGUUGUCGCUUUAUUGUAUGAAAUGCAAUCGCCAUGUGAUUGCUUUACUUUAUCACUAUGCGGUAGCGAUAGUUGUAGAAGCAAUAGUUGGCGAGACGACAACGACGCUACGAUGGAGAUCAAGGUGUCAAGCCAGUGACAAUGGAGAUCAUGACGGUGCUUUGGAGAUGGAGAUCAAAGGCACAAGAUGAUGAUGGCCAUAUCAUGUCACAUAUUUUGAUUGCAUGUGAUCUUUAUCUUUUAUGCAUCUUAUUUUGCUUAGUACGGCGGUAGCAUUAUAAGAUGAUCCCUCACUAAAUUUCAAGGUAUAAGUGUUCUCCUUGAGUAUGCACCGUUGCUACAGUUCGUCGUGCCGAGACACCACGUGAUGAUCUGCUGUGAUAAGCUCUACGUUCACAUACAACGGGUGCAACCCAGUUUGCACGUGCAGAAUACUCGGGUUAAACUUGACGAGCCUAGAAUAUGCAGAUAUGGCCUCAGAACUAUUGGGGAACGUAGCAUAAUUUUAAAAUUUUCCUACGCUCACCAAGAUCCAUCUAUGGAGUAUACUAGCAACGAGGGGAAAGGAGUGCAUCUACAUACCCUUGUAGAUCGCGAGCGGAAGCGUUCCAAUGAACGUGGAUGACGGAGUCGUACUCGCCGUGAUUCAAAUCACCGAUGACCGAGUGCCGAACGGACGGCACCUCCGCGUUCAACACACGUACGGUGCAGCGACGUCUCCUCCUUCUUGAUCCAGCAAGGGGAAGGAGAGGUUGAUGGAGAUCCAGCAGCACGACGGCGUGGUGGUGGAUGUAGCGGGUCUCGGCAGGGCUUCGCCGAGCUUCUGCGAGAGGGAGAGGUGUAGCAGGGGAGGAGGGAGGUGCCCAAGGCUGUUGUGUUGCUGCCCUCCCUCCCCCCCCCUUUAUAUAGGCCCCCUGGGAGGGGGCGCCGGCCAAGAUCCCAUCAAGGGAGGGGGCGGCGGCCAAGGGGGGAGACUUGCCCCCCAAGGCAAGUGGGGCGCCCCCCCACCCUAGGGUUUCUAAUCCUAGGCGCAGAGGGGAGGCCCAUGGGGGGCGCCCCAGCCCACUAAGGGCUGGUUUCCCUCCCACUUCAGCCCAUGGGGCCCUCUGGGACAGGUGGCCCCACCCGGUGGACCCCCGGGACCCUUCCGGUGGUCCCGGUACAAUACCGGUGACCCCCGAAACUUUCCCGGUGGCCGAAACUUGACUUCCUAUAUAUAAUUCUUCACCUCCAGACCAUUCCAGAACUCCUCGUGAUGUCCGGGAUCUCAUCCGGGACUCCGAACAACUUUCGGGUUUCCGCAUACUCAUAUCUCUACAACCCUAGCGUCACCGAACCUUAAGUGUGUAGACCCUACGGGUUCGGGAGACAUGCAGACAUGACCGAGACGCCUCUCCGGUCAAUAACCAACAGCGGGAUCUGGAUACCCAUGUUGGCUCCCACAUGUUCCACGAUGAUCUCAUCGGAUGAACCACGAUGUCGAGGAUUCAAUCAAUCCCGUAUACAAUUCCCUUUGUCAAUCGGUAUGUUACUUGCCCGAGAUUCGAUCGUCGGUAUCCCAAUACCUUGUUCAAUCUCGUUACCGGCAAGUCUCUUUACUCGUACCGCAAUGCAUGAUCCCGUGACUAACGCCUUAGUCACAUUGAACUCAUUAUGAUGAUGCAUUACCGAGUGGGCCCAGAGAUACCUCUCCGUCACACGGAGUGACAAAUCCCAGUCUCGAUCCGUGCCAACCCAACAGACACUUUCGGAGAUACCCGUAGUGCACCUUUAUAGUCACCCAGUUACGUUGUGACGUUUGGCACACCCAAAGCACUCCUACGGUAUCCGGGAGUUGCACGAUCUCAUGGUCUAAGGAAAAGAUACUUGACAUUGGAAAAGCUCUAGCAAACGAAACUACACGAUCUUUUAUGCUAUGCUUAGGAUUGGGUCUUGUCCAUCACAUCAUUCUCCUAAUGAUGUGACCCCGUUAUCAAUGACAUCCAAUGUCCAUAGUCAGGAAACCAUGACUAUCUGUUGAUCAACGAGUUAGUCAACUAGAGGCUCACUAGGGACACGUUGUGGUCUAUGUAUUCACACAUGUAUUACGAUUUCCGGAUAAUACAAUUAUAGCAUGAACAAUAGACAAUUAUCAUGAACAAAGAAAUAUAAUAAUAACCAUUUAUUAUUGCCUCUAGGGCAUAUUUCCAACAGUCUCCCACUUGCACUAGAGUCAAUAAUCUAGUUACAUUGUGAUGAAUCGAACACCCAUUGCGUCCUGGUGUUGAUCAUGUUUUGCCCUAGGGAGAGGUUUAGUCAACGGAUCUGCUACAUUCAGGUCUGUAUGUACUUUACAAAUAUCUAUGUCUCCAUUUUGAACACUUUCAUGAAUGGAGUUGAAGCGACGCUUGAUAUGCCUGGUCUUCCUGUGAAACCUGGGCUCCUUCGCAAGGGCAAUAGCUCCAGUGUUGUCACAGAAGAGAGUCAUCGGGCCCGACGCAUUGGGAAUCACCCCUAGGUCGGUAAUGAACUCCUUCAUCUAGACUGCUUCCUGUGCUGCCUCCGAGGCUGCCAUGUACUCCGCUUCACAUGUAGAUCCCGCCACGACGCUUUGCUUGCAACUGCACCAGCUUACUGCUCCUCCAUUCAAAAUAUACACGUAUCCGGUUUGUGACUUCGAGUCAUCCAGAUCUGUGUCGAAGCUAGCGUCGACGUAACCCUUUACGACGAGCUCUUCGUCACCUCCAUAAACGAGAAACAUAUCCUUAGUCCUCUUCAGGUACUUCAGGAUAUUCUUGACCGCUGUCCAGUGUUCCAUGCCGGGAUUACUUUGGUACCUUCCUACCAAACUUACGGCAAGGUUUACAUCAGGUCUGGUACACAGCAUGGCAUACAUAAUAGAUCCUAUGGCCGAGGCAUAGGGGAUGACACUCAUCUUUUCUCUAUCUUCUACCGUGGUCGGGCAUUGAGCCGUGCUCAAUUGCACACCUUGCAAUACAGGCAAGAACCCCUUCUUGGACUGAUCCAUAUUGAACUUCUUCAAUAUCUUGUCAAGGUAUGUACUCUGUGAAAGACCAAUGAGGCGUCUUGAUCUAUCUCUAUAGAUCUUGAUGCCUAAUAUAUAAGCAGCUUCUCCAAGGUCCUUCAUUGAAAAACACUUAUUCAAAUAGGCCUUUAUACUUUCCAAGAAUUCUAUAUCAUUUCCCAUCAAUAGUAUGUCAUCCACAUAUAAUAUGAGAAAUGCUACAGAGCUCCCACUCACUUUCUUGUAAACACAGGCUUCUCCAUAAGUCUAUGUAAACCCAAAUGCUUUGAUCAUCUCAUCAAAGUGAAUGUUCCAACUCCGAGAUGCUUGCACCAGCCCAUAGAUUGAGCUUUGGAGCUUGCAUACUUUGUUAGCAUUCUUAGGAUCGACAAAACCUUCCCGCUGCAUCAUAUACAACUCUUCCAUAAGGAAGCCAUUAAGGAAUGCCGUUUUGACGUCCAUCUGCCAUAUCUCAUAAUCAUAGUAUGCAGCAAUUGCUAACAUGAUUCGGACGGACUUCAGCUUCGCUACGGAUGAGAAAGUCUCAUCGUAGUCAACCCCUUGAACUUGUCGAUAACCCUUAGCGACAAGUCGAGCUUUGUAGAUGGUCACAUUACCAUCCGCGUCCGUCUUCUUCUUAAAGAUCCAUUUGUUUUCUAUGGCUCGCCGAUCAUCGGGCAAGUCAGUCAAAGUCCAUACUUCGUUUUCAUACAUGGAUCCUAUCUCGGAUUUCAUGGCUUCUAGCCAUUUGUCGGAAUCCGGGCCCGCCAUCGCUUCUUCAUAGUUCGAAGGUUCACCGUUGUCUAACAACAUGAUUUCCAGGACAGGGUUGCCGUACCACUCUGGUGCGGAACGUGUCCUUGUGGACCUACGAAGUUCAGUAGUAACUUGAUCCGAAGCUUCAUGAUCAUCAUCAUUAACUUCCUCCCCAGUCGGUGUAGGCACCACAGGAACAUUUUCCCGCGCUGCGCUACUUUCCGGUGUGGAAGGGGUGACUAUCACCUCAUAAAGUUCCACUUUCCUCCCACUCAAUUCUUUCGAGAGAAACUCCUUCUCCAGAAAGGACCCGUUCUUGGCAACGAAGAUCUUGCCUUCGGAUCUGAGGUAGAAGGUAUACCCAAUGGUUUCCUUAGGGUAUCCUAUGAAGACGCAUUUCUCCGACUUGGGUUCGAGCUUUUCAGGUUGAAGUUUCUUGACAUAAGCAUCGCAUCCCCAAACUUUUAUAAACGACAGCUUAGGUUUCUUCCCAAACCAUAAUUCAUACGGUGUCGUCUCAACGGAUUUCGACGGAGCCCUAUUUAAAGUGAAUGCUGCAGUCUCUAAAGCAUAGCCCCAAAAUGAGAGCGGUAAAUCGGUAAGAGACAUCAUAGAUCGCACCAUAUCCAAUAAAGUGCGAUUACGACGUUCGGACACACCAUUUCUCUGAGGUGUUCCAGGCGGCGUGAGUUGUGAAACUAUUCCACAUUUCCUUAAGUGUGUACCAAACUCGUGACUUAAAUAUUCUCCACCACGAUCUGAUCGUAAGAAUUUUAUUUUCCUAUCACGUUGAUUCUCAACCUCACUCUGAAAUUCCUUGAACUUUUCAAAGGUUUCAAACUUGUGUUUCAUUAGGUAGACAUACCCAUAUCUACUUAAGUCAUCAGUGAGAGUGAGAACAUAACGAUAUCCUCCAUGAGCCUCAACACUCAUUGGACUGCACACAUCGGUAUGUAUGAUUUCCAACAAGUUGGUUGCUCGCUCCAUUGUUCCGGAGAACGGAGUCUUGGUCAUCUUACCCAUGAGGCAUGGUUCGCACGUGUCAAAUGAUUCAUAAUCAAGAGACUCCAAAAGUCCAUCUGCAUGGAGCUUCUUCAUGCGCUUGACACCAAUGUGACCAAGGCUGCAGUGCCACAAGUAUGUGGGACUAUCGUUAUCAACUUUACAUCUUUUGGUAUUCACACUAUGAAUAUGUGUAACAUCACGUUCGAGAUUCAUCAAGAAUAAACCAUUAACCAGCGGGGCAUGACCAUAAAACAUAUCUCUCAUAUAAAUAGAACAAGCAUUAUUCUCGGAUUUAAAUGAGUAGCCAUCUCGAAUUAAACGAGAUCCAGAUACAAUGUUCAUGCUCAAAGCUGGCACUAAAUAACAAUUAUUGAGGUUUAAAACUAAUCCCAUAGGUAGAUGCAGAGGUAGCGUGCCAACGGCGAUCACAUCGACCUUGGAACCAUUCCCGACGCGCAUCGUCACCUCGUCCUUCGCCAGUCUCCGUUUAUUCCGUAGUUCUUGUUUUGAGUUACAAAUAUGAGCAACCGCACCGGUAUCAAAUACCCAGGAGCUACUACGAGUACUGGUAAGGUACACAUCAAUUACAUGUAUAUCACAUAUACCUUUGGCGUUGCCGGCCUUCUUGUCCCUAAGUAUUUGGGGCAGUUCCGCUUCCAGUGACCACUUCCCUUGCAAUAAAAGCACUCAGUUUCAGGCUUGGGUCCAUUCUUUGACUUCUUCCCAGCAACUGGCUUACCGGGCGCGGCAACUCCCUUGCCGUCCUUCUUGAAGUUCUUCUUACCCUUGCCCUUCUUGAACCUAGUGGUUUUAUUCACCAUCAACACUUGAUGUUCUUUUCUGAUCUCCACCUCCGCUGAUUUCAGCAUUGAAUAUACCUCGGGAAUGGUCUUUUCCAUCCCCUGCAUAUUGAAGUUCAUCACAAAGCUCUUGUAGCUUGGUGGAAGCGACUGAAGGAUUCUGUCAAUGACCGCAUCAUCCGGAAGAUUAACUCCCAGCUGAGACAAGCGGUUGUGCAACCCACACAUUCUGAGUAUGUGCUCACUAACAGAACUAUUCUCCUCCAUUUUACAGCUGAAGAACUUGUCGGAGACUUCAUAUCUCUCGACCCGGGCAUGAGCUUGGAAAACCAUUUUCAGCUCCUCGAACAUCUCAUAUGCUCCAUGUUUCUCAAAACGCUUUUGGAGACCCGGUUCUAAGCUGUAAAGCAUGCCGCACUGAACGAGGGAGUAAUCAUCAGCACGCUCCUGCCAAGCGUUCAUAACGUCUUGGUUCUCUGGGAUUGGUGCUUCACCUAGCGGUGCUUCUAGGACAUAAUCUUUCUUGGCUGCUAUGAGGAUGAUCCUCAGGUUCCGGACCCAGUCCGUAUAGUUGUUGCCAUCAUCUUUCAGCUUGGUUUUCUCUAGGAACGCGUUGAAAUUGAGGACAACGUGGGCCAUUUGAUCUACAAGACAUAGUGUAAAGAUUUUAGACUAAGUUCAUGAUAAUUAAGUUCAUCUAAUCAAAUUACUCAAUGAACUCCCACUCAGACAGACAUCCCUCUAGUCAUCUAAGUGAAACAUGAUCCGAGUUAACUAGGCCGUGUCCGAUCAUCACAUGAGACGGACUAGUCAAGAUCGGUGAACAUCUCCAUGUUGAUCGUAUCUUCUAUACGACUCAUGCUCGACCUUUCGGUCCUCCGUGUUCCGAGGCCAUGUCUGUACAUGCUAGGCUCGUCAAGUCAACCUAAGUGUAUUGCGUGUGUUCCGAGGCCAUGUCUGUACAUGCUAGGCUCGUCAACACCCGUUGUAUGCGAACGUUAGAAUCUAUCACACCCGAUCAUCACGUGGUGCUUCGAAACAACGAACCUUCGCAACGGUGCACAGUUAGGGGGAACACUUUCUUGAAAUUAUCAUAAGGGAUCAUCUUACUUACUACCGUCGUUCUAAGCAAAUAAGAUGCAAAAACAUGAUAAACAUCACAUGCAAUCAAAUAGUGACAUGAUAUGGCCAAUAUCAUUAUGCUCCUUUGAUCUCCAUCUUCGGGGCACCAUGAUCAUCUUCGUCACCGGCAUGACACCAUGAUCUCCAUCAUCAUGAUCUCCAUCAUUGUGUCUUCAUGAAGUCGUCACGCCAACGAUUACUUCUAUUUCUAUGGCUAACGCGUUAAGCAACAAAGUAAAGUAAUUUACAUGGCGUUAUUCAAUGACACGCAGGUCAUGCAAAAUAAUAAAGACAACUCCUAUGGCUCCUGCCGGUUGUCAUACUCAUCGACAUGCAAGUCGUGAUUCCUAUUACAAGAAUAUGAUCAAUCUCAUACAUCACAUAUAUCAUUCAUCACAUCUUCUGGCCAUAUCACAUCACAUAACACAUGCUGCAAAAACAAGUUAGACGUCCUCUAAUUGUUGUUGCAAGUUUUUUUUUACGUGGCUUGUAGGUUUCUAGCAAGAACGUUUCUUACCUACGUAUGACCACAACGUGAUUUGCCAAUUUCUAUUUACCCUUCAUAAGGACCCUUUUCAUCGAAUCCGUUCCGACUAAAGUAGGAGAGACAGACACCCGCUAGCCACCUUAUACAACUAGUGCAUGUCAGUCGGUGGAACCUGUCUCACGUAAGCGUACGUGUAAGGUCGGUCCGGGCCGCUUCAUCCUACAAUACCGCCGAAACAAGAUACGACUAGUAGCGGCAAGAAGAAUUGGCAACAUCAACGCCCACAACUGCUUUGUGUUCUACUCGUGCAUAGUAACUACGCAUAGGCCUGGCUCAUGAUGCCACUGUUGGGGAACGUAGCAUAAUUUUAAAAUUUUCCUACGCUCACCAAGAUCCAUCUAUGGAGUAUACUAGCAACAAGGGGAAAGGAGUGCAUCUACAUACCCUUGUAGAUCGCGAGCGGAAGCAUUCCAAUGAACGUGGAUGACGGAGUCGUACUCGCCGUGAUUCAAAUCACCGAUGACCGAGUGCCGAACGGACGGCACCUCCGCGUUCAACACACGUACGGUGCAGCGACGUCUCCUCCUUCUUGAUCCAGCAAGGGGAAGGAGAGGUUGAUGGAGAUCCAGCAGCACGACGGCGUGGUGGUGGAUGUAGCGGGUCUCGGCAGGGCUUCGCCGAGCUUCUGCGAGAGGGAGAGGUGUAGCAGGGGAGGAGGGAGGCGCCCAAGGCUGUUGUGUUGCUGCCCUCCCUCCCCCCCCCCUUUAUAUAGGCCCCCCUGGGAGGGGGCGCCGGCCAAGAUCCCAUCAAGGGAGGGGGCGGCGGCCAAGGGGGGAGACUUGCCCCCCAAGGCAAGGGGGGCGCCCCCCCCCACCCUAGGGUUUCUAAUCCUAGGCGCAGGGGGGAGGCCCAUGGGGGGCGCCCCAGCCCACUAAGGGCUGGUUGCCCUCCCACUUCAGCCCAUGGGGCCCUCCGGGACAGGUGGCCCCACCCGGUGGACCCCCGGGACCCUUCCGGUGGUCCCGGUACAAUACCGGUGACCCCCGAAACUUUCCCGGUGGCCGAAACUUGACUUCCUAUAUAUAAUUCUUCACCUCCAGACCAUUCCGGAACUCCUCGUGACGUCCGGGAUCUCAUCCGAGACUCCGAACAACUUUCGGGUUUCCGCAUACUCAUAUCUCUACAACCCUAGCGUCACCGAACCUUAAGUGUGUAGACCCUACGGGUUCGGGAGACAUGCAGACAUGACCGAGACGCCUCUCCGGUCAAUAACCAACAGCGGGAUCUGGAUACCCAUGUUGGCUCUCACAUGUUCCACGAUGAUCUCAUCGGAUGAACAACGAUGUCGAGGAUUCAAUCAAUCCCGUAUACAAUUCCCUUUGUCAAUCGGUAUGUUACUUGCCCGAGAUUCGAUCGUCGGUAUCCCAAUACCUUGUUCAAUCUCGUUACCGGCAAGUCUCUUUACUCGUACCGCAAUGCAUGAUCCCGUGACUAACGCCUUAGUCACAUUGAGCUCAUUAUGAUGAUGCAUUACCGAGUGGGCCCAGAGAUACCUCUCCGUCACACGGAGUGACAAAUCCCAGUCUCGAUCCGUGCCAACCCAACAGACACUUUCGGAGAUACCCGUAGUGCACCUUUAUAGUCACCCAGUUACGUUGUGACGUUUGGCACACCCAAAGCACUCCUACGGUAUCCGGGAGUUGCACGAUCUCAUGGUCUAAGGAAAAGAUACUUGACAUUGGAAAAGCUCUAGCAAACGAAACUACACGAUCUUUUAUGCUAUGCUUGGGUCUUGUCCAUCAUAUCAUUCUCCUAAUGAUGUGACCCCGUUAUCAAUGACAUCCAAUGUCCAUAGUCAGGAAACCAUGACUAUCUGUUGAUCAACGAGCUAGUCAACUAGAGGCUCACUAGGGACACGUUGUGGUCUAUGUAUUCACACAUGUAUUACGAUUUCCGGAUAAUACAAUUAUAGCAUGAACAAUAGACAAUUAUCAUGAACAAAGAAAUAUAAUAAUAACCAUUUAUUAUUGCCUCUAGGGCAUAUUUCCAACAAGAACACUGAAACCGAAAGGUCGAACGUGAAUCAUAUAGUAGAUAUGAUCAACAUAGAGAUGUUCACCAUUGAAAACUACUCCAUCUCACGUGAUGAUCGAACAUGGUUUAGUUGAUAUGGAUCAUGUGAUCAUUUAGAUGACUAGAGGGGUGUCUAUCUAAGUGGGAGUUCUUAAGUAAUAUGAUUAAUUGAACUUUAAUUUAUCAUGAACUUAGUACCUGAUAGUUUUUGCAUAUCUAGGUUGUUGUAUAUCAAUGGCCCGUGCUACCGUUCCCUUGAAUUUUAAUGCGUUCCUAGAGAAAGCUAAGUUGAAAGAUGAUGGUAGCAACUACACGGAUUGGGUCCGUAACUUGAGGAUUAUCCUCAUUGUUGCACAGAAGAAUUACGUCCUGGAAGCACCGCUAGGUGCAAGGCCCGCUGCGGAGGAGCAACGCCGGACGUUAUGAACAUCUGGCAGACUAAAGCUGAUGACUACUUGAUAGUUCUAUGUGCCAUGCUUUACGGCUUAGAAUCGGGACUUCAAAGACGUUUUGAAUGUCAUGGAGCAUAUGAGAUGUUCCAGGAGUUGAAGUUAAUAUUUCAAGCAAAUGCCCGAGUUGAGAGAUAUGAAGUCUCCAACAAGUUCUAUAGCUGCAAGAUGGAGGAGAAUAGUUCUAUCAGUGAACACAUACUCAGAAUGUCUGGGUAGCAUAACCACUUGACUCAGCUGGGAGUUAAUCUUCCUGAUGAUAGUGUCAUUGACAAAGUUCUUCAAUCACUGCCACCAAGCUAUAAAGGCUUCAUGAUGAACUAUAAUAUGCAAGGGAUGGAAAAGACAAUUCCCGAGCUCUUCGUGAUGCUAAAGGCUGCGGAGGUAGAAAUCAAGAAGGAGCAUCAAGUGUUGAUGGUUAACAAGACCACUAGUUUCAAGAAAAAGGGCAAAGGGAAGAAGGGGAACUUCAAGAAGAAUAGCAAGAAAGUUGCUGCUCCCGGGAAGAAACCCAAGUCUGGACCUAAGCCUGGAACUGAGCGCUCCUACUGCAAAGGGACUGGUCACUGGAAGUGGAACUGCCCCAAGUAUUUGGCGGAUAAGAAGGAUGGCAAAGUGAAAGGUAUAUUUGAUAUACAUGUUAUUGAUGUGUACCUUACUAAUGCUUGUAGUAGUGCCUGGGUAUUUGAUAUUGGUUCUGUUGCUCAUAUUUGCAACUCGAAACAUGGGCUACAGAUUAAACGAAGAUUGGCUAACGACGAGGUGAUGAUGCGCGUGGGAAAUGGUUCCAAAGUCGAUGUCAUCGUCGUCGGCAUGCUACCUAAACAUCUACUUUCGGGAUUAGUUUUAGACCUGAAUAAUUGUUAUUUGGUGCCAGCGUUGAGCAUGAACAUUAUAUCUGGAUCUUGUUUGAUGCUAGACAAGCAAAAUAACCGUACACGUACGACUUAGAAUUCUCAUCAGAAAAUGGUAUUACUACUUCAACCAACUUGUUUAUGAUUUCACGUUUCAAAAGGGAUUUCAAACCAAGACCGCUAUGUGAGAAUCGCUGAAUAACGUCAAAAGUAUCCCGUAAGUAAAUAUUAUCGAUAAAAAACAAACCUAGCGAAUCAUUUAUUUCUUUAAAUGGUUAUUCAUUUAAAUCAGAGAAUAAUGGUUGGUCUAUUUAUAUGACUAAUAUCUUUUAUGGUCAUGCACCCUUGAUGAGUGGUCUAUUUUUGUUGAAUCUCGAUCGUAGUGAUACACAUAUUCAUAAUUUUGAAGCCAAAAGAUGCAAAGUUAAUAAUGAUAGUGCAACUUAUUUGUGGCACUGCCGUUUAGGUCAUAUUGGCGUAAAGCGCAUGAAGAAACUCCAUGCUGAUGGGCUUUUGGAAUCACUUGAUUAUGAAUCACUUGAUGCUUGCGAACCAUGCCUCAUGGGCAAGAUGACUAAGACUCCGUUCUUCGGAACAAUGGAGCGAGCAACUGACUUAUUGGAAAUAAUACGUACUGAUCUAUGCGGUCCGAUGAGUGUUGAGGCUCGCGGUGGGUAUCGUUAUUUUCUGACCUUCAUAGAUGAUUUGAGCAGAUAUGGGAAUAUCUACUUAAUGAAACAUAAGUCUGAAACACUUGAAAAGUUCAAAGAAUUUCAGAGUGAAGUGGAAAUCAUCGUAACAAGAAAAUAAAGUUUCUACGAUCUGAUCGUGGAGGUGAAUAUUUGAGUUAUGAGUUUGGUCUUCAUUUGAAACAAUGUGGAAUAGUUUCGCAACUCACGCCACCUGGAACACCACAGCGUAAUGGUGUGUCCGAACGUCGUAACCGUACUUUAUUAGAUAUGGUGCGAUCUAUGAUGUCACAUACCGAUUUACCACUAUCGUUUUGGGGGUUAUGCUUUAGAGACGGUCACAUUCAUGUUAAAUAGGGCACAUCUAAAUCCGUUGAGAUGACACCAUAUGACUGUGGUUUGGCAAGAAACCUAAGCUGACAUUUCUAAAAGUUUGGGGCUGCGAUGCUUAUGUGAAAAAGCUUCAACCUGAUAAGCUCGAAUCCAAAUCGGAGAAAUGUGUCUUCAUAGGAUAACCAAAGGAGACUGUUGGGUACACCUUCUAUCACAUAUCCGAAGGCAAGAUAUUCGUUGGUAAGAAUGGAUCCUUUCUAGAGAAGGAGUUUCUCUCGAAAGAAGGGAGUGGGAGGAAAGUAGUUCAUCACAGAAAUCAAUUCCAGUGAUGCCUACACCAAUUAUUGAGGAAGUUAAUGAUGAUGAUCAUGAAACUUCAGAUCAAGUUACUAUCGAACCUUGUAGAUCAACUAGAGUAAGUUUCGCACCAGAGUGGUACGGUAAUCCUAUUCUGGAGGUCAUGUUACUAGACCAUGAUGAACCUACGAACUAUGAGGAAGCGAUGAUGAGCCCAGAUUCCGCGAAAUGGCUUGAGGCCAUGAAAUCUGAGAUGGGAUCUGAUGACCCACAAUUAUAGGGGAUCAAUUGUAGCUAUUUUCGAUAAGUAAGAGUGUUGAACCCAACGAGGAGCAGAAGGAAAUGACAAGUAGCUUUCAGUAAGGUAAUGUUUGCAAGUGCUGAAAUUGUAAGUAGCGGAGUAGUUUGAUAGCAAGAUAAUUUGUAACGAGCAAGUAACGGUAGUAGUAACAAAAGUGUAGCAAGGUAGCCCAAUCCUUUUGAGGCAAAGGACAGGCCGAAACGGUCUCUUAUGAUAAGCAAAGCGUUCUUGAGGGUACACGGGAAUUUCAUCUAGUCACUUUCAUCAUGUUGGUUCGAUUUGUGUUCGGUACUUUGAUAAUUUGAUAUGUGGGUGGACCGGUGCUUAGGUGCUGUUCUUACUCUAACAAACCUCCUACUUAUGAUUAAACCUCCCGCAAGCAUCCGCAACUACGAGAAAAGUAUUAGGAAUAAAUUCUAACCAUAGCAUUAAACUUUUGGAUCCAAUCGGUCCCUUACAGAAUAGCGCAUAAACUGGGGUUUAAGCUUCUGUCAUCUCGCAACCCAUCAUCUAAUUUCUACUCCACAAUGCAUGCCCUUAGGCCCAAAUAUGGUGAAGUGUCAUGUAGUUGACGUUCACAUGACACCACUAAGGGAAUCACAACAUACAUACUAUCAAAAUAUCGAACACAUAUCAAGUUCACAUGAUUACUUGCAACAUGAUUUCUCCCGUGACCUCAAGAACAAAAGUGACUACUCACAAAUGACAAUCAUGCUCAUGAUCGGAGGGGUAUUAAAUAGCAUAAUGGAUCUAAACAUAUAAUCUUCCACCAAAUAAACCAUAUAGUAAUCAACUACAAGAUGUAAUCAACACUACUAGUCACCCACAAGCACCAAUCUAUAGUUCCGGUAACAAGAUUGAACACAAGAGAUGAACUAGGGUUUGAGAUGAGAUGGUGUUGUUGAAGAUGUUGAUGGAGAUUACCCUCCCCAAGAUGGGAGAGUUGUUGGUGAUGAUGAUGACGAUGAUUUCCCCCUCCAGUAGGGAAGUUCCCCCAACGGAAUCGCUCCGCCGGAGGGCAAAAGUGCUCCUGCCCAAGUUCUGCCUCGAGACGGCGACGCUCCGUCCCGAAAGUCCUCUCCUUAUUUUUUCUAGGUCAAAAUGACCUAUAUACCAGAAGAUGGGCACCGGAGGUGGGCCUGGGUGAGCACAACCCACCAGGGCGCGCCUGGGCUCCCUGGCGCGCCCAGGUGGGUUGUGCCCACCUGGUGGGGCCCCUCUGGUAGUUAUUUGCUCCAAUAAUUCUCAAAUAUUCCAUAAAAAUCCUCGUGAAGUUUCAGCUUGUUUGAAGUUAUGCAGAAUAGGUGGCCUGACGUAGCUUUUCCAGGUCCAGAUUUCCAGCUGCCGGAAUUCUCCCUCUUUGUGUAUACCUUGCAUAUUAUGAGAGAAAAGGCAUUAGAAUUACUCCAAAAAUCAUUAUUAUGGAUGAAAACAUCAUAAAUGACAGUAAGAAAACAUGAUGCAAAAUGGACGUAUCAGGAUCCAUGUAUGAGAACAAAGUGUGGGCUUUGGUUGACUUGCCCGAUGAUCGGCAAGUCAUAGAGAAUAAAUGGAUCUUCAAGAAGAAGACUGACGCUGACGGUAACGUUACUAUCUGCAAAGCACGACUUGUUGCGAAAGGUUUUCGACAAGUUCAAGGAGUUGACUACGAUGAGACCUUCUCACCCGUAGCAAUGCUCAAGUCUGUCUAAAUCAUGUUAGCAAUUUGCUGCAUUUUAUGAUUAUGAAAUUUGGCAAAUGGAUGUCAAAACCGCGUUCCUUAAUGGAUUUCUUAAAGAAGAGUUGUAUAUGAUGCAACCAGAAGGUUUUGUCGAUCCUAAAGGUGCUAACAAAGUGUGCAAGCUCCAGCGAUCCAUUUAUGGACUGGUGCAAGCCUCUCGGAGUUGGAAUAUACGCUUUGAUAGUGUGAUCAAAGCAUAUGGUUUUAUACAGACUUUUGGAGAAGCCUGUAUUUACAAGAAAGUGAGUGGGAUCUCUGUUGCAUUUUUUAUAUUAUAUGUGGAUGACAUAUUGUUGAUUGGAAAUGAUAUAGAAUUUCUGGAUAGCAUAAAAGGAUACUUGAAUAAGAAUUUUUCAAUGAAAGACCUCGGUGAAGCUGCUUACAUAUUGGGCAUCAAGAUCUAUAGAGAUAGAUCGAGGCGCUUAAUUGGACUUUCACAAAGCACAUACCUUGAUAAAGUAUCGAAGAAGUUCAAAAUGGAUCAGUCCAAGAAAGGGUUCUUGCCUGUGUUACAAGGUGUGAAGUUGAGUCAGACUCAAUGCCCGACCACUGCAGAAGAUAGAGAGAAAAUGAAAGUCAUUCCCUAUGCCUCAGCCAUAGGUUCUAUCAUGUAUGCAAUGCUGUAUACCAAACCUGAUGUGUGCCUUGCUAUAAGUUUAGCAGGGAGGUACCAAAGUAAUCCAGGAGUGGACCACUGGACAGCGGUCAAGAACAUCCUGAAAUACCUGAAAAGGACUAAGGAUAUGUUUCUCGUUUAUGGAGGUGACAAAGAGCUUGUCGUAAAUUGUUACGUCGAUGCAAGCUUUGACACUGAUCCGGAUGACUCUAAGUCACAAACCGGGUACAUAUUUAUAUUGAAUGGUGGAGCUGUCUGUUGGUGCAGUUCCAAGCAGAGAUCGUGGUGGGAUCUACGUGUGAAGCGGAGUAGAUAGCUUCUUCGGAAGCAGCGAAUGAAGGAGUUCAUAUCCGAUCUAGGUGUAAUACCUAGUGCAUCGGGUCCAAUGAAAAUCUUUUGUGACAAUACUGGAGCAAUUGCCUUGGCGAAGGAAUACAGAUUUCACAAGAGAACCAAACACAUCAAGAGACUCUUCAAUUCCAUCCGCGAUCAAGUCAAGGAGGGAGACAUAGAGAUUUGCAAAAUACAUACGGAUCUGAAUGUUGCAGACCCAUUGACUAAGCCUCUUCCACGAGCAAAACAUGAUCAACACCAAGACUCCAUGGGUGUUAGAAUCAUUACAAUGUAAUCUAGAUUAUGGACUCUAGUGCAAGUGGGAGACUAAAUGAAAUAUGCCCCAGAGGCAAUAAUAAAGUUGUUAUUUAUAUUUCCUUAUAUCAUGAUAAAUGUUUAUUAUUCAUGCUAGAACUGUAUUAACCGGAAACUUAGUACAUGUGUGAAUACAUAGACAAAACUGAGUGUCCCUAGUAUACCUCUACUUGACUAGCUCAUUAAUCAAAGAUGGUUAAGUUUCCUGACCAUAGACAUGUGUUGUCAUUUGAUGAACGGGGUCACAUCAUUAGAGAAUGAUGUGAUGGACAAGACCCAUCCGUUAGCUUAGCAUUAUGAUCGUUUAGUUUUAUUGCUAUUGCUUUCUUCAUGACUUAUACAUAUUCCUCUAACUAUGAGAUUAUGCAACUCCCGAAUACCGGAGGAACACCUUGUGUGCUAUCAAACGUCACAACGUAACUGGGUGAUUAUAAAGAUGCUCUACAGGUGUCUCUGAAGGUGUUUGUUGGGUUGGCAUAGAUCAAGAUUAGGAUUUGUCACUCCGUGUAUCGGAGAGGUAUCUCUGGGCCCUCUCGGUAAUGCACAUCACUAUAAGCCUUGCAAGCAAUGUGACUAAUGAGUUAGUUGUGGGAUGAUGCAUUACAGAACGAGUAAAGAGACUUGCCGGUAACGAGAUUGAACUAGGUAUGAUGAUACCGACGAUCGAAUCUUGGGUAAGUAACAUACCGAUGACAAAGGGAAUGACGUAUGUUGUUAUGCGGUUUUACCGAUAAAGAUCUUCGUAGAAUAUGUACGAACCAAUAUGAGCAUCCAGGUUCCGCUAUUGGCUAUUGACCGGUGAUGUGUCUCGGUCAUGUCUACAUAGUUCUCGAACCCGUAGGAUCCGCACGCUUAACGUUCGAUGACGAUGUGUAUUAUGAGUUGUGUGUUUUGGUGACCGAAGUUUCUUCGGAGUCCCGGAUGAGAUCACGGACAUGACGAGGAGUCUCGAAAUGGUCGAGAGGUAAAGAUUCAUAUAUUGGAAGGUAGUAUUCGAACAUCGGAAUGGUUUCGAGUGGUUCGGGUAUUUUACCGGAGUACCGAGGGGUUACCGGAACCCCCCAGGGGAAAUAUUGGUCCUUAGUGGGCCUUAGUGGAGAGAGGAGGGCCGCAAGGGGUGGCCGACGUCCCCCCCCCCAUGGCAGUCUGAAUUGGACUAGGGGGAGGGGCGGCGCCCCCCUUUUCCUCUCCCUCUCCCUCUCCUUCCUUUUCCCUCCGGUGGAGAAAGGAAAAGGAGGGGGGGCAAAUCCUACUAGGACUGGGAGUCCUAGUAGGACUCCCCCCAUGGCGCGCCCCUCCUGGCCGCCGGCCUCCUCCUCCCCUCCUUUAUAUACGUGGGCAGGGGGCACCCCAAAGGACAUCAAUUGUUCUCUUAGCCGUGUGCGGUGCCCCCUCCACAGUUUACUCCUCCGGUCAUAGCGUCGUAGUGCUUAGGCGAAGCCCUGCAGGAUCACAUCACCAACACCGUCACCACGCUGUCGUGCUUCAUGAUGAUGAUGAUUGUUGGCUCUCAUUGUGUUGCUCUCUCAUCAUGGGUGUGCUCGUGCCUGUUGCCUUUGAUGAUGUCUUUUUCUCAGGUUAUUUUGUGGGGGUAAUUCUGUGAGGAUGCGUCUCAUAUGCCGGAAGUUGGUAGGGGUAGCAUGUUGGGGGUGUUUUCAUGUUUUCACUUGUGGUUGCCUUUCGUGGUCAAGUUGUAACGGUUUUCGCCCAGUAUCCCAUAAUUAAGUGGGCAACUCUCUUCUUCUUAAUGAGUGAAUGUGGCAAAGCUUUUGCCUCUGUUUCAAAAAACCCCGCAAGAAUCUGUUAAGCAGGUAUUUGGGCUUGUACAUAACAUAUAUAUUCACAAGAAUUUGUUAACACAAGGUUAUAUUCAAUCUUUGUAUGAAUGUAAACCUGCUAAAAAUAAGGGCAGAAAACCUAAUAAUUAAAGGAAGAAAAAAAGAGAAGGUGGGAGGGGGAGGGAGGGAGGGACGGACGGAUGGCCACGACGACCAGAGGCACGAGAAGGCCGAAGUCGUCGUUGUUGCGCGUGGUGCCUGGGGGCGGCGGCUCCAAGACGCACGUGGAAUGGCAGGAAUCUUAUCAUUAUUUUUUAGUCUCUGAAAUUUGAUGAUUCUGUUGUUUACUCGGUUGAAACUUGAUAAAGUUUUAAUAUCAAAAACGUAUGGAAAAAUGAUCUUAUUUCAAAGCCCUCGGUAUAAACAACACGAAUAUACAAACAAACCAUAAUUUAGAUUAUUUUUUUUGUUCAAAAAGUAUUAAAAAAAUAAAAUUGAAAGUCAAAGAAAAAUGGGGGUCGACUCGAACCAACCAGCGGUUGGAUGGUUAGAGGGACAGUGGUAUCCCCAGCCCAUCAGGGUUCAAGUCCUGGUGCUCGCAUUAUUUCUGAAUUUAUUUCAGAAUUUUCUGCGAUGCGCUUUCAGUGAGAGAAGACGUUUCCGUCAAUGACGAGGCGCCUACGGUGACCUUGCAAAUCUCAAGAUGAUAUGGCGGCUCAGUCUUUCGAAGGUGCUCAUAGGGAUAGGGUGCGCGUGUAUGCGUUCGUAGGGGUAAGCGUACACGCAUAUGUAUGAGCGUUUGCGUCUAUGCUGCCAGGGGCGGAUCUGGGCCCCAGGCCCGGGGCGUGGUUUUUUUUAGUUAUUACCUAGCCAUGUUUUUUGAAUGGGCCCGGGGCUUAGCCCAAAACACAACCAGGGCCCAGGCUGUCCAUCUUCACAGCGCAGCCCAGCUCGCCCCCGAUGCCCAGACCUAGUCACGCCCCGACUCCCCUGCUCGCCUGCGCCCUCCGCCGCUCCCCGCUCGUGAUGGCCGCCGGUGACUCCGCCGUUCGCCCGCGGCCCUGCGCCCUCCGCCGCUCGUGACGGCCGCCGGUGCGACCUCCGCCGCUCGUCCGCCUGGCCUGCUCCGCUGCUCGCCCCGUCGCCCGUCCUCUGCUCCCCUGCUGCCCUGCUCCGCCACUCGCGCAGCCCAGCUCACCGCCUCGCCCGCUCUGCUGGUUCCUGCUCUCCGCCACGCGCAGCCCAGCUCGCCGCCUCGCCCGCUCUGCCAGCUCCUGCUCUCUGCUGCCCAGGAUUGGUAAGUGGCUGACCAUCAGAUGCUAUAACUUGUUUUCUGAAUAUUUUUGAUCUGCUAGACUGCUAUAAUGUUGGGAUUUGCUACCACAAUACCGCUUAUGGUCCAUUGCUGCUGUCGAACAUUUAAUUUCACUUGAUCAAGACACUGAUGUUGGCUUUUCAUUUGUCUAAGGUGUUGGCUCUUCUUCCACCGUUGAUUAAGUUAUGGAAGACACUGAUGAAGCAAGCCAUUGAUUUGGUAUUCUUUUUACUGCACGUAUUGUUCGUAGUUUUUGUCAUCUUUUUUAUCAAUUUUGUUGUGUCUCUAAGCAUUGAGUUUAAAUUCUAAAUUUUUGGUGCAAUUGAGUCAUAUUUGAGGUAGCUAUAGCUAGCUUGAUGGAUGUUAAGUUUUUCUCUCGCGCCGAAAUUUUUUUUUGGGCCCGGGGCUUGCUUCAAUCCUGGAUCCGCCACUGUGUGUUGCUGCUGUGUUCAAAAAAGAAAAAUGGGGGUUGACGCCCGACCUAUAGGAUGGGUCGAUGGGACUACGAGCCUAAUUGGUUUGCAGCCAAAAAUUGGCAAGCCAACUAUUGGCGCUUACCAAAAAUUGACGGGCGAUUGGUUCGGCUCGAACCGUGGGCGCGCCAACACGCGGGCUAGCCAAAUAUUGGUGGCCUCACGCACCGCUUCCAGAACCAACUCCUGCCCCCACCGCUCUCCCCUCACGGUUCGCCCCACCAGAUCUAACCCUGUCCUCCUCCUUCGCCCUAACCCCAUCCCCUAGCGCCUCCUUCCACCGCCCCUGCCCCUGCGCCGCCGGUGACCAGAAAAGCUCAAGGACCUCCGGCGGGAAGUCCUCGGCCAGCUGCCGAGCAGGGCCAGAUCCACCGGAGCAGUCAAGGUUAGUUCGUGCCCAAAUGUCAUGGGACUUCUCUUCUUUCCCCGUGUACUGUACCCAAUCACCGCUCUCUCAUCCGACUCCACAAGCGGAUGUACGUGCUUAUUAUUUCUAGAUGCGAGUGCGUACGUGCUUAUUGUUUGCUAAUAUUUUCUCUGUCUUGUACUCGGAACGAGAUUCAGGUACGAAUCAGAUUAUUAAAGUACCUUACAUCUGCAUAAAUUUGAAGCUAAAUAUGUUGCUUAAAGAUCACGGCUGCGUUCAAAUUUAUGCACGAAUCAGAUAUACGCUAGCGAUACGGCUGGGACACGGCGAGCGCAGAACGCGGCCGUGAUCUUUAAGCAACAUAUUUAGCUUCAAAUUUAUGCAGAUGUAAGGUACUUUAAUAAUCUGAUUCGUGCCUGAAUCUCGUUCCGAGUACAAGACAGAGAAAAUAUUAGCAAACAAUAAGCACGUACGCACUCGCAUCUAGAAACAAUAAGCACGUACAUCCGCUUGUGGAGUCAGAUGAGAGAGCGGUGAUUGGGUACAGUACACGGGGAAAGAAGAGAAGUCCCACGACAUUUGGGCACGAACUAACCUUGACUGCUCCGGUGGAUCUGGCCCUGCUCGGCAGCUGGCCAAGGACUUUCCGCCGGAGGUCCUUGAGCUUUUCUGGUCACCGGCGGCGCAGGGGCAGGGGCGGUGGAAGGAGGCGCUAGGGGAUGGGGUUAGGGAGAAGGAGGAGGACAGGGUUAGAUCUGGUGGGGCGAACCGUGAGGGGAGAGCGGUGGGGGCAGGAGUUGGUGGGUCUGCCGGGGCACGAACGCACGCACGGCAACAGAAAGGAGAGAACCUUCGCGAGCUAUCGCGCCGCCCGCCUCCCGUCCGGCUCCCCUCCCCCGCCGUCGCCGUCGCCGCCGCGCUCGUCCUGGCGAGAUUCCGCACGAGCCCAACUGCCAGCCACUCGCUGUCCUGCACUAUCCCGCACUAUCCCGUUCCACUACAAGUUCGCCUGCCGUCUCUUCUUGCACAGCUGAGCCACUCGCAUCCUCGGGCUCAGAUCUCUCAUCCAAGAGUCCCCCCGGCGGCGCCCCUCCUCCGCCCCCGGACCGUCAUCCCGCAGGUAAGCUGAAGCUGACCUCUCUCCGUGGUCGCUCCAUGGGCGGGCCGCGAGUCGCCUGCCCGUGCCCGCCAUGUGUUCGAUGGAAUAGCUAUGAGGUUGAUGUGUAUGCGGUGCACGCGUGUGCUUUUGCUUUUCUUGAGCUGCUGCUGGCCAUCCCAUCCUGAUUGUUACGGGUGCUGCUUGGAGGCUAUCCGAUCGGAAUUAGUUGUGACUGAGCAGCAAUUUUGAAGCUUCUGCCGAUAGGAAUUUGACCAUGUGGGUAAAGAAAAAAAAACAUGCUUUGUGGUAUGUGCAUAAGCUAAGUAGUUUCAGCAGGAAAGUCGCUUGUUCAGGAAGUUGAUUACAUGUUGUUGUCUGGAUAGGUGCCCUGUUAGCUGUUGCUGCUAGCACUGUUUUUGAGUCGCGCGACUAGUCGUCAACUAGUCCAUGAGUCCCACUGCACGGUUUUAGCUCGGUUUUCCGUGAAUUAACUGGGCAAUUCUCUUCUUCUUUAUUAAUGAUAUGAGGCAAAGCUUUUGCCUCUGUUUCGGAAAAAAAAAAGAGUCCCACUGCCAGAUGUCGACUCAACCUCUCGACUAGUCGAGACUAGUCGCGACUAGUCCAUCGGCCAGGCACGACUCGUCAAAAGUCUCUACCCAAGAACGACUCGUCAAUCAUCGACUCGAAAACCUUGGCUGCUAGUCUCAAUCCCAGGGGACCUCAUCGUUGUGUCACUUUAGGCGAUCUUUUGGGCAGCUGAAAUCUGGUGCUGCAAGUCUAGAGUCCGUCUUUCCGUCCCAGUUCCAUUUUUUCUAUAGGAUCUAUUUGAUAGUACAAGAAGGAUCACGUGUCUUUUGUAUGCGUGUUCAUACAGUCCUGGAGGAACUCUGUGGCAGGGAGUCCAAGACAACAGAUCAUCUGCUCUUUACCUGCUGCCGCGUCGCGCACGUCUGGUGUGCCCUUGGCGUCGACCGUGGCCUCCACUGCGGCGAUAUCUGGGAGGUCCCGUCUCCUCCUCUUGCACCUCAAAAGCACUGGCCUGCUGUGCGACUUCUCCUUGAGCGAAUUUGGAAUCAUCGGCACGAUGUGGUGUUCCAAAGCAAACGUCCUGCUGUCAGCCGUGCCGUCGCCGCUGCUGCCGGUGACCUCAAACUUUGGUCCUUCCGCCUGAAGCCUGAAACCGUGGAGACCUGUCAGUUUGGAGCCCAUUCCUCCAAAACCUGGACCUGUGAUCUCCCUGUAGUUCUGCUUAUUUCUUUUCCUGCCUGAACUUUUGUUGGGUAGAAAGCCACAAAACUCUUAUCUGUACUCUCCCAGGACUCUGGGUUUAGAAAGCCACAAAACUCUUAUCUGUACUCUCCCAGGACUCUGGGUUUGCUGCGUGAGAAAUACAUAUUCAGGUGGGGCGUCUUGCCCCCCGGUGACUUCUCAAAAUAAAGAGAAGUCCUGGAGGAAGCAUAAGCCAUGAACUGUUGCCUUGACAUCUGCUUUUCUUCUCAGUGUCGAUCUCACUUAAUCCCGUAGUACUUAUAAUAUACAUCUCGCACACAUUUGCUGAUGGUGAUCGUUCACUUGUUUACCUUUCCCAUGCAAGGAAGUCUGAAACCUAUGUUUUUUUUUCCUGUUUGCAGGUUUGAGAUCGGUGCAUUGCUUGGUUGACCCCUACUUGUGGAAAUGCUUGAUUCACUUAUUAGCCAUGUAAUAAGAUCUUCAAACAGCUCUGACUCGUUUUUUGCUGUGCUGUCAUCUUCACUUUAUCUGACACUUAGUAAAAGCACUGAUGUGCCAUAUUUAUCUUGUUGGCCCAGGACCCAAAGGUGUUGACUGAGAAGAAGCCUGAUGAGAUAAUUGCGAGUGGUGUUGUUGAAAGUCUGCAGAAUUUUCUGCGCAAGUGCAUCAUAGCUGUCCUCUCAUAUGGCCCAAUGCCUAAGCACAUCGCGUUUAUCAUGGACGGGAACCGCAGAUACGCCAAGUCCAGAAGUAUCAAGCAAGGCACCGGUCACAGCGUGGGCUUCGCUGCUCUAAUGGCAAGUCUUAUCUACUGUUACGAGAUGGGUGUCAAGUACAUCACGGUGUAUGCAUUCAGCAUCGACAAUUUCAAACGCGACCCUAGUGAAGUCAAGACCUUGAUGGAAUUAAUGGAGGAAAAGAUCAACGAGCUGUUGGAAAACAAGAACGUCAUCAACAAGGUUAACUGCAAGAUCAACUUCUGGGGGAACCUGGACAUGCUUCCUGAACCAGUGCGGCUGGCGGCCCAAAAGCUGAUGGCGAGCACCGCCGAGAACACAGGACUGNNNNNNNNNNNNNNNNNNNNNNNNNNNNNNNNNNNNNNNNNNNNNNNNNNNNNNNNNNNNNNNNNNNNNNNNNNNNNNNNNNNNNNNNNNNNNNNNNNNNNNNNNNNNNNNNNNNNNNNNNNNNNNNNNNNNNNNNNNNNNNNNNNNNNNNNNNNNNNNNNNNNNNNNNNNNNNNNNNNNNNNNNNNNNNNNNNNNNNNNNNNNNNNNNNNNNNNNNNNNNNNNNNNNNNNNNNNNNNNNNNNNNNNNNNNNNNNNNNNNNNNNNNNNNNNNNNNNNNNNNNNNNNNNGUGAUCCGGACCUCGGGCGAGACCCGGCUGAGCAACUUCCUCCUGUGGCAGACGACGUUUAGCCAUCUGCAGAACCCAGACCCCCUCUGGCCUGAGUUCUCCUGGAGGCACCUCGUCUGGGCGAUACUGCAGUACCAGAGAGCCUACCCGUACAUUGAGCAGAACAAAGAUCUGGCUAAGAAGCAGCUGUGAGUGAGGGAUCUCAUCUCCUUCGGAAGGAGAUAUAUGCAGAUGUUAAUCAAGAAGAUACAAUAAUAACAGAACAGGCCUGGCAUUGAAGCGUCAGUCUGUGAAUAAGGGAUCUGAUCUCCUUUGGGAGGGGAUAAGCAGAUGCCAUGAAAAAGAUAGUACAGCAACCUGUUGAAAGUUGGCCUAAUAUUUUUCGUGUAUGAGAAGAGUGUAAUUAUGGAAACCAUGUGUAUUAUGAUGUACUAGUACAAUUCUUCGUUUUUGCUGUUGUGUUAAACGUCAGCAAUAUCUUGCCACCUAGGCUGAACACGGGAGCCAAGUCGAGAAAAUUGUAAAGCUUUUAAUGGUACCUGCCAUGGUGCCAAGCUUAUGAUUGUUGCUCCGGUUUGAAUGGCACUGAUGUUGGGG